rnacentral:lncRNA from 1 species
AUUUUCAAGGUUACGUGUGUUGAGAAUGUUGGGUACUGGCGGGUUCAUUUUUUAUGAAGCACCAGAAGACAGCGUUUUAUUUGGUGGGGGUGAAGUUUUGAUACAGGAAUUGCUCGGUUUGAAAUAUUUAGAGGUAUUGGAGUUGACCUUGGGAAGUUAUCAUGCUCUCCAAAUUGUUUUGAGCUCAAAUAAGUUAAAAAGUUGUAUUCGAUCUCUUUACCUCUAUUUGACCGGAGAUAAAAAGUCGAUUAUUGAUGCUACGGCUUUCACAGACCUAAACCACCUCAAUGAAUUAUGGAUUGAUAAUGGAAUUGAGUUGGAAGAAUUGAAGAUUGAUUAUACGGAGAUAGUACGAAAAAGGCGGGAACCUUUUGUUUUCCACAGCCUUCACCUUGUUACGAUAUAUAGUUGCCAUAAAUUGAAAGAUUCGACAUUCCUCGCUUUUGCUCCAAACCUCAAGUCUCUUUCGCUAUUCAAAUGCCGUGCUAUGGAAGAAAUAAUCAGCGUCGGAAAAAUUGCUGAGAAUCCUGAGAUGAUGGGACAUAUAAGCCCUUUUGAAAAUCUCAAAAGUCUUGAUCUAUCAUAUUUGCCGGAGUUGAAGAGCAUUUUCUGGAAGCCAUUGCCUUUCACUCAUCUCAAAGAAAUGGGGGUAAGAGCAUGUGAUCAGCUUAGAAAGCUUCCACUCGAUUCCAACAGUGCAAAAGAGCGUAAAUUUGUAAUUCGUGGAGAAGAAGACUGGUGGAACCGACUUCAAUGGGAGGAUGAAGCCACUCAAAUUGCUUUUCGUUCCUGUUUCCAACCUGAUUCCUGAGCGGUGGUCGCAAAAUUUGAUUUCUGGUGAGUGCGUUUGUCUUUUAAAAGAAGAAUUUAAAAGAAAUUUAUUCUUGACGUUUUCUUCACUGUUUUUAUUUCAGUCUCUCUCUCUCUCUUUUUGUCUUCUGCUAAUCACAAUUAAAUGUUGAAUUAAUGGAAUUAAUGCUUCAUAAAUUUGCCGGCACUGCCAUUACUUUUUUUUUUUUAAUACAAAUUGAUACUUUAUUUAUAUCUUCUUAGCGAUUUAAUUUCCUGUCAAUUGACGAACGAGAAGAACAUAUGACUUAAACCAAUGCUCGCAUAAACUUGCUGUAAAAAGAUAUAAUCUCACUGAAAUGCACACGCCUAGAAUGAAAAGAAUUAAAAUAGGGAAAAUAUUAAGUAUAUUAGCCCUCUUUACCGAAAAUCAAAUGACAAUAAAUUUUUUGAAGUUUUGAUUUUCUAUGGUCAAUUCCACCUUUUGCAAUUUCUUCUGUUCUAACAAAAACCAAUUUCUUCUGUUCUAACAAAAACCAAUUUCUUUGUUCAAGUAUUUUCGUUUGGGUAUUAAUAAUUCUCCACCGAAAGAGUGAACUCUUGCUCAAGGGAUCUCUAAUCAAUAGCCGGAAGGGCGCCGAGACCUGAUCGGACCUAGGCCCAAGUUUGGUCUUAAACCCUGGGCUUGAGCCUGGCAAUUAAAUUAAAACAUUAAUUGAUUUCUUGAUUGAAUUGUCGUGUAAUUGAUUUAUGGGGGAUGACACAUCAACAUACUUGAAAAUACACUAAUCUCAGCAUCAUCGGUUAAUAACUUUUAGAUUUAUGGGUAAUCAAUAGUUAAGAUUAGUUAUCAUUAAUACUAAAUAAUUUUUACUUUUUUUUGUCUCUUCUAGAGGAUCUUCUAGAAAAAUGCAUCCACAAUUAAAUUUAAUACUUUACAUAAUAAACAAAGCAUAAAUGUUAAAUUUAAGAAACUGCAUUGUAUUUCAGCUGAAGUUGACUUUAAUAUUUAGGGUAGAAAAAAUUAAAUCCUUAAUGUGUUUAAUUUGUAUCACUUGUGUCAUUAAGAUUUUCUAGUCACCCUAACCAAUUACAUCUCAACCCACUUUUUUUUGGAUGAUUUUAUUUUUACACUAUUAUUUUCAACAUUUUUUUUCCUUUUAACACCAACAUUAGUGUAUGUUACGUAACAUAAUUCAUAUUUGGAUAAUUUGAAAUUUGUUUGUGUUUUAUCUCAAAAUAGAGCUUCAAUCAAUUUGUACCUCAUAAAUUCACAAUAUCUAUGAGGGCUAAUAAGACCAAACUCUGGCAUAUUGUCAAAUGUGCUUAUCCUUUUGCUUGACAUGUCAUUUUAAAAUUGUCAUUCAAUGCCAAAAAAUCACAUCAACUAAUGGCCGACUACUUUAAUUUGAAAGCAUGCAUGCGAUCGCCAAUAAUUAUAACUUAAUUGUUAUUUUGAAAUUUUUUUCUUUAUAAUUUUUAAGUUUAAUACUACUACAUGUGCAGCACAUAAGUUGGAAAAUAUAACAUAAAAUUUGAAAAAUGUGUAGCUUUCGUUCCUUUUUUUUCUUAAAAAUGGGAAAAAAGAAUGUAGUUUUGUUUAAAUUACUGUUGUGAUUACAAUUAUUAUUUUAUUGAUUAAUUGGCAGAGAAUCGUAAUGGUUUUGCAUGGUUGUUAAAACAUUGGAAAAUCCACUACAUCAUCCGUUAAUAACUUUCAGAUUUAUGAUUAAUCAAUAGUUGAGAUUUGUUAUCAUUAAUGCUAAAUAUUUUUUUAAUAUUUUCUCUCUCUCUUAGAGGAUCAUCCAAAGUAAAAAUUUAAUAUUAUAAAUAGUAAACAAAGUAUCAACGUUAAAUCGAAGAAACUGCAUUGCAUUUCAACUGAAGCUAACUUUAAUAUUUAAUGGAGAAAAGUAAUUAAGUCCUUAAUGUGCUUUAUUUACCCAUAUAUAUGGCUAAUUUUUUAAGAUAAAGGGGAAGGAUGAUGCUCAAAAAUAUAAAUUAUAGAAUUAGUUGAACUCUCAAGUAAGUUUAAAGUUCAUUAUUUUUAAUUACAUAUUUAUAAUUUAUUUUAUUUCGUAUUAAUCUAUAGAUCUAAAUCCACUUUGGAUUCAUAUACAUAUAUAGACAUAAUGUGUAUGUUAAUCUAUAGGUCUAAAUUCACUUUAGGUCUAUAUGGGUAUUUUGACAAAUGUACUCCAAUCAUGCAUAUUGGUAAAUUCUAACUACUAUAUUGGUAUGUCAAUAUUAUCUCUAAUUGCCCUAUACAUUCAGAAAUAAUCUAGAUAUACAAAUUAACAUAAAAUAAAAAUAAUUGGUAGAAAAUACAAAUUAUAAACAUGUAAUUAAAAAUGAUAAACUUUAAAUUUACUUAAGAGAGUAAUUAAUUUCAUAGUUAAAAUCUUUAAAUUUUACCCCUCAUCUUAACUUAAGAAAAUUAAUCACUUAUUUUAUUUAACAAAGAAGAGAAUUUUUUUUCCCCCUAUAUUUUCCAAUUAUUUCUCUCCCUCUCGCUCCCGUAAGUUAUACAACUUGAAGUGAAAUAUGAGUGGUCUGAUUCUAGCUUAAAUAAUUUAUUGUGACAUGCUAUCUAAGGACAAUACAUUACCUAGCUCUACAUAUUUUAUUUAACCUCUGGCUCACCCUGUGCAAACUUGCCUUUCCCCUGCAAGACAAGAUUAAUCAAUGUAUCAAGUCUCAAAUUCAAUUUGGAAUAUGACCAUCGUACGCUCUUGUUCUUCCCUCUUUACGAGUGCAUUCCCCCAACCUCAAGCUCCCUCUCUCGUCUUCAAUGUCACUGCUUAUAUCCUUAUGUUGUUCUAGUUUGAAAUAGUGGCUUCCACUAUUUCAGGGCCCCCAAAAAUCCAGAAACAUACUAUUCAUCACGAUGACAAAAUUUUUGGCAGGCAGGUGCUUCCUGACUUUCACACGGUAAUUCUCAAAUUCUGAUUUCACCAUAUUUUAAUUACUGAUUAGCAUAUAUUCAAGUGCUCUCCAUUAUAAUAGAAGCCGCCGCCUCACUCGUGAUUCCAAACUUUAUCUUUUUGCCUUUUUUAAAUUAAUGCAAGUAGCCGCUGUCCUUUUUAUUAAUUAAUUAGUUCGGCCGCCCACAUUUCUUUUCCUAAUGUCUUCUACUGUCGAUUUUCUUUUAUUUUCUCUUUAUUCUUAAAAUAUACUUAUAAUAAUAAAAUAUAAAAAUAAAAAUUAACAUAUCAAAAUAUAAUUUAAUAGAAAAUUAAGAUAAAAAAUAAAAAAAUUAUGAGCAUAUCAAUCAAUAAAUGAAAAAUAAUAAUUUUUAUUUUUAUUAAAUAUAUAUUUUUUAAAAUUAAUCAAUUAUCUGAAUAAAUAAAAUCAUUUAAAAAUAAAUAAAUAAAUUAUUCUUAAAAAAAAAAAAAGAAACUUUUUAUAACACUCACUAUGCUGGUUGUAGGGUAGACGCUUUGGGGACUGAAGCUGGUAACUUCUACAAGUAGUCUUAAGUUGACUGGCAACAACUAUAUUGGCAUUUAGACAUAAUGUACUGCAACCAUAUUGGUAUGUUCAAAUGUUCUUACUAUUGUAUUGGUGUGUCAAUAUUAUCUCUAACUGCCUUAUAGAUUAAAAAAAAUCUAAAUUUACAAUUUAACAUAAAUAAAAUAAUUGGUAAAAAAACAAUUAUGGUUUAUUUACUUAUCAGUAAUCAGAAUAGACUGAAAUCGAAAUGAGCUGUAUUACCGUUAAUGUGUUUAUGUUGUCCUUGAAUCGGAAUGAAUUAUUUUAAGUUACUAAAAUAUCAUUGGUUUGUUAUUCUAAUUAUUAUUAUUUAAUAUUUAUUAUAAUAUUUGUCAUAUCAUUAAAAAGAAAUAAUAAUGAUGAUAAUAUUAUCAUUAUUGUUUGUUACAUUAUUAUUAUUCAAAAAAAUUAUUGUUAAUAACAAUAAUUACUUUAUUUCAAUAAUAAUAAUGAUGAAAUUAAUAAUAACAAACAUGACAACAACAAUAAUUAUUUAUUAUGCCAAAAAUAACAAUAAUAAUAAGAAUAAUAAUCAUCAUCAUUUUUUUCCCAAAGAAGCAUUAUCAUCAUCAUUUAAAAAAAAAAUCAUCAUCAUCAUUUUUGUAGUUACUGUUUCAAUUUAGGAAGAAGCUGUUUCGUUGUGCUAACGAUGGGAGAUGUUGUGGCUGCGAUUCGGGGAGCUACUAGUUUAUUGCACUAAUGACGACAGGUGCGGCUGCUUGAUGCGAGGUCCAUGGCCAGUUGUCAGCAGUUCGACUUUGGUAUGGGCGUUGCUGGUUCGAUUUUAGGUGUUGUCUAAUUUCAUUUUCAGGAUUUUAAUUUUAAUUUUUUUUUAUAUUUUCAUUAAUUAAUCAGUGCAAAGUUUGAUUUUAGAAUUUGGAAUGAAGGUAAUUUUGUUAAUCAUGGAAAUGAGAUUCUGAUUGUCGAGAAUGAACUUACAAAAUUAGCUGCAAAUUAAGUGAAAACAAAACGCUUUUUCUCUUUGUGUGAUUAAAACAUGAAAUGUACCAUAAAUAAAUAGGUAAAAAAUAAAUCAACACAAUUCAAAAUAGAAAACCAAUUACAAGAGGCACAAAUUUUUAUGUGAAAUACCGAAAAUGAAAAAAAACUAUAGCAUCCUAGUCUAAUAUAAUCUUCUACUAUAUUAAUGGGAUUACAGCACAAAUUCUUCCCUAUCUAACACUAGAGAUUAACAAUAUCAAAAAUCUCAAUAAUCUUAACUUACAAUACAACCUAAUAUAUGUCUCUCUAAUAAGUAGAUAUCUAAAAUAACAGUCUCUAAUAAGUAGGUAUCUCAAAUAAUAGUUAAUAAGAGGAUAAAACAAAAAUUAAGAUUAGUAGAAUGUGUAUAAGGCGAUGCUAUCAACUUAUCUUCUAAAUUUGAGAAAAAUAGUUAAAUUCACUUUUUCGAUUGUACGACCAAAGAUGGAAACCCUUGCCCCAAAACCAAAGGAAUCACCAUUGUGUUUUUUUUCUCUCUUUCUCUUUCUCGUUCUUCUCUUCUACUUUUCUUAAUGUUAGCCGCCACUUGCUUUUAUUCUUUAUAGCAUUUAAAAAGCUACUUUUAAUGGUAAAUUCAUCUAAGUCCAAAACUUAGUGAUAAUUGCACACCAAACAAUCCUUUUUGGACUAUGGACUUUUGGGCCUCCAAAUGAGAUGAAUACAACAAAUCUCCCCCUUCAGAUUAUGUGGGGGGCACCACAAGCCCGCUCUCUGCAUAUAGCUUUUCAGCUUCUCCUUGAAUAAUGACUUUGUCAUCAUACAUAACCCAUUCUUCGUUGUGUAAAUCUUCUCAAGCUAUAACUGUUCUUUCUCAAGCACGUCUCAUAUCUAAUGAUAUCUCACAUCAAUUUACUUAGAUUUCGAAUGGUAUAUCAAAUUCUUUGAACGGCACUCUGACUGUCGCAGUACAUAACAUAGUUGUCUCAUUUUAUAUCCAGCUCUUGUAGGAAAUUCUUCGUCCACAAUAUUUUUUUGCAACCUUCAAUAAUUGUAAUAUCAUUUGCUUUAGUGGUAGAAAAGGCAACUUAUUACUAAAGUUUAGAUUGCGAUGAGCUCCCCCUGCAAAAGUGAGCAAACAUCCUAGUACGAAUUUUUCGGAAUCAACAUCUCCUGCCAUAUCUAUACACUUGUAACACAGGUUUGUCACCACCAAAAUAUAAACAUGCUCUGGAAAUGCCUUUAAGAUAUCUGAGAAAUUUUCACUGUUGUCCAGUGCUCUUUACCGGGAUUGAAGAGAAACCACUGACUACACUAGCUGUAUAAGCAAUAUCUGGUCUUGUACAAAUUAUGGCAUACAAUAAACUGCCAACUGCUGAAGCAUAAGGAACUCCUCUCAUGGAGAAAUGGGUUUUGCUCUUGAGAAUUUUGGGAACAUAAAGAAUAAAGAUGUAAUUUCUUGGACUGCCAUUGUUUCGAGGUAUAUAAACAGAAGACAAGUCGAUAUAGCUUGACAAUGUUUUGAUCAGAUGCCAGAACGAGAUUAUGUCUUAUGGACUGCCAUGAUUGAUGGGUACCUUCGAGUGAAUAGGUUCAAAGAGGCUUUGACGCUUUUUCAGGAGAUGCAAACUUCAAAUAUAAUGGGAGACAAGUUUACCAUUGUUAGCAUUCUUACAGCUCGUGCCAAUCUGGGGGCACUAGAUCUGGGAGAAUGGAUAAAGACUUAUAUUGACAAAAACAAAGUCAAGAAUGAUAUAUUUGCGGGGAAUGCUUUGAUAGACAUGUACUGUAAAAGAGGAGAUGUUGAGAAAGCUCAAAAGGUAUUCAGGAAGAUGCUUUGAAAGGACAAAUUCUCAUGGACGACCAUGACUGUUGGCCUUGCCAUCAGUGGCAAUGGUGAUAAAGCUCUUGAUAUGUUUUCCCAAAUGCUUAGGGCUUCGAUCAAACCGGAUGAGGUAGCUUAUGUUGGUGUUCUGUCUGCCUGUUCUCACAAUGGUAACGAAACUUUUGUGAUAAAUAGUUGCAACUUAAGGUGAGAAUUGGAGGAAAGGAAAUAGACUGAAGUUGUUCAAUCAUCAGUGGUUGCUAUUUGGUUUUAAGUUGUUCAAUUAUCGGUCGUCUCUAUUUGGUUUUCUCCAAUAUCUCAUCUUCAGUUUUGACUCAGAUUCUAUCUUACCACUAUUGUUCUGUUCAUUCUAUUUGUUUCCUACAAAAUAUUUCUCCUGCCUAAAAUUUUUUGAAUCAGUAAGUUUUUAUCUUAUGCAAGAAUUGUGCUGAGAGUAAUUCCAUUUCUCAGUCUCGUUAUGUUUCAAUGAAGACGUAAAACUUGUGUUCUAGUGCACCAAUGUUUAUGCUUCUUACAAUUUGACUUUAAUUUACUUUGUAAAACUUUUGUCAAAAAGUACUAAAAAGUAGUGCACCAAACACCAACUUUAUUAUAGAGAGGACUUUAGUUAAAUUUUAAGAAAACACUCAAAAGAAAGAGUUAUAAUUUAUUAUAGAAAUAUUUCACAUAAAUAAAAGCCAUCCCAUGCUGCAAAGAUCUUGCUAUAAUCACCAAAAACUAUCGGGAGCUUUUAGGGUUUCCAUAAAAAUGUCAUUUCGUUCCAAAAGUCAAUGGUGGGUAGAAAGUGGUGCAAAUGAGACUCAUUCUUAAUGGUAUAAGUUUUUGCUUAAUUAUGUCUUCCCCAAGAUGAUGAUUUAAUUUCCAUUCUCAAUUAAUUUUCAAGUUUCAACACUUUUCUAUGUAGCAUGACAUUGGAAAGAUCUUGUACAGUUGUACUACUAAAAGCUAGCAUCACACGUUAGUUAUUGUUAAGUUCUGUUUCAACGUGAAAUAAAGGAAGUAGUCCUUCAUUAAAACCAUUAUAGCCAAAUUUCACCUAAUUGGACACUUACAGACUUUCAUUUCAAGUUGGAUUUGGGUCCAACGUUUCAAAGUUUGGCCCAAUUAUUUUUGUCCGGUCAAGUCCUACGCAGCUAAGCCUCUCAAUGAAUGAGGGUGAGAUUGCUAAAAAUUACGACAGGUGAUAUUUUAUUAUUAUUAUUAUUAUUAUUUUUGGGGGAUAAAUCCUCACCAAAGUGAGGAGAUUUUAUCAAAAUCAAAAUAAAAAUAUAACAAGAACUGAAAGUCGGGCAGCCUAAAAGCUAGAUGAACUAAAAGUCAGGCGCCUAAAAACAACCUUAUGCAAAAGAGAAGCAAUAUGAGACCGAUCAAGUAAAAGAAUCCACCGCAACACCUAAAUUGGCCAAAUUAUCUGUUGGUAUUACAAGUUUCUUGUUAUAAAAGUGUAGAAUGAAGUAGGUGACGUAGUUUUAAGUUACAGCUGCAUGCCCAAUCGCAAUAUCAAAUAAUGCUUAAAUAUCAAAUAAUGCUUAAAGUAGUUGCCUAGGCCCGCCACAACUUAUAUUAACUCUUAAAUUUAUAAAUAAUUAAAUUUUUAAAAGUUUGGAUUUAUAUUAAAAAAUCUUCAUAUAAAUAAAUAAUAUAUGCACUUUUACAACAGUCUUUAAAUUUAAAUUUUUCAAAAAAAAUCUUCUGUAUAUCUUUUCUAUUAAAAAAAUUUCCAUAUAAAUAAAUAAUAUACCUAAUUUAAUUGGACCGAGCACAACGCACAUGCAUAGAACACAUUCCGAAAAGCCAUGCUAUUCAGAAAUUGACGAAUGAAAAGUGAGGAGGCAGCAGUCAAUGCUAUUUCGGCUUGGCCCAAAAUUGAUUUAUCAGUUUGACGUGUGCCAGGAAUGAAGAACUGGAAUAUCACCGUCAAGCAGCACCCUGUGGAGCAAUACCAUAGAAUGCACAAUCUGGCUUUGCCAGGUGACACUGGAGGCUUUUUGAAAAGUGCUUCAAAAAGCCUUUUCUGAUCGAGUCUGAGCACUCAAAUUUUGGUCCUCAGAUGGAGCUACAGCUUUCUCUCCAAUAACCAACAAUUUUCUAAACUCAGCUCCUAGUGUGAUGAGAGUUGUUGAUAUUUGUAAAUGGAGAUCCCCGUAUUUGCAAAUGGAGACAUUUACCAAAUCACCAACAUGCUUCAUCCAGUCUAUGAAAUUCUGCAGCUGAUUCAAAUCCGGAACCUGAACCAGAGUCGGAGGUAAAUCUUGAGCCAUAUCUAAAGCGGUCUGAAGUUCAAGUACUUGAGCCCUUGACAAUGGUUUUGAAAUUGGAACAUCUUGGAUUACUGCAGACUUGUACCUCUUGGUUUCAAAGGUAAGGAAAGGCAUUGCUUGAGUACAAUUUGGAGGCAGCUUCUUCACCAAUUUUAUUUGGAGGCAAUUGGCAGCGGAUCCAGCUGCACCAAUUUCAGAGCAAAUACUGACACUACUUCAAACAGCACGCUGAAGAAGAGAUAUGUCUAUGGCAAAGACAAUGCAGUCCUCAUUUUGACUUGAGAUGCGGUAAUCAUCAAAGAGAGUUUCCUUGUGAAACUGGGCAACACAUUGAAUCCCUUCACCACUGAGAAGGUUGUGGAGGAAGCAAGCUUUCUCUCUAGUAAGGAAGAGGUGGCAUACCUUCCCCAUUUUGUCUAGGACAGGUAGGAAUCUUUUUUCUAAGAGAUUUACUCCAUUCUCUGUGAGAAAUGCUUUGAACUUCAUCCCUCUGUCUCUAUCCUCACUUAUCAGUAAAAUAGUUGAAAGCGCUACAAGGAGAGAAAAGAAGAGUAUUAAGAUAUAUAUAGACAAGAAAAACAUUAGAUGUCGAUCUUACAAGCUAAUACUUCAAACAGUAUCCUAGAAAGCUAAAAACUGCAAAAUGGCUUGAAAUUUGAAAAGAACACAUGCUUUUCCUCCUUAACUUGAGAAAAUGUUUAAUAUAGUGCACCUUACAGAAACAUUUAAGCAAUUAGAACUUUGCACAAAAACAUUCAAGAAGACUAAACAAAUCAGAUGCAGUGUAUUUCUCCAAGCACAAAUGGCAUUGCAUUUUCUCCUCAACUGUAAUAUUUAUUGAUGAAAAUCAGUACAGGUCCCUCAUUUGUUAUGGAAAGCUUUCUUGUAGUCUGACCGGUUAAUUCACGGGUCUAUAAUCAUCUUGCAAAGUUACAGGCAUUUCUUUCGAUUUAAAGUCUUUGCAUCACCACCUCAUCACACACCAAGCCAAUAUUCCGUCUACCUCUACAACAAAAAGUUUUAAGUAAACGAUCCUAAUGCAUGCAGCCAAAUAAAAUGCAGUAAGAAUAUUCAACUUAAAACUCUGAAAGCCAUCUUGGUGAAUUGCCUCCUUAGGGGAAGUUCCAUGCUUUACUAUACUUGACAGGACUGAGCAAAAGCUUCCAUACGACAGAUUUUGACAAUAAUGAUGCCAACAGAUCCUCAUUAAAUCCAUUAAAACUCCAAAGGUUCAUUGUUCAUGGAUGUUUACAGAGUUUUGGUCAUCAAAUAGCUCAGACCACAAUCCCAAACAAAAAAGGAGUGAAAAUUAGAUCACCAGCAGCUAAUUGUAAAUUCUAACUUAACUCUUCAUCUCCUUUGUAAACAGGAGACAAAAUGGAGACACGCAAAAUGAAUAAGGAGAACAUUUGAACUCAAAUGAAAUGAGGGCACGAAAUCAAACAAAUGGCAUGCGCAAACAAACCAAGCCUCAAUCAAAAACUAAAUAACCAUUAAGAAAAAAAAACUGGUCAGAGAAUGAACUCCAAAUUCGGGAGUGAAGCAAGAAGCUUUCAUUAUUUCAGAAGCUCCUGUACAAAUUAAUAAGUUAUGCUCUUUGGAAACAAACCUAAAUUCCAAGAGAAACAGAACUCAAAAAAUUUGCAAUUAUACGCAAAGGAAGCGAAGCACAGCAUUCUAUCACACGUACAAAUUGUAUAACAAGAGAUCGACACAUCGAAUCAGAAGAAUUCAAUUCAAAUUUGUCUCAAAAAUCAAAAUUAGAAGAUUUCACAUUUCGAGAGGAACAAGCGACAGGUCAGAUGCACAAUUUUCAACCACAACAUGCCACAAUUAACGGUUUAUUUCCAUGGAUUUAGAGAGCUGACUGACCUUUUGGCUUUUGGAAUUGAGAAGAACGCGCGCCAAAAUGGAAGAGGGAAAGCGAAAGUGCGGGUUUCAAUAGGGUAUUGGAUUAGCAAAUUUUAUUAGUUUGCGAGGGUAAAAUAGGAAAGAUAUAUCACUAUUAACUUUUUUUUUUAUAAGAAAAAAGAAUAAUAAAGAAUAUUUUAUUGUCAUUUGCAGCAUUUAAUUUUUUUUAAAUGCUAUUAGAAAAAAACGACAAUAAAGAAAUGCUCUUUUUUUAUUUUUUUCUCGAAGGUAAAAUCAAUUAUUUAGCGUCUUAUAUGUAAUCUAACUCCAUUUCUUACUUUAAGUCAUAUCCAACUGACCAAUAAAGUAAUUGUUUUUUUUUUUUCAUUCAUUUUUACAGAAAAUUAAUAUUGAAAGCUAUUGUAAAAAUUUUUAUUAUCAACCUCAUAGUUUAAUUUUUUUGGGGAAGAAUUGAAUUUUUUUUUUAAUUUCCAAGAAUUUCAUUCUCUAGUUUUUCCAUUAAUAUUACUUAUCUUGAUACCCAUCUUAAUUAAAAUCUGUAGUUUUAUUCAAGAGUCAUGCUAUUCAUUCACUCACAGACCAAAGGCUUUCCGCAGCAAUAUUAUUAUUUAAAUUACAACAAAGGGGAAAUCAAAUACGUCAUACAGAAGCUUAAAGCUGAAUCUACAAAAUCUAGAGCUCUCAACUACAAAAAUUACACUUGAUGAUCCUCUACAAGAUGAAGCUUGUUCAAUAUCUCAUCCAAAGCUUGUAAAGUAACCUUGUAACGAUCUUGAGAUUGCCUGCCUUCCUCGACGACCUGCACGAUGCGUUUGUACAAAUCAUCAUACCUGUGCACCGGAUUUUUAAUAUCAACGCCACUGCAGCUGUGAUCAAGAACAUAAGAGCGUUUAACAUCUUUUCUCCAUCGAGAAAGAAUGUAGUGAGGUGGGAUCUCCUGCAUGCCACUCUGGUUUAGAACACAAAGAAUGUGUCUGCAUAAAUAUCCUCUGAAAUUGAACAACCCACAAACACAAAGCACCUCCUGCAUAAAUAUCUUUCUCGUUGCUACCAAUCUCAAAUUCUUCCUUCACUAUCUGUGUUAUAGGUCCAUCAGCACUGACAUGUUUUGUGCUAUAGCAAGAGUACAUAGCCUCCACCUCCGUCUGAAACUUCCUUAACAUUUCAUUUGUGUACAGUUUUGAGAGUUGAAAUUCAUAGUAACAUCUUGGUUUCUGGAUACAACUUGAAUUUCUCGAAUCCAUAUCUGCCAAGGCUUCCAGUUGAUAAUUCGCCUGCAGUGCUUGAUCAUACUUGUCUAAGAAUUCUUUCAAAGGAGUACUCUUAUCAAGAUAUCCUUCAAAGUAUGAAGUAGAAACCUCAUUCUGCAGGAAUGAAAACACUCCUGAUAAAAAUGCUUCCUUCAAAUAAACAGGAGCCCACCUUUUACGAUCUUCAUAUAAAGUUUGAAUCCAUCCAUGAUCCUUUAUUCCAUGACGUUGAAUCGUGUCCUCCCAAGCUGUCUCAAAUUCCUCAGGCCUAAGAGAGUGAUAAAUUGCUCUAUGCAAUGCAGCUCUAACAGCUUCAUAUUCAAACAAUCCUUGGAGUUUCUCUGGAAUUUUUUGCAUGACGCAUGACAAUGAAAAGCAAUGAUAAGCUCUUGGGAAAGCAUUGCUGACGGCAGUUUUCAAGAUUCUACAUUGGUCAGUGAUGAUUGUUUGUGGACAGCGUCCUAACAUACAUGUAAGCCACGCCCUAAACAACCAUGUAUAUGAUUCUAUAGUCUCACUGGCGAGUAAACCACAGCUUCGUUUACACGCUUCGAAAAACACUUUGAAAUUCAAACGAAACAUUCCUUAGGUUGAUAAAUUAGUAGCGCAAAAGAAAUUUUAGUGAGAUAUGGGAUCAGGGUUUUUGCCACGGUGAUGUUAAUUGCGACAUUGGGGUGACUCAGCAGCCUUCGAGGCUGAAACUUUGAUUGACCAAAAGCUUCCCGUUCGUUGAUUAUCUAAUUGCAGAAACGAAACUCGCAGUGUACAGAAGAAGUACGCUGAUUUGAUAAUUCUGUGAAAAUCAUUGUUUUUUUGAGAUUUUUAAUGUGUUCGGUAAAUAUCAAAAUCUCAAAAACUUGUCUUUCAUUUUGGGGGGAAAAACCCAUUGAGAUCCUUAUGUUUUUUCUUAUAUAAUCUGGCUUAAUAAUUUGCAAAGUCUAUUACUUUGCACCCAUGCAUGCUGCGUUUCAAUUUUACAAAAUUGUACGUGAGUGCAUCCAGCUAAAAUUUGUAAAAAGAAAAUAACAAUAACAUGUUAAAAAUGUGAUGAUUAUGAAGAAAUUUUAAUUUAGUUAAAUAGGUGACGAUGGAUAGGUAUAAAAUCUGAGAUCUUUUAUGAGAUUAAUAAGUAUGUUGAGUUUGGAUUAGUUCAAUUUUGACAUAAUACAGAAUAAACACAACCUGCUAAUCUAAGUUAUCAUCUUUUCUCGUCAUCAGGUACCUGUUUGAAAAAUAAUUAUAUACAAUUUUAUUUGCGUUGUCUCUCCAAAAAUUUUGGACUCGAAUGUUAUUUUUAAUUGCUAAAAGUACGAAAAUGCCCCCUUUCUCUUCAGCUAAAGGAGUGCAAAGUCAUCUGUAUAAUUGAAUCUGCAUCAUCAGUUUCUAUUGCUGGCUGGUGUUACUGCAUGCUUACAGUUGCUUGACAAAGUGAGCCAGUUUUUUGUUUAUUAAUUUUUUUUCUUGUCGAGACAGUCACAAAGUAUUACUUGUUCCAUAUGAGAAUGAUGUGAAUCAAUUUUUCAAUUAUGCAUUCUGUGGUAAUUAUUGUGAAUUUAGUUUCAUUUGUCUUGUCUCCUGCAAAUUUUGAAGAAAAUGCAGACAUACAAACUUACAAUAUGGAAGAGUUCACUGGAAAAAACUUUGUGAAAGCUUCCAAGUGAAACAGGGAAUGGGCUUACUAGUAAAGGACAAAUUGGUGGCCAGCUAAUGCAUUCAUUCUAUGUCCAUUCAUCUUUUCGAAUUAUUGAAGACAAGCGUUGGUUAGAUCCAGAUAAUCUCGAUUAUCAAAAUAAUCUCUAUUUUGAAAUAAUAAUAUUCAAAAUAUCUCUUAAAUCAUUAUAAACCUCAAACCUGUUUUAAUUUUAUUUAAAAAGAUAAAAAAAAAAGGUUAUGUUGGUGAUUUUUUAUUUUUUUAAUAAAAAUAAAAUAAAUUGAUGUUUAUAAUUGUUUAAAGUACUUUAAAGAUUGUAAUUUUAUGAGAGAGUAAUAUUUCACCGUUUUUAGUGUGAAAGGCUGAAAAAGGACAAAGCAAGUUUCCCUAGUUUUUAUUUAUUUGAAAUUGGUCAUCUCAUAUGCUUCACCCUUCAACACUACAAUUUUUUUUGUGAUAAUUUUAUUAUUAUUUUUUCUACACAUGCAUGUGAAUUACUUUUCUUUAAGCUCCUGAAUAUUUAAGACGGAUCAUGGAAGAGAUGAGAGUAUAACAAGAUGAUCAAAAUAUGUAACAAAAAAAUUUUAGAAGUGAAAAAUAUGUUAGAGUCAAAGCAAAACUCUGAAAAUAGAGAUAUUCAUUAAUUUAGAAGAGAUGCAAGCAAAAGCUAUUCCAAAAAAAAAAAGCAAUAUGUCCCUUUGGAGGACAAACUUGUCAGUUUCAAAAAAGUACAUGCUUUGGAUUGAUAGUCGUAGGAUAUUUGUUUUGUCACUGUGUAUUAGUUGGAGAAGUCAAGCCUUGUGAAGAAUGUUAUGAAAAAGCAAAGGAUAUUCUUGAUAGAGCUCUAUUUGGUUAUGUAUUCAGUGAAUGGAUGUGUUGUUGGAAGAUAUUUGAGUGCAUUAGUUCAUUUGUGUCUGUCAAUGUGCUUUUAAUGAUUUUUCCACUUGUUUGUUGUAAAAGAUGAUUGUAAAUUGAAAUGAACUUGAUGUUGUAAAAUAUUUUGCUUAGUGGAAUUUCACCUAAGUAUUCACUUUUUAUUAAAUUUCGUUAACACAAUUCUUAAUUAAUGGUGUGUUUACUUCAUGAAAUAGGGAAUGAGAAUAGAGAAAUGAGAAUGAAACUCAUGUUUACUUGGCAAAAUAUAAUUUGAGAAUGAGAAUAAAAUGUGUGGGUCCCACACAAUUUGGGAAUAAGAAAUGAGAAUCUCAUUCCCAUGGGGGGUUAGAAAUGAAAAUAAGAGAAUGAGAAUAGAAUAUAUAUUUACUUUUGUAUCUCUCUACUUUUUCAUAUUUCCCAAAUUACCUUCAUUCAAAUAACAAUUAAUUUAUUAUUUUAAAUGUCAUUAAUAAUAAUUAUUAUUAUUUUUAUUCUUAAAUUUUAUUAACUUUAUUAUUUUAGUUAUUAUUAAUUAUUUUUAUUAAUAUUAUCAUUAUUGUUAAUAAUGAUAAUAUUAAUAAAAAUAAUUAAUGUAUCAUUAUUAACAAUAUUAUCAUUAUUGUUGUUGUUGUUGUUGUUGUUAUUAUUAUUAUUAUUAUUAUUAUUAUUAUUAUUAUUAAUAAAAAUAAUAAUAACAAUAAUUAAUAUUAACUAAAAUAAUAAAGUUAAUAAAAUUUAAUAAUAAUAAUAAUGUAAUUUUCAUUAUCUAGAUACAUGUAUAAAUAUUAUUAUAAAAAUAAUAUUAAUUAAAAUAAUAAUAAUAAUAAUAAUAAAUGUUAAUAAUGAUAAUACUAAUAAAAAUAAUAUUAAUAGUAAUUAAUAAUAACUAAAAUAAUAAAGCUAAUAAAAUAUAAUAAUAUUAAUAAUAAUAAUAAUAAUAAUAAAUGUUAAUAAUGAUAAUAUCAAUAAAAAUAAUAAUAACAAUAAUUAAUAGUAACUAAAAUAAUAAAGUUAAUAAAAUUUAAUAAUAAUAUUAAUAAAUGUUAAUAAUGAUUACUUUAAUAAAAAUAAUAAUAACUAAAAUAAUAAAGUUAAUAAAAUUUAAUAAUAAUUGUUAAUAAUGAUAAUAUUAAUAAAAAUAAAAAUAACAAUAAUUAAUAACAACUAAAAUAAUAAAGUUAAUAAAAUUUAAUAAUAAUAAUAAUAAAUGUUAAUAAUGAUAAUAUUAAUAAAAUUAAUAUUAACAAUAAUUAAUAAUAACUAAAAUAAUAAGUUAAUAAAAUUUAAUUAUAAUAAUAUUGUUAAUAAUGAUUGUUAACUUUAUUAUUUUAGUUAUUAUUAAUUAUUGUUAAUAUUAUUUUUAUAAUAAUAAUAAUAAUAAUAACAACAACAACAACAAUACACGACUUGGAUUAGGAUAGAAGGAAACUUAAAUCCUAGAGAAAAAGAUAGCUAUAUCCCAAGAUUUAAAAAAAUAGUCAUGUAGAUUUUUAAGAUUUCAGUAAGCGAUUGAGAUUUUCUUUUGACAAAUAAUAUCCUUUAUCUCUAUUAACAAAAAACAGAGACUCAAAUAUUUUAUAAUAAAUAAAAAUAUAAUAUUAAAAUAUAUGUGAUAAUAUAGACAUUUUAAAUAAUUUCAAUCCAAAAAAAUAGUUAUUUUUUACAAUCUAUUAAACAUAUUUUAUUGAAUUAAUAUAAGUUUUUCUAUAAAAUAGGAACAUAAUAUUAAAUAAAUUUACAAAACUUUAAAGAAUUUUGAAUGUAAAAUAAUUUUAAUAUAUUAAUACGUGAGACUUUUUAUUAUUGUAAAAAUUAUUUAACCCAAAUAUUUUUUAAAAUCUUUACAAUAAGUAUAAAUAUGUUAUUUACAUUUAAAAAUAUUUAAAUAUUAUUAACCUACAAUUAUAUUUGCAUUUAUUAGAAAUUUUUAAAGUCAAAUAUUUUGCACUUCUACAUUAUUAGAAUUAUUGCACACAAAGAAAGAAACAUAUAAGCUUCAUAAAUUUUUUUCUUUUACAUUUGGAAACAGAGAUGAUGAUUGAUUAUAAGGAUGAAAAAAAGGACAAAAAAUAUUAAUGAUUAACGAAAUCUCUAUGCAAAUUAAUUUUAGUAGGAAAAGAGUGAGAUGAAUGAUUUCUUUUACAGCUAGAAACAGAGAUGAUGAUUAUUAUAAGGUUAAAAAAGAAGAUAAAGAAUAUUAAUUAUUUGUGGAAUCUAUAUGCAAAUUGAUUUUAGUAGGAAAAAAGUGAGUUAAAUGAUUUAGACAUUCAUAGUGUGUUUAUUUUUUGGAUUGAUGAAUAAGAAUUAUUGACAACGCUAACUUCAUCUUCAUUGUUUGUUAUCCAACAACAGCAAUUGUCGCCGAUAAUGAUACCUCCAAUGAUGAUGAUGAUUUUAUUAUUAUUAUUAUUGAUAAAAAGUAUUUUAAUUAAUUAAUAUAUUAAUGUUAAUAUUAUUAUUAUUAAGAUUAAUAAUAAUUACUAAUAAUAAUAAAUUUUUGAAUAAAAAUAAUCACAAUAAUUAAAAUAAAAAUUAAUAAUUAUGACAAUAGUUAAUUAAUGUCUUUUUAGUAAUUUGUAAUAAUGUAAAUAAUUUUGAUUUUGAUUAUUACAAUUCAAGUAAACAAAUUAUUAUGAUUCAUAUUCUCCAUUCCCAUUUCAGCUCAUUUUGAUUUCAGUUCAUUUCGAUUUCUGUUUAAUAAACGCGCCGUUAGUGAUAUAGUAAUAUUUCAUAUAGAGAAAAGUAAAAACUAUACCUAAGGUUAAGGGAAAUGACUUCAAACCUCUCUUUUGACCAUAAUACAUUUUGUCCUAAAUUUAAAGAUUUUGAAUCUAAAAUUUUACAAUAAAUAAAAAUAUAUUCCUAAAAUAAAUAUACUAUCAAUAUUUAAAAUAUGUUUUAAUAUUUUACAAUCUAUCAGACACAUUUUAUUAAAUUAAAGUUAAUUUUAUAAUAAAUACAAACGUACUAUUAAAAUGAAUAUAUAAAAAAUUUAGAGUAUUUUGAAUAUUAUAUAUGCGUAAGAUAUAUUUUAUUAAUUUAAAAAGCUAUUUUACUUAAAAAAUUAUUUAUGAUAAAUUAAUAAUUACAUUUUUAAAAUUAUUUCAAAAUUUUAAAAUUUUUUAAUAUUAUUAAUCUUUUGGAUAGAUUAAAUUAUUUUAAAAUGCCUUAAUUGUUUUUACUUUUAGCGUUACCGGCCUUUCUUAUAUUUUAUUGCAAAUUAAUGCUAACAAGAAAAAGCUAGAUCAUAUUCCACAUAAGCAAAAGUGACAAAACAACCAGCUGGAUUCUUUUAUUAAUCUACAAUUAAAAUGGACUUAUAUAUAUAUAUAUAUAUAUAUAUAUAUAUAUAUAUAUAUAUAUAUAUAUAUAUAUAUAUAUAUAUAUAUAUAUAUAUAUAUAUAUAUAUAUAUAUAUAUAAACUACGUAUGAAAGUGGAAUCUUUUGAAUAUAAGUGGGGUAGGCUCCCUUUCAAAAAAAAAAAAAAAAAGUGGGGUAGGCUCUUUUAUUAAAGACAAGUAUUGAGUAGUCAAGACGAUUAGGGUCUUAACCAAUUAGGCCUUAGCCCGGUGGUCAGAACCUUGCACUCAUAAUUAUGAGCGCAGCGGUUUAAGCCCCGCAAUGUAAGUAGGGGUUUAUUUUCUUCUUUAAUUAUUAAGUGAAUGCAGUCUAUUCUCUUUCGAAAUGUGAAUGGAGUAGACACCCCUCGAAUAUUAGAGAGGGUAAAAUCUAGGCAGUGCUACAUAAGAAUUCAUGUAAAUUAGGCCCAGUAAUUGACUGAUUGUAAAUAUUAAUUGUAAAUCUCAUAUAAUAUAAAUUAUAAUCUGAGUAUUAAUCUCAUGUAAUUAAAAAAAAAAAGAAAAAAAAGACGAUUAUGUUCUUUUAUUAAACUACAAAUUGUAUAGUCUUUUUCAAAUUGUACAGAUAUUUAUAAAUUGGUGGCCCCUUGGAAAUUUAAUGCCAAGCAGAUUCAAGUCAUCAUGCACAAUCCUCAAUAAUUGUUUUCGAUAUUUAUAAAUUGGUGGCCCCUACGUCCUCAAUAAUUGUUCCGAUACUUAUAAAUUGGUGGCCCCUGGGUAAUUUAACAGCAGCUUGCAAGUGCCAACUAGUGAAAAGUCAUCAUUUCAAAUUCUAAAUACAAUAAUACUACACAUCUCAAAUUUUUUAUCUCAAAAAAUUAUCUCAAAUGAUAUGGAAUUUAUUAAUUGGUUGGUGAGAUAAUACAAUUAAUUCACUUGAAUCUUGUAAAGAAUUAUCAACUACUCAAUUAAUGACACAUCAUUUGGGAUAACUUUUUGGGAUAAAAAAUUUGGGAUGUGUAGCAUUAUUGUUCUAAAUAAGGGUCAUUCUAUAAUGCCGUAACUAAAUUUACGGCAUUGAUACCGUAAUGGACGUGGACCGUUAGAUUUGAAUAAAAAAUCUCUACCAUUAAUUCUAAAUAAAUAGGUAACCUGUUACCUAAGUAGUAGGUAAUUAUUAUUUUUUGUUCAAGUUCCAGGUUACAUUUACUAAUUUUAUGUGUGAUUUACAAGUUUUAUAAAACUUUUACAAGUUAAUGUUGAUUUACAAGUUUUAUGCAAUAUUUACAAGUUUUUGUUUUGUUUACAAGUUCUUCUUACAAUUUACAACUCUAACAUUAAUUUACCUAUUUUUCCAUUAAUUUACUAGUUUUAUGUGUGGUUUACACAUUUUUUGUUUUAUUUCACACUUAAUGUCAAUUUACAAGUUCUAUGUCAUUUUUAUAAGUUUUUGUUUUGUUUACAAGUUCUUCUUACAAUUUACAACUCCAACAUUAAUUUACUCAUUUUUCCAUCAAUUUACUAGUUUUUUGUGUGAUUUACAUAUUUUUUGUUUCAUUUCCCACUUAAUGUCAAUUUACAAGUUCUAUGUCAUUUUUCUACAUUUUUGUUUUGUUUACAAGUUCUUCUGGCCAAUUACAACUCCAUCAUUAAUUUACUCAUUUUUCCAUCAAUUUACUAGUAUUAUAUGGAUUUACAUAUUUUGUGUUUCAUUUCAUAAUUAAUGUCAAUUUACUAGUUGUAUGCCAUUUUUCUAAGUUUUUGUUUUGUUUACAACUUCUUUGUGCAAAUUACAACUCCAACAUUAAUUUACCAUUUUUUCCAUUAAUUUAUUAAUUUUAUGUGUGGUUUACAAAUUUAUUGUUUCAUUUCACACUUAAUAUUAAUUUACAAGUUUUAUGUCAUUUUUCUAAAUUUUUGUUUUGUUUACAAGUUCUUCUUGUAAUUUACAACUCCAACAUUAAUUUACCAUUUUUUCCAUUAAUUUAUUAGUUUUAUGUGUGGUUUAUAAAUUUAUUGUUUCAUUUCACACUUAAUGUUAAUUUACAAGUUCUAUGUCAUUUUUCUAAGUUUUUGUUUUGUUUACAAGUUCUUCUUGUAAUUUACAACUCCAACAUUAAUUUACCUUUUUCCAUUAAUUUAUUAGUUUUAUGUGUGGUUUACAAAUUUAUUAUUUCAUUUCACACUUAAUGUCAAUUUACAAGUUCUAUGUCAUUUUUCUAAGUUUUUAUUUUGUUUACAAGUUCUUCUUACAAUUUACAACUCUAAUAUUAAUUUACCAAUUUUUCCAUUAAUUUACUAGUUUUAUGUGUGAUUUACAUAUUUUUUUGUUUUAUUUCACACUUAGUGUCAAUUUACAAGUUCUAUGUCAUUUUUCUAAGUUUUUGUUUUGUUUACAAGUUCUUCUUGUAAUUUACAACUCCAACAUUAAUUUACUCAUUUUUCCAUCAAUUUACUAGUUUUAUGUGGGAUUUACACAUUUUUUGUUUCAUUUCACAAUUAAUGUCAAUUUACUAGUUAUAUGUCAUUUUUCUAAGUUUUUGUUUUGUUUAUAAGUUCUUCGUGCAAAUUACAACUCCAACAUUAGUUUACUCAUUUUUCCAUCAAUUUAGUAGUUUUAUGUGUGAUUUACACAUUUUUUGUUUCAUUUCACACUUAAUGUCAAUUUACAAGUUCUAUGUCAUUUUUCUAAAUUUUUGUUUUGUUUACAAGUUCUUCUGGCCAAUUACAACUCCAUCAUUAAUUUACCCAUUUUCCCAUCAAUUUACUAGUAUUAUGUGCGAUUUACACAUUUUUUUGUUUCAUUUCAUAAUUAAUGUCAAUUUACUAGUUGUAUGCCAUUUUUCUAAGUUUUUGUUUUGUUUACAACUUCUUCGUGCAAAUUACAACUCCAACAUUAAUUUACCAUUUUUUCCAUUAAUUUAUUAAUUUUAUGUGUGGUUUACAAAUUUAUUGUUUAAUUUCACACUUAAUGUCAAUUUAUAAGUUUUAUGUUAUUUUUCUAAGUUUUUAUUUUGUUUACACUUUUUUCUUCUAAUUUACAACUCCAUCAUUAAUUUACGUCUUUUUCCAUCAAUUCACAAGUUUUAUGUGUAAUUUACACAUUUUUUGUUUCAUUUUACACUUAAUGUCAAUUUACAAGUUCUAUGUCAUUUUUUUAAGUUUUCGUUUUGUUUACAAGUUCUUCUUGCAAUUUACAACUCCAACAUUAAUUUAUCCAUUUUUCCAUCAAUUUACUAGUUUUAUUUGUGAUUUACAAAUUUUUUGUUUCAUUUCACACUUAAUAUCAACUUACAAGUUCUAUGUCAUUUUUCUAAGUUUUUAUUUUUUUUACAAUUUCUUCUUGCAAUUUACCACUCCAUCAUUAAUUUACCAAUUUUUCCAUCAAUUUACUAAUUUUUUUUUAUGAUUUACAUAUUUUUUGUUUCAUUUUACACUUAAUGUCAAUUUACAAGUUCUAUGUCAUUUUUCUAAGUUUUUAUUUUAUUUACAAUUUCAUCUUCUAAUUUACAACUCUAACAUUAAUUUACUCUCUUUUCCAUCAAUUUACUAGUUUUAUGUGUGGUUUACCUAUUUUUUAUUUUAUUUCACACUUAAUGUCAAUUUACGAGUUCUAUGUCAUUUUUUUAAGUUUUUGUUUUGUUUACAAUUUCUUCUUGUAAUUUACAACUCCAACAUUAAUUUACUCUCUUUUCCAUCAAUUUACUAGUUUUAUGUGUGGUUUACGUAUUUUUUGUUUUAUUUCACACUUAAUGUCAAUUUACUAGUUCUAUGUCAUUUGUCUAAGUUUUUGUUUUGUUUACAAUUUCUUCUUGUAAUUUACAACUCCAACAUUAAUUUACUCUCUUUUCCAUCAAUUUACUAAUUUUAUGUGUAGUUUACGUAUUUUUUAUUUUAUUUCACACUUAAUGUCAAUUUACGAGUUCUAUGUCAUUUUUCCAACUUUUUGUAUAUAAUUUAUAACUUCAUCAUUAAUUUACCUCUUUUUCCAUCAAUUUACUAGUUUUAUGUAUAAUUUACACAUUUUUUGUUUCAUUUUACAUUUAAUGUCAAUUUACAAGUUCUAUGUCAUUUUUCUAAGUUUUUAUUUUGUUUUAUUUACAAUGUCAUUUUUCUAACUUUUUGUUUUGUUUACAAUUUCUUCUUGUAAUUUACAACUCCAUCAUUAAUUUACCUUUUUUUUUCCAUCAAUUUACUAGUUUUAUGUCUUAUUUACAUAUUUUUUGUUUCAUUUGACACUUAUGGUGUGUUUACUUCUUGGAAUAAGGAAUGGGAAUGGAAGAAUGAGAAUCAAAGCUAUGUUUACUUGACAAAAUUGAAUUUAGGAAUGGGAAUAAAUUGUGUGGGUCCCACAUAAUUUGAGAAUAAAGAAUGGGAAUCUCAUUCCCAUGGGGGGUUGGGAAUGAAAAUGUGGGAAUGAGAAUGAAAUAUAAAUUUACUUUUCUAUCCCUCUAAUUUUUUCAUAUUUCCUAAAUUACCCUUGUUCAAAUCACAAUGUAAUUUUGUUAUUUUAAAGGGAAAUUUACACUCGUCCACCUGUUUGUUUUGCCUUUUUCAAAAAUACACAAACACUUUUUUUUUUUCAGCGCGCCACCUGAUGUUUGUUUUUUGUUGCAUUCAUCCACUUCCGUCUAAUUUCCGUUAGUGGAUUUAACGGAAUGUUAAUGAAAUGACCUUUUUACCCCUCAAAAUUACAAUUUAACCCAAAAUAAAUAGAAAUUGGAGAUAAAUUGGAUGAAUUUAAUUUUUUUCAAAGGUGGAUGCUAGAAAUUGGAGGAAAAUAGUGUUUUUUGCUUGCUAAAUUUAGAAAAUUUGUAUUUAUUUUUUUGAAAGAUAAAAAAAUAAAUACACAAAAAAAUAAUACAAAUUUUCUAAAUUUAGCAAGCAAUAAACACUAUUUUUCUCCAAAAAAAUAAAUAAAAAUUUUCUAAAUUUAGUAACAAACAAACACUAUUUUCCUCCAAUUUCUAGCAUCCACCUUUGAAAAAAAUUAAAUCCAUCCAAUUUAUCUCUAAUUUCUAUUUAUUUUGGGUUAAAUUGUAAUUUUGAGGGGUAAAAAGGUCAUUCCGUUAAAUUCACUAACGGAAAUUAGACGGAAGUGGACAAAUGCAACAAAAAGUAAACUUCAAGUGGCGCGCUGAAAAAAAAAAGUGUUUGUGUAUUUUUGAAAAAUGCAAAACAAAUAGGUGGACGGUUGUAAAUUCCCCUAUUUUAAAUGUCAUUAAUAAUAAUAAUAAUAAUAAUAAUUAUUAUUAUUAAAGUUUAUUAAAUUUAUUAUUUUAGUUAUUAUUAAUUAUUUUUAUUUUUAUUAAUAUGAUCAUUAUUAACAAUAAAAAUAAUGAUAAAAAUAAUAAUUAAUAAAAAUAAUUAAUUUAUCAUUAUUAACAAUAUUAUCAUUAUUAUUAUUGUUGUUGUCAUUAUUAUUAUUAUUAUAUUAUUAAUAAAAAUAAUAAUAACAAUAAUUAAUAAUAACUAAAAUAAUAAAAUAAAUAAAAUUUAAUAAUAAUAAUAAUAAUAUAAUUUUCAUUAUGUACAUACAUAUAUAAAUAUUAUUAUAAAAAUGAUAUUAAUUAAAAUAAUAAUAAUAAUAAAUGUUAAUAAUGAUAAUAUUAAUAAAAAUAAUAUUAAUAGUAAUUAAUAAUAACUAAAAUAAUAAAGUUAAUAAAAUAUAAUACUAAUAAUAUUAAUAAUAAUAAUAAAUGUUAAUAAUGAUAAUAUUAAUAAAAAUAAUAAUAACAAUAAUUAAUAGUAACUAAAAUAAUAAAUUUAAUAAAAUUUAAUAAUAAUAAUAAUAAAUGUUAACUAAAAUAAUAAAGUUAAUAAAAUAUAAUAAUAAUAAUAAUAAUAAUAAUAAUAAAUGUUAAUAAUGAUAAUAUUAAUAAAAAUAAUAAUAACAAUAAUUAAUAGUAACUAAAAUAAUAAAGUUAAUAAAAUUUAAUAAUAAUAAUAAUAAAUGUUAAUAAUGAUAAUGUUAAUAAAAAUAAUAUUAACAGUAAUUAAUAAUAACUAAAAUAAUAAAGUUAAUAAAAUUUAAUCGAGCUCUAAUAUUUAGUCCCGAGCCUAACUAUUAAAUUCGAGUCAAAUGCCAGAAAGUUCAGGUCAAGUCAAUUAAACUAAAAGUCGAGCCGAGUCUUCCUUACAUGUAUAUAUGUUUGCAUCUUGAUUUUUAUUUUUAUUUAUCAUAUAAACUCUUCUAUAAAUUUAUUAUUAUUAUUAUUAUUAUUAUUAUUAUUAUUAUUAUUAUUAUAUAUAUAUAUAUAUAUAUAUAUUGUCAUUAAUCGGAAUGGGGAAUGAGAAUCAGAAUAAAUUGUUUACUUAACUUACAAGAAUCGAAAUCGAAAUGGAUUGGAAUCUCAUUAAUGUGUUUAUUUUAUCUUGGAAUUGGCUUUGGAAUGAGUUAGAUUGUAACAAAUUACUCAAAAGUACUUAAUGAAUUAUUAUCAUAAUUAUUUUAUAUUUUAAUUAUAGUGAUUAUUUAUUCAAAAAUUAUUAUUAUUAAUUAUAAUAUAUUAAUAAAAUCAUAAAUCUAUCAUUUUUUCUUUAAAUUAGUUUAUAAAAAUCGACCAUGUCCCUUUCCCGAAUGAGAAAUUGAGUAUAAAAUCAUAAAUUUAAAAUUUAACUAAAAAUCAUAAAUCUAAACUCAAAAAAAAAAUCAUAAGUGGUUCUAUAUACAUUUUAGGUAUAUAUAUAAAUGUUUGUUUGUGUGUGUAUAUAUAUACUAUCAAUUUUAUCCUUAACUUAUUUUAAAAAAUAAUGUUAUAUAAUUAAGAUUAUUAAGAUAUAAAAAACAACAAAAAAUUAUAAAAUUUAAAAUUCACUAAAACUAUGUCAUUUCCAUAUAAUAUUCAUUUUCUUUUUUAAGUGAAAGCGGUAAAAAAAAGGCUCGGCUCUCAAGUCUCAACGACACCAUAGAAUACGAGAACGACAAAAUGAAAAAUUAAAAUUAUAGUGAUUAUGAAUUUACAGUGAGAUUUGAAUGAUAGUAACACAUUUACAAUGAUUAUGAAUUUAACUGAUGAGUUCGUAAUGGAUCAAUAGUAUUUUCGCAAGGAUGGCAAUGGGUCGAGUCGGGCCUGUGCUUAGCCAUUUCCGAGCCCAACUCUAUAACUGAAAUAAAAUUUUCAAGCCUAAAAAGGCUCGAUUAUUUGAAAGCCUGUGCUCAAUCACACUUUCAUUUAAAGUUUUUUUUUUUAAUUUUUAGUUAAUUUAAAAUUUAAAAAUUGGACAUAGCCUCCCCAUAUACAUUAAAAUAUAAAAGCUUCAAAAAUUGUUUAAUGUAACAUAAAAAUAAAAAUUACUCAAGGUCAUAACCAUAUUAUUACGUAAAUAAUAAACAUAAAAUAAACAUUUUUUUUUUUAAGUUUCAGGGUCAAGUCAGGUCGAGUCCAGCAUGUAGGUCAUGAACCCUGAUCUGAAUUUAAUCGGGCUCUAAUAUUUAGGCCCAAGCCUGACCAUUAAAUUCGAGUAAAAGGCCAAAAAAUUCAGGUCAAGUCAAUUAGACUAAAAGUCGAGCCGAGUCUUCCUUGCAUGUAUAUAUGAUCAUAUAAACUCUUCUAUAAAUUAUAUAUAUAUAUUUUUACUUGUAAUUAAUCAAAAUGGGGAACGAGAAUCAGAAUAAGUGGUUUACUUGACCUACAAGAAUCAGAAUCGGAAUGGACUGGAAUCCCAUUGAUGUGUUUAUUUUAUCUUGGAAUUGGCUUCGAAAUGAGUUAGAUUGUAAAAAAUUACUAAAAAGUAAUUAAUGAAUUAUUAUCAUAAUUAUUAUUUUAUAUUUUAAUUAUAGUGAUUAUUUAUUAAAUUAUUAUUAUUAAUUAUAAUAUAUAUUAUUAUAUUAAUAAAAUCAUAAAUUUAAAAUUUAACUAAAAACCAUAAAUCUGAACCCAAAAAAAAAAUCAUAACAUAAGUGGUUCUAUAUAGAUUUUAGGUAUAUAUGUAAAUGUUUGUGUGUGUCUAUAUAUAUAUAUAUAUAUAUAUAUAUAUAUAUAUGAAUCUAUCAAUUUUAUCUUUAACUUAUUUAAAAUAUAUAAUGUUAUAUAAUUAAGAUAUAAACAACAACAAAAAAUUAUAAAAUUUACUAAAACUACAUUGUUUCCAUAUAAUAUUCAUAUAAUAUAAUAACUUGAAGGCUCUAGUUAGAAAAUUUCCAUCAAAACAUUAGCAUUGACCACCAAUGUGUAGGAUCCAAGUACGAAUUUAACACAUAGGCAAAUCACUCAAAAAAUAAAUUAAUUAAAAUAGAACCAUGAACAAAUAAAUUUUUCAAAGUGGGUUGGUAAAAAAGGAAACUAUGGUUGCAUUGACACUUACAAUGAUACACAAAAGGCAAAACGAAAUUAAGGCUGAUUUUAUUCUUUUGGGACUGGAUGCGUAUGUUCAAAAUAAUUGUUUAUUUUGAACAAUUAUUUGAUCUUCUCUACUGCAUAGCCAAUAUUUCAUUACAGAUGUAACAUCUGUAUAAUUCUCGUUUGUCUCUUACUUAGAAACAAUAAAAAGAUCAAAUUAAAGUCCAAUGCAUACUCUAUAUAUAUAUAAUUUUUUUUUUUGUGUUAACCAUUAACAAACUCAAUUCAUAAUAUAGUCAACAAAAAACAUUAAAUAUUGUCAAUCGCCACCACAAGAAUGAAAGCAUCCAAUAUAACCAGGAUUGGUCUCAAUUUAUCUCAAAACUUCAUAACAGUUCACCAACAAGGAGUAACCAUAAAUAAGGUAAUAGGGAUAAGUCUAACUGCUGGAACAAUUAGGUUUCUCAACCAAACAUUAGUUUACUCAUAGAUCCAAGGGUGAAGGCUGCUCUGCCAGUUAAUAGGGCCAUCUGGGAACCACAAGGCAAUUUCUUUCUGGGCACUCGCAACUGAGUCACUUCCAUGGAUGAUAUUCCUGCCCAUCACAAUAGCGAAAUCACCAUGGAUGGUUCCAGGAGCAGACUGCGCAGGGUUGGUGGCUCUAAUAAUAGUGCGGCCAGUCUUAACAACGCCUUCACCCUCCCAAAUCAUAGCAAUGACAGGACCAGAGGUUAUGUACCCAAUAAGAGCACCAAAGAAAGGCUUUGACAACAAAUCCUCAUAGUGCUUCUCAGCAAAAGGGCGGUCCACAGUCAUAAGCUUCAAACCCUUCAAAGAGAAACCUUUCUUCUCAAAUCUGCUGAUGAUUUCACCAACAAGGCCUCUUUGGACCCCAUCGGGCUUGAUCAUGAUGAAAGUUUGUUCCAUUUCAUUGAGAUUCAAAGAAACCAACUUGUUUGAGAAUUCAGUGAAAUAGCACAACACAUAGGUGAGAGAAUAAUGCAUGCUCUAUAUAUAUACAUAUUUGCUAUGUCUUGGUCAAAACAAUGCAAAUGCGGUAGAGGAGAAUCAGUAAAGAAUGACGAACCUAGCCCGGUUCUCCUCUUGACUCCCGACGCCGAGUCGUUAUCGUCGGACCGAAACCACUUCACGAACACGAACCCAGCCCCUUCACCAACACGAACCGUUGUAGAGCUUCUACUUUCUCACUCCUUUUUGGCUUCAAACAGUUUUCAAAGCGAAGAUUGCAGUAAAAGAGGAAGGAUCGAGGAAACAAAAUUCGGGUUAGCCAGCAAACCCAAUUGCUUCGAAAAUACAAAAUCUGGCGUGCUACGAUUUUUAGAUUCGAUUCCGGGACCUUCGAAUUAUGACCAGACUUUGAUUCUAUUUGGACUUUCGUAGAAUUCAAUUUUAAAAUCUAUAAUUUUGAAAUUUUAACCAGUUAAUUUUUUUAAAUAAAUGUUUAACCGGUUGUAAACCUGUUAAUGAAAUUUUUUUAAAUAUUUUUAUUAUAUUAUAAUUAUUAGGUACCGUUGAUCUAAUCCAAUGGUCCACGUUUAUUACAGUAUCAAUGCCUUAAAUUUACUUACAACAUUAUAGAAUUUUCCUAAUUAAAAUACAAAUUAAUAAUUAUAACAAUAGUUAAUUAAAGUCUUUUUAGCAAUUUGUAAUAAUCUAACUCAUUAUGAUUUUGAUUAUUACAGUUUAAGUAAACAACUUAUUAUGAUUCUUAUUCUCCAUUCCCACUUCAGUUCAUUCCGAUUUCAAUUCAUUCCGAUUUUCGUUUAAUAAAUGCACCAUUAGUGCUAUAGUAAUAUUUCAAAUAGAGAAAAGUAAAAGCUACACCUAAGGUUGAGGGAAAAGAUUUCAAAACUCUCUUUUGAUCAUAAAACCUUUUGUCUUAAUUAACUUAAAGAUUUUGAAUCUAAUAUUUUAUAAUAAAUAAAAAUAUAUUCCUAAAAUAAAUAUAAUAAUAUCUAUUUUAAAAUUACUAACUGUUUUUAUUAAAGGCAAGUAAUAUCAAUUGUAAACUACAAAUUAAAAUAGAUUUUUUUUCGAUAAAUUACAAAUUAAAGUGGAUUCUUUUGAAUACAAGUGGGACAGACGAUUAGGCUCUUUUUAUUAAAGGCAAGUAAAUUACAAAUUACUAACUGUUUUUCCUUCAAAAGUUAGCGGCUCAUGUUUGCAAGUGUGAAUGUGCGAUGCUCUUUUCUUAAAGGCAAUUACAGUGGGGCCCGAAUCAGACGUGCCUAAAUCUUUUUAAAAUUUUUGCCGUAUAACGAACAGAGGUCAUUACUAAAAUUUCUCUUCCAUAGCCUACAGCAGCUUCAGUUUAUCAAACUCCAUCAAUUUUCUUUCUUAACAAAAUUCCAAAGAUGUGUAGCAUUUUUCAGAUCACAUGCGAUGGUGCUCUUUUCAAUCGUUGCUUGGAUUGCUUUCUUGGAAAAGCAGCAUACAUACGUAACCUCCAAGAUAAUCUUGAUGCCUUGGACACUGAACUGGGAAGACUAAUCGCUAAAAAGAACGAUGUGAUGAGGAGGGUUGUCGACGCUGAACGACAACAAAUGAGAAGGCUGGACGGAGUGCAAGUGUGGGUUUCGAGGGUGGAUGCUGUUAAAACUGGAGCCGAUGAACUUAUCACAGACGGCUCUGAAGAAAUUGGCAAAUUAUGUGUUGGAGGCUACUGUUCCAAGAACUGCAGGUCAAGCUACAAAUUCGGAAAACAAGUGGCUAAAAAGCUACAAGAUGUAAAGACUUUAAUCGCCGAGGGAGUUUUUGAGGCGGUGGCCACUGAGGUGGUGCCCGAGAGAGCUCCGGAACCUGUAGCAGAUAAAAGACCCACUGAGCCAACAAUAGUAGGCUUGCAAUCACAGCUUGAACAAGUUUGGAGAUGUCUUGUAGAAGAAUCAGUGGGAAUCAUUGGCCUAUAUGGUAUGGGCGGUGUUGGUAAAACCACACUAUUGACCCAUAUCAACAAUAAAUUUCUUGAGAGUCCCACAAACUUUGAUUGUGUGAUUUGGGUCGUAGUUUCAAAAGACCUGCGACUUGAAAAAAUUCAAGAAGAUAUUGGGAAGAAGAUAGGUCUCUCUGAUGAUUCAUGGAAGAAUAAAAGUUUUGAAGAGAAAGCUGUGGACAUCCUGCGGAGAUUAGGAGAGAAGAGAUUUGUAUUGUUGUUAGAUGAUUUAUGGGAGCGGGUUGAUUUAACAGAAGUGGGCGUUCCACUUCCCAGCGCACAAAAUACUACCUCAAAAGUCGUAUUCACAACCCGUUCCAUUGGUGUUUGUGGCAGCAUGAGAGCUAGGCCGGUUAAAGUGGCAUGCCUAUCAGAAAAGCAAGCUUGGGAAUUGUUCCGCGAAAAUGUUGGGGAAGAAACUCUUGAGAGUGAUCAUGAGAUCGUUGAGCUAGCCCAAACUGUGGCCAAAGAGUGUGGUGGUUUGCCACUCGCACUUAUUACUAUUGGUCGAGCUAUGGCCUACAGAAAGAAAGCGGAGCAGUGGAGACGUGCAAUUGAAGAGUUAAGAAGAUCAGCUUCAGAGUUUGCAGGUUUGGGAAAAGAGGUGUAUCCUCUUUUAAAGUUUAGCUAUGAUAGUUUGCAGAAUGAUACAAUUAGAUCUUGUUUCUUGUAUUGUUGUUUAUAUCCUGAAGAUUAUGGCAUUCUUAAAUGGGACUUGAUUGAUUGUUGGAUUGGCGAGGGAUUUUUUGGGGAAUCUGACAGGUCUGGUGCAGAAAACCAAGGCUAUGACAUUUUGGACACUCUUGUUCGUGCACGUUUAUUAGAAGAGGUGGAAGAUGAUAAAGUAAAAAUGCAUGACGUUAUUCGUGAUAUGGCUCUAUGGAUAGCUUGUGAAAUUGAGAAGGAGAAGAGAAACUUUUUGGUUUGUGCAGGUGCUGGAUUAAAAGAGGCACCGGAUGUUAAAGGAUGGGAAAAUGUGAGAAGAUUGUCAUUGAUGCAAAACCAAAUUAAAACUCUGUCAGAGGUUCCCACAUGCCCUCAUCUCCAUACUUUAUUUCUUGCCUCUAAUAUGGAGUUGGAGAUGAUCGCGGAUGGCUUCUUCCAAUUUAUGCCUUCUCUCAAAGUUUUGAAGAUGUCACGCUGCUGGAAUUUUCAAUUACCUGUUGGGAUGUCAGAUUUGGGUUCGUCACUAGAACUUCUUGAUAUUUCACGUACCAAAAUAAGAGAGUUACCAGAAGAGUUAAAGUUGUUGGUAAAUCUGAAAUGUUUGAAUUUGGGGUGGACAAGGGAGUUAAAUAAAAUUCCACGGCAACUAAUAUCAAAUUCUUCAAGGUUACGUGUGUUGAGAAUGUUCGCUACUGGCUAUGGGGGUCUUCAUGGAGCAUCAGAAGAUAGCGUUUUUUUUGGCGGGGGUGAAGUUUUGAUACAGGAAUUGCUCGGUUUGAAAUAUUUAGAGGUAUUGGAGUUGACCUUGGGAAGUUAUCAUGCUCUCCAAAUUGUUUUGAGCUCAAAUAAGUUGAAAAGUUGUAUUCGAUCUCUUUUCCUCCAGUUGUUCAGAGAUACAACGUCGAUUAUUGAUGCUACGGCUUUCGCAGAUCUAAACCACCUCAAUGAAUUACAUAUUUAUAUAGGUAUUGAGUUGGAAGAGUUGAAGAUUGAUUAUACAGAGAUAGUACGAAAAAGGCGGGAACCUUUUGUUUUCCGCAGCCUUCACCUUGUUACUAUACAUAGCUGCCCUAAAUUGAAAUAUGUGACAUUCCUCGUUUUUGCUCCAAACCUCAAGUCUCUUGAGCUAUGGAAUUGCCAUGCUAUGGAAGAAAUAAUCAGCGUCGGAAAAUUUGCUGAGACUCCUGAGAUGAUGGGACAUAUAAGCCCUUUUGAAAAUCUCCAAAGGCUUAAUUUAGAAGAUUUGCCAAAUUUGGAGAGCAUCUACUGGAAGCCAUUGCCUUUUACUCGUCUGAAAGAAAUGGCGGUACUUGGGUGCGAUCAGCUUGAAAAGCUUCCGGUCGAUUCCAAUAGUGCAAAAGAGCGUAAAUUUGUAAUUCGUGGAGAAGAAGACUGGUGGAACCGACUUCAAUGGGAGGAUGAAUCCACUCAAAUUGCUUUUCGUUCCUGUUUCCAACCUGAUUCCUGAGCGGUGGUCGCAAAAUUUGAUUUCUGGUGAGUGCGUUUGUCUUUUAAAAGAAGAAUUUAAAAGAAAUUAUUCUUGUCGUUUGUUUUCUUCUGUGUUUUUAUUUCAGUUUCUUUCUCUCUCUCUCUCUCUCUCUUUUUGGUCUUCUGCAAAUCACAAUUAAAUGUUGAAUUAAUGGAAUUAAUGCUUCAUAAAUUUGCCGGCACUGCCAUUACUGUUUUUUGGGGGGGUCGAAUUGAUGCUCUGGUUUUUUACUUUUUGUUGUCAAAUUUUGCCCUGUUCUAUCUUCUUAGCGAUUUAAUUUCCUGUCAAAAGACGAGCGAGAAGAACAUAUAUAUGACUUAAACCAAUUGAUACUUUAUUUAUGUGCAUUGUAUGUAAUAAAUAUUAAGUAUACUUUAUUUUGCCCUGUUCUCUGUUUUUAUUUCAGUCUCUCUCUCUCUCUCUUUCCUGUCUUCUGCAAGUCAUAAUUAAAUGGUGAAUUAUAUGGAAUUAAUGCUUUACAAAUCUGCCUGCACUGGCUUUUUUUUUUUUUUUUUUGUGGGGUCGAAUUGAUGCUCUGGUUUUUUUUUGUUGUCAAAAUUUUCUCUGUUUUUUCAAAUUGAUGCUUUAUUUAUAUCUUCUUCGUGAAAAGUGAUUUAAUUUCCUGCCAAAAGACGAACGAGAAGAACAUUAGAGUCAAACUAAUGCUCACAUAAAUUUCCCGUCAGAAUAUAUAAUUAGACUGGAAUAGUAGCACUCUUUACAGAAAAUGACGUGAAAGUUAAUUUAGAAAGAUAUAUUCUUGACGUGAAAGUUAAUAGUAUACAUGCCAUCACCAUUACCAAGAAUCAAGCAUGGAAUUGGAAGUCAUUCUAUAGAGUGCAGAACAUGACUCUAUGCGGUAGUCAAUUUGACACACGACGAACACCAUAUGCUGCAUAACAUACAAAUUAAUUUCCCAUAUGUGAUGCAAUUUGCUCCUCAACAUAUGCGCAAUUCUUUCCAUUCCGGCCGUUGAUUGAACCCUUUGGCAACAAGACGAGCUUUAAACUUGUCAACAGAACCGUUGGAAUGUCUUUUAAUACAAAAAUCCUUUUGCAGCCAACAAUAUUGGAAGGGAUGGGAGGUGGAACAAGCUUCCAUGUCCCGUUACGAACAAGAGCAUCAUACUCUUCUGACAUAGCUUGACGCCAGUGAGGAUUUUUGAUAGCUUGUGUCACAGUUGUAGGUUCACAAUCAGAAAAAGGGCUAAAAUGAGCACGGAGGUUAAGUUUUUGUAACGGCUUGUGAAUCUUAUUUUUAGCUCGGGUAGUCAUAUCAUGAUGAUUUGUGGGGCAAUGAUCUAGUGGAAGUUUGGGAAGAUGAUUGAACAGGAAGUGAAGAAGUGCUUUGUGUAGAGGUAGAAGUAGGUUGGGAGGAUUGCUGCGGCGAUGUUACCGGUAGAAAAGAAGGAGCAGUACACGGUGCAACUCCAGAGGGCCCACAGUAGAUGGAGUAGGUGCCGACGAUGGAGUACUAGGAAAUGAAACAGUAAGAAUUGGUGGAACACUUGCGUAAUUAGGAGUGGUUGAUGAGCUUGUAAUGAUUUGUAUGGAAAAACAAACUCUACAAAUUUAACGUGACGUGAAAAAAAAAUUUGAAAGGUGGAUGGGUCAAAACAUAAAUAAGCACUUUGAGAUAAAGGAAUAUCCUAGAAAAACACAAGGCUUAGAGGGUGGUUCGAGUUUAUGUGAUGAAACACAAACAUUCAAAAAUUUUUAAGUUUAUAUUAAUUAGGAGUGGUACCAAAAAUUAAUUAGCUAUGGGGUUGUUGGAUGUGUUUUGGAUAUUUACAGUUAAGUUUGAGUAUCUCAACUUAAAAUUUGUAGUUUUCACUUGAAAAAAUUCAGUUAAAUUUUGCAAUGCAGACUGAUUGAUUUAUCAGUUUAACGUGUGCCAGGAAUGAAGAACUGGAAUAUCACCGUCAAGCAAGCACCCUGUGGAGCAAUACCAAAGAAUGCACAAUCCGGCUUUGCUAGGUGACACUGGAGGCUUUUUGAAAAGUGCUUCACGCUCACUUGCACAGAUUGAGCAUCCCCUCUGGAUAUUGCCCUCUCUGAUCGAGUCUGAGCACUCAAAUUUCGGUCCUCAGAUGGAGCUACAGCUUUCUCUCCAAUAACCAACAAUUUUCUAAACUCAGCACCUAGUGUGAUCAGAGUUGUUGAUAUUUGUAAAUGGAGAUCCCCAUAUUUGUAAAUGGAGACAUUUAACAAAUCACCAACAUGCUUCAUCCGGUGUACAAAAUUCUGCAGCUGAUUCAAAUCCGGAACCUGAACCAGAGUCGGAGGUAUAUCUUGAGCCAUAUCUAAAGCAGUUUGAAGUUCAAGACCUUGAGCCCUUGACAAUGGUUUUGAAAUUGGAACAUCUUGGAUUACUGCAGACUUGUACCCCUUGGUUUCAAAGGUAAGGAAAGGCAUUGCUUGAGUACAAUUUGGAGGCAGCUUCUUCACCAAUUUUAUUUGGAGGCGAUUGGCAGCGGAUCCAGCUGCACCAAUUUCAGAGCAACUACUGACACUACUUCGAACAGCACACUGAAGAAGUGAUAUGUCUACAGCAAAGGCAAUGCAGUCCUCAUUUUGGCUUGAGAUGCGGUAAUCAUCGAAGAGAGUUUCCUUGUGAAACUGGGCAACACAUUGAAUCCCUUUGGCACUGAGAAGGUUGUGGAGGAAGUAAGCUUUCUCUCUAGUAAGGAAGAGGUGGCAUACAUUCCCCAUUUUGUCUAGGGCAGGUAGGAAUCUUUUUUCUAAGAGAUUUACUUCAUUCUCUGUGAGAAAUGCUUUGAACUUCAUCCCUCUGUCUCUAUCCUCACUUAUCAGUAAAAUAGUUGAAAGCGCUACAAGGAGAGAAAAGAAGAGUAUUAAGAUAUAUAUAGACAAGAAAAACAUUAGAUGUCGAUCUUACAAGCUAAUACUUCAAACAGUAUCCUAGAAAGCUAAAAACUGCAAAAUGGCUUGAAAUUUGAAAAGAACACAUGCUUUUCCUCCAUAACUUGAGAAAAUGUUUAAUAUAGUGCACCUUACAGAAACAUUUAAGCAAUUAGAACUUUGCACAAAAACAUUCAAGAAGACUAAACAAAUCAGAUGCAGUGUAUUUCUCCAAGCACAAAUGGCAUUGCAUUUCUUCCUCAACUGUAAUAUUUAUUGAUGAAAAUCAGUACAGGUCCCUCAUUUGUUAUGGAAAGCUUUCUUGUAGUCUGACCGGUUAAUUCACGGGUCUAUAAUCAUCUUGCAAAGUUACAGGCAUUUCUUUCGAUUUAAAGUCUUUGCAUCACCACCUCAUCACACACCAAGCCAAUAUUCCGUCUACCUCUACAACAAAAAGUUUUAAGUAAACGAUCCUAAUGCAUGCAGCCAAAUAAAAUGCAGUAAGAAUAUUCAACUUAAAACUCUGAAAGCCAUCUUGGUGAAUUGCCUCCUUAGGGGAAGUUCCAUGAUUUACUAUAGUUGACAGAACUCAGCAAAAGCUUCCAUACAACAGAUUUUGAAAAUGAUGAUGCCAAUAGAUACUCAUUCAAUCCAUUGAAAAUCCAAAGGUUCAUUGUUAGAUCACGAGCAAGAAACAAAAUGGAGACACGCAAUAUGAAUAUGGAGAAAAUUUGAACUCAAAUGAAAUGAGGGCACGAAAGCAAACACAUGGCAUGCGCAAACAAACCAAGCCUCAAUCAAAAACUAAUUAACCAUUAAGAAAAAAAAACUGGUCAGAGAAUGAACUCCAAAUUCGGGAGUGAAGCAAGAAGCUUUCAUUAUUUCAGAAGCUCCUGUACAAAUUAAUAAGUUAUGCUCUUUGGAAACAAACCUAAAUUCCAAGAGAAACAGAACUCAAAAAAUUUGCAAUUAUACGCAAAGGAAGUGAAGCACAGCAUUCUAUCACACGUACGAAUUGUACAACAAGAGAUCGACACAUCGAAUCAGAAGAACUCAAUUCAAAUUUGUCUCAAAAAUCAAAAUUAGAAGAUUUCACAUUUCGAGAGGAACAAGCGACAGGUCAGAUGCAAAAUUUUCAGCCACAACAUGGCACAAUUAACGGUUUAUUUCCAUGGAUUUAGAGAGAUCGCGCGCCAAAAUGGAAGAGGGAAAGCGAAAGUGCGGGUUUUAAUAGGGUAUUGGAUUAGCAAAUUUUAUUAGUUUGCGAGGGUAAAAUAGGAAAGAUAUAUCACUAUUAAGCUUUUUUUUUAAUAAAAAAAAGAAUAAUAAAGAAUAUUUUAUUGUCAUUUGCAGCAUUUAAUUUUUUUUUUAAAUGCUAUUAGAAAAAUACGACAAUAAAGAAAUGCUCUUUUUUUUUUUUUUUUUUCUGGAAGGUAAAAUCAAUUAUUUAGCUCCUUAUAUGUAAUCAAACUCCAUUUCUUACUUUAAGUCAUAUCCAACGGACCAACAAAGUAAUUUUUUUUUUUUCAUUCAUUUUUGCAGAAAAUUAAUAACUUAAAAAUAUUGAAAGCUAUUCUAAAAUUUUUUAUUAUCAACCUCAUAGUUUAAUUUUUUUGGGGAAGAAUUGAAUUUUUUUUUUUAAUUUCCAAGAAUUUCAUUCUCUAGUUUUUCCAUUAAUAUUAUUUAUCUUGAUACCCAUCUUAAUUAAAAUCUGUAGUUUUAUUCAAGAGUCAUGCUAUUCAUUCACUCACAGGCAAAAGGCUUUCCGCAGCAAUAUUAUUAUUUAAAUUACAACAAAGGGGAAAUCAAAUACGUCAUACAGAAGCAUAAAGCUGAAUCUACAAAAUCUAGAGCUCUCAACUACAUAAAUUACACUUGAUGACCCUCUACAAGAUGAAGCUUGUUCAAUAUCUCAUCCAAAGCUUGUAAAGUAACCCUGUAACGAUCUUGAGAUUGCCUGCCUUCCUCGACGACCUGCACGAUGCGUUUGUACAAAUCAUCAUACCUGUGCACCGGAUUUUUAAUAUCAAUGGCACUGCAGCUGUGAUCAAGAACAUAAGAGCGUUUAACGUCUUUUCUCCAUCGAGAAAGAAUGUACUGAGAUGGGAUCUCCUCCAUGCCACUCUGGUUUAAAACACAAAGAAUGUGUCUGCAUAAAUAUCCUCUGAAAUUGAACAACCCACAAACACAAAGCACCUCCAAGUCAGAGGCAUUGUACAAAACAUCGAAAGCCCUUGAAUCUUUCUCGUUGCUACCAACCUCAAAUUCUUCUUUCACUAUGUAUGUUAUAGGUCCAUCAGCACUGACAUGUUUUGUGCUAUAGCAAGAGUACAUAGCCUCCACCUCCGUCUGAAACUUCCUUAACAUUUCAUUUGUGUACAGUUGUGAGAGUUGAAAUUCAUAGUAACAUCUUGGUUUCUGGAUACAACUUGAAUUUCUUGGAUCCAUAUCUGCCAAGGCUUCCAGUUGAUAAUUCGCCUGCAGUGCUUGAUCAUACUUGUCUAAGAAUUCUUUCAAAGGAGUAUUCUUAUGAAGAUAUCCUUCAAAGUAUGAAGUAGAAACCUCAUUCUGCAGGAACGAAAACACUCCUGAUAAAAAAGCUUCCUUCAAAUAAAUAGGAGCCCACCUUUUACGAUCUUCAUAUAACGUUUGAAUCCAUCCGUGAUCCUUUAUUCCAUGACGUUGAAUCAUGUCUUCCCAAGCUGCUUCAAAUUUCUCAGGCCAGAGAGAGUGAUAAAUUGCUCUAUGUAAUGCAGCUUUAAUAGCUUCAUAUUCAAACAAUCCUUGGAGUUUCUCUGGAAUUUUUUGCAUGAUGCAUGACAAUGAAAAGCAAUGAUAAGCUCUUGGGAAAACAUCGCCAGCAGCAAUUUGCAAGAUUCUACAUUGGUCAGUGAUGAUUGUUUGUGGAGAGCGCCCUAACAUACAUGUAAGCCACGCCCUAAACAACCAUGUCUAUGAUUCUAUGGUCUCACUGGCAAGUAAACCACAACCCAACAACACUGAUUGUCCAUGAUGAUUCACCCCAAUGAAUGAAACCAGUGGUACAUCAUAUCUUUCAGUCAAGCACGUAGUAUCAAUUAAGACUACAUCACCAAAGUACCUAUAUGCAACUCUUGACCUGAUAUCAGUCCAGAACAGGUUUCUCAAGCAUCCCUUUUCAUUUAGUCCACUACAUUAAAAAAGUUUGGAUCUGUCAACUGCAAACGACAAAAGAAACUCUGGAUAGCUUGUGCAUCUCCUGGUUUAAGCUUCAAUUGAUUUGAGCUAUUAACAUUAUUUCCAAAUACUCCAUUAACAUCUACAUUACCAUUUCCCUCGGUAUCAAUGAUAAGAGUUCGAAACAGUUUAAUUUUUUGAACUUCUUCAGCACUAUCUAAAUGCAAUGUUCUUUUGGUUCCAAUACCUAUGUGCUUAUGUGACUUGUAAAACUUUCCACUUCUUGGGCUUAACAAGUGGUUAUGCUCAAGCUCGACUUCAAUGAUUCUCCACCUUUUGGUUUCCAUCAACCUAAACUUUAUCAUUGCUGGACAGCCAGUUCUUGUUUCUGGUCUUGGGCGGUUUGCCUCGCUUUUCUUCUUGAAGCCUGCACUACUACAGCUCAGCUUUCCUCUAUACUUUACUCUUUUGGUACCAUGUAUUGCUAACUCUAACACCAAAACCAUGUUCCUUGGCAUAGCAAUUGUAAAAGUAAAAUACAUCAUCAUACAUCUCAAACUCCAUUCCAACAGCAGGAGGCAAGGGAUUUUGGAUUAUCCCAGUUUGUCCAACAUAUUCAGUCAUCGCACAAUCUCCUACGACCUCAAAAUCAUCAGUGUCAUCAUCACCUACUGGUUCGGUGUUGAGAGAAACUUCAUCCAUCUACAAUGGAUGUUCAAUGAAGUGAGCUUUAAGGAGAAAAAGCAAAAUCAGUUCAAGGAAUGAUAAUAUAAUCAUAUAGUUACUUUCACAAAGCUUCAUAUUUCAUCACUGCUUUACCAACAUGCAACUGCCAGAGAACAAACAGACAUGUCAUAGACGCUUGAAUUAAGUAUUUGUACAAAUGAGCACACAUCAUGUGGGACAAAAUUUCAGUCACUAAACCCAAUACCACUUUUUACAUCAUACCAAGGAACAGAUUAAACCCGACACCUUCUUUUAAACCAUACCAAGGAACAGAUUAAAUCAUCAAUGAAAAAUUAAUCACAUAAUAACUUAACCAGACAAAUGAAGAGCCUGAAACAGCACAAAACUUGAAUAUGAUUAUGAUAAUUGUUGAGUCCUUGUAUCUACAGCUUUCCUUCAAUGAUAAGACAAUGAACAUAAACGAGAUGCAAAAAAUUUAUUUUAAGCUGACAGCCCAUGAUAUAAAUCAAACAAAAUCAACUCCUUUUUUUACACAUCACAUCUCAUAUUCAUUUACAUUGAAACACAAAAAGGAAGCAGGAGUGGGAAAAAAACAACAGCAGAGGAACUUAUUUCCAUAAGGUUUACGAAAUAAGGAAUCUAUUAAAACCCAAAACUUGAGGUCACCACUAAGAAUUUCGUUCUCAUUAUUUUUUUCUUCAUUUUUCACCAAUGAUGAACUUAAAAUACAAUCAUAAAUGAUAAAACCCCAUCUCCAUCUUUUUGAACUAGAGCUAAAGCAAAGCAUUUUAAGAUGUUUCAUCAUUUUUUUUAAAAAAAAAAACCUCAAUAGUACAAUGUUUUUCAAUGUUAAAUGCACAAUUCAAUCUUCUCCUAAUUUACUCUAAUAAUCUCUUAAUUAAGGAAGAUUAAGCUUCAGUUGUAAGCUAAAACAAAUUUCUUAAAUCAAGCCCCAAUGCUUUAUGCUAUUCAACAAGGGCUCAUAAAUGAUAAAACUACUUCUACAAAGAUACCCAUUUUCUAAAUUAAUUUCACAAACUGAAAUCAAACUCCUGAAACGUAACGAGCAUUAAUAUAAUCAAACCCGAACAAGAAUUGAAAAACGACACAUAAACUCGUUUACACAUUUUGACAGACACUUUGCAAUCAAUGAGCAAAAAAUUAAUGGAGAAGAUAAAAUUCAAACGAAACAUGCCUUACAUUGAUAAAUUAGAAGGGCAAAAGAAAUUUUAGUAAGAUAUGGGAUCAGGGUCUUGCCACGGUGAUGUUAUUUGUGAUGUUCGAGCGACUCAGCAGCCUUCGAGGUUGAAAAUUUGAUUGACCAAAAGCUUCCCGUUCGUUGAUUCUCUAAUAGCAGAAACGAGACUGGCAGUAUACACAACAAGUUCGCUGAUUUUAAAUUCCGUUGUUUGAGAUGGAAAUUUUUUUUGAAAAAAUUAAUGUGUUCGAUGAAUAUCAAAAUCUAAAAAACUUUUUGUUUUUCAUUUUUUUGGAAAAAGCCAUUGAGAUCCUUACUAUUUUUUCUUAUAUCAUCUUGCUUAAUAAUUUGCAAAGUCUAUCGCAUAGCACCCAUGCAUGAUGUAUGCUGCGUUGUAAUUUACAAAAUUGCACAUGAAUAAAUCCAGCUAAAAUUUGUUAAAAGAAAAUAAUAAUAACAUGUUAAAACUUAAAAAUUUGAUUAUUCGAAGAAAUUUUAAUUUAGUUAAGUAGGUGACAUGAUAAUAAAUAGAUACGUAUAAUGUCCGAGAUUUUUAUAAGAUUAAUAAAUAUGAUAAAAUUAAACAUGCAAAUAUACACACUAAUUUAGAUGUGUGAAUAACAAAUAUGGAACGACACAUGCAAAGUCAUCUGUAUAAUUGAAACGCCAUGCACUAGUAGUAGGUAAGAGAAACCAAGGUUGAAGUUGCUCCAAUGGUUACUGUUCAUUUAUUUUUAUUUAUGAUUUUUAUGUAAAAUGUAAGAAAUAUGUAGAAAUGUUGCCAGCAAUGAUUUUGGAACUUUGCAUAAAAUUUUUAUCAUUAUUGUUUUUGGUAUUAAGAAAUCCGAGGCGGUGAUUAGACGUAUGUUGCAACAAUUAAGAAAUUUCUUAUUGGAGAUAAUUUGGUAGGUUGCAGCAAUUAGAGAAUAAUUUUCCUGCCGGUUAAUCAAUCAAUAAUAAAUUUCAAAUUGCAGAAAAUAAAAUAAUACUGUCGCACUUAGAAUCAUAUUUUCUAUCUCUUUCAAUUGUGGCAAUCAUUUGUAACAAAUAAAUCAAUUUGAUGCACAUCAUUUCCCCAAUUCAAAGUUCAAGUCACUGCUCAAUUGCAGAGUAGUUAGUAGACAUGCAUGCAUGUUUAAUUAAGUACUGCAUUGUAGUAUCGAAAAUCAUAACAUCUCACCAAGCCCAGAAACUAUGGGAAACAUGAUCUCACUCUCAGUGUCACUUGAUUCCAUUUUCUGUUCUUGCCUUGAUUUCGAUGUUGGGAAUGUGACGUCUGAGUCUAAGGUUGAAGAUAAUCUCGAUGCCUUGCGGACUGCAAUGGAAAAAUAAGCGGAAACGAGAAAUGAUGUGAUAAUAUUUACAAAAGAAUGGAUCGAGUGCAGGGCUGGCUUUCAAGGGUAAAAGCUGUGGAAAAUAAAGCUGAUGAUUUGAUGAGACACAGCUCUCAAGAGAUUGAGAAGUUAUGCCUUGGAGGCUUCUGUUCCAAGAACUGCAAAUGAAGCCACAGCCGUGGGAUAGAAGCUGCUACAAUGCUACGAGUUGUGGAGACUUUAAUGGGUGAAGGAUCAUUUGAAUUGGUGGCUGAGAGGGUGCCAGAAGAUGCAGCAGAGGAGAUAAAUUGUGAGUCAACAAUAAUGGGCAUGGUGUCGACUUUUGAGAAAGCCUGGAGAUGCCUUGAAGAAGAAUAAGUUGGAAUUAUUGGCCUAUAUGUCAAUGGGAGAGUUGGAAAUAUUUACUCAAAUCAACAAGAAGUUCCUUGAUAGUCCAAAUAAUUUUGAUGUUGCAAUCUGGGUAGUGGUCUGCCAAGAUUUGCAACCCCAGAAGUUUCGGGAAAAGAUUGGGAAAAAGAAAGGCUUGUUCGAUGAGUCAUGGAAGAACUGAAGUUUUGAAGAGAAAGCACUCGAUAUAUUCAAGAAUUUAAGCAAGAUGAAGUUUGUAUUACUGCUGGAUGAUAUAUGGGAGCAGGUUGAUUUAAUUAAAAUUGGUGUCCCUCUUCCAAGCACAAAAAUUACAUUCAAGAUAGUCUUCACAGCUCCUUCUAUUACAUUUGUGGCCUCAUGGAAGCUCACGACAAGAUUAAAGUGGAGUGUUUAAAUGACGAAGAAGCAUGGGAAUUAUUCUGCAAGAAGGUUGGAGAAGAUGUGGCGACUCUGUCCAAGUGCUAAGGAGCUCAGCCUCAGAAUUUCUAGGUACGGAAAAAUAAGUAUAUCCUCUUUUGAAAUUCAGUUAUGAUAAUUUACCUAGUGAUAAAAUUAGAUCGAGUCUGUUAUACUGUAGUUUGUUUCCAGAAGACUUUCCAAUUAGCAAAAUGGAAUUGAUACUGAGAUAUGAAAUCAAGGAUACUACAUUAUUGGUGUUCUUGUUCCUUUAUGUUUAUUGGAAGAAGAGGCUCCACUAUAUGUAAAAGUGCAUGAUGUGAUACGCGAUAUGCUUCUGUGGAUCGCAUGUGAAUUUUUUUUUUUUUUUUUGAUAGGGAUAGUAUGUGAAGUUGAGAAGGAGAAAGAGAAUUUUUUGGUUCGUGCAGGUGCAAGGAUUAACUGAAGUACCAGACAUUUGGAAAUGGGAAGGGUUGAGAAGGGUGUCUUUGAUGAGCAACAAAACUGAGAAGUUAUCAGAAAUUCCUUCAGAUCCCCAUCUACUGACUUUGUUGCUUCAACGUAAUUAUUUAGAGAUGAUCAAUAAUGACUUCUUCCAAUCUAUGCAUUCCCUUAGAGUUUUGAACUUAUCAUGUAAUCGUUCUCUAACUGAUAAUUUCAAAGUUAGUUUCCCUACAACAUCUUAAUUUAUCAAUGACUAACAUACGAGAGUUGCCGAUUGAGUUAAAGUUUGUAGUGAAUCUUAAGUUUUUGAAUGUGGAGUAUGCACGGUUUCUUCAUUCAAUUCCAGGGCAAGUGAUAUCCAGUUUUACGAUGUUACAAGUUUUGAAGAUGUUUGGUUGUGGCAGGUCAUCUUCUGAUCGUGAGCCACACCAGAAGAUAGCGUUUUAUUUGGAGGCAGUAAACUUUUGAUUGCGGAGUUGUUUGGUUUGAGAGACAUUUAGAUUUGUUGACCAUCAUCCUAAGAAGCUCCCAUGCUCUGAAAGAUUUUUGAGCUCCAACAAACUUCAAAGUUGUACUCAAUCUCUCUAUCCUAAAUGCUUUGAUUCGAAGUCAGUUGAUGUUUUUGGCCUGGCUGAUCUGAAGCAUCUCAAUAGGCUAUAGAUAUUGCGAGUUGUAAGCUUUUGGAAGAAGUGAAGAUUGACUUUGUUGGGAAAGCACAAUGAACCCAUGGUUUUCACAGCCUUAUGUCACAGAAGUUGUGUAAAUACUGCACGGGUUGCUGCCAUCCCAUGACAUUGAGCCAUGUUGAAAUAUCAUUUUGCUGUAAACUGAGGGAUCUGACAUAGCUUGCUUUUGCUCCAGGCCUUCUUGUUGUUUCCAGAAAACAUUGCCAUGAUAUAGAAGAAAUACUCGGUGUUGGAAAAUUAGGUAAAGAGAUGAUGUCAAACCUGGAACCUCCUACAAAACUCCAAGGUUACGUUUGUCAUGUGGGAUUGGAUUGAACUAAAUUAUUAAGAUUGAAUUAAAUUGAAUUAUAUUUAUAUUCUUAUGUUUAGUACCGGAUUGAACUAUAUUAGAUUAUAUUUAAAUAAUAUUAAAUAGUAUUUAAGUUGGUAUUUUAAUAUAAAUAUCAAUUAUCCAUGAAAUUUUAUAAUCAUAAUUAAAAUAAAUUUAAAAAGUAAUUACUAGGAAAAUUAAAUAUAUUGCAAAAAGUUAUUGGGUAGUCAUAAUAUAAUAAGCAAAUAAAAUUAAAUAAAACAAAUUAAAUAUUUAAUUAAUUUUUAUCAAAUAUUUAAAAAUAUUAUAUAAAAUCAAUUAAUUAAUGGUUUUAUUAAUUUUCAUGAUUAUUUUUAAUAUUACAUUAGUGAUUAUUAAAUUUAAUACAAUCAAAUAAUGCAAUAAAUAAUUAAACGUUUAAUUUUAUCGAUUAAUUAUUAAAUAUACAAGUAAUAAAAAUUUAAUCUCAGGAGUUGGUAGAAGCAAAAGUACUAAUUUAAUUACAUCAUAGAUAAUAAAUAAAAAUAAAUUCUAAGUAAAUCAUAAUAAAAAAAUUAAUUAAUUGAUUCAAUCAAUCAAUAUUAGGUGUAAAUAAAAAAAGAGUAAUGAUAUAGCCACAAACUCUUGCACAAACUUAUUUUGUACAAACUCAUGUGUCAUGAUAAGAUUAAUUAAAUUAAAUAUCACUUGACCUACAUGAUUUAUUUUUAUUAUUUUAUAUUUUCAUUCAACCAAUGAAUUAACGCCACGUCAGUUUGUAUAAGAUAGGUUUGUACAAGAGUUUGUGGCUGUAUCGUCGCUUAUAAAAAAAAAUAUAAAUAAAAAUAUCAUAAAUAGACAACUUUUAUCUUUAAUCUUAUUCCAACUAAACACAUGUGUAAAUUAGAAUUAUUAAUCCCAUGAUUUUAAGAUUAAAUUCAAAUUUAUUCCCCCUUAAUCCAAUCCAACUAAACUUGUCAAACAUGGGAUAAAAAUUUAAUUCUAAAAUUAGUACAAUUCCAUAUUUAAUCCUAACAUCCAAAUAUAGCCCAAGUUGUUUGCUUAAAGAAGCUACCAAAUUUGAAGAGCGUUUACGGGAAGGCCUUGCGUUUCCCAGAUGUAUGCAGAAUUUUUGUAUCUAAAUGCCCAGAACUUAAGAAGCUGACGCUGGAUUUGAAAGGGCGGGCCAAGGUAAAAUUCUUAUCAAGUGAAAGGAAAAUCGGUGGGAACAACUUCAAUGGGAGGAUCAAGCAACUCAGGAUGCAUUGCUUCUGUUUUUCAAAUCAACUGACAAGUGAUUGAAGGGGCCAUCAUCAGCCUGGAUGGGGAGAUCCUGGAGCAGAUCAGCAGGGUUUGAAUCUGCAUCAUCAACAUCAUCAGGAUCUCUAUUUCUAUUGCUGGUCGUAAUGCCUGCCUACUGUUGCUUGAAAAAGUGAUUAAGUGAGCCAGUUUUUUGUUUAUUAAAUUUUGUCUUGUGGAGACAGUCACAAAGUAUUUUUCAAUUAUGAUAUUCUGUGGGAAAUUGCAAGUAUUUUCAAAUAUGAUCGUUACUAAAGGAAACAAAGGAAUCAACACAGCAUACUGAACCUCAGCAGUAUGAAGCUAAUGAUUAAACUCCUCACACAAUUCAUGACAUGCAAAACCAUUCACAAAAUCAUCCACAGCAACCAUAAUUGGCGUUUACAAGAAUUACUUUUCUGUUCAUGCAAUCGGCGUCUGAACGCGGCUGAUCGGUCACCAGUGUUGGCGUUUACUGUGAUUAGACAAAUUGUAGGACUUCAAAAAUAACUUCUAUAGAGGUAAUUUCGAUUUCACAUAAUUAAUUUUAGGGAAAUUUACACUCGUCCACCUGUUUGUUUUGCCUUUUUCAAAAAUACACAAACACUUUUUUUUUUUUGCAGCGCGUCACCUGAAGUUUAUUUUUUGUUGCAUUCAUUCACUUCCGUCUAAUUUCCGUUAGUGGAUUUAACGGAAUGUUAACGAAAUGACCUUUUUACCCCUCAAAAUUAUAAUUUAACCCAAAAUAAAUGGAAAUUAGAGAUAAAUUAGGUGGAUUUAAUUUUUUUUAAAGGUGGAUACUAGAAAUUGGAGGAAAAUAGUGUUUGUUGCUUGCUAAAUUUAGAAAAUUUGUAUUUAUUUUUUUGAAAGACAAAAAAAUAAAUACACAAAAAAAAUAAAUACACAAAAAAUAAAUACAAAUUUUCUAAAUUUAGCAAGCAAUAAACACUAUUUUUCUCUAAAAAAAUAAAUAUAAAUUUUUUAAAUUUAGCGGGCAACAAAUAUUAUUUUCCUCCAAUUUCUAGCAUCCACCUUUGAAAAAAAUUAAAUCCAUCCAAUUUAUUUCUAAUUUCUAUUUAUUUUGGGUUAAAUUGUAAUUUUGAAGGGUAAAAAGGUCAUUCCGUUAAAUUCACUAAUGAAAAUUAAACGGAAGUGGACGAAUGCAACAAAAAGUAAACUUCAGGUGGCGCACUGAAAAAAAAAAGUGUUUGUGUAUUUUUAAAAAAGACAAAACAAACGGUGGACGGUUAUAAAUUUCCCUUAAUUUUAUUUACAAUAUUUUAUGCCUGCUAGGUCAAUUGAGAUUCUUUCCACCGGGCACACUCUUCAUGUUCUUUUAUUUUCUGUCUUUUAUUAGACGUUGGAUUUUACUACUCUUUUAUCCAACGGCUUGCCACAACAAGACAAAUGAGGUGGUACAUUCAUUUUAUGUCCUUUCAUGUUUUUGAAUUACUGAAGACAAGUGGCUCGUCGCUUUUACUGUAGGUAAGAUCCAAAUUAUCUCGAUUAUCAAAAUAAUUAUUUUAAAAUACCUUAAUUGUUUUUAUUUUUAUGUUGCCGGAAUCAGAAUGAGCUGAAAUCAGAAUGAGUAAGAAUAAAAAUUGACUGAAAUGUAAAUAAUGAAUGAGAAUUAAAAUAAAUUGUUUACUUAAACUAUAAGAAUCCAAAUCAAAAUGAUUGCCAUUAAUGUGUUUCCUUUGUCUUGAAAUCGGAAUCAUAAUGAAUUAAAUUGUAACAAAUUAUUAAAAAGUACUUAAUAAAUUAUUAUCAUAAUUAUUAUUAAUUAAUUGUAAAAUUUUUUAAUUAAUUAUAAUAAUUAUAAUGAUAUUCGGCCACCACGAGACCAUAACGAAGCCAGAAACACAUGCUUCUUCUGCCGUUUCGAAGUUUUAAAUUUAAAAAUUAAAAACACAAUUUUCCAUUGAAAAAUAUCAAAAUUAAAUCUAAAGAAUUUGAAAAAUCCAAAAUCCUUACCCGUCCCUCUCACUGUCCCUCUUAUUCGCUUAUUCUCUCUCUCUCUCUCUCACUCACCCGAUCUAGGGAUGGGCACGGUUCGGUUCGGUUCGAAAUUAAGUAGAACCGAUUUAAAUCGGUUAUUUUAUAAAAAGAACCGAACUCAAUAAGAACCGAACUCAAACGGUUCUUUUCGGAUCGGUUCGAUUUGGUUCGGUUUUUUCGGUUUUGGGCCUAUUUUGAAUUUUUAAAAUUUUAGUCCAUUGGGCCUCAUGAAUGUAAUAAUUUUUUUCAAUAAUUAAUUUAUCCUAAUUUUAUUACAAAUAUUAACAAUAAAUACAAAGUAUUCAAAACACAGUUUAUCACUAAUAUCUUACUAACUAUUAAUAAGAUACUCCCAAAUAUAUGAAAUAUUAAAAUUUCAAAAUACAUAACCAAACUCCAAUACUCCAUCUAUAUAAACAUAAUCAUAAUGUUAUAAAGAGAAAUAACACAUGUUUGAUUUGAAUAAAAUCAAAAAAUAAUUUGGUUUUUCGGUUCGGUUUUUCGGUUCAGCUAAGUGAAUCGAAUACCGAACCGACAUUUCGGUUUUUUUUACAAACGGUAUAUUCGGUUUUUUUUAAAAAUAAAAAUCGAACCGAAUUAGAAAAAACCGUCGGUUCGGUUCGGUUUUUUUAAGACUACGGUUUUUUUGCCCACCCCUAACCCGAUCUGCCUCUUUUACUCACCCACUAGCAGGCUGUCACUCACCCACAAAACUUGUCACGCCACGGCCAUUGUUGACCAGCCAUCAUCGCUGUCACGCCACGCCCAUUGCCGACCAGCCCAUCACUGAUCACAUCGCCGUUGACGGUGUGCUUGACGAUUUUGGACCUUUUUCACCUACGUAGGUAAUUAAAUUUAGCAUGUUGAGGAAAGUUUUGAUUUAUUGUAUUUAUAUUUUAAAAUUAUUAGAAAUAAGUUAUUGGAAAUGUAGAUUUUGUUUGAAUUAUAUAUGAUUAAUACAAUUUAUUUUUCAUGGUAUAAAAAUGAAGGAUUUGGAAAAAAAACUACAAAGUCGAAGAUUUUGAAGAAUUAGAUUAACAACAAUUUAAAUGGAAAUAAUGAAAAAACUGAUAAUGAUGUGGAUGUGAAACCAAAAAAGUAUGAGCCAAAGUUUGGGAUGUUGUUUGAUAAACACCAUUAUCUUCUUAUGAGCCAAAAAAGGAAGAAUUAGAUGACAACAAUUAAGGUAAGAUUAAACUACUUACUUAAUUAUUCUACAAUUAAUUUAAUUUUAAUUUUAAUGUAUCUUUUUAUGGAUUUGCAGGAUUCAAAUGUACAAACACCAUUAUCUUCUGAGGUGGAUAUUGUAGUCCCAACGCAUGAGAGCAAUAAGGAUCCUGUAAGUUUUAUGUUCUUUGAUGUAAUACUAUUUAAUUAUUUUAAUUUUUAAUGGUCACUAAAUAAUGGUCAUUAUUUAAGAACCUGUGAUCGCAUACCAAUUACAAGGAUGUGAUAUUUAUCCAUGGUUUCCUUUUGAUUCUUACAUUGUAAGUUAUAAUCCAAUUUCUAUAUUUAUGCCUAGUUAAUUUUGCAUUUUCUGGAAUGUAAUAUGGUUCUUAUUUUGUACAAACUAGCAAUCCCCAUCACUCCCAUCUAUGUUGCCUUAUUCUUCAUCUUGGAUAUCGUAUAAAGGUUCUCAACAAAGGAGUUUUCAGUAAUCGCUACUUCAACAGAAUGAUAAUAACAAAGAAGUUUGAAGCAGACUUAACAGAUUGAUCAUUGACUUAUUCUUUUGUUGUGUUUUGUGUAUUAGUUGGUUGGAUGAUAUUACUCUAGUGCUCAAUGAUUGAACGUGGAAAUAUUUUGAAGGGUUUUUAUCCAUAUAUUCAAAGGGUUAAGUGUGUCAAUAACCAUUACAACAAUAAGAGUAGUUCAUAUAGAAAUGUCAAAUUAACCACACACAAAAGAAAAAGGUACAAAUAACUUAUUUCUAGUAAUUUUAAAAUAUAAAUACAAAAAAAAACCAAAUACUUUUCUAAUCAAAGUAUCACAUACAAGGUUUCGUAAAGGCCGUGUCAAAAGAAUUUCUUUAACUGAUUAAAUAUACUAAUUUUAGGUGACAAUAAUCUAAUAAUUUUAAACUAAAUUAACUUAAUUUCGCGAAAAAAAAUUCAAAAAACGCAUAGAAUUACGGAUCAAGUCUAAUUAACAAUCAAACGUAGUAACUCAGAUGCAUUUAUGCCAAAAAGAAUGUUCAUAAGACUACACAAAACCACCCAAAAAAAAUUAUAAAAUAAUAAAAGCAGCAGCUGCAAUAGAUUUUGCCUGAACAAGAAACACAACAAAACAAAGAGAAUAAAUCAAUCAAGGGCAUAAAUAGAUUGAACAAAAAAGGGCAAGAUCAGAGAAGAAACUGACCCACGACACUGGAUCCUCCUAAGCCUAGCGUCAUGGUUGCGGUUUUGAUGAUGCGUUAGCUGAGGUCUGACCAAAAUAUUGACAGUGACCUUGUGGGUGAGUGAGAGGUGAACGAGCUUCGUGGGUGAGAGUGAGAGCCGAGAGGGACAGAGCGGGUGAGAGAGAGAGAGGGUGAGUGAGGGGAGCGAUAAGAAUUUAGAUUUUUUUAGUUUGUUUUGAUUAGCUUUUAUUAUUUUUUAAUGGUAAAAUUUGUUUUUAAUUCUCAAAUCUAAAAUUUCAAAACGGCACAUACGCGUGUCGUUUCUGGCUUCCCUCUGUAACGAGGGCGGCCGAAUAUCAUUUUUUAAAUCAUUAUUUUAAAAUGGGUCUACAUUGCAACAGUAGUACGAUCCCAUUAUUAUUUUCAGUCAUUAAAUUUUAUUAAUAUAAUUAUAUAAUUAUAAAUUUAAUAAUUAAAAACAACAAUAAUAAUAUACUGUUGCAAUAUAAUUUUGACCUUUAAAAUGCCUUAAUUGUUUUUACUUUUAAUGUUACCGGCCUUUCUUAUAUUUUAUUAUAAAUUAAUACUAACAAGAAAAAGCUAGAUCAUUUUCCACAAAAAUAAAAGUGACAAAACAAUCAGCUAGAUUCUUUUAUUAAACUAUAAAUUAAAACGGAUUUUUUUUUAAUAAACUACAUAUGAAAGUGGAAUCUUUUGAAUAUAAGUGAGUAGGCUCUCUUUUUUUAAAAAAAAAAAACGGGGUAGGUUCUUUUAAUAAAGACAAGUCAUAAGUAUUAAGUAGUCACGACCAUUAGACUCUUUUAUUAGGACCUGUCUAUGGUACAGAUUCUGUAACAAACAUCUCCCGUCAUACCACCAUCCGAUCUUCUAUUGUUUAGUUUCUCACUUCACAUCCAACGGCUGAUGCUGCAGUCUGUAGCUUACAGAUUCUGUAAGCUAGUCAAGUCCCUUUUAUUAAAUUACAAAUUGUAGGAGGUUGCUACGUUACAGAAUCUGUAACAUACACAUUCAAUGGGAAGCAGCACACGUGUCCUGAAGAGAGAGAAAAAUCGGGCAAAUGCAGGCAAUGGCGGGUAAUGGGAGUUGGCUAAAAGUUGGAUAUGCAAAUUUACAAAAGAGUACUGCUAUUUACUCCGAAUGCUAACUCUGAAUUUACGCCCCGAGAGAUAAAACGACGUCGUUUUUUUUUUUUGCUUUGUAAUUUCAGCCAAAAAAGGUGGGCAGCACGUGGGUGAGCAUAUGCUUCAAUUAAUUUGGAACCAAAACGACGUCGUCUGUUCCUGCUUAAUCCUUCGUUUUGCUUUUCUUUCCAACCACAACGCUCGGCACCCAAAACUUCCACAAACUGCAAACUGCAAAACAUUUCCAUAUGCUAGCUCUUUAUGCAUGUGACCAAACACAACUUUCAUGUGUCUGUCUGCUUGUGUAUAUAGGAUGGAAACUUAUAUGGGUUUCUCCAAUCACCUGAAUGAUUGUAUUCUCAAAUGUUGCUUGUGGAUUCAUGGGAUUUGCUGUUCCAAAUGAUUAUGUUGAAGUCUUGACACUGAUUUGGGAAGGCUGUUGGUUUUAAUUUUGUUAACUAUUAGAGAUGUAGUACUUCUUGCAUGUCUAUUUCUUUUUCUUUUUUUGUCUUCCCUCUAAUUUAAUCAAUUUUAAAUGCACUAGAUGCCACAUGCUUUGUCUGCAUAUUUGUCUCUGGGCAUAGUCUGAAGAUGCUUUUGCCAACACAGAGCUGAUUUAGGGAAUGCCCAUGGAGCACUUGUAAGUGCCUGCUUUUCCAUAAAUCACAAAAUUUUAACAUGUCAAAACUUAAUGAUUCGUGAAAGUUGAAUGCUGAAUUUGAACGCCAACUUGUACAUGGGCUUUGGCAUACAGCAGCCAACAACGGUUCCUCAACGUAAGCACUUGUUUGAAACGCGUUUUUAUUUGCAGGCGCAAGAACUAUUGCUGCUGUUUGCAAAACAAAAAGUGAUUGCAAAACAAAAAGUAAAACGAAAGGAAAAGGUGUUUCGAUUGUAGUUCGUCAAAAUGAGUCCAAAAGAAAAGAAAAAAUGCGUCGAAACGGUGCGUUUCCUUUUAAUUUCAAAACGGCACGUUUCAUUCGGGGUGUUAGUCGAGGCGCAAGUCGGGACAAGCAGCUUCUUCCUUUAUAAAAUCUGUAACUUAAGUCAGCUCCCAAAUUGUAUAGUCUUUUUUCAAAUUGUACAGACAUUUAUAAAUUGGUGGCCCCUUGGAAAUUUAAUGCCAAGCAGACAAAAGUCAUCAUGCACAAUCCUCAAUAAUUAUUUCGCGUAUAUUUAUAAAUUGGUGGCCCCUACGUCCUCAAUAAUUGUUCAGAUACUUAUAAAUUGGCGGCCCUUGAUAAUUUAACAGCAGCUUGCAAGUGCCAACUAGUGAAAAGUCAUCAUUCACAAUCUUCCAAAUGAACCAAGGGACAUACAAAGAUUAAGACAUGUCAUUCUUUUUUCAUUCCCUUUCAUGUAACUUACAUCUAAAUACAUAAAUAAUAUAAAAUGAAUGGAGAGAUGCCGGAGCAUAUCAGCAGGGUUUGAAUAUGACCUUUGGCGCUUGUCUUUUUUUGUGAUUUUUUUUUUCAUUUUUUCCUUCCUGUCAUUUUAUCAUUUCUUUGGCUUUGUCUCUAUUGCGGGCGUUACUGCAUGCUUACUGUUGCUUGACAAAGUUUGCUAGCUUUUCCUUUUGUUUAUUAAAUUUUUUUAUCGUCGCAAAGUAUUACUCGUUCUAUUUGACAGUGAUGUGAAUCAAUUUUUCAAUUUUAUAUUUUAUCGUCAAUGUGAAUUCAAUUUCAUUUGUCAUCAUGCAUAAUCCUCAAUAAUUGUUUCGAUAUUUAUAAAUUGGUGGCCCCUGCGUCCUCAAUAAUUGUUCCGAUACUUAUAAAUUGGUGGCCCCUUAAUAAUUUAACAGCAGCCUGCAAGUGCCGACUAGUGAAAAGUCAUCAUUCACAAUUUUCCAAAUGAACCAGGGGAUAUACAAAUAUUAAGACAUGUCAUUCUUUCUUUUUUUUUGAGUGAAACAGAAAUUUACAAGAAUUACUUUUCUGUUCAAGAAAUCGGCGUCUAAACGCGGCUGAUCGGCCACCGGUGUUGGCGUUUACUGUGAUUAGACAAAUUGUAGGAAUUCAAAAAUAACUUCUAUAGGGGUAAUUUCGAUUUCACAUAAUUAAUUUUAUUUACAAUAUUUUAUUCCUGCUAGGUCAAUUGAGAUUCUUUCCACCGAAAACACCCCUCAUGUUCUUUUAUUUCCUGUCUUUUAUUAGCCGUUGGAUUUUACUACUCUUAUAUCCAACGGCUUGCCACAACAAGACAAAUGAGGUGGUACCUUCCAACCGGUGAAAGGUAGUUUUGGCCCCAAGUGGAACAAGGGAUGCACUUACUAUUAAGGACAGUUGGCGGCCAGCCAAUGCAUUCAUUUUAUGUCCGUUCAUCUUUUCAAUUGUUAAAGACAAGUGGCUCAUCGCUUUUACUACAGGUAAAAUUCAGAUAAUCUCUAUUAUGAAAUAAUAAUAUUCAAAAUAUCUCAUAAAUUAUUAUAAACCUCAAAUUUAUCUUAAUUUUAUUUAAAAAAUAAAAGAAAAAUAGGUUAUGUUGGUGAAUUUUUUUUAAUCUUUUUAAUAAAAAUAAAAUAAAUUGAUGUUUUAUAAUAGUUUAAAGUACUUUAAAGAUUGUAAUUUUAUGAGAGAGUAAUAUUUCACUUUUUUAGUGUAAAAAGUUGAAAAAGGACAAAGCAAGUUUCUCUGAUUUUUAUUUUAUUUGAAAUUAGUCAUCUCAUAUACUUCACCCUUCAACACUACAAUUUUUUUGGUUAUUUUUUUAUUUUUUUAUUUUUUACAUAUGCACGUGAAUUUCUUUUCUUUAAGCUCCUGAAUAUUUAAGACAAAUCAUAGAAGAGAUGAAAGUAUAAUAAGAUGAUCAAAAUACGUAACAAAAAUUUUUAGAAGUGAAACAUACGUUAGAGUUGAAGCAAAACUCCAAAAAUAGAGAUACUGAUUAAUUUAGAAGAGAUGCGAGCAAAAGAUAUUCCCAAACAAAAAAGGGCAACUUGUCCCUUUGGAGGGCAAACUUGUCAGUUUGAAAAAAGUACAUGCUUUGGAUUGAUAGUUGCUGGAUAUUUGUUUUGUCACUGUGUAUUAGUUGAAGAAGUCAAGCCUAGUCAAGAAUGUUGUGAAAGAGCAAAGGAUAUUCCCGAUAGAGCUCUAUUUCAUUAUGUAUCCAGUGAAUAGAUGUGUUGUUGGAAGAUAAGUGAGUGCAUUAGUUCAUUUGUGUCUAUCAAUUUGCUUUUAAUGAUUUUUCCACUUGUUUUGUUGUAAAAGAUUAUUGUAAAAUUAAAUGAAUUUGAUGUUGUAAUAUUUUGUCUUUAGUGGAAUUUCACUUGGUAUGUGUUCAAUUGUGUUGUCUAUAAUUUUGCAUUCAAAUAAGUUUCCACCUAAAAUAUUAGCACGAGUAGUAGCCCUUGAAACUUUAGUCAAAAUUAUUGUUAUAAUUUCUUAUUAGGGGUAAACUUUUUAUUAAACCUCGUUAACAUAAUUCUUAAUUAAUUGUGUGUUUACAUGGAAUAGGGAAUGAGAAUGGAGGAAUGAGAAUGAAACUCAUGUUUACUUGGUAAAAUGUAAUUUGGGAAUGAGAAUAAAAUGUGUGGGUUUUACAUAAUUUGGGAAUAAGGAAUGAGAAUCUCAUUCCCAUGAAGGAUUGAGAAUGAAAUAUAUGUUUACUUUUGUAUCCCUAUACUUUUUUUAUAUUUCCCAAAUUACCCUCAUUCAAAUCACAAUUAAUUUAUUAUUUUAAAUGUCAUUAAUAAUAAUAAUAAUAAUAAUAAUAAUAAUAAUAAUAAUAAUAAUAGUAAUUUUUAAAUUUUAUUAACUUUAUUAUCUUUGUGAUGUUGAACCAUAUACAUAUAUAUAGAGAAAAGUAAAAGCUAUACCUAAGGUUGAGGGAAAAGACUUCAAAACUCUCUUUUGAUUAUAAAACCUUUUGUCUUAAUUAACUUAAAGAUUUUGAAUCUAAUAUUUUAUAAUAAAUAAAAAUAUAUUCCUAAAAUAAAUAUAAUAAUAUCUAUUUUAAAAUAAUAUCAAUAUUUAAAAUAUGUUUUAAUAUUUUAUGCUCUAUCAGACAUAUUUUAUUAUAUUAAAGUAAAUUUAAUAAUAAAUACAAACAUAAUGAAUUUAUAAAACAUUUAAAGUAUUUUGAAUAUUAUAUAAAAUAAUUUUAAUAUAAUGCAUGAGAUAUAUUUUAUUAAUUUAAAAUGCUAUUUAACCUAAGAUUUAUUUAAGAUAAAUUAAUAAUUAAAUUUUUUAAAAUUAUUUCAAAUAUUAAAAAUUUGUAAUAUUAUUAGUCUAUUAGAUAGAUUAAAUUAUUUAUAUUAUUUUGUAUCUAUUAAAAAAUUUUAAAGUCAAUCUUUUUAAUUACUAUUGGAAGGAUAUAAUGAUUAAAAAAAUCUUAGUAUUUUUUUAUUAAAAAUUUAAAAAUUUACAUGACAAUUUCUAUAAAUAUUUAGGUCUCGUUUGGUAUGUCGGAUUGGAUUGAAUUGGAUCUGAUCGGAUUAGAUAAGAUAGGAUUUGAUUGGAUAAUACUGGAUUAUAUAUAAUAUUAUGUUGUGUUUGUUAUGCCAUGAGAUUAGCUAGUAACUAAUAAUAUGUCUUAUAUAUUAAUUUAUUAAAAUCAUCGUAGAUUUUGAAAUACUAACUAGGCAAUCCAAGAGGGGGGGUGAAUUGAGAUUUUAAAAAUUAAGCUAAGCAAACCACACACAAAUUCAAUCUAAUGCCUUAAUAAAUUCGAAAACAAUAAAUUCAAUGAAAGCACAAUAAUAAAUGAGCAAUGGAAGAGAAAGCAAACUCAAGGAUUUUUACAUGGUUCGGUAAUCCCCGCCUACGUCCACGCCUCCAAGCUCACCGGACUUGAGGAUUUCACUAAGCUAGCCUCCCAAGGCUUCAAACGCUUACAAUUGACUUCCAAGGUGUCAAUGAACCUUUACAACAAGAGAUUAUCCCCAAUCUCUUAACCCAAGUGUAUCCCAACACUUACAAUCACUCAAAGUAAAAGAUUACAAAUUGUUUUGCCUCUCACAAUAUAUAAGAUUACACAAUGAUGCUUAUAUAUAUGAAUAGAUGAAGCAAGAAUGUGUUCUAAUUAAGCUCUAUGAAGAUUGUAUUCUCGAAUAUUAGCUCAAUGGUCGUGUUGUGAUCAACCUUCUUUGAUUUUGAAUGAGCUUAUUUAUAUCUGGAGCUGAAAAACUAGCCGUUACAAACUGUCGGUCCGAAAACGGUUCGCCGUUAAUCAUUAACGGUUAACCGUUUAGGCUGGUCAAAAGUUACCGUUGGGCCAAAUUUCAAAUAAACGGUUUGCCGUUUAGGCUUACCCUUUCGUCGUUAAAUUUCAGAGACCUACAAAACAAAUUUAAUUUAACCGUUCUUACUAAACGGUUCAAGGUUAGCAAUCUGGAAAUAACCGGUUAACCGUUUUCAGUAAACGGUUCACCGUUAUUUUCCAAAAUCAUCAUUUUAACAAUACUUUGCAGAACAUGCUUUCUGUAAAUUAUCGGUUAGCCGUUUUAAAUAAACGGUUAGCCGUUUUAUACAGUGAUUGCUACAGUAAAAUUAUUUUUUAAAUUUAUAGUUUGACCUCAAAAUUUUAUAAAACUGUAUUACGGCCCAAAACGUUAUGAAACUUUGCACAUAUGUCCAAUUUCAGAAUUUUUAAAUAAUUCUUUGUCAAUCCCAAAACUUUUUGAAAUUAUGAUUUCACCCAAACUAUGUGAAAUUAUAGAAUGACCCAAAAUAUUUAAAUAGUUUCAAAUAUGUCCAAAUCUGAAAUUUUAAAACAAUAUCAAAGGUUUUAAAAUACUUUCAUUUUAGUUCAAAAUACUUUAAUUCCUUAACAUAAUUUUCUUAUUAUAUAUGAAACCUUUAUACUGUGAAAAGAAUGAUUUAUUUAAAAUAUAAAAAAAUAAUUUGAGCUUAAAAGAUUUAUCAUUCUUAAUCUUGUUUGUUGUCAUCAAAAUCAACAUUAUGAAAACAUAUAUGUUAACAGAUUUACUUUAAAAUGACAUAUAAUAUAAUAUAACUUAAAUCAAUAAUUAUUGGUAAAUUUAUUAAAAAAAUACAAAAUCUUUGCUUAAUUUUUUUUUAAUAUUUAACAUGUUAUAGUUUCUAAUCCCAUGAAUAGUAAAAGAUAAAGUUUUAUCUUAGAAAAUGUAAUCUCAAGGGUCCCAUUGGGAUGAAAUUUUGCCUCUAUUGAAAUUAAGUGGUGGGCCUAUUAUUGUUACCUUUAUUUUUUUUACACCAAACAUAAUAUAAGGAUUAUUUUACACUAAAAUUAUCGAAUCCCAUAAUAUAUAACUAAAACCAAACAGGCACUUAGGGUAUAUAUGAGCCACGGUGGAGAAGCUUUAUUUAAUAUUAUUGAUUUAAAUAAUAUCUCAUUAAAAAUGUACUGAGAAGAAAUUUCGGUGGGUAUUUUAGUCUUUUCAGCAAUCACAUGAUCAGCCUUUGGCCUUGAAACUUCGGUCGGAAUGAUUUAUUCUAACAAGAAAAAACUAGGUAACAUUCCACAAAAGCAAAAGUGACAAAACAACCAGCUGGAUUCUUUUAGUAAACUACAAAUUAAAAUAGAUUUUUUCGAUAAACUACAAAUUAAAGUGGAUUCUUUUGAAUGCAAGUGGGACAGACGAUUAGGCUAAAAAUUAGUCAAGAAUCUAAUAGUCUUUUUCAAAUUCUUGUUUUAUUAUUUUUCAAAACCAGUUUUUGGUAAUUACAAUCGGGUCAUUAAUCAUUAUUCAGAGUUAUUGUUUCCUUCAAAAGUUAGUGGCUCAUGUUUGCAAGUGUGAAUGUGCGAUGCUUUUUUUCCAAAGCGCAAUGACAGUGGGUCCCGAAUCGGACGUGCCUGAAUCUUUUCAAAAUUUUAGGGAAUUAUCAUUUGUAUACCUUUAAUUUAUUUCAUUAUCAAAAAUACUACAAUACUUUAAGGGUGUAUCAAUCGUCCACCCUAAGUUGACAAAAUAUAUCAGCUGACCACUAAAUCGUUAGUUGUCGUUUAAGUAUGAUGACGUCAGAAGGAUAAUUUAGUCUUUUUAUAUAAUACAAGUGAUAAUUUAAGAGUAUAUAAGUGAUAAUUUUUAAGGGUAAAAUUAUCAAUUCACUGUAACUCUGUUAACUUUCAAACGGCAACUAACGGUUUGGUGGUCGGCUGAUACAUUUUGUCAAUUAAGGGUGGACGAUUGAUACACCCUUAAAAUAUUAUAGUAUUUUUAAUAACAGAACAAAUAUAAGGUAUAUGAAUGAUAAUUUUCCUAAAAUUUUUGCCGUAUAAGGAACAGAGGUCAUUACUAAAAUUUCUCUUCCACAGCCUACAGCAGCUUCAGUUUAUCAAACUCAAUCAAUUUUCUUUCUUAACAAAAUUCCAAAGAUGUGUAGCAUUUUUCAGAUCACAUGCGACGGUGCUCUUUUCAAUCGUUGCUUGGAUUGCUUUCUUGGAAAAGCAGCAUACAUACGUAACCUCCAAGAUAAUCUUGUAGCCUUGGAGACUGAAUUGGGAAAUCUAAUCGCAAUAAAGAACGAUCUGAUGAGGAGGGUUGACGAUGAUGAACGACAACAAAUGAGAAGGCUGGACGGAUUGCAAGUGUGGGUUUCGAGGGUGGAUGCUGUUAAAACUGGAGCCGAUGAACUUAUCACAGACGGCUCUGAAGAAAUUGGCAAAUUAUGUGUUGGAGGCUACUGUUCCAAGAACUGCAGGUCAAGCUACAAGUUCGGAAAACAAGUGGCUAAAAAGCUACAAGAUGUGAAGACUUUAAUCGCCGAGGGAGUUUUUGAGGCGGUGGCUACUGAGGUGGUGGCUGAGAGAGCUCCGGAACCUGUAGCAGAUAAAAGACCCAUUGAGCCAACAAUAGUAGGCUUGCAAUCACAGCUUGAACAAGUUUGGAGAUGUCUUGUAGAAGAAUCAGUGGGAAUCAUUGGCCUAUAUGGUAUGGGUGGUGUUGGUAAAACCACACUAUUGACCCAUAUCAACAACAAAUUUCUUGAGAGUCAAAACAACUUUGAUUGUGUGAUUUGGGUCGUAGUUUCAAAAGACCUGCGACUUGAAAAAAUUCAAGAAGAUAUUGGGAAGAAGAUAGGUCUAUCUGAUGAUUCAUGGAAGAAUAAAAGUUUUGAAGAGAAAGCUGUGGACAUCCUGCGGAGAUUAGGAGAGAAGAGAUUUGUAUUGUUGUUAGAUGAUUUAUGGGAGCGGGUUGAUUUAACAAAAGUGGGCGUUCCACUUCCCAGCGCACAAAAUACUACCUCAAAAGUCGUAUUCACAACCCGUUCCAUUGGUGUUUGUGGCAGCAUGAGAGCUAGGCCGGUUAAAGUGGCAUGCCUAUCAGAAAAGCAAGCUUGGGAACUGUUCCGCGAAAAUGUUGGGGAAGAAACUAUUGAGAGUGAUCAUGAGAUCGUUGAGCUAGCCCAAACUGUGGCCAAAGAGUGUGGUGGUUUGCCACUCGCACUUAUUACUAUUGGUCGAGCUAUGGCCUACAGAAAGAAAGCGGAGCAUUGGAGACGUGCAAUUGAAGAGUUAAGAAGAUCAGCUUCAGAGUUUGCAGGUUUGGGAAAAGAGGUGUAUCCUCUUUUAAAGUUUAGCUAUGAUAGUUUGCAGAAUGAGACAAUUAGAUCUUGUUUCUUGUAUUGUUGUUUAUAUCCUGAAGAUUAUGGCAUUCUUAAAUGGGACUUGAUUGAUUGUUGGAUUGGUGAGGGAUUUUUAGGGGAAUCUGACAGGUUUGGUGCAGAAAACCAAGGAUAUGACAUUUUGGACACACUUGUUCGUGCAUGUUUAUUAGAAGAGGUGGAAGAUGAUGAAGUAAAAAUGCAUGACGUUGUUCGUGAUAUGGCUCUAUGGAUAACUUGUGAAAUUGAGAAGGAGAAGAGAAACUUUUUGGUUUGUGCAGGUGAGGGACUAAAGGAGGCACCGGAUGUUAAAAGAUGGGAAAAUGUGAGAAGAUUGUCACUGAUGCAAAACCAAAUUGAAACUUUGUCAGAGGUUCCUACAUGCCCUCAUCUCCUCACUUUAUUUCUUGACUUCAAUGAAAAUUUGAAUAUGAUCGCGGAUGGCUUCUUCCAACUUAUGCCUUCUCUCAAAGUUUUGAAGAUGUCAAACUGCGUGAAUUUAACUUUGAAAUUACCUUUGGGGAUGUCAAAGUUAGGUUCACUAGAACUUCUUGAUGUUUCGCAUACUGGCAUAAGAGAGUUACCAGAAGAGUUAAAGUUGUUGGUAAAUCUGAAAUGUUUGACUUUGAGGUGGACAUUUGAGUUAAAUAAAAUUCCACGGCAACUAAUAUCAAAUUCUUCAAGGUUACGUGUGUUGAGAAUGUUGGGUACUGGCCUUUUGAAUUUUCAUCAAGCGUCAGAAGACAGCGUUUUAUUUGGUGGGGGUGAAGUUUUGAUACAGGAAUUGCUCGGUUUGAAAUAUUUAGAGGUAUUGGAGUUGACCUUGGGAAGUUAUCAUGCUCUCCAAAUUCUUUUGAGCUCAAAUAAGUUAAAAAGUUGUAUUCGAUCUCUUUUCCUCCAGUUGGCCGGAGAUGCAACGUCGAUUGUUGAUGCUACGGCUUUCACAGAUCUAAACCACCUCAAUGAAUUAUAUAUUAAUAAAGGUUUUGAGUUGGAAGAAUUGAAGAUUGAUUAUACGGAGAUAGUACGAAAAAGGCGGGAACCUUUUGUUUUCCGCAGCCUUCACCAUGUUACUAUAUGGCGGUGCGCUAAAUUGAAAGAUUCGACAUUCCUCGUUUUUGCUCCAAACCUCAAGUCUCUUGUGCUACGUAAUUGCCAUGCUAUGGAAGAAAUAAUCAGCGUUGGAAAAUUUUCCGAGGUUCCUGAGAUGAUGCGACAUAUGAGCCCUUUUGAAAAUCUCCAAAGGCUUCAUGUAGAAGAUUUGCCAGAUUUGAAGAGCAUCCACUGGAAGCCAUUGCCUUUCACUCAUCUGAAAGAAAUGGGGGUAAGAGCAUGUGAUCAGCUUGAAAAGCUUCCACUCGAUUCCAGCAGUGCAAAAGAGCAUAAAUUUGUUAUUCGUGGAGAAGCAGACUGGUGGAACCGACUUCAAUGGGAGGAUGAAGCCACUCAAAUUGCUUUUCGUUCCUGUUUCCAACCUUAUUCCUGAGCCGUGGUCGCAAAAUUUGAUUUCUGGUGAGUGCGUUUUUGUUAACGCUUAUGUUUUAUUCCAGUGUAUUUUUCUUCUGUCUUCUGCAAAUCACAAUUAAAUGUGUGAUACAUGUUACGGGUAAUAUACAUGCAGUAUUUUUGGUACACUGCAAAUCACAAUUAAAUGUGUGAUACAUGUUACGGGAAAUUUAUAUACAUGCAGUAUUUUUGGUGGGGUCGAAUUGAUGCUCUGGUUUUCGACUACUUUUUGCUGUCAAAAUUUUCUCUGUUUUUUCAAAUUGAUGCUUUAUUUAUAUCUUCUUCGUGAAAAGUGAUUUAAUUUCCUGCCAAAAGACGAACGAGAAGAACAUUAGAGUCAAACUAAUGCUCACAUAAAUUUCCCGUAAGAAUAUAUAUAUAAUUAGACUGGAAUAGUAGCACUCUUUACAGAAAAUGACGCGAAAGUUAAUUUAGAAAGAUAUAUUCUUGAUUAAUCCAUUUUCUGAAGCUUUUAUUUUGUAUGGUCAAUUAUACCUUCAUACUAAAAAUUUCUGAAGUUAUAAAUUAGUGCAACUUGACAAUUUUUACUGAUGAUAUCUUCUAUUUUUCCUUUCUUUUUUUUUUUACUCUCAUUGAAUGUUACUGUCAUUUUACUUACAAAUAGGUUUGAAUUUUAUUUAGUUUUCUCAUAGUAUUUGUGCAAGUACUAGAAGGUCAAACCCCGCAUACUUUGAUUGCCAAACCACCGUCCAAUUUAAAAAAAGAAAAAAAGAAAAAAAAUGUGUAAUCCAUGAAUCUGGUUAAUUUUGUUUGUUUGUUUUUUUUUUUUAAAUAUCAUUCUUUUUCGGCCACCCAAAAUAUCAUUGAUGACUUUUCUGGUCUAAUGCUAUGUAAAUAGUAUGUUAAGUAAAACAUAAUCAAUUAUUUGUGUUUUAUCUCUAAUUAGAACAUCAAUCAGUUCAGUACCUCACAAAUAAUUCGCAAUAUCUACAAAAUACUAUAAUGGCUACAAAACAAAUCCUGCUUGCAAAUUGUCAAGGAUACCUAUCCGUUCGCUUGACAAGUCAUUUGAAUAAAUAUUGUUCACAUUCCUUACUCUGUCAAUUAUCCAAAGCACCAUCAACUUUAGUUUGAAUAGUAUACAUGCCAUCACCAUUACCAAGAAUCAAGCAUGGAAUUGGAAGUCAUUCUAUAGAGUGCAGAACAUGACUGUACGGUAUAUAUAGCCCGGUGACUUUAUUGUUUUGUUAAAUUUUUUGUUUAAUAUUCUAAAUCUUUGUUUACAAAUUUUAAGUGUUAAUUCUUCGGAAAGCUGACCUCGAAGAAAGGCGUUAUUGAUAUCCAAUUGACGAAAAGGCCGGCCAUGACUAACAUCAAUACUAAGAACAAGUAUAGCCCGGUGACUUUAUUCUUUCUUGUAGUCUUUGCAUCACCACCUCAUUACACGCCAAGCCAAUAUUCCAUUUACCUCUACAACAAAAAGUUUUUAAGUAAACAAUCCUAAUGCACGCAGCCAAAUAAAAUGCAGUAAGAAUAUUCAACUUAAAAAUCUGAAAGCCAACUUGGUGAAUUGCCUCCUUAGGUGAAGUUCCAUGCUUUACUAUAGUUGACACAACUCAGCAAAAGCUUCCAUACAACAGAUUUCGAAAAUGAUGAUGCCAAUAGAUACUCAUUCAAUCCAUUGAAACUCCAAAGGUUCAUUGUUCAUAGAAGUUUACAGAGUUUUGGUCAUCAAAUAGCUCAGACCUAAUCCCAAACAAAAAACGAGUGAAAAUUAGAUCACGAGCAGCUAAUUGUAAAUUCUAACUUAACUCUUCAUCUCCUUUGUAAACAAGAAACAAAAUGGAGACACGCAAAAUGAAUAUGGAGAAAAUUUGAACUCAAAUGAAAUGAGGCACGAAAGCAAACAAAUGGCAUGCACAAAAAAACCAAGCCUCGAUAAAAAACUAAUUAACCAUUAAGAAAAAAAUUGGUCAGAGAAUGAACUCCAAAUUCAGGAGUCAAGCAAGAAGCUUUCAUUAUUUCAGAAGCUCCUGUACAAAUUAAUAAGUUAUGCUCUUUGGAUGCAAACCUAAAUUCCAAGAGAAACAGAACCCAAAAAAUUUGCAAUUAUACGCAAAGGAAGUGAAGCACAGGAUUCUAUCACACAUAGGAAUUGUAUAACAAGAGAUCGAUAUAUCGAAUUAGAAAACUCAAUUCGAAUUUGUGUCAAAAAUCAAAAUUAGAAGAUUUCACAUUUCGAGAGGAACAAGCAACAGAUGAAGUUGAAAAUUUUCAGCCAUAACAUGCUAAAAAUGCUACACUUAACGGUUCAUUUUCAUGGAUUUUCUCGGGAAACAAACAGAAAAUUACGGUUUAGAGAGUUGAAUGACCUUUUGGCUUUUGAAAUUGAGAAGAUCGCGCGCCAAAUUGGAAGAGGGAAAGUGAGAGUGCGAGUUUUAAUAUCAUUGUUUUAUUAUCGAUAAUUAUUAAAUGUUUUUCCAAAAAAAAGAACAAGCAAGGAUAUUUUAUUGUCAUUUGCAACCUUUAAUUUUUUAAAUGCUAUUAGAAACACAAGACAACAAAGAAAUACUUAUUUUUUUUCUAAAACUAAAAUCAAUUCUUUAACUUCUUAUUUCAUAAUCCAACUCCAUUACUAAGUUAAAAAAAAUUGUUUAAAAAUUACUUGAGUCAUAUCCAAUGGACCAACAAAGUAAUCGUUUUUAUUUUUAUUGAUUUUUGCAGGAAAUUAAUAAGUUAAAAAUACUGAAAGCUAUUGUAAAAAAUUAAAUUUCCCUGAUACUGAAAGCUAUCGAUAAUUAUUAAAUUUUAUUUUUAUUGAUUUUCGCUGAUUUUAAAUUUCGUUGUUUGUGAUGGAAAUUUUUUUGAAAAAAUUAAUGUGUUCGAUGAAUGUCAAAAUCUCAAAAACUUUUUGUUUUUCAUUUUUUUGGAAAAAACCACCGAGGUCCUUACUAUUUUUCUUAUAUCAUCUUGCUUAAUAAUUUGCAAAGUCUAUCACAUAGCACCCAUGCAUGAUGUAUGCUGGUUGUAAUUUACAAUAUUGUACAUGAAUAAAUCCAGCUAAAAUUUGUUAAAAGAAAAUAAUAAUAACAUAUUAAAACUUUAAAAUUUGAUUAUUCGAAGAAAUUUUAAUUUAGUUAAGUAGGUGACAUGAUAAUAAAUAGAUACGUAUAAUGUCCGAGAUUUUUUAUAAGAUUAAUAAAUAUAAUAAAUUUGGAUUAGUUCAAUUUUGACAUAAUUCAGAAUAAACACAUCUUGCUAAUCUAAAUUGCCACCGUUACUCAUCAUCAGGUACCUGUUUGAAAAAUAAUUACAAACAACUUAAUUUGUGUUGUUUCUCUAAAAGUUUGAGACACAAAUGUUAUUUCAAAUUGAAACGCCAUGCACUAGUAGUAGGUAAGAGAAACCAAGGUUGAAGUUACUGUUCAUUUAUUUUUAUUUAUGAUUUUUUGUAAAAUGUAAGAAAUAUGUAGAAAUGUUGCCAACAAUGAUUUUGGAACUUUGCAUAAAAUUUUUAUCAUUAUUGUUUUUGGUAUUAAGAAAUCCGAGGCGGUGAUUAGUCGUAUGUUGCAACAAUUAAGAAAUUUCUUAUUGGAGAUAAUUUGGUAGGUUGCAACAAUUAGAGAAUAAUUUUCCGGUCAGUUAAUCAAUCAAUAAUAAAUUUCAAAUUGCAGAAAAUAAAAUAAUACUGUCGCACUUAGAAUCAUCUUUUCUAUCUCUUUCAAUUGUGACAAUCAUUUGUAACUAAUAAAUCAAUUCAAAGUUCAAGUCACUGCUCAAUUGCAGAGUAGUUAGUAGACAUGCAUGCAUGUUUAAUUAAGUACUGCAUUGUAGUAUCGAAAAUCAUAACAUCUCACCAAGCCCGGAAGCAUAGCUCUUUAUCUUGUAAAUGUUGAAAUCUUAUGCAACCUAUGGGAAACAUGAUCUCACUCUCAGUGUCACUUGAUUCCAUUUUCUGUUCUUGCCUUGAUUUCAUUGUUGGGAAUGUGACGUCUGAGUCUAAGGUUGAAGAUAAUCUCGAUGCCUUGCGGACUGCAUUGGAAAAAUAAGCGGAAACGAGAAAUGAUGUGAUAAAUUGUGAGCCAACAAUAGUGGGCAUGGUGUCGACUUUUGAGAAAGCCUGGAGAUGCCUUGAAGAAGAAUCAGUUGGAAUUAUUGGCCUGUAUGUUAAUGGGGGAGUUGGAAAAUAUUUACUCAAAUCAACAACAAGUUCCUUGAUAGUCCAAAUAAUUUUGAUGUUGCGAUCUGGGUAGUGGUCUGCCAAGAUUUACAACCCCAGAAGUUUCGGGAAAAGAUUGGGAAAAAGAAAGGCUUGUUCGAUGAGUCAUGGAAGAACUGAAGUUUUGAAGAGAAAGCACUCGACAUAUUCAAGAAUUUAAGCAAGAUGAAGUUUGUAUUACUGCUGGAUGAUAUAUGGGAGCAGGUUGAUUUAAUUAAAAUUGGUGUCCCUCUUCCAAGCACAAAAAUUACAUUCAAGAUAGUCUUCACAACUCGUUUUAUUGACAUUUGUGGCCUCAUGGAAGCUCACAACAAGAUUAAAGUGGAGUGUUUAAAUGACGAAGAAGCAUGGGAAUUAUUCUGCAAGAAGGUUGGAGAAGAUGUGGCGAUAAAAUGAGUAUAUAUAUCCACUUUUGAAAUUCAGUUAUGAUAAUUUACCUAGCGAUAAAAUUAGAUCGAGUCUGUUAUACUGUAGUUUGUUUCUGGAAAACUUUCCAAUUAGCAAAACGGAAUUGAUACAUUGUUGGAUAAGCGAGGGCCUUUUGGAUGAAACUAAUAGUUCUGAGAUAUGAAAUCAAGGAUACUACAUUAUUGGUGUUCUUGUUCCUUUAUGUUUAUUGGAAGAAGAGGCUCCACUAUAUGUAAAAGUGCAUGAUGUGAUACGCGAUAUGCUUCUGUGGAUCGCAUGUGAAUUUUUUUUUUUUUUUUUUUGAUAGGGAUAGUAUGUGAAGUUGAGAAGGAGAAAGAGAAUUUUUUGGUUCGUGCAGGUGCAAGGAUUAACUGAAGUACCAGACAUUUGGAAAUGGGAAGGGUUGAGAAGGGUGUCUUUGAUGAGCAACAAAACUGAGAAGUUAUCAGAAAUUCCUUCAGAUCCCCAUCUACUGACUUUGUUGCUUCAACGUAAUUAUUUAGAGAUGAUCAAUAAUGACUUCUUCCAAUCUAUGCAUUCCCUUAGAGUUUUGAACUUAUCAUGUAAUCGUUCUCUAACUGAUAAUUUCAAAGUUAGUUUCCCUACAACAUCUUAAUUUAUCAAUGACUAACAUACGAGAGUUGCCGAUUGAGUUAAAGUUUGUAGUGAAUCUUAAGUUUUUGAAUGUGGAGUAUGCACGGUUUCUUCAUUCAAUUCCAGGGCAAGUGAUAUCCAGUUUUACGAUGUUACAAGUUUUGAAGAUGUUUGGUUGUGGCAGGUCAUCUUCUGAUCGUGAGCCACACCAGAAGAUAGCGUUUUAUUUGGAGGCAGUAAACUUUUGAUUGCGGAGUUGUUUGGUUUGAGAGACAUUUAGAUUUGUUGACCAUCAUCCUAAGAAGCUCCCAUGCUCUGAAAGAUUUUUGAGCUCCAACAAACUUCAAAGUUGUACUCAAUCUCUCUAUCCUAAAUGCUUUGAUUCGAAGUCAGUUGAUGUUUUUGGCCUGGCUGAUCUGAAGCAUCUCAAUAGGCUAUAGAUAUUGCGAGUUGUAAGCUUUUGGAAGAAGUGAAGAUUGACUUUGUUGGGAAAGCACAAUGAACCCAUGGUUUUCACAGCCUUAUGUCACGGAAGUUGUGUAAAUACUGCACGGGUUGCUGCCAUCCCAUGACAUUGAGCCAUGUUGAAAUAUCAUUUUGCUGUAAACUGAGGGAUCUGACAUAGCUUGCUUUUGCUCCAGGCCUUCUUGUUGUUUCCAGAAAACAUUGCCAUGAUAUAGAAGAAAUACUCGGUGUUGGAAAAUUAGGUAAAGAGAUGAUGUCAAACCUGGAACCUCCUACAAAACUCCAAGGUUACGUUUGUCAUGUGGGAUUGGAUUGAACUAAAUUAUUAAGAUUGAAUUAAAUUGAAUUAUAUUUAUAUUCUUAUGUUUAGUACCGGAUUGAACUAUAUUAGAUUAUAUUUAAAUAAUAUUAAAUAGUAUUUAAGUUGGUAUUUUAAUAUAAAUAUCAAUUAUCCAUGAAAUUUUAUAAUCAUAAUUAAAAUAAAUUUAAAAAGUAAUUACUAGGAAAAUUAAAUAUAUUGCAAAAAGUUAUUGGGUAGUCAUAAUAUAAUAAGCAAAUAAAAUUAAAUAAAACAAAUUAAAUAUUUAAUUAAUUUUUAUCAAAUAUUUAAAAAUAUUAUAUAAAAUCAAUUAAUUAAUGGUUUUAUUAAUUUUCAUGAUUAUUUUUAAUAUUACAUUAGUGAUUAUUAAAUUUAAUACAAUCAAAUAAUGCAAUAAAUAAUUAAACGUUUAAUUUUAUCGAUUAAUUAUUAAAUAUACAAGUAAUAAAAAUUUAAUCUCAGGAGUUGGUAGAAGCAAAAGUACUAAUUUAAUUACAUCAUAGAUAAUAAAUAAAAAUAAAUUCUAAGUAAAUCAUAAUAAAAAAAUUAAUUAAUUGAUUCAAUCAAUCAAUAUUAGGUGUAAAUAAAAAAAGAGUAAUGAUAUAGCCACAAACUCUUGCACAAACUUAUUUUGUACAAACUCAUGUGUCAUGAUAAGAUUAAUUAAAUUAAAUAUCACUUGACCUACAUGAUUUAUUUUUAUUAUUUUAUAUUUUCAUUCAACCAAUGAAUUAACGCCACGUCAGUUUGUAUAAGAUAGGUUUGUACAAGAGUUUGUGGCUGUAUCAUCGCUUAUAAAAAAAAAUAUAAAUAAAAAUAUCAUAAAUAGACAACUUUUAUCUUUAAUCUUAUUCCAACUAAACACAUGUGUAAAUUAGAAUUAUUAAUCCCAUGAUUUUAAGAUUAAAUUCAAAUUUAUUCCCCCUUAAUCCAAUCCAACUAAACUUGUCAAACAUGGGAUAAAAAUUUAAUUCUAAAAUUAGUACAAUUCCAUAUUUAAUCCUAACAUCCAAAUAUAGCCCAAGUUGUUUGCUUAAAGAAGCUACCAAAUUUGAAGAGCGUUUACGGGAAGGCCUUGCGUUUCCCAGAUGUAUGCAGAAUUUUUGUAUCUAAAUGCCCAGAACUUAAGAAGCUGACGCUGGAUUUGAAAGGGCGGGCCAAGGUAAAAUUCUUAUCAAGUGAAAGGAAAAUCGGUGGGAACAACUUCAAUGGGAGGAUCAAGCAACUCAGGAUGCAUUGCUUCUGUUUUUCAAAUCAACUGACAAGUGAUUGAAGGGGGCAUCAUCAGCCUGGAUGGGGAGAUCCUGGAGCAGAUCAGCAGGGUUUGAAUCUGCAUCAUCAACAUCAUCAGGAUCUCUAUUUCUAUUGCUGGUCGUAAUGCCUGCCUACUGUUGCUUGAAAAAGUGAUUAAGUGAGCCAGUUUUUUGUUCAUUAAAUUUUGUCUUGUAGAGACAGUCACAAAGUAUUUUUCUUAGUUGUUCUAUAUGAGAGUGAUGUGAAUCAAUUUUUCAAUUAUAUAUUCUGUGGUCAUUGUGAAUUUUGUUUAGAGCUGCAGACUAAGAAUAUGGAAAAGUUCACCGGCCAAAACUUUGUAAAAGCUUCCAAGUGAAGGGCCCGGGUGGGACUUGGGAGGCACACCAUGUUUUGUCUUCUAGCGUUGUGGCCGUUAGAUAUUUGGUCCCAUGAUCUAACGGCGCAUGAAAUUGAAAGGAAAUCGGCAACCGUUUAAGAGUGCUCAAGUGAGGUAGGUUAGGGUUUUACGAAAUCUCAAAAGACCAAGAUACUCCAAACUGCCCAUGAAAUUGAAAGGAAAUCGGCAACCGUUUAAGAGUGCUCAAGUGAGGGAGAUAUUUGGAGAAUAGGGUAGACAUCUCCACCCCCACUCCGCCCCAUUGCCAUCCCUAAAGGCAAAUGAGGUGGUACCUUCCAACCGCUGAAAGGUAGUUUUGGUCCCAAGUGAAACAGGGGAUGCACUUACUAUUAAGGACAGUUGGUGGCCAGCUAAUGCACUCAUUUUAUGUCCUUUCAUCUUUUUGAAUUAUUGAAGACAAGUGGCUCAUCGCUUUUACUGUAGGUAAGAUCCAGAUGAUCUCGUUUAUCAAAAUAAUUAUUUUAAAAUACUUUAAUUGUUUUUACUUUUAUGUUAUCUUUACUAAACUGGAAUCAGAAUAAGCUGAAAUCGAAAUGAGUAGGAAUAAGAAUAGAAUGGAAUGAAAAUAAUGAAUGAAAAUCAAAAUAAGUUGUUUACUUGAACUAUAGGAAUUAAAAUCGAAAUGAGCUGGAUUGCCAUUAAUGUGUUUACUUUGUCUUGGAAUCGAAAUCGGAAUGAAUUAGAUUGUAACAAAUUACUAAAAAGUACUUAAUGGAUUAUUGUCAUAAUUAUUAUUAAUUAAUAAAUUAAUUAAUUGUAAAAAAAUUUAAUUAAUUAUAAUAACUAUAAUAAAAAUUAUUAUAAAAAUAUAUUAACUAAUAAUAUUACUAUAAAUUACUUAAUUAAAAUAAUAUAUGAAUUAUUGUGAUUAUUUAUUCAAAAAAUAUAAUUAUUAAUAAUUAUUGUUAAUAAUAUAUUAGUAAUAAAUAUAUUAAUUAUUUAAUAAUGUGAUUAUUUAUUCAGGAACAAUAAUUAUUAAUAUAUUAUUGUUAAUAAUAUAUUAAUAUAUUAAUUAUUGUGAUUAUUUAUUCAAGAACUAUAAUUUUUAAUAAUUAUAGUUAAUAAUAUAUUUAUUUAUUAAUUAAUCAUAAUAUAUUAAUUAAUUAAUUAUAAUAUUAUAUUAAUUAAUUAUAAAAGAGGACAAAGUGGGUAUUUUUAAUUUUGGGGAAGGUAAAAUGGUCAAUCCUAGGAAUGAGAGACUCAUUCCCACCUGCCUAUGGGAAUCAAUCUCCCAAUCUUCAUUCUCAAAUAGUGGUGGACCCCAUCAUUCCGAUUCUGAUUCUUGCUCCAUAUUUACGAAGUAAACACCGUCAAUCAUUUUAAUUCUGGAAUUCGAUUCUUUAAUCCUGCAAGUAAAUUAGGGAUGGCAAAACGAAUAAACGAAUCGAAUCGUAAACGAAUUAGGUCAAAAUUCUAUUAAUUUAGAUUCAUUUAUUAAACAAAUUAAAAUUUUAUGAGUAGGAUUCGAUUGAUUUAUUAAACGAAUAUUUGAUUUUUAAUAAACUAUAUAUGAAAGUGGAAUCUUUUGAAUAUAAGUGGGUAAGCUCCCUUUAAAAAAAAAAAAAAAAAAAAAAAAACCGGGGUAGGCUCUUUUAUUAAAGACAAGUCACAAGUAUUGAGUAGUCACGAGUCACGACGGUUAGGCUCUUUUAUUAAACUGCAAAUUGUAGGAGGUUGCUAUGCUACUGGGAAGCAGCACACGUGUCCUGAAGAGAGAGAAAAACCGAGCAAAUACAGGCAAUGGGAGUUGGCUAAAAGUUGGAUCUGCAAUUUACAAAAUCUGUAACUUAGGGGAAAUUUACAGUAAUAACCAAAAAAAAUUCCCUUUUUUUCAUUUUAACCCCCAAAAAAUAUUUCUAUCAACAUUAGCCAUUAAACAACAUUUGAGACCAAAAUACCCCUCCCUCAUCUCUCCCCCAACACUCCAUUUCACUCAUCUCUCCCAAACCGAUCCAACUCCCAUCAUCGGCGGCGACAUCAACCCUCGUCGGCGGCGGCUCCAUCUCUCACCGGCAUCCGAUCUACGAUCUACAACCUUCAACAAAAUCUAGGUUAGUCAUUUUUCUUAUUUUCAUUAAUUUAAAAUGAGAUUUUAGAAUAAUAAUAGUUAUAGCUUGAGAUUAAUAGUGGUGGUGAUGAUGUUUGUGGUGGUUGGUGGUGUUUGGGAGUAUUGUUUUCGAUUUUGGAGUGAUUGUGCUUAAUUUUGCGGGUGGGGAGGGAGGGGAGUAGGGCGCGCGCGCGCCCAUCGCUGGGCAGCAGCGCGGCACGCUGUUGCACCAAAUCUGGUGCGACAGCUAUUUUUUUUGUUUAUUAAUAAGUUUUAUUGUAUUAAAUAUUUGAUAGUUGUUUUAUUUGAUUUUUCACUUUGGUUGUUGUAGGCUUGGAUUUACGAAGCAAUCGGAGGGUUGCCAUCAACAUGGGUCGUCAAAACGAAGAAUAAGAUUCCCCGCAUUCUGCAAUGGAAGCCCAUGGCGUCGUCGAGAAUCAACUUUGCGGAGGUUUAUUCGUUCUUCAACGACGAAUCUCGUCUUGUAAGUAAUAUGUAUUACUUAUUUUUUAAACUUUACUAAAUUUAAGUUAUGUAUACUUACUUAAAAUUUUCAAUUGAAUUUAUGGAAGGGGGACGUUUUACAAACCCUUGAGCCAAAUUCAAAGGAGAGUAGCAAAAAUUAUUGGCUCUCUGUGAAGGAUUACUUGCCAAGCAUUCCAGACUGGGUUCAUAAGGUCGGUAUACUCUAAGCACGAAAAAUUUGUUAAUCGAAAUUUUUGACUUUUCAUUUACUAAUUUUAAAUGAUACUUUAUACAGCACCAACCCUCAAUCAACGCGAUGCCGUCGGUUACAAGGCAUUCAGACGAGCAUGACGAUCAUGACGACAUACCAAACCCAAUACCAGAGCAGUGUCAUGACACUUUUGCGGAUGAGGUGGGCCAUGACACUUUUGAGGAUGAGGUGGGUAAAUAUGACCACCAGGAGCAAACAGACAACUCUGAUGACGCACGGGAUUCUGAGGUUAGAAAUAAUAUACGAUAUUUUUUUUUAUAAAUUAUUAAUUUUUUAUUGUUAUUCUAAAGUUUUAUUUUUUUCUUUUGUAAUAGUCGAGGACAAAGCAGUUUAAUGAUUACGUACGACGACGGCUGGAUAAGAUUGAUCGUAACGUGUAUGAAAUUAAGUCAGAAUUAAAAGAUUUUAAAGAAACCGUUGUUGGUUUCAUCGACACAUUUUCUAAACGUCCAAAUAAGGAUUCUCCCACUGCACGCUCGUAUGCGGUAAGCUAUUUUAAAUUUGAUAAUAAUGUUCGUUUAACUUUUAAUUUGAUAGUUAUUUAAUAUGUUCUUUUUGGCGAAUGUACAGGCCCCGGAUGACGUUGGAGUGUAUACUGACGUGGGCAAUGAAAAUUUGUCUACGCCCACAUCAUUGUAUAGUUUCUACGGGGAUGUAAGUGGGGAGAGCGUGCAGGUGUUCACAGAGGUGCCUCCGGGCGUUAGUAAGUUCGGCCGCGCGUACAUACCGUCGUAUGUUUAUAACAGUCCGUACAUGAUUCCUCCGGUCAGGCGAGGACAGCACGUCCGGCCUUUACCUCGACCCCAAAUCAUGGAGCAUGCGAUUGACAUGAGUACGAGUGUGGAUGUAAAUCCACUGAGAGGAUUGGAGGACUCUAGUCUGUUUGCUGAGUUUGAUCAAUGGUUUACUGGUGAUAGCAGAGUCCGCCGGAGAGUCCAGCACCCGCGGUCAUUCUUUCAAAUAAUUUUGGGGACAGCUUCGAUGGGAUGGUUAGGCGAUGAGGUAUUUAUAAUUUCCUCGUGGUGUAUACUGUUGUGGAUUUGUGUAUAAAUUUGUUUUUAAAAACUCGUAAUAUUUCUGUUUCUCUACAGCAUAUUCACGAGUAUCUCCGCUUGAUUAGCGAGAAGCAACGGCAGUAUCCAAAUGCCUUACUCCAACGUGUCACACAUACUGACACAUUUUUUUGGGUAACGUGCCGACAAAACUUAUAAAUCUUAUGUGGAUGUAAAAAUUUAAGUUUUAUUAAUUUAUGCAUUUCUUGGUUAUCUAUGUAUUAGGUGUUCUUGAAUCAGUUAUGGAAUAACAGGAAUUGUGCAGUCGAUUCAAUGGUAUUCGACGACCGCGUGAAUAGUUAUCUUUGUGGCCGCCAGCACACAAUGUCUAAAUCAAUGACGGAUGUCGAUAUGGUAUGUAUUUUAUUACAUUUCACAUGCUAUCUAAUGAAAAUAUUCAAGUUGUUGCUUUUUCUUUGUUGUAUUGUAUUUUAAUUUCAUACAUAACGAACAUGUUUUUCAAUUGUUAUAUGCAGCUACUCAUCCCUGUUAACUUCGACGGCGCGCAUUGGGUACUAGCACGAGUUGACUUUCGGAAAAACAAAGUCUGGAUUUAUGACUCAUUACUCACAAAUCGCAACGACAAAAGGUACAAGUUGAAAUUCAAGCCACUUGAAGUUAUAUUCCCUCGAUGGUUGGAAUACGUUGGCUUCUACAAUAUCCGACCGGAGUUGCAGAGUGAAGACCCGUGGAAAGUUAUCGCAGUUAAGAGCGCGCCACAACAAGAGCCCGGAACUGGCGAUUGCGGUGUUUUUGUAUUGAUGGUUACGAUGUAUUUAAUGUUCGGGAUUAGAUUGGAGUUUAACGCUAGUCAUGUCGAGUACUUUAGAAAGAAGAUUGCGGUUGAUAUAUUUAAUGACGAUAUUCAAUUGUAAACCUAUGUAGUAAUUCAAAUGUUGAAAUUUGAAAUUUUUUUUACUUCGCACACUUAAGUUUAUAUAAUUUUAAUGCCUCACAUUUUAAACUUUAAAUAAAGUUUUAUGAAAUAUAAGUGUACAAUACAAAACAAACAGUAACAGUUUUAACCAACGAACACAAAAACAAUAAUAGUUUUAACAAACUCAUAACACACAAAAUACAACUAACUUCGAGUCGACGCAAUGGGAUUCUUACAUCUCUUACGAUUAUGGCCUAGUUCAUGACACCGACCGCAUCUAACAGUCCGCCGGUCAACGUCCUCGCCAGCCGAGGGUAUUCUGAGCUCUUUACGACGGCCAGGUGGUGGUGCCUCAACUGGUGGGUAUACAUGCAUUUCCUGAAUUUUAUCUGGAAUUUCCCAAUCAGCCACAUCACCAACUGGCUCUACUGGUUGUGCAUAAGCCAUCGCCAACGAUUCUGUAGUGUAAAAGUCCGAGCAAAGGUUAAUAAAAUCCACCCGGUGUGUUAGACACGCCGCGAUUGCAUGAGCACACACAAGCUGAUCAAGCUGGAACACUCUGCAGGAGCAAGUUCUCUUUUGCAAGUCAACUAACCCUUCCUUAAGCCCACCGCCUAUAACUUGAAAGCGAUGCGGAGACACCGGCCGAACUAUCAUUCUUUCAGCUAUAGUUCUCCUCUCAGUGACUAUUUCAUCCGCCCAUGUUGUUAGCCGAGUAGUCAUUGAUUCAGCCACAAUUUUCCUAUCAUAAAACCAUUGCUGCAAUGUUUUCCUAAAGUGAUCAACAAGAUGAGUCACAGGAAAUUUUCGAGGUUCCCUCAUGAACGCAUUAACACUCUCCGCGAUGUUCGUGGUAAGAAUGCUGUACCUCCUACCUUCAAACUGCGACCUUGCCCAAUUACACGUACCGACAUUAUUUUCUAGGUAAUCAGCCGCACCCGAGUGGAUCAUCCACAACCCUUCAAGUUGUCUCUUAAAUUCCUCGUGGCCAUAUGCUUUUGCUGCAUUAAUAAAGGCAGGCUCAAAUUGAUCCCAAAGAGCUUUGGACAUUCUAAACUGAGACUUAAUGUUACCUUUGACGUGGUAAAAACAAACGCCAUGAGUUGCAUUGUGAAAAACUUUAAGAACGGCUCUCCUUAUGGCAGUGCAUCGAUCAGAGAUAAUUACCAACUCAGGUCUAUCGCCAAUCACUCCGUGUAACUUCAUCAUAAACCAUUCCCAAGCAUCGUUGUUUUCUGAAUCCAUGAUCCCAAUGGCUAACGGAUACAAUUGAUUGUUACCAUCAAGACAUGUUGCCACGAACAUGCUUCCACGAUAUAAUCCCUUCAGAUGAGUACCAUCUACAGCAAUGACAGGCCGAAUGUACUGCAUAAAACCCUUGAUGGAAGAUCCGAGUGCUACAAAAUAGUACAAGAAAUUACCAUCUCCAUCCUGCUUGAGGUGAGUGACUGUACCCUCAUUCGCUGUAGUUAGUACGUGAGAGUAUUUAGGGAGCAAGUUGUAUGACUCUGCAGGGUUGCCUCGAACUAUUUCAAGACCAACUUCUCUCGCCCGAUAUGCCUGCUGGUAUGUUAACUGAACACCGUAUUCCUGUUGCAUAUCUGCUCUUAUGUCAUUCGGAGUAUAAAUCCUCUUGUCUUGAAUAUAUUUUUCUGCGAUAAUAUGACCGACAACCUGGCUCCUGACUUGAUGACGUCCAUCAACCAAUACCUCAUUAUGACAAGUGUGUACAUUGUCAAUUCUCUUCACCACCCACGGAAUAUUUUGCUCGUUCGAACAUCUAGUUGCUCGAAUACGCCAUUUACAUGAUUCUGAACAACAGUGAGCCUCGAAACGUGUCGUAGUAGACCGUGCAAUCUUGAAAUCAAACUUGUCUCUAAAGGCAACCUUGCGUAGUUGUAAUAUAAACUCAUUUUUCUCAGCAAAUAGCUUACCCACACUGAUAUCAUCUGAAUCACAACUGCUAACAAAGCUUGGAGCAACCAUAUUCGAAGGCAAAGUUGGAGCAACACUUGUAAGGGGGUCAAUUCGCCUUCUCGAUCGAACCAUAGAAGGAAUAGGUCUAUUGCCUCUGUUAUUCACAGGAGUAUUGUCUUCACACUCAUCCUCAUGCUGAAACGACGGAACAUUUGAAGGACCGGCUCCUCCAUCAUCACCAUCAUUAUUGUAACGCGUGCCCCCCCUUGUAGUAUUAGAAGGUUCUGCACAAACAUUAUCCCCCUCUGUCUCAUUAUGAAAAUCAUCAUUGUCCCGAAAAACAUUGUUGUGAUACGGAGAAUAUCGUUGCUCCAACGACGUUGUUAUUGGAAAUACUGUUGCUCCAACAUCCUGUAACGUAACGCCAUUAUCAUCAAUGUUGUCAUAAUUAUCGUGGAUUGGAGAGUAAUAUUGCUGCAACGAUAUUGUCCUUGGCAACACCUCUUCAUCAUUAUCGGGGCCAGACAUAUUUGCUCUAAACGAAGUUUCUGUAUCGACAUGUGGCUCAAUACCUUCGCUCGGAACUCGAGGUGAUGUGGUCACGAAUAUAGGAAUGCAUCCAAAAUUAGCUACGUCCGAUGCCAUAUGCAACACAACCCUCACCAUUUCAUCAUCGCAUAUAUCCAUGGGCAUUGCACAUAUACGAUAUAAUGUGUUACUAGACCUCAAAGUUGUCUUCAUGGUGAUACUAUAGUCAUUAGGGUUAAUUUGUAACACCUCGUAUACUCUUGCCAAUAACUGAUCAAACAAAUAAUUUUUUCCAACCAAAAAUGCUCGAUUUUUACCAUUCACGUACUCCAUACGGCUAUUUUCUAAUGUCUCCCACCAACCAUCGUAACACAAUUCAAGUACAACUGAAUCCAUUAAGCCUGAAAUUAUAAAAAAAAAUUAUUUCAGCCAUAUUAAAAUAAUACAGUUUUAAUGAUGUAUUUCAUGGUGGGUGCGACAGGCAACCUGUCGCCCGAAUCUUGGUGCGACAGGGUGCCCGUCGCACCAAGGUUUGGUGCGACAGGGUGCCCGUCGCACCAAACCUUGGUGCGACGGGCACCCGUCGCACCUUGCUUGGUGCGACAGGCACCUGUCGCACCAAGUUUUGCUGCGACAGGCAGCCUGUCGCCAGAUCCAGAUUUAGCCCAGUUGUUCAGAAAAUAACUCAUACCAGUAACUGAUGUCGAUUUGUGUUGGAUUCGGGAUUCGGAUGUCGAUUUGUGUUGGAUCCGGAUAAAUUAUGAUCGGAUAUCACUUUUAUCGUUGUCCUUUGCGGUCACCGUUGACUGAUGAAUCAAGAGCGAAAAGCUGCUUUUGGUUUGGCGAUAUAGGAGAAACGACGUUGGUUUUGUUACGCAAAGAAGGGUAAUUUGGGAAAAAAGGCUUGUGUUUGGCUAAUGUUGAUAGAAAAAAGUUCAGAGGGUUAAUUGCAAAAAUAAUAAAAUAAUAAUGGUUAUUUUCGUAAAUUUCCCGUUUGAAUAUGACCUUUGGCGCUUUGUUUUUUUUUUUUUGUGAAUUUUUUUCAUUUUUUCCUUCCUGUCAUUUUAUCAUUUCUUUGGCUUUGUCUCUAUUGCGGGUGUUACUGCAUGCUUACUGUUGCUUGACAAAGUUUGCUGGCUUUUCCUUUUGUUUAUUAAAUUUUUUAUGGUCACAAAGUAUUACUCGUUCUAUUUGACAGUGAUGUGAAUCAAUUUUUCAAUUUUAUAUUUUGUGGUCAAUCUUAAUUCAAUUUCAUUUGUCUCCUGCAAUUAUGAAAAAAUUGCAGUCAUAAUAUGGAAAAAUACACCGGCAAAAACUUUGUAAAAGCUUCGGAGUGAUACGGCGAAUUCACUUACUACCAAGGACAAUUGGUGGCAAAGCUAUUCCAUUCAUUUUAUGUCCAUCCAUCUAUUUAGUUAUUGAAGACUAGUGGUCCAUUUGUAAAUUUCAGAUUGUCUCUCUCUCUCUCCCUCUUGAAAUAACAAUAUUUAAUAUAUCUCUUAAAUUAUUAUAAAUUUUAAUUUACUCUCGAUUUAAAAUGGAGCAUGUCGAUAAAUUUUUUUAUUAAUAACAUUCUUUUAAUAAGGGAUACUAAUAUCUUAUUUUGAUUAAUAACAUUCUUUCACUGUGUUAACUCAAAAAAAAUAUUAUAAUGCUUUACAAUAAAUACAAAUGUCCUAUUAAAUGAAUAUAUAAAAAAUUUAGAAUAUUUAGAAUAUUAUAUAAAAUAAUUUUAAUAUAAUGCGUGAGAUAUAUUUUAUUAAUUUAAAAUGUCAUUUUACCUAAAAAAUAUGAUAAAUUAAUAAUUACAUAUUUGAAGUUAUUUCAAAUAUUAAAAAAAAAUUAAUAUUAUUAGUCUUUUAGAUAGAUUAAAUUAUUUUUUAUAAGAGAUAGAUUAAAUUAUUUUAAAAUACCUUAAUUGUUUUUACUUUUAACGCUACCGGCCUUUCUUUUAUUUUAUUGCAAAUUAAUGCUAACAAGAAAAAGCUAGAUCAUAUUCCACAAAAGCACAACCAGCUGGAAUCUUUUAUAAAACUACAAAUUAAGAUGGAUUUUUUUUUUUGAUAAAUUACACAUGAAAGUAGAUUCUUUUGAAUAUAAGUGGGGUAGGCUCUUUUAUUUUAUUUUUGAAUAUUGUAUAUCGGGACUGUAGAUUUUUUUAUUAAACUACAAAUUGUAUAGUCUUUUUCAAAUUGUUAUAAAUUAGUGGCCCCUACAAUCCUCAACAAUUGUACCGAUAUUCACAAGUUGGUGGGCCCUACAAUUCUGUUCCGAUAAUUUAACUGUGCAAGUGCUCAUUCACAAUCUUCCAGGUCAUGCUCUCUAUAAUUGUUUUUUUUUUUUUCUGCAUUCCCUUUCAUGCUCUUAAUAAUUGAAGAGCAUACUUUUCAUUUUCAAAUGUGGAGCCGCAGCUAAUGUCGCUAAUUUAAUUUGGGAUUAAAUUAGGGGACCAUUAUAUUGCAGUGUGCACUAAUUUUUGUGUUUAUCUAAACUCCUUAAGUUUAAGACAUAUUAUGGCAUAAAUAAGAAUAUAACAAUAACAAAAGAGUUAUUCAUAAAAUAUGUGAGAUAUUCAUAGUUUAUUAAUUUAAAAUACCAUUUUAAAAUUAAAGAUUUAUUUAUGAUAAAUUAAUAAUUAUAUUUUUGAAAUUACUUCAAAUAUUAAAAAAUUAAUAUUACUAAUCUAUUAGAUAGAUUAAAUUAUAUAUAUUAUUUUCUAUUUAUUAAAAAAUUAAAAUUAUUUUUAAUUACUAUUCAAAAAAUAUAAUGAUAAAAAAAAAUCUUAACAUCUUUAUUAAAAAUUUAAAAAUUUACAUGAUCAAUUCUCUAAAUAUUUAGGGUAUAUGUGAACAUCGGUGGAGAAGCUUUAUUUAAUAUUAUUGAUUUAAAUAAUAUGUCAAUUAAAAAUGUACAGAGAAGGAAAUUUCGGUGGUUAUUUUAGUCUUUUCAACAAUUAUCAUGAUCAGAUCAGCCUUUAGCCUUGAAACGUCGGUCAGAAAAGUUUUAAAAUUAACGCUAACAAGAAAAAGCUAGGUCAUAUUCCACAAAAGCAAAAGUGACAAAACAAGCAGCUGGUUUCUUUUACUAAACUACAAAUUAAAAGUGGAUUCUUUUGAAUACAAGUGGGACAGACGAUUAGGCUCUUUUUUAUUAAAGGCAAGUAAAAAGUAGUCGAAUAGUCGUUUUCAAAUUAUUGUUUUAUUAUUUUUCCUUCAAAAGUUAGUGUGGCUCAUGUUUGCAGGUGCGAAUGUCCGAUGCUCUUUUUUUAAAGGCAAUUACAGUGGGUCCCGAAUCAUUACUAAAAUUUCUCUUCCACAGCCCACAUCAGCUUCAGGAAUCAGUUUAUCAAACUCAAUCAAUUUUCUUUCUUAACAAAAUUCCAAAGAUGUGUAGCAUUUUUCAGAUCACAUGCGAUGGUGCUUUUUUCAAUCGUUGCUUGGAUUGCUUUCUUGGAAAAGCAGCAUACAUACGUAACCUCCAAGAUAAUCUUGAUGCCUUGGAGACUGAAUUGGGAAAUCUGAUCGCUAGAAAGAACGAUGUGAUGAGGAGGGUUGUCGAUGCUGAACGGCAACAAAUGAGAAGGCUGGACGGAGUGCAAGUGUGGGUUUCGAGGGUGGAUUCUGUUAAAACUGAAGCUGAUCAAUUUAUAAGAGACGGCUCUCGAGAAAUUGGAAAAUUAUGUGUUGGAGGCUACUGUUCCAAGAAUUGCAUGUCAAGCUACAAGUUCGGGAAAAAAGUGGCUAAAAAGCUACGGGAUGUGCGGACUUUAAUCAGUGAAGGAGUUUUUGAGGUGGUGGCUGACAGAGCUCCAGAGUCUGUAGCAGAUGAAAGACCUACUGAGCGAACACUAGUAGGCUUGCAAUCACAACUUGAACAAGUCUGGAGAUGUCUUGUAGAAGAAUCAGCGGGAAUCAUUGGCCUAUAUGGUAUGGGCGGUGUUGGUAAAACUACACUACUGACCCAUAUCAACAAUAAAUUUCUCGAGAGUCCAACCAACUUUGAUUGUGUGAUUUGGGUUGUAGUUUCAAAAGACCUGCGACUCGAAAAAAUUCAAGAAGAUAUUGGGAAAAAGAUAGGUUUGGUUGGUGAUUCAUGGAAGAGUAAAAGUGUAGAGGAGAAAGCUGUCGACAUCUUCCGGAGUUUAAGAGAGAAGAGAUUUGUAUUGUUGUUAGAUGAUAUAUGGGAGCGGGUUGAUUUAACAAAGGUGGGCGUUCCACUUCCCGGACCAAAAAAUACUACCUCAAAAGUCGUAUUCACAACCCGUUUCAUCGAUGUUUGUGGUAGCAUGGAAGUUGACAGGAAGUUUCAAGUAGCAUGCUUAUCAGAAAAGGAUGCUUGGGAACUGUUUCGAGAAAAAGUUGGGGAAGAAACUCUUCAGAGUGAUCAUGAUAUCGAUGAGCUAGCCCAAAUUGUGGUCAAAGAGUGUGGUGGUUUGCCACUCGCACUUAUUACUAUUGGUCGAGCUAUGGCCUACAGAAAGAAAGCGGAGCAGUGGAGACGUGCAAUUGAAGAGUUAAGGAGAUCAGCUUCAGAGUUUGCAGGUUUGGGAAAAGAGGUGUAUCCUCUUUUAAAAUUCAGCUAUGAUAGUUUGCAGAAUGAUACGGUUAGAUCUUGUUUCUUGUACUGUUGUUUAUAUCCUGAAGAUUUUGGCAUUCUUAAAUGGGACUUGAUUGAUUGUUGGUUUGGCGAGGGAUUUUUUGGGGAAUCUGAAGGGUUUGGUGCAGAAAACCAAGGAUAUGACAUUUUGGACACUCUUGUUCGUGCAUGUUUAUUAGAAGAGGUGGAAGAUGAUGAAGUAAAAAUGCAUGACGUUAUUCGUGAUAUGGCUAUAUGGAUAACUUGUGAAAUUGAGAAGGAGAAGAGAAACUUUUUGGUUCGUGCAGGUGCUGGAUUAAAAGAGGCACCGGGUGUUAAAGGAUGGGAAAAUGUGAGAAGAUUGUCAUUGAUGCAAAACCAAAUUGAAACUCUGUCAGAGGUUCCCACAUGCCCUCAUCUCCUCACUUUAUUUCUUGACUUUAAUCAGGAGUUGGAGAUGAUCGCGGAUGGCUUCUUCCAACUUAUGCCUUCUCUCAAAGUUUUGAAGAUGUCAAACUGUUGGAAUUUGAAAUUACCGGUUGGGAUGUCAGAGUUGGGUUCAUCACUAAAAUUUCUCGAUAUUUCAGAAACACCAUAACAGAGUUACCGGAAGAGUUAAAGAAGUUGGUAAAUCUGAAAUGUUUGAAUUUGAGGUGGACACAGCAUUUAAAUAAAAUUCCACGGCAACUAAUAUCAAAUUCUUCAAGGUUAGGUGUGUUGAGAAUGUUCGCUACCGGCUAUGGAUAUUUUCAUGAAGCACCAGAAGACAGCGUUUUAUUUGGUGGGGGUGAAGUUUUGAUACAGGAAUUGCUCGGUUUGAAAUAUUUAGAGGUAUUGGAGUUGACCUUGGGAAGUUAUCAUGCUCUCCAAAUUCUUUUGAGCUCAAAUAAGUUAAAAAGUUGUAUUCGAUCUCUUUUCCUCGAGUUGACCGGAGAUACAGCGUCAAUUAUUGAUGCUACGGCUUUCGCAGAUCUAAACCACCUCAAUGAAUUAUGGAUUGAUAAUGGUAUUGAGUUGGAAGAGUUGAAGAUUGAUUAUACGGAGAUAGUACGAAAAAGGCGGGAACCUUUUGUUUUCCGCAGCCUUCACCAUGUUAUUAUACGAAGCUGCCAGAAGUUGAAAGAUUCGACAUUCCUCGUUUUUGCUCCAAACCUCAAGUCUCUCAAUCUAGACGGUUGCGAUGCUAUGGAAGAAAUAAUCAGCUUCGGAAAAUUUGCUGAGACUCCUGAGAUGAUGGGACAUGUAAGCCAUUUUGAAAAUCUCCAAAUUCUUCAUUUAUCGCAAUUGCCAGCUUUGAAGAGCAUCUACUGGAAGCCAUUGCCUUUCACUCAUCUCAAAGAAAUGGCUGUAAGAGGGUGUGAUCAGCUUAGAAAGCUUCCACUCGAUUCCAACAGUGCAACAGAGCGUAAAUUUGUUAUUCGUGGAUACAUACUCUGGUGGAACCGACUUCAAUGGGAGGAUGAAGCCACUCAAAUUGCUUUUCGUUCCUGUUUCCAACCUGAUUCCUGAGCGGUGGUCGCAAAAUUUGAUUUCUGGUGAGUGCGUUUGUCUUUUAAAAGAAGAAUUUAAAAGAAAUUUAUUCUUGUCGUUUUCUUUUUGGGGCAUCGAAUUGAUGCUCUAGUUUUUUACUUUUUGUUGUCAAAUUAUGCCCUUUUUUUUUUUUUACAAAUUGAAACUUUAUUUAUUACUUCUUAGGAUUUAAUUUCCUGUCAAUAGACGAACGAGAAGAACAUACGACUUAAACCAAUUGAUACUUUAUUUAUGUGCGUUGUAUGUAAUAAAUAUUAAGUAUAUUAGCUGUCUUUCCUGAAAAUCAAAUGACAAUAAAUUUUUUAAAGUUUUGAUUUUCUAUGGUCAAUUCCACCUUUUGCAAUUUCUUCUAUUCUAACAAAAACCAAAUUCUUUGUUCAAGUAUUUUCGUUUGGGUAUUAAUAAUUCUCCACCGAAAGAGUGAACUCUUGGAUGCUGCUCAAGGGUCUCUAAUCAAUCGCCGGAAGCAAUUGAGAGGGCGCCGAGACCUAAUCGGACCUAGGCCCAAGUUUGGUCUUAAAGCCUGGGCUUGAGCCUGACAAUUAAAUUAAAACAUUAAUUGAUUGAAUUGUCGUGUAAUUGAUUUAUGGGGGAUGAAACAUCAACAUGCUUGAAAAUACACUAAUCUUAGCAUCAUCGGUUAAUAAUUUUUAGAUUUAUGGGUAAUCAAUAGUUAAGAUUAGUUGUCAUUAAUACUAAAUAUUUUUUACUUUUUUUGUCUCUUUUAGAGGAUCUUCUAGAACAAUGCAUCCACAACAAAAUUUAAUAUUUUACAUAAUAAACAAAAUAUAAAUGUUAAAUUUAAGAAACUGCAUUGCAUUUCAGCUGAAGCUGACUUUAAUAUUUAGGGUAGAAAAACAAUAAAAUCCUUAAUGUGUUUAAUUUCUAUCACUUGUGUCAUUAAAAUUUUCUAGUCACCCCAACCAAUUGCAUCUCAACCCACUUUUUUUGGAUGAUUUUAUUUUUACACUAUUAUUUUCAACAUAUCAUGAUGUAUUCGUCAAAAGCUGGAAAUGACUGUUGCCCGUCAAAAUUCACAUUUAUUCCUUAACGAUAAAGUUUUAAUAUAAUUUUGAAGUUAUAACUCAAAAAUAUAUUGUGUAAUAAUAAGAAAAAUGACCUAAAUGGUAAAAGUGAGAAAUAAUAAGAUCGAAGUACUAUUCUCCAUCCAAUGUUAAAUGGGGCAAUGCCAUUCUCUGGUUCUCUUCUUUAAAUGCGUGAUGUGCGUGCUCUGUUUUAUUUUUACACUAUUGUAGCACAUAAGUUGCAAAAUAUAACAUAAAAUUUGAAAAAUGUGUAGUUUUUGUUCCUUUUUUCUUAAAAAUGGGAAAAAGAAUGUAAUUUUGUUUAAAUUACUGUUGUGAUAACAAUUAUUAUUUUAUUGAUUAAUUGGCAGAGAAUCGUUAUGGUUUCGUAUGGUUGUUUUUUUUUUUUUUUUUUUCGUAUGGUUGUUAUGGUAUCGUUAUGGUUUCGUAUGGUUGUUAAAACAUUGGAAAGUCCACUACAUCAUCCGUUAAUAACUUUCAAAUUUAUGGUUAAUCAAUAGUUGAGAUUUAUUAUCAUUAAUGCUAAGUAUUUUUUAAUAUUUUUCUCUCUCCUAGAGGAUCAUCCACAGCAAAAAUUUAAUAUUGUAAAUAGUAAACAAAAUAUAAACGUGAAAUCUAAGAAACUGCAUUGCAUUUCAGCUGAAGCUAACUUUAAUAUUUAAUGGGGAAAAAUAAUUAAGUACUUAAUGUACUUUAUUUACCCAUAUAUAUGGCUAAUUUUUUAAGAUAAAGGGGAAGGAUGAUGCUCAAAAAUAUAAAUUAUAAAAUUAAUUGAACUCUCAAGUAAGUUUAAAGUUCAUUAUUUUUAAUUACAUGUUUAUAAUUUAUUUUUAUUUCGUAUUAAUCUAUAGAUCUAAAUCCACUUUGGAUUCAUAUACAUAUAUACACAUGUUUAUAAUAACACAAAGGCUAUCAAUCUCCACCACCAACAAUUUUAUACCCAUUUGCCAAGCCAAAAUCAGACCCUGGUACAAACCUCAAAGCUCUGCAAUUGUUACCGAGCAAAUACCAAUAUUCAUGCAGAACCCACCAUGCCAUCUACCAGUAGCAUCUCUAAUCAACCCCUCUGCACUCGCCAAACCGGAUCCCUUCCUAGCACCAUCAGAGUUUAAUUUAUAAUAUGGCCAUCGAGGAGGCAACCAACCAAACAUUUUUUGGACUCUCAGUCCUCUAUCACUUUGAAAAGCCUCACAAGUACGAAUUAUCUCCUCAGCUCGUACCCUGAUAUCCCGAACCAUGCUUUCUGCAUUCACAACUUUAUCUUAAAAAAGCAACUGAUUCCUUGCCACCCAUAUACACCAGAUGGCUACCCCAAAUAUGCAACUCCAUUCUUGAUUGCUACCAUGAUUACCCAUACCUUGAAUAUUGGCAAAAAUCCAGUCACGGGUUGGCAACGUGAAAAAAUCAGCAGUCUCAUGACCUGUUAACAACAUAUUCCAGAUUCUCCUAGAAGUGGCACAGUCACGAAGAGCAUGGGCCGUAUCCUCUGCAGCAUAACCACAGCGCAUGCAUAUCAUAUCCACCCCAAUAUGUCUCCUAUAAAGCUCGGCUUUGCAUUUAAUCCUGUCCUUUGCAGCAAGCCAAAGGAACGUCCGGAUUCUGUGAGGACCUCUCCAUUUCCAGAUACUUUUCCAUCUCACCUCCUCAUCCUGAACCAAAUUUCCAAGAAGCAGGUUAUAAGCUGUUCUUGCCGUAAACAUUCCUGAAUUUGAUGAUCCCCAAUAAAACUGAUCAGCCUCACUAUCCGGGGAAGGAGGCUUAAUAGCUGCAAUCAUUAACACCACAUUAUGAGGGAGGAGAAACCCAAAACGGCCCCAAUUCCAUGAACCAUCAACACUAAUGGCGUCAACCACCCAAUCAUGUAAAAUAGCUUCAGGAAUAGGUGCCACUGCAAGAUGAACAACCGGCCCAACAUCCGCAACCCAAGAUCCUGCCAGAAACGAAUUCGCUUGCCGUCCCUCACAUUCCAUCGAAGCCCCUGCAACACCUUUGGCCAAAUCCGACCAAUAGCCUUCCACAAGUAUGAGCCAUAUUUUGUAGGCAAGGAAGUUGACAUAGUGUUCGGAUCAAAGCCAUACUUCGAGCAUAGAACCUGUGCCCAGUAGCUAUUACUAUUGACCAGCAAGCCCCAACCAAGUUUCAUUAAUAAUGCUUCAUUCAUAAGCGUUAAAUUCUUCAAACCUAGACCUCCUGAUAAUUUCGGACGACACACAUCAGCCAUUAAUCAGAUGAAGCUUCUUAACUUCCGAGUUACCACUCCAAAUAAAUCUGCGGCAAUGUUGCUCAAUUUUGGUUAUAAUUGCUGUAGGCAGUCUCGUUGUUUGCAUUGAAUAAAUCGGCAACGCCUGCAGCACAGACUGCGUGAGAGUGAUUCUACCAGCCAAAGAUAAAAAUUUAGCACUCCAACCAUUUAGUUUACGCUCCACCUUCUCUAAUAUGCCAUGAUACGUUGCUUUACUAACCCUCGAGUGCAAAAGCGGCAUACCCAAAUAAUUACCCAAGUUCGUAGUCAUAGAGAACCCAAGAGUUGUGCCAAUAUUACGCACAUUACACGGAUUAACAUUCUUAGAAAAGAAAACUUGAGAUUUCUAUUUAUUGACCUUUGCCCCCGAGCUCACGUAAAACGUAUUGAGAACAUCAUUGAUCACAGCCGCUUGAGUGCAAGAAGCUUCAGCAAAAAGUAAUAAAUCAUCAACAAAAAAUACAUGAGUGAUAGGGGUACCUCGCUUAGAAAGCUGAAUUGGCCUCCAAGUGCCAGUAUUAAUGGCACGAUGAAUUCCGUGGCUAAGUCUCUCGAUACACAGGACAAAAAUAUACGGAGAAAUAGGGCCGCCUUGUCUAAUCCCCUGUGAGUGAACGAACUCCUCAGUACAUUCCCCAUUCCACAGAAUCUGCAUAGAGGCUGAAGUGAUACAAUCCAUUGUGAUACGAAUAAGGUCUGACGGAAUCCCCGCUUCACAGAGAGUUUCAAAGAUGAAAUCCCAACUUAGUCUAUCAUAAGCUUUCUCCAGAUCCACUUUAAUUAGCAUAUGGCCAAUCUUUCCUGACUUUUGACGCAUGGUAUGAAUUACUUCCUGAGCAAUAAUAAUAUUCUCUGUUAUGUGCCUUCCAGGGACAAAACUAGUUUGCAUUGGCCCUAUCAAUUCAGGAAGAAUGCCCUUUAAUUUAUUCGCCACAAUCUUCGUAAUUGUUUUAUAAAUGUCAGGACAAAGACUUAUAGGUCGAUAUAAUCGGAGGCUAUCCGGAUGCUCAACUUUCGGAAUAAGCACAAUUAGAAUUUAUUAAUCUCACUAGGUAUUUGUUGUCCCUUGAAAAUCCCCUGCACCAAAUUACAAACCGAAACUCCCACAGUAUCCCAUUGUGUCUGAUAAAAUACAACAUGCAAACCGUCAACUCCCGGAGCCUUAAGUGGAUGCAUACUAAAAUUUGCCUCCCUAAUAUCAUCCUCACAUACUCCCGCAUUAAGCUUGCCAAGAUUAAUCUCAUCAACUUUAGGAAACAUACUCACCAGAGGGUAAGGGAUAUGCUCCCCAGGCUCUUUUGUAUAGAGAUCCUUAAAAAAUGUUACAUCAUGAGCUUUGAUAAUAUCCACAUCCUCAAUCCAAUUGCCAUGCUCAUCUUUAAGCAUCACUAUUUGGUUCUGUCUUCUCCUCUGAAUUGUCUGGCGAUGAAAAUACUUAGUAUUUCGAUCCCCAAAUUCAACCCAAUCACGCCUAGAUUUUUGAAACCACAAAAUCUCCUCCUGACUCAAAAUACUCUCCAACUCCCGCUUGAGAGUCACCUCGAGAUCCAUCAGGUGUCUAGAUCUGUGCCACUCCAGAGCACGUUGAAUUCCGGCCAAUCUUGCUAAUAUGUUAUUCUUCCGUUUGUGUAUGUAUCCAAAGACCUCCUUGUUCCAUUUCCGCACCUCCGUAAUAAAAUGGCCAGCCGGGUUGACAUAAUCUCCACUCUCUCACCACGUUUCAGAAACAAAAGUUUUUAACCUACUGUUAGUGAGCCAAGACGCCAAGAAUCGGAACGGUUUAGCACCACUAGCUUGCCGACUUACCCUCUCAAAUUUAAUUAGAAUAGGGCGAUGGUCCGAGUCAAGUUUAGGCAGAUACAUGACUUGUGAAUUGGCAAAUUUCUGAACCCACUCAUCAUUACAAAAACUUCUAUCUAGGCGCUUUAGUAAGUUUCCUCUCUCCCAAGUGAAUUUCGGCCCACUGAAGUCAAGAUCACAAAACUGAUUCCGAUGAAACCAAUCACUAAACCGAUGACAAACACCAUUUGAGCGAGGCGAACCGCCCCUCCUCUCUGAGGGAUGUAAAAUGGUAUUGAAAUCACCUCCAAGGAGCCAAGGCCCCAACACAUUGCGAGCCACUACUUUAAGGUCCUUCCAUAGAAGGUUUCUAAUAUGUUUAUUUGGACUUGCAUAAACUGCAGUAGCCCAAGAGAUGAAACUAAUGUCGUUAGCUAUACGAAAAUGAAUGAACUGUUUAUGAUUUAUGAUCACCUUCACUUUAACACAAUCUUUCCACAUUAACCAAAUACCUCUGGAGAAACCUUCAGCCUCAAUUCUAUGCGACCUCUCAAAACCACUUCGAAUAAUAAACUCAUCAGCCUUUUUCCCGCUUAUCCUUGGUUCAAACAGUGCCAUCAUGGAAGGAUUAUACUUCUGAAUUAGGGCUUUGAAAGUCCUUCGAAACGCAGGGGCAAAUGCACCUUGGCAAUUCUAAAACAUAAUUGAGAAACUCAUUAAACAAAAAUAUUAGAGAACAGAAACCAAACCCCUUACUAACGAAGGGUGUGAGCUUGAAGCUCCAACUCCAUAUCUGUCUCUUUCUCUAGAGAUCCUCCAGAUUCUGAAUCAUCUCGGGAUCCGUCAACACCACCUCGAGCCACAUAAGUGCUUCAUUCUGAGUCCUCAUCUCCACCAACUCCAUUCCAACCCCCAUUAUCAGGUGGUUCACCCAGGGGAUUGUUUCUAUUAUCCUUUGUCAUAUCGGCAAAAAGAGGGUUCGCUCUAGCAAACUGAGUCAGCAUGUCCGUACCAUCAGGGGGAUUAGCAAAGGAGUACACCGAAUGUUUAAGAGGGUCAAGGGAAGUACUUGCGAGGUGGGGCUGGUUGUCUCUGGUCUUGACUGACUGCUGUUGUAUUGAGGCAAGGGUUGGGUUAAUAAUGUGCAUGGCUGGUGAUAAGAUCUUGUUUUGGUCUGCAUGGUUUGCAUGGGGAGGGCUGGAACGUAACUGGACCAGACUAGGGCUGGGAGGAUGAGCAACGUUUCCACGGUUUGAUCGUUGGCUAUGUUUACGUAAGGAAUAUCUAUGGUUAGGUUGCAUGAGCUGAUUGCUAUUUUGGUUUUCAUCUUGCAAGUCAAGGUUGCUCUCAAGUGCAUGAUUGCUAGGAAUCCUUUCACUGAUUUCUCGCUCAUUAUCCAUAUUAUCUUCAGAGUUGAGGAGCGAAAAGCGGGAACCAGAUCGAGCAUUACCAUUAUGGGUUUGAUUAUAAUCUCCUUGAAUCGUACCUUCCUUAGCCUUCUGUGGCCUACCUUUUUUAGCAACAAUCAUCCAAGGACCAAAAAUCGAAUUCUUCGGGUUUUCAACGGUUGCAAGAUCCACCGUCACUCCCGUCACUUCGCCCUCCGGUUGAUGUACUCCGUCGCAGCCUUGCCCUCUCGGCACCUCCUGCUUUCGUCGACAGGUAUCAACUGUGUGCCCAUACUUUCCACACUCAAAACAUAUAGUAGGGAGCCCCUCAUAUUCAAUCCUUUGAAUCUUGCCAUUCAACUGAAAUUGUGAGACUAAAGGCUUGUUCAGACAAAUUUCAACAGCAACUCAAGCAAAUUUUCCACGUUUUGCAGCCUUAGUAUUGUAAUCUAUCCUUAUGACACGACCAACAACUUCCCCCAGUAUUCGAAGAACCCUUUUAUGAUAGUAAUGCAAUGGCAUGCCAGGAAGUCUGAUCCACGCCACUACUGUUUCAAUCUUAUAAGAUAAACAAUCAAAGGAUGGAGACCACUUUUGAACAGUUAAGUAAUGCCCAAAAAUAGUCCAAGGGCCUUGCGUGAGAGCAAAGUCCACAUCCUCUUCUGUUCCGAAGCGUACAAGAUAAUAAUCAUUCUCUAAGUCAAUGACUGUAAACCCUCAUUCCACUCUCCACAAGGAUUCCAGUUUAAUACAUAAUGAUCUAUAGCCAAUUGAUCUCCCUAACAGUUUCACAAUCACUGUGUUUUUCCAUGGCCGAACCAGCUGUUCCUGCAUCUUCUGUGAAAACACAACCGAAGGAAUACAUCCAUCUGUUUCAAUGAUUACGUCCUCAUCCGCAACAUCUAGGUCAUCCACACCUUCAUUCAUCUCAGCAGCCCCUGACUGAUCUUUCAUUAAACUAUCCCUAAAGGACAUAACCGGCAGAUUAUGUUCAUCAGAUCCCUGUUCCCUGAAGCGUGCCUUCUUAGUCGUGCGGUCUUCCUCCAGCAGGGGAGGGGUCGCUUUCAUCAAAUUAGGGUUUAGUUCCAUCAGAGACAACUUCCGUCUUUAUCGGAGCUUCCUCCUUUUUUUCCCCUAUUCGCACCUUUCUAAUACUCUUUCAAAAUCGUAAAAUCUUUAAAUUUUACCCCUCAUCUUAACUUAAGAAAACUAAUCACUUAUUUUAUUUAACAAAGAAGAGAUUUUUUUCCCGUAAAUUUCCCAAUUAUUUCUCUCCCUCUCGCUCCCGUAAGUUAUACAACUUGAAGUGAAAUAUGAGUGGUCUGAUUCUAGCUUAAAUAAUUUAUUGUGACAUGCUAUCUAAGGACAAUACAUUACCUAGCUCUACAUAUUUUAUUUAACCUCUGGCUCACCCUGUGCAAACUUGCCUUUCCCCUGCAAGAGAAGAUUAAUCAAUCUAUCAAGUCUCAAAUUCAAUUUGGAAUAUGACCAUCGUACGCUCUUGUUCUUCCCUCUUUACGAGUGCAUUCCCCCCAACCUCAAGCUCCCUCUCUCGUCUUCAAUGUCACUGCUUAUAUCCUUAUGUUGUUCUAGUUUGAAAUAGUGGCUUCCACUAUUUCAGGGCCCCCAAAAUUCCAGAAACAUACUAUUCAUCACGAUGACAAAAUUUUUGGCAGGCAGGUGCUUCCUGACUUUCACACGGUAAUUCUCAAAUUCUGAUUUCACCAUAUUUUAAUUACUGAUUAGCAUAUAUUCAAGUGCUCUCCAUUAUAAUAGAAGCCGCCUCACCCGUGAUUCCAAACUUUAUCUUUUUCCCUUUUUUAAAUUAAUGCAAGUAGCCGCUGUCCUUUUUAUUAAUUAAUUAAUUCGGCCGCCCACAUUUCUUUUCCUAAUGUCUUCUACUGUCGAUUUUCUUUUAUUUUCUCUUUAUUCUUAAAAUAUGCUUAUAAUAAUAAAAUAUAAAAAUUAAAAUUAAAAUUAACAUAUCAAAAUAUAAUUUAACAGAAAAUUAAGAUAAAAAAUGAAAAAAAAUAUAAAUUAUGAGCAUAUCAAUUAAUAAAUGAAAAAUAAUUAUUUUUAUUUUUAUUAAAUAUAUAUUUUUCAGUAUUAAUCAAUUAUUUGAAUAACUAAAAUUAUUUAAAAAUAAAUAAAUUAUUCUUUAAAAAUAACUUUUUAUAACACUCACUAUGCUGGUUGUAGGGUAGACGCUUUGGGGACUGAAGCUGGUAACUUCUACAAGUAGUCUUUUUUUUUUUUUUUUUUGAUUACAUGAGACUAUUGCUCAGAUUACAACUCAUAUUACAUGAGACUAUAACUGAUAUUUACAAAUCAGACUAUUACUGGGACCAACUUACAUCAAUGCUAAUGGAGCUCUGCCCAGAUUUUUAACCCUCACAAAUAUUCAAGGGAUGUCUACUCCUCACUCAUGGGUAAGGGAGAAGACUACCUUCACUCAAUUAAUUGAGGAAGGAAAUACACCCACAAUACUUUUGUGGGGGUUCGAACUGCUGCCCUCCAACUUGGAGGGCAGCAGCCCUGGCCACUCGGGCUGAGCCGAGUGGUUUACAAGUAGUCUUAAGUUGACUGGCAACAACUAUAUUGGCAUUUAGAAAUAAUGUACUGCAACCAUAUUGGUAUGUUCAAAUGUUCUUACUAUUGUAUUGGUGUGUCAAUAUUAUCUCUAACUGCCUUAUAGAUAAAAAAAUAAUCUAAAUUUACAAUUUAACAUAAAAUAAAAUAAUUGGUAGAAAAACAAUUAUGGUUCAUUUACUUAUCAGUAAUCAGAAUAGAUUGGAAUCGAAAUGAGCUGUAUUACCGUUGAUGUGUUUAUGAUGUCCUCGAAUUGGAAUGAAUUAUUUUAAGUUACUAAAAUAUCCUUGGUUUGUUAUUCUAAUUAUUAUUAUUUAAUAUUUGUCAUAUCAUUAAAAAGAAAUAAUAAUGAUGAUAAUAUUAUCAUUAUUGUUUGUUACAUUAUUAUUAUUCAAAAAAAUUAUUGUUAAUAACAAUAAUUACUUUAUUUCAAUAAUAAUAAUGAUAAAAUUAAUAAUAACAAACAUGACAACAACAACAAUUAUUUAUUAUGCCAAAAAUAACAAUAAUAAUAAGAAUAAUCAUCAUCAUCAUUUUUUCCCAAAAAAGCAUUAUCAUCAUCAUUUCAAAAAAAAAAAAUCAUCAUUAUCAUCAUCAUUUUUGUAGUGGCUGCCUAUCGGCUGCUGCUUUCAUGUGAGAUUGACUUGCGACGCUUCAACGGCUAUUAUUUCUGGCAAUGUCAGGUGUUACUGUUUCAAUUUAGGAAGAAGAUGUUUCGGUGUGCUAACGAUGGGAGAUGUUGUGGCUGCGAUUCGGGGAGCUACUAGUUUAUUGCACAAAUGACGGCAGGUGCUGCUGCUUGAUGCGAGGUCAAUGGCAAGUUGUCAGCAGUUCGACUUUGGUAUGGGCGCUGCUGGUUCGAUUUUAGGUGUUGUCUAAUUUCAUUUUCAGGAUUUUAAUUUUAUUUUUUCUUUUAUAUUUUCAUUAAUUAAUCAGGGCAAAGUUUGAUUUUAGAAUUUGGAAUGAAGGUUUUUUUGUUAAUCAUGGAAAUGAGAUUCUGAUUGUCGAGAAUUAACUUACACAAGCAACUGCAAAUUAAGUGAAAACAAAAAGUUUUUUCUCUUUGUGUGAUUAAAACAUGAAAUGUACCAUAAAUAAAUAGGUAAAAAAAUAAAUCAACACAAUCCAAAACAGUAAACCAAUUACAAGAGGCACAUAUUUUUAUGUGAAACACCGAAAACAAAAAAAAUCAUAGCACCCUAGUCUGAUAUAAUCUUCUAUUAUAUUAAUGGGAUUAUAGCACAAAUUCUUCCCUAUAUAACACUAGAAGUUAACAAUAUCAAGAAUCUCAAUAAUCUUGACUUACAAUACAACCUAAUAUGUCUCUCUAAUAAGUAGAUAUCUAAAAUAACAGUCUCUAAUAAAUAAGUAUCUCAAAUAACAGUCUAUAAUAAGUAGGUAUCUCAAAUAAUAGUCAAUAAGAUGGUAAAAUAAAAAUUAAAACUAGUAGGAUUGAAUAAGGCGAUGCUAUCAACUUAUCUUCUAAAUUUGAGAAAAAUAAUUAAAUUCACUUUUUCGAUUGUCCGACAAAAGAUGGAAACCCUUGCCCCAAAACCAAAGGAAUCACCAUUGUUCUCUCUCUCUCUCUCUCUCUCUCUCUCUCGUUCUUUUCUUCUACUUUUCUUAAUGUUAGCCGCCACUUGCUUUUAUUCUUUAUAGCAUUUAAAAAGCUACUUUUAAUGGUAAAUUUCAUUUAAAUCCAAAACUUAGUGAUAAUUGCACACCAAAUAAUUCUUUUUGGACUAUGGACUUUUGGGCUUCCAAAUAAGAUGAAUACAACAAAUCUCCCCCUUUAGAUCAUAAAGCCUGCUCUCUGCAUAUACUUUUUCAGCUUUUCCUUGAAUAAUGACUUUGUUAUCAUACAUAAUCCAUUCUCCGUUGUGUAAAUUUUCUCAAGCUGUAACUGUUGCUUCUCAAGCACGUCUCGUAUCUAAUGAUAUCUCACAUCAAUAUACUUAGAUUUCGAAUGGUAUAUCAAAUUCUUUGAACGGCACUCUGGCUGUCGCAGUACAUAACGUAGCUGUCUCGUUUUACACCCAGCUCUUAUAAGAAAUUCUUCAUCCAUAAUAUUUUUUUGCAACCUUCAAUAAUUGUAAUAUCAUUUGCUUUAGUGGUAGAAAAGGCAACUUAUUACUAAAGUUUAGAUUGCGAUGAGACUGCUCCCCCUACAAAAGUGAGCAAACAUCCUAGUAGGAAUUUUUCAGAAUCAACAUCUUCUGCCAUAUCUACACACUUGUAACACAGGUUUGUCACCACCAAAAUAUAAACAUGCUCUGGAAAUGCCUCUAAGAUAUCUGAGAAUGUCCAGUGCUCUUUUAUAAUAAAUACAAACAUAAUGAAUUUAUAAAACAUUUAGAGUAUUUUGAAUAUUAUAUAAAAUAAUUUUAAUAUAAUGCAUGAGAUAUAUUUUAUUAAUUUAAAAUGCUAUUUAACCUAAAGAUUUAUUUAAGAUAAAUUAAUAAUUAAGUUUUUUAAAUUAUUUCAAAUAUUAAAAAUUUGUAAUAUUAUUAGUCUAUUAGAUAGAUUAAAUUAUUUAUGUUAUUUUUUAUUUAUUAAAAAAUUUUAAAGUCAAUAUUUUUAAUUACUAUUCGAAGGAUAUAAUGAUUAAAAAAAUCUUAAUAUUUUUUAUUAAAAAUUUAAAAAUUUACAUGACCAUUUUUAUAAAUAUUUAGGGUAUAUAUGAGCCACGGUGGAAAAGCUUUAUUUAAUAUUAUUGAUUUAAAUAAUAUCUCAUAAAAAAUGUACUGAGAAGAAAUUUCGGUGGGUAUUUUAGUCUUUUCAGCAAUCACGUGAUUAGCCUUUGGCCUUGAAACGUCGGUCAGAAAAGUUUUAAACUGCUUAAUUGUUUUUCACUUUUAACGUUAGUGGCUGCUUAUAUUUUAUUAAAAAUUAAUGCUAACAAGAAAAAACCCCUCAAUGAAUGAGGGUGAGAUUGCUAAAAAUUACGACAGGUGAUAUUAGGUGAUAUUUUAUUAUUAUUAUUAUUAUUAUUAUUAUUGGGGGAUAAAUCCUCACCAAAGUGAGGAGAUUUUAUCAAAAUCAAAAUAAAAAUAUAACAAGAACUGAAAGUCGGGCAGCCUAAAAGCUAGAUGAACUAAAAGUCCGGCGCCUAAAAACAACCUUAUGCAAAAGAGAAGCAACAUGAGACCGAUCAAGUAAAAGAAUCCACCGCAACACCUAAAUUGGCCAAAUUAUCUAUUGGUAUUACAAGUUUCUUGUUAUAAAAGUGUAGAAUGAAGUAGGUGACGUAGUUUUAAGUUACAGCUGCAUGCCCAAUCGCAAUAUCAAAUAAUGCUUAAAGUAGUUGCCUAGGCCCGCCACAAUUUAUAUUAACUCUUAAAUUUAUAAAUAAUUAAAUUUUUAAAAGUUUGGAUUUAUAUUAAAAAAUCUUCAUAUAAAUAAAUAAUAUAUGCACUUUUACAACACAGUCUUUAAAUUUAAAUUUUUCUAGAAAAAUCUUCUGUAUAUCUUUUCUAUUAAAAAAAUUUCCAUAUAACUAAAUAAUAUACCUAAUUUAAUUGGACCCAGCACAACGUACAUGCAUAGAAUACAUUCCGAAAAGCCAUGCUAUUCGGAAAUUGACGAAUGAAAAGUGAGGAGGCAGCAGUCAAUGCUAUUUCGGCUUGGCCCAAAAUUGAUUUAUCAGUUUGACGUGUGCCAGGUGUUUGAGGGAAAUACUUCGACGAGACCAGACGUGAUGAGCAGAUAUUGGGUAGUAGAGUUCUGCGAACAGGUGUGUUCUGUAAGAGCCUGGUAGCAGAGGAGCAGCAGCAAGAAUAUUUUGCUCGUCCACGAAUAUGCCAUUCAUGAGGAUGAACUCCCGUUAGAGGCAUAAGGCCAUUCCUGUUAGGAGUCGAGGCGAGGAGACCCGGUCAACGACAGUUGGCAAGACGUGCGUUCCUAUCCGAGAAUCAAGGCACGAAGUCCAUCUCCAUUCGCCCACAAUGACUACAAUGGGGCAUCCACAUCCGAGGGUGGGGAGAAUAAUGGGCGUGGACUACGGAAGAUCGGGAUUCAGAGGAAGCCUAUAAAAAGGUAGCCAGCGAAGGUAAAAGGGUUAGACUUUUUGCUAUUAGAACUAAGAAAAGAAAGUUCCGAGAACUGAGAUUAAAAAGAAGCCAUAAGAUUCGUGGCAAACAUUUCCAGAACCCCUAUUUCUGACUUGAGCGUCGGAGGGUUUGCGCCGGGAAAACAAACGGCGUACUCUGACCUGUCUGUGUGCGCAGGAACCUCUGGAGAAGAAGCGUUACGAGGAGAGAUCCUGGUCGUGGUAAAGUUGAUCGAGCAGAGACCUUGGUCGUAGAACAAGGACAACCAGAAUCUCGCAUCAACACCAGGAAUGAAGAACUGGAAUAUCACCGUCAAGCAAGCAACCUGUGGAGCAAUACCAUAGAAUGCACAAUCCGGCUUUGCAAGGUGACACUGGAGGCUUUUUGAAAAUUGCUUCACGCUCACUUGCACAGAUUGAGCAUCCCCUCUGGAUAUUGCCCUCUCUGAUCGAGUCUGAGCACUCAAAUUUCAGUCCUCAGAUGGAGCUACAGCUUUCUCUCCAAUAACCAACAAUUUUCUAAACUCAGCACCUAGUAUGAUCAGAGUUGUUGAUAUUUGUAAAUGGAGAUCCCCAUAUUUGCAAAUGGAGACAUUUAACAAAUCACCAACAUGCUUCAUUCAGUCUACGAAAUUCUGCAGCUUAUUCAAAUCCGGAACCUGAACCAGAGUCGGAGGUAAAUCUUGAGCCAUAUCUAAAGCAGUCUGAAGUUCAAGUACUUGAGCCCUAGACAAUGGUUUUGAAAUUGGAACAUCUUGGAUUACUGCAGACUUGUACCCCUUGGUUUCAAAAGUGAGGAAAGGCAUUGCUCGAGUACAGUUUGGAGGCAGCUUCUUCACCAAUUUUAUUUGGAAGCAAUUGGCAGCGGAUCCAGCUGCACCAAUUUCAGAGCAAAUACUGACACUACUUCGAACAGCACGCUGAAGAAGAGAUGUCUAUGGCAAAGGCAAUGCAGUCCUCAUUUUGACUUGAGAUGCGGUAAUCAUCAAAGAGAGUUUCCUUGUGAAACUGGGCAACGCAUUGAAUCCCUUCACCACUGAGAAGGUUGUGGAGGAAGUAAGCUUUCUCUCUAGUGAGGAAGAGGUGGCGUACCUUCAGGGCAGGUAGAAAUCUCUUUUCUAAGAGAUUUACUCCAUUCUCUGUGAGAAAUGCUUUGAACUUCAUCCUUCUGUCUGUAUCCUCACUUAUCAGGAAAAUAGUUGAAAGCGCUACAAGGAGAGAGAAGGAAAGUAUUAAGAUAUAUAGACAAGAAAAAUAUUAGAUGCCGAUCUUACAAACUAAUACUCCAAACACUAUCCUAGAAAGCUAAAAACUGAAGGAUGGCUUGAAAUUUGAAAAGAACACAUGCUUUUCCUCCUUAACUUGGGAAAAUGUUUAAUAUAGUGCACCUUACAGAAGCAUUUAAGCAAUUAGAAAUUUGCACAAAAACAUCAAGAAGACUAAACAAAUCAGAUGCAGUGUAUUUGUCCAAGCACAAAUUGCAUUUUGUCCUCAACUUUAAUAUUUAUUGAUGAGAAUCAAUACAGGUCCCUCAUUUGUUAUAGAAAGCUUUCUUGUAGUCUCACCAGUAAAUUCACAGGUCUAUAAUCAUCUUGCAAAGUUAAGGGCAUUUCUUUCGAUCUAAAGUCUUUGCAUCACCACCUCAUCACACGCCAAGCCAAUAUUCCAUUUACCUCUACAACAAAAAGUUUUAAGUAAACAAUCCUAAUGCACGCAGCCAAAUAAAAUGCAGUAAGAAUAUUCAACUUAAAAAUCCGAAAGCCAUCCCGGUGAAUUGCCUUCUUAGGUGAAGUUCCAUGCUUUACUACGCUCGAUAGAACCGAGCAAAAGCUUCCAUACAACAGAUUUUGAAAAUGAUGAUGCCAAUAGAUACUCAUUCAAUCCAUUGAAAAUCCAAAGGUUCAUUGUUCAUUGAAUUUUACAGAGUUUUGGUCAUCCAUUAGCUCAGACCUAAUCCCAAACAAAAAACGAGUGAAAAUUAGAUCACGAGCAGCUAAUUGUAAAUUCCAACUUAACUCUUCAUCUCCUUUGUAAACAAGAAACAAAAUGGAGACACGCAAAAUGAAUAUGGAGAAAAUUUGAACUCAAAUGAAAUGAGGGAACGAAAGCAAACAAAUGGCAUGCACAAAAAAACCAAGCCUCAAUCAAAAACUAAUUAACCAUUAAGAAAAAAAUUGGUCAGAGAAUGAACUCCAAAUUCAGGAGUCAAGCAAGAAACUUUCAUCAUUUCAGAAGCUCCUGUACAAAUUAAUAAGUUAUGCUCUUUGGAAGCAAACCUAAAUUCCAAGAGAAACAGAACUCAAAAAAUUUGCAAUUAUACGCAAAGGAAGUGAAGCACAUCAUUCUAUCACACAAACGAAUUGUAUAACAAGAUAUCAACACAUCGAAUCAGAAGAACUCAAUUCAAAUUUGUCACAAAAAUCAAAAUUAGAAGAUUUCACAUUUCGAGAGGAACAAGCGACAGGUCAGAUGCAAAAUUUUCAGCCACAACAUGCCACAAUUAACGGUUUAUUUCCAUGGAUUUAGAGAGCUGACUGACCUUUUGGCUUUUGGAAUUGAGAAGAUCGCGCGCCAAAAUGGAAGAGGGAAAGCGAAAGUGCGGGUUUUAAUAGGGUAUUGGAUUAGCAAAUUUAAUUAGUUUGCGAGGGUAAAAUAGGAAAGAGAUAUCACUAUUAACCUUUUUUUUAUAAGAAAAAAGAAUAAUAAAGAAUAUUUUAUUGUCAUUUGCAGCCUUUAAUUUUUUUUAAAUACUAUUAGAAAAAUACGACAACAAAGAAAUGCUCUUUUUUUUUUUUUUUUUUUUAAAGGUAAAAUCAAUUAUUUAGCUCCUUAUAUGUAAUCAAACUCCAUUUCUUACUGUAAGUCAUAUCCAACGGACCAACAAAGUAAUUUUUUUUUUUCAUUCAUUUUUGCAGAAAUUUAAUAACUUAAAAAUAUUGAAAGCUAUUGUAAAUUUUUUUAUUAUCAACCUCAUAAUUUAAUUUUUUUGGGGAAGAAUUGAAUUUUUUUUUAAUUUCCAAGAAUUUCAUUCUCUAGUUUUUCCAUUAAUAGUACUUAUCUUCAUACCCAUCUUAAUUAAAAUCUGUAGUUUUAUUCAAGAGUCAUGCUAUUCAUUCACUCGGACCAAAGGCUUUCCGCAGCAAUAUUAUUAUUUAAAUCACAACAAAGGGGAAAUCAAAUACGUCAUACAGAGGCUUAAAGCUCAAUCUACAAAAUCUAGAGCUCUGAACUACAUAAAUUACACUUGAUGAUCCUCUACAAGAUGAAGCUUGUUCAAUAUCUCAUCCAAAGCUUGUAAAGUAACCUUGUAACGAUCUUGAGAUUGCCUGCCUUCCUCGACGACCUGCACCAUGCGUUUGUACAAAUCAUCAUACCUGUGCACCGGAUUUUUAAUAUCAACGCCACUGCAGCUGUGAUCAAGAACAUAAGAGCGUUUAACAUCUUUUCUCCAUCGAGAAAGAAUGUAGUGAGAUGGGAUCUCCUCCAUGCCACUCUGGUUUAGAACACAAAGAAUGUGUCUGCAUAAAUAUCCUCUGAAAUUGAACAACCCACAAACGCAAAGCACCUCCAAGUCGGAGGCAUUGUACAAAACAUCGAAAGCCCUUGAAUCUUUCUCGUUGCUACCAACCUCAAAUUCUUCCUUCACUAUGUAUGUUAUGAUGAAACAAAAACAAACGUUAUGCCUGUAAUCGUGCAUUUCCAAAUAAACACACAUUUUAGGUAAUUCUGAAAUUUACCACGAUCUCCCAUGAAUCCGAACUUGUAGCUUGUUAUGGAGCUUCAACAGAGUUGCUGCUACUUUGGUCUAGCUUUUGAAUUCCGCUUUCUUUUCCUUAGCUCAAGAUCGCGGCUUCUCUCAGCAAUUUACUGUGCACACACACGGGAGACAAGCGAGAGAGAGAGGUGCACUGCACUCAUGCCACUGAUUUUUUGAACAGUAAACUUCCAAUGGGCUGAAGUUACUUAAAUACAGCGGUUGAGCGCAGGGACCCCUCAUGUGUUAGUCUAAAAUUGCCCAUCCCAUUAUGGGCGAAAAUAACACAAUUAAGGAUAUACUUGUCCAUAAUAUACUACUGUACAGGGUAUGUCAAAAUUAGACUCAUUAACACUAUAUUUGAUCACUUAAUAAAUGAGUCUAUCAAAAUUGCUCAACAAUAUUUGACUGUAAUCACGUAUUAAUUAGGUAAAAUAUAAAAAAAUACUGAGAAUGAUUUAUGUUAGUCCACAUAAUGUGAGAAAUAAAUCUAACAAUCUCCCACUUGGACGACAGAAAUCACUCUAAUGAUAAAUUUAAAAUAAAAUAAUAUUUUGAAAACAACCGAAUUAAUCAAUAUGUGACUAUAACAAAAGGUCAAAUACAAGCAAUCACCCAAAACAUAAAUAAGUCCAAAAUGUGCCAUAAAUAUCAAAUCAUAUGUGCACCGACAGGAUGCUCCAUAUAACAAGACACCUAUAAACACGUGACCAUGUAGUAGUAUACAAGUAUAAUUAUGGAAAUAACAUGACAAUGUGAUCAACAUGCUCAUUUCCACAAAGCCCACAUGUCUAGCAAAAUGAGAUGAAAACAAUAUGUCUCCUAGACCAUCGCUUCUUUAUAACCAUAAUGAGACUCUAACAAAAUGUCUCGAGAAGCGAGCUUCCAUUUUUCAUCAUAAUGAGACUAAUACCAAGAUGUCUCAUGGAAGUCGUGCUUUCUUAUGAUUAUAAUGAGACUGAAUCAAAAUGUCUCAAGAAAGCACACUGAAGCUAAGUCAUAAUGCUUCAGUUUUUAAUGUCCAUAUUGAGACUGAGCAAAAAUGUCUCGGACCAUAAUAUCCUCAUUCUAUACAUAAUGCCAUACGCAACCAAAUGUGUACACAAUAUAUGGCAUAUCAAUAUCACAUAACAACAUGCAUGCAUGAUAACAAAACGAGUAAUACAUAAUCUCAUUUAAGUUGCAACUCAUAAUACAAACCAGAACUCCCACUGACUCAGCAUAUAUAAGUGGAUUCACAUAAUCUCAUAUGUGUUACAUGCUCCCUAAAUACUUUUGGAGCUAAAGCUUUAGUAAGUGGAUCGGCUAACAUGAGUUCUGUAGGGAUAUACUCUACUGAUACACAAGAUAGAGCAAUUUUCUCUCUCACAAACAAAUAUUUAAUAUCAAUGUGCUUGGAACGUGAGGAACUCCCUGUGUUGUGAGAAAAAGAAACAGCCGCAGAAUUAUCACAGUAUAUCUUUAAUGGCCUUGGAACGGCCAAUAUACAAUCUAGCCCUGUGGUAAAAUUCUGCAUCCAUAAAGCAUGACGUGUAGCCUCAAAACAGGCUACAUAUUCUGCUUCCAUUGUUGAAGAAGCUAUAAGUGUCUGCUUGACACUUUUCCAUGAUAUAGCUCCUCCUGCCAUCAUAAAGAUGUAACCAGAUGUGGAUUUCUUGUCUUCCAAGCACCCUGUGAAAUCAGCAUCAGAAUAUCCAACUAUAUUCAAAUAGUCAGAUUGCUGAUAUGUCAAUACAAAAUCUUUAGUGGCUUGCAAAUAUCUGAGUACUUUCUUUGCAGCCUUCCAGUGUUCCCCACAACUGAUGCAUACAGGACUGUUUGCAUUCUAGCUUUGUCUACAUCAUUAUCGGGACACUAAGACUUGAAAAUUUUGUCACCUUUCGGAAUUGGAGCUUUCCCAGGAGCACAAGACUGCAAAUUGAACCUUUUCAAAAUACGAUCAAUGUAAGUCUUUUGAGACAAACCUAGAAUUCCUCUAGAUCUGUCACGAAGAAUCUCUAGCCCUAAUACAUAAUGGGCUUCACCAAGAUCCUUCAUAUCAAAGCUAUAUGACAACAUUUGUUUUGUCUCAAGUAACAAAUUAGUGUCAUUAGCAGCGAGCAAGAUAUCAUCCACAUAAAGCACCAAAAUGAUAUACUUGCUCCCACUGACUCUCAAGUAUAUACACUGAUCAACAGCAUUCUCCUGGAACCCAUAAGAGGUGACAAUAUCGUGAAAGUUCAAAUACCACUGUCUGGAUGCCGGUUUAAGUCUAUAAAUGGACCUUUUAAGCUUACACACCAUGUUUUCUCUAUCAGUCUCAACAAAACCAUCAGGUUGCACCAUGUACACAUCUUCAGAUAAGCUUCCAUUGAGAAAAGCUGUCUUCACAUCCAUCUGAUGCAAUUCUAAAUUGAAAUGAGCUACCAAUGCCAUGAUAAUACAAAAAGAGUCUUUGGUAGAAACAUGAGAGUACGUUUCAGUGUAGUCAAUGCCUUCUCUUUGACUGAAACCCUUAGCCACAAGCCUAGCCUUGUACCUCUCUACCUGACCUCUGGCAUCUCUCUUGGUUUUGAAAACCCAUUUGCAACCAAUUGGUCUGCAUCCAUCUGGCAACUCAACUAAAGCCCAAACCCCAUUAUGAUACAUAGAUGCCAUCUCAUCAUGCAUCGCAUGUAUCCAAGAUGAUGAUUCUGAACAACUGAUGGCCUCUUGAAAGGUAAUAGGAUCAGAUGAUGAGUCAGCAUCAAAAUCAUGUUCCUGCAAGUAAACAACAUAAUCAUCAGAAAUUGCAGGUCUCCUUAUCCUCUCUGAUCUCCUCAAUUGCACAUCAGUAACAUCAUCCGCUACAAUCAUAGGCUCCAUAUCAUGAUGAAGUUCAGGAUCAACUGAAGAAACAUCAAUGUGUGAUAAUCCCAUCGCAGAAGUCGGAAAAGAUGGAAUAGGCAAAACCACACGUUCUUCUCUUAAUGUAAGACUGCGAGGCUCAAAACUCACACCAUUGUGAUCAUCCUCAAAAUAAAUGGCACGAUCAGACUCAAUGAUUCUAGUAGUGUGGGAAGGACAAUAAAAUCUAGAACCUCUUGAGCCUAUACAAUAGCCAAUAAAAUGACCACUAAUGGUUUUCGGAUCAAGUUUCCUUGAUUGUGGAUUAUAGGGCCUCACUUCUGCUCUGCAUCCCCAUACAUGGAAAUGACGAAGACUCGGUCUCUUCUCUGACCACAACUCAUAAGGAGUUUUGGGCACCGACUUACUAGGUACCUGAUUCAAAAUGUAAGCUGCAAUUCUUAAGGUUUCACCCCACAGAAAAUCUAGUAAGGUGGAGUUACUCAGCAUACACCGCACCAUGUCAAGAAGGGUACGAUUUCUCCUUUCUGCAAUUCCAUUAUGUUCAGGAGUCCCGGGCAUUGUAUACUGGGCUUCUAUUCCAUAUUCCUGAAGAAAUCGAGCAAAAGGUCCAGGAUUACGCCCAGUUUCAUCAUAUCGCCCAUAGUACUCACCACCUCUGUCUAAUCUUACUACUUUAAUUUUCUUGCCCUUUUGGAGUUCAACAUUAGCCUUAAAGGCUUGAAACACAGAUAAAGAUUCAGACUUUUCAGCAAGAAGUUCAACAUGACCAUAACGAGAAAAGUCAUCGAUGAACGUGAUGAAGUACUUAUAACCUCCAAUAGCAAUAGGAGUAAAUGGCCCACAGAUGUCUGUAUGUACCAACUCCAGCACCUGUUGACUCCUCUGAGUUCUCUCUUUUCUGGUUUUGGCAGUAAGUUUGCCUUUGAUACAAUCAACACAAGUGCCAAAAUCAGAGAAAUCUAAAUUAUGUAGAAUGUCAUCUUUAAUGAGCCUCUCCAUCCUCUGUUUAGAAAUGUGACCUAACUGUUUAUGCCACAACAUAGAGGAAUUUUCAUCAACCCUGGCACGAUUAGAGCUAACAACAUGCACAACAUGAGCAUUGGAUGAUGAUUCAACAGCACGAGAAAAUAAAUCAAUCAUAUAUAAGCCAUCAUAUAGAGUGCCAGAACCAACUAACUCUGAAUUGCGGAAUAAGUAAACUUUUCUAUCACCAAAAUGAAAAGUAUAGCCACAUCUAUCCAAAAUAGAUACAGAUAUCAAGUUUCUCCUAAUAGAAGGAAUAUAAGCCGUAUCUAACAGAUCCAAAAAAUAGCCUGUGGCUAGAUGUAGUCUGACAACUCCUAUGCUUUCAACUUUGGCUGUCACUACAUUGCCCAUGUGAACUAUUAACUCCCCUUCAUUGGGCUCCCUCCUGCUUCUGAAUUCCUGUAAGGAAUUCGUUAUAUUAAUGGUUGCACCAGUAUCCAACCACCAAGUAUCAGAAGGAACAUAAACUAAAUUAGAUUCAAAGCCUACAAAAGCUACAGGAAUACCUUUCUUUUCCAACCAUGCUUUGAAUCCUCUGCAUUCAGCUUUCUUGUGCCCAGGUUUCUUACAAAAGUGGCACUUUCCCUUAAAGCUCUCAGAGGUGGAACCAGAAAUGGUAGAAGAAUUACCACGUGAAGUUUUCUUGCCAAAUUUUUUCUUCUUGAAAAACUUAUUGCUGCCCUUUAAAGAGCCUUUCUUCACACUUCCACUCUCUUGAGUAGUUGCCACCAUGACAGUGUGAGAUUUCCCCUUCUUCAAUGAUUCCUCUUCUUGAACCACAUAAGCAGUCAACUCAGUGAUAUUCCAAGUGUCUCUCUGAGUAUUGUAUUGGCUUCUCAAAUUGCCAAAUUGUGGUGGAAGAGAUUCAAGGAUUUGGAAGACCAGGUAGUCAUCAGGCAGAGUGACAUCCAUGUCCUUUAACUUCUUAUGGUAACUAGUCAUCUUAAGGAUGUGCUCUCUGACCCCAGAAACACCAUCAUACUGGGUAUUAGCAAGCAGCCUCAGAUAGUUACCCUUUUCUGCCUUAUCUACCUUCUUAAAAGUUCUUCCAACAGCUGCCAAGUAAUCUUUGGCCUUAUCACAUGCAGGGAUGCUAUCUCUAGUUGUUCUAUCAAUAGUGUAUUUCAUUGUAUCCAGACAGUGUCUAUUGGAUUCAUCCCAAGCUGCCCACUCUGCUUUUUCAGCAGUAGUGCUCUUAUCUGUGGGCUUGGCUGGUUCAUCAACUCUUAAUGCCAAGUCUCUAUUCAAUGUAGACAGAUAAAACAAAAUGGACUCACGCCAGUCCUCAAAAUUUGUCCCAGUUAAAUUCUUGAGGGAGGCUACUUGGAGAAAGGAGAGAAUAUCUAGAGCUGAGGAAGCAAUAACAAAAGAAUUAUCAUGCUAUAAUUAAUUACUCCUCAUUUUAAGUUUCUCCAAAAGCAACACAAUAUGUUAGGCAUCCUUUAACAAUAUAGGAGUGCACUAACCUAAAGAUAAAGCAGACAAGUUGAAUAUAACACCAACAUUGACCUAUUACCGACAGGGUAAUGAAGCCACUCAGUAGAAAAUACUCAACAAAUCUCUUUAUCUUCCCAAGUAUCCUACCAAGUAGUGAUUUGCCGACAGGGCAGUAUCAUCACCCGUAUGGAUCUUAGUAAUAACAAUAAUAAUUCAUCGCUAAAUUCAUAAUCAAUAAUGACAAAUGGGCAUCUAAUUGCAAAACACCAAAUAAUUUAUCAUGAUUGGCCCUACAAACUCACUCUAAAUUGUAGUUUCGCAUCAUAUAUAUAUUUCAUACAUUAACAAAAUUGAGGCUAAAUAAACUUUGUCAAAAUGUAAUUAAAGUUUCCACCAAGAUAUUCAAUCAAAUAAAAUAUCUACAUGCCUCAAUACAAUAUAUGAAUAUUAUGCCCAUGCAAUUCAACAAUGAUGGAUUAUUCUUAAAUUUAAAAUUCUGAAAAAAUCGCCAAAAUUUAACGGAUUUUGGACUAAACUGCCGAAUUUUCAGAAUUAUGAUUACUGUUUUAAAUAUUAAAAAUAUUGGCCCAAACUGUAAAUAAAAUAAAAUAAAAUGUUGGGCCAUAAUAUAAUUUACCAAAAUUUAAGGGACCAAACUGAUCUUUCACAAAGUUGACCCUCGGUCAAGGACCAUUUCGAAAAAUUUGCAAAUAUUUUCGGCUAUAGUGACAUUUCAUAAAGUUUAGGGAUCCAAACAAAAUUGUCCCACAAUGUCAUCUUCAACCUCGGGAUGUCUCAACAGUGUAGCUACAGUAACCUCAUUCAUACCAUCCCAAUUUUGGCCACCAAAAAUUACGAAAAAAUUAUAUCUUUACUCCAAAAUCAUCACUCAUGCAUUAUUUAACAACGAUUUGAUCACAUAUGCCCAAAUUCGAACAAUCCGAAAAAUCCGAAAUUAAAGGAAAAAUUCCAUGAGUGAGAUUUCACCAACAAAACAACUAUGGUUUACAAGAAAAUGCAUAACCAUAAGCUCUGAUACCAAUUGAUGAAACAAAAACAAACGUUAUGCCUGUAAUCGUGCAUUUCCAAAUAAACACACAUUUUAGGUAAUUUCGAAAUUUACCACGAUCUCCCAUGAAUCCGAACUUGCAGCUUGUUAUGGAGCUUCAACAGAGUUGCUGCUACUUUGGUCUAGCUUCUGAAUUCCGCUUUCUUUUCCUUAGCUCAAGAUCGCGGCUUCUCUCAGCAAUUUACUGUGCACACACACGGGAGACAAGCGAGAGAGAGAGGUGCACUGCACUCAUGCCACUGAUUUUUUGAACAGUAAACUUCCAAUAGGCUGAAGUUACUUAAAUACGACGGUUGAGCGCAGGGACCCCUCAUGUGUUAGUCUAAAAUUGCCCAUCCCAUUAUGGGCGAAAAUAACACAAUUAAGGAUAUACUUGUCCAUAAUAUACUACUGUACAGGGUAUGUCAAAAUUAGACUCAUUAACACCAUAUUUGAUCACUUAAUAAAUGAGUCUGUCAAAAUUGCUCAACAAUAUUUGACUGUAGUCACGUAUUAAUUCGGUAAAAUAUAAAAAAAUACUGAGAAUGAUUUAUGUCAGUCCACAUAAUGUGAGAAAUAAAUCUAACAUGUUAUAGGUCCAUCAGCACUGACAUGUUUUGUGCUAUAGCAAGAGUACAUAGCCUCCACCUCCGUCUGAAACUUCCUUAACAUUUCAUUUGUGUACAGUUUUGAGAGUUGAAAUUCAUAGUAACAUCUUGGUUUCUGGAUACAACUUGAAUUUCUUGAAUCCAUAUCUGCCAAGGCUUCUAGUUGAUAAUUCGCCUGCAGUGCUUGAUCAUACUUGUCUAAGUAUUCUUUCAAAGGAGUAUUCUUAUCAAGAUAUCUUUCAAAGUAUGAAGUAGAAACCUCACUCUGCAGGAAUGAAAACACUCCUGAUAAAAAUGUUUCCUUCAAAUAAACAGGAGCCCAACUUUUACGAUCCUCAUAUAAACCUCACUCUGCAGGAAUGAAAACACUACAAUUUUUUUUGUGAUAAUUUUUUUUUCUACACUUGCAUGUGAAUUACUUUUCUUUAAGCUCCUGAAUAUUUAAGACGGAUCAUGGAAGAGAUGAGAGUUUAAUAAGAUGAUCAAAAUAUGUAACAAAAAAAUUUUAGAAAUGAAAAAUAUGUUAGAGUCAAAGCAAAACUCUGAAAAUAGAGAUAUUCAUUAAUUUAGAAGAGAUGCAAGCAAAAGAUAUUCCAAAAAAAAAAAGCAAUAUGCCCCUUUGGAGGGCAAACUUGUCAGUUUCAAAAAAGUACAUGCUUUGGAUUGAUAGUCGUAGGAUAUUUGUUUUGUCACUGUGUAUUAGUUGGAGAAGUCAAGCCUUGUGAAGAAUGUUAUGAAAGAGCAAAGGAUAUUCUUGAUAGAGCUCUAUUUGAUUAUGUAUUCAGUGAAUGGAUGUGUUGUUGGAAGAUAUGUGAGUGCAUUAGUUGAUUUGUGUCUGUCAAUGUGCUUUUAAUGAUUUUUCCACUUGUUUGUUGUAAAAGAUGAUUGUAAAUUGAAAUGAACUUGAUGUUGUAAAAUAUUUUGCUUAGUGGAAUUUCACCUAAGUAUUCAUUUUUUAUUAAACCUCGUUAACACAAUUCUUAAUUAAUGGUGUGUUUACUUCAUGAAAUAGGGAAUGAAAAUGGAGAAAUGAAAAUGAAACUCAUGUUUAUUUGGCAAAAUGUAAUUUGAGAAUGAGAAUAAAAUGUAUGGGUCCCAUAUAAUUUGAGAAUAAGGAAUGAGAAUCUCAUUCUCAUGGAAGGUUGGGAAUGAAAAUAAGAGAAUGAGAAUAGAAUAUAUAUUUACUUUUAUAUCUUUCUACUUUUUUCAUAUUUCCCAAAUUACCUUCAUUCAAAUCACAAUUAAUUUAUUAUUUUAAAUGUCAUUAAUAAUAAUUAUUAUUAUUAUCAUUAUUUUUAAAUUUUAUUAACUUUAUUAUUUUAGUUAUUAUUAAUUAUUUUUAUUAAUAUUAUCAUUAUUAACAAUAAAAAUAAUAAUUAAUGUAUCAUUAUUAACAAUAUUAUCAUUAUUGUUGUUGUUGUUGUUGUUAUUAUUUUUAUUAAUAAUAAUAAUAAUAAUAAUAAUAAUAAUAAUAAUAAUAAUAAAAAUAACAAUAAUUAAUAUUAACUAAAAUAAUAAAGUUAAUAAAAUUUAAAAAUAAUAAUAAUGCAAUUUUCAUUAUCUAGAUACAUGUAUAAAUAUUAUUAUAAAAAUAAUAUUAAUUAAAAUAAUAAUAAUAAAUGUUAAUAAUGAUAAUACUAAUAAAAAUAAUAUUAAUAGUAAUUAAUAAUAACUAAAAUAAUAAAGCUAAUAAAAUAUAAUAAUAAUAAUAUUAAUAAUAAUAAUAAAUGUUAAUAAUGAUAAUAUCAAUAAAAAUAAUAAUAACAAUAAUUAAUAGUAACUAAAAUAAUAAAGUUAAUAAAUUUUAAUAAUAAUAAUAAUAAAUGUUAAUAAUGAUAACAUUAAUAAAAAUAAUAAAUUUUAAUAAUGAUAACAUUAAUAAAAAUAAUAAUAACUAAAAUAACAAAGUUAAUAAAAUUUAAUAAUAAUAAUAAAUGUUAAUAAUGAUUACAUUAAUAAAAAUAAUAAUAACUAAAAUAAUAAAGUUAAUACAAUUUAAUAAUAAUAAUAAUAAUUGUUAAUAAUGAUAAUAUUAAUAAAAAUAACAAUAACAAUAAUUAAUAACAACUAAAAUAAUAAAGUUAAUAAAAUUUAAUAAUAAUAAUAAAUGUUAAUAAUGAUAAUAUUAAUAAAAAUAAUAUUAACAAUAAUUAAUAUAACUAAAAUAAUAAGUUAAUAAAAUUUAAUAAUAAUAAUAAUAAUAAUAUAGUUAAUAAUGAUUGUUAACUUUAUUAUUUUAGUUAUUAUUAAUUAUUUUUAAUAUUAUUUUUAUAAUAAUAAUAAUAAUAAUAAUAAUAAUAAUAAUAAUAAUAAUAAUAAUAAUAAUAAUAAUAAUAAUAACAAUAACAAUAACAAUAACAACAACAACAACAACAACAACAACAAUACACGACUUGGAUUAGGAUAGAAGGAAACUUAAAUGCUAGAGAAAAAGAUAGCUAUAUCCCAAGAUUUAAAAAAAUAGUCAUGUAGAUUUUUAAGAUUUCAGUAAGCGAUUGAAAUUUUCUUUUGACAAAUAAUAUCCUUUAUCUCUAUUAACAAAAAACAAAGACUCAAAUAUUUUAUAAUAAAUAAAAAUAUAAUAUUAAAAUAUAUGCAAUAAUAUAGACAUUUUAAAUAAUUUCAAUCCAAAAAAAUAGUUAUUUUUUACAAUCUAUUAAACAUAUUUUAUUGAAUUAAUAUAAGUUUUCUAUAAAAUAGGAACAUAAUAUUAAAUAAAUUUACAAAAAUUUAAAGAAUUUUGAAUGUAAAAUAAUUUUAAUAUAUUAAUACGUGAGAUUUUUUAUUAUUGUAAAAAUUAUUUAACCCAAAUCUUUUUUAAAAUCUUUACAAUAAGUAUAAAUAUGUUAUUUACAUUCAAAAAUAUUUAAAUAUUAUUAACCUACAAUUAUAUUUGCAUUUAUUAGAAAUUUUUAUAGUCAAAUAUUUUGCACUUCUACAUUAUUAGAAUUAUUGCACACAAAGAAAGAAACAUAUAAGCUUUAUAGCUUUAUAAAUUUUUUUUCUUUUACAUUUGGAAACAGAGAUGAUGAUUGAUUAUAAGGAUGAAAAAAAGGACAAAAAAUAUUAAUGAUUAACGAAAUCUCUAUGCAAAUUAAUUUUAGUAGGAAAAGAGUGAGAUAAAUGAUUUCUUUUACAGCUAGAAACAGAGAUGAUGAUUAUUAUAAGGUUAAAAAAAAAGAUAAAGAAUAUUAAUUAUUAAUGGAAUCUAUAUGCAAAUUGAUUUUAGUAGGAAAAAAGUGAGUUAAAUGAUUUAGACAUUCAUAGUGUGUUUAUUUUUUGGAUUGAUGAAUAAGAAUUAUUGACAACGCUAACUUCAUCUUCAUUGUUCGUUAUCCAACAACAACAAUUGUCGCCGAUAAUGAUACCUCCAAUGAUGAUGAUGAUUUUAUUAUUAUUAUUAUUAUUAUUAUGGAUAAAAAAUAUUUUAAUUAAUUAAUAUAUUAAUGUUAAUAUUAUUAUUAUUAAGAUUAAUAAUAAUUACUAAUAAUAAUAAAAUUUUGAAUAAAAAUAAUCACAAUAAUUAAAAUAAAAAUUAAUAAUUAUGACAAUAGUUAAUUAAUGUCUUUUUAGUAAUUUGUAAUAAUGUAACUCAUUUUGAUUUUGAUUGUUAUAAUUCAAGUAAACAAAUUAUUAUGAUUCAUAUUCUCCAUUCUCAUUUCAGCUCACUUUGAUUUCAAUUCAUUUUGAUUUCUGUUUAAUAAACGCGCCAUUAGUGAUAUAGUAAUAUUUCAUAUAGAGAAAAGUAAAAACUAUACCUAAGGUUAAGGGAAAUGACUUCAAACCUCUCUUUUGACCAUAAUACAUUUUGUCCUAAAUUUAAAGACUUUGAAUCUAAAAUUUUACAAUAAAUAAAAAUAAAUUCCUAAAAUAAAUAUACUAUCAAUAUUUAAAAUAUGUUUUAAUAUUUUAUAAUCUAUCAGACACAUUUUAUUAAAUUAAAGUAAAUUUUAUAAUAAAUACAAACGUACUAUUAAAAUGAAUAUAUAAAAAAUUUAGAGUAUGUUGAAUACUAUAUAUGCGUAAGACAUAUUUUAUUAAUUUAAAAGCUAUUUUACUUUAAAAAAUUAUUUAUGAUAAAUUAAUAAUUACAUUUUAAAAUUAUUUCAAAAUUUAAAUUUUUUUAAUAUUAUUAAUCUUUUGGAUAGAUUAAAUUGUUUUAAAAUGCCUUAAUUGUUUUUACUUUUAACGUUACUAGCCUUUCUUAUAUUUUAGGGAAAUUUACAAAAAUAAUCAUAAAACUUUUUCUAUUUUCACAAUUAACCCUCUAAACUUUUUUCUAUCAACAUUAGCCAAACACACACUUUUUUUCUUAAAUUACCCUUGUGUUUGCUAACCAACCUGUCGCACAUAGUUUAGUGCGAUAGGCACCUGUCGCACGAAGUUAUGUGCGACAGGCACCUGUCGCACCAAGCUAUAAAUACCCAAAAAGUAAAGUUUUUGACCAAAGCCCCGUUGUCACGGCAAGGUCAAUGGAUCAGAAGCGGGGAUCCUUGCACUGGAGCUGCCAUCGAUGAUUCCAUUGUCUUCGAUAACCCCGAUUACAAUCCCUUCAUAAAAUGUGACUGCUCUUCCCAAAAUGGCACUGUGUGCCACAUUACCUAGUUGUAAAUUUUUUUUUUUUAAUGGGGGUACACUUGCAAGAAUUGUUUGAUCAUAUCUGUAUAUCUUUCUUUUCAUGCUUGCUUAUUAUUGUUUUUUCUUUCUUUUUGAAACUUUCGUUUAUAGGAAAGUUUAUGCGCUGAAUGUGAUUGGUGUGAUACCAGAUGAACUAUGGAAUCUGACUUCCCUCUCCAAUCUGUAUGUUUUCAUUUUUUUUCCCUUAAGUGCAGACAUCACAUAUUUUAAAAUGCAAAUUCGAGAGUAAUAUUGAUUCGCAUGGCUGACCUUGAAUAACUUGACAAUUUUCCACCUUGUAACAGGAACCUGGGCCAGAAUAUUGGUGGGAGAAUAGGAAAUAGAAAUUUAGGGUUUUUGACCUAACCUUUAAUUUCAACUUUUGACUCCAGGAAGCCGCCAGCGACAAGUGAAUAAGUUGGGAGUGAAUUCGGCGAGGAGAGAGAGAGAGAGAGGAGAGAGAGGAAGAGGAGGAAGGAGAGGGAGAGUUAUGGGAGGGGUAUUUUCGGUACUAGAGAUUAUUAUUGGCUAAUGUUGAUAGAAAAAAAAUUGAGAGGUUAGUUGUGAAAAUAACAAAUUUUUUUAGGUUAUUUGUGUAAAUUUUCCUAUAUUUUAUUGCAAGUUAAUGCUAACAAGAAAAAGCUAGAUCAUAUUCCACAAAAGCAAAAGUGACAAAACAACCAACUGGAUUCUUUUAUUAAUCUACAAAUUAAAAUGGACUUUUUUUUUAUAAACUACGUAUGAAAGUGGAAUCUUUUGAAUAUAAGUGGGGUAGGCUUCCUUUCAAAAAAAGAAAGAAAGUGGGGUAGGCUCUUUUAUUAAAGAUAAGGAUUGAGUAGUCAAGACGAUUAGGGUCUUUUAUUAAACUACAAAUUUUAUAGUUUUAUAAAUUGGUGGCCCUUUGAAAAUUUAACUACAAGUCUGCAAGUACCAAUCAGAGAAAAGUCAUCAUUCACAAUCUUCCAAGAGAAACAGGGGAUAUACAAAGAUUAAGACAUGUGCAUUCCCUUUCAUGUUCUUAAUAAUUGAAGGCAACUUGUUCAUUACAUGCAUACUUUUCAAAUGUGGAGCCCCAGCUAAUGUCGCUACUUUAAUUUGGAAUUAAAUUAGGGGAACAUUAUACGCUUACUUUUAUGUUUAUCUAAACUCCGUAAAUUUUAGAUAGAUUAUGGCGUAAAUAAGAAUAUAACAAUAACAAAAGAGUUAGAAAGCAUAGUAAAGAUCUUGCAGAAAUAUAAAUAUUAGUGCUCAAUUACAUAACAUAGAACAUCCGAAUUGAAUAGUGAUUAUCAGGACUGUGUUACUUGCACUCCCAUUUAUAGAAAAUCUUGGUUCUGUUCCAUUAAAGUUUUUAUCUUCAAAAUCUUGUAAAGUUUUAACAAUCACAAAAGGCUCAGCUUGCUUGAUCUAUAUUUGUAUGAUAUGAAUCCAAAUUUAUAGAAAAUCUUACUUUUUUUACUAUUAUUUUUUUUUAAAUUUAAAAUUAUUAUUCUAAUUUAUAAAUUUAUCUUUUUUUAAAAAAAAUAGAGGGCUUGAACCUAGCUAGCUCGUGCAUUUUUUCCUAAACUCUUAUGCAAGCCCUCAUGUGCGGUCCAAAACCCGUGAGAAUGAGCCCAGGCUUGCUCCGACUUUUUGGCCAUGGAUAAUGAUGAUGAUGAUGAUGAUUAUUAUUAUUAUUAUUAUUAUUAUUAUUAUUAAUGAUAAAAAGUAUUAUAAUUAAUUAAUAUAUUAUUGUUAAUAUUGUUAUUAAUAAUAAAAUUUUUUUUAAUAAAAAUAAUCACAAUACUUAAAAUACAAAUUCAUAAUUAUAACAAUAGUUAAUUAAAGUCUUUUUAGCAAUUUGUAAUAAUCUAACUCAUUAUAAUUUUGAUUAUUACAGUUUAAGUAAAUAACUUAUUAUGAUUCUUAUUCUUCAUUUACACUUCAGUUCAUUCUGAUUUCAAUUUAUUCUGUUUUCCGUUUAAUAAAUGCAGUAUUAGUGCUCUAGUAAUAUUUCAUAUAGAGAAAAGUAAAAGCUAUACCUAAGGUUGAGGGAAAAGACUUCAAAACUCUCUUUUGAUUAUAAAACCUUUUGUCUUAAUUAACUUAAAGAUUUUGAAUCUAAUAUUUUAUAAUAAAUAAAAAUAUAUUCCUAAAAUAAAUAUAAUAAUAUCUAUUUUAAAAUAAAUAUCAAUAUUUAAAAUAUGUUUUAAUAUUUUAUGAUCUAUCAAACAUAUUUUAUUAUAUUAAAGUAAAUUUUAUAAUAAAUACAAACAUAAUGAAUUUAUAAAACAUUUAAAGUAUUUUGAAUAUUAUAUAAAAUAAUUUUAAUAUAAUGCAUGAGAUAUAUUUUAUUAAUUUAAAAUGCUAUUUAACCUAAAGAUUUAUUUAAGAUAAAUUAAUAAUUAAAUUUUUUAAAUUAUUUCAAAUAUUAAAAAUUUGUAAUAUUAUUAGUCUAUUAGAUAAAUUAAAUUAUUUAUAUUAUUUUGUAUCUAUUAAAAAAAAUUUAAAGUCAAUCUUUUUAAUUACUAUUGGAAGGAUAUAAUGAUUAAAAAAAUCUUAGUAUUUUUUAUUAAAAAUUUAAAAAUUUACAUGACCAUUUCUAUAAAUAUUUAGGUCUUGUUUGGUAUGUCAGAUUGGAUUGAAUUGGAUCUGAUCGGAUUAGAUAAGAUAGGAUUUGAUUGGAUAAUACUGGAUUAUAUAUAAUAUUAUGUUGUGUUUAUUAUGCCAUGAGAUUAGCUAGUAACUAAUAAUAUGUCUUAUAUAUUAAUUUAUUAAAAUCAUCGUAGAUUUACUUUAAAAUGACAUAUAAUAUAAUAUAACUUAAAUCAAUAAUUAUUGGUAAAUUUAUAAAAAAAAAAUACAAAAUCUUCCCUUAAGUUUUUUUUAAUAUUUAACAUGUUAUAAUUUCUAAUCCCAUGAAUAGUAGAGGAUAAAGUUUUAUCUUAGAAAAAGUAAUCCCAAGGGUCCCAUUGGGAUGAAAUUUUACCUUUACUGGAAUUAAGUGGUGGGCCCAUUAUUGUUACCUUUACUUUUUUUACACCAAACAUGAUAUAAAGAUUAUUUUACACUAAAAUUAUCCAAUCCCAUGAUAUAUAACUAGGGAUGGCAAAAAUUCCCAUGGGGACGGGUACCCUCGGGGAUUUUUCCCAUUCGGGGAGGGUAUGGGGAUAAUUUCAUAUCCAAUUUCUUAUUCGGGGAGGGGAUGGAGAAAUUUUUUUACCCAAUUUCUUAUUCGGGGAGGGGACGGGGAUGAGGUGGAAUCCCCAUCCCCUACCCAUUUCCCCAUUUUAAUUUUUAAUUUUAUUUUUUAAAAUUACUAGUAAAUAAAUUAUAAAAUUUAAAUUAUAAAAUUAUAAAUAUUGGUAAAAAUAAAAAAAUAUCAAAAUAUUUAUAUUAUUAAACUUUUGGGCCUAAUUAACUAAUUAAAGUCCUAAAUUUUUAUUUAGGAAAUUAAAAAGACCGAGUAGAUUCUAUUAGCCCAAAAUUUUUUUAAUUUUAAUAUUCUUUAAAUAUUUUAAACUUAAAUCUAUUUUUUAUUUAUUUUUAGAUGUUAUAAUUGCCCACAGCGAAUCACAAUUUUAAUAUCUAAUAUAAUCUAAUAUAAUAUUUGCUCUUGAUUUGCUCCGAUUUAACUAUUGUGUUGUAAAGGGAAUAGUCCACAUUUAUAAAGUGCCCACGCCACCAUUGAAAAAGUUAAUUUUGAAUCUAAAUUCGAUUUUAUUUGUAACAAAUUUGUAUUAGACUAUUAAUUUGUUCAUGAUAGUUUGUAAAAGAAGUUUGUAUCCCUUGCAUGCAACGUUACUUACUAAUUUAAUGUAUGUGACUUUUGUAAUGGAUAUUAAUGUAAGAUAUAUUUCGAACUUUACUUUUAUUUGAAUUUUUUAUUUUAAUAUGAUUAACUCAAAAUCGAAAACAAAAAAAAAUGUAUUAGUUAUUCGGGGAUCGGGGACCAUCGGGGAUCCCCUGUUAUUAUUGGGGGAGGGGAUAAAGAUUCUCUCAAGUAAUUCUGACGGGGACGGGAAGGGGACGAGGACAUACACAAAAUAUCGGGGAUGGAUACAGAGAGAUUGGUCCCCUCCCCUCCCCUCCCCAUUGCCAUCCCUAUAUAUAACUAAAACCAAACAGUCACUUAGGGUAUAUAUGAGCCACGGUGGAGAAGCUUUAUUUAAUAUUAUUGAUUUAAAUAAUAUCUCAUUAAAAAUGUACUGAGAAGAAAUUUCGGUGGGUAUUUUAGUCUUUUCAGCAAUCACAUGAUCAGCCUUUGGCCUUGAAACGUCGGUCAGAAAUAGAAUGAUUUAUUCUAACAAGAAAAAACUAGGUAAUAUUCCACAAAAGCAAAAGUGACAAAACAACCAGCUGAAUUCUUUUAGUAAACUACAAAUUAAAAUAGAUUUUUUCGAUAAACUACAAAUUAAAGUGGAUUCUUUUGAAUGCAAGUGGGACAGACGAUUAGGCUAAAAAUUAGUCAAGAAUCUAAUAGUCUUUUUCAAAUUCUUGUUUUAUUAUUUUUCAAAACCAGUUUUUGGUAAUUACAAUCGGGUCAUUAAUCAUUAUUCAGAGUUAUUGUUUCCUUCAAAAGUUAGUGGCUCAUGUUUGCAAGUGUGAAUGUGCGAUGCUCUUUUUCCAAAGCGCAAUGACAGUGGGUCCCGAAUCGGACGUCCCUAAAUCUUUUUAAAAUUUUUGCCGUAUAACGAACAGAGGUCAUUACUAAAAUUUCUCUUCCACAGCCUACAGCAGCUUCAGUUUAUCAAACUCAAUCAAUUUUCUUUCUUAACAAAAUUCCAAAGAUGUGUAGCAUUUUUCAGAUCACAUGCGAUGGUGCUCUUUUCAAUCGUUGCUUGGAUUGCUUUCUUGGAAAAGCAGCAUACAUACGUAACCUCCAAGAUAAUCUUGUAGCCUUGGAGACUGAAUUGGGAAAUCUAAUCGCAAUAAAGAACGAUCUGAUGAGGAGGGUUGACGAUGAUGAACGGAAACAAAUGAUAAGGCUGGAAAGAGUGCAACGGUGGAUUUCGAGGGUGGAUGCUGUUAAAACUGAAGCUGAUCAAUUUAUAGGAGACCGCUCUCAAGAAAUUGAAAAAUUAUGUGUUGGAGGCUACUGUUCCAAGAACUGCAGGUCAAGCUACAAGUUCGGAAAACAAGUGGCUAAAAAGCUACAAGAUGUGAAGACUUUAAUCGCCGAGGGAGUUUUUGAGGCGGUGGCUACUGAGGCGGUGCCCGAGAGAGCUCCGGAACCUGUAGCAGAUAAAAGACCCAUUGAGCCAACAAUAGUAGGCUUGCAAUCACAGCUUGAACAAGUUUGGAGAUGUCUUGUAGAAGAAUCAGUGGGAAUCAUUGGCCUAUAUGGUAUGGGCGGUGUUGGUAAAACCACUCUAUUGACCCGUAUCAACAAUAAAUUUCUUGAGAGUCAAAACAACUUUGAUUGUGUAAUUUGGGUCGUAGUUUCAAAAGACCUGCGACUUGAAAAAAUUCAAGAAGAUAUUGGGAAGAAGAUAGGUCUAUCUGAUGAUUCAUGGAAGAAUAAAAGUUUUGAAGAGAAAGCUGUGGACAUCCUGCGGAGAUUAGGAGAGAAGAGAUUUGUAUUGUUGUUAGAUGAUUUAUGGGAGCGGGUUGAUUUAACAGAAGUGGGCGUUCCACUUCCCAGCCCACAAAAUACUACAUCAAAAGUCGUAUUCACGACCCGUUUCAUUGAUGUUUGUGGUAGCAUGGAAAGUCACAGGAAGUUUAAAGUGGCAUGCUUAUCAGAAGAGGAUGCUUGGGAGCUGUUUCGAGAAAAAGUAGGGCAAGAAACUCUUGAGAGUGAUCAUGAGAUCGUUGAGCUAGCCCAAACUGUGGCCAAAGAGUGUGAUGGUUUGCCACUCGCACUUAUUACUAUUGGUCGAGCUAUGGCCUACAGAAAGAAAGCGGAGCAGUGGAGACGUGCAAUUGAAAUAUUAAGAAGAUCAGCUUCAGAGUUUGCAGAUUUGGGAGAAAAGGUGUACUCUCUUUUAAAAUUCAGCUAUGAUAGUUUGCAGAAUGAUACGGUUAGAUCUUGUUUCUUGUAUUGUUGUUUAUAUCCUGAAGAUUAUGGCAUUCUUAAAUGGGACUUGAUUGAUUGUUGGAUUGGUGAGGAAUUUUUUGGGGAAUCUGACAGGUUUGGUGCAGAAAACCGAGGAUAUGACAUUUUGGACACUCUUGUUCGUGCAUGUUUAUUAGAAGAGGUGGAAGAUGAUAAAGUAAAAAUGCAUGACGUUAUUCGUGAUAUGGCUCGAUGGAUAGCUUGUGAAAUUGAGAAGGAGAAGAGAAACUUUUUGGUUUGUGCAGGUGCUGGAUUAAAAGAGUCACCGGAUGUUAAAGGAUGGGAAAAUGUGAGAAGAUUGUCAUUGAUGCAAAACCAAAUUAAAACUCUGUCAGAGGUUCCCACAUGCCCUCAUCUCCAUACUUUAUUUCUUGCCUCUAAUAUGGAGUUGGAGAUGAUCGCGGAUGGCUUCUUCCAAUUUAUGCCUUCUCUCAAAGUUUUGAAGAUGUCACGCUGUGGGCAAUUCGAAGGUUUUCAGUUACCUAUUGGGAUGUCAGAGUUGGGUUCGUCACUAGAACUUCUUGAUAUUUCAUAUACCACCAUAACAGAGUUACCAGAAGAGUUAAAGUUGUUGGUAAAUCUGAAAUGUUUGAAUUUGAGUUGGACAUCUAGGUUAAAUAAAAUUCCACGGCAACUAAUAUCAAAUUCUUCAAGGUUAGGUGUGUUGAGAAUGUUUGCUACUGGCUAUGGAUAUUUUCAUGAAGCACCAGAAGACAGCGUUUUAUUUGGUGGGGGUGAAGUUUUGAUACAGGAAUUGCUCGGUUUGAAAUAUUUAGAGGUAUUGGAGUUGACCUUGGGAAGUUAUCAUGCUCUCCAAAUUCUUUUGAGCUCAAAUAAGUUAAAAAGUUGUAUUCGAUCUCUUUUCCUACAGUUGACCGGAGAUACAGCGUUAAUUAUUGAUGCUACGGCUUUCGCAGAUCUAAAACACCUCAAUGAAUUAUAUAUUUCUGAAGGUAUUGAGUUGGAAGAAUUGAAGAUUGAUUAUAUGGAGAUAGUACAAAAAAGGCGGGAACCUUUUGUUUUCCGCAGCCUUCACCGUGUUACUAUGGAGGUGUGUUUUGAAUUGAAAGAUGUGACAUUCCUCGUUUUUGCUCCAAACCUCAAGUCUCUUUCGCUAUGGAAUUGCCAUGCUAUGGAAGAAAUAAUCAGCGUCGGAAAAUUUUCUGAGACUCCUGAGAUGAUGGGACAUAUAAGCCCUUUUGAAAAUCUCCAAACUCUUGAUCUAUCAGAUUUGCCAGCUUUGAAUAGCAUCUACUGGAAGCCAUUGCCUUUCACUCAUCUGAAAGAAAUGGCGGUAAGUGGGUGUGAUCAGCUUGAAAAGCUUCCACUCGAUUCCAACAGUGCAAAGGAGCGUAAAUUUGUUAUUCGUGGAGAAGAAGACUGGUGGAACCGACUUCAAUGGGAGGAUGAAGCCACUCAAAUUGCUUUUCGUUCCUGUUUCCAACCUCGUUCCUGAGCGGUGGUCGCAAAAUUUGAUUUCUGGUGAGUGCGUUUGUCUUUUAAAAGAAGAAUUUAAAAGAAAUUUAUUCUUGUCGUUUUCUUCUCUGUUUUUAUUUCAGUUUCUCUCUCUCUCUCUCUCUGUCUUCUGCAAAUCACAAUUAAAUGUUGAAUUAAUGGAAUUAAUGCUUCAUAAAUUUGCCGGCAAAUUUAUAUCUUCUUAGCGAUUUAAUUUCCUGUCAAAAGACGAACGAGAAGAAUUGAUGCUCUGGUUUUUGACUUUUUGUUGUCAAAUUUUACUCUGUUUUUUCAAAUUGAUGCUUCAAUAUUUGAAUCAAAUUAAUGCUCACGUAAAUUUGUCUAGUUGCCGUAAAAGAUAUAAUUAGACUGAAAUACACACUUUUAGAAUCAAUAGAAUUAAACAGAGAAAACAUUAAGUAUAAUAGCCAUCUUCACAUAAAACACAUGAUUAACAUUAAGUUAAAAUUUUGAAGUUUUGAUUUUCUAUGGUCAAUCAUACCCUUUAUAAUUUCUUCUGUUCUAACCACAAUAAAAUUUUUGGUUCCAGGAUUUUUAUUUGGGGUAUUAAUAAUAGUCCACCAAAAGAGUGAACAGUUGGAUGCUGCUCUAAGGGUCUCUAAUCAAUAGCUGGAAGCAAUUGAGAAGGCGGUCGCUACUGUGUACAAAGCCAUGCAGUAUUUGUUAUUCAUCUUAGUAAUUAUGAAGCUUUGGUAAAAUUUUCAUGAUUUUGUAUGAAUAUCGUUGUUCCAUUGAGUUGUAUAUGAAUUCAAAUGUAAAAUAUUCUUUGGUUUUCAAUUUUGAAUUCAAUUUCUUUUUCUUAAGCAUGUUGUGCAGAAAUGAUUUCUAUUAAAUCAUUUUUGAUAAAUUAUUUAAAUUAAACAACUGGAAUAAGAACUGUAAGGAUUUAUCGUAAGCAGACUAAUAUGAUAAUUCUGAAACUAUCAUUUUUUUUUUCAAUUUGUUGCAGGGAAAGCCAAAUUUUGCGUUUUUCAGUUUUAUCUGAUAUGGAAUUUAUUUCAAUUUGUUAUUUUUAUGAAGAAAAAUUGAAAUUUUAUUAAAUAGGUGACAUAAUAAUAAAUGGAUGCUUGUAAAAAUUGAGAUUAUUGAUAUAAUUAAUAAAUAGAUUGGAUUGAAGUGAGUUUAAUUUUGAGAAGAUAAUAAGACGACGCGACACAACUACAACCAACCAGUCAACCCAAAUUGCCACCUUUUACUAUCUUCUUUGUGUUAUUUCUCUAAAACUUUAUGCCUUCUCUUACACUUUUAAAUCUUAAGUGUUUGAACUGGAGUACACAAAUUAUCUCUCUAUGAUUCCAAAACAACCAAUUUGUUACUUGGUAAAUCUUAAUCAAUGGGAGGAAGCAAUUGAGAAGGCGGCCGCUACUGUGUACAAAGCCAUGCAGUAUUUGCUAUUCAUCUUAAUAAUUGUUAAGCUUUGGUAAAAUUUUCAAAAUAAGUUGACAUAUUAUUUUGAGAUUUGGUUCAUGAUUUUGCAUGAAUAUCGUUGUUCCGUUUGAGUUGGAUGUGAAUUCAAACCUAAAUAUUCUUUGGUUUUCAAUUUUGAAUUCAAUUUCUUUUCCUCAAGCAUGUUAUGCAGAAAUGAUUUUUACGAAAUCAUUUUUGAUGAAUUAUUUAAAUUAAACAAUUGGAAUAAGAAUUGUAAUGAUUUAUCAUAAGCAUGCUAAUAUGAUAACUUGUUUUACGAACGAUUAGUUAAUCAAUUAAUAUUAAAUUGUAUAUUAGUCAAUUAGAUAUGUGUUAUAUUUGUCAUAUUCUAAAAAUUAUUUAUUUAUAUUUCAAAUAAAUUUGACCAGAGGUUACGUAGGUAAUACUACAUAAUUUCUAAAGGAAUGUAAAAAUUUAAAAUUUUAUUAAAUAGGUGACUCAACCAUAAAUGGAUUUCUGCAAGAAUUGAGAUUCUUGAGAUAAUUAUUACAUGGGGAAUUUUGGUUAGUUCAAUUUUGACAUGGUAAGAAGACGACACGGCGCAGAAAACCCAAAUUGCCACUUCUAGUGAUAGUAAUAAAAGAUACUUGUUUGAAAAGUAAUUAUAAACUAUCUUCUUUGUGUUAUUUCUCAAAACUUUUGUGGCACAAAUGUUACUUCCCUGGAGAAAAGUACGAAAUACCCCCUUUCACGUCGGCAGAAGCAAAGCAAAGCUAUGAGAGCAUCUCCAAAAGCCUAUAUAAAUUUUACUCUUCAAAUACCUAUUUGCUUACUUAUGUGGCAAAUAAAAGGGUGAAAAAAUAUGAUAUUCUCCAAAAGACUCUUCAAAUAGAAAAAAAGUUAAUAUUAUUUUAAUCAUAUAAUUAGUUUUUUAAAGGAAAAGUCAAUAGCAAUUAAAGCACUCCUCUCUCUUUCUUCAAUAAAAAAUAAUAAAAUAUAAAUUGAAGAGGGAGAAAUUAACUCUCCAAAUUUGAAGAGAGAGAAUUAAUUCUUAUUUGAAGAAUCUUAAUUGAAGUAUCUUUUGGAGCUUUAAAUAUUGAUGUGGCUCUUCAAAUAAGUAAUAAAAUCUUAUUUGAAGAGCCUUUUGGUGAUGCUCUGAGCUAUCUCUGUAUACUUGAAAUGCCAUUGCUAAACGAUUCUCGAUGAUUGGUGCCACUAGGCGAAGUGUUGUCGCCGAUUUGCAUGAUUUAUUAGUUGUCCAGAUGCCAGAGAAACCAUGGUGGCAUUGAAGUUGCCCAGAUGGUUAGUUUUCUGAUCAUUUUUUUAUUCAAUUAUUCAUUUUUUUAGAAAAAUGUAAGAAAUAUGUAGAAAUGUUGACAGCUACGAUUUUGAAACUUUGCCUAAAAUUGUUAUCAUCACUUAUUUAAAGAGAAAUCCUAGAAACAUGACAUGAUUAGCAGCCUAAUUCAAAAUUAGACGUGAUUACAACAAGAGAAAAGUGGAGAGAACUUGAUAGUCGAGUGCAUUUAGAAUUUAAUUUUUCUUUUAGCUGCCAAUCAUUAAAUUUUUUAUUUCAGAAAAUUAUACCUAGAAUAUUUCAAGGAUAUACUAUGAAGAUUAUGAAGGUUUGAUUACAUGUCAUUAUCAAUUGCCCCAAUCAUUUGUAGUAAAUUAAUUGAUCAUUUUGAUGCAAAUGAUUCCCUACUAAAAAAUUCAAGUCAAAGCGGAAUUGCAUAGUAGUUAGUCGCGCUUGCACUUCAAAUUAAGUAUUGUAUUUUCUGCCUGGUUUGGUUGAUUAAAGUGUGUGCAUUUGCUUUUGAACGUUGUAGUAUAGAAAUCGAAACAUUUGUUUUUCGCUAAGCCCAGAAGCAAAGUUCUUUGUACUGUACUCAUCACUUCUCUUCGUUCUCUUUGUUGAAAUUUUAUCCAAACAGAGGUUUCUUCGAAUUUGUGCCUUCUCUUACACUUUAAAAUCUAUCAAAGAACCGUUACCUGAGAAGAUUGCCAUCAGGAAUUUCUAAAUUGAUUUCACUAUAAUACCUUAAUCUUUCAGAUACUUCCGUCACUGGGUUGCCAAAAGUGCUAAAAGCCUUGGUAAAUCCUACGUGUUUGAACUGGAGUACAAAAGUUAUCUCUCCACAAUUCCAAAACAACUGAUUUGUUACUUUUCAAUUCUACACGUUCUGCGAACAUUCAGUUGUGGUUAUCUUGCUGAAAUACCAGAAAAUAGGGUUCUAUUUGGCGGUAGUGGAUUCUUGGUUGGGGAAUUGCUUAGUUUAAAACGUUUAGAUGUAUUAAGCAUCACCUUAAAAGGUUUUUCUUCUGUCCUAACAGUUUCAAAGCUGUACAAAAUGUUUGGAGCUUAUAGACUGUGAUGAUUCAAAGUCGUUUGCCUUGGCAGAGUUGAAGCAUCUUGUAAAACUAGGUUUUUCAAAUUGUGGAAAUUUGGAAGAUAAAUUACAUUUAUAAACUGUGGAUCACCCUUUAUAAGUAUUAGGCUUAUCCCAUACUCGAGCAAUGUGGAAUACCUUUAUAAGCAUUAAGCCUCUCCCAUACAAUUUCUGUACAUGACUCUUCUUUUUUUUUUUUUUUUUUUUUUUUUUUUAAGAUCGUUAAAAGUGGUUGAUGAUCCGUUUUGUAAUAUCAUAGAGGGAUCAUGAAUUCCUUUUCUUUUCUGUGGCUAGGCAACACUUUUGGCCAAAGUAAGGAAAUCUAUUUUAGGUAAUGUAAAAACCAGUUGUGGGAUGUAAUAGUUUAUUAUGCACUGACAAUAACUUUUUGUAUAAUUGUCAGUUUAAUGAAUAUGAGAGGAACUCUGUUGGCAAAUUCAACCAUGAUAGAUGCUAAAUUAUACCAGUUGCCUUAACUAAUUUUUCUCAACACUGGUAUUGAACAGGAAAAUGAAUAUGCAAUUUGUAUUUGUGCCAUUGUGGAGAAUUUGGAUAUUCUUAUUUUUAGUAACAAGGAGAGUAUUUGCCUCAUCUUUAAACAAUGAAUCUUUGAGAAAUGAGGAGUGGGUGAUUGGCAGUGUCAGAGUGUCUUCAUGUAAAUGUUCAUUUAUUUGUAUUUUGAACUAUUAUUAGAAUCUUUAUAUGCCAAAUUAGUAGUACAAAUGUUCAGAUGAUUUUUCCUGUUGAUCAUUUCAUUCUUGAGAGCCAUGUACAAUACUAGGAUACCAGAGAAACCAAGGUAGCAUUGAAGUUGCCCCAGUGGCUAGUUUUCCGAUCAUUUUUAAUUUAUUCAAAUUUUUAUGUUUUAGAAAAAUGUAAGAAAUAUGUAGAAAUGUUGAUAGCUAUGAUUUUGAAACUUUGCCUAAAAUUGUUAUCAUCACUUAUUGUUUCUUAUUUAAAGAGAAAUCCUAGAAACGUGACAUGAUUAUUCCAUACUUGUUUUAAUAUUAUUUAUUAGCAGCCUAAUUCAAAAUUAGACGUGAUUAUUUGUUACUUUUAAUGCUACAUGUUCUGGGAAUAUUCAGUUGUGGUUAUCUUGUUGAAAUACCAGAAAAUAGCGUUCUAUUUGGUGGUAGUGGAUUCUUGGUUGGUUUAAAUGUAUUUAAGCAUCACCUUAAAAGGUUUUUCUGCUGUCCAAAAACUUACGAGCUCCCAAAAGUUUCAAAGCUGUGCACAACCUUUGGAGCUUAUAGACUGUAGUGAUUCAAAGUUGUUUGCCUGCGCAGAGUUGAAGCAUCUUGAAAAACUAGGUUUUUCAAAUUGUGGAAAUUGGAAGAGUUUAAGUUCUGCUGUGUCGAGGAUGGAAAGGCUCGAGAAUGUUUUUGUGUGAACAGCCUCCAACGAGUUAAGAUAAAGGCUUGUCAUAAAUUGAGGGAAGUGACAUGGCUUGUAUUUGCUCCGUGUCUUGAGGUUAUUCAAAUAGACAAAUGUAUGGGGAUGGAAGUAAUAAUCAGUGCAAGGAAAUUGGUUGAAUUUCCAGAGAUGAUGGCAGAUCUAAACCCUUUUGCAAACAAUAUCUUGGCCCACGAGUUCUACCAAAAUUAAAAAGCAUCUAUUGGAAUCAGUAGCCCUCUCUACAUGUCAGGCGAAUUUUGUAUCUGAAUGCCCAAUUCUCAAGAAGCUUCCACUUGGUUUUAACAAUGCAAAGGAAUCUAAAACUAUCAUUAGGGGAGAAGAACAUUGGUCGAAUGAGCUGCAAUGGGAGGACAAAGUGACCCUCAAUGUUCUUCUUCCUUGUUUCGGAUCCAUUUGAGGGCAUCAACAUGGAUUGAUAUGAUGCAAUGGGAGGACUUCAUUUUGUUUCGGCCAGAAAUGUUUGUUUCGAUCGAAGACUUGAACCAUUUUCAUUGAACCUGAUUAUGAUGCUUUACGUUAUGCAUGUUCCUCUUAAUCAAGAAAAGUUGAGGUGAUGAUUUUAUAUUUCUAUAUUGUAAGUUGAAAUAAUAAUUGGUCUGCUUGUUUCUGUAGCUUGAUAACAUGAAUUUUCCUUCUCAAGUUAAUUUAAUCAAUAAAGUAAUUCUUCAAAGAAAAUAUGCCCAUUCUAUAAUCAUUUUCUUAACUAACAUGUUUUUUUCUUCACUCUUCAGAGCAUGUUGAAACUAAUUGAUCGCUCGGCAGAGACUUUGGGUGAGAAGACAAAAUUUCUUGGUAAAUCCUCUGAAAAGUUAUGCAUAAUUCCGGAGUAUUAAAUAACCAAUGGUCAUAAUUUUUGUACAGGACUCUUUUCUUGUGGAGAUGAUUAAAAGUGGCUGAUGAUCCAGUUUGUAUAUCAUAGAGGUAGCAUCAAUUCCUUUUCUUUUCAGUGGCUAGGCAACACUUUCAGGGCAAAGUAAGGAAAUCUAUUUUAGGCAAUGUGAAAACCAAUGGUAGGAUGUAAUAGUUUAACAUGCACUGACAAUAACUUUUUGUAUAAUUGUCAGUUGAACGAAUACAAGAGGAACUCUGUUGACAAUUCAUCCAAGAUAGAUGCUAAAAUUCAUCCAGUUGCCUUAACUAAUUUUUCUUAACACUGGUAUUGAAGAGGAAAAUGAAUAUGCAAUUUGUAUAUUGUGCCAUGUGGAGAAUUUGGAUAUUCUUAUCUAAGUAACAAGGAGAGUAUUUGCCUCAUCUUUAGACAAUGAAUCUUUGAGAAAUUAGGAGUGGGUGAUUGGCAGUGUCUUCAUGUAAAUGUUCAUUUGUUUGUAUUUUGAGCUAUUAUGAGAAUCUUUUAUAUGCCAAAUUAGUAAUGCAAAUGUUCAGAUUAUUUUUUCUGUUGAUCGUGCAUUUGUGUCUGCUCACAACCAUUGUAUAUCACUUCAUUCUGAUGCGCAAGUCUCUGUAGUUUAGAAGAAAAGAAAUAAUAAUGAUAUAUUAUUGCUUGAUUCAUGAUUAUUAAAUGAUUAUGGCUUUAAAAAACCUACAAAUUCCUUCUGUUGAUAUAUGAAUGUACCAAGUUUGCUAUAUCUUAGAUUACCAUUUCCAAGAUAACAAGUUCAAUUUUUUUCUUUAUCCUUUUCCAUCACAGUUGCAUUUUAAGUGUAAGAUUUGUUAUUAAUACCUGGUUUCUCGUCAUUAUGAUUUCAUAAACAGUGUAUGGGUAUGUGCUCUACUUUUGGAGGGCCUCCACGUGAAAGAAAAUUGCAACAAUUGAAUUCUUCCGGAUGGUAUGGUAUUUAAUUUAUUUUCUCAACCUCUUGUAAGACUAAUAUAUUUUCCUUCAGUAGAUACGGCAUGGUGGGAAGGGUUUUUUAUUGAAAGAAUUCUGAUAUUUCUUAGACUUUGUUUUGGAAGGGGGUGCAGGGGUUUCUCAUCCAUAUAUGGUUACUUGAUUAGCUUUUGACUGUAUUGCCUCAAACGUGCAAAGGAAGAUCCAAAUACAAAUGAAGGAGAAUUGUUUAGACACCCAGAAGAUGGAAAUGAACUACAGAAGGAAGUUUUUGCUGCUUUAUUUAGUGCUCCUGAGAAAUCUGAUGAAUUUCCUGAAAUUACGGUGAAGACCAAGUGUGAGGUCCAAAGCAUUAGGAAAGGUGGUGAGUGAACUGCCGGAGGAAUUGGUACAGAAUACAAGGCUAAUGUGGUGGACUUGCAGCAAGAUAACCGGAACAGUACGUGCUCUUAUAUUAACUAUAUUGACUGGAUUUGCUAGUGUGUGCAUUUUCGUGUGUAUACUUUUGUAUUUAUGCAUAUUAAUGUGUGUAGGAUUCUUGAUUUCUGCCACUUACUGGAGAACUAAUGGAAAGCUUUAUACUGGUAUAUCUGCAAUAACUAAUGGAAACUAUGAUAUUAAUAUUAUCUCUCGCUUGGAGAACUGCGUAACAGAUAUACUUUGUGGCUCUGGAAUACUAAAGAUUCUGCAAUAACUAAUGGAAACUAUGAUAUGAAUAUUUUCUCUCACCUGGAGAACUUUGUAACAGUUACACUUUGGGGCUUGGAAUGUCUAAAGAAUUUUGUCUGCUUCAGUUAGAUCAAAUAUCUUUUAGUUACAUACAUUAUAGAAAAGAUAAAGUUCUCUGAAUCUGAAAGACUUAAAAUUUUGCAUAUUUCUUGAAAGGGAAUAUCUGUAGAUACUAGUUCAUGCAUUGUGGUAGCAUCAAUGUUAAAGAAAAACAGCAGUAAGUUAUUAUAUAGAAUUAGGUUCACUUGCUUUAAAUCCUGGUCUGGUCAACCAUAUGAACCUGUAAGUGGUUCUGUAGAAAUAUAUAUAUACGGGGAGAAGGUAGCUAAAUUUUCCUUUCAUUUAUGGGUUUGGUCAUUUUUUCCCCUUAUUUAUGUUUUCUCACACAUUUUUUAUAUGCCCCAAACAUGCAAUUUUGUAUGUGUCAAUUGCCUUUUAAGUUUUAAAAACCAUAAAGUAAGAAUACAGUUUCUUGUCAGGCUAUUGAUGCAUUUGCUCGGGGGAUCAUGCUCGAGCAGGAAAACUUCUAGAACAGGUAAGGUUUCCAUCUACAGCCAUUUAUUGACAACAUAUAUAUUUUCAUUCAGCAAGCACUGUUAGCAUUCAAGAUGCUGGCAGAUUCACUUGAUUCUUAUUAGUUUGUUUAGUAGCAAAGCAUAUAACCUGUAUUUUAAAGCUAAGUUGUGCUAUUGAUUAUGUUAACUUUAUUGUUCACAUAAAGUGAUAUAGAGGAAAUAAUCAAUGUAGGAAAAUUAGGUGAAGAGAUGAUGUCAAAUCUUGAACCUCUUACAAAACUCCAAGUUCUUUACUGGAAGAAACUACCAAAUUCGAACAGCAUCUACUGGAAGGCCUUGCCAUUCCCUGAUGUAUGCAGAAUUUUUGUAUUUAAAUGCCCAGAGCUUAAGAAGCUGCCACUGGAUCUUGAAAGGGCAGGCCAAGGUAAAAUUCUUAUCAAGGGAAAGAAAGAUGGGUGGAAACAACUUCAAUGGGAGGAUCAAGUAACUCAGAAUGCAUUGCUUCCAUUUUUAAAAUCAACUCAGAAGUGAUUGAAGGGGGCGUCAUCAACAUGGAUGGAGAGAUUCUGGAGCAGAUCAGCGGGGUUUAGUACGACCUGUGGUGGUUUCUUUGUUGUGACUUUUUUCCCUUUCAUUUUUUCACUUCCUGUCAUAUUAUCAUUUCUUUGUCUCUGUUUCUAUUGCUGGUGUUGCUGCAUGCUUGCCGUCCUUGACAAAGUUAGCUAGUUUUUUUUUUUUGUUUAUUAAAUUUUGUAUGUUCGGUCGGGACAGUCACACAGUACUACUUGUUCUAUAUGGGGGUGAUGUGAAUCAACUUUUCAAUUAUAUAUUCUGUGGUAAUUGUGAAUUCAAUUUCAUUUGUCUCCUGCAAAUUAUGAAGAAAGUGCAGGGUUAGAAUGUGGAACUUUUCACUGGCAAAUACUUUGUAAAAGCUUCGGAGUGAAACAGGAAAUGCACUUGCAACUAAGGACAAAUUGGUGGCCAGCUAAUGCAUUCAUUUUAUGUACAUUCAUCAUUUUAAUUAUUAAAGAUAAGUGGUUCGUUGCUUUUGUUGUAGAUAAAAUUCAGACGACCUCAAUUGUGAGAUGACAAUAUUUAAAAUAUCUCUUAAAUUAUUAUAAAUUUAAUUUAUCUUAAUUUUAUUUAAAAGAUAAAAGAAAAAUGUGGUAUAUGGAUAAAAAAAUUUUAUCUUAAUAAAAUGAAAUAAAUUAAAUUACAAUAAUUUAAAAUAUUUAAAAAUAUUAUUUGAUAAGAGAUUAAUAUGAAAUUAAUCGUUUUUACUUUUUGAACGUGAAAGGACAAGAAAAAAGAAAGCAAGUGUCACUGCUUUUUAUUUUAUUUGAAAUUGGAGUUAUCCCAUAUACUUUACUACUUUAGCUCUAAGAUUACAAUGUUUUUAGGCAACACUUUUAUUUUUCUCUUUCCCCCUUUUUUUGUACAUGCAUGUGGAUUAUUUUUCUCUAAGCUCCUUAAUAUUUAAGACAAAUCAUAAAAGCGAUUGAAGUAUAACAAGAUGAUCAAAUAUUUAACUAAAAAAAGAAAAAGAAAUAAAACACUGAAAAUGGAGACGUUGAUUAAUUUAGAAGAGAUCCAAGCAAAAGAUAUUCCCAAAAAGAAAAAAAAGAAGAAGCAAUGUAUCCCUUUAGAGGGCAAACUUAUUAGUUUUAAAAAAGUACACGCUUUGGAUUGAUGGUUGCAGGAUAUUUGUUUUUGACACCUAUAUUAGUUGGAAAAGUCGACCGUAGUGGAGAAUGUUAUGAAAGAGAGCAAAGGAUAUUUUUAACAGUGCUCUAUUUGAUUAUACGCAUUCAUUGAAUGGAAGAUAUAUGACUGCGUUAGUUCAUCCAUGUCUGUCAAUUCGUUUUUUAUGGUUUUUUUUUUCCAGUUGUUUGUUGUAAUAGAUUGAUUGUAAAUUGAUAUUAACUUGAUGUUGUAAUAUGUUCGCUUUUGUGGAAUUAAAUUUGAAUAUUCAAGAUUAUUCAAGUCUUAUCUAGUAUGUUUUCAAUUGUGUUGUCGAUAAUUUUGCAUUCGAAUAAGUUUCACCUAAAAUAUUAGCAUGAGUAGUAGUCCUUGAGACUUUGGUCAAAAUUAUUGUUAUUGUUUGUUUUAGAGGAAAUUUUUUUAUUAAAGCCUCGUUAACACUAUUACUUAUUAAGAUUAUAAGUUAGUGUCGGUGCAGGAUUUGCAGCAACAAAUCUUGUCUAGCCACGUGUCAAAAGUAUAAAUAAAUCAAGGGAAAGCACAUGACAUGUUGAGCUGGCAAAACGGGUCAUCGAGUCAUGUUCGUGUCGUGUCAAAUUUAGGUCGACCCAAACCCGACCCAUUUAAUAAUCGUGUCAAAAUAUUGAGACCCAAACCUGACACGAAAAAAUAAUCGGGUUACCCAAUAACCCGCUUAAUAUCUAUAUAUUAAACAAAAGUUACAUCAAAUAUUUACACUUUGUCAUACAUAUGUAUGCACAUACAUACAUACAUACAUACAUACAUACAUACAUACAUACAUACUUUAUCACUAUUAUAAAAUAUACAUAUCUACUAAAAUAUUACACACACUAUUAAGGUUUUAAUUAUAUAUAUGUAAAUAAUAUUGUAUAUCAAUAUUAUAAAAUAUACAUGUCUACCAAUAUUUUAUACAUUUAAACUAUUAAAGCUCUAAAUGUAUUUAAAAUUUUAUAAAUAAAAUAUUGUGUCUAUAUUCAUCCUUUUAAAAGAAAAAAAAUUAUCUCUAAUAUUUGAGUUUUGAUGACAAGAAUCUGUAAAUUAUUUUAAAAUAAAAAAUAUAAUCGGGUCAUUAAUCGGGUAAAUGGGUCAAGAAUUUUAACCCUAACCCGACACGGAAAAAAAUCGUGUUGACCCGGACCCGACCCAUUUAAUAAUCAUGUUAAAUUCGACGACCCAUACCCAUUUGUUAGUGUUGUGUUCGUGUCGGAUAAUCGGGUCGUGUCAAAUUUUGCCAACUAUAAUGACAUGGAUUAGGAUCCAAUAAAAAGGAAAAGGAUAACUGUAUCCUAAAGUUUCAAUAAGAGAUACUAAGAUAUCUUUUGACUAAUGUUAUUUUUUGACUUUAUUAAUAAAAGAUCCAAUAGUUUAUAACAAAUAAAAAUAUAGUAUUAAGCUAAAUGUGAUAAUUUACACAUUUUACAUAAUUACAAUAAAAAAUAUAUUUUAAUGUUUUACAAUCUAUCAGACAUAUUUUAUUAAAUUAAUAAGAUUUUUCUUACAAAUAGCAACAUAAUAUUAAAAUAAAUUUAUAAAGAUUUAAAUGUAAAAUAAUUUUAGUAUAAUUAAUACGUGGGAUAUAUUUUGUAAAUUAUAAAAUUACUUAACCCAAUGAUUUUUAAAAAUCUUUAAAAUAAAUAAAAAUAAAUUAUUCACAUUUUGAUGUAAAUAUUUAAAACAUUUUUAUACAUUUGUCCACAAUUAUUUAUGUUAUAUUUGUAUUUAUUAGAAAUUUUGAAAGUCAAAUGUUUUUCACCUCUAUCUUAUUAGAAUUAUUGCACACAGAGAAAGAGCCAUAUAUGCUUUAUAGCUUUAAAAUCGGUUUGUUUUAUAGCUGGGAACAGAGAUGAUCAUUAUUAUAAGGAUUAAAAAAAGAUAAAGAAUAUUAAUGAUUAACGAAAUCUUUAUGGAAAUUGAAUUUAGUAAGAAAAAAAUUGAGCUGAUUUUAGUGGUAUAGUAAUAUUUUAUAUAGAGAAAAGUAAAAGUUGCACCCCGAAAUGUUCAAAACUCUUUUUUAAUUAUAAUAUUAUUUUUCCUAGAUAACUUAAAAAUUUGACUCUAAUAUUUUAUAAUAAAUAAAAACAUAUAAUCCUAAAAUAAUUAAAAUAAUAUAUAUUUUAAAAUAAUCUCAAUAUUUAAAAUAUAUUUUAACAUUUUAUAGUCUAUCAGAUAUAUUUUAUUUUUUAAAGUAAAUUUUAUAAUAAAUACAAACAUACUAUUAAAAUAGAUAUAUAAAAUUUUUAAAGUAUUUUGAAUAUUAUAUAAAAUAACUUUAAUAUUGUUAAUGCGUGAGAUGCAUUUUAUUAAUUAAAAAUUCUAUUUAACCCAAAGAUUUAUUUAUAAUAAAUUAAUAAUCAUAUUUUUAAAAUUAUUUUAAAUAUUAAAAAAUAUUUUAAUAUUACUAACUAUUAGACAGACUAAACUAUUUAUAUUAUUUUCUAUUUAUUAUAAAAUUUCAAAGUUAAUCUUUUUUAACUAGUAUUCAAAAGAUAUUAUGAUCAAAACAGAAUUUUUGUGUUUUUAUGAAAAAUUUAGAGUUUACAUCUAUUUUUUCAAAUAUUCGGGGUGUAAAUGUUUUUCCCCUUUUAUAUAUACGAACGGUGGUGAGAAAGCAUGAUUUAACGUUAUUUAUUUAAAUAAAAUCUCAGUUAAAAAUGUAAAGAGAAGAAAUUUCUGUUGGUAUUUUAGUCUUUUACCAAUUAUCAUGAUUAGGCCUUGGCCUUGAAACAUUAAUUGUUUCACUUUUAGCGCUAGUGUCGUUGAAAGUUGUCAAGAAAAAGCAAGACCAUAUUCCACAAAAGCAAAAGUAACGUAGGCUCUUUUAUAAAAGGCAAAGAAAGUAUAAAGUAGUCAAGAAUCGAAUAUCCUGUCGUCUACUCUUUUUUAAAUUCUUCUUUUAUUAUCUUUUAGAAUAGUUUUUGGUAAUUACAAUCAUUAUUCAGAGUUAUUGUUAUCUUCCGGGGCAGUCUCUGUUCAUCGAAGUCGUUACCUUUUUUUUAUGGAUCAGUUCCAGUGCUAAGCAGUAAUUUUCUUAGAACUCGGAUCUUUAAUUCGAGUUUAUGUGUGAAUUAAUAAUAAAAAAUUUUCAUUACACGCAAUUUAAGCUACGAAUUACUUUUUUGCAAAGUUGAAUAUGAAAUUGGAGAAAUUAAGUAAUUUAGAAUGUUGGUAAAAAUUGACAAACAUAUCUCUAAUUACAGUAAAACCUCUCUAUAGUCAUAACAUUAUAACAAAAUUAAUUUUAUUACUAUGUUGAGGUAAUAUAGGUUUAGUUACAAAAUUAUUGUUUUAAUAUGGUUAGUGUCAAGUGAUAUAAAGGUUAAAUAUGCAGUACAAUGAUAAUUAAAUAAUGAAGCGUGUCAAUUCUAAUGUAUAUAUAUUAAUGAUAUAGAUAGACAUAGUUUCAAAAAACUAAUUAAUGUAUAUUUAUGUAGUGUUAUGAAUAUGGAAAGUCAAGCCUACACUUUACAUUAUCCUUAGUUUUUUCUCUUAGUUAAAUUCUACAAAUAUUGUACAAUGAUUGGGCAAGAACUCUAAAUUAAGAAUAAAUUAUUGUCACAAAUAAUUUUACAAAAUAUUUUAUUUCGUCUUAAACCUUUAAUAUAAGUAAACAUAUAUAUAUAUAUAUAUAUAUAUAUAUAUACCAGAAGGAAAUAGGAUCGAAGGAUGGGUGUGUAUUGAAGAUGCUUCUUUAUUGAUUGCUUUAAUGAAAUAAUUGGAUCGCGGUUGUUCAGAUUUUAUAUAAGAUUACCAGCUUUAGAUUAAGUAGAUUUGUUUUAGAGCAUACAAUGAUCAAACAAAUUUGAACGCGGUUGGUCAAAUUUUUAGAAUAUUUAAAGUACGUGGCGUUGUUAGACCAGAUCGAUCGCAGAAGUUAAUCUGCCUUUGGACCCAGAUCUGACUUAGAACAGAUCAAUAGUCCGCACGUUCGGGUUUCCAGCCUAUAUACUUUAAUAUAUUUACCAGAUAAAAUUAAGUUGCUUUAAACGUGGUUGUUUCUUUUUAUUGGGCUAAUUCCAGAUUUAAAUUAGAUUCUUUAAGGGGCUUGGGUACAUACACAGUACCAGAUCCGGAUCCCGGAAAUGGUGCUCUGAAGGAAUGGAGGAAGAAGAGAAGAUUUACAACUGAGGAUCGAGAUCCGGUCUCUUUGCCUCAGAGGAACGUACAAAUUUUAUGGCAGAUCUGAUAAAGACCAGUCUGCUUUGCAUGCUUUGAAAAGAAAAUUGCUUUAAAAAUAAAUUGCUUUAAUGUAAAUAUGCAUGAAAUUAAAUUGCAGAAAAGUAAAUUGCGAAAAUUUAAAUUACAUCGAAAUUAAAUAACUGAAAUUUAAACAUACAUCUUUGCUUUGAUAGUCUUGGUCUUUACAAUUUUCAAAUCUUUCCUGAAGGGAAGAUUGAAAGACGGGAAGAUUACAAGACAGGAAUGGUUUCCUUGAUGUCUUGAUCCAGACUUCCCAAGAGAGAGAGAGAGAGAGAGAGAGAUCUAGAGAGAAGGAGGAGAAGAAGAGAAAAAUGAAAAACCUGAGGAGUCUGAGUCUUCCUCUUGGUUUAUAUACAAAAUUUUGUAAACUGUUCACUGUAGCGGAGCUUUGAGUGCACAGUAAUCUUUGGAAUUUUGCACUGUUCACUGUAGCGGAGUUUUGAGUGCACAGUAAUCUUUGGAUCGUAGCUUUGAAUAGUAGGCUGACCGUAGCUUUGAACAGUAGACUACUUUGUACAAAAAUUGAAAUACAUAAUGAAAUACAACACGGGUGAAGAGACAUGUGCGCUCUCACUUGUGUCCAAGGGACCACCCGAGAGAAAAUUACUCUUUUCUUUUUUUUUUUUUUUUUUUUUUUUUUUUUUAAGUAAAUAACCAAAUAAUUAUUUACAAUGCUUUAUAGGAGAAAAAAUGCCGAAACAAUCAUCUUCAUUUUCGUCUCCAAGAGAAAUGAAGGGCUCUUCAUCUUCAUCAUCGUCUUCGUCUUCAGAGGUGUCAGCUACUGAUGACUUUGAACGGGAGGCGAGGAGCUGUUCCAUUGCUUUGAAGUAUUCCUCUUCUGUCUUGGCACUUGCCAAAAGAGACUGGGCUUUGGAUUUUUGGGUUAAGAAGGUCUGUUGGGCUUUAGAGGCUUCUAGGGUUGGUUGGAGAAGGUUUUUAGAGGAGAGCCAAUCUUUGAUCAUGUUAACAGUCAGUUUGGACUGUUCAUCAAAUUUUGACCACCAUUUGACUUUAAAGGUUCUUUGAAGGAUGACUUGGGAAUCUUGAGUAUGAAAACGGAGGUUCCACAUCCAGACCCAUGGUAGGAAGAAGUUUGUACAAAAACAGAGAAAGGGGGGAAAUCUUUUCUCUGAGUCAGAGGGCAUAUAGUGGGCUUUAAAGAGGUUUAGGCAAUUUAUGGCAUUUGGAGUGAGGAUUUGAGGUAUUGGGCCAAAGAAAUUCCACCAAUGAUGGAACCAGUUUGGAAGGCUUUGGACGGUUAUUUUAGGGUUAAAGAAAAAUAACCAAGAAUGGGAUUUUUUAGGGUUUUGAAUAAAAAAAGGUGUUAUACCAUGCUUGUUGGUAAUCCCAGUAGGAGAAAGUCCGACAAUGUGGUAAACGGGUUUCAAAGUUUAAAGGAAAGGUUUUGAAAUUGUGGAGUAGGUCGCCCCACUGGUUCGGGCUCAAAACUUUUAGAAUCGUGGCCGUGGAAUAGGCCGGUUCAGAAUGGGUUUUAUCAAGAAAGAAAUGUUUGAAUUUAACUGAUUCAGUUAUUUCUAAAAUGCUUUGAUAAUAAGACUGGGGUUUUGUCAAAUCCCAUGGUUUGAAAAAACCAGCCUUUGGGAAAAAACUUUGAAAUGCUUUGAAAAGGAUCAGUAUGGUAAAAUCCAUCUUCCAUAGAAAGAAUAUUUUGAAAAUGGGUUUUAUCAAACCAAUCGGAGGUUUUCUUUGAAGGUGUUGGCUGAGAAAGCACAAUUUGGGAAGAUGAGCUUUCGGCAGAGACAACAACAUUUUGAGAGGAGGGUUUUGUAAUUUCUUUAGAUGUGGAUAUGCUCUUAAUUUCUUUUUGAGGAGAAUUUUGGCUCUGGGAAAGGUUUUGUAGAGCGAGCAUGAGCUCGGGAGAUUUUGUAAUGGAACUCAUCCAAUGCUUUACUUGAUCAUCAGAAGAGAUGGGUUUGUAUUGGGCUUCAUGUUCUUCAACCAAUUCAAUCCAUGAUUUGAUGGGUAGGGCAGAAGAAAGUAAUUUUUCUUUAGAAGGGGUUGACUGGGGUUCUUUGGAAGGUUCUUGAGAUCCGGAACUUUGAGAACAGCUUUACCUUUGUCUUCUUUACGCGCAUUAUCUGUUUUGAAGAAAUUCUCUGGUUAGAAAAUCAGGAACAGAAUUUUUUAUCACCUUUAAUGAAUUCUAUAUCAAAAUCAAAAACACUCAAAAUAGCUUGCCAACGUGCAAAAUUUGUUUUGAUGCAAUGUUUUGAACAUCCUUUUCUAAAACAUGUUUUGCAGCUUUGCAAUCAAUUCUAAGUAAAAAUUUUUGAUUUAAUAAAUCACUUUGAAAUUUUGUAAUGCAUAAAACAAUGGAAAGAAUUUCUUUUUUAAUAGUAGAAUAAUUUUUCUGACAAUCAUUCCAAUGUGCAGAAACAUAUUGUACUAUCUGUUCUCUAUCAUUUUCUUUUUGUUUUUAAUAUACCUCCAUAUCCUAAAUCAGAUGCAUCAGUUUCAACAAUUUUAGGGAAUGCAGGAUUUGCAAGAUAUAGACAUGGGAUGCUUUUAACAGAACUCUUAUUAAUUUAACAGCUUUAGUAUGUUCAUCUGUCCAUGGAGCAGGUUUUUUCUUUAAACGAUCAUGCAAAGGUUUAGACAACCUAUUGAUAUUGGGACAGAAAUCAAGAACAUAAUUUAGGCUACCAAGAAAUCUUUGUAAUUGAGUUUUGUCAAGAAUUUUAUCAGGGAAUUUAUCAGCAAAUAAAAGUGAUCUUUCAAUAGGGGUGAUUGUUCCUUUUGAAAUAUAGUGACCAAGAAAUCUGAUUUUCGUUUGAAAUAAUGAAAUCUUUGAACUAGAAAGGGCUAGUCCAGCCUUUUUUGUAGCAAAAUAAAAAGUCUUUAAAUGUUUGAAAUGUUGAUCGAUUGAAUUUGAAAAUAUCAAAACAUCAUCAAUAUAAACAAUGCAAAAAUCAGAAUAAGGAUUAUAAAUAUCAUUCAUAAUUCUUUGAAAUUCUGAGGGUGCAUUCUUUAAACCAAAGGGCAUAACAGUCCAUUCGUAUUGUCCAAAUGGAACAGUGAAAGCGGUUUUGUAACGGUCAUUUGGAUGAAUUUGAAUUUGCCAAAAACCCGAUUUCAUGUCGAAUUUUGAAAAAAUAAAGGCAGAACAGAGUUUUUGGAGUAAAUCUUUUUUAUUAGGUAUAGGAUACCUAAUCCAUUUUAAAGCUUUAUUCAAAGGUUUGUAGUUUAUAACUAGUCUUGGAGUGCCUCUUUCAAUUUCGGAGUUUUUUGUUAACAUAAAAAGCAGCACAAGACCAAGGAGACCUGGAUUUUACAAUGAGUCCUUAGACUCCAAGUCUUUGAUUUCAUUUUUACAAUGUUUUUCUAAAUCCAUAUUCAUUUGAAUUGGACGAGCUUUGGUCGGAAUCUGUUUUUCAUCAAAAAGAUUUUCAUAAGGCAGAUCUACUAAAUGUUGUUUUCUAUUCCAAAAAGCAGAAGGUAGAUCAGCACAAAUUUUCUUUUUCAAUAAGAGUUUUGAAAUCAGAAAUUUUUCUUUUAAUGAAAUCACUUUGUAAUUGGCUUUCAACUCUUUGUAAGUUCAAAUCUUUUUGUAAAAAACAUUAGAUCACACUGUUUUGAUUUAAGUAAAUUGUUUAUUCUAUUUUGAUAAAUAGAACAGGCUUUAACAAUAUUUAAAUUUCUUGUUUUAGGUUUUCAAUAAAAGGGAAAACAAGUUUCUUGUUUUUUGCUUUGAAAGAUAUACUAUAUCAUAAUUGACAGUAUACGGAGUUAUGAGAUUUAUAAAAGGAGUUCCCAAAAUAAUGGCAUGAUGAAUAUCAUUUGUGAGAACAAAGGAAGUUUUAAAAUCAAAACCAUCAUUAUAGAUCGAGGCUUCAACCUUGGAACUGACAUUCAAUUUUGAAUUAUUGGCGGCAGAAAGCCUUUCUUUUGUUUUUUCAUGAAAUCUUUUGGGGACGAUAUCUUCUCUAAUGCAAUUUAAAUCGGCGCCAGUAUCAAAAAGGGCAAUGGCGUCCAUCGCAAAAUCAUCAGAAAAGAUUAGAGUGACUUUAAUCAAAUACUUUCUUGUGGUGAUUUGUUUUAGAACAAAUAGAAAAUCAUUGGGUACAGACUCAAUAUUUUCUACUUUAAUAUCAUCACCAUCAAUAUCAGGACUAGAUUCAUUGUCUGAAUUAUCCUGUAAUUGCUUUUGUAAAAGAAGUUGAAUAAUAUCAGAAUCACUUUUUUGUUUUUCUUUUAAAUCUCUGAUUUCACUUUUGAUUUCUUUUAUCUCUUUCUGAAGAUCUUGGAUAUUAGGAAUCAUCUUUUUUGUUUUCUUCUUAUCCAAAAUUUGAGUAAGAUCAUAAGAAUUCUUUUUAACAAUUGGGACUCUAGAAGUCUCGGCUUUAUUAAAAUCCAAUGUUUUCAAAAGUUUAUCAAGGUAUUCCUUUUGAAGAUUUGGAUCAGAAAUAUGUUUUACAAGUUCAAGAAAAGUUUCUUGGUCUUUAGUCAAAACAUUGAUUUUCUUUAAAAAUGAAUCAGAUUCAGAUUCACUACUGCUAGAUGCAGAGUCAUCUGAGUCAAAAAGCUCAUCAACUUGGUAAGGGUCACUGUCUCCCGACAUGGAAGACUCAGAAUCAGAAGAUUCGACAAGAAGAGGGGCUAUUUUAGAAAGGAUGUCCUCAUUGAGGUCAAGUUCUUGGAGUCUUUUGUUCAUUCUGCAAAAUUUUGCAGUAUGACCUUUCAUACCACAUUUGAAACAUGUGGCCUCCUUGAAGUUGAAUGGGGUAUUAGGUUUGGCUUUGAAAUCUUUCUUUUUAGAGAAACUAUGUCUCUUAUAAGGCUUCGAAGGUUUCUUAUAAGGAAGUUUUCUAAAAUCACGNAUUUUUUAGGGUUUUGAAUAAAAAAGGUGUUAUACCAUGCUUGUUGGUAAUCCCAGUAGGAGAAAGUCCGACAAUGUGGUAAACGGGUUUCAAAGUUUAAAGGAAAGGUUUUGAAAUUGUGGAGUAGGUCGCCCCACUGGUUCGGGCUCAAAACUUUUAGAAUCGUGGCCGUGGAAUAGGCCGGUUCAGAAUGGGUUUUAUCAAGAAAGAAAUGUUUGAAUUUAACUGAUUCAGUUAUUUCUAAAAUGCUUUGAUAAUAAGACUGGGGUUUUGUCAAAUCCCAUGGUUUGAAAAACCAGCCUUUGGGAAAAAACUUUGAAAUGCUUUGAAAAGGAUCAGUAUGGUAAAAUCCAUCUUCCAUAGAAAGAAUAUUUUGAAAAUGGGUUUUAUCAAACCAAUCGGAGGUUUUCUUUGAAGGUGUUGGCUGAGAAAGCACAAUUUGGGAAGAUGAGCUUUCGGCAGAGACAACAACAUUUUGAGAGGAGGGUUUUGUAAUUUCUUUAGAUGUGGAUAUGCUCUUAAUUUCUUUUUGAGGAGAAUUUUGGCUCUGGGAAAGGUUUUGUAGAGCGAGCAUGAGCUCGGGAGAUUUUGUAAUGGAACUCAUCCAAUGCUUUACUUGAUCAUCAGAAGAGAUGGGUUUGUAUUGGGCUUCAUGUUCUUCAACCAAUUCAAUCCAUGAUUUGAUGGUAGGGCAGAAAGUAAUUUUUCUUUAGAAGGGGUUGACUGGGGUUCUUUGGAAGGUUCUUGAGAUCCGGAACUUUUGAGACAGCUUUACCUUUGUCUUUCUUUAGCGGCAUUAUCUGUUUUGAAGAAAUUCUCUGGUUAGAAAAUCAGGAACAGAAUUUUAUCACCUUUAAUGAAUUCUAUAUCAAAAUCAAAAACACUCAAAAUAGCUUGCCAACGUGCAAAAAUUUGUUUUGAUGCAAUGUUUUGAACAUCCUUUUCUAAAACAUGUUUUGCAGCUUUGCAAUCAAUUCUAAGUAAAAAUUUUUGAUUUAAUAAAUCACUUUGAAAUUUUGUAAUGCAUAAAACAAUGGAAAGAAUUUCUUUUUUAAUAGUAGAAUAAUUUUUCUGACAAUCAUUCCAAUGUGCAGAAACAUAUUGUACUAUCUGUUCUCUAUCAUUUUCUUUUUGUUUUAAUAUACCUCCAUAUCCUAAAUCAGAUGCAUCAGUUUCAACAAUUUUAGGGAAUGCAGGAUUUGCAAGAUAUAGACAUGGGAUGCUUUUAACAGAACUCUUUAUUAAUUUAACAGCUUUAGUAUGUUCAUCUGUCCAUGGAGCAGGUUUUUUCUUUAAACGAUCAUGCAAAGGUUUAGACAACCUAUUGAUAUUGGGACAGAAAUCAAGAACAAAAAUUUAGGCUACCAAGAAAUCUUUGUAAUUGAGUUUUGUCAAGGAUUUUAUCAGGGAAUUUAUCAGCAAAUAAAAGUGAUCUUUCAAUAGGGGUGAUUGUUCCUUUUGAAAUAUAGUGACCAAGAAAUCUGAUUUUCGUUUGAAAUAAUGAAAUCUUUGAACUAGAAAGGGCUAGUCCAGCCUUUUUUGUAGCAAAAUAAAAAGUCUUUAAAUGUUUGAAAUGUUGAUCGAUUGAAUUUGAAAUAUCAAAACAUCAUCAAUAUAAACAAUGCAAAAAUCAGAAUAAGGAUUAUAAAUAUCAUUCAUAAUUCUUUGAAAUUCUGAGGGUGCAUUCUUUAAACCAAAGGGCAUAACAGUCCAUUCGUAUUGUCCAAAUGGAACAGUGAAAGCGGUUUUGUAACGGUCAUUUGGAUGAAUUUGAAUUUGCCAAAAACCCGAUUUCAUGUCGAAUUUUGAAAAAAUAAAGGCAGAACAGAGUUUUUGGAGUAAAUCUUUUUUAUUAGGUAUAGGAUACCUAAUCCAUUUUAAAGCUUUAUUCAAAGGUUUGUAGUUUAUAACUAGUCUUGGAGUGCCUCUUUCAAUUUCGGAGUUUUUGUUAACAUAAAAAGCAGCACAAGACCAAGGAGACCUGGAUUUUACAAUGAGUCCUUUAGACUCCAAGUCUUUGAUUUCAUUUUUACAAUGUUUUUCUAAAUCCAUAUUCAUUUGAAUUGGACGAGCUUUGGUCGGAAUCUGUUUUUCAUCAAAAGAAUUUUCAUAAGGCAGGUCUACUAAAUGUUGUUUUCUAUUCCAAAAAGCAGAAGGUAGAUCAGCACAAAUUUCUUUUUCAAUAAGAGUUUUGAAAUCAGAAAUUUUUCUUUUAAUGAAAUCACUUUGUAAUUGGCUUUCAACUCUUUGUAAGUUCAAAUCUUUUUGUAAAAACAUUAGAUCACACUGUUUUGAUUUAAGUAAAUUGUUUAUUCUAUUUUGAUAAAUAGAACAGGCUUUAACAAUAUUUAAAUUUCUUGUUUUAGGUUUUUCAAUAAAAGGGAAAACAAGUUUCUUGUUUUUUGCUUUGAAAGAUAUACUAUCAUAAUUGACAGUAUACGGAGUUAUGAGAUUUAUAAAAGGAGUUCCCAAAAUAAUGGCAUGAUGAAUAUCAUUUGUGAGAACAAAGGAAGUUUUAAAAUCAAAACCAUCAUUAUAGAUCGAGGCUUCAACCUUGGAACUGACAUUCAAUUUUGAAUUAUUGGCGGCAGAAAGCCUUUCUUUUGUUUUUUUCAUGAAAUCUUUUGGGGACGAUAUCUUCUCUAAUGCAAUUUAAAUCGGCGCCAGUAUCAAAAAGGGCAAUGGCGUCCAUCGCAAAAUCAUCAGAAAAGAUUAGAGUGACUUUAAUCAAAUACUUCUUGUGGUGAUUUGUUUUAGAACAAAUAGAAAAUCAUUGGGUACAGACUCAAUAUUUUCUACUUUAAUAUCAUCACCAUCAAUAUCAGGACUGGAUUCAUUGUCUGAAUUAUCCUGUAAUUGCUUUUGUAAAAGAAGUUGAAUAAUAUCAGAAUCACUUUUUUGUUUUUCUUUUAAAUCUCUGAUUUCACUUUUGAUUUCUUUUAUCUCUUUCUGAAGAUCUUGGAUAUUAGGAAUCAUCUUUUUUGUUUUCUUCUUAUCCAAAAUUUGAGUAAGAUCAUAAGAAUUCUUUUUAAUAAUUGGGACUCUAGAAGUCUCGGCUUUAUUAAAAUCCAAUGUUUUCAAAAGUUUAUCAAGGUAUUCCUUUUGAAGAUUUGGAUCAGAAAUAUGCUUUACAAGUUCAAGAAAAGUUUCUUGGUCUUUAGUCAAAACAUUGAUUUUCUUUAAAAAUGAAUCAGAUUCAGAAUCACUACUGCUAGAUGCAGAGUCAUCUGAGUCAAAAAGCUCAUCAACUUGGUAAGGGUCACUGUCUCCCGACAUGGAAGACUCAGAAUCAGAAGAUUCGACAAGAAGAGGGGCUAUUUUAGAAAGGAUGUCCUCAUUGAGGUCAAGUUCUUGGAGUCUUUUGUUCAUUCUGCAAAAUUUUGCAGUAUGACCUUUCAUACCACAUUUGAAACAUGUGGCCUCCUUGAAGUUGAAUGGGGUAUUAGGUUUGGCUUUGAAAUCUUUCUUUUUAGAGAAACUAUGUCUCUUAUAAGGCUUCGAAGGUUUCUUAUAAGGAAGUUUUCUAAAAUCACGGAAGGGUUUUCUAAAAUGUUUAGAUUUGUAAUGUUUCUUACGAGGUUUUGUAGAACACUCUCCAUUACAAUCUUUGGAAGUUUUAAAGGGGUCAUAAUUGAAUUGCUUACAGAAACCGCCUAAUUCCUGUUUAGACUUCUUAAGCUCCCACUUAAGACGUUUCUGUAAUUUCAAAUCUUGACAAAUCUUUAAACCUUCUUUGUUGACAAAACUGACUAGUUCACCAUAGGUGAGCUCGUCAUAAGGAAUACGGUUAUCGUAAAGGGCUUUGAUGGAAUUUCUUACCUUUUCACCUAAAAGGGUAGGUAAUCCAGCAAGAAAUUUUUCUUUCCAAGUAAUAUGAUUUGCAUCAUCCCUUAGAAAUAGUCUGGUAAGGAAAGAGGUUUUGUAACUCUGAAAUUCACUAAGUUUUCUACAUCUCAAAUUAUGUAGUAACUCAGCGUUUUAUCACGAAGGUGAGAAGGGUCACCGAUGAAAUGGAGGGAAAUGGUUAGAAUAAGAGUAGCAACAGCAUCCUGGAUAGGGUUGUUGAACUCAUCAAGAAUAGAGGCUCCAUUUUCAUCUUUUUGGACGGAAUUUAGAAUGUCAAAUUGUUGCUGAUUAGUGAGAAGAUGAUCCCACCAACUUUUAGUUGACCAGUAAAACCAGCAAUUAGGAUUUCCGAUAUGGCACGAUCAGAAGUUCCUGCUGGGUUUUAUAAGCAUUAGCUGCCAUUGUCAUUUGUUGCAACAAUCCAAGGAUAUUGUACUCAGACAUGCCGUCAAUAUUCCACUCAUAGACUGAAGAUGCAUUAUAACGGGGAUUGAUUUUAAUGCACUAGGUCUAUUAUCUAUUGCUAGAUCUGGUGGGGUCUUGACAGUGGGAAGGGCUAAUUCCCAGUGGAUUUUGUUGGCUUUAGGAGUAGAAGGGUUCUUCUUUGAAAGCUUCUAAGUCAGAAGAGGCUAUAGAACUCUGGUCAUCUAGAUCCAAUACUCCAAUCUUGCUAGAUUGGGGGGUAUCGGGGGCUAUCUGGAGUUUGCUAGACGAGGAAGAAGCAGCUUCUAUCCUCUCUAGUUGUUCUCUAAUGGCUUUAGCAAAAUCUGAUUUUGACUCUUGAACAAGCCCUUUGGCGUAGUUUUCGAAACCCUGAAAAGGUUUGAAAAUAGGUUCCUUAAGCUUUUUGUCAGAAUCCGAUUUUGAAGGAAUAGACAUAGGAAUAGGAGAAACAGAUAUAGGAGAUUUUUGAAAUUGGUUUUUCUAUACGAGCCAAUUGCUUUCCAAUUGUAUUUAAGUUAGUAUUACAGAAAUUAUUCUGUUGUAUAAUACUACUUAAAUUCGCAUCAGAAUCAUUUGGUCUUGGGAUUUUUGUAAGGGGAUGCUUUAAUCUCAAUAGGAGGUUCACCAUGAUCUAUGGUUAUACUCCUAAGAGGUGGAUGAUCAGACUCUAUAAUCCUAUCAUUAUCAGAAAGUUUCCAUUCAGGAAUUUUCUUUCUAAUAGUUAUAGGGUUUGACUCUUUAAAAGGAUAAUCAAUAUUGGUUCUCAGAAGAAUAUAUUUCGAACCAAUCAAAAAACAAUAUAUGAACUUUAUGAAAAUUCACAAAUUCAUAAUAAGUUUGUUGGAUUUCUUUUCUUUGGUUUAAAAAAUGUUUAAAAAAACCAAGUUCUUUUUUCUUUAUUUAUUUCUGAAUAAAAAUCGUUAUGCAGAAAGGCUUUAUCUAAUUCAAAUUCUUUUUCAAUGACAUUAAUGACAUUUUCUGUGACAGCAGAAAACGUAGGAGAUGUUGGAGGAGAAGGUUCCUUCUCUUCCUGUCUUUGCACAUGUUGACUACUAGUGUAUAUAGGAUGAGGAACACUUGUGGCAUAGUCAACGGAACGGAUGGGAGGAGCCUAGGUAUAUCCGAAGUGGAAAAACCUAGGUUGGCUCUGAUAUGGGAGAUUUAUAACAGAAGGUACUUUUGUAAACUUCCUUUCUAGUGAAGGAAUGCUUGGGCUCGAUUCUUUUUCAGAAAAUCUAUGUGAGGUAGACCUUCUGAAUGAUAAGUUUGACUUUACCAUCGGAAUACUGGGGUCACAUUUUGUAACUCUGUAUUUGGCUCAGUUGUUUCGGAAUCCGCCGGGUGGGGCGGCUCCUUCGAGGAUCCAUUCAUCUGGAAGAUGGAUAUCUUUCCAUUGGAUCGAUUUUGGAAUGACCAUGUUGGCUUUAGACAAAUCAGUCUGCAAGAGAAGGGUCUCAUCUCUCUUCGACUGGUAUUUAUGCUGUGUGCUAAAUGCAGAAAUCAUGGCUUUAUAGGAAAUUUUAAAAAUUAAUGCAACUGGGAUGGAUCCCUUAAUCAUGUGAUAAUUAUGGGUUUGGAUUUGUAAAAUCAUGCUCUUUAAAAAUAUUUUUGUCUUUAAGAGAAAUUGUUAUAUUUGGAUAACAAUCAAAAGAUAUGGGACCUUUACAUAGACUAGAUUCGAUACUACUUAGUAAAGAAUCAUCAAAAGAGAUGAAUCGCCCAUCUCUAAGAACAGCAAGGAUAGAGGUAUCCAAGCCUUCUUUGUCAAAGGUUUUAUUCCUACUUGGAUUAAACCAAUGUGAAUAUAUUUGAAAUUCUUUUCUUUUAAUUUCUUUAAAGAUUUUUCUGAAAAACAAAUAAAUUGUUUCAAAAGGCUCCGAAAGAGUUAUGUCUCUUUCUUCAGUUUUUAUAAUAUAAUCAUGUUUUAAAAGAUCAAGCAUUUUUGUUUUUGUAAAUCUUUUCUUUGGAAAUUUUUGGAAGUUCCCAACAAUCAAUUGCUUUAUCAAAGUUUUCAAUAACGAAUUCUUCUGAACUCACAACAUGCUUUGAAUCACUAGUCUUCCCGGAAGAAGAGCUAGAAAAGGACGAUGUUCUACAGUGUAGAGGGUUCAUGGGUAAAAACCUAUGAUCUAUUUAGUGGUUUUUGAAAGAAUGGCUACAGGUAUGGUUUUACAGCCCUAAACGGAAAACUUAUCCUUAGACGGACUUACUACCAGUAAAAAUUCACCACAAAAACAAAAACUUCAAAAUAAAACACAGUUUUCAAAACACAAAACUCUAAACUGCUUUACACAAUCCUCCCCUUGGCUCUGAUACCAGAAGGAAAUAGAAUCGAAGGAUGGGUGUGUAUUGAAGAUGCUUCUUUAUUGAUUGCUUUAAUGAAAUAAUUGGAUCGCGGUUGUUCAGAUUUUAUAUAAGAUUACCAGCUUUAGAUUAAGUAGAUUUGUUUUUUAGAGCAUACAAUGAUCAAAACAAAUUUGAACGCGGUUGGUCAAAUUUUUAGAAUAUUUAAAGUACUGGCGUUGUUAGACCAGAUCGAUCGCAGAAGUUAAUCUGCCUUUGGACCCAGAUCUGACUUAGAACAGAUCAAUUAGUCCGCACGUUCGGGUUUCCAGCCUAUAUACUUUAAUAUAUUUACCAGAUAAAAUUAAGUUGGCUUUAAACGUGGUUGUUUCUUUUUAUUGGGCUAAUUCCAGAUUUAAAUUAGAUUCUUUAAGGGGCUUGGGUACAUACACAGUACCAGAUCCGGAUCCCGGAAAUGGUGCUCUGAAGGAAUGGAGGAAGAAGAGAAGAUUUACAACUGAGGAUCGAGAUCCGGUCUCUUUGCCUCAGAGGAACGUACAAAUUUUAUGGCAGAUCUGAUAAAGACCAGUCUGCUUUGCAUGCUUUGAAAAGAAAAUUGCUUUAAAAAUAAAUUGCUUUAAUGUAAAUAUGCAUGAAAUUAAAUUGCAGAAAAGUAAAUUGCGAAAAUUUAAAUUACAUCGAAAUUAAAUAACUGAAAUUUAAACAUACAUCUUUGCUUUGAUAGUCUUGGUCUUUACAAUUUUCAAAUCUUUCCUGAAGGGAAGAUUGAAAGACGGGAAGAUUACAAGACAGGAAUGGUUUCCUUGAUGUCUUGGACUGUUCAUCAAAUUUUGACCACCAUUUGACUUUAAAGGUUCUUUGAAGGAUGACUUGGGAAUCUUGAGUAUGAAAACGGAGGUUCCACAUCCAGACCCAUGGUAGGAAGAAGUUUGUACAAAAACAGAGAAAGGGGGGAAAUCUUUUCUCUGAGUCAGAGGGCAUAUAGUGGGCUUUAAAGAGGUUUAGGCAAUUUAUGGCAUUUGGAGUGAGGAUUUGAGGUAUUGGGCCAAAGAAAUUCCACCAAUGAUGGAACCAGUUUGGAAGGCUUUGGACGGUUAUUUUAGGGUUAAAGAAAAAUAACCAAGAAUGGGAUUUUUUAGGGUUUUGAAUAAAAAAGGUGUUAUACCAUGCUUGUUGGUAAUCCCAGUAGGAGAAAGUCCGACAAUGUGGUAAACGGGUUUCAAAGUUUAAAGGAAAGGUUUUGAAAUUGUGGAGUAGGUCGCCCCACUGGUUCGGGCUCAAAACUUUUAGAAUCGUGGCCGUGGAAUAGGCCGGUUCAGAAUGGGUUUUAUCAAGAAAGAAAUGUUUGAAUUUAACUGAUUCAGUUAUUUCUAAAAUGCUUUGAUAAUAAGACUGGGGUUUUGUCAAAUCCCAUGGUUUGAAAAACCAGCCUUUGGGAAAAAACUUUGAAAUGCUUUGAAAAGGAUCAGUAUGGUAAAAUCCAUCUUCCAUAGAAAGAAUAUUUUGAAAAUGGGUUUUAUCAAACCAAUCGGAGGUUUUCUUUGAAGGUGUUGGCUGAGAAAGCACAAUUUGGGAAGAUGAGCUUUCGGCAGAGACAACAACAUUUUGAGAGGAGGGUUUUGUAAUUUCUUUAGAUGUGGAUAUGCUCUUAAUUUCUUUUUGAGGAGAAUUUUGGCUCUGGGAAAGGUUUUGUAGAGCGAGCAUGAGCUCGGGAGAUUUUGUAAUGGAACUCAUCCAAUGCUUUACUUGAUCAUCAGAAGAGAUGGGUUUGUAUUGGGCUUCAUGUUCUUCAACCAAUUCAAUCCAUGAUUUGAUGGGUAGGGCAGAAGAAAGUAAUUUUUCUUUAGAAGGGGUUGACUGGGGUUCUUUGGAAGGUUCUUGAGAUCCGGAACUUUUGAGAACAGCUUUACCUUUGUCUUUCUUUAGCGGCAUUAUCUGUUUUGAAGAAAUUCUCUGGUUAGAAAAUCAGGAACAGAAUUUUUAUCACCUUUAAUGAAUUCUAUAUCAAAAUCAAAAACACUCAAAAUAGCUUGCCAACGUGCAAAAAUUUGUUUUGAUGCAAUGUUUUGAACAUCCUUUUCUAAAACAUGUUUUGCAGCUUUGCAAUCAAUUCUAAGUAAAAAUUUUUGAUUUAAUAAAUCACUUUGAAAUUUUGUAAUGCAUAAAACAAUGGAAAGAAUUUCUUUUUUAAUAGUAGAAUAAUUUUUCUGACAAUCAUUCCAAUGUGCAGAAACAUAUUGUACUAUCUGUUCUCUAUCAUUUUCUUUUUGUUUUAAUAUACCUCCAUAUCCUAAAUCAGAUGCAUCAGUUUCAACAAUUUUAGGGAAUGCAGGAUUUGCAAGAUAUAGACAUGGGAUGCUUUUAACAGAACUCUUUAUUAAUUUAACAGCUUUAGUAUGUUCAUCUGUCCAUGGAGCAGGUUUUUUCUUUAAACGAUCAUGCAAAGGUUUAGACAACCUAUUGAUAUUGGGACAGAAAUCAAGAACAUAAUUUAGGCUACCAAGAAAUCUUUGUAAUUGAGUUUUGUCAAGGAUUUUAUCAGGGAAUUUAUCAGCAAAUAAAAGUGAUCUUUCAAUAGGGGUGAUUGUUCCUUUUGAAAUAUAGUGACCAAGAAAUCUGAUUUUCGUUUGAAAUAAUGAAAUCUUUGAACUAGAAAGGGCUAGUCCAGCCUUUUUUGUAGCAAAAUAAAAAGUCUUUAAAUGUUUGAAAUGUUGAUCGAUUGAAUUUGAAAAUAUCAAAACAUCAUCAAUAUAAACAAUGCAAAAAUCAGAAUAAGGAUUAUAAAUAUCAUUCAUAAUUCUUUGAAAUUCUGAGGGUGCAUUCUUUAAACCAAAGGGCAUAACAGUCCAUUCGUAUUGUCCAAAUGGAACAGUGAAAGCGGUUUUGUAACGGUCAUUUGGAUGAAUUUGAAUUUGCCAAAAACCCGAUUUCAUGUCGAAUUUUGAAAAAAUAAAGGCAGAACAGAGUUUUUGGAGUAAAUCUUUUUUAUUAGGUAUAGGAUACCUAAUCCAUUUUAAAGCUUUAUUCAAAGGUUUGUAGUUUAUAACUAGUCUUGGAGUGCCUCUUUCAAUUUCGGAGUUUUUGUUAACAUAAAAAGCAGCACAAGACCAAGGAGACCUGGAUUUUACAAUGAGUCCUUUAGACUCCAAGUCUUUGAUUUCAUUUUUACAAUGUUUUUCUAAAUCCAUAUUCAUUUGAAUUGGACGAGCUUUGGUCGGAAUCUGUUUUUCAUCAAAAGAAUUUUCAUAAGGCAGGUCUACUAAAUGUUGUUUUCUAUUCCAAAAAGCAGAAGGUAGAUCAGCACAAAUUUCUUUUUCAAUAAGAGUUUUGAAAUCAGAAAUUUUUCUUUUAAUGAAAUCACUUUGUAAUUGGCUUUCAACUCUUUGUAAGUUCAAAUCUUUUUGUAAAAACAUUAGAUCACACUGUUUUGAUUUAAGUAAAUUGUUUAUUCUAUUUUGAUAAAUAGAACAGGCUUUAACAAUAUUUAAAUUUCUUGUUUUAGGUUUUUCAAUAAAAGGGAAAACAAGUUUCUUGUUUUUUGCUUUGAAAGAUAUACUAUCAUAAUUGACAGUAUACGGAGUUAUGAGAUUUAUAAAAGGAGUUCCCAAAAUAAUGGCAUGAUGAAUAUCAUUUGUGAGAACAAAGGAAGUUUUAAAAUCAAAACCAUCAUUAUAGAUCGAGGCUUCAACCUUGGAACUGACAUUCAAUUUUGAAUUAUUGGCGGCAGAAAGCCUUUCUUUUGUUUUUUCAUGAAAUCUUUUGGGGACGAUAUCUUCUCUAAUGCAAUUUAAAUCGGCGCCAGUAUCAAAAAGGGCAAUGGCGUCCAUCGCAAAAUCAUCAGAAAAGAUUAGAGUGACUUUAAUCAAAUACUUUCUUGUGGUGAUUUGUUUUAGAACAAAUAGAAAAUCAUUGGGUACAGACUCAAUAUUUUCUACUUUAAUAUCAUCACCAUCAAUAUCAGGACUGGAUUCAUUGUCUGAAUUAUCCUGUAAUUGCUUUUGUAAAAGAAGUUGAAUAAUAUCAGAAUCACUUUUUUUGUUUUUCUUUUAAAUCUCUGAUUUCACUUUUGAUUUCUUUUAUCUCUUUCUGAAGAUCUUGGAUAUUAGGAAUCAUCUUUUUUGUUUUCUUCUUAUCCAAAAUUUGAGUAAGAUCAUAAGAAUUCUUUUUAAUAAUUGGGACUCUAGAAGUCUCGGCUUUAUUAAAAUCCAAUGUUUUCAAAAGUUUAUCAAGGUAUUCCUUUUGAAGAUUUGGAUCAGAAAUAUGCUUUACAAGUUCAAGAAAAGUUUCUUGGUCUUUAGUCAAAACAUUGAUUUUCUUUAAAAAUGAAUCAGAUUCAGAAUCACUACUGCUAGAUGCAGAGUCAUCUGAGUCAAAAAGCUCAUCAACUUGGUAAGGGUCACUGUCUCCCGACAUGGAAGACUCAGAAUCAGAAGAUUCGACAAGAAGAGGGGCUAUUUUAGAAAGGAUGUCCUCAUUGAGGUCAAGUUCUUGGAGUCUUUUGUUCAUUCUGCAAAAUUUUGCAGUAUGACCUUUCAUACCACAUUUGAAACAUGUGGCCUCCUUGAAGUUGAAUGGGGUAUUAGGUUUGGCUUUGAAAUCUUUCUUUUUAGAGAAACUAUGUCUCUUAUAAGGCUUCGAAGGUUUCUUAUAAGGAAGUUUUCUAAAAUCACGGAAGGGUUUUCUAAAAUGUUUAGAUUUGUAAUGUUUCUUACGAGGUUUUGUAGAACACUCUCCAUUACAAUCUUUGGAAGUUUUAAAGGGGUCAUAAUUGAAUUGCUUACAGAAACCGCCUAAUUCCUGUUUAGACUUCUUAAGCUCCCACUUAAGACGUUUCUGUAAUUUCAAAUCUUGACAAAUCUUUAAACCUUCUUUGUUGACAAAACUGACUAGUUCACCAUAGGUGAGCUCGUCAUAAGGAAUACGGUUAUCGUAAAGGGCUUUGAUGGAAUUUCUUACCUUUUCACCUAAAAGGGUAGGUAAUCCAGCAAGAAAUUUUUCUUUCCAAGUAAUAUGAUUUGCAUCAUCCCUUAGAAAUAGUCUGGUAAGGAAAGAGGUUUUGUAACUCUGAAAUUCACUAAGUUUUCUACAUCUCAAAUUAUGUAGUAACUCAGCGUUUUUAUCACGAAGGUGAGAAGGGUCACCGAUGAAAUGGAGGGAAAUGGUUAGAAUAAGAGUAGCAACAGCAUCCUGGAUAGGGUUGUUGAACUCAUCAAGAAUAGAGGCUCCAUUUUCAUCUUUUUGGACGGAAUUUAGAAUGUCAAAUUGUUGCUGAUUAGUGAGAAGAUGAUCCCACCAACCUUUUAGUUGACCAGUAAAACCAGCAAUUAGGAUUUCCGAUAUGGCACGAUCAGAAGUUCCUGCUUGGGUUUUAUAAGCAUUAGCUGCCAUUGUCAUUUGUUGCAACAAUCCAAGGAUAUUGUACUCAGACAUGCCGUCAAUAUUCCACUCAUAGACUGAAGAUGCAUUAUAACGGGAUUGAUUUAAUGCACUAGGUCUAUUAUCUAUUGCUAGAUCUGGUGGGGUCUUGACAGUGGGAAGGGCUAAUUCCCAGUGGAUUUUGUUGGCUUUAGGAGUAGAAGGUUCUUCUUUGAAAGCUUCUAAGUCAGAAGAGGCUAUAGAACUCUGGUCAUCUAGAUCCAAUACUCCAAUCUUGCUAGAUUGGGGGGUAUCGGGGGCUAUCUGGAGUUUGCUAGACGAGGAAGAAGCAGCUUCUAUCCUCUCUAGUUGUUCUCUAAUGGCUUUAGCAAAAUCUGAUUUUGACUCUUGAACAAGCCUUUGGCUAGUUUUCGAAACCUGAAAAGGUUUGAAAAUAGGUUCCUUAAGCUUUUUGUCAGAAUCCGAUUUUGAAGGAAUAGACAUAGGAAUAGGAGAAACAGAUAUAGGAGAUUUUUGAAAUUGGUUUUCUAUACGAGCCAAUUGCUUUCCAAUUGUAUUUAAGUUAGUAUUACAGAAAUUAUUCUGUUGUAUAAUACUACUUAAAUUCGCAUCAGAAUCAUUUGGUCUUGGGAUUUUGUAAGGGGAUGCUUUAAUCUCAAUAGGAGGUUCACCAUGAUCUAUGGUUAUACUCCUAAGAGGUGGAUGAUCAGACUCUAUAAUCCUAUCAUUAUCAGAAAGUUUCCAUUCAGGAAUUUUCUUUCUAAUAGUUAUAGGGUUUGACUCUUUAAAAGGAUAAUCAAUAUUGUUCUCAGAAGAAUAUAUUUCGAACCAAUCAAAAAACAAUAUAUGAACUUUAUGAAAAUUCACAAAUUCAUAAUAAGUUUGUUGGAUUUCUUUUCUUUGGUUUAAAAAAUGUUUAAAAAACCAAGUUCUUUUUUCUUUAUUUAUUUCUGAAUAAAAAUCGUUAUGCAGAAAGGCUUUAUCUAAUUCAAAUUCUUUUUCAAUGACAUUAAUGACAUUUUCUGUGACAGCAGAAAACGUAGGAGAUGUUGGAGGAGAAGGUUCCUUCUCUUCCUGUCUUUGCACAUGUUGACUACUAGUGUAUAUAGGAUGAGGAACACUUGUGGCAUAGUCAACGGAACGGAUGGAGGAGCUAGGUAUAUCCGAAGUGGAAAACCUAGGUUGGCUCUGAUAUGGGAGAUUUAUAACAGAAGGUACUUUUGUAAACUUCCUUUCUAGUGAAGGAAUGCUUGGGCUCGAUUCUUUUUCAGAAAAUCUAUGUGAGGUAGACCUUCUGAAUGAUAGUUUGACUUUACCAUCGGAAUACUGGGUCACAUUUUGUAACUCUGUAUUUGGCUCAAGUUGUUUCGGAAUCGCCGGUGGGGCGGCUCCUUCGAGGAUCCAUUCAUCUGGAAGAUGGAUAUCUUUCCAUUGGAUCGAUUUUGGAAUGACCAUGUUGGCUUUAGACAAAUCAGUCUGCAAGAGAAGGGUCUCAUCUCUCUUCGACUGGUAUUUAUGCUGUGUGCUAAAUGCAGAAAUCAUGGCUUUAUAGGAAAUUUUAAAAAUUAAUGCAACUGGGAUGGAUCCCUUAAUCAUGUGAUAAUUAUGGGUUUGGAUUUGUAAAAUCAUGCUCUUUAAAAUAUUUUUGUCUUUAAGAGAAAUUGUUAUAUUUGGAUAACAAUCAAAAGAUAUGGGACCUUUACAUAGACUAGAUUCGAUACUACUUAGUAAAGAAUCAUCAAAAGAGAUGAAUCGCCCAUCUCUAAGAACAGCAAGGAUAGAGGUAUCCAAGCCUUCUUUGGUCAAAGGUUUUAUUCCUACUUGGAUUAAACCAAUGUGAAUAUAUUUGAAAUUCUUUUCUUUUAAUUUCUUUAAAGAUUUUUCUGAAAACAAAUAAAUUGUUUCAAAAGGCUCCGAAAGAGUUAUGUCUCUUUCUUCAGUUUUUAUAAUAUAAUCAUGUUUUAAAAGAUCAAGCAUUUUUGUUUUGUAAAUCUUUUCUUUGGAAAUUUUUGGAAGUUCCCAACAAUCAAUUGCUUUAUCAAAGUUCUCAAUAACGAAUUCUUCUGAACUCACAACAUGCUUUGAAUCACUAGUCUUCCCGGAAGAAGAGCUAGAAAAGGACGAUGUUCUACAGUGUAGAGGAUUCAUGGGUAAAAACCUAUGAUCUAUUAAUGGUUUUGAANNNNNNNNNNNNNNNNNNNNNNNNNNNNNNNNNNNNNNNNNNNNNNNNNNNNNNNNNNNNNNNNNNNNNNNNNNNNNNNNNNNNNNNNNNNNNNNNNNNNNNNNNNNNNNNNNNNNNNNNNNNNNNNNNNNNNNNNNNNNNNNNNNNNNNNNNNNNNNNNNNNNNNNNNNNNNNNNNNNNNNNNNNNNNNNNNNNNNNNNNNNNNNNNNNNNNNNNNNNNNNNNNNNNNNNNNNNNNNNNNNNNNNNNNNNNNNNNNNNNNNNNNNNNNNNNNNNNNNNNNNNNNNNNNNNNNNNNNNNNNNNNNNNNNNNNNNNNNNNNNNNNNNNNNNNNNNNNNNNNNNNNNNNNNNNNNNNNNNNNNNNNNNNNNNNNNNNNNNNNNNNNNNNNNNNNNNNNNNNNNNNNNNNNNNNNNNNNNNNNNNNNNNNNNNNNNNNNNNNNNNNNNNNNNNNNNNNNNNNNNNNNNNNNNNNNNNNNNNNNNNNNNNNNNNNNNNNNNNNNNNNNNNNNNNNNNNNNNNNNNNNNNNNNNNNNNNNNNNNNNNNNNNNNNNNNNNNNNNNNNNNNNNNNNNNNNNNNNNNNNNNNNNNNNNNNNNNNNNNNNNNNNNNNNNNNNNNNNNNNNNNNNNNNNNNNNNNNNNNNNNNNNNNNNNNNNNNNNNNNNNNNNNNNNNNNNNNNNNNNNNNNNNNNNNNNNNNNNNNNNNNNNNNNNNNNNNNNNNNNNNNNNNNNNNNNNNNNNNNNNNNNNNNNNNNNNNNNNNNNNNNNNNNNNNNNNNNNNNNNNNNNNNNNNNNNNNNNNNNNNNNNNNNNNNNNNNNNNNNNNNNNNNNNNNNNNNNNNNNNNNNNNNNNNNNNNNNNNNNNNNNNNNNNNNNNNNNNNNNNNNNNNNNNNNNNNNNNNNNNNNNNNNNNNNNNNNNNNNNNNNNNNNNNNNNNNNNNNNNNNNNNNNNNNNNNNNNNNNNNNNNNNNNNNNNNNNNNNNNNNNNNNNNNNNNNNNNNNNNNNNNNNNNNNNNNNNNNNNNNNNNNNNNNNNNNNNNNNNNNNAAUAGCUUGCCAACGUGCAAAAAUCUGUUUUGAUGCAAUGUUUUGAACAUCCUUUUCUAAAACAUGUUUUGCAGCUUUGCAAUCAAUUCUAAGUAAAAAUUUUUGAUUUAAUAAAUCACUUUGAAAUUUUGUAAUGCAUAAAACAAUGGAAAGAAUUUCUUUUUUAAUAGUAGAAUAAUUUUUCUGACAAUCAUUCCAAUGUGCAGAAACAUAUUGUACUAUCUGUUCUCUAUCAUUUUCUUUUUGUUUUAAUAUACCUCCAUAUCCUAAAUCAGAUGCAUCAGUUUCAACAAUUUUAGGGAAUGCAGGAUUUGCAAGAUAUAGACAUGGGAUGCUUUUAACAGAACUCUUUAUUAAUUUAACAGCUUUAGUAUGUUCAUCUGUCCAUGGAGCAGGUUUUUUCUUUAAACGAUCAUGCAAAGGUUUAGACAACCUAUUGAUAUUGGGACAGAAAUCAAGAACAUAAUUUAGGCUACCAAGAAAUCUUUGUAAUUGAGUUUUGUCAAGAAUUUUAUCAGGGAAUUUAUCAGCAAAUAAAAGUGAUCUUUCAAUAGGGGUGAUUGUUCCUUUUGAAAUAUAGUGACCAAGAAAUCUGAUUUUCGUUUGAAAUAAUGAAAUCUUUGAACUAGAAAGGGCUAGUCCAGCCUUUUUUGUAGCAAAAUAAAAAGUCUUUAAAUGUUUGAAAUGUUGAUCGAUUGAAUUUGAAAAUAUCAAAACAUCAUCAAUAUAAACAAUGCAAAAAUCAGAAUAAGGAUUAUAAAUAUCAUUCAUAAUUCUUUGAAAUUCUGAGGGUGCAUUCUUUAAACCAAAGGGCAUAACAGUCCAUUCGUAUUGUCCAAAUGGAACAGUGAAAGCGGUUUUGUAACGGUCAUUUGGAUGAAUUUGAAUUUGCCAAAAACCCGAUUUCAUGUCGAAUUUUGAAAAAAUAAAGGCAGAACAGAGUUUUUGGAGUAAAUCUUUUUUAUUAGGUAUAGGAUACCUAAUCCAUUUUAAAGCUUUAUUCAAAGGUUUGUAGUUUAUAACUAGUCUUGGAGUGCCUCUUUCAAUUUCGGAGUUUUUGUUAACAUAAAAAGCAGCACAAGACCAAGGAGACCUGGAUUUUACAAUGAGUCCUUUAGACUCCAAGUCUUUGAUUUCAUUUUUACAAUGUUUUUCUAAAUCCAUAUUCAUUUGAAUUGGACGAGCUUUGGUCGGAAUCUGUUUUUCAUCAAAAGAAUUUUCAUAAGGCAGGUCUACUAAAUGUUGUUUUCUAUUCCAAAAAGCAGAAGGUAGAUCAGCACAAAUUUCUUUUUCAAUAAGAGUUUUGAAAUCAGAAAUUUUUCUUUUAAUGAAAUCACUUUGUAAUUGGCUUUCAACUCUUUGUAAGUUUCAAAUCUUUUUGUAAAAACAUUAGAUCACACUGUUUUUGAUUUAAGUAAAUUGUUUAUUCUAUUUUGAUAAAUAGAACAGGCUUUAACAAUAUUUAAAUUUCUUGUUUUAGGUUUUCAAUAAAAGGGAAAACAAGUUUCUUGUUUUUUGCUUUGAAAGAUAUACUAUCAUAAUUGACAGUAUACGGAGUUAUGAGAUUUAUAAAAGGAGUUCCCAAAAUAAUGGCAUGAUGAAUAUCAUUUGUGAGAACAAAGGAAGUUUUAAAAUCAAAACCAUCAUUAUAGAUCGAGGCUUCAACCUUGGAACUGACAUUCAAUUUUGAAUUAUUGGCGGCAGAAAGCCUUUCUUUUGUUUUUUCAUGAAAUCUUUUGGGGACGAUAUCUUCUCUAAUGCAAUUUAAAUCGGCGCCAGUAUCAAAAAGGGCAAUGGCGUCCAUCGCAAAAUCAUCAGAAAAGAUUAGAGUGACUUUAAUCAAAUACUUUCUUGUGGUGAUUUGUUUUAGAACAAAUAGAAAAUCAUUGGGUACAGACUCAAUAUUUUCUACUUUAAUAUCAUCACCAUCAAUAUCAGGACUGGAUUCAUUGUCUGAAUUAUCCUGUAAUUGCUUUUGUAAAAGAAGUUGAAUAAUAUCAGAAUCACUUUUUUGUUUUUCUUUUAAAUCUCUGAUUUCACUUUUGAUUUCUUUUAUCUCUUUCUGAAGAUCUUGGAUAUUAGGAAUCAUCUUUUUUGUUUUCUUCUUAUCCAAAAUUUGAGUAAGAUCAUAAGAAUUCUUUUUAAUAAUUGGGACUCUAGAAGUCUCGGCUUUAUUAAAAUCCAAUGUUUUCAAAAGUUUAUCAAGGUAUUCCUUUUGAAGAUUUGGAUCAGAAAUAUGCUUUACAAGUUCAAGAAAAGUUUCUUGGUCUUUAGUCAAAACAUUGAUUUUCUUUAAAAAUGAAUCAGAUUCAGAAUCACUACUGCUAGAUGCAGAGUCAUCUGAGUCAAAAAGCUCAUCAACUUGGUAAGGGUCACUGUCUCCCGACAUGGAAGACUCAGAAUCAGAAGAUUCGACAAGAAGAGGGGCUAUUUUAGAAAGGAUGUCCUCAUUGAGGUCAAGUUCUUGGAGUCUUUUGUUCAUUCUGCAAAAUUUUGCAGUAUGACCUUUCAUACCACAUUUGAAACAUGUGGCCUCCUUGAAGUUGAAUGGGGUAUUAGGUUUGGCUUUGAAAUCUUUCUUUUUAGAGAAACUAUGUCUCUUAUAAGGCUUCGAAGGUUUCUUAUAAGGAAGUUUUCUAAAAUCACGGAAGGGUUUUCUAAAAUGUUUAGAUUUGUAAUGUUUCUUACGAGGUUUUGUAGAACACUCUCCAUUACAAUCUUUGGAAGUUUUAAAGGGGUCAUAAUUGAAUUGCUUACAGAAACCGCCUAAUUCCUGUUUAGACUUCUUAAGCUCCCACUUAAGACGUUUCUGUAAUUUCAAAUCUUGACAAAUCUUUAAACCUUCUUUGUUGACAAAACUGACUAGUUCACCAUAGGUGAGCUCGUCAUAAGGAAUACGGUUAUCGUAAAGGGCUUUGAUGGAAUUUCUUACCUUUUCACCUAAAAGGGUAGGUAAUCCAGCAAGAAAUUUUUCUUUCCAAGUAAUAUGAUUUGCAUCAUCCCUUAGAAAUAGUCUGGUAAGGAAAGAGGUUUUGUAACUCUGAAAUUCACUAAGUUUUCUACAUCUCAAAUUAUGUAGUAACUCAGCGUUUUUAUCACGAAGGUGAGAAGGGUCACCGAUGAAAUGGAGGGAAAUGGUUAGAAUAAGAGUAGCAACAGCAUCCUGGAUAGGGUUGUUGAACUCAUCAAGAAUAGAGGCUCCAUUUUCAUCUUUUUGGACGGAAUUUAGAAUGUCAAAUUGUUGCUGAUUAGUGAGAAGAUGAUCCCACCAACCUUUUAGUUGACCAGUAAAACCAGCAAUUAGGAUUUCCGAUAUGGCACGAUCAGAAGUUCCUGCUUGGGUUUUAUAAAGCAUUAGCUGCCAUUGUCAUUUGUUGCAACAAUCCAAGGAUAUUGUACUCAGACAUGCCGUCAAUAUUCCACUCAUAGACUGAAGAUGCAUUAUAACGGGAUUGAUUUAAUGCACUAGGUCUAUUAUCUAUUGCUAGAUCUGGUGGGGUCUUGACAGUGGGAAGGGCUAAUUCCCAGUGGAUUUUGUUGGCUUUAGGAGUAGAAGGUUCUUCUUUGAAAGCUUCUAAGUCAGAAGAGGCUAUAGAACUCUGGUCAUCUAGAUCCAAAUACUCCAAUCUUGCUAGAUUGGGGGGUAUCGGGGCUAUCUGGAGUUUGCUAGACGAGGAAGAAGCAGCUUCUAUCCUCUCUAGUUGUUCUCUAAUGGCUUUAGCAAAAUCUGAUUUUGACUCUUGAACAAGCCUUUGGCUAGUUUUCGAAACCUGAAAAGGUUUGAAAAUAGGUUCCUUAAGCUUUUUGUCAGAAUCCGAUUUUGAAGGAAUAGACAUAGGAAUAGGAGAAACAGAUAUAGGAGAUUUUUGAAAUUGGUUUUCUAUACGAGCCAAUUGCUUUCCAAUUGUAUUUAAGUUAGUAUUACAGAAAUUAUUCUGUUGUAUAAUACUACUUAAAUUCGCAUCAGAAUCAUUUGGUCUUGGGAUUUUGUAAGGGGAUGCUUUAAUCUCAAUAGGAGGUUCACCAUGAUCUAUGGUUAUACUCCUAAGAGGUGGAUGAUCAGACUCUAUAAUCCUAUCAUUAUCAGAAAGUUUCCAUUCAGGAAUUUUCUUUCUAAUAGUUAUAGGGUUUGACUCUUUAAAAGGAUAAUCAAUAUUGUUCUCAGAAGAAUAUAUUUCGAACCAAUCAAAAAACAAUAUAUGAACUUUAUGAAAAUUCACAAAUUCAUAAUAAGUUUGUUGGAUUUCUUUUCUUUGGUUUAAAAAAUGUUUAAAAAAACCAAGUUCUUUUUUCUUUAUUUAUUUCUGAAUAAAAAUCGUUAUGCAGAAAGGCUUUAUUCUAAUUCAAAUUCUUUUUCAAUGACAUUAAUGACAUUUUCUGUGACAGCAGAAAACGUAGGAGAUGUUGGAGGAGAAGGUUCCUUCUCUUCCUGUCUUUGCACAUGUUGACUACUAGUGUAUAUAGGAUGAGGAACACUUGUGGCAUAGUCAACGGAACGGAUGGAGGAGCUAGGUAUAUCCGAAGUGGAAAACCUAGGUUGGCUCUGAUAUGGGAGAUUUAUAACAGAAGGUACUUUUGUAAACUUCCUUUCUAGUGAAGGAAUGCUUGGGCUCGAUUCUUUUUCAGAAAAUCUAUGUGAGGUAGACCUUCUGAAUGAUAGUUUGACUUUACCAUCGGAAUACUGGGUCACAUUUUGUAACUCUGUAUUUGGCUCAAGUUGUUUCGGAAUCGCCGGUGGGGCGGCUCCUUCGAGGAUCCAUUCAUCUGGAAGAUGGAUAUCUUUCCAUUGGAUCGAUUUUGGAAUGACCAUGUUGGCUUUAGACAAAUCAGUCUGCAAGAGAAGGGUCUCAUCUCUCUUCGACUGGUAUUUAUGCUGUGUGCUAAAUGCAGAAAUCAUGGCUUUAUAGGAAAUUUUAAAAAUUAAUGCAACUGGGAUGGAUCCCUUAAUCAUGUGAUAAUUAUGGGUUUGGAUUUGUAAAAUCAUGCUCUUUAAAAUAUUUUUGUCUUUAAGAGAAAUUGUUAUAUUUGGAUAACAAUCAAAAGAUAUGGGACCUUUACAUAGACUAGAUUCGAUACUACUUAGUAAAGAAUCAUCAAAAGAGAUGAAUCGCCCAUCUCUAAGAACAGCAAGGAUAGAGGUAUCCAAGCCUUCUUUGGUCAAAGGUUUUAUUCCUACUUGGAUUAAACCAAUGUGAAUAUAUUUGAAAUUCUUUUCUUUUAAUUUCUUUAAAGAUUUUUUCUGAAAACAAAUAAAUUGUUUCAAAAGGCUCCGAAAGAGUUAUGUCUCUUUCUUCAGUUUUUUAUAAUAUAAUCAUGUUUUAAAAGAUCAAGCAUUUUUGUUUUGUAAAUCUUUUCUUUGGAAAUUUUUGGAAGUUCCCAACAAUCAAUUGCUUUAUCAAAGUUUUCAAUAACGAAUUCUUCUGAACUCACAACAUGCUUUGAAUCACUAGUCUUCCCGGAAGAAGAGCUAGAAAAGGACGAUGUUCUACAGUGUAGAGGGUUCAUGGGUAAAAACCUAUGAUCUAUUUAGUGGUUUUGAAAGAAUGGCUACAGGUAUGGUUUUACAGCCCUAAACGGAAAACUUAUCCUUAGACGGGACUUACUACCAGUAAAAAUUCACCACAAAAACAAAACUUCAAAAUAAAACACAAGUUUUCAAAACACAAAACUCUAAACUGCUUUACACAAUCCUCCCCUUGGCUCUGAUACCAGAAGGAAAUAGAAUCGAAGGAUGGGUGUGUAUUGAAGAUGCUUCUUUAUUGAUUGCUUUAAUGAAAUAAUUGGAUCGCGGUUGUUCAGAUUUUAUAUAAGAUUACCAGCUUUAGAUUAAGUAGAUUUGUUUUAGAGCAUACAAUGAUCAAACAAAUUUGAACGCGGUUGGUCAAAUUUUUAGAAUAUUUAAAGUACGUGGCGUUGUUAGACCAGAUCGAUCGCAGAAGUUAAUCUGCCUUUGGACCCAGAUCUGACUUAGAACAGAUCAAUAGUCCGCACGUUCGGGUUUCCAGCCUAUAUACUUUAAUAUAUUUACCAGAUAAAAUUAAGUUGCUUUAAACGUGGUUGUUUCUUUUUAUUGGGCUAAUUCCAGAUUUAAAUUAGAUUCUUUAAGGGGCUUGGGUACAUACACAGUACCAGAUCCGGAUCCCGGAAAUGGUGCUCUGAAGGAAUGGAGGAAGAAGAGAAGAUUUACAACUGAGGAUCGAGAUCCGGUCUCUUUGCCUCAGAGGAACGUACAAAUUUUAUGGCAGAUCUGAUAAAGACCAGUCUGCUUUGCAUGCUUUGAAAAGAAAAUUGCUUUAAAAAUAAAUUGCUUUAAUGUAAAUAUGCAUGAAAUUAAAUUGCAGAAAAGUAAAUUGCGAAAAUUUAAAUUACAUCGAAAUUAAAUAACUGAAAUUUAAACAUACAUCUUUGCUUUGAUAGUCUUGGUCUUUACAAUUUUCAAAUCUUUCCUGAAGGGAAGAUUGAAAGACGGGAAGAUUACAAGACAGGAAUGGUUUCCUUGAUGUCUUGGACUGUUCAUCAAAUUUUGACCACCAUUUGACUUUAAAGGUUCUUUGAAGGAUGACUUGGGAAUCUUGAGUAUGAAAACGGAGGUUCCACAUCCAGACCCAUGGUAGGAAGAAGUUUGUACAAAAACAGAGAAAGGGGGGAAAUCUUUUCUCUGAGUCAGAGGGCAUAUAGUGGGCUUUAAAGAGGUUUAGGCAAUUUAUGGCAUUUGGAGUGAGGAUUUGAGGUAUUGGGCCAAAGAAAUUCCACCAAUGAUGGAACCAGUUUGGAAGGCUUUGGACGGUUAUUUUAGGGUUAAAGAAAAAUAACCAAGAAUGGGAUUUUUUAGGGUUUUGAAUAAAAAAGGUGUUAUACCAUGCUUGUUGGUAAUCCCAGUAGGAGAAAGUCCGACAAUGUGGUAAACGGGUUUCAAAGUUUAAAGGAAAGGUUUUGAAAUUGUGGAGUAGGUCGCCCCACUGGUUCGGGCUCAAAACUUUUAGAAUCGUGGCCGUGGAAUAGGCCGGUUCAGAAUGGGUUUUAUCAAGAAAGAAAUGUUUGAAUUUAACUGAUUCAGUUAUUUCUAAAAUGCUUUGAUAAUAAGACUGGGGUUUUGUCAAAUCCCAUGGUUUGAAAAACCAGCCUUUGGGAAAAAACUUUGAAAUGCUUUGAAAAGGAUCAGUAUGGUAAAAUCCAUCUUCCAUAGAAAGAAUAUUUUGAAAAUGGGUUUUAUCAAACCAAUCGGAGGUUUUCUUUGAAGGUGUUGGCUGAGAAAGCACAAUUUGGGAAGAUGAGCUUUCGGCAGAGACAACAACAUUUUGAGAGGAGGGUUUUGUAAUUUCUUUAGAUGUGGAUAUGCUCUUAAUUUCUUUUUGAGGAGAAUUUUGGCUCUGGGAAAGGUUUUGUAGAGCGAGCAUGAGCUCGGGAGAUUUUGUAAUGGAACUCAUCCAAUGCUUUAUUUGAUCAUCAGAAGAGAUGGGUUUGUAUUGGGCUUCAUGUUCUUCAACCAAUUCAAUCCAUGAUUUGAUGGGUAGGGCAGAAGAAAGUAAUUUUUCUUUAGAAGGGGUUGACUGGGGUUCUUUGGAAGGUUCUUGAGAUCCGGAACUUUUGAGAACAGCUUUACCUUUGUCUUUCUUUAGCGGCAUUAUCUGUUUUGAAGAAAUUCUCUGGUUAGAAAAUCAGGAACAGAAUUUUUAUCACCUUUAAUGAAUUCUAUAUCAAAAUCAAAAACACUCAAAAUAGCUUGCCAACGUGCAAAAAUUUGUUUUGAUGCAAUGUUUUGAACAUCCUUUUCUAAAACAUGUUUUGCAGCUUUGCAAUCAAUUCUAAGUAAAAAUUUUUGAUUUAAUAAAUCACUUUGAAAUUUUGUAAUGCAUAAAACAAUGGAAAGAAUUUCUUUUUUAAUAGUAGAAUAAUUUUUCUGACAAUCAUUCCAAUGUGCAGAAACAUAUUGUACUAUCUGUUCUCUAUCAUUUUCUUUUUGUUUUAAUAUACCUCCAUAUCCUAAAUCAGAUGCAUCAGUUUCAACAAUUUUAGGGAAUGCAGGGUUUGCAAGAUAUAGACAUGGGAUGCUUUUAACAGAACUCUUUAUUAAUUUAACAGCUUUAGUAUGUUCAUCUGUCCAUGGAGCAGGUUUUUUCUUUAAACGAUCAUGCAAAGGUUUAGACAACCUAUUGAUAUUGGGACAGAAAUCAAGAACAUAAUUUAGGCUACCAAGAAAUCUUUGUAAUUGAGUUUUGUCAAGGAUUUUAUCAGGGAAUUUAUCAGCAAAUAAAAGUGAUCUUUCAAUAGGGGUGAUUGUUCCUUUUGAAAUAUAGUGACCAAGAAAUCUGAUUUUCGUUUGAAAUAAUGAAAUCUUUGAACUAGAAAGGGCUAGUCCAGCCUUUUUUGUAGCAAAAUAAAAAGUCUUUAAAUGUUUGAAAUGUUGAUCGAUUGAAUUUGAAAAUAUCAAAACAUCAUCAAUAUAAACAAUGCAAAAAUCAGAAUAAGGAUUAUAAAUAUCAUUCAUAAUUCUUUGAAAUUCUGAGGGUGCAUUCUUUAAACCAAAGGGCAUAACAGUCCAUUCGUAUUGUCCAAAUGGAACAGUGAAAGCGGUUUUGUAACGGUCAUUUGGAUGAAUUUGAAUUUGCCAAAAACCCGAUUUCAUGUCGAAUUUUGAAAAAAUAAAGGCAGAACAGAGUUUUUGGAGUAAAUCUUUUUUAUUAGGUAUAGGAUACCUAAUCCAUUUUAAAGCUUUAUUCAAAGGUUUGUAGUUUAUAACUAGUCUUGGAGUGCCUCUUUCAAUUUCGGAGUUUUUGUUAACAUAAAAAGCAGCACAAGACCAAGGAGACCUGGAUUUUACAAUGAGUCCUUUAGACUCCAAGUCUUUGAUUUCAUUUUUACAAUGUUUUUCUAAAUCCAUAUUCAUUUGAAUUGGACGAGCUUUGGUCGGAAUCUGUUUUUCAUCAAAAGAAUUUUCAUAAGGCAGGUCUACUAAAUGUUGUUUUCUAUUCCAAAAAGCAGAAGGUAGAUCAGCACAAAUUUCUUUUUCAAUAAGAGUUUUGAAAUCAGAAAUUUUUCUUUUAAUGAAAUCACUUUGUAAUUGGCUUUCAACUCUUUGUAAGUUCAAAUCUUUUUGUAAAAACAUUAGAUCACACUGUUUUGAUUUAAGUAAAUUGUUUAUUCUAUUUUGAUAAAUAGAACAGGCUUUAACAAUAUUUAAAUUUCUUGUUUUAGGUUUUUCAAUAAAAGGGAAAACAAGUUUCUUGUUUUUUUGCUUUGAAAGAUAUACUAUCAUAAUUGACAGUAUACGGAGUUAUGAGAUUUAUAAAAGGAGUUCCCAAAAUAAUGGCAUGAUGAAUAUCAUUUGUGAGAACAAAGGAAGUUUUAAAAUCAAAACCAUCAUUAUAGAUCGAGGCUUCAACCUUGGAACUGACAUUCAAUUUUGAAUUAUUGGCGGCAGAAAGCCUUUCUUUUGUUUUUUCAUGAAAUCUUUUGGGGACGAUAUCUUCUCUAAUGCAAUUUAAAUCGGCGCCAGUAUCAAAAAGGGCAAUGGCGUCCAUCGCAAAAUCAUCAGAAAAGAUUAGAGUGACUUUAAUCAAAUACUUUCUUGUGGUGAUUUGUUUUAGAACAAAUAGAAAAUCAUUGGGUACAGACUCAAUAUUUUCUACUUUAAUAUCAUCACCAUCAAUAUCAGGACUGGAUUCAUUGUCUGAAUUAUCCUGUAAUUGCUUUUGUAAAAGAAGUUGAAUAAUAUCAGAAUCACUUUUUUGUUUUUCUUUUAAAUCUCUGAUUUCACUUUUGAUUUCUUUUAUCUCUUUCUGAAGAUCUUGGAUAUUAGGAAUCAUCUUUUUUGUUUUCUUCUUAUCCAAAAUUUGAGUAAGAUCAUAAGAAUUCUUUUUAAUAAUUGGGACUCUAGAAGUCUCGGCUUUAUUAAAAUCCAAUGUUUUCAAAAGUUUAUCAAGGUAUUCCUUUUGAAGAUUUGGAUCAGAAAUAUGCUUUACAAGUUCAAGAAAAGUUUCUUGGUCUUUAGUCAAAACAUUGAUUUUCUUUAAAAAUGAAUCAGAUUCAGAAUCACUACUGCUAGAUGCAGAGUCAUCUGAGUCAAAAAGCUCAUCAACUUGGUAAGGGUCACUGUCUCCUGACAUGGAAGACUCAGAAUCAGAAGAUUCGACAAGAAGAGGGGCUAUUUUAGAAAGGAUGUCCUCAUUGAGGUCAAGUUCUUGGAGUCUUUUGUUCAUUCUGCAAAAUUUUGCAGUAUGACCUUUCAUACCACAUUUGAAACAUGUGGCCUCCUUGAAGUUGAAUGGGGUAUUAGGUUUGGCUUUGAAAUCUUUCUUUUUAGAGAAACUAUGUCUCUUAUAAGGCUUCGAAGGUUUCUUAUAAGGAAGUUUUCUAAAAUCACGGAAGGGUUUUCUAAAAUGUUUAGAUUUGUAAUGUUUCUUACGAGGUUUUGUAGAACACUCUCCAUUACAAUCUUUGGAAGUUUUAAAGGGGUCAUAAUUGAAUUGCUUACAGAAACCGCCUAAUUCCUGUUUAGACUUCUUAAGCUCCCACUUAAGACGUUUCUGUAAUUUCAAAUCUUGACAAAUCUUUAAACCUUCUUUGUUGACAAAACUGACUAGUUCACCAUAGGUGAGCUCGUCAUAAGGAAUACGGUUAUCGUAAAGGGCUUUGAUGGAAUUUCUUACCUUUUCACCUAAAAAGGUAGGUAAUCCAGCAAGAAAUUUUUCUUUCCAAGUAAUAUGAUUUGCAUCAUCCCUUAGAAAUAGUCUGGUAAGGAAAGAGGUUUUGUAACUCUGAAAUUCACUAAGUUUUCUACAUCUCAAAUUAUGUAGUAACUCAGCGUUUUUAUCACGAAGGUGAGAAGGGUCACCGAUGAAAUGGAGGGAAAUGGUUAGAAUAAGAGUAGCAACAGCAUCCUGGAUAGGGUUGUUGAACUCAUCAAGAAUAGAGGCUCCAUUUUCAUCUUUUUGGACGGAAUUUAGAAUGUCAAAUUGUUGCUGAUUAGUGAGAAGAUGAUCCCACCAACCUUUUAGUUGACCAGUAAAACCAGCAAUUAGGAUUUCCGAUAUGGCACGAUCAGAAGUUCCUGCUUGGGUUUUAUAAGCAUUAGCUGCCAUUGUCAUUUGUUGCAACAAUCCAAGGAUAUUGUACUCAGACAUGCCGUCAAUAUUCCACUCAUAGACUGAAGAUGCAUUAUAACGGGAUUGAUUUAAUGCACUAGGUCUAUUAUCUAUUGCUAGAUCUGGUGGGGUCUUGACAGUGGGAAGGGCUAAUUCCCAGUGGAUUUUGUUGGCUUUAGGAGUAGAAGGUUCUUCUUUGAAAGCUUCUAAGUCAGAAGAGGCUAUAGAACUCUGGUCAUCUAGAUCCAAUACUCCAAUCUUGCUAGAUUGGGGGGUAUCGGGGGCUAUCUGGAGUUUGCUAGACGAGGAAGAAGCAGCUUCUAUCCUCUCUAGUUGUUCUCUAAUGGCUUUAGCAAAAUCUGAUUUUGACUCUUGAACAAGCCUUUGGCUAGUUUUCGAAACCUGAAAAGGUUUGAAAAUAGGUUCCUUAAGCUUUUUGUCAGAAUCCGAUUUUGAAGGAAUAGACAUAGGAAUAGGAGAAACAGAUAUAGGAGAUUUUUGAAAUUGGUUUUCUAUACGAGCCAAUUGCUUUCCAAUUGUAUUUAAGUUAGUAUUACAGAAAUUAUUCUGUUGUAUAAUACUACUUAAAUUCGCAUCAGAAUCAUUUGGUCUUGGGAUUUUGUAAGGGGAUGCUUUAAUCUCAAUAGGAGGUUCACCAUGAUCUAUGGUUAUACUCCUAAGAGGUGGAUGAUCAGACUCUAUAAUCCUAUCAUUAUCAGAAAGUUUCCAUUCAGGAAUUUUCUUUCUAAUAGUUAUAGGGUUUGACUCUUUAAAAGGAUAAUCAAUAUUGUUCUCAGAAGAAUAUAUUUCGAACCAAUCAAAAAACAAUAUAUGAACUUUAUGAAAAUUCACAAAUUCAUAAUAAGUUUGUUGGAUUUCUUUUCUUUGGUUUAAAAAAUGUUUAAAAAACCAAGUUCUUUUUUCUUUAUUUAUUUCUGAAUAAAAAUCGUUAUGCAGAAAGGCUUUAUCUAAUUCAAAUUCUUUUUCAAUGACAUUAAUGACAUUUUCUGUGACAGCAGAAAACGUAGGAGAUGUUGGAGGAGAAGGUUCCUUCUCUUUCUGUCUUUGCACAUGUUGACUACUAGUGUAUAUAGGAUGAGGAACACUUGUGGCAUAGUCAACGGAACGGAUGGAGGAGCUAGGUAUAUCCGAAGUGGAAAACCUAGGUUGGCUCUGAUAUGGGAGAUUUAUAACAGAAGGUACUUUUGUAAACUUCCUUUCUAGUGAAGGAAUGCUUGGGCUCGAUUCUUUUUCAGAAAAUCUAUGUGAGGUAGACCUUCUGAAUGAUAGUUUGACUUUACCAUCGGAAUACUGGGUCACAUUUUGUAACUCUGUAUUUGGCUCAAGUUGUUUCGGAAUCGCCGGUGGGGCGGCUCCUUCGAGGAUCCAUUCAUCUGGAAGAUGGAUAUCUUUCCAUUGGAUCGAUUUUGGAAUGACCAUGUUGGCUUUAGACAAAUCAGUCUGCAAGAGAAGGGUCUCAUCUCUCUUCGACUGGUAUUUAUGCUGUGUGCUAAAUGCAGAAAUCAUGGCUUUAUAGGAAAUUUUAAAAAUUAAUGCAACUGGGAUGGAUCCCUUAAUCAUGUGAUAAUUAUGGGUUUGGAUUUGUAAAAUCAUGCUCUUUAAAAUAUUUUUGUCUUUAAGAGAAAUUGUUAUAUUUGGAUAACAAUCAAAAGAUAUGGGACCUUUACAUAGACUAGAUUCGAUACUACUUAGUAAAGAAUCAUCAAAAGAGAUGAAUCGCCCAUCUCUAAGAACAGCAAGGAUAGAGGUAUCCAAGCCUUCUUUGGUCAAAGGUUUUAUUCCUACUUGGAUUAAACCAAUGUGAAUAUAUUUGAAAUUCUUUUCUUUUAAUUUCUUUAAAGAUUUUUCUGAAAACAAAUAAAUUGUUUCAAAAGGCUCCGAAAGAGUUAUGUCUCUUUCUUCAGUUUUUAUAAUAUAAUCAUGUUUUAAAAGAUCAAGCAUUUUUGUUUUGUAAAUCUUUUCUUUGGAAAUUUUUGGAAGUUCCCAACAAUCAAUUGCUUUAUCAAAGUUUUCAAUAACGAAUUCUUCUGAACUCACAACAUGCUUUGAAUCACUAGUCUUCCCGGAAGAAGAGCUAGAAAAGGACGAUGUUCUACAGUGUAGAGGGUUCAUGGGUAAAAACCUAUGAUCUAUUUAGUGGUUUUGAAAGAAUGGCUACAGGUAUGGUUUUACAGCCCUAAACGGAAAACUUAUCCUUAGACGGGACUUACUGUUGAGUGUUAGAAAAUGCAUAUUUAUAAAGGAGAAAACCGUCAUUUUACAUUUCAAGUCUUACUAACAACCCUUACUUUUAUGUAUUUAACCUUCUUGUGAUGUAAUUACGUGUGUGUUAUUUUAAUUAAGUAUUUUAUGUAUUUUAGGGGCAUUAUAGUCAUUUCACAAUAAAGGAGAGAUCAGACGGCAAAACGGACAUCACUUUUGAACUCAGGACGGUCGAAAACCUUAGGAGGAGCAUAAAAGGAAAAAUGGUACUAUUCACGUAUACGGUACUGUCUACAUUACUGUUCACGACACUGUUCACAUAGACGGAUCGAUGACGUGGCAUUGACCGAUGAUGUGGCAUUGACUGAUGAGGUGUCACGAUCCUGUUGGACUAAAAUUCUUAUGUACUGUUGACGGUGACGUGGCAGCAUAUCAGUGGACGAAAAAUCUCGCGUACGGUGCAUGCAUCACACAGGAUUAUUUUCAACCAAACCGUGUUACUGUUCAUCCGGGUCAAACCGUGUUACUGUUCAUCCGCGUGGUCAAACCGUGGACUGUUGACUGAUGACGUGGCGCAAUCCUGAGCGUCCAAACUGUUUUUAAUCCGAUGGCCAUGAUUUACUCCAUGUAUCUAUAAAAAGGGGGCCUCCCCCCCCUAAUUUGAUAUCUCUGAAUCCAUUUUUGGGAUCCAUUUUCUGUAAUUCCUUCUCCAUCUUGUAUUUUCUUCGUAUUUUAAUAAAUUCCCAUUUUGCCCCUAGUUCAAUUAUGAGUAGCUAAUUUCCUUUCAAGCUUGGGUUGAAGGUGAAGUCUCAACAUGUGUCAUGGGCUUUAUUUGGUAAAUUUAUUUUCUUUUCCCCUCUAGUUUUUGUGGAUGAUUUGACUUAUCGUCGACAAAUAAUACUGAUCUUGUCUAGAUACCGCCUUGGUUACACCGGCUCUCUAGUAUAAGGUUAUUAUUAUUUGGCACGAUAAGCCCUUAGCACCAUGUUGAUUAGAGCGUGGUUCAUGAUGUGUGGAUUCCCCCAUCAUGAUUUAAUUGGCAUUAAUACGGAUUAUUUAGCCCAUGAUGCAUGUUGAUACGGAUCCGAAUACCCAAGUACGUCAUUUCAAAUAGAAUUAUCUUCAAUUUAUUCUCGCCAUUGCAAUUCUAAUUUUAGAAUUUAUUCUCGCCAUUUUAAUUUAAGUUUUAGCAUAUUCCAAAUCAUUUCCACCAUAAAUCCAACCACCCAUUUUGCAAAAUUAAUUCUACACAUAAUUAAAAUCCACCUCCUCGUGGGAUCGACACUCGUCACCAUUGAUCUAUACUACAAUAGAUUCGUGCGCUUGCGAGUACAUUAAAAUUUGCACAACAAGUUUUUGGCGCCGUUGCCGGGGAGGUAAGUAAUUUUAAUUCAUAGAAUUAAUUUUUGUGAAUAAUUUCUUUUAUUUGUUUUCUUGUAUUUUUUUUUCUUAUUAAAAAAGAAAAAAGAAAAAAAAGAGUAAAUCUACAUUUAAAGGUUAGUAUUUCUUUUCUUUUUCUCUUCUUUAAAAUUCUGUAAUUUAAUUUUCAAUUUAUUUUUUCUUUGUAAUUUUUGUUUAUUUUAUUAAUUUAAUUUUUAGUUAAUUUAUUUCACGUAUUUGUUUUUGUGUAUUUUUAUAGAAAGGUUGUAAUAGCGCAAUAAGGUUAGUAUCGUAAUUUCUCCCUCUUCUUUAUUUUUAUUUGUUUUGUUCCCAUCUUUAUUUUUUUGUUUUGUUUGCAUCUUUAUUUUUAUUUUUAUUUUAUUUUGCAUGCAUGGUCGUAGGUCAUUAUUACCUAAUCUUGAACCUAUAGACCUUGAAUUAGAAAAAACACUUCGCACACAAAAGCACAUUAAAAAUAAAUUUGGAAUGGAUUUACAAGCACCACAGGAGAGGCCAUUUAAGGACUAUUUUAGUCCCUUAGCUAAUUUGAGCACAUCAUGCAUUAGAUACCCAAAUGUAGCUGCUGGGAGCUUUGAACUAAAACCUAGUGUGCUAAAUUGUCUCCCCACAUUCUAUGGCUUAGAAAAUGAGGACCCAUAUAAUCAUCUGAAUGAUUUUCAUACCAUUUGUCAAACUUUUAAAUAUGAAAAUUUUUCAGACGAUGAUGUUAAACUCAGAUUAUUCCCAUUUUCUUUAAAGGAUAGAGCUCGUUCAUGGUUAAAUACUUUGCCUGCUAAUAGCAUUGCAUCAUGGGAACAAAUGGUUACAAAAUUUCUAAAUAAAUAUUUCCCAGUGCAUAAAACCAAUUCUAUUCGCAGGGAAAUUUCAGAGUUUACACAAAGAGAGGACGAGCAGUUUUUCGAAACAUGGGAGCGAUUCAAUGGGCUACUCUUGAAGUGUCCACAUCAUGGGUACGAGAAAUGGCACCAAUGCCAAUACUUUUUGGAGGGAUUACUACCAAAUGUGCAAGAAUGGCUAAUGGCAACAAGUGGAGGAGAGCUAAUGUCAAAAAGCGCAACAGAGAUUUGGGAAUUCUUCCAGCGACAAGCGGAUAAUUCCCAACAACGGAGUCGAUCACUCAGGAAUACUAGAAGAAUUAAGGGAGUAAAUGAGGUUCAAAUUGGCGAGUCAACUUCGGGAAUCAAAGAAGUCAAGGAGAUGGUUGAAGGUCUUGCUCGACAAAUAGCAUCGUUAUCGACUGCUAAAUCAACAGAACCACAUGACCAUGACUCAUACUCCGAUCAAGCCAAUGCCAUAGGUGUAAUGAGAAAGCCAUCUAAUUACAACCCAUACUCCAACACAUAUAACCCUGGAUGGAGAGACCACCCCAAUUUUUCAUGGUCUCAAGGAUUCCAACAGAAUGGACCAGCAGCUCCAGCUCCACAAAUUCCUCAAGUUCCUCAAGCCUCUCAGCCACCAUUCAGACCAUACAAUCAGAACCAGAACUACUCUCAACCCAGACCAUGGGAGGAUUCAUUCCAGAAUCUCAAGAAUCUUACUCACUCCACGAUUGAGCAACAGAACCGCACCAUUGAUGGACUACGAAAUGAGUUGAGAGCAGGCUUCAACUCACAAGCUCAAUCAGUUUCAAGCCUCGAGAAGAUGGUGGGACAACUUGCUUCUUCAGUUCAGACCUUGGCAAUGACUGUUGAGAAAGGAAAAUUUCCAAGUCAACCAGUGCCUAAUCCUAAAGGAGUGCAUGAAGCAAGUACCAGUUCACCACAACAGCAUGGAGAGGUCAAAGCAGUCAUGACCUUGCGAAAAGGAAAGGAAGUCGACAAUAAAGUGGAGAUGCCGGUGACAAAAGAAAAUCAAAUUGUACCUGUAAAUGCUGAGGACUCACCACCGGAGGAAAAAGAAGAAACCAACCCACGAGAAUACGUUCCCAAAGCUCCAUUUCCUCAGAGGUUAGUGAAAGGAAAGAAGGGAAAAAUCCACAGGUGAGAUUCUCGAAAUCUUCAAACAGGUAAGUGUUAACAUCCCUUUACUUGAUGCUAUAAAGCAAGUUCCAUCUUAUGCCAAGUUUCUUAAAGACCUUUGUACUAAAAAGAGAAAUAUGCAUGUUCAAAAGAAGGCAUUUUUAACAGAAAACGUUAGUUCUAUACUCCAACAUAAAAUUCCUUUAAAAUGCAAAGACCCAGGCUCCCCCACUAUCUCAUGUAGUAUAGGGAACCACACAAUUGAGAAUGCUUUGUUGGAUUUAGGAGCUAGUGUAAAUUUGUUGCCUUACUCUGUAUUCGUGAAACUUGGACUGGGAGAAUUACACCCAACUCCAGUGGUGUUACAACUUGCAGAUCGGUCCACAAAAAUACCUCGUGGUAUUGUGGAGGACGUGCUUAUCCAGGUAGACAAGUUUUAUUUUCCUGUUGAUUUCAUUGUAAUUGACACUCAACCAAUACAGGACUCAAGGAAGCACAUCCCCAUUAUUCUAGGCCGACCUUUCUUGGCAACUGCAGAUGCUCAUAUUCAAUGUAGGACCGGAAAUAUGCAAUUGUCCUUCGGCAACAUGACUAUGGAGCUAAACAUCUUCAACAUUGCCAAACAACCUCACAGUGCAGAUGAUGGAAUUGUUGAUGUGGAUUUAAUAGAAACCAUAGUUGAUAAUACUUUUCUUUCAAACCUUAGUGAUGAUCCUUUACAAACAUGCUUAACUCACUUUGGUUUGGAUUUUGAUAUUGAUAGAUCGGUCGAAGAGGUCAACGCCCUACUUGACUCAGCACCAUCCAUGGACACUAAUAAAUGGAAGUCAAGAGUUGAACAACUAGCACUAUCAGAGAAGAAACUCAUUCCAUCAUCAGAAUCACCACCGAAACUCGAGCUCAAACCAUUACCCAACACUCUGGAAUAUGCAUUUUUGGGAGAAGAAAGUACUCUGCCGGUAAUCAUCUCAUCAUCCCUAAAUGACGAACAAAAAGGUAAGUUGUUGGAUGUGUUAAAAGAGCACAAAGGGGCAUUAGGAUGGACCAUAGCAGACAUAAAAGGUAUAAACCCAGUAGACUGCAUGCAUUACAUUCACCUUGAUGAAAAUGCUAAAACUACUAGGGAGAUGCAACGUCGGUUAAAUCCUAACAUGAAAGAAGUUAGAACUGAAGUCCUUAAGCUAUUAGAUGCAGGUAUCAUUUACCCAAUUUCUGAUAGUUCAUGGGUCAGUCCUGUACAAGUCGUCCCCAAAAAGUCAGGAGUCACAGUAGUUACCAAUGCUGAUAAUGAAUUGAUACCAACUAGAGUAACUACAGGAUGGCGUGUAUGCAUUGAUUAUAGAAAGUUGAAUUCUGUCACACGUAAAGACCAUUUUCCUUUACCAUUUAUUGAUCAAAUGCUUGAUAGAUUAGCAGGCCAUGAAUUUUAUUGCUUUCUAGAUGGUUAUUCAGGAUAUAAUCAGAUUCCCAUAGCACCAAAAGAUCAGGAGAAAACUACUUUCACUUGCCCUUUUGGCACUUUUGCAUAUAGGAGAAUGCCAUUUGGAUUAUGUAAUGCACCUGCUACAUUCCAACGAUGCAUGUUGAGCAUUUUUUCUGAUAUGGUUGAACGAUUCCUUGAAGUCUUUAUGGAUGAUUUUUCUAUCUUUGGUGACUCGUUUGAUCAAUGUUUACAUCAUCUAACGCUAGUUCUGCAGAGAUGUACCGAGAAGAGCUUAGUCUUAAAUUGGGAGAAGUGCCAUUUUAUGGUAAAACAAGGUAUUGUUCUCGGUCACAUCAUUUCAAGCAAAGGUAUUGAGGUUGACAAAGCCAAGGUGGAUCUAAUUUCUAAUCUUCCUCCACCUAAAACAGUCAGAGAAGUAAGAUCUUUCCUUGGGCAUGCUGGUUUCUAUAGACGUUUCAUUAAAGAUUUUAGCAAAGUUUCUAGACCCUUAUGCAAUUUACUUGCUAAGGAUGUACCUUUUAUCUUUAAUGAUUCAUGUCUCAUGGCGUUUGAAAAAUUAAAGCAGUUGUUGACAUCAUCACCCAUCAUUCAGGCCCCAAACUGGAACUUACCAUUUGAGCUCAUGUGUGAUGCAUCUGAUUAUGCAGUAGGAGCAGUAUUAGGACAAAGAGUUGAUCGAAUUCCCCACGUUAUUUACUAUGCUAGUAUGACAUUGAAUGAUGCACAGUUGAAUUAUUCAACUACUGAAAAAGAAAUGCUAGCAGUAGUGUUUGCAUUAGAGAAAUUUCGAUCUUAUCUCAUUGGUUGUAAAAUAAUUAUAUUCACAGAUCAUGCUGCUCUUAAAUAUCUUCUCACAAAGAAAGAUGCAAAAGCUAGACUAAUUCGUUGGGUGUUACUUUUGCAGGAAUUUGACUUGGAAUUCAAAGAUAAGAAAGGCACAGAGAAUGUUGUAGCUGACCAUCUCUCUCGCCUCCAUUUUGAUAUAAUUAUGGAACCAUUACCAUUGAAUGAGUCAUUUCCAGAUGAACAAUUAAUGAAUGUGGAAGUAUUACCUUGGUAUGCUGAUAUAGUUAAUUAUCUUGUUACAGGUAAACUUCCAGAGCAUUGGACCAAGCAAGACAAGGCUAAAUUCUUUGCGGAAAUAAAGAAUUUCUUUUGGGAUGACCCGUAUUUGUUCAAGUAUUGUGCAGAUCAAAUUGUUAGGCGAUGUGUCCCAGAAAGUGAAAUUCAAAAUAUCCUUUCAUUCUGCCAUGAACAAGCGUGUGGAGACCAUUUUAGUGCUAAGAAAACAGCUACAAAAGUUUUACAAUGUGGUUUCUAUUGGCCAACUAUAUUUCGAGACGCUUACACUUUCUGUUCUUCAUGUGAUAGGUGUCAACGAAUGGGGAGCAUUACACGAAGGAACAUGAUGCCACUAAAUCCAAUUUUAGUGGUUGAGAUUUUUGACGUAUGGGGUAUCGACUUCAUGGGACCCUUUCCCCCUUCUUUUGGCCAUCAAUACAUAUUGGUUGGUGUUGACUACGUAUCGAAAUGGGUGGAAGCAAUUCCAUGCAGAACCAAUGAUCACAAAGUGGUGAUAGGAUUUUUGAAAAGCAACAUUGUUUCACGCUUUGGAUUCCCUCGAGCGAUAAUCAGUGAUGGUGGUGCCCACUUUUGUAACAAAGCAUUCAAGGCUCUUUUGACAAAGUAUUCAAUCACACACAAAGUGGCGACCCCGUAUCAUCCGCAAACCAGUGGCCAAGUUGAGAUCUCCAAUCGAGAAAUAAAGCACAUAUUAGAAAAGACGGUGAGACCAGACAGAAAAGAUUGGUCAUUAAGACUUGAUGAUGCAUUAUGGCAUAUAGAACGGCUUUCAAGACCCCGAUUGGGAUGUCACCCUACAGGCUAGUGUAUGGAAAAGCUUGCCACCUACCUGUGGAACUCGAGCAUCGUGCAUAUUGGGCCAUCAAGAAAUUCAACUUUGACAUGCAGCAAGCCAGCUCAGAAAGAAGAUUACAGCUGGCAGAACUUGAAGAAAUUCGCAAUGAUGCAUACGAAAAAUGCCAAGAUUUACAAGCAACGAAUGAAAGUCUUCCAUGAUAAGCAAAUUAUGAGAAAAUCGUUCACUCCAGGUCAGAAAGUGCUUUUAUUCAAUUCUCGCUUGCACCUAUUCCCAGGUAAGUUACGCUCUCGUUGGUCUGGCCCAUUUAUUGUACAUACUAUUUUUCCACAUGGGGCAAUUGAAAUUAAGGACCCAAAGAACGGUGUCACGUUUAAAGUUAAUGGUCAAAGAUUAAAGCCAUAUCUAGAGUACCAACCACAUGGAGAAAACAUCGAAAUAAAUUUGAGUGACCCACCAAAUUUGAAUUGAUUUUUUUUUCUUUUCGUUGAUUUGAUUUUUCUUUAUUUCUUUUUAUUAUUAUUCUUUUGCUAAUUGAAAUUGUUUUUGCAUAAGUGUGUUUAUUUUACCAUUAAGUUUUUCUCUUAUCAUUUUUAAUCAUGAGUCUCCUACUUAGACCGUUCCUCCUGAACAUUCUUAAACCACUUCAACGUGUCAAAACUCAUCUCAAAAGGCAGAUUCAAUUUUGUAAAACACAAACGCAUUUGGGCUCUACAACCACCAGAGUUAGUAGCAUAUGUUGAGGGUUUAGAACGCCAACUCAGAGACAUUGAGAGAAGUGUUUACGACAUCCAGUUGGAGCUUGAGGUAAAUUCAAUAAGAGGACGAUUUUAAUUUUCUUUGUGUGUUUUAAUUUGUUUUUCUGUUUGUGUGCUUUAGUUUGUUACCCCGGUGAAGUGGCGGAUAACGGUACUCCGUGACAAUCAAGUCGGUUACUUCAGUUUCCCACAAUAACUGACAUUCUGAGGCGAAAGUAUGGACAGAAAUGAGAUUCUAGCGAAGCUUCACAAGCGAUUCCCUUCACUUCCUCAGAAUGCCCUCCUUACGAUCUAUAAAGCUCGGACCGAACGCAUGCGAUUACUCAUGAAGAAUAACAUACCUGCUGACAUCUGUUGGUUAAUUGAGGCUAAAGUACGAUCAGCAGGUGAGUUACCUCCUAAAUUUAUUGCAUACAUGCCUGGUUGUGGUAAAGGAAAUUAUGCAAGAAAACGACGAGCUCGAAGAAUUUCUGUUGCUUGUCAUAAAUGUGCCAGAAUGAGUUGCGAUAGAAACCCAUGUUCUUUAGGAAUGGUGUCUGAUAACAGGGAAGAUAAGAUUCAAUUCAUUAGGGAUGGCUUGAAUAAGGAGUCAUUGGAUGAUAUCCUUUUGUCUCUUGAAACGCAUCAUAGUGGAUAUGUGCAAGGAGCGAUUCUCCAGUUAUGGCCAUUAUUCCAAAAAGAGCAUACACGAUAUAGUCUUGGGAAUCUGACUAUAAACGACCCUGUUUGCCAGUUUAUAAGAAAACUGGAUGGGAAGCCGAUCCUCGACCCAUAGAGGGCGUUCAAGCCGUUUCUGGACGUAAAACCAGAGGAAGAUGUGAGCCACAGUCGCAACUACGUGUAAAUAUCCUUUUACUUUACUGUUAUUUUAUUUCAUUUCACUGUUGUUUUAUUGUUUGCAUUAUUGUCUUUAAUAAUUUUAUUACUGUUUGCUUUUUCCUUUUUACUGUUUCCUUUUUGACUCGCGAGCCACGUGCUUUACGCGUUAUUUGACACUGACAUGUUACCUCAUUCACAGCUGUGAUCCACUGUCACCAAGAUUCUUAAAUGUGAUUUAUCUUUUGUCAAGCACUCACAAAUUUUUUGAGAAGUAUCACAAUGGCAGCUACUCCCAAUAGACAAUUCAAGAACAUUUGUGUGCUUUCUGGAUUUACCUAUGGCAAACAUAAAGAGUUCGUGAGGCAGCCAUAGAUCUUGGUCGAAGCAUAGCAGCGAGAAAAUUACAUUUGGUGUAUGGAGGAGGUAACCGAGGGUUAUCAAAAAUGGUCUCAGAAGCAGCUUUUAUCAGAGGAAGUCAAGUGUUAGGCAUCAUCCAAGAGUCCUAAAACAUUGGGCAGUUCGUCUGACUCAUCAACUGGAGAAGAGUUAGUCGUCUCAGGUAUGCAAGAAAGAAUAACUGAAAUGCUUAAUCAUGCUGAUGCUUUUAUUUUCCUUCCAGGAGAUCUUGCAACACUAGAGGCACUUAUGACACUAGCAUCUUGGGCCCAUCUGCACAUCCACCAGAAACCCAUCGGUUUGUUAAAUGUCAAUAACUUUUAUGAUGGCUUUAUCGCAUUUCUUAACCAUGCAAUAAAAAACUAUUUCAUUCCUUCUAAUGUGAAAAAACUCUUUAUUUGUGCUCACACUGCUAAUGAGCUACUUGAUAUGUUACAAGCUUAUAAACCGGAGCCAGACCCCUGGACCUUUGUGUUGGAGCGACCAAAUAAUGAUGGUAACAGUAGCCGCAGUAAGAAGUACAAAUUAGAUUUAACUCUCCGCCUGUAAAUAUUUUCUUCUGUGUUGCACCACCCAGGUGAUGUCUUCUAAACUCUACUUCUUUCCUUUAAAACAUUGAGGACAAUGUUUCGUUCUGGUUGGGGGGAGGGAAUAGUCGACAAUUGUGGAAUCUUGGUUAAGUUUUUUACUGAUUUUUUGUUGUAGAAACUAACUGUUGCUAACGUUUUGUGUUGAAGAUGGCUGAAUAUGGAGUGUAGUUACUCUAGAAACGCAUCUUCAUCGUUUAAAAAAAAAAAAAAAAAUCUGUUUUCUUCCUCUUUCUCCUUUAUAAAUAUGUAGUUUCAAAUUUUUGAGUCGAAGAUGGCUGAAUAUGGAGUGUAGUGCCUCUAGAACGCACUUCUUAGUUUAAAAAAAAAAAAAAAAAAUUCUUUUUUCUAAUUAAUUUUUCUACAUCAUUUUCACAUUUCUGCAUGCAUAUUUUCCUUUCAUGUUUAGAAUAGGUUGGGGGGUAGAAUGUUGUUUAAAAAAAAAAAAAAAAUUGUGUUAUUUGUUUAACAUUGGAUGACAUGAUUAAUUUCAAAUUUUAGUAUUUGUAUUAUCUUUGGUCUUAAGUGAUGUUACGCUAUGUUUGCUACUUUACAUGUUGAUGUCGGAGACAAAUAUGAGUUGCUUGAAGGAAUGAACAUGUCAUAAAUAAGUGCCAAGUGAGUUGUUGAGCCUAUCAUUUAUUUUAUUUGAAAUUGGAGUUAUCCCAUAUACUUUACUACUUUAGCUCUAAGAUUACAAUGUUUUUAGGCAACACUUUUAUUUUUCUCUUUCCCCCUUUUUUUGUACAUGCAUGUGGAUUAUUUUUCUCUAAGCUCCUUAAUAUUUAAGACAAAUCAUAAAAGCGAUUGAAGUAUAACAAGAUGAUCAAAUAUUUAACUAAAAAAAGAAAAAGAAAUAAAACACUGAAAAUGGAGACGUUGAUUAAUUUAGAAGAGAUCCAAGCAAAAGAUAUUCCCAAAAAGAAAAAAAGAAGAAGCAAUGUAUCCCUUUAGAGGGCAAACUUAUUAGUUUUAAAAAAGUACACGCUUUGGAUUGAUGGUUGCAGGAUAUUUGUUUUUGACACCUAUAUUAGUUGGAAAAGUCGACCGUAGUGGAGAAUGUUAUGAAAGAGAGCAAAGGAUAUUUUUAACAGUGCUCUAUUUGAUUAUACGCAUUCAUUGAAUGGAAGAUAUAUGACUGCGUUAGUUCAUCCAUGUCUGUCAAUUCGUUUUUUAUGGUUUUUUUUUUCCAGUUGUUUGUUGUAAUAGAUUGAUUGUAAAUUGAUAUUAACUUGAUGUUGUAAUAUGUUCGCUUUUGUGGAAUUAAAUUUGAAUAUUCAAGAUAUUCAAGUCUUAUCUAGUAUGUUUUCAAUUGUGUUGUCGAUAAUUUUGCAUUCGAAUAAGUUUCACCUAAAAUAUUAGCAUGAGUAGUAGUCCUUGAGACUUUGGUCAAAAUUAUUGUUAUUGUUUGUUUUAGAGGAAAUUUUUUAUUAAAGCCUCGUUAACACUAUUACUUAUUAAGAUUAUAAGUUAGUGUCGGUGCAGGAUUUGCAGCAACAAAUCUUGUCUAGCCACGUGUCAAAAGUAUAAAUAAAUCAAGGGAAAGCACAUGACAUGUUGAGCUGGCAAAACGGUCAUCGAGUCAUGUUCGUGUCGUGUCAAAUUUAGGUCGACCCAAACCCGACCCAUUUAAUAAUCGUGUCAAAAUAUUGAGACCCAAACCUGACACGAAAAAAUAAUCGGGUUACCCAAUAACCCGCUUAAUAUCUAUAUAUUAAACAAAAGUUACAUCAAAUAUUUACACUUUGUCAUACAUAUGUAUGCACAUACAUACAUACAUACAUACAUACAUACAUACAUACAUACAUACUUUAUCACUAUUAUAAAAUAUACAUAUCUACUAAAAUAUUACACACACUAUUAAGGUUUUAAUUAUAUAUAUGUAAAUAAUAUUGUAUAUCAAUAUUAUAAAAUAUACAUGUCUACCAAUAUUUUAUACAUUUAAACUAUUAAAGCUCUAAAUGUAUUUAAAAUUUUAUAAAUAAAAUAUUGUGUCUAUAUUCAUCCUUUUAAAGAAAAAAAAUUAUCUCUAAUAUUUGAGUUUUGAUGACAAGAAUCUGUAAAUUAUUUUAAAAUAAAAAAUAUAAUCGGGUCAUUAAUCGGGUAAAUGGGUCAAGAAUUUUAACCCUAACCCGACACGGAAAAAAUCGUGUUGACCCGGACCCGACCCAUUUAAUAAUCAUGUUAAAUUCGACGACCCAUACCCAUUGUUAGUGUGUGUUGUGUUCGUGUCGGAUAAUCGGGUCGUGUCAAAUUUUGCCAACUAUAAUGACAUGGAUUAGGAUCCAAUAAAAAGGAAAAGGAUAACUGUAUCCUAAAGUUUCAAUAAGAGAUACUAAGAUAUCUUUUGACUAAUGUUAUUUUUUGACUUUAUUAAUAAAAGAUCCAAUAGUUUAUAACAAAUAAAAAUAUAGUAUUAAGCUAAAUGUGAUAAUUUACACAUUUUACAUAAUUACAAUAAAAAAUAUAUUUUAAUGUUUUACAAUCUAUCAGACAUAUUUUAUUAAAUUAAUAAGAUUUUUCUUACAAAUAGCAACAUAAUAUUAAAAUAAAUUUAUAAAGAUUUAAAUGUAAAAUAAUUUUAGUAUAAUUAAUACGUGGGAUAUAUUUUGUAAAUUAUAAAUUACUUAACCCAAUGAUUUUUAAAAAUCUUUAAAAUAAAUAAAAAUAAAUUAUUCACAUUUUGAUGUAAAUAUUUAAAACAUUUUUAUACAUUUGUCCACAAUUAUUUAUGUUAUAUUUGUAUUUAUUAGAAAUUUUGAAAGUCAAAUGUUUUUCACCUCUAUCUUAUUAGAAUUAUUGCACACAGAGAAGAGCCAUAUAUGCUUUAUAGCUUAAAAUCGGUUUGUUUAUAGCUGGGAACAGAGAUGAUCAUUAUUAUAAGGAUUAAAAAAAGAUAAAGAAUAUUAAUGAUUAACGAAAUCUUUAUGGAAAUUGAAUUUAGUAAGAAAAAAAUUGAGCUGAUUUUAGUGGUAUAGUAAUAUUUUAUAUAGAGAAAAGUAAAAGUUGCACCCCGAAAUGUUCAAAACUCUUUUUUAAUUAUAAUAUUAUUUUUCCUAGAUAACUUAAAAAUUUGACUCUAAUAUUUUAUAAUAAAUAAAAACAUAUAAUCCUAAAAUAAUUAAAAUAAUAUAUAUUUUAAAAUAAUCUCAAUAUUUAAAAUAUAUUUUAACAUUUUAUAGUCUAUCAGAUAUAUUUUAUUUUUUAAAGUAAAUUUUAUAAUAAAUACAAACAUACUAUUAAAAUAGAUAUAUAAAAUUUUUAAAGUAUUUUGAAUAUUAUAUAAAAUAACUUUAAUAUUGUUAAUGCGUGAGAUGCAUUUUAUUAAUUAAAAAUUCUAUUUAACCCAAAGAUUUAUUUAUAAUAAAUUAAUAAUCAUAUUUUUAAAAUUAUUUUAAAUAUUAAAAAUAUUUUAAUAUUACUAACUAUUAGACAGACUAAACUAUUUAUAUUAUUUUCUAUUAUUAUAAAAUUUCAAAGUUAAUCUUUUUUAACUAGUAUUCAAAAGAUAUUAUGAUCAAAACAGAAUUUUUGUGUUUUUAUGAAAAAUUUAGAGUUUACAUCUAUUUUUUCAAAUAUUCGGGGUGUAAAUGUUUUUCCCUUUUAUAUAUACGAACGGUGGUGAGAAAGCAUGAUUUAACGUUAUUUAUUUAAAUAAAAUCUCAGUUAAAAAUGUAAAGAGAAGAAAUUUCUGUUGGUAUUUUAGUCUUUUACCAAUUAUCAUGAUUAGGCCUUGGCCUUGAAACAUUAAUUGUUUCACUUUUAGCGCUAGUGUCGUUGAAAGUUGUCAAAAAAAGCAAGACCAUAUUCCACAAAAGCAAAAGUAACGUAGGCUCUUUAUAAAAGGCAAAGAAAGUAUAAAGUAGUCAAGAAUCGAAUAUCCUGUCGUCUACUCUUUUUUAAAUUCUUCUUUUAUUAUCUUUUAGAAUAGUUUUUGGUAAUUACAAUCAUUAUUCAGAGUUAUUGUUAUCUUCCGGGGCAGUCUCUGUUCAUCGAAGUCGUUACCUUUUUUUUAUGGAUCAGUUCCAGUGCUAAGCAGUAAUUUUCUUAGAACUCGGAUCUUUAAUUCGAGUUUAUGUGUGAAUUAAUAAUAAAAAAUUUUCAUUACACGCAAUUUAAGCUACGAAUUACUUUUUGCAAAGUUGAAUAUGAAAUUGGAGAAAUUAAGUAAUUUAGAAUGUUGGUAAAAAUUGACAAACAUAUCUCUAAUUACAGUAAAACCUCUCUAUAGUCAUAACAUUAUAACAAAAUUAAUUUUAUUACUAUGUUGAGGUAAUAUAGGUUUAGUUACAAAUUAUUGUUUUAAUAUGGUUAGUGUCAAGUGAUAUAAAGGUUAAAUAUGCAGUACAAUGAUAAUUAAAUAAUGAAGCGUGUCAAUUCUAAUGUAUAUAUAUUAAUGAUAUAGAUAGACAUAGUUUCAAAAAACUAAUUAAUGUAUAUUUAUGUAGUGUUAUGAAUAUGGAAAGUCAAGCCUACACUUUACAUUAUCCUUAGUUUUUUCUCUUAGUUAAAUUCUACAAAUAUUGUACAAUGAUUGGGCAAGAACUCUAAAUUAAGAAUAAAUUAUUGUCACAAAUAAUUUUACAAAAUAUUUUAUUUCGUCUUAAACCUUUAAUAUAAGUAAACAUUAUAUAUAUAUAAUAUAUAUAUAUAUAUACCAGAAGGAAAUAGGAUCGAAGGAUGGGUGUGUAUUGAAGAUGCUUCUUUAUUGAUUGCUUUAAUGAAAUAAUUGGAUCGCGGUUGUUCAGAUUUUAUAUAAGAUUACCAGCUUUAGAUUAAGUAGAUUUGUUUUAGAGCAUACAAUGAUCAAACAAAUUUGAACGCGGUUGGUCAAAUUUUUAGAAUAUUUAAAGUACGUGGCGUUGUUAGACCAGAUCGAUCGCAGAAGUUAAUCUGCCUUUGGACCCAGAUCUGACUUAGAACAGAUCAAUAGUCCGCACUUCGGUUUCCAGCCUAUAUACUUUAAUAUAUUUACCAGAUAAAAUUAAGUUGUUUUUCUUUUUAAUUUUUAAUUUUACAUACACAGUACCAGAUCCGGAUCCCGGAAAUGGUGCUCUGAAGGAAUGGAGGAAGAAGAGAAGAUUUACAACUGAGGAUCGAGAUCCGGUCUCUUUGCCUCAGAGGAACGUACAAAUUUUAUGGCAGAUCUGAUAAAGACCAGUCUGCUUUGCAUGCUUUGAAAAGAAAAUUGCUUUAAAAAUAAAUUGCUUUAAUGUAAAUAUGCAUGAAAUUAAAUUGCAGAAAAGUAAAUUGCGAAAAAUUUAAAUUACAUCGAAAUUAAAUAACUGAAAUUUAAACAUACAUCUUUGCUUUGAUAGUCUUGGUCUUUACAAUUUUCAAAUCUUUCCUGAAGGGAAGAUUGAAAGACGGGAAGAUUACAAGACAGGAAUGGUUUCCUUGAUGUCUUGAUUUCCCAAGAGAGAGAGAGAGAGAGAGAGAGAUCUAGAGAGAAGGAGGAGAAGAAGAGAAAAAUGAAAAACCUGAGGAGUCUGAGUCUUCCUCUUGGUUUAUAUACAAAAUUUUGUAAACUGUUCACUGUAGCGGAGCUUUGUGCUUUUGCACUGUUUGUAGCGGAGUUUUGAGUGCACAGUAAUCUUUGGAUCGUAGCUUUGAAUAGUAGGCUGACCGUAGCUUUUGAACUACUUUGUAAAAAUUGAAAUACAUAAUGAAAUACAACACGGUGAAGAGACAUGUGCGCUCUUUGUCCAAGGGACCACCCGAGAGAAAUUACUCUUUUCUUUUUUUUUUUUUUUUUUUUUUUUUUAAGUAAUAACCAAAUAAUUAUUUACAAUGCUUUAUAGGGAAAAAAUGCCGAAACAAUCAUCUUCAUUUUCGUCUCCAAGAGAAAUGAAGGGCUCUUCAUCUUCAUCAUCGUCUUCGUCUUCAGAGGUGUCAGCUACUGAUGACUUUGAACGGGAGGCGAGGAGCUGUUCCAUUGCUUUGAAGUAUUCCUCUUCUGUCUUGGCACUUGCCAAAAGAGACUGGGCUUUGGAUUUUUGGGUUAAGAAGGUCUGUUGGGCUUUAGAGGCUUCUAGGGUUGGUUGGAGAAGGUUUUUAGAGAGAGCCAAUCUUUGAUCAUGUUAACAGUCAGUUUGGACUGUUCAUCAAAUUUGACCACCAUUUGACUUUAAAGGUUCUUUGAAGGAUGACUUGGGAAUCUUGAGUAUGAAAACGGAGGUUCCACAUCCAGACCCAUGGUAGGAAGAAGUUUGUACAAAAACAGAGAAAAGGGGGAAAUCUUUUCUCUGAGUCAGGGUAUAGUGGGCUUUAAAGAGGUUUAGGCAAUUUAUGGCAUUUGGAGUGAGGAUUUGAGGUAUUAAAGAAAUUGAUACCAGUUGGAAGGCUUUGGACGGUUUUUAGGUUAAAGAAAAAUAACCAAGAAUGGGAUUUUUUAGGGUUUUGAAUAAAAAAGGUGUUAUACCAUGCUUGUUGGUAAUCCCAGUAGGAGAAAGUCCGACAAUGUGGUAAACGGGUUUCAAAGUUUAAAGGAAAGGUUUUGAAAUUGUGGAGUAGGUCGCCCACUGGUUGGCUCAAAACUUUUAGAAUCGUGAAUAGGCCGGUUCAGAAUGGGUUUUAUCAAGAAAGAAAUGUUUGAAUUUAACUGAUUCAGUUAUUUCUAAAAUGCUUUGAUAAUAAGACUGGGGUUUUGUCAAAUCCCAUGGUUUGAAAAACCAGCCUUUGGGAAAAAACUUUGAAAUGCUUUGAAAAGGAUCAGUAUGGUAAAAUCCAUCUUCCAUAGAAAGAAUAUUUUGAAAAUGGGUUUUAUCAAACCAAUCGGAGGUUUUCUUUGAAAGGUGUUGGCUGAGAAAGCACAAUUUGGGAAGAUGAGCUUUCGGCAGAGACAACAACAUUUUGAGAGGAGGGUUUUGUAAUUUCUUUAGAUGUGGAUAUGCUCUUAAUUCUUUUUGAGGAGAAUUUUGGCUCUGGGAAAGGUUUUGUAGAGCGAGCAUGAGCUCGGGAGAUUUUGUAAUGGAACUCAUCCAAUGCUUUACUUGAUCAUCAGAAGAGAUGGGUUUGUAUUGGGCUUCAUGUUCUUCAACCAAUUCAAUCCAUGAUUUGAUGGUAGGGCAGAAGAAAGUAAUUUUUCUUUAGAAGGGUUGACUGGGGUUCUUUGGAAGGUUCUUGAGAUCCGGAACUUUUGAGAACAGCUUUACCUUUGUCUUUCUUUAGCGGCAUUAUCUGUUUUGAAGAAAUUCUCUGGUUAGAAAAUCAGGAACAGAAUUUUUAUCACCUUUAAUGAAUUCUUAUUCAAAAUCAAAAACACUCAAAAAUAGCUUGCCAACGUGCAAAAAUUUGUUUUGAUGCAAUGUUUUGAACAUCCUUUCUAAAACAUGUUUUGCAGCUUUGCAAUCAAUUCUAAGUAAAAAUUUUUGAUUUAAUAAAUCACUUUGAAAUUUUGUAAUGCAUAAAACAAUGGAAAGAAUUUCUUUUUAUAGUAGAAUAAUUUUUCUGACAAUCAUUCCAAUGUGCAGAAACAUAUUGUACUAUCUGUUCUCUAUCAUUUUCUUUUUGUUUUAAUAUACCUCCAUAUCCUAAAUCAGAUGCAUCAGUUUCAACAAUUUUAGGGAAUGCAGGAUUUGCAAGAUAUAGACAUGGGAUGCUUUUAACAGAACUCUUUAUUAAUUUAACAGCUUUAGUAUGUUCAUCUGUCCAUGGAGCAGGUUUUUUCUUUAAACGAUCAUGCAAAGGUUUAGACAACCUAUUGAUAUUGGGACAGAAAUCAAGAACAUAAUUUAGGCUACCAAGAAAUCUUUGUAAUGAGUUUUGUCAAGGAUUUUAUCAGGGAAUUUAUCAGCAAAUAAAAGUGAUCUUUCAAUAGGGGUGAUUGUUCCUUUUGAAAUAUGUGACCAAGAAAUCUUUUUUUUUGAAAUAAUGAAAUCUUUGAACUAGAAAGGGCUAGUCCAGCCUUUUUUGUAGCAAAAUAAAAAGUCUUUAAAUGUUUGAAAUGUUGAUCGAUUGAAUUUGAAAAUAUCAAACAUCAUCAAUAUAAACAAUGCAAAAAUCAGAAUAAGGAUUAUAAAUAUCAUUCAUAAUUCUUUGAAAUUCUGAGGGUGCAUUCUUUAAACCAAAGGGCAUAACAGUCCAUUCGUAUUGUCCAAAUGGAACAGUGAAAGCGGUUUUGUAACGGUCAUUUGGAUGAAUUUGAAUUUGCCAAAAAACCCGAUUUCAUGUCGAUUUUGAAAAAAUAAAGGCAGAACAGAGUUUUUGGAGUAAAUCUUUUUUAUUAGGUAUAGGAUACCUAAUCCAUUUUAAAGCUUUAUUCAAAGGUUUGUAGUUUAUAACUAGUCUUGGAGUGCCUCUUUCAAUUUCGGAGUUUUGUUAACAUAAAAAGCAGCACAAGACCAAGGAGACCUGGAUUUUACAAUGAGUCCUUUAGACUCCAAGUCUUUGAUUUCAUUUUUACAAUGUUUUUCUAAAUCCAUAUUCAUUUGAAUUGGACGAGCUUUGGUCGGAAUCUGUUUUUCAUCAAAAGAAUUUUCAUAAGGCAGGUCUACUAAAUGUUGUUUUCUAUUCCAAAAAGCAGAAGGUAGAUCAGCACAAAUUUCUUUUUCAAUAAGAGUUUUGAAAUCAGAAAUUUUUCUUUUAAUGAAAUCACUUUGUAAUUGGCUUUCAACUCUUUGUAAGUUCAAAUCUUUUUGUAAAAACAUUAGAUCACACUGUUUUGAUUUAAGUAAAUUGUUUGAUAAAUAGAACAGGCUUUAACAAUAUUUAAUUUCUUUUUAGGUUUUUCAAUAAAAGGGAAACAAGUUUCUUCUUGUUUUUUGCUUUGAAAGAUAUACUAUCAUAAUUGACAGUAUACGGAGUUAUGAGAUUUAUAAAAGGAGUUCCCAAAUAAUGGCAUGAUGAAUAUCAUUUGUGAGAACAAAGGAAGUUUUAAAAUCAAAACCAUCAUUAUAGAUCGAGGCUUCAACCUUGGAACUGACAUUCAAUUUUGAAUUAUUGGCGGCAGAAAGCCUUUCUUUUGUUUUUUCAUGAAAUCUUUUGGGGACGAUAUCUUCUCUAAUGCAAUUUAAAUCGGCGCCAGUAUCAAAAGGGCAAUGGCAUCCAUCGCAAAAUCAUCAGAAAAGAUUAGAGUGACUUUAAUCAAAUACUUUCUUGUGGUGAUUUGUUUUAGAACAAAUAGAAAAUCAUUGGGUACAGACUCAAUAUUUUCUACUUUAAUAUCAUCACCAUCAAUAUCAGGACUGGAUUCAUUGUCUGAAUUAUCCUGUAAUUGCUUUUGUAAAAGAAGUUGAAUAAUAUCAGAAUCACUUUUUUGUUUUUCUUUUAAAUCUCUGAUUUCACUUUUGAUUUCUUUUUAUCUCUUUCUGAAGAUCUUGGAUAUUAGGAAAUCUUUUUUGUUUUCUUCUUAUCCAAAAUUUGAGUAAGAUCAUAAGAAUUCUUUUUAAUAAUUGGGACUCUAGAAGUCUCGGCUUUAUUAAAAUCCAAUGUUUUCAAAAAGUUUAUCAAGGUAUUCCUUUUGAAGAUUUGGAUCAGAAAUAUGCUUUACAAGUUCAAGAAAAGUUUCUUGGUCUUUAGUCAAAACAUUGAUUUUCUUUAAAAAUGAAUCAGAUUCAGAAUCACUACUGCUAGAUGCAGAGUCAUCUGAGUCAAAAAGCUCAUCAACUUGGUAAGGGUCACUGUCUCCCGACAUGGAAGACUCAGAAUCAGAAGAUUCGACAGAAGAGGGGCUAUUUUAGAAAGGAUGUCCUCAUUGAGGUCAAGUUCUUGGAGUCUUUUGUUCAUUCUGCAAAAUUUUGCAGUAUGACCUUUCAUACCACAUUUGAAACAUGUGGCCUCCUUGAAGUUGAAUGGGGUAUUAGGUUUGGCUUUGAAAUCUUUCUUUUUAGAGAAACUAUGUCUCUUAUAAGGCUUCGAAGGUUUCUUAUAAGGAAGUUUUCUAAAAUCACGAAGGGUUUCUAAAAUGUUUAGAUUUGUAAUGUUUCUUUACGAGGUUUUGUAGAACACUCUCCAUUACAAUCUUUGGAAGUUUUAAAGGGGUCAUAAUUGAAUUGCUUACAGAAACCGCCUAAUUCCUGUUUAGACUUCUUAAGCUCCCACUUAAGACGUUUCUGUAAUUUCAAAUCUUGACAAAUCUUUAAACCUUCUUUGUUGACAAAACUGACUAGUUCACCAUAGGUGAGCUCGUCAUAAGGAAUACGGUUAUCGUAAAGGGCUUUGAUGGAAUUUCUUACCUUUUCACCUAAAAGGGUAGGUAAUCCAGCAAAAAUUUUCUUUCCAAGUAAUAUGAUUUGCAUCAUCCCUUAGAAAUAGUCUGGUAAGGAAAGAGGUUUUGUAACUCUGAAAUUCACUAAGUUUUCUACAUCUCAAAUUAUGUAGUAACUCAGCGUUUUUAUCACGAAGGUGAGAAGGGUCACCGAUGAAAUGGAGGGAAAUGGUUAGAAUAAGAGUAGCAACAGCAUCCUGGAUAGGGUUGUUGAACUCAUCAAGAAUAGAGGCUCCAUUUUCAUCUUUUGGACGGAAUUUAGAAUGUCAAAUUGUUGCUGAUUAGUGAGAAGAUGAUCCCACCAACCUUUUAGUUGACCAGUAAAACCAGCAAUUAGGAUUUCCGAUAUGGCACGAUCAGAAGUUCCUGCUUGGGUUUUAUAAGCAUUAGCUGCCAUUGUCAUUUGUUGCAACAAUCCAAGGAUAUUGUACUCAGACAUGCCGUCAAUAUUCCACUCAUAGACUGAAGAUGCAUUAUAACGGGAUUGAUUUAAUGCACUAGGUCUAUUAUCUAUUGCUAGAUCUGGUGGGGUCUUGACAGUGGGAAGGGCUAAUUCCAGUGGAUUUUGUUGGCUUUAGGAGUAGAAGGUUCUUCUUUGAAAGCUUCUAAGUCAGAAGAGGCUAGAACUCUGGUCAUCUAGAUCCAAUACUCCAAUCUUGCUAGAUUGGGGGGUAUCGGGGGCUAUCUGGAGUUUGCUAGACGAGGAAGAAGCAGCUUCUAUCCUCUCUAGUUGUUCUCUAAUGGCUUUAGCAAAAUCUGAUUUUGACUCUUGAACAAGCCUUUGGCUAGUUUUCGAAACCUGAAAAGGUUUGAAAAUAGGUUCCUUAAGCUUUUUGUCAGAAUCCGAUUUUGAAGGAAUAGACAUAGGAAUAGGAGAAACAGAUAUAUAGGAGAUUUUUGAAAUUGGUUUUUCUAUACGAGCCAAUUGCUUUCCAAUUGUAUUUAAGUUAGUAUUACAGAAAUUAUUCUGUUGUAUAAUACUACUUAAAUUCGCAUCAGAAUCAUUUGGUCUUGGGAUUUUGUAAGGGGAUGCUUUAAUCUCAAUAGGAGGUUCACCAUGAUCUAUGGUUAUACUCCUAAGAGGUGGAUGAUCAGACUCUAUAUCCUAUCAUUAUCAGAAAGUUUCCAUUCAGGAAUUUUCUUUCUAAUAGUUAUAGGGUUUGACUCUUUAAAAGGAUAAUCAAUAUUGUUCUCAGAAGAAUAUAUUUCGAACCAAUCAAAAAACAAUAUAUGAACUUUAUGAAAAUUCACAAAUUCAUAAUAAGUUUGUUGGAUUUCUUUUCUUUGGUUUAAAAAAUGUUUAAAAAACCAAGUUCUUUUUUCUUUAUUUAUUUCUGAAUAAAAAUCGUUAUGCAGAAAGGCUUUAUCUAAUUCAAAUUCUUUUUCAAUGACAUUAAUGACAUUUUCUGUGACAGCAGAAAACGUAGGAGAUGUUGGAGGAGAAGGUUCCUUCUCUUCCUGUCUUUGCACAUGUUGACUACUAGUGUAUAUAGGAUGAGGAACACUUGUGGCAUAGUCAACGGAACGGAUGGAGGAGCUAGGUAUAUCCGAAGUGGAAAACCUAGGUUGGCUCUGAUAUGGGAGAUUUAUAACAGAAGGUACUUUUGUAAACUUCCUUUCUAGUGAAGGAAUGCUUGGGCUCGAUUCUUUUUCAGAAAAUCUAUGUGAGGUAGACCUUCUGAAUGAUAGUUUGACUUUACCAUCGGAAUACUGGGUCACAUUUUGUAACUCUGUAUUUGGCUCAAGUUGUUUCGGAAUCGCCGGUGGGGCGGCUCCUUCGAGGAUCCAUUCAUCUGGAAGAUGGAUAUCUUUCCAUUGGAUCGAUUUUGGAAUGACCAUGUUGGCUUUAGACAAAUCAGUCUGCAAGAGAAGGGUCUCAUCUCUCUUCGACUGGUAUUUAUGCUGGGUGUGCUAAAUGCAGAAAUCAUGGCUUUAUAGGAAAUUUUAAAAAUUAAUGCAACUGGGAUGGAUCCCUUAAUCAUGUGAUAAUUAUGGGUUUUGGAUUUGUAAAAUCAUGCUCUUUAAAAUAUUUUUGUCUUUAAGAGAAAUUGUUAUAUUGUUAAAGCAGUGCCAAGGGGAGGUUUUUGGCACUCCCUUUUGGCUUAAGGCGCUUACCACUCGCCCUUAAAAGCUUAAGCUGUUAGGGAAGGCGCUACUUUUAUACGGUUAAGCGCCACCCGGACCAAACCAGGUAACGUCUCCACGUUAUGCCACGACAUCGUGACCCCAUCUCGGCCCCACAAGCGCGGGGUAGGUGUAUAGGAGUCACCACAAGGGUGCGGGCCCCAGUUCCAGUACUGGGAUAAUAUAUUAAGCCAUUCCUCCCCCCGAGUUUCGAACCCUGGCUGGCUCUGAUACAACUUAAGGCGCUUACCACUCGCCCUAAAAGCUUAAGCUGUUAGGGGAAGGCGCUACUUUAUACUUAAGCGCCACCCGGACCAAACCAGGUAACGUCUCCACGUUAUGCCACGACAUCGUGACCCCUUCAGAUUUUAUAUAAGAUUACCAGCUUUAGAUUAAGUAGAUUUGUUUUAGAGCAUACAAUGAUCAAACAAAUUUGAACGCGGUUGGUCAAUUUUUAGAAUAUUUAAAGUACGUGGCGUUGUUAGACCAGAUCGAUCGCAGAAGUUAAUCUGCCUUUGGACCCAGAUCUGACUUAGAACAGAUCAAUAGUCCGCACGUUCGGGUUUCCAGCCUAUAUACUUUAAUAUAUUUACCAGAUAAAAUUAGUUGCUUUAAACGUGGUUGUUUCUUUUUUAUUGGGCUAAUUCCAGAUUUAAAUUAGAUUCUUUAAGGGGCUUGGGUACAUACACAGUACCAGAUCCGGAUCCCGGAAAUGGUGCUCUGAAGGAAUGGAGGAAGAAGAGAAGAUUUACAACUGAGGAUCGAGAUCCGGUCUCUUUGCCUCAGAGGAACGUACAAAUUUAUGGCAGAUCUGAUAAAGACCAGUCUGCUUUGCAUGCUUGAAAAGAAAAUUGCUUUAAAAAAUAAAUUGCUUUAAUGUAAAUAUGCAUGAAAUUAAAUUGCAGAAAAGUAAAUUGGCGAAAAUUUAAAUUACAUCGAAAUUAAAUAACUGAAAUUUAAACAUACAUCUUUGCUUUGAUAGUCUUGGUCUUUACAAUUUUCAAAUCUUUCCUGAAGGGAAGAUUGAAAGACGGGAAGAUUACAAGACAGGAAUGGUUUCCUUGAUGUCUUGAUCCAGACUUCCCAAGAGAGAGAGAGAGAGAGAGAGAGAUCUAGAGAGAAGGAGGAGAAGAAGAGAAAAAUGAAAAACCUGAGGAGUCUGAGUCUUCCUCUUGGUUUAUAUACAAAAUUUUGUAAACUGUUCACUGUAGCGGAGCUUUGAGUGCACAGUAAUCUUUGGAAUUUUGCACUGUUCACUGUAGCGGAGUUUUGAGUGCACAGUAAUCUUUGGAUCGUAGCUUUGAAUAGUAGGCUGACCGUAGCUUUGAACAGUAGACUACUUUGUACAAAAAUUGAAAUACAUAAUGAAAUACAACACGGGUGAAGAGACAUGUGCGCUCUCACUUGUGUCCAAGGGACCACCCGAGAGAAAAUUACUCUUUUUUUUUUUUUUUUUUUUUUUUUUUUUUUUUUUUAAAGUAAAUAACCAAAAUAAUUAUUUACAAUGCUUUAUAGGAGAAAAAAUGCCGAAACAAUCAUCUUCAUUUUCGUCUCCAAGAGAAAUGAAGGGCUCUUCAUCUUCAUCAUCGUCUUCGUCUUCAGAGGUGUCAGCUACUGAUGACUUUGAACGGGAGGCGAGGAGCUGUUCCAUUGCUUUGAAGUAUUCCUCUUCUGUCUUGGCACUUGCCAAAAGAGACUGGGCUUUGGAAUUUUUUGGGUUAAGAAGGUCUGUUGGGCUUUAGAGCUUUUAGGGUUGGUUGGAGAAGGUUUUUAGAGGAGAGCCAAUCUUUGAUCAUGUUAACAGUCAGUUUGGACUGUUCAUCAAAUUUUGACCACCAUUUGACUUUAAAGGUUCUUUGAAGGAUGACUUGGGAAUCUUGAGUAUGAAAACGGAGGUUCCACAUCCAGACCCAUGGUAGGAAGAAGUUUGUACAAAAACAGAGAAAGGGGGAAAUCUUUUCUCUGAGUCAGAGGCAUAUAGUGGGCUUUAAAGAGGUUUAGGCAAUUUAUGGCAUUUGGAGUGAGGAUUUGAGGUAUUGGGCCAAAGAAAUUCCACCAAUGAUGGAACCAGUUUGGAAGGCUUUGGACGGUUAUUUUAGGGUUAAAGAAAAAUAACCAAGAAUGGGAUUUUUUUAGGGUUUUGAAUAAAAAAGGUGUUAUACCAUGCUUGUUGGUAAUCCCAGUAGGAGAAAGUCCGACAAUGUGGUAAACGGGUUUCAAAGUUUAAAGGAAAGGUUUUGAAAUUGUGGAGUAGGUCGCCCCACUGGUUCGGGCUCAAAACUUUUAGAAUCGUGGCCGUGGAAUAGGCCGGUUCAGAAUGGGUUUUAUCAAGAAAGAAAUGUUUGAAUUUAACUGAUUCAGUUAUUUCUAAAAUGCUUUGAUAAUAAGACUGGGGUUUUGUCAAAUCCCAUGGUUUUGAAAAACCAGCCUUUGGGAAAAACUUUGAAAUGCUUUGAAAAGGAUCAGUAUGGUAAAAUCCAUCUUCCAUAGAAAGAAUAUUUUGAAAAUGGGUUUUAUCAAACCAAUCGGAGGUUUUCUUUGAAGGUGUUGGCUGAGAAAGCACAAUUUGGGAAGAUGAGCUUUCGGCAGAGACAACAACAUUUUGAGAGGAGGGUUUUGUAAUUUCUUUAGAUGUGGAUAUGCUCUUAAUUUCUUUUUGAGGAGAAUUUUGGCUCUGGGAAAGGUUUUGUAGAGCGAGCAUGAGCUCGGGAGAUUUUGUAAUGGAACUCAUCCAAUGCUUUACUUGAUCAUCAGAAGAGAUGGGUUUGUAUUGGGCUUCAUGUUCUUCAACCAAUUCAAUCCAUGAUUUGAUGGUAGGGCAGAAGAAAGUAAUUUUUCUUUAGAAGGGGUUGACUGGGUUCUUUUGGAAGGUUCUUGAGAUCCGGAACUUUUGAGAACAGCUUUACCUUUGUCUUUCUUUAGCGCAUUAUCUGUUUUGAAGAAAUUCUCUGGUUAGAAAAUCAGGAACAGAAUUUUUUAUCACCUUUAAUGAAUUCUAUAUCAAAAUAAAAAACACUCAAAUAGCUUGCCAACGUGCAAAAAUUUGUUUUGAUGCAAUGUUUGAACAUCCUUUUCUAAAACAUGUUUUGCAGCUUUGCAAUCAAUUCUAAGUAAAAUUUUGAUUUAAUAAUCACUUUGAAAUUUUGUAAUGCAUAAAACAAUGGAAAGAAUUUCUUUUUUAAUAGUAGAAUAAUUUUUUCUGACAAUCAUUCCAAUGUGCAGAAACAUAUUGUACUAUCUGUUCUCUAUCAUUUUCUUUUUGUUUUAAUAUACCUCCAUAUCCUAAAUCAGAUGCAUCAGUUUCAACAAUUUUUAGGGAAUGCAGGAUUUGCAAGAUAUAGACAUGGGAUGCUUUUAACAGAACUCUUUAUUAAUUUAACAGCUUUAGUAUGUUCAUCUGUCCAUGGAGCAGGUUUUUCUUUAAACGAUCAUGCAAAGGUUUAGACAACCUAUUGAUAUUGGGAACAGAAAUCAAGAACAUAAUUUAGGCUACCAAGAAAUCUUUGUAAUUGAGUUUUGUCAAGGAUUUUAUCAGGGAAUUUAUCAGCAAAUAAAAGUGAUCUUUCAAUAGGGGUGAUUGUUCCUUUUGAAAUAUAGUGACCAAGAAAUCUGAUUUUCGUUUGAAAUAAUGAAAUCUUUGAACUAGAAAGGGCUAGUCCAGCCUUUUUUUGUAGCAAAAUAAAAAGUCUUUAAAUGUUUGAAAUGUUGAUCGAUUGAAUUUGAAAAUAUCAAAACAUCAUCAAUAUAAACAAUGCAAAAAUCAGAAUAAGGAUUAUAAAUAUCAUUCAUAAUUCUUUGAAAUUCUGAGGGUGCAUUCUUUAAACCAAAGGGCAUAACAGUCCAUUCGUAUUGUCCAAAUGGAACAGUGAAAGCGGUUUUGUAACGGUCAUUUGGAUGAAUUUGAAUUUGCCAAAAACCCGAUUUCAUGUCGAAUUUUGAAAAAAUAAAGGCAGAACAGAGUUUUUGGAGUAAAUCUUUUUUAUUAGGUAUAGGAUACCUAAUCCAUUUUAAAGCUUUAUUCAAAGGUUUGUAGUUUAUAACUAGUCUUGGAGUGCCUCUUUCAAUUUCGGAGUUUUUGUUAACAUAAAAAGCAGCACAAGACCAAGGAGACCUGGAUUUUACAAUGAGUCCUUUAGACUCCAAGUCUUUGAUUUCAUUUUUACAAUGUUUUUCUAAAUCCAUAUUCAUUUGAAUUGGACGAGCUUUGGUCGGAAUCUGUUUUUCAUCAAAAGAAUUUUCAUAAGGCAGGUCUACUAAAUGUUGUUUUCUAUUCCAAAAAGCAGAAGGUAGAUCAGCACAAAUUUCUUUUUCAAUAAGAGUUUUGAAAAUCAGAAAUUUUUCUUUUAAUGAAAUCACUUUGUAAUUGGCUUUCAACUCUUUGUAAGUUCAAAAUCUUUUUGUAAAACAUUAGAUCACACUGUUUUGAUUUAAGUAAAUUGUUUAUUCUAUUUUGAUAAAUAGAACAGGCUUUAACAAUAUUUAAAUUUCUUGUUUUAGGUUUUUCAAUAAAAGGGGAAAACAAGUUUCUUGUUUUUUGCUUUGAAAGAUAUACUAUCAUAAUUGACAGUAUACGGAGUUAUGAGAUUUAUAAAAGGAGUUCCCAAAAUAAUGGCAUGAUGAAUAUCAUUUGUGAGAACAAAGGAAGUUUUAAAAAUCAAAACCAUCAUUAUAGAUCGAGGCUUCAACCUUGGAACUGACAUCAAUUUUGAAUUAUUGGCGGCAGAAAGCCUUUCUUUUGUUUUUUCAUGAAAUCUUUUGGGGACGAUAUCUUCUCUAAUGCAAUUUAAAUCGGCGCCAGUAUCAAAAAGGGCAAUGGCGUCCAUCGCAAAAUCAUCAGAAAAGAUUAGAGUGACUUUAAUCAAAUACUUUCUUGUGGUGAUUUGUUUUAGAACAAAUAGAAAAUCAUUGGGUACAGACUCAAUAUUUUCUACUUAAUAUCAUCACCAUCAAUAUCAGGACUGGAUUCAUUGUCUGAAUUAUCCUGUAAUUGCUUUUGUAAAAGAAGUUGAAUAAUAUCAGAAUCACUUUUUUUGUUUUUCUUUUAAAUCUCUGAUUUCACUUUUGAUUUCUUUUAUCUCUUUCUGAAGAUCUUGGAUAUUAGGAAUCAUCUUUUUUGUUUUCUUCUUAUCCAAAAUUUGAGUAAGAUCAUAAGAAUUCUUUUUAAUAAUUGGGACUCUAGAAGUCUCGCUUUAUUAAAAUCCAAUGUUUUCAAAAGUUUAUCAAGGUAUUCCUUUUGAAGAUUUGGAUCAGAAAUAUGCUUUACAAGUUCAAGAAAAGUUUCUUGGUCUUUAGUCAAAACAUUGAUUUUCUUUAAAAAUGAAUCAGAUUCAGAAUCACUACUGCUAGAUGCAGAGUCAUCUGAGUCAAAAAGCUCAUCAACUUGGUAAGGGUCACUGUCUCCCGACAUGGAAGAUCAGAAUCAGAAGAUUCGACAAGAAGAGGGGCUAUUUUAGAAAGGAUGUCCUCAUUGAGGUCAAGUUCUUGGAGUCUUUUGUUCAUUCUGCAAAAUUUUGCAGUAUGACCUUUCAUACCACAUUUGAAACAUGUGGCCUCCUUGAAGUUGAAUGGGGUAUUAGGUUUGGCUUUGAAAUCUUUCUUUUUAGAGAAACUAUGUCUCUUAUAAGGCUUCGAAGGUUUCUUAUAAGGAAGUUUUCUAAAAUCACGGAAGGGUUUUCUAAAAUGUUUAGAUUUGUAAUGUUUCUUACGAGGUUUUUGUAGAACACUCUCCAUUACAAUCUUUGGAAGUUUUAAAGGGGUCAUAAUUGAAUUGCUUACAGAAACCGCCUAAUUCCUGUUUAGACUUUCUUAAGCUCCCACUUAAGACGUUUCUGUAAUUUCAAAUCUUGACAAAAUCUUUAAACCUUCUUUGUUGACAAAACUGACUAGUUCACCAUAGGUGAGCUCGUCAUAAGGAAUACGGUUAUCGUAAAGGGCUUUGAUGGAAUUUCUUACCUUUUCACCUAAAAGGGUAGGUAAUCCAGCAAGAAAUUUUUCUUUCCAAGUAAUAUGAUUUGCAUCAUCCCUUAGAAAUAGUCUGGUAAGGAAAGAGGUUUUGUAACUCUGAAAUUCACUAAGUUUUCUACAUCUCAAAUUAUGUAGUAACUCAGCGUUUUUAUCACGAAGGUGAGAAGGGUCACCGAUGAAAUGGAGGGAAAUGGUUAGAAUAAGAGUAGCAACAGCAUCCUGGAUAGGGUUGUUGAACUCAUCAAGAAUAGAGGCUCCAUUUUCAUCUUUUUGGACGGAAUUUAGAAUGUCAAAUUGUUGCUGAUUAGUGAGAAGAUGAUCCCACCAACCUUUAGUUGACCAGUAAAACCAGCAAUUAGGAUUUCCGAUAUGGCACGAUCAGAAGUUCCUGCUUGGGUUUUAUAAGCAUUAGCUGCCAUUGUCAUUUGUUGCAACAAUCCAAGGAUAUUGUACUCAGACAUGCCCGUCAAUAUUCCACUCAUAGACUGAAGAUGCAUUAUAACGGGAUUGAUUUAAUGCACUAGGUCUAUUAUCUAUUGCUAGAUCUGGUGGGGUCUUGACAGUGGGAAGGGCUAAUUCCCAGUGGAUUUUGUUGGCUUUAGGAGUAGAAGGUUCUUCUUUGAAAGCUUCUAAGUCAGAAGAGGCUAUAGAACUCUGGUCAUCUAGAUCAAUACUCCAAUCUUGCUAGAUUGGGGGGUAUCGGGGGCUAUCUGGAGUUUGCUAGACGAGGAAGAAGCAGCUUCUAUCCUCUCUAGUUGUUCUCUAAUGGCUUUAGCAAAUCUGAUUUUGACUCUUGAACAAGCCUUUGGCUAGUUUUCGAAACCUGAAAAGGUUUGAAAAUAGGUUCCUUAAGCUUUUUGUCAGAAUCCGAUUUUGAAGGAAUAGACAUAGGAAUAGGAGAAACAGAUAUAGGAGAUUUUUGAAAUUGGUUUUCUAUACGAGCCAAUUGCUUUCCAAUUGUAUUUAAGUUAGUAUUACAGAAAUUAUUCUGUUGUAUAAUACUACUUAAAUUCGCAUCAGAAUCAUUUGGUCUUGGGAUUUUUGUAAGGGGAUGCUUUAAUCUCAAUAGGAGGUUCACCAUGAUCUAUGGUUAUACUCCUAAGAGGUGGAUGAUCAGACUCUAUAAUCCUAUCAUUAUCAGAAAGUUUCCAUUCAGGAAUUUUCUUUCUAAUAGUUAUAGGGUUUGACUCUUUAAAAGGAUAAUCAAUAUUGUUCUCAGAAGAAUAUAUUUCGAACCAAUCAAAAAACAAUAUAUGAACUUUAUGAAAAUUCACAAAUUCAUAAUAAGUUUGUUGGAUUUCUUUUCUUUGGUUUAAAAAAUGUUUAAAAAACCAAGUUUCUUUUUUCUUUAUUUAUUUCUGAAUAAAAAUCGUUAUGCAGAAAGGCUUUAUCUAAUUCAAAUUCUUUUUUCAAUGACAUUAAUGACAUUUUCUGUGACAGCAGAAAACGUAGGAGAUGUUGGAGGAGAAGGUUCCUUCUCUUCCUGUCUUUGCACAUGUUGACUACUAGUGUAUAUAGGAUGAGGAACACUUGUGGCAUAGUCAACGGAACGGAUGGAGGAGCUAGGUAUAUCCGAAGUGGAAAACCUAGGUUGGCUCUGAUAUGGGAGAUUUAUAACAGAAGGUACUUUUGUAAACUUCCUUUCUAGUGAAGGAAUGCUUGGGCCUCGAUUCUUUUUCAGAAAAUCUAUGUGAGGUAGACCUUCUGAAUGAUAGUUUGACUUUACCAUCGGAAUACUGGGUCACAUUUUGUAACUCUGUAUUUGGCUCAAGUUGUUUCGGAAUCGCCGGUGGGGCGGCUCCUUCGAGGAUCCAUUCAUCUGGAAGAUGGAUAUCUUUCCAUUGGAUCGAUUUUGGAAUGACCAUGUUGGCUUUAGACAAAUCAGUCUGCAAGAGAAGGGUCUCAUCUCUCUUCGACUGGUAUUUAUGCUGUGUGCUAAUGCAGAAAUCAUGGCUUUAUAGGAAAUUUUUAAAAAUUAAUGCAACUGGGAUGGAUCCCUUAAUCAUGUGAUAAUUAUGGGUUUGGAUUUGUAAAAUCAUGCUCUUUAAAAUAUUUUUGUCUUUAAGAGAAAUUGUUAUAUUUGGAUAACAAUCAAAAGAUAUGGGACUUUACAUAGACUAGAUUCGAUACUACUUAGUAAAGAAUCAUCAAAAGAGAUGAAUCGCCCAUCUCUAAGAACAGCAAGGAUAGAGGUAUCCAAGCCUUCUUUGGUCAAAGGUUUUAUUCCUACUUGGAUUAAACCAAUGUGAAUAUAUUUGAAAUUCUUUUCUUUUAAUUUCUUUAAAGAUUUUUCUGAAAACAAAUAAAUUGUUUCAAAAGGCUCCGAAAGAGUUAUGUCUCUUUCUUCAGUUUUUAUAAUAUAAUCAUGUUUUAAAAGAUCAAGCAUUUUUGUUUUGUAAAUCUUUUCUUUGGAAAUUUUUGGAAGUUCCCAACAAUCAAUUGCUUUAUCAAAGUUUUCAAUAACGAAUUCUUCUGAACUCACAACAUGCUUUGAAUCACUAGUCUUCCCGGAAGAAGAGCUAGAAAAGGACGAUGUUCUACAGUGUAGAGGGUUCAUGGGUAAAAACCUAUGAUCUAUUUAGUGGUUUUGAAAGAAUGGCUACAGGUAUGGUUUUACAGCCCUAAACGGAAAACUUAUCCUUAGACGGGACUUACUACCAGUAAAAAUUCACCACAAAAACAAAACUUCAAAAUAAAAACACAAGUUUUCAAAACACAAAACUCUAAACUGCUUUACACAAUCCUCCCCUUGGCUCUGAUACCAGAAGGAAAUAGAUCGAAGGAUGGGUGUGUAUUGAAGAUGCUUCUUUAUUGAUUGCUUUAAUGAAAUAAUUGGAUCGCGGUUGUUCAGAUUUUAUAUAAGAUUACCAGCUUUAGAUUAAGUAGAUUUGUUUUAGAGCAUACAAUGAUCAAACAAAUUUGAACGCGGUUGGUCAAAUUUUAGAAUAUUUAAAGUACGUGGCGUUGUUAGACCAGAUCGAUCGCAGAAGUUAAUCUGCCUUUGGACCCAGAUCUGACUUAGAACAGAUCAAUAGUCCGCACGUUCGGGUUUCCAGCCUAUAUACUUUAAUAUAUUUACCAGAUAAAAUUAAGUUGCUUUAAACGUGGUUGUUUCUUUUUAUUGGGCUAAUUCCAGAUUUAAAUUAGAUUCUUUAAGGGGCUUGGGUACAUACACAGUACCAGAUCCGGAUCCCGGAAAUGGUGCUCUGAAGGAAUGGAGGAAGAAGAGAAGAUUUACAACUGAGGAUCGAGAUCCGGUCUCUUUGCCUCAGAGGAACGUACAAAUUUUAUGGCAGAUCUGAUAAAGACCAGUCUGCUUUGCAUGCUUUGAAAAGAAAAUUGCUUUAAAAAUAAAUUGCUUUAAUGUAAAUAUGCAUGAAAUUAAAUUGCAGAAAAGUAAAUUGCGAAAAUUUAAAUUACAUCGAAAUUAAAUAACUGAAAUUUAAACAUACAUCUUUGCUUUGAUAGUCUUGGUCUUUACAAUUUUCAAAUCUUUCCUGAAGGGAAGAUUGAAAGACGGGAAGAUUACAAGACAGGAAUGGUUUCCUUGAUGUCUUGGACUGUUCAUCAAAUUUUGACCACCAUUUGACUUUAAAGGUUCUUUGAAGGAUGACUUGGGAAUCUUGAGUAUGAAAACGGAGGUUCCACAUCCAGACCCAUGGUAGGAAGAAGUUUGUACAAAAACAGAGAAAGGGGGGAAAUCUUUUCUCUGAGUCAGAGGGCAUAUAGUGGGCUUUAAAGAGGUUUAGGCAAUUUAUGGCAUUUGGAGUGAGGAUUUGAGGUAUUGGGCCAAAGAAAUUCCACCAAUGAUGGAACCAGUUUGGAAGGCUUUGGACGGUUAUUUUAGGGUUAAAGAAAAAUAACCAAGAAUGGGAUUUUUUAGGGUUUUGAAUAAAAAAGGUGUUAUACCAUGCUUGUUGGUAAUCCCAGUAGGAGAAAGUCCGACAAUGUGGUAAACGGGUUUCAAAGUUUAAAGGAAAGGUUUUGAAAUUGUGGAGUAGGUCGCCCCACUGGUUCGGGCUCAAAACUUUUAGAAUCGUGGCCGUGGAAUAGGCCGGUUCAGAAUGGGUUUUAUCAAGAAAGAAAUGUUUGAAUUUAACUGAUUCAGUUAUUUCUAAAAUGCUUUGAUAAUAAGACUGGGGUUUUGUCAAAUCCCAUGGUUUGAAAAACCAGCCUUUGGGAAAAAACUUUGAAAUGCUUUGAAAAGGAUCAGUAUGGUAAAAUCCAUCUUCCAUAGAAAGAAUAUUUUGAAAAUGGGUUUUAUCAAACCAAUCGGAGGUUUUCUUUGAAGGUGUUGGCUGAGAAAGCACAAUUUGGGAAGAUGAGCUUUCGGCAGAGACAACAACAUUUUGAGAGGAGGGUUUUGUAAUUUCUUUAGAUGUGGAUAUGCUCUUAAUUUUUUUUGAGGAGAAUUUUGGCUCUGGGAAAGGUUUUGUAGAGCGAGCAUGAGCUCGGGAGAUUUUGUAAUGGAACUCAUCCAAUGCUUUAUUGAUCAUCAGAAGAGAUGGGUUUGUAUUGGGCUUCAUGUUCUUCAACCAAUUCAAUCCAUGAUUUGAUGGGUAGGGCAGAAGAAAGUAAUUUUUUUAGAAGGGGUUGACUGGGGUUCUUUGGAAGGUUCUUGAGAUCCGGAACUUUUGAGAACAGCUUUACCUUUGUCUUUCUUUAGCGGCAUUAUCUGUUUUGAAGAAAUUCUCUGGUUAGAAAAUCAGGAACAGAAUUUUUAUCACCUUUAAUGAAUUCUAUAUCAAAAUCAAAAACACUCAAAAUAGCUUGCCAACGUGCAAAAAUUUGUUUUGAUGCAAUGUUUUGAACAUCCUUUUCUAAAACAUGUUUUGCAGCUUUGCAAUCAAUUCUAAGUAAAAAUUUUUGAUUUAAUAAAUCACUUUGAAAUUUUGUAAUGCAUAAAACAAUGGAAAGAAUUUCUUUUUUAAUAGUAGAAUAAUUUUUCUGACAAUCAUUCCAAUGUGCAGAAACAUAUUGUACUAUCUGUUCUCUAUCAUUUUCUUUUUGUUUUAAUAUACCUCCAUAUCCUAAAUCAGAUGCAUCAGUUUCAACAAUUUUAGGAAUGCAGGGUUUGCAAGAUAUAGACAUGGGAUGCUUUUAACAGAACUCUUUAUUAAUUUAACAGCUUUAGUAUGUUCAUCUGUCCAUGGAGCAGGUUUUUUCUUUAAACGAUCAUGCAAAGGUUUAGACAACCUAUUGAUAUUGGGACAGAAAUCAAGAACAUAAUUUAGGCUACCAAGAAAUCUUUGUAAUUGAGUUUUGUCAAGGAUUUUAUCAGGGAAUUUAUCAGCAAAUAAAAGUGAUCUUUCAAUAGGGGUGAUUGUUCCUUUUGAAAUAUAGUGACCAAGAAAUCUGAUUUUCGUUUGAAAUAAUGAAAUCUUUGAACUAGAAAGGGCUAGUCCAGCCUUUUUUGUAGCAAAAUAAAAAGUCUUUAAAUGUUUGAAAUGUUGAUCGAUUGAAUUUGAAAAUAUCAAAACAUCAUCAAUAUAAACAAUGCAAAAAUCAGAAUAAGGAUUAUAAAUAUCAUUCAUAAUUCUUUGAAAUUCUGAGGGUGCAUUCUUUAAACCAAAGGGCAUAACAGUCCAUUCGUAUUGUCCAAAUGGAACAGUGAAAGCGGUUUUGUAACGGUCAUUUGGAUGAAUUUGAAUUUGCCAAAAACCCGAUUUCAUGUCGAAUUUUGAAAAAAUAAAGGCAGAACAGAGUUUUUGGAGUAAAUCUUUUUUAUUAGGUAUAGGAUACCUAAUCCAUUUUAAAGCUUUAUUCAAAGGUUUGUAGUUUAUAACUAGUUUGGAGUGCCUCUUUCAAUUUCGGAGUUUUUGUUAACAUAAAAAGCAGCACAAGACCAAGGAGACCUGGAUUUUACAAUGAGUCCUUUAGACUCCAAGUCUUUGAUUUCAUUUUUACAAUGUUUUUCUAAAUCCAUAUUCAUUUGAAUUGGACGAGCUUUGGUCGGAAUCUGUUUUUCAUCAAAAGAAUUUUCAUAAGGCAGGUCUACUAAAUGUUGUUUUAUUCCAAAAAGCAGAAGGUAGAUCAGCACAAAUUUCUUUUUCAAUAAGAGUUUUGAAAUCAGAAAUUUUUCUUUUAAUGAAAUCACUUUGUAAUUGGCUUUCAACUCUUUGUAAGUUCAAAUCUUUUUUGUAAAAAAUUAGAUCACACUGUUUUGAUUUAAGUAAAUUGUUUAUUCUAUUUUGAUAAAUAGAACAGGCUUUAACAAUAUUUAAAUUUCUUGUUUUAGGUUUUUCAAUAAAAGGGAAAAAAGUUUCUUGUUUUUUGCUUUGAAAGAUAUACUAUCAUAAUUGACAGUAUACGGAGUUAUGAGAUUUAUAAAAGGAGUUCCCAAAAUAAUGGCAUGAUGAAUAUCAUUUGUGAGAACAAAGGAAGUUUUAAAAUCAAAACCAUCAUUAUAGAUCGAGGCUUCAACCUUGGAACUGACAUUCAAUUUUGAAUUAUUGGCGGCAGAAAGCCUUUCUUUUGUUUUUUCAUGAAAUCUUUUGGGGACGAUAUCUUCUCUAAUGCAAUUUAAAUCGGCGCCAGUAUCAAAAAGGGCAAUGGCGUCCAUCGCAAAAUCAUCAGAAAAGAUUAGAGUGACUUUAAUCAAAUACUUUCUUGUGGUGAUUUGUUUUAGAACAAAUAGAAAAUCAUUGGGUACAGACUCAAUAUUUUCUACUUUAAUAUCAUCACCAUCAAUAUCAGGACUGGAUUCAUUGUCUGAAUUAUCCUGUAAUUGCUUUUGUAAAAGAAGUUGAAUAAUAUCAGAAUCACUUUUUUGUUUUUCUUUUAAAUCUCUGAUUUCACUUUUGAUUUCUUUUAUCUCUUUCUGAAGAUCUUGGAUAUUAGGAAUCAUCUUUUUUGUUUCUUCUUAUCCAAAAUUUGAGUAAGAUCAUAAGAAUUCUUUUUAAUAAUUGGGACUCUAGAAGUCUCGGCUUUAUUAAAAUCCAAUGUUUUCAAAAGUUUAUCAAGGUAUUCCUUUUGAAGAUUUGGAUCAGAAAUAUGCUUUACAAGUUCAAGAAAAGUUUCUUGGUCUUUAGUCAAAACAUUGAUUUUCUUUAAAAUGAAUCAGAUUCAGAAUCACUACUGCUAGAUGCAGAGUCAUCUGAGUCAAAAAGCUCAUCAACUUGGUAAGGGUCACUGUCUCCCGACAUGGAAGACUCAGAAUCAGAAGAUUCGACAAGAAGAGGGGCUAUUUUAGAAAGGAUGUCCUCAUUGAGGUCAAGUUCUUGGAGUCUUUUGUUCAUUCUGCAAAAUUUUGCAGUAUGACCUUUCAUACCACAUUUGAAACAUGUGGCCUCCUUGAAGUUGAAUGGGGUAUUAGGUUUGGCUUUGAAAUCUUUCUUUUUAGAGAAACUAUGUCUCUUAUAAGGCUUCGAAGGUUUCUUAUAAGGAAGUUUUCUAAAAUCACGGAAGGGUUUUCUAAAAUGUUUAGAUUUGUAAUGUUUCUUACGAGGUUUUGUAGAACACUCUCCAUUACAAUCUUUGGAAGUUUUAAAGGGGUCAUAAUUGAAUUGCUUACAGAAACCGCCUAAUUCCUGUUUAGACUUCUUAAGCUCCCACUUAAGACGUUUCUGUAAUUUCAAAUCUUGACAAAUCUUUAAACCUUCUUUGUUGACAAAACUGACUAGUUCACCAUAGGUGAGCUCGUCAUAAGGAAUACGGUUAUCGUAAAGGGCUUUGAUGGAAUUUCUUACCUUUUCACCUAAAAGGGUAGGUAAUCCAGCAAGAAAUUUUUCUUUCCAAGUAAUAUGAUUUGCAUCAUCCUAGAAUAGUCUGGUAAGGAAAGAGGUUUUGUAACUCUGAAAUUCACUAAGUUUUCUACAUCUCAAAUUAUGUAGUAACUCAGCGUUUUUAUCACGAAGGUGAGAAGGGUCACCGAUGAAAUGGAGGGAAAUGGUUAGAAUAAGAGUAGCAACAGCAUCCUGGAUAGGGUUGUUGAACUCAUCAAGAAUAGAGGCUCCAUUUUCAUCUUUUUGGACGGAAUUUAGAAUGUCAAAUUGUUGCUGAUUAGUGAGAAGAUGAUCCCACCAACCUUUUAGUUGACCAGUAAAACCAGCAAUUAGGAUUUCCGAUAUGGCACGAUCAGAAGUUCCUGCUUGGGUUUUAUAAGCAUUAGCUGCCAUUGUCAUUUGUUGCAACAAUCCAAGGAUAUUGUACUCAGACAUGCCGUCAAUAUUCCACUCAUAGACUGAAGAUGCAUUAUAACGGGAUUGAUUUAAUGCACUAGGUCUAUUAUCUAUUGCUAGAUCUGGUGGGGUCUUGACAGUGGGAAGGGCUAAUUCCCAGUGGAUUUUGUUGGCUUUAGGAGUAGAAGGUUCUUCUUUGAAAGCUUCUAAGUCAGAAGAGGCUAUAGAACUCUGGUCAUCUAGAUCCAAUACUCCAAUCUUGCUAGAUUGGGGGUAUCGGGGGCUAUCUGGAGUUUGCUAGACGAGGAAGAAGCAGCUUCUAUCCUCUCUAGUUGUUCUCUAAUGGCUUUAGCAAAAUCUGAUUUUGACUCUUGAACAAGCCUUUGGCUAGUUUUCGAAACCUGAAAAGGUUUGAAAAUAGGUUCCUUAAGCUUUUUGUCAGAAUCCGAUUUUGAAGGAAUAGACAUAGGAAUAGGAGAAACAGAUAUAGGAGAUUUUUGAAAUUGGUUUUCUAUACGAGCCAAUUGCUUUCCAAUUGUAUUUAAGUUAGUAUUACAGAAAUUAUUCUGUUGUAUAAUACUACUUAAAUUCGCAUCAGAAUCAUUUGGUCUUGGGAUUUUGUAAGGGGANNNNNNNNNNNNNNNNNNNNNNNNNNNNNNNNNNNNNNNNNNNNNNNNNNNNNNNNNNNNNNNNNNNNNNNNNNNNNNNNNNNNNNNNNNNNNNNNNNNNNNNNNNNNNNNNNNNNNNNNNNNNNNNNNNNNNNNNNNNNNNNNNNNNNNNNNNNNNNNNNNNNNNNNNNNNNNNNNNNNNNNNNNNNNNNNNNNNNNNNNNNNNNNNNNNNNNNNNNNNNNNNNNNNNNNNNNNNNNNNNUCAUAAAGUUCAUAUAUUGUUUUUUGAUUGGUUCGAAAUAUAUUCUUCUGAAAACAAUAUUGAUUAUCCUUUUAAAGAGUCAAACCCUAUAACUAUUAGAAAGAAAAUUCCUGAAUGGAAACUUUCUGAUAAUGAUAGGAUCAUAGAGUCUGAUCAUCCACCUCUUAGGAGUAUAACCAUAGAUCAUGGUGAACCUCCUACUGAGAUUAAAGCUUCCCCUUACAAAAUCCCAAGACCAAAUGAUUCUGAUGCGAAUUUAAGUAGUAUUAUACACAGAAUAAUUUCUGUAAUACUAACUUAAAUACAAUUGGAAAAGCAAUUGGCUCGUAUAGAAAACCAAUUUCAAAAAUCUACUAUAUCUGUUUCUCCUAUUCCAAUGUCUAUUCCUUCAAAAUCGGAUUCUGACAAAAAGCUUAAGGAACCUAUUUUCAAACCUUUUCAGGUCUCGAAAACUAGCCAAAAGCUUGUUCAAGAGUCAAAAUCAGAUUUUGCUAAAGCCAUUAGAGAACAAUUAGAUAGGAUAGAAGCUGCUUCUUCCUCGUCUAGCAAACUCCAGAUAGCCCCCGAUACCCCCAAUCUAGCAAGAUUGGAGUAUUGGAUCUAGAUGACCAAAGUUCUAUAGCCUCUUCUGACUUAGAAGCUUUCAAAGAGAACCUUCUACUCCUAAAGCCAACAAAUCCACUGGGAUUAGCCCUUCCCACUGUCAAGACCCCCACCAGAUCUAGCAAUAGAUAAUAGACCUAGUGCAUUAAAUCAAUCCCGAUAUAAUGCAUCUUCAGUCUAUGAGUGGAAUAUUGACGGCAUGUCUGAGUACAAUAUCCUCGGAUUGUUGCAACAAAUGACGAUGGCAGCUAAUGCUUAUAAAACCCAAGCAGGAACUUCUGAUCGUGCCAUAUCGGAAAUCCUAAUUGCUGGUUUUACUGGUCAACUAAAAGGUUGGUGGGAUCAUCUUCUCACUAAUCAGCAACAAUUUUGACAUUCUAAAUUCCGUCCAAAAAGAUGAAAAUGGAGCCUCUAUUCUUGAUGAGUUCAACAACCCUAUCCAGGAUGCUGUUGCUACUCUUAUUCUAACCAUUUCCCCUCCAUUUCAUCGGUGACCCUUCUCACCUUCGUGAUAAAAAUGCUGAGUUACUACAUAAUUUGAGAUGUAGAAAACUUAGUGAAUUUCAGAGUUACAAAACCUCUUUCCUUACCAGACUAUUUCUAAAGGGAUGAUGCAAAUCAUAUUACUUGGAAAGAGAAAUUUCUUGCUGGAUUACCUACCCUUUUAGGUGAAAAGGUAAGAAAUUCCAUCAAAGCCCUUUACGAUAACCGUAUUCCUUAUGAACGAGCUCACCUAUGGUGAACUUGUCAGUUUUGUCAACAAAGAAGGUUUUAAAGAUUUGUCAAGAUUUGAAAUUACAGAAACGUCUUAAGUGGGAGCUUAAGAAGUCUAAACAGGAAUUAGGCGGUUUCUGUAAGCAAUUCAAUUAUGACCCCUUUAAAACUUCCAAAGAUUGUAAUGGAGAGUGUUCUACAAAACCUUCGUAAGAAACAUUACAAAUCUAAACAUUUUAAGAAAAACCCUUUCGUGAUUUUAGAAACUUCCUUAUAAGAAACCUUCGAAGCCUUAUAAGAAACAUAGUUUUCUCUAAAAAGAAAGAUUUCAAGCCAAACCUAAUACCCCUUUCAACUUCAAGGAGGCCACAUGUUUCAAAUGUGGUAUGAAAGGUCAUACUGCAAAAUUUUGCAGAAUGAACAAAAGACUCCAAGAACUUGACCUCAAUGAGGACAUCCUUUCUAAAAUAGCCCCUCUUCUUGUCGAAUCUUCUGAUUCUGAGUCUUCCAUGUCGGGGAGACAGUGACCCUUACCAAGUUGAUGAGCUUUUUGACUCAGAUGACUCUGCAUCUAGCAGUAGUGAAUCUGAAUCUGAUUCAUUUUUAAAGAAAAUCAAUGUUUUGACUAAAGACCAAGAAACUUUUCUUGAACUUGUAAACAUAUUUCUGAUCCAAAUCUUCAAAAGGAAUACCUUGAUAAACUUUUGAAAACAUUGGAUUUUAAUAAAGCCGAGACUUCUAGAGUCCCAAUUGUUAAAAAGAAUUCUUAUGAUCUUACUCAAAUUUUGGAUAAGAAGAAAACAAAAAAGAUGAUUCCUAAUAUCCAAGAUCUUCAGAAAGAGAUAAAAGAAAUCAAAAGUGAAAUCAGAGAUUUAAAAGAAAAAACAAAAAGGUGAUUCUGAUAUUAUUCAACUUCUUUUACAAAAGCAAUUACAGGAUAAUUCAGACAAUGAAUCUAGUCCUGAUAUUGAUGGUGAUGAUAUUAAAGUAGAAAAUAUUGAGUCUGUACCCAAUGAUUUUCUAUUUGUUCUAAAACAAAUCACCACAAGAAAGUAUUUUGAUUAAAGUCACUCUAAUCUUUUCUGAUGAUUUUGCGAUGGAUGCCAUUGCCCUUUUUGAUACUGGCGCCGAUUUAAAUUGCAUUAGAGAAGAUAUCGUCCCCAAAGAUUUCAUGAAAAAACAAAAGAAAGGCUUUCUGCCGCCAAUAAUUCAAAAUUGAAUGUCAGUUCCAAGGUUGAAGCCUCAAUCUAUAAUGAUGAUUUUGAUUUUAAAACUUCCUUUGUUCUCACAAAUGAUAUUCAUCAUGCCAUUAUUUUGGGAACUCCUUUUAUAAAUCUCAUAACUCCGUAUACUGUCAAUUAUGAUAGUAUAUCUUUCAAAGCAAAAAACAAGAAACUUGUUUUCCCUUUUAUUGAAAAGCCUAAAACAAGAAAUUUGAAUAUUGUUAAAGCCUGUUCUAUUUAUCAAAAUAGAAUAAACAAUUUACUUAAAUCAAAACAGUGUGAUCUAAUGUUUUUACAAAAAGAUUUGAACUUACAAAGAGUUGAAAGCCAAUUACAAAGUGAUUUCAUUAAAAGAAAAAUUUCUGAUUUCAAAACUCUUAUUGAAAAAGAAAUUUGUGCUGAUCUACCUUCUGCUUUUUGGAAUAGAAAACAACAUUUAGUAGAUCUGCCUUAUGAAAAUUCUUUGAUGAAAAACAGAUUCCGACCAAAGCUCGUCCAAUUCAAAUGAAUAUGGAUUUAGAAAAACAUUGUAAAAAUGAAAUCAAAGACUUGGAGUCUAAAGGACUCAUUGUAAAAUCCAGGUCUCCUUGGUCUUGUGCUGCUUUUUAUGUUAACAAAAACUCCGAAAUUGAAAGAGGCACUCCAAGACUAGUUAUAAACUACAAACCUUUGAAUAAAGCUUUAAAAUGGAUUAGGUAUCCUAUACCUAAUAAAAAAGAUUUACUCCAAAAACUCUGUUCUGCCUUUAUUUUUUCAAAAUUCGACAUGAAAUCGGGUUUUUGGCAAAUUCAAAUUCAUCCAAAUGACCGUUACAAAACCGCUUUCACUGUUCCAUUUGGACAAUACGAAUGGACUGUUAUGCCCUUUGGUUUAAAGAAUGCACCCUCAGAAUUUCAAAGAAUUAUGAAUGAUAUUUAUAAUCCUUAUUCUGAUUUUUGCAUUGUUUAUAUUGAUGAUGUUUUGAUAUUUUCAAAUUCAAUCGAUCAAACAUUUCAAACAUUUAAAGACUUUUUAUUUUGCUACAAAAAAGGCUGGACUAGCCCUUUCUAGUUCAAAGAUUUCAUUAUUUCAAACGAAAAUCAGAUUUCUUGGUCACUAUAUUUCAAAAGGAACAAUCACCCCUAUUGAAAGAUCACUUUUAUUUGCUGAUAAAUUCCCUGAUAAAAUUCUUGACAAAACUCAAUUACAAAGAUUUCUUGGUAGCCUAAAUUAUGUUCUUGAUUUCUGUCCCAAUAUCAAUAGGUUGUCUAAACCUUUGCAUGAUCGUUUAAAGAAAAAACCUUCUCCAUGGACAGAUGAACAUACUAAAGCUGUUAAAUUAAUUAAGAGUUCUGUUAAAAGCAUCCCAUGUCUAUAUCUUGCAAAUCCUGCAUUCCCUAAAAUUGUUGAAACUGAUGCAUCUGAUUUAGGAUAUGGAGGUAUAUUAAAACAAAAAGAAAAUGAUAGAGAACAGAUAGUACAAUAUGUUUCUGCACAUUGGAAUGAUUGUCAGAAAAAUUAUUCUACUAUUAAAAAAGAAAUUCUUUCCAUUGUUUUAUGCAUUACAAAAUUUCAAAGUGAUUUAUUAAAUCAAAAAUUUUUACUUAGAAUUGACUGCAAAGCUGCAAAACAUGUUUUAGAAAAGGAUGUUCAAAACAUUGCAUCAAAACAGAUUUUUGCACGUUGGCAAGCUAUUUUGAGUGUUUUUGAUUUUGAUAUAGAAUUCAUUAAAGGUGACAAAAAUUCUGUUCCUGAUUUUCUAACCAGAGAAUUUCUUCAAAACAGAUAAUGCCGCUAAAGAAAGACAAAGGUAAAGCUGUUCUCAAAGUUCCGGAUCUCAGAACCUUCCAAAGAACCCCAGUCAACCCUUCUAAAGAAAAAUUACUUUCUUCUGCCUUACCCAUCAAAUCAUGGAUUGAAUUGGUUGAAGAACAUGAAGCCCAUUACAAACCCAUCUCUUCUGAUGAUCAAGUAAAGCAUUGGAUGAGUUCCAUUACAAAAUCUCCCGAGCUCAUGCUCGCCCUACAAAACCUUUCCCAGAGCCAAAAUUCUCCUAAAAAAGAGAUUGAGAGCAUAUCCAUAUCUAAAGAAAUUACAAAACCCUCCUCUCAAAAUGUUGUUGUCUCUGCCGAAAGCUCAUCUUCCCAAAUUGUGCUUUCUCAGCCAACACCUUCAAAGAAAACCUCCGAUUGGUUUGAUAAAACCCAUUUUCAAAAUAUUCUUUCUAUGGAAGAUGGAUUUUACCAUACUGAUCCUUUUCAAAGCAUUUCAAAGUUUUUUCCCAAAGGCUGGUUUUUCAAACCAUGGGAUUUGACAAAACCCCAGUCUUAUUAUCAAAGCAUUUUAGAAAUAACUGAAUCAGUUAAUUCAAACAUUUCUUUCUUGAUAAAACCCAUUCUGAACCGGCCUAUUCCACGGCCACGAUUCUAAAAGUUUUGAGCCCGAACCAGUGGGGCGACCUACUCCACAAUUUCAAAACCUUUCCUUUAAACUUUGAAACCCGUUUACCACAUUGUCGGACUUUCUCCUACUGGGAUUACCAACAAGCAUGGUAUAACACCUUUUUUAUUCAAAACCCUAAAAAAAUCCCAUUCUUGGUUAUUUUUCUUUAACCCUAAAAAUAACCGUCCAAAGCCUUCCAAACUGGUUCCAUCAUUGGUGGAAUUUCUUUGGCCCAAUACCUCAAAUCCUCACUCCAAAUGCCAUAAAUUGCCUAAACCUCUUUAAAGCCCACUACACGCCCUCUGACUCAGAGAAAAGAUUUCCCCCCUUUCUCUGUUUUUGUACAAACUUCUUCCUACCAUGGGUCUGGAUGUGGAACCUCCGUUUUCAUACUCAAGAUUCCCAAGUCAUCCUUCAAAGAACCUUUAAAGUCAAAUGGUGGUCAAAGUUUGAUGAACAGUCCAAACUGACUGUUAACAUGAUCAAAGACUGGCUCUCCUCUAAAAACCUUCUCCAACCAACCCUAGAAGCCUCUAAAGCCCAACAGACCUUCUUAACCCAAAAUCCAAAGCCCAGUCUCUUUUGGCAAGUGCCAAGACAGAAGAUGAAUACUUCAAAGCAAUGGAACAGCUCCUCGCCUCCCGUUCAAAGUCAUCAGUAGCCGACACCUCUGAAGACGAAGACGAUGAUGAAGAUGAAGAGCCCUUCAUUUCUCUUGGAGACGAAAAUGAAGAUGAUUGUUUCGGCAUUUUUUCUCCUAUAAAGCAUUGUAAAUAAUUAUUUGGUUAUUUACUUAAAAAAAAAAAAAAAAAAAAAAAAAAAAAAAAAAAAAAAAAAAAAAAAAAAAAAAAAAAAAAAUUCUCUCGGGUGGUCCCUUGGACACAAGUGAGAGCGCACAUGUCUCUUCACCCGUGUUGUAUUUCAUUAUGUAUUUCAAUUUUUGUACAAAGUAGUCUACUGUUCAAAGCUACGGUCAGCCUACUAUUCAAAGCUACGAUCCAAAGAUUACUGUGCACUCAAAACUCCGCUACAGUGAACAGUGCAAAGUUCCAAAGAUUACUGUGCACUCAAAGCUCCGCUACAGUGAACAGUUUACAAAGUUUUGUAUAUAAACCAAGAGGAAGACUCAGACUCCUCAGGUUUUUCAUUUUCUCUUCUUCUCCUCCUUCUCUCUAGAUCUCUCUCUCUCUCUCUCUCUCUCUCUCUCUCUCUGGGAAGUCUGGAUCAAGACAUCAAGGAAACCAUUCCUGUCUUGUAAUCUUCCCGUCUUUCAAUCUUCCCUUCAGGAAAGAUUUGAAAAUUGUAAAGACCAAGACUAUCAAAGCAAAGAUGUAUGUUUAAAUUUCAGUUAUUUAAUUUCGAUGUAAUUUAAAUUUCCGCAAUUUACUUUAAAGCAAUUUACUUUUCUGCAAUUUAAUUUCAUGCACAUUUACAUUAAAGCAAUUUAUUUAUAAAGCAAUUUUCUUUUCAAAGCAUGCAAAGCAGACUGGUCUUUAUCAGAUCUGCCAUAAAAUUUGUACGUUCCUCUGAGGCAAAGAGACCGGAUCUCGAUCCUCAGUUGUAAAUCUUCUCUUCUUCCUCCAUUCCUUCAGAGCACCAUUUCCGGGAUCCGGAUCUGGUACUGUGUAUGUACCCAAGCCCCUUAACGAAUCUAAUUUAACUCUGGAAUUAGCCCAAUAAAAAGAAACAACCACGUUUAAAGCAACUUAAUUUUUAUCUGGUAAAUAUAUUAAAGUAUAUAGGCUGGAAACCCGAACGUGCGGACUAUUGAUCUGUUCUAAGUCAGAUCUGGUCCAAAGGCAGAUUAACUUCUGCGAUCGAUCUGGUCUAACAACGCCACGUACUUUAAAUAUUCUAAAAUUUGACCAACCGCGUUCAAAUUUGUUUGAUCAUUGUAUGCUCUAAAACAAAUCUACUUAAUCUAAAGCUGGUAAUCUUAUAUAAAAUCGGAACAACCGCGAUCCAAUUAUUUUAUUAAAGCAAUCAAUAAAGAAACAUUUUGAAAACACACCCAUCCUUCGAUCCUAUUUCCUUCUGGUAUCAGAGAUUAAAGCUUAGAGCUUUACCGUAUUCCUUAUGACGACAAAUUAAAAUUUUGUAUCAGUGGCAUAGGUGAGCUCGUCAUAAGGAAUACGGUUAUCGUAAAGGGCUUUGAUGGAAUUUCUUACCUUUUCACCUAAAAGGGUAGGUAAUCCAGCAAGAAAUUUCUCUUUCCAAGUAAUAUGAUUUGCAUCAUCCCUUAGAAAUAGUCUGGUAAGGAAAGAGGUUUUGUAACUCUGAAAUUCACUAAGUUUUCUACAUCACAAAGCUUACCAGAAGGUCUCAUCAGUCUGCAAGACAAAUCAGUCUGAAAUUUUGUAAUGCAUAAAACAAUGGAAAGAAUUUCUUUUUUAAUAGUAGAAUAAUUUUUCUGACAAUCAUUCCAAUGUGCAGAAACAUAUUGUACUAUCUGUUCUCUAUCAUUUUCUUUUUGUUUUAAUAUACCUCCAUAUCCUAAAUCAGAUGCAUCAGUUUCAACAAUUUUAGGGAAUGCAGGAUUUGCAAGAUAUAGACAUGGGAUGCUUUUAACAGAACUCUUAAUUAAUUUAACAGCUUUAGUAUGUUCAUCUGUCCAUGGAGAAGGUUUUUUCUUUAAACGAUCAUGCAAAGGUUUAGACAACCUAUUGAUAUUGGGACAGAAAUCAAGAACAUAAUUUAGGCUACCAAGAAAUCUUUGUAAUUGAGUUUUGUCAAGAAUUUUAUCAGGGAAUUUAUCAGCAAAUAAAAGUGAUCUUUCAAUAGGGGUGAUUGUUCCUUUUGAAAUAUAGUGACCAAGAAAUCUGAUUUUCGUUUGAAAUAAUGAAAUCUUUGAACUAGAAAGGGCUAGUCCAGCCUUUUUUGUAGCAAAAUAAAAAGUCUUUAAAUGUUUGAAAUGUUGAUCGAUUGAAUUUGAAAAUAUCAAAACAUCAUCAAUAUAAACAAUGCAAAAAUCAGAAUAAGGAUUAUAAAUAUCAUUCAUAAUUCUUUGAAAUUCUGAGGGUGCAUUCUUUAAACCAAAGGGCAUAACAGUCCAUUCGUAUUGUCCAAAUGGAACAGUGAAAGCGGUUUUGUAACGGUCAUUUGGAUGAAUUUGAAUUUGCCAAAAACCCGAUUUCAUGUCGAAUUUUGAAAAAAUAAAGGCAGAACAGAGUUUUUGGAGUAAAUCUUUUUAUUAGGUAUAGGAUACCUAAUCCAUUUUAAAGCUUUAUUCAAAGGUUUGUAGUUUAUAACUAGUCUUGGAGUGCCUCUUUCAAUUUCGGAGUUUUUGUUAACAUAAAAAGCAGCACAAGACCAAGGAGACCUGGAUUUUACAAUGAGUCCUUUAGACUCCAAGUCUUUGAUUUCAUUUUUACAAUGUUUUUCUAAAUCCAUAUUCAUUUGAAUUGGACGAGCUUUUGGUCGGAAUCUGUUUUUCAUCAAAAGAAUUUUCAUAAGGCAGAUCUACUAAAUGUUGUUUUCUAUUCCAAAAAGCAGAAGGUAGAUCAGCACAAAUUUCUUUUUCAAUAAGAGUUUUGAAAUCAGAAAUUUUCUUUAAUGAAAUCACUUUGUAAUUGGCUUUCAACUCUUUGUAAGUUCAAAUCUUUUUGUAAAAACAUUAGAUCACACUGUUUUGAUUUAAGUAAAUUGUUUAUUCUAUUUUGAUAAAUAGAACAGGCUUUAACAAUAUUCAAAUUUCUUGUUUUAGGCUUUUCAAUAAAAGGGAAAACAAGUUUCUUGUUUUUUGCUUUGAAAGAUAUACUAUCAUAAUUGACAGUAUACGGAGUUAUGAGAUUUAUAAAAGGAGUUCCCAAAAUAAUGGCAUGAUGAAUAUCAUUUGUGAGAACAAAGGAAGUUUUAAAAUCAAAAUCAUCAUUAUAGAUUGAGGCUUCAACCUUGGAACUGACAUUCAAUUUUGAAUUAUUGGCGGCAGAAAGCCUUUCUUUUGUUUUUUCAUGAAAUCUUUUGGGGACGAUAUCUUCUCUAAUGCAAUUUAAAUCGGCGCCAGUAUCAAAAAGGGCAAUGGCAUCCAUCGCAAAAUCAUCAGAAAAGAUUAGAGUGACUUUAAUCAAAUACUUUCUUGUGGUGAUUUGUUUUAGAACAAAUAGAAAAUCAUUGGGUACAGACUCAAUAUUUUCUACUUUAAUAUCAUCACCAUCAAUAUCAGGACUAGAUUCAUUGUCUGAAUUAUCCUGUAAUUGCUUUUGUAAAAGAAGUUGAAUAAUAUCAGAAUCACCUUUUUGUUUUUCUUUUAAAUCUCUGAUUUCACUUUUGAUUUCUUUUAUCUCUUUCUGAAGAUCUUGGAUAUUAGGAAUCAUCUUUUUUGUUUUCUUCUUAUCCAAAAUUUGAGUAAGAUCAUAAGAAUUCUUUUUAACAAUUGGGACUCUAGAAGUCUCGGCUUUAUUAAAAUCCAAUGUUUUCAAAAGUUUAUCAAGGUAUUCCUUUUGAAGAUUUGGAUCAGAAAUAUGUUUUACAAGUUCAAGAAAAGUUUCUUGGUCUUUAGUCAAAACAUUGAUUUUCUUUAAAAAUGAAUCAGAUUCAGAUUCACUACUGCUAGAUGCAGAGUCAUCUGAGUCAAAAAGCUCAUCAACUUGGUAAGGGUCACUGUCUCCCGACAUGGAAGACUCAGAAUCAGAAGAUUCGACAAGAAGAGGGGCUAUUUUAGAAAGGAUGUCCUCAUUGAGGUCAAGUUCUUGGAGUCUUUUGUUCAUUCUGCAAAAUUUUGCAGUAUGACCUUUCAUACCACAUUUGAAACAUGUGGCCUCCUUGAAGUUGAAAGGGGUAUUAGGUUUGGCUUUGAAAUCUUUCUUUUUAGAGAAACUAUGUUUCUUAUAAGGCUUCGAAGGUUUCUUAUAAGGAAGUUUUCUAAAAUCACGAAAGGGUUUUCUAAAAUGUUUAGAUUUGUAAUGUUUCUUACGAGGUUUUGUAGAACACUCUCCAUUACAAUCUUUGGAAGUUUUAAAGGGGUCAUAAUUGAAUUGCUUACAGAAACCGCCUAAUUCCUGUUUAGACUUCUUAAGCUCCCACUUAAGACGUUUCUGUAAUUUCAAAUCUUGACAAAUCUUUAAACCUUCUUUGUUGACAAAACUGACAAGUUCACCAUAGGUGAGCUCGUCAUAAGGAAUACGGUUAUCGUAAAGGGCUUUGAUGGAAUUUCUUACCUUUUCACCUAAAAGGGUAGGUAAUCCAGCAAGAAAUUUCUCUUUCCAAGUAAUAUGAUUUGCAUCAUCCCUUAGAAAUAGUCUGGUAAGGAAAGAGGUUUUGUAACUCUGAAAUUCACUAAGUUUUCUACAUCUCAAAUUAUGUAGUAACUCAGCAUUUUUAUCACGAAGGUGAGAAGGGUCACCGAUGAAAUGGAGGGAAAUGGUUAGAAUAAGAGUAGCAACAGCAUCCUGGAUAGGGUUGUUGAACUCAUCAAGAAUAGAGGCUCCAUUUUCAUCUUUUUGGACGGAAUUUAGAAUGUCAAAUUGUUGCUGAUUAGUGAGAAGAUGAUCCCACCAACCUUUUAGUUGACCAGUAAAACCAGCAAUUAGGAUUUCCGAUAUGGCACGAUCAGAAGUUCCUGCUUGGGUUUUAUAAGCAUUAGCUGCCAUCGUCAUUUGUUGCAACAAUCCGAGGAUAUUGUACUCAGACAUGCCGUCAAUAUUCCACUCAUAGACUGAAGAUGCAUUAUAUCGGGAUUGAUUUAAUGCACUAGGUCUAUUAUCUAUUGCUAGAUCUGGUGGGUCUUGACAGUGGGAAGGGCUAAUUCCCAGUGGAUUUUGUUGGCUUUAGGAGUAGAAGGUUCUUCUUUGAAAGCUUCUAAGUCAGAAGAGGCUAUAGAACUUUGGUCAUCUAGAUCCAAUACUCCAAUCUUGCUAGAUUGGGGGGUAUCGGGGGCUAUCUGGAGUUUGCUAGACGAGGAAGAAGCAGCUUCUAUCCUAUCUAAUUGUUCUAAAAUUUGACCAGAAGGAAAUAGGAUCGAAGGAUGGGUGUGUUUUCAAAAUGUUUCUUUAUUGAUUGCUUUAAUAAAAUAAUUGGAUCGCGGUUGUUCCGAUUUUAUAUAAGAUUACCAGCUUUAGAUUAAGUAGAUUUGUUUUAGAGCAUACAAUGAUCAAACAAAUUUGAACGCGGUUGGUCAAAUUUUAGAAUAUUUAAAGUACGUGGCGUUGUUAGACCAGAUCGAUCGCAGAAGUUAAUCUGCCUUUGGACCCAGAUCUGACUUAGAACAGAUCAAUAGUCCGCACGUUCGGGUUUCCAGCCUAUAUACUUUAAUAUAUUUACCAGAUAAAAUUAAGUUGCUUUAAACGUGGUUGUUUCUUUUUAUUGGGCUAAUUCCAGAGUUAAAUUAGAUUCGUUAAGGGGCUUGGGUACAUACACAGUACCAGAUCCGGAUCCCGGAAAUGGUGCUCUGAAGGAAUGGAGGAAGAAGAGAAGAUUUACAACUGAGGAUCGAGAUCCGGUCUCUUUGCCUCAGAGGAACGUACAAAUUUUAUGGCAGAUCUGAUAAAGACCAGUCUGCUUUGCAUGCUUUGAAAAGAAAAUUGCUUUAUAAAUAAAUUGCUUUAAUGUAAAUGUGCAUGAAAUUAAAUUGCAGAAAAGUAAAUUGCUUUAAAGUAAAUUGCGGAAAUUUAAAUUACAUCGAAAUUAAAUAACUGAAAUUUAAACAUACAUCUUUGCUUUGAUAGUCUUGGUCUUUACAAUUUUCAAAUCUUUCCUGAAGGGAAGAUUGAAAGACGGGAAGAUUACAAGACAGGAAUGGUUUCCUUGAUGUCUUGAUCCAGACUUCCCAAGAGAGAGAGAGAGAGAGAGAGAGAGAGAGAGAUCUAGAGAGAAGGAGGAGAAGAAGAGAAAAUGAAAAACCUGAGGAGUCUGAGUCUUCCUCUUGGUUUAUAUACAAAACUUUGUAAACUGUUCACUGUAGCGGAGCUUUGAGUGCACAGUAAUCUUUGGAACUUUGCACUGUUCACUGUAGCGGAGUUUUGAGUGCACAGUAAUCUUUGGAUCGUAGCUUUGAAUAGUAGGCUGACCGUAGCUUUGAACAGUAGACUACUUUGUACAAAAAUUGAAAUACAUAAUGAAAUACAACACGGGUGAAGAGACAUGUGCGCUCUCACUUGUGUCCAAGGGACCACCCGAGAGAAUUUUUUUUUUUUUUUUUUUUUUUUUUUUUUUUUUUUUUUUUUUUUUUUUUUUUUUUUUAAGUAAAUAACCAAAUAAUUAUUUACAAUGCUUUAUAGGAGAAAAAAUGCCGAAACAAUCAUCUUCAUUUUCGUCUCCAAGAGAAAUGAAGGGCUCUUCAUCUUCAUCAUCGUCUUCGUCUUCAGAGGUGUCGGCUACUGAUGACUUUGAACGGGAGGCGAGGAGCUGUUCCAUUGCUUUGAAGUAUUCAUCUUCUGUCUUGGCACUUGCCAAAAGAGACUGGGCUUUGGAUUUUUGGGUUAAGAAGGUCUGUUGGGCUUUAGAGGCUUCUAGGGUUGGUUGGAGAAGGUUUUUAGAGGAGAGCCAGUCUUUGAUCAUGUUAACAGUCAGUUUGGACUGUUCAUCAAACUUUGACCACCAUUUGACUUUAAAGGUUCUUUGAAGGAUGACUUGGGAAUCUUGAGUAUGAAAACGGAGGUUCCACAUCCAGACCCAUGGUAGGAAGAAGUUUGUACAAAAACAGAGAAAGGGGGGAAAUCUUUUCUCUGAGUCAGAGGGCGUGUAGUGGGCUUUAAAGAGGUUUAGGCAAUUUAUGGCAUUUGGAGUGAGGAUUUGAGGUAUUGGGCCAAAGAAAUUCCACCAAUGAUGGAACCAGUUUGGAAGGCUUUGGACGGUUAUUUUAGGGUUAAAGAAAAAUAACCAAGAAUGGGAUUUUUUAGGGUUUUGAAUAAAAAAGGUGUUAUACCAUGCUUGUUGGUAAUCCCAGUAGGAGAAAGUCCGACAAUGUGGUAAACGGGUUUCAAAGUUUAAAGGAAAGGUUUUGAAAUUGUGGAGUAGGUCGCCCCACUGGUUCGGGCUCAAAACUUUUAGAAUCGUGGCCGUGGAAUAGGCCGGUUCAGAAUGGGUUUUAUCAAGAAAGAAAUGUUUGAAUUUAACUGAUUCAGUUAUUUCUAAAAUGCUUUGAUAAUAAGACUGGGGUUUUGUCAAAUCCCAUGGUUUGAAAAACCAGCCUUUGGGAAAAAACUUUGAAAUGCUUUGAAAAGGAUCAGUAUGGUAAAAUCCAUCUUCCAUAGAAAGAAUAUUUUGAAAAUGGGUUUUAUCAAACCAAUCGGAGGUUUUCUUUGAAGGUGUUGGCUGAGAAAGCACAAUUUGGGAAGAUGAGCUUUCGGCAGAGACAACAACAUUUUGAGAGGAGGGUUUUGUAAUUUCUUUAGAUAUGGAUAUGCUCUCAAUCUCUUUUUUAGGAGAAUUUUGGCUCUGGGAAAGGUUUUGUAGGGCGAGCAUGAGCUCGGGAGAUUUUGUAAUGGAACUCAUCCAAUGCUUUACUUGAUCAUCAGAAGAGAUGGGUUUGUAAUGGGCUUCAUGUUCUUCAACCAAUUCAAUCCAUGAUUUGAUGGGUAAGGCAGAAGAAAGUAAUUUUUCUUUAGAAGGGGUUGACUGGGGUUCUUUGGAAGGUUCUUGAGAUCCGGAACUUUUGAGAACAGCUUUACCUUUGUCUUUCUUUAGCGGCAUUAUCUGUUUUGAAGAAAUUCUCUGGUUAGAAAAUCAGGAACAGAAUUUUUGUCACCUUUAAUGAAUUCUAUAUCAAAAUCAAAAACACUCAAAAUAGCUUGCCAACGUGCAAAAAAUCUGUUUUGAUGCAAUGUUUUGAACAUCCUUUUCUAAAACAUGUUUUGCAGCUUUGCAGUCAAUUCUAAGUAAAAAUUUUUGAUUUAAUAAAUCACUUUGAAAUUUUGUAAUGCAUAAAACAAUGGAAAGAAUUUCUUUUUUAAUAGUAGAAUAAUUUUUCUGACAAUCAUUCCAAUGUGCAGAAACAUAUUGUACUAUCUGUUCUCUAUCAUUUUCUUUUUGUUUUAAUAUACCUCCAUAUCCUAAAUCAGAUGCAUCAGUUUCAACAAUUUUAGGGAAUGCAGGAUUUGCAAGAUAUAGACAUGGGAUGCUUUUAACAGAACUCUUAAUUAAUUUAACAGCUUUAGUAUGUUCAUCUGUCCAUGGAGAAGGUUUUUUCUUUAAACGAUCAUGCAAAGGUUUAGACAACCUAUUGAUAUUGGGACAGAAAUCAAGAACAUAAUUUAGGCUACCAAGAAAUCUUUGUAAUUGAGUUUUGUCAAGAAUUUUAUCAGGGAAUUUAUCAGCAAAUAAAAGUGAUCUUUCAAUAGGGGUGAUUGUUCCUUUUGAAAUAUAGUGACCAAGAAAUCUGAUUUUCGUUUGAAAUAAUGAAAUCUUUGAACUAGAAAGGGCUAGUCCAGCCUUUUUUGUAGCAAAAUAAAAAGUCUUUAAAUGUUUGAAAUGUUGAUCGAUUGAAUUUGAAAAUAUCAAAACAUCAUCAAUAUAAACAAUGCAAAAAUCAGAAUAAGGAUUAUAAAUAUCAUUCAUAAUUCUUUGAAAUUCUGAGGGUGCAUUCUUUAAACCAAAGGGCAUAACAGUCCAUUCGUAUUGUCCAAAUGGAACAGUGAAAGCGGUUUUGUAACGGUCAUUUGGAUGAAUUUGAAUUUGCCAAAAACCCGAUUUCAUGUCGAAUUUUGAAAAAAUAAAGGCAGAACAGAGUUUUUGGAGUAAAUCUUUUUUAUUAGGUAUAGGAUACCUAAUCCAUUUUAAAGCUUUAUUCAAAGGUUUGUAGUUUAUAAACUAGUCUUGGAGUGCCUCUUUCAAUUUCGGAGUUUUUGUUAACAUAAAAAGCAGCACAAGACCAAGGAGACCUGGAUUUUCAAUGAGUCCUUUAGACUCCAAGUCUUUGAUUUCAUUUUUACAAUGUUUUUCUAAAUCCAUAUUCAUUUGAAUUGGACGAGCUUUGGUCGGAAUCUGUUUUUCAUCAAAAGAAUUUUCAUAAGGCAGAUCUACUAAAUGUUGUUUUCUAUUCCAAAAAGCAGAAGGUAGAUCAGCACAAAUUUCUUUUUCAAUAAGAGUUUUGAAAUCAGAAAUUUUUCUUUUAAUGAAAUCACUUUGUAAUUGGCUUUCAACUCUUUGUAAGUUCAAAUCUUUUGUAAAAACAUUAGAUCACACUGUUUUGAUUUAAGUAAAUUGUUUAUUCUAUUUUGAUAAAUAGAACAGGCUUUAACAAUAUUCAAAUUUCUUGUUUUAGGCUUUUCAAUAAAAGGGGAAAACAAGUUUCUUGUUUUUUGCUUUGAAAGAUAUACUAUCAUAAUUGACAGUAUACGGAGUUAUGAGAUUUAUAAAAGGAGUUCCCAAAAUAAUGGCAUGAUGAAUAUCAUUUGUGAGAACAAAGGAAGUUUUAAAAUCAAAAUCAUCAUUAUAGAUUGAGGCUUUCAACCUUGGAACUGACAUUCAAUUUUGAAUUAUUGGCGGCAGAAAGCCUUUCUUUUGUUUUUUUCAUGAAAUCUUUUGGGGACGAUAUCUUCUCUAAUGCAAUUUAAAUCGGCGCCAGUAUCAAAAAGGGCAAUGGCAUCCAUCGCAAAAUCAUCAGAAAGAUUAGAGUGACUUUAAUCAAAUACUUUCUUGUGGUGAUUUGUUUUAGAACAAAUAGAAAAUCAUUGGGUACAGACUCAAUAUUUUCUACUUUAAUAUCAUCACCAUCAAUAUCAGGACUAGAUUCAUUGUCUGAAUUAUCCUGUAAUUGCUUUUGUAAAAGAAGUUGAAUAAUAUCAGAAUCACCUUUUUUGUUUUUCUUUUAAAUCUCUGAUUUCACUUUUGAUUUCUUUUAUCUCUUUCUGAAGAUCUUGGAUAUUAGGAAUCAUCUUUUUUGUUUUCUUCUUAUCCAAAAUUUGAGUAAGAUCAUAAGAAUUCUUUUUAACAAUUGGGACUCUAGAAGUCUCGGCUUUAUUAAAAUCCAAUGUUUUCAAAAGUUUAUCAAGGUAUUCCUUUUGAAGAUUUGGAUCAGAAAUAUGUUUUACAAGUUCAAGAAAAGUUUCUUGGUCUUUAGUCAAAACAUUGAUUUUCUUUAAAAAUGAAUCAGAUUCAGAUUCACUACUGCUAGAUGCAGAGUCAUCUGAGUCAAAAAGCUCAUCAACUUGGUAAGGGUCACUGUCUCCCGACAUGGAAGACUCAGAAUCAGAAGAUUCGACAAGAAGAGGGGCUAUUUUAGAAAGGAUGUCCUCAUUGAGGUCAAGUUCUUGGAGUCUUUUGUUCAUUCUGCAAAAUUUUUGCAGUAUGACCUUUCAUACCACAUUUGAAACAUGUGGCCUCCUUGAAGUUGAAAGGGGUAUUAGGUUUGGCUUUGAAAUCUUUCUUUUUAGAGAAACUAUGUUUCUUAUAAGGCUUCGAAGGUUUCUUAUAAGGAAGUUUUCUAAAAUCACGAAAGGGUUUUCUAAAAUGUUUAGAUUUGUAAUGUUUCUUACGAGGUUUUGUAGAACACUCUCCAUUACAAUCUUUGGAAGUUUUAAAGGGUCAUAAUUGAAUUGCUUACAGAAACCGCCUAAUUCCUGUUUAGACUUCUUAAGCUCCCACUUAAGACGUUUCCUGUAAUUUCAAAUCUUGACAAAUCUUUAAACCUUCUUGUUGACAAAAACUGACAAGUUCACCAUAGGUGAGCUCGUCAUAAGGAAUACGGUUAUCGUAAAGGGCUUUGAUGGAAUUUCUUACCUUUUCACCUAAAAGGGUAGGUAAUCCAGCAAGAAAUUUCUCUUUCCAAGUAAUAUGAUUUGCAUCAUCCCUUAGAAAUAGUCUGGUAAGGAAAGAGGUUUUGUAACUCUGAAAUUCACUAAGUUUUUCUACAUCUCAAAUUAUGUAGUAACUCAGCAUUUUUAUCACGAAGGUGAGAAGGGUCACCGAUGAAAUGGAGGGAAAUGGUUAGAAUAAGAGUAGCAACUAGCAUCCUGGAUAGGGUUGUUGAACUCAUCAAGAAAUAGAGGCUCCAUUUUCAUCUUUUUGGACGGAAUUUAGAAUGUCAAAUUGUGCUGCUGAUUAGUGAGAAGAUGAUCCCACCAACCUUUUAGUUGACCAGUAAAACCAGCAAUUAGGAUUUCCGAUAUGGCACGAUCAGAAGUUCCUGCUUGGGUUUUAUAUAAGCAUUAGCUGCCAUCGUCAUUUGUUGCAACAAUCCGAGGAUAUUGUACUCAGACAUGCCCGUCAAUAUUCCACUCAUAGACUGAAGAUGCAUUAUAUCGGGAUUGAUUUAAUGCACCUAGGUCUAUUAUCUAUUGCUAGAUCUGGUGGGGUCUUGACAGUGGGAAGGCUAAUUCCCAGUGGAUUUGUUGGCUUUAGGAGUAGAAGGUUCUUCUUUGAAAGCUUCUAAGUCAGAAGAGGCUAUAGAACUUGGUCAUCUAGAUCCAAUACUCCAAUCUUGCUAGAUUGGGGGGUAUCGGGGGCUAUCUGGAGUUUGCUAGACGAGGAAGAAGCAGCUUCUAUCCUAUCUAAUUGUUCUCUAAUGGCUUUAGCAAAAUCUGAUUUUGACUCUUUGAACAAGCUUUUGGCUAGUUUUCGAGAACCUGAAAAGGUUUGAAAAUAGGUUCCUUAAGCUUUUUGUCAGAAUCCGAUUUUGAAGGAAUAGACAUAGGAAUAGGAGAAACAGAUAUAGGAGAUUUUUGAAAUUGGUUUUCUAUACGAGCCAAUUGCUUUCCAAUUGUAUUUAAGUUAGUAUUACAGAAAUUAUUCUGUUGUAUAAUACUACUUAAAUUCGCAUCAGAAUCAUUUGGUCUUGGGAUUUUGUAAGGGGAUGCUUUAAUCUCAAUAGGAGGUUCACCAUGAUCUAUGGUUAUACUCCUAAGAGGUGGAUGAUCAGACUCUAUAAUCCUAUCAUUAUCAGAAAGUUUCCAUUCAGGAAUUUUCUUUCUAAUAGUUAUAGGGUUUGACUCUUUAAAAGGAUAAUCAAUAUUGUUCUCAGAAGAAUAUAUUUCGAACCAAUCAAAAAACAAUAUAUGAACUUUAUGAAAAUUCACAAAUUCAUAAUAAGUUUGUUGGAUUUCUUUUCUUUGGUUUAAAAAAUGUUUAAAAAAACCAAGUUCUUUUUUCUUUAUUUAUUUCUGAAUAAAAAUCGUUAUGCAGAAAGGCUUUAUCUAAUUCAAAUUCUUUUUCAAUGACAUUAAUGACAUUUUCUGUGACAGCAGAAAACGUAGGAGAUGUUGGAGGAGAAGGUUCCUUCUCUUCCUGUCUUUGCACAUGUUGACUACUAGUGUAUAUAGGAUGAGGAACACUUGUGGCAUAGUCAACGGAACGGAUGGAGGAGCUAGGUAUAUCCGAAGUGGAAAACCUAGGUUGGCUCUGAUAUGGGAGAUUUAUAACAGAAGGUACUUUUGUAAACUUCCUUUCUAGUGAAGGAAUGCUUGGGCUCGAUUCUUUUUCAGAAAAUCUAUGUGAGGUAGACCUUCUGAAUGAUAGUUUGACUUUACCAUCGGAAUACUGGGUCACAUUUUGUAACUCUGUAUUUGGCUCAAGUUGUUUCGGAAUCGCCGGUGGGGCGGCUCCUUCGAGGAUCCAUUCAUCUGGAAGAUGGAUAUCUUUCCAUUGGAUCGAUUUUGGAAUGACAUGUUGGCUUUAGACAAAUCAGUCUGCAAGAGAAGGGUCUCAUCUCUCUUCGACUGGUAUUUAUGCUGUGUGCUAAAUGCAGAAAUCAUGGCUUUAUAGGAAAUUUUAAAAAUUAAUGCAACUGGGAUGGAUCCCUUAAUCAUGUGAUAAUUAUGGGUUUGGAUUUGUAAAAUCAUGCUCUUUAAAAUAUUUUUGUCUUUAAGAGAAAUUGUUAUAUUUGGAUAACAAUCAAAAGAUAUGGGACCUUUACAUAGACUAGAUUCGAUACUACUUAGUAAAGAAUCAAAAGAGAUGAAUCGCCCAUCUCUAAGAACAGCAAGGAUAGAGGUAUCCAAGCCUUCUUUGGUCAAAGGUUUUAUUCCUACUUGGAUUAAACCAAUGUGAAUAUAUUUGAAAUCUUUUCUUUUAAUUUCUUUAAAGAUUUUUCUGAAAACAAAUAAAUUGUUUCAAAAGGCUCCGAAAGAGUUAUGUCUCUUUCUUCAGUUUUUAUAAUAUAAUCAUGUUUUAAAAGAUCAAGCAUUUUUGUUUUGUAAAUCUUUUCUUUGGAAAUUUUUGGAAGUUCCCAACAAUCAAUUGCUUUAUCAAAGUUUUCAAUAACGAAUUCUUCUGAACUCACAACAUGCUUUGAAUCACUAGUCUUCCCGGAAGAAGAGCUAGAAAAGGACGAUGUUCUACAGUGUAGAGGGUUCAUGGGUAAAAACCUAUGAUCUAUUAGUGGUUUUGAAAGAAUGGCUACAGGUAUGGUUUUACAGCCCUAAACGGAAAACUUAUCCUUAGACGGGACUUACUACCAGUAAAAAUUCACCACAAAAACAAAACUUCAAAAUAAAACACAAGUUUUCAAAACACAAACUCUAAACUGCUUUACACAAUCCUCCCUUGGCUCUGAUACCAGAAGGAAAUAGAUCGAAGGAUGGGUGUGUAUUGAAGAUGCUUCUUUAUUGAUUGCUUUAAUGAAAUAAUUGGAUCGCGGUUGUUCAGAUUUUAUAUAAGAUUACCAGCUUUAGAUUAAGUAGAUUUGUUUUAGAGCAUACAAUGAUCAAACAAAUUUGAACGCGGUUGGUCAAAUUUUUAGAAUAUUUAAAGUACGUGGCGUUGUAGACCAGAUCGAUCGCAGAAGUUAAUCUGCCUUUGGACCCAGAUCUGACUUAGAACAGAUCAAUAGUCCGCACGUUCGGGUUUCCAGCCUAUAUACUUUAAUAUAUUUACCAGAUAAAAUUAAGUUGCUUUAAACGUGGUUGUUUCUUUUUAUUGGGCUAAUUCCAGAUUUAAAUUAGAUUCUUUAAGGGGCUUGGGUACAUACACAGUACCAGAUCCGGAUCCCGGAAAUGGUGCUCUGAAGGAAUGGAGGAAGAAGAGAAGAUUUACAACUGAGGAUCGAGAUCCGGUCUCUUUGCCUCAGAGGAACGUACAAAUUUUAUGGCAGAUCUGAUAAAGACCAGUCUGCUUUGCAUGCUUUGAAAAGAAAAUUGCUUUAAAAAUAAAUUGCUUUAAUGUAAAUAUGCAUGAAAUUAAAUUGCAGAAAAGUAAAUUGCGAAAAUUUAAAUUACAUCGAAAUUAAAUAACUGAAAUUUAAACAUACAUCUUUGCUUUGAUAGUCUUGGUCUUUACAAUUUUCAAAUCUUUCCUGAAGGGAAGAUUGAAAGACGGGAAGAUUACAAGACAGGAAUGGUUUCCUUGAUGUCUUGGACUGUUCAUCAAAUUUGACCACCAUUUGACUUUAAAGGUUCUUUGAAGGAUGACUUGGGAAUCUUGAGUAUGAAAACGGAGGUUCCACAUCCAGACCCAUGGUAGGAAGAAGUUUGUACAAAAACAGAGAAAGGGGGGGAAAUCUUUUCUCUGAGUCAGAGGGCAUAUAGUGGGCUUUAAAGAGGUUUAGGCAAUUUAUGGCAUUUGGAGUGAGGAUUUGAGGUAUUGGGCCAAAGAAAUUCCACCAAUGAUGGAACCAGUUUGGAAGGCUUUGGACGGUUAUUUUAGGGUUAAAGAAAAAUAACCAAGAAUGGGAUUUUUUAGGGUUUUGAAUAAAAAAGGUGUUAUACCAUGCUUGUUGGUAAUCCCAGUAGGAGAAAGUCCGACAAUGUGGUAAACGGGUUUCAAAGUUUAAAGGAAAGGUUUUGAAAUUGUGGAGUAGGUCGCCCCACUGGUUCGGGCUCAAAACUUUUAGAAUCGUGGCCGUGGAAUAGGCCGGUUCAGAAUGGGUUUUAUCAAGAAAGAAAUGUUUGAAUUUAACUGAUUCAGUUAUUUCUAAAAUGCUUUGAUAAUAAGACUGGGGUUUUGUCAAAUCCCAUGGUUUGAAAAACCAGCCUUUGGGAAAAAACUUUGAAAUGCUUUGAAAAGGAUCAGUAUGGUAAAAUCCAUCUUCCAUAGAAAGAAUAUUUUGAAAAUGGGUUUUAUCAAACCAAUCGGAGGUUUUCUUUGAAGGUGUUGGCUGAGAAAGCACAAUUUGGGAAGAUGAGCUUUCGGCAGAGACAACAACAUUUUGAGAGGAGGGUUUUGUAAUUUCUUUAGAUGUGGAUAUGCUCUUAAUUUCUUUUUGAGGAGAAUUUUGGCUCUGGGAAAGGUUUUGUAGAGCGAGCAUGAGCUCGGGAGAUUUUGUAAUGGAACUCAUCCAAUGCUUUAUUUGAUCAUCAGAAGAGAUGGGUUUGUAUUGGGCUUCAUGUUCUUCAACCAAUUCAAUCCAUGAUUUGAUGGGUAGGGCAGAAGAAAGUAAUUUUUCUUAGAAGGGGUUGACUGGGGUUCUUUGGAAGGUUCUUGAGAUCCGGAACUUUUGAGAACAGCUUUACCUUUGUCUUUCUUUAGCGGCAUUAUCUGUUUUGAAGAAAUUCUCUGGUUAGAAAAUCAGGAACAGAAUUUUAUCACCUUUAAUGAAUUCUAUAUCAAAUCAAAAACACUCAAAAUAGCUUGCCAACGUGCAAAAAUUUGUUUUGAUGCAAUGUUUUGAACAUCCUUUUCUAAAACAUGUUUUGCAGCUUUGCAAUCAAUUCUAAGUAAAAAUUUUUGAUUUAAUAAAUCACUUUGAAAUUUUGUAAUGCAUAAAACAAUGGAAAGAAUUUCUUUUUUAAUAGUAGAAUAAUUUUUCUGACAAUCAUUCCAAUGUGCAGAAACAUAUUGUACUAUCUGUUCUCUAUCAUUUUCUUUUUGUUUUAAUAUACCUCCAUAUCCUAAAUCAGAUGCAUCAGUUUCAACAAUUUUAGGGAAUGCAGGAUUUGCAAGAUAUAGACAUGGGAUGCUUUUAACAGAACUCUUUAUUAAUUUAACAGCUUUAGUAUGUUCAUCUGUCCAUGGAGCAGGUUUUUUUUUAAACGAUCAUGCAAAGGUUUAGACAACCUAUUGAUAUUGGGACAGAAAUCAAGAACAUAAUUUAGGCUACCAAGAAAUCUUUGUAAUUGAGUUUUGUCAAGGAUUUUAUCAGGGAAUUUAUCAGCAAAAAAAGUGAUCUUUCAAUAGGGGUGAUUGUUCCUUUUGAAAUAUAGUGACCAAGAAAUCUGAUUUUCGUUUGAAAUAAUGAAAUCUUUGAACUAGAAAGGGCUAGUCCAGCCUUUUUUGUAGCAAAAUAAAAAGUCUUUAAAUGUUUGAAAUGUUGAUCGAUUGAAUUUGAAAAUAUCAAAACAUCAUCAAUAUAAACAAUGCAAAAAUCAGAAUAAGGAUUAUAAAUAUCAUUCAUAAUUCUUUGAAAUUCUGAGGGUGCAUUCUUUAAACCAAAGGGCAUAACAGUCCAUUCGUAUUGUCCAAAUGGAACAGUGAAAGCGGUUUUGUAACGGUCAUUUGGAUGAAUUUGAAUUUGCCAAAAACCCGAUUUCAUGUCGAAUUUUGAAAAAAUAAAGGCAGAACAGAGUUUUUGGAGUAAAUCUUUUUUAUUAGGUAUAGGAUACCUAAUCCAUUUUAAAGCUUUAUUCAAAGGUUUGUAGUUUAUAACUAGUCUUGGAGUGCCUCUUUCAAUUUCGGAGUUUUUGUUAACAUAAAAAGCAGCACAAGACCAAGGAGACCUGGAUUUUACAAUGAGUCCUUUAGACUCCAAGUCUUUGAUUUCAUUUUUACAAUGUUUUUCUAAAUCCAUAUUCAUUUGAAUUGGACGAGCUUUGGUCGGAAUCUGUUUUUCAUCAAAAGAAUUUUCAUAAGGCAGGUCUACUAAAUGUUGUUUUCUAUUCCAAAAAGCAGAAGGUAGAUCAGCACAAAUUUCUUUUUCAAUAAGAGUUUUGAAAUCAGAAAUUUUUCUUUUAAUGAAAUCACUUUGUAAUUGGCUUUCAACUCUUUGUAAGUUCAAAUCUUUUUGUAAAAACAUUAGAUCACACUGUUUUGAUUUAAGUAAAUUGUUUAUUCUAUUUUGAUAAAUAGAACAGGCUUUAACAAUAUUUAAAUUUCUUGUUUUAGGUUUUCAAUAAAAGGGAAAACAAGUUUCUUGUUUUUUGCUUUGAAAGAUAUACUAUCAUAAUUGACAGUAUACGGAGUUAUGAGAUUUAUAAAAGGAGUUCCCAAAAUAAUGGCAUGAUGAAUAUCAUUUGUGAGAACAAAGGAAGUUUUAAAAUCAAAACCAUCAUUAUAGAUCGAGGCUUCAACCUUGGAACUGACAUUCAAUUUUGAAUUAUUGGCGGCAGAAAGCCUUUCUUUUGUUUUUUCAUGAAAUCUUUUGGGGACGAUAUCUUCUCUAAUGCAAUUUAAAUCGGCGCCAGUAUCAAAAAGGGCAAUGGCGUCCAUCGCAAAAUCAUCAGAAAAGAUUAGAGUGACUUUAAUCAAAUACUUUCUUGUGGUGAUUUGUUUUAGAACAAAUAGAAAAUCAUUGGGUACAGACUCAAUAUUUUUCUACUUUAAUAUCAUCACCAUCAAUAUCAGGACUGGAUUCAUUGUCUGAAUUAUCCUGUAAUUGCUUUUGUAAAAGAAGUUGAAUAAUAUCAGAAUCACUUUUUUGUUUUUCUUUUAAAUCUCUGAUUUCACUUUUGAUUUCUUUUAUCUCUUUCUGAAGAUCUUGGAUAUUAGGAAUCAUCUUUUUUGUUUUCUUCUUAUCCAAAAUUUGAGUAAGAUCAUAAGAAUUCUUUUUAAUAAUUGGGACUCUAGAAGUCUCGGCUUUAUUAAAAUCCAAUGUUUUCAAAAGUUUAUCAAGGUAUUCCUUUUGAAGAUUUGGAUCAGAAAUAUGCUUUACAAGUUCAAGAAAAGUUUCUUGGUCUUUAGUCAAAACAUUGAUUUUCUUUAAAAAUGAAUCAGAUUCAGAAUCACUACUGCUAGAUGCAGAGUCAUCUGAGUCAAAAAGCUCAUCAACUUGGUAAGGGUCACUGUCUCCCGACAUGGAAGACUCAGAAUCAGAAGAUUCGACAAGAAGAGGGGCUAUUUUAGAAAGGAUGUCCUCAUUGAGGUCAAGUUCUUGGAGUCUUUUGUUCAUUCUGCAAAAUUUUGCAGUAUGACCUUUCAUACCACAUUUGAAACAUGUGGCCUCCUUGAAGUUGAAUGGGGUAUUAGGUUUGGCUUUGAAAUCUUUCUUUUUAGAGAAACUAUGUCUCUUAUAAGGCUUCGAAGGUUUCUUAUAAGGAAGUUUUCUAAAAUCACGGAAGGGUUUUCUAAAAUGUUUAGAUUUGUAAUGUUUCUUACGAGGUUUUGUAGAACACUCUCCAUUACAAUCUUUGGAAGUUUUAAAGGGGUCAUAAUUGAAUUGCUUACAGAAACCGCCUAAUUCCUGUUUAGACUUCUUAAGCUCCCACUUAAGACGUUUCUGUAAUUUCAAAUCUUGACAAAUCUUUAAACCUUCUUUGUUGACAAAACUGACUAGUUCACCAUAGGUGAGCUCGUCAUAAGGAAUACGGUUAUCGUAAAGGGCUUUGAUGGAAUUUCUUACCUUUUCACCUAAAAGGGUAGGUAAUCCAGCAAGAAAUUUUUCUUUCCAAGUAAUAUGAUUUGCAUCAUCCCUUAGAAAUAGUCUGGUAAGGAAAGAGGUUUUGUAACUCUGAAAUUCACUAAGUUUUCUACAUCUCAAAUUAUGUAGUAACUCAGCGUUUUUAUCACGAAGGUGAGAAGGGUCACCGAUGAAAUGGAGGGAAAUGGUUUAGAAUAAGAGUAGCAACAGCAUCCUGGAUAGGGUUGUUGAACUCAUCAAGAAUAGAGGCUCCAUUUUCAUCUUUUUGGACGGAAUUUAGAAUGUCAAAUUGUUGCUGAUUAGUGAGAAGAUGAUCCACCAACCUUUUAGUUGACCAGUAAAACCAGCAAUUAGGAUUUCCGAUAUGGCACGAUCAGAAGUUCCUGCUUGGGUUUUAUAAGCAUUAGCUGCCAUUGUCAUUUGUUGCAACAAUCCAAGGAUAUUGUACUCAGACAUGCCGUCAAUAUUCCACUCAUAGACUGAAGAUGCAUUAUAACGGGAUUGAUUUAAUGCACUAGGUCUAUUAUCUAUUGCUAGAUCUGGUGGGGUCUUGACAGUGGGAAGGGCUAAUUCCCAGUGGAUUUUGUUGGCUUUAGGAGUAGAAGGUUCUUUUUGAAAGCUUCUAAGUCAGAAGAGGCUAUAGAACUCUGGUCAUCUAGAUCCAAUACUCCAAUCUUGCUAGAUUGGGGGGUAUCGGGGGCUAUCUGGAGUUUGCUAGACGAGGAAGAAGCAGCUUCUAUCCUCUCUAGUUGUUCUCUAAUGGCUUUAGCAAAAUCUGAUUUUGACUCUUGAACAAGCCUUUGGCUAGUUUUCGAAACCUGAAAAGGUUUGAAAAUAGGUUCCUUAAGCUUUUUGUCAGAAUCCGAUUUUGAAGGAAUAGACAUAGGAAUAGGAGAAACAGAUAUAGGAGAUUUUUGAAAUUGGUUUUCUAUACGAGCCAAUUGCUUUCCAAUUGUAUUUAAGUUAGUAUUACAGAAAUUAUUCUGUUGUAUAAUACUACUUAAAUUCGCAUCAGAAUCAUUUGGUCUUGGGAUUUUGUAAGGGGAUGCUUUAAUCUCAAUAGGAGGUUCACCAUGAUCUAUGGUUAUACUCCUAAGAGGUGGAUGAUCAGACUCUAUAAUCCUAUCAUUAUCAGAAAGUUUCCAUUCAGGAAUUUUCUUUCUAAUAGUUAUAGGGUUUGACUCUUUAAAAGGAUAAUCAAUAUUGUUCUCAGAAGAAUAUAUUUCGAACCAAUCAAAAAACAAUAUAUGAACUUUAUGAAAAUUCACAAAUUCAUAAUAAGUUGUUGGAUUUCUUUUCUUUGGUUUAAAAAAUGUUUAAAAAACCAAGUUCUUUUUUCUUUAUUUAUUUCUGAAUAAAAAUCGUUAUGCAGAAAGGCUUUAUCUAAUUCAAAUUCUUUUUCAAUGACAUUAAUGACAUUUUCUGUGACAGCAGAAAACGUAGGAGAUGUUGGAGGAGAAGGUUUCUCUUCCUGUCUUUGCACAUGUUGACUACUAGUGUAUAUAGGAUGAGGAACACUUGUGGCAUAGUCAACGGAACGGAUGGAGGAGCUAGGUAUAUCCGAAGUGGAAAACCUAGGUUGGCUCUGAUAUGGGAGAUUUAUAACAGAAGGUACUUUUGUAAACUUCCUUUCUAGUGAAGGAAUGCUUGGGCUCGAUUCUUUUUCAGAAAAUCUAUGUGAGGUAGACCUUCUGAAUGAUAGUUUGACUUUACCAUCGGAAUACUGGGUCACAUUUUGUAACUCUGUAUUUGGCUCAAGUUGUUUCGGAAUCGCCGGUGGGGCGGCUCCUUCGAGGAUCCAUUCAUCUGGAAGAUGGAUAUCUUUCCAUUGGAUCGAUUUUGGAAUGACCAUGUUGGCUUAGACAAAUCAGUCUGCAAGAGAAGGGUCUCAUCUCUCUUCGACUGGUAUUUAUGCUGUGUGCUAAAUGCAGAAAUCAUGGCUUUAUAGGAAAUUUUAAAAAAUUAAUGCAACUGGGAUGGAUCCCUUAAUCAUGUGAUAAUUAUGGGUUUGGAUUUGUAAAAUCAUGCUCUUUAAAAUAUUUUUGUCUUUAAGAGAAAUUGUUAUAUUUGGAUAACAACAAAAGAUAUGGGACCUUUACAUAGACUAGAUUCGAUACUACUUAGUAAAGAAUCAUCAAAAGAGAUGAAUCGCCCAUCUCUAAGAACAGCAAGGAUAGAGGUAUCCAAGCCUUCUUUGGUCAAAGGUUUUAUUCCUACUUGGAUUAAACCAAUGUGAAUAUAUUUGAAAUUUCUUUUAAUUUCUUUAAAGAUUUUUCUGAAAACAAAUAAAUUGUUUCAAAAGGCUCCGAAAGAGUUAUGUCUCUUUCUUCAGUUUUUAUAAUAUAAUCAUGUUUUAAAAGAUCAAGCAUUUUUUGUUUUGUAAAUCUUUUCUUUGGAAAUUUUUGGAAGUUCCCAACAAUCAAUUGCUUUAUCAAAGUUUCAAUAACGAAUUCUUCUGAACUCACAACAUGCUUUGAAUCACUAGUCUUCCCGGAAGAAGAGCUAGAAAAGGACGAUGUUCUACAGUGUAGAGGGUUCAUGGGUAAAAACCUAUGAUCUAUUUAGUGGUUUUGAAAGAAUGGCUACAGGUAUGGUUUUACAGCCCUAAACGGAAAACUUAUCCUUAGACGGGACUUACUACCAGUAAAAAUUCACCACAAAAACAAAACUUCAAAAUAAAACAAGUUUUCAAAACACAAAACUCUAAACUGCUUUACACAAUCCUCCCCUUGGCUCUGAUACCAGAAGGAAAUAGAAUCGAAGGAUGGGUGUGUAUUGAAGAUGCUUCUUUAUUGAUUGCUUUAAUGAAAUAAUUGGAUCGCGGUUGUUCAGAUUUUAUAUAAGAUUACCAGCUUUAGAUUAAGUAGAUUUGUUUUAGAGCAUACAAUGAUCAAACAAAUUUGAACGCGGUUGGUCAAAUUUUUAGAAUAUUUAAAGUACGUGGCGUUGUUAGACCAGAUCGAUCGCAGAAGUUAAUCUGCCUUUGGACCCAGAUCUGACUUAGAACAGAUCAAUAGUCCGCACGUUCGGGUUUCCAGCCUAUAUACUUUAAUAUAUUUACCAGAUAAAAUUAAGUUGCUUUAAACGUGGUUGUUUCUUUUUAUUGGGCUAAUUCCAGAUUUAAAUUAGAUUCUUUAAGGGGCUUGGGUACAUACACAGUACCAGAUCCGGAUCCCGGAAAUGGUGCUCUGAAGGAAUGGAGGAAGAAGAGAAGAUUUACAACUGAGGAUCGAGAUCCGGUCUCUUUGCCUCAGAGGAACGUACAAAUUUUAUGGCAGAUCUGAUAAAGACCAGUCUGCUUUGCAUGCUUUGAAAAGAAAAUUGCUUUAAAAUAAAUUGCUUUAAUGUAAAUAUGCAUGAAAUUAAAAUUGCAGAAAAGUAAAUUGCGAAAAUUAAAUUACAUCGAAAUUAAAUAACUGAAAUUUAAACAUACAUCUUUGCUUUGAUAGUCUUGGUCUUUACAAUUUUCAAAUCUUUCCUGAAGGGAAGAUUGAAAGACGGGAAGAUUACAAGACAGGAAUGGUUUCCUUGAUGUCUUGGACUGUUCAAAUUUUGACCACCAUUUGACUUUAAAGGUUCUUUGAAGGAUGACUUGGAAUCUUGAGUAUGAAAACGGAGGUUCCACAUCCAGACCCAUGGUAGGAAGAAGUUUGUACAAAAACAGAGAAAGGGGGGAAAUCUUUUCUCUGAGUCAGAGGGCAUAUAGUGGGCUUUAAAGAGGUUUAGGCAAUUUAUGGCAUUUGGAGUGAGGAUUGAGGUAUUGGGCCAAAGAAAUUCCACCAAUGAUGGAACCAGUUUGGAAGGCUUUGGACGGUUAUUUUAGGGUUAAAGAAAAAUAACCAAGAAUGGGAUUUUUUAGGGUUUGAAUAAAAAAGGUGUUAUACCAUGCUUGUUGGUAAUCCCAGUAGGAGAAAGUCCGACAAUGUGGUAAAACGGGUUUCAAAGUUUAAAGGAAAGGUUUUGAAAUUGUGGAGUAGGUCGCCCCACUGGUUCGGGCUCAAAACUUUUAGAAUCGUGGCCGUGGAAUAGGCCGGUUCAGAAUGGGUUUUAUCAAGAAAGAAAUGUUUGAAUUUAACUGAUUCAGUUAUUUCUAAAAUGCUUUGAUAAUAAGACUGGGGUUUUGUCAAAUCCCAUGGUUUGAAAAACCAGCCUUUGGGAAAAAACUUUGAAAUGCUUUGAAAAGGAUCAGUAUGGAAAAUCCAUCUUCCAUAGAAAGAAUAUUUUGAAAAUGGGUUUUAUCAAACCAAUCGGAGGUUUUCUUGAAGGUGUUGGCUGAGAAAGCACAAUUUGGGAAGAUGAGCUUUCGGCAGAGACAACAACAUUUUGAGAGGAGGGUUUUGUAAUUUCUUUAGAUGUGGAUAUGCUCUUAAUUUCUUUUUGAGGAGAAUUUUGGCUCUGGGAAAGGUUUUGUAGAGCGAGCAUGAGCUCGGGAGAUUUUGUAAUGGAACUCAUCCAAUGCUUUAUUUGAUCAUCAGAAGAGAUGGGUUUGUAUUGGGCUUCAUGUUCUUCAACCAAUUCAAUCCAUGAUUUGAUGGGUAGGGCAGAAGAAAGUAAUUUUUCUUUAGAAGGGGUUGACUGGGUUCUUUGGAAGGUUCUUGAGAUCCGGAACUUUUGAGAACAGCUUUACCUUUGUCUUUCUUUAGCGGCAUUAUCUGUUUUGAAGAAAUUCUCUGGUUAGAAAAUCAGGAACAGAAUUUUUAUCACCUUUAAUGAAUUCUAUAUCAAAAUCAAAAACACUCAAAAAUAGCUUGCCAACGUGCAAAAAUUUGUUUUGAUGCAAUGUUUUGAACAUCCUUUUCUAAAACAUGUUUUGCAGCUUUGCAAUCAAUUCUAAGUAAAAAUUUUUGAUUUAAUAAAUCACUUUGAAAUUUUGUAAUGCAUAAAACAAUGGAAAGAAUUUCUUUUUUAAUAGUAGAAUAAUUUUUCUGACAAUCAUUCCAAUGUGCAGAAACAUAUUGUACUAUCUGUUCUCUAUCAUUUUCUUUUUGUUUUAAUAUACCUCCAUAUCCUAAAUCAGAUGCAUCAGUUUCAACAAUUUUAGGGAAUGCAGGGUUUGCAAGAUAUAGACAUGGGAUGCUUUUAACAGAACUCUUUAUUAAUUUAACAGCUUUAGUAUGUUCAUCUGUCCAUGGAGCAGGUUUUUUCUUUAAACGAUCAUGCAAAGGUUUAGACAACCUAUUGAUAUUGGGACAGAAAUCAAGAACAUAAAUUUAGGCUACCAAGAAAUCUUUGUAAUUGAGUUUUGUCAAGGAUUUUAUCAGGAAUUUAUCAGCAAAUAAAAGUGAUCUUUCAAUAGGGGUGAUUGUUCCUUUUGAAAUAUAGUGACCAAGAAAUCUGAUUUUCGUUUGAAAUAAUGAAAUCUUUGAACUAGAAAGGGCUAGUCCAGCCUUUUUUGUAGCAAAAUAAAAAGUCUUUAAAUGUUUGAAAUGUUGAUCGAUUGAAUUUGAAAAUAUCAAAACAUCAAUAUAAACAAUGCAAAAAUCAGAAUAAGGAUUAUAAAUAUCAUUCAUAAUUCUUUGAAAUUCUGAGGGUGCAUUCUUUAAACCAAAGGGCAUAACAGUCCAUUCGUAUUGUCCAAAUGGAACAGUGAAAGCGGUUUGUAACGGUCAUUUGGAUGAAUUUGAAUUUGCCAAAACCCGAUUUCAUGUCGAAUUUUUGAAAAAAUAAAGGCAGAACAGAGUUUUUGGAGUAAAUCUUUUUUAUUAGGUAUAGGAUACCUAAUCCAUUUUAAAGCUUUAUUCAAAGGUUUGUAGUUUAUAACUAGUCUUGGAGUGCCUCUUUCAAUUUCGGAGUUUUUGUUAACAUAAAAAGCAGCACAAGACCAAGGAGACCUGGAUUUACAAUGAGUCCUUUAGACUCCAAGUCUUUGAUUUCAUUUUUUACAAUGUUUUUCUAAAUCCAUAUUCAUUUGAAUUGGACGAGCUUUGGUCGGAAUCUGUUUUUCAAAAAGAAUUUUCAUAAGGCAGGUCUACUAAAUGUUGUUUUUAUUCCAAAAAGCAGAAGGUAGAUCAGCACAAAUUUCUUUUUCAAUAAGAGUUUUGAAAUCAGAAAUUUUUCUUUUUAAUGAAAUCACUUUGUAAUUGGCUUUCAACUCUUUGUAAGUUCAAAUCUUUUUGUAAAAACAUUAGAUCACACUGUUUUGAUUUAAGUAAAUUGUUUAUUCUAUUUUGAUAAAUAGAACAGGCUUUAACAAUAUUNNNNNNNNNNNNNNNNNNNNNNNNNNNNNNNNNNNNNNNNNNNNNNNNNNNNNNNNNNNNNNNNNNNNNNNNNNNNNNNNNNNNNNNNNNNNNNNNNNNNNNNNNNNNNNNNNNNNNNNNNNNNNNNNNNNNNNNNNNNNNNNNNNNNNNNNNNNNNNNNNNNNNNNNNNNNNNNNNNNNNNNNNNNNNNNNNNNNNNNNNNNNNNNNNNNNNNNNNNNNNNNNNNNNNNNNNNNNNNNNNNNNNNNNNNNNNNNNNNNNNNNNNNNNNNNNNNNNNNNNNNNNNNNNNNNNNNNNNNNNNNNNNNNNNNNNNNNNNNNNNNNNNNNNNNNNNNNNNNNNNNNNNNNNNNNNNNNNNNNNNNNNNNNNNNNNNNNNNNNNNNNNNNNNNNNNNNNNNNNNNNNNNNNNNNNNNNNNNNNNNNNNNNNNNNNNNNNNNNNNNNNNNNNNNNNNNNNNNNNNNNNNNNNNNNNNNNNNNNNNNNNNNNNNNNNNNNNNNNNNNNNNNNNNNNNNNNNNNNNNNNNNNNNNNNNNNNNNNNNNNNNNNNNNNNNNNNNNNNNNNNNNNNNNNNNNNNNNNNNNNNNNNNNNNNNNNNNNNNNNNNNNNNNNNNNNNNNNNNNNNNNNNNUUUUACAAUGUUUUCUAAAUCCAUAUUCAUUUGAAUUGGACGAGCUUUGGUCGGAAUCUGUUUUUCAUCAAAAGAAUUUUCAUAAGGCAGGUCUACUAAAUGUGUUUUCUAUUCCAAAAAGCAGAAGGUAGAUCAGCACAAAUUUCUUUUUCAAUAAGAGUUUUGAAAUCAGAAAUUUUUCUUUUAAUGAAAUCACUUUGUAAUUGGCUUUCAACUCUUUGUAAGUUCAAAUCUUUUUGUAAAACAUUAGAUCACACUGUUUUGAUUUAAGUAAAUUGUUUAUUCUAUUUUGAUAAAUAGAACAGGCUUUAACAAUAUUUAAAUUUCUUGUUUUAGGUUUUUCAAUAAAAGGGAAAACAAGUUUCUUGUUUUUUGCUUUGAAAGAUAUACUAUCAUAAUUGACAGUAUACGGAGUUAUGAGAUUUAUAAAAGGAGUUCCCAAAAUAAUGGCAUGAUGAAUAUCAUUUGUGAGAACAAAGGAAGUUUUAAAAUCAAAACCAUCAUUAUAGAUCGAGGCUUCAACCUUGGAACUGACAUUCAAUUUUUGAAUUAUUGGCGGCAGAAAGCCUUUCUUUUGUUUUUUCAUGAAAUCUUUUGGGGACGAUAUCUUCUCUAAUGCAAUUUAAAUCGGCGCCAGUAUCAAAAAGGGCAAUGGCGUCCAUCGCAAAAUCAUCAGAAAAGAUUAGAGUGACUUUAAUCAAAUACUUUCUUGUGGUGAUUUGUUUUAGAACAAAUAGAAAAUCAUUGGGUACAGACUCAAUAUUUUCUACUUUAAUAUCAUCACCAUCAAUAUCAGGACUGGAUUCAUUGUCUGAAUUAUCCUGUAAUUGCUUUUGUAAAAGAAGUUGAAUAAUAUCAGAAUCACUUUUUGUUUUUCUUUUAAAUCUCUGAUUUCACUUUUGAUUUCUUUUAUCUCUUUCUGAAGAUCUUGGAUAUUAGGAAUCAUCUUUUUUGUUUUCUUCUUAUCCAAAAUUUGAGUAAGAUCAUAAGAAUUCUUUUUAAUAAUUGGGACUCUAGAAGUCUCGGCUUUAUUAAAAUCCAAUUUUCAAAAGUUUAUCAAGGUAUUCCUUUUGAAGAUUUGGAUCAGAAAUAUGCUUUACAAGUUCAAGAAAAGUUUCUUGGUCUUUAGUCAAAACAUUGAUUUUCUUUAAAAAUGAAUCAGAUUCAGAAUCACUACUGCUAGAUGCAGAGUCAUCUGAGUCAAAAAGCUCAUCAACUUGGUAAGGGUCACUGUCUCCUGACAUGGAAGACUCAGAAUCAGAAGAUUCGACAAGAAGAGGGGCUAUUUUAGAAAGGAUGUCCUCAUUGAGGUCAAGUUCUUGGAGUCUUUUGUUCAUUCUGCAAAAUUUUGCAGUAUGACCUUUCAUACCACAUUUGAAACAUGUGGCCUCCUUGAAGUUGAAUGGGGUAUUAGGUUUGGCUUUGAAAUCUUUCUUUUUUAGAGAAACUAUGUCUCUUAUAAGGCUUCGAAGGUUUCUUAUAAGGAAGUUUUCUAAAAUCACGGAAGGGUUUUCUAAAAUGUUUAGAUUUGUAAUGUUUCUUACGAGGUUUUGUAGAACACUCUCCAUUACAAUCUUUGGAAGUUUUAAAGGGGUCAUAAUUGAAUUGCUUACAGAAACCGCCUAAUUCCUGUUUAGACUUCUUAAGCUCCCACUUAAGACGUUUCUGUAAUUUCAAAUCUUGACAAAUCUUUAAACCUUCUUUGUUGACAAAACUGACUAGUUCACCAUAGGUGAGCUCGUCAUAAGGAAUACGGUUAUCGUAAAGGGCUUUGAUGGAAUUUCUUACCUUUUCACCUAAAAAGGUAGGUAAUCCAGCAAGAAAUUUUUCUUUCCAAGUAAUAUGAUUUGCAUCAUCCCUUAGAAAUAGUCUGGUAAGGAAAGAGGUUUUGUAACUCUGAAAUUCACUAAGUUUUCUACAUCUCAAAUUAUGUAGUAACUCAGCGUUUUUAUCACGAAGGUGAGAAGGGUCACCGAUGAAAUGGAGGGAAAUGGUUAGAAUAAGAGUAGCAACAGCAUCCUGGAUAGGGUUGUUGAACUCAUCAAGAAUAGAGGCUCCAUUUUCAUCUUUUUGACGGAAUUUAGAAUGUCAAAUUGUUGCUGAUUAGUGAGAAGAUGAUCCCACCAACUUUUAGUUGACCAGUAAAACAGCAAUUAGGAUUUCCGAUAUGCACGAUCAGAAGUUCCUGCUUGGUUUUAUAAGCAUUAGCUGCCAUUGUCAUUUGUUGCAACAAUCCAAGGAUAUUGUACUCAGACAUGCCGUCAAUAUUCCACUCAUAGACUGAAGAUGCAUUAUAACGGGAUUGAUUUAAUGCACUAGGUCUAUUAUCUAUUGCUAGAUCUGGUGGGGUCUUGACAGUGGGAAGGGCUAAUUCCCAGUGGAUUUUGUUGGCUUUAGGAGUUAGAAGGUUCUUCUUUGAAAGCUUCUAAGUCAGAAGAGGCUAUAGAACUCUGGUCAUCUAGAUCCAAUACUCCAAUCUUGCUAGAUUGGGGGGUAUCGGGGGCUAUCUGGAGUUUGCUAGACGAGGAAGAAGCAGCUUCUAUCCUCUCUAGUUGUUCUCUAAUGGCUUUAGCAAAAUCUGAUUUUGACUCUUGAACAAGCCUUUGGCUAGUUUUCGAAACCUGAAAAGGUUUUGAAAAUAGGUUCCUUAAGCUUUUUGUCAGAAUCCGAUUUUGAAGGAAUAGACAUAGGAAUAGGAGAAACAGAAUAUAGAGAUUUUUGAAAUGGUUUUCUAUACGAGCCAAUUGCUUUCCAAUUGUAUUUAAGUUAGUAUUACAGAAAUUAUUCUGUUGUAUAAUACUACUUAAAUUCGCAUCAGAAUCAUUUGGUCUUGGAUUUUGUAAGGGGAUGCUUUAAUCUCAAUAGGAGGUUCACCAUGAUCUAUGGUUAUACUCCUAAGAGGUGGAUGAUCAGACUCUAUAAUCCUAUCAUUAUCAGAAAGUUUCCAUUCAGGAAUUUUCUUUCUAAUAGUUAUAGGGUUUGACUCUUUAAAAGGAUAAUCAAUAUUGUUCUCAGAAGAAUAUAUUUCGAACCAAUCAAAAAACAAUAUAUGAACUUUAUGAAAAUUCACAAAUUCAUAAUAAGUUUGUUGGAUUCUUUUUCUUGGUUUAAAAAUGUUUAAAAAACCAAGUUCUUUUUUCUUUAUUUAUUUCUGAAUAAAAAUCGUUAUGCAGAAAGGCUUUAUCUAAUUCAAAUUCUUUUUCAAUGACAUUAAUGACAUUUUCUGUGACAGCAGAAAACGUAGGAGAUGUUGGAGGAGAAGGUUCCUUCUCUUUCUGUCUUUGCACAUGUUGACUACUAGUGUAUAUAGGAUGAGGAACACUUGUGGCAUAGUCAACGGAACGGAUGGAGGAGCUAGGUAUAUCCGAAGUGGAAAACCUAGGUUGGCUCUGAUAUGGGAGAUUUAUAACAGAAGGUACUUUUGUAAACUUCCUUUCUAGUGAAGGAAUGCUUGGGCUCGAUUCUUUUUCAGAAAAUCUAUGUGAGGUAGACCUUCUGAAUGAUAGUUUGACUUUACCAUCGGAAUACUGGGUCACAUUUUGUAACUCUGUAUUUGGCUCAAGUUGUUUCGGAAUCGCCGGUGGGGCGGCUCCUUCGAGGAUCCAUUCAUCUGGAAGAUGGAUAUCUUUCCAUUGGAUCGAUUUUGGAAUGACCAUGUUGGCUUUAGACAAAUCAGUCUGCAAGAGAAGGGUCUCAUCUCUCUUCGACUGGUAUUUAUGCUGUGUGCUAAAUGCAGAAAUCAAUCGGCUUUAUAGGAAAUUUUAAAAUUAAUGCAACUGGGAUGGAUCCCUUAAUCAUGUGAUAAUUAUGGGUUUGGAUUUGUAAAAUCAUGCUCUUUAAAAUAUUUUUGUCUUUAAGAGAAAUUGUUAUAUUUGGAUAACAAUCAAAAGAUAUGGGACCUUUACAUAGACUAGAUUCGAUACUACUUAGUAAAGAAUCAUCAAAAGAGAUGAAUCGCCCAUCUCUAAGAACAGCAAGGAUAGAGGUAUCCAAGCCUUCUUUGGUCAAAGGUUUUAUUCCUACUUGGAUUAAACCAAUGUGAAUAUAUUUGAAAUUCUUUUCUUUUAAUUUCUUUAAAGAUUUUUCUGAAAACAAAUAAAUUGUUUCAAAAGGCUCCGAAAGAGUUAUGUCUCUUUCUUCAGUUUUUAUAAUAUAUCAUGUUUUAAAAGAUCAAGCAUUUUUGUUUUGUAAAUCUUUUCUUUGGAAAUUUUUGGAAGUUCCCAACAAUCAAUUGCUUUAUCAAAGUUUUUCAAUAACGAAUUCUUUCUGAACUCACAACAUGCUUUGAAUCACUAGUCUUCCCGGGAAGAAGAGCUAGAAAAGGACGAUGUUCUACAGUGUAGAGGGUUCAUGGGUAAAAAACCUAUGAUCUAUUUAGUGGUUUUGAAAGAAUGGCUACAGGUAUGGUUUUACAGCCCUAAACGGAAAACUAUCCUUAGACGGGACUUACUGUUGAGUGUUAGAAAAUGCAUAUUUAUAAAGGAGAAAACCGUCAUUUUACAUUCAAGUCUUACUAACAACCCUUACUUUUAUGUAUUUAACCUUCUUGUGAUGUAAUUACGUGUGUGUUAUUUUAAUUAAGUAUUUUAUGUAUUUUAGGGGCAUUAUAGUCAUUUCACAAUAAAGGAGAGAUCAGACGGCAAAACGGACAUCACUUUUGAACUCAGGACGGUCGAAAACCUUAGGAGGAGCAUAAAAGGAAAAAUGGUACUAUUCACGUAUACGGUACUGUCUACAUUACUGUUCACGACACUGUUCACAUAGACGGAUCGAUGACGUGGCAUUGACCGAUGAUGUGGCAUUGACUGAUGAGGUGUCACGAUCCUGUUGGACUAAAAUUCUUAUGUACUGUUGACGGUGACGUGGCAGCAUAUCAGUGGACGAAAAAUCUCGCGUACGGUGCAUGCAUCACACAGGAUUAUUUUCAACCAAACCGUGUUACUGUUCAUCCGGGUCAAACCGUGUUACUGUUCAUCCGCGUGGUCAAACCGUGGACUGUUGACUGAUGACGUGGCGCAAUCCUGAGCGUCCAAACUGUUUUUAAUCCGAUGGCCAUGAUUUACUCCAUGUAUCUAUAAAAAGGGGGCCUCCCCCCCCUAAUUUGAUAUCUCUGAAUCCAUUUUUGGGAUCCAUUUUCUGUAAUUCCUUCUCCAUCUUGUAUUUUCUUCGUAUUUUAAUAAAUUCCCAUUUUGCCCCUAGUUCAAUUAUGAGUAGCUAAUUUCCUUUCAAGCUUGGGUUGAAGGUGAAGUCUCAACAUGUGUCAUGGGCUUUAUUUGGUAAAUUUAUUUUCUUUUCCCCUCUAGUUUUUGUGGAUGAUUUGACUUAUCGUCGACAAAUAAUACUGAUCUUGUCUAGAUACCGCCUUGGUUACACCGGCUCUCUAGUAUAAGGUUAUUAUUAUUUGGCACGAUAAGCCCUUAGCACCAUGUUGAUUAGAGCGUGGUUCAUGAUGUGUGGAUUCCCCCAUCAUGAUUUAAUUGGCAUUAAUACGGAUUAUUUAGCCCAUGAUGCAUGUUGAUACGGAUCCGAAUACCCAAGUACGUCAUUUCAAAUAGAAUUAUCUUCAAUUUAUUCUCGCCAUUGCAAUUCUAAUUUUAGAAUUUAUUCUCGCCAUUUUAAUUUAAGUUUUAGCAUAUUCCAAAUCAUUUCCACCAUAAAUCCAACCACCCAUUUUGCAAAAUUAAUUCUACACAUAAUUAAAAUCCACCUCCUCGUGGGAUCGACACUCGUCACCAUUGAUCUAUACUACAAUAGAUUCGUGCGCUUGCGAGUACAUUAAAAUUUGCACAACAAGUUUUUGGCGCCGUUGCCGGGGAGGUAAGUAAUUUUAAUUCAUAGAAUUAAUUUUUGUGAAUAAUUUCUUUUAUUUGUUUUCUUGUAUUUUUUUUUUCUUAUUAAAAAAGAAAAAAGAAAAAAAGAGUAAAUCUACAUUUAAAGGUUAGUAUUUCUUUUCUUUUUCUCUUCUUUAAAAUUCUGUAAUUUAAUUUUCAAUUUAUUUUUUCUUUGUAAUUUUUGUUUAUUUUAUUAAUUUAAUUUUUAGUUAAUUUAUUUCACGUAUUUGUUUUUGUGUAUUUUUAUAGAAAGGUUGUAAUAGCGCAAUAAGGUUAGUAUCGUAAUUUCUCCCUCUUCUUUAUUUUUAUUUGUUUUGUUCCCAUCUUUAUUUUUUUUGUUUUGUUUGCAUCUUUAUUUUUAUUUUAUUUUAUUUUGCAUGCAUGGUCGUAGGUCAUUAUUACCUAAUCUUGAACCUAUAGACCUUGAAUUAGAAAAAACACUUCGCACACAAAAGCACAUUAAAAAUAAAUUUGGAAUGGAUUUACAAGCACCACAGGAGAGGCCAUUUAAGGACUAUUUAGUCCCUUAGCUAAUUUGAGCACAUCAUGCAUUAGAUACCCAAAUGUAGCUGCUGGGAGCUUUGAACUAAAACCUAGUGUGCUAAAUUGUCUCCCCACAUUCUAUGGCUUAGAAAAUGAGGACCCAUAUAAUCAUCUGAAUGAUUUUCAUACCAUUUGUCAAACUUUUAAAUAUGAAAAUUUUUCAGACGAUGAUGUUAAACUCAGAUUAUUCCCAUUUUCUUUAAAGGAUAGAGCUCGUUCAUGGUUAAAUACUUUGCCUGCUAAUAGCAUUGCAUCAUGGGAACAAAUGGUUACAAAAUUUCUAAAUAAAUAUUUCCCAGUGCAUAAAACCAAUUCUAUUCGCAGGGAAAUUUCAGAGUUUACACAAAGAGAGGACGAGCAGUUUUUCGAAACAUGGGAGCGAUUCAAUGGGCUACUCUUGAAGUGUCCACAUCAUGGGUACGAGAAAUGGCACCAAUGCCAAUACUUUUUGGAGGGAUUACUACCAAAUGUGCAAGAAUGGCUAAUGGCAACAAGUGGAGGAGAGCUAAUGUCAAAAAGCGCAACAGAGAUUUGGGAAUUCUUCCAGCGACAAGCGGAUAAUUCCCAACAACGGAGUCGAUCACUCAGGAAUACUAGAAGAAUUAAGGGAGUAAAUGAGGUUCAAAUUGGCGAGUCAACUUCGGGAAUCAAAGAAGUCAAGGAGAUGGUUGAAGGUCUUGCUCGACAAAUAGCAUCGUUAUCGACUGCUAAAUCAACAGAACCACAUGACCAUGACUCAUACUCCGAUCAAGCCAAUGCCAUAGGUGUAAUGAGAAAGCCAUCUAAUUACAACCCAUACUCCAACACAUAUAACCCUGGAUGGAGAGACCACCCCAAUUUUUCAUGGUCUCAAGGAUUCCAACAGAAUGGACCAGCAGCUCCAGCUCCACAAAUUCCUCAAGUUCCUCAAGCCUCUCAGCCACCAUUCAGACCAUACAAUCAGAACCAGAACUACUCUCAACCCAGACCAUGGGAGGAUUCAUUCCAGAAUCUCAAGAAUCUUACUCACUCCACGAUUGAGCAACAGAACCGCACCAUUGAUGGACUACGAAAUGAGUUGAGAGCAGGCUUCAACUCACAAGCUCAAUCAGUUUCAAGCCUCGAGAAGAUGGUGGGACAACUUGCUUCUUCAGUUCAGACCUUGGCAAUGACUGUUGAGAAAGGAAAAUUUCCAAGUCAACCAGUGCCUAAUCCUAAAGGAGUGCAUGAAGCAAGUACCAGUUCACCACAACAGCAUGGAGAGGUCAAAGCAGUCAUGACCUUGCGAAAAGGAAAGGAAGUCGACAAUAAAGUGGAGAUGCCGGUGACAAAAGAAAAUCAAAUUGUACCUGUAAAUGCUGAGGACUCACCACCGGAGGAAAAAGAAGAAACCAACCCACGAGAAUACGUUCCCAAAGCUCCAUUUCCUCAGAGGUUAGUGAAAGGAAAGAAGGGAAAAUCCACAGGUGAGAUUCUCGAAAUCUUCAAACAGGUAAGUGUUAACAUCCCUUUACUUGAUGCUAUAAAGCAAGUUCCAUCUUAUGCCAAGUUUCUUAAAGACCUUUGUACUAAAAAGAGAAAUAUGCAUGUUCAAAAGAAGGCAUUUUUAACAGAAAACGUUAGUUCUAUACUCCAACAUAAAAUUCCUUUAAAAUGCAAAGACCCAGGCUCCCCCACUAUCUCAUGUAGUAUAGGGAACCACACAAUUGAGAAUGCUUUGUUGGAUUUAGGAGCUAGUGUAAAUUUGUUGCCUUACUCUGUAUUCGUGAAACUUGGACUGGGAGAAUUACACCCAACUCCAGUGGUGUUACAACUUGCAGAUCGGUCCACAAAAAUACCUCGUGGUAUUGUGGAGGACGUGCUUAUCCAGGUAGACAAGUUUUAUUUUCCUGUUGAUUUCAUUGUAAUUGACACUCAACCAAUACAGGACUCAAGGAAGCACAUCCCCAUUAUUCUAGGCCGACCUUUCUUGGCAACUGCAGAUGCUCAUAUUCAAUGUAGGACCGGAAAUAUGCAAUUGUCCUUCGGCAACAUGACUAUGGAGCUAAACAUCUUCAACAUUGCCAAACAACCUCACAGUGCAGAUGAUGGAAUUGUUGAUGUGGAUUUAAUAGAAACCAUAGUUGAUAAUACUUUUCUUUCAAACCUUAGUGAUGAUCCUUUACAAACAUGCUUAACUCACUUUGGUUUGGAUUUUGAUAUUGAUAGAUCGGUCGAAGAGGUCAACGCCCUACUUGACUCAGCACCAUCCAUGGACACUAAUAAAUGGAAGUCAAGAGUUGAACAACUAGCACUAUCAGAGAAGAAACUCAUUCCAUCAUCAGAAUCACCACCGAAACUCGAGCUCAAACCAUUACCCAACACUCUGGAAUAUGCAUUUUUGGGAGAAGAAAGUACUCUGCCGGUAAUCAUCUCAUCAUCCCUAAAUGACGAACAAAAAGGUAAGUUGUUGGAUGUGUUAAAAGAGCACAAAGGGGCAUUAGGAUGGACCAUAGCAGACAUAAAAGGUAUAAACCCAGUAGACUGCAUGCAUUACAUUCACCUUGAUGAAAAUGCUAAAACUACUAGGGAGAUGCAACGUCGGUUAAAUCCUAACAUGAAAGAAGUUAGAACUGAAGUCCUUAAGCUAUUAGAUGCAGGUAUCAUUUACCCAAUUUCUGAUAGUUCAUGGGUCAGUCCUGUACAAGUCGUCCCCAAAAAGUCAGGAGUCACAGUAGUUACCAAUGCUGAUAAUGAAUUGAUACCAACUAGAGUAACUACAGGAUGGCGUGUAUGCAUUGAUUAUAGAAAGUUGAAUUCUGUCACACGUAAAGACCAUUUUCCUUUACCAUUUAUUGAUCAAAUGCUUGAUAGAUUAGCAGGCCAUGAAUUUUAUUGCUUUCUAGAUGGUUAUUCAGGAUAUAAUCAGAUUCCCAUAGCACCAAAAGAUCAGGAGAAAACUACUUUCACUUGCCCUUUUGGCACUUUUGCAUAUAGGAGAAUGCCAUUUGGAUUAUGUAAUGCACCUGCUACAUUCCAACGAUGCAUGUUGAGCAUUUUUUCUGAUAUGGUUGAACGAUUCCUUGAAGUCUUUAUGGAUGAUUUUUCUAUCUUUGGUGACUCGUUUGAUCAAUGUUUACAUCAUCUAACGCUAGUUCUGCAGAGAUGUACCGAGAAGAGCUUAGUCUUAAAUUGGGAGAAGUGCCAUUUUAUGGUAAAACAAGGUAUUGUUCUCGGUCACAUCAUUUCAAGCAAAGGUAUUGAGGUUGACAAAGCCAAGGUGGAUCUAAUUUCUAAUCUUCCUCCACCUAAAACAGUCAGAGAAGUAAGAUCUUUCCUUGGGCAUGCUGGUUUCUAUAGACGUUUCAUUAAAGAUUUUAGCAAAGUUUCUAGACCCUUAUGCAAUUUACUUGCUAAGGAUGUACCUUUUAUCUUUAAUGAUUCAUGUCUCAUGGCGUUUGAAAAAUUAAAGCAGUUGUUGACAUCAUCACCCAUCAUUCAGGCCCCAAACUGGAACUUACCAUUUGAGCUCAUGUGUGAUGCAUCUGAUUAUGCAGUAGGAGCAGUAUUAGGACAAAGAGUUGAUCGAAUUCCCCACGUUAUUUACUAUGCUAGUAUGACAUUGAAUGAUGCACAGUUGAAUUAUUCAACUACUGAAAAAGAAAUGCUAGCAGUAGUGUUUGCAUUAGAGAAAUUUCGAUCUUAUCUCAUUGGUUGUAAAAUAAUUAUAUUCACAGAUCAUGCUGCUCUUAAAUAUCUUCUCACAAAGAAAGAUGCAAAAGCUAGACUAAUUCGUUGGGUGUUACUUUUGCAGGAAUUUGACUUGGAAUUCAAAGAUAAGAAAGGCACAGAGAAUGUUGUAGCUGACCAUCUCUCUCGCCUCCAUUUUGAUAUAAUUAUGGAACCAUUACCAUUGAAUGAGUCAUUUCCAGAUGAACAAUUAAUGAAUGUGGAAGUAUUACCUUGGUAUGCUGAUAUAGUUAAUUAUCUUGUUACAGGUAAACUUCCAGAGCAUUGGACCAAGCAAGACAAGGCUAAAUUCUUUGCGGAAAUAAAGAAUUUCUUUUGGGAUGACCCGUAUUUGUUCAAGUAUUGUGCAGAUCAAAUUGUUAGGCGAUGUGUCCCAGAAAGUGAAAUUCAAAAUAUCCUUUCAUUCUGCCAUGAACAAGCGUGUGGAGACCAUUUUAGUGCUAAGAAAACAGCUACAAAAGUUUUACAAUGUGGUUUCUAUUGGCCAACUAUAUUUCGAGACGCUUACACUUUCUGUUCUUCAUGUGAUAGGUGUCAACGAAUGGGGAGCAUUACACGAAGGAACAUGAUGCCACUAAAUCCAAUUUUAGUGGUUGAGAUUUUUGACGUAUGGGGUAUCGACUUCAUGGGACCCUUUCCCCCUUCUUUUGGCCAUCAAUACAUAUUGGUUGGUGUUGACUACGUAUCGAAAUGGGUGGAAGCAAUUCCAUGCAGAACCAAUGAUCACAAAGUGGUGAUAGGAUUUUUGAAAAGCAACAUUGUUUCACGCUUUGGAUUCCCUCGAGCGAUAAUCAGUGAUGGUGGUGCCCACUUUUGUAACAAAGCAUUCAAGGCUCUUUUGACAAAGUAUUCAAUCACACACAAAGUGGCGACCCCGUAUCAUCCGCAAACCAGUGGCCAAGUUGAGAUCUCCAAUCGAGAAAUAAAGCACAUAUUAGAAAAGACGGUGAGACCAGACAGAAAAGAUUGGUCAUUAAGACUUGAUGAUGCAUUAUGGGCAUAUAGAACGGCUUUCAAGACCCCGAUUGGGAUGUCACCCUACAGGCUAGUGUAUGGAAAAGCUUGCCACCUACCUGUGGAACUCGAGCAUCGUGCAUAUUGGGCCAUCAAGAAAUUCAACUUUGACAUGCAGCAAGCCAGCUCAGAAAGAAGAUUACAGCUGGCAGAACUUGAAGAAAUUCGCAAUGAUGCAUACGAAAAUGCCAAGAUUUACAAGCAACGAAUGAAAGUCUUCCAUGAUAAGCAAAUUAUGAGAAAAUCGUUCACUCCAGGUCAGAAAGUGCUUUUAUUCAAUUCUCGCUUGCACCUAUUCCCAGGUAAGUUACGCUCUCGUUGGUCUGGCCCAUUUAUUGUACAUACUAUUUUUCCACAUGGGGCAAUUGAAAUUAAGGACCCAAAGAACGGUGUCACGUUUAAAGUUAAUGGUCAAAGAUUAAAGCCAUAUCUAGAGUACCAACCACAUGGAGAAAACAUCGAAAUAAAUUUGAGUGACCCACCAAAUUUGAAUUGAUUUUUUUUUCUUUUCGUUGAUUUGAUUUUUCUUUAUUUCUUUUUAUUAUUAUUCUUUUGCUAAUUGAAAUUGUUUUUGCAUAAGUGUGUUUAUUUUACCAUUAAGUUUUCUCUUAUCAUUUUUAAUCAUGAGUCUCCUACUUAGACCGUUCCUCCUGAACAUUCUUAAACCACUUCAACGUGUCAAAACUCAUCUCAAAAGGCAGAUUCAAUUUUGUAAAACACAACGCAUUUGGGCUCUACAACCACCAGAGUUAGUAGCAUAUGUUGAGGGUUUAGAACGCCAACUCAGAGACAUUGAGAGAAGUGUUUACGACAUCCAGUUGGAGCUUGAGGUAAAUUCAAUAAGAGGACGAUUUUAAUUUUCUUUGUGUGUUUUAAUUUGUUUUUCUGUUUGUGUGCUUUAGUUUGUUACCCCGGUGAAGUGGCGGAUAACGGUACUCCGUGACAAUCAAGUCGGUUACUUCAGUUUCCCACAAUAACUGACAUUCUGAGGCGAAAGUAUGGACAGAAAUGAGAUUCUAGCGAAGCUUCACAAGCGAUUCCCUUCACUUCCUCAGAAUGCCCUCCUUACGAUCUAUAAAGCUCGGACCGAACGCAUGCGAUUACUCAUGAAGAAUAACAUACCUGCUGACAUCUGUUGGUUAAUUGAGGCUAAAGUACGAUCAGCAGGUGAGUUACCUCCUAAAUUUAUUGCAUACAUGCCUGGUUGUGGUAAAGGAAAUUAUGCAAGAAAACGACGAGCUCGAAGAAUUUCUGUUGCUUGUCAUAAAUGUGCCAGAAUGAGUUGCGAUAGAAACCCAUGUUCUUUAGGAAUGGUGUCUGAUAACAGGGAAGAUAAGAUUCAAUUCAUUAGGGAUGGCUUGAAUAAGGAGUCAUUGGAUGAUAUCCUUUUGUCUCUUGAAACGCAUCAUAGUGGAUAUGUGCAAGGAGCGAUUCUCCAGUUAUGGCCAUUAUUCCAAAAAGAGCAUACACGAUAUAGUCUUGGGAAUCUGACUAUAAACGACCCUGUUUGCCAGUUUAUAAGAAAACUGGAUGGGAAGCCGAUCCUCGACCCAUAGAGGGCGUUCAAGCCGUUUCUGGACGUAAAACCAGAGGAAGAUGUGAGCCACAGUCGCAACUACGUGUAAAUAUCCUUUUACUUUACUGUUAUUUUAUUUCAUUUCACUGUUGUUUUAUUGUUUGCAUUAUUGUCUUUAAUAAUUUUAUUACUGUUUGCUUUUUCCUUUUUACUGUUUCCUUUUUGACUCGCGAGCCACGUGCUUUACGCGUUAUUUGACACUGAUAUGUUACCUCAUUCACAGCUGUGAUCUAAUGUCACCAAGAUUCUUAAAUGUGAUUUAUCUUUUGUCAAGCACUCACAAAUUGUUUUUGAGAAGUAUCACAAUGGCAGCUACUCCCAAUAGACAAUUCAAGAACAUUUGUGUGCUUUCUGGAUUUACCUAUGGCAAACAUAAAGAGUUCGUGGAGGCAGCCAUAGAUCUUGGUCGAAGCAUAGCAGCGAGAAAAUUACAUUUGGUGUAUGGAGGAGGUAACCGAGGGUUAUCAAAAAUGGUCUCAGAAGCAGCUUUUAUCAGAGGAAGUCAAGUGUUAGGCAUCAUCCCAAGAGUCCUAAAACCAUUGGGCAGUUCGUCUGACUCAUCAACUGGAGAAGAGUUAGUCGUCUCAGGUAUGCAAGAAAGAAUAACUGAAAUGCUUAAUCAUGCUGAUGCUUUUAUUUUCCUUCCAGGAGAUCUUGCAACACUAGAGGCACUUAUGACACUAGCAUCUUGGGCCCAUCUGCACAUCCACCAGAAACCCAUCGGUUUGUUAAAUGUCAAUAACUUUUAUGAUGGCUUUAUCGCAUUUCUUAACCAUGCAAUAAAAAAACUAUUUCAUUCCUUCUAAUGUGAAAAAACUCUUUAUUUGUGCUCACACUGCUAAUGAGCUACUUGAUAUGUUACAAGCUUAUAAACCGGAGCCAGACCCCUGGACCUUUGUGUUGGAGCGACCAAAUAAUGAUGGUAACAGUAGCCGCAGUAAGAAGUACAAAUUAGAUUUAACUCUCCGCCUGUAAAUAUUUUCUUCUGUGUUGCACCACCCAGGUGAUGUCUUCUAAACUCUACUUCUUUCCUUUAAAACAUUGAGGACAAUGUUUCAUUCUGGUUGGGGGGAGGGAAUAGUCGACAAUUGUGGAAUCUUGGUUAAGUUUUUACUGAUUUUUUGUUGUAGAAACUAACUGUUGCUAACGUUUUGUGUUGAAGAUGGCUGAAUAUGGAGUGUAGUUACUCUAGAAACGCAUCUUCAUCGUUUAAAAAAAAAAAAAAAAAUCUGUUUUCUUCCUCUUUCUCCUUUAUAAAUAUGUAGUUUCAAAUUUUUGAGUUGAAGAUGGCUGAAUAUGGAGUGUAGUGCCUCUAGAAACGCACCUUCUUAGUUUAAACAAAAAAAAAAAAAAAAUUCUUUUUCUAAUUAAUUUUUCUACAUCAUUUUCACAUUUCUGCAUGCAUAUUUUCCUUUCAUGUUUAGAAUAGGUUGGGGGGUAGAAUGUUGUUUAAAAAAAAAAAAAAAAAAAUUGUGUUAUUUGUCUUAACAUUGGAUGACAUGAUUAAUUUCAAAUUUUAGUAUUUGUAUUAUCUUUGGUCUUAAGUGAUGUUACGCUAUGUUUGCUACUUUACAUGUUGAUGUCGGAGACAAAUAUGAGUUGCUUGAAGGAAUGAACAUGUCAUAAAUAAGUGCCAAGUGAGUUGUUGAGCCUAUCAUUUUCUUGGAGAGUAACCCUUUUGCCUAUUUUCUAUACAGCUUAGCAGUUUAUUAUUUUAUACACGAUCUCUAGAUUUCUUUUGAGUUAACCCUUUAAAAAAAAAAUGGUAAAAUUAAAAAAAAAGAAAAAAGAAAAAAUGUGUGUUACUACAUUGGGAGGCCCAUCUAACUAGUAGAUAUGGAUAAUUAUUUAGAGCCCUAAAAGACGAUGGAAAGGCCAUCUUUGAACCGUUUGAGCCUUUCUAGCCAUCCCUGUUAUUAAAUAUCCAUAGUUACCCCUUUUGAGCCUUUAAAAAAAAAAAAAAAAAAAAAAAAAAAAAAAAAAAACCUUUUCUUUGUCAACUUAUCAUCUUGACCCACUCCGAUUUGGAGUAUUACCCGAUGUCUUAUAAGUUCCAUCACCUAUUUAUGUUUGAGAAAAUGUAAAUAAUUAUGUUGUUCAGUGAAGUUAUGCCAAAUAAAAGCAAAAAAAAAAAAAAAAAAACAAACAAACAAAAACAAAAGUUGUUGUUUCAAAAGAAUAAAAAUAACAAUAAUAGGUGAAAUCCACCUUGCAAGUUCCAAAAAAAAAAAAAAAAAAAAAAAAAAAAAAAUUCUGCAUUUUUCUCAAACAUACACUUUGUUUUCCUUAUUUCCUUUCUUUGUUAGCCAUAUCCCUAGCCUACGUUACGUCCUAAUAAAAGUCCUUCUUGAUUUUAGGGAACUAUAGUUUGAAGUAGAAGCUAGUUAUAUGGGCUAAAAAGAUGUAGUGAUGCAUAAUAAAAAAAAAAAAAAAGAUAAAUAAAGUGGGUUGACUAACAUUUUAUUUGACUUGAGAUCAUAUUAUUUCUAAGCUGAGGGCAUAUUUAUUUCAUCUUGGUGAGAGCAUGUGAUAUCAUUUCUUUAUUAUUUUCUCUCUCAAUUACCAUUCAUUAGAGUGACUAUGUUUAUUGGGUUUUAAUUUCUUUGUGAGAGUGUCACUACUUCCAGUGAGAUUUUGGGGUUUGACAUGUCAUUCUUGAAAGUAGCUAUAACAAAGUCUACUGGGCUAAUUCAUGUGGAUGGUUGAUGUGGGUGUGAUGUUGCUUUAGACUGGAGAUAAUGCCUAUACUUUUAUUUGAUUGCUAUCAUUAAUCUAAUUGAAUAAACACGAGUGUUUCUAAAAAAAAAAAAAAAAAAAAAAAAUCAUUUUGAAUUUGAAUUUUGUUUUCGCUUUAUUUGCUAGGGACUAGCAAUAAGCUGGUUGGGGGGUGUGUUGAGUGUUAGAAAAUGCAUAUUUAUAAAGGAGAAAACCGUCAUUUUACAUUUCAAGUCUUACUAACAACCCUUACUUUUAUGUAUUUAACCUUCUUGUGAUGUAAUUACGUGUGUGUUAUUUUAAUUAAGUAUUUUAUGUAUUUUAGGGGCAUUAUAGUCAUUUCACAAUAAAGGAGAGAUCAGACGGCAAAACGGACAUCACUUUUGAACUCAGGACGGUCGAAAACCUUAGGAGGAGCAUAAAAGGAAAAAUGGUACUAUUCACGUAUACGGUACUGUCUACGUUACUGUUCACGACACUGUUCACAUAGACGGAUCGAUGACGUGGCAUUGACCGAUGAUGUGGCAUUGACUGAUGAGGUGUCACGAUCCUGUUGGACUAAAAUUCUUAUGUACUGUUGACGGUGACGUGGCAGCAUAUCAGUGGACGAAAAAUCUCGCGUACGGUGCAUGCAUCACACAGGAUUAUUUUCAACCAAACCGUGUUACUGUUCAUCCGGGUCAAACCGUGUUACUGUUCAUCCGCGUGGUCAAACCGUGGACUGUUGACUGAUGACGUGGCGCAAUCCUGAGCGUCCAAACUGUUUUUAAUCCGAUGGCCAUGAUUUACUCCAUGUAUCUAUAAAAAGGGGGCCUCCCCCCCCUAAUUUGAUAUCUCUGAAUCCAUUUUUGGGAUCCAUUUUCUGUAAUUCCUUCUCCAUCUUGUAUUUUCUUCGUAUUUUAAUAAAUUCCCAUUUUGCCCCUAGUUCAAUUAUGAGUAGCUAAUUUCCUUUCAAGCUUGGGUUGAAGGUGAAGUCUCAACAUGUGUCAUGGGCUUUAUUUGGUAAAUUUAUUUUCUUUUCCCCUCUAGUUUUUGUGGAUGAUUUGACUUAUCGUCGACAAAUAAUACUGAUCUUGUCUAGAUACCGCCUUGGUUACACCGGCUCUCUAGUAUAAGGUUAUUAUUAUUUGGCACGAUAAGCCCUUAGCACCAUGUUGAUUAGAGCGUGGUUCAUGAUGUGUGGAUUCCCCCAUCAUGAUUUAAUUGGCAUUAAUACGGAUUAUUUAGCCCAUGAUGCAUGUUGAUACGGAUCCGAAUACCCAAGUACGUCAUUUCAAAUAGAAUUAUCUUCAAUUUAUUCUCGCCAUUGCAAUUCUAAUUUUAGAAUUUAUUCUCGCCAUUUUAAUUUAAGUUUUAGCAUAUUCCAAAUCAUUUCCACCAUAAAUCCAACCACCCAUUUUGCAAAAUUAAUUCUACACAUAAUUAAAAUCCACCUCCUCGUGGGAUCGACACUCGUCACCAUUGAUCUAUACUACAAUAGAUUCGUGCGCUUGCGAGUACAUUAAAAUUUGCGCAACACUUACUACCAGUAAAAAUUCACCACAAAAACAAAACUUCAAAAUAAAACACAAGUUUUCAAAACACAAAACUCUAAACUGCUUUACACAAUCCUCCCCUUGGCUCUGAUACCAGAAGGAAAUAGGAUCGAAGGAUGGGUGUGUAUUGAAGAUGCUUCUUUAUUGAUUGCUUUAAUGAAAUAAUUGGAUCGCGGUUGUUCAGAUUUUAUAUAAGAUUACCAGCUUUAGAUUAAGUAGAUUUGUUUUAGAGCAUACAAUGAUCAAACAAAUUUGAACGCGGUUGGUCAAAUUUUUAGAAUAUUUAAAGUAUAUAGGCUGGAAACCCGAACGUGCGGACUAUUGAUCUGUUCUAAGUCAGAUCUGGGUCCAAAGGCAGAUUAACUUCUGCGAUCGAUCUGGUCUAACAACGCCACGUAAACCCAUAAUUAUCACAUGAUUAAGGGAUCCAUCCCAGUUGCAUUAAUUUUUAAAAUUUCCUAUAAAGCCAUGAUUUCUGCAUUUAGCACACAGCAUAAAUACCAGUCGAAGAGAGAUGAGACCCUUCUCUUGCAGACUGAUUUGUCUAAAGCCAACAUGGUCAUUCCAAAAUCGAUCCAAUGGAAAGAUAUCCAUCUUCCAGAUGAAUGGAUCCUCGAAGGAGCCGCCCCACCGGCGAUUGUAGAUUUGUUUUAGAGCAUACAAUGAUCAAACAAAUUUGAACGCGGUUGGUCAAAUUUUUAGAAUAUUUAAAGUACGUGGCGUUGUUAGACCAGAUCGAUCGCAGAAGUUAAUCUGCCUUUGGACCCAGAUCUGACUUAGAACAGAUCAAUAGUCCGCACGUUCGGGUUUCCAGCCUAUAUACUUUAAUAUAUUUACCAGAUAAAAUUAAGUUGCUUUAAACGUGGUUGUUUCUUUUUAUUGGGCUAAUUCCAGAUUUAAAUUAGAUUCUUUAAGGGGCUUGGGUACAUACACAGUACCAGAUCCGGAUCCCGGAAAUGGUGCUCUGAAGGAAUGGAGGAAGAAGAGAAGAUUUACAACUGAGGAUCGAGAUCCGGUCUCUUUGCCUCAGAGGAACGUACAAAUUUUAUGGCAGAUCUGAUAAAGACCAGUCUGCUUUGCAUGCUUUGAAAAGAAAAUUGCUUUAAAAAUAAAUUGCUUUAAUGUAAAUAUGCAUGAAAUUAAAUUGCAGAAAAGUAAAUUGCGAAAAUUUAAAUUACAUCGAAAUUAAAUAACUGAAAUUUAAACAUACAUCUUUGCUUUGAUAGUCUUGGUCUUUACAAUUUUCAAAUCUUUCCUGAAGGGAAGAUUGAAAGACGGGAAGAUUACAAGACAGGAAUGGUUUCCUUGAUGUCUUGGACUGUUCAUCAAAUUUUGACCACCAUUUGACUUUAAAGGUUCUUUGAAGGAUGACUUGGGAAUCUUGAGUAUGAAAACGGAGGUUCCACAUCCAGACCCAUGGUAGGAAGAAGUUUGUACAAAAACAGAGAAAGGGGGGAAAUCUUUUCUCUGAGUCAGAGGGCAUAUAGUGGGCUUUAAAGAGGUUUAGGCAAUUUAUGGCAUUUGGAGUGAGGAUUUGAGGUAUUGGGCCAAAGAAAUUCCACCAAUGAUGGAACCAGUUUGGAAGGCUUUGGACGGUUAUUUUAGGGUUAAAGAAAAAUAACCAAGAAUGGGAUUUUUUAGGGUUUUGAAUAAAAAAAGGUGUUAUACCAUGCUUGUUGGUAAUCCCAGUAGGAGAAAGUCCGACAAUGUGGUAAACGGGUUUCAAAGUUUAAAGGAAAGGUUUUGAAAUUGUGGAGUAGGUCGCCCCACUGGUUCGGGCUCAAAACUUUUAGAAUCGUGGCCGUGGAAUAGGCCGGUUCAGAAUGGGUUUUAUCAAGAAAGAAAUGUUUGAAUUUAACUGAUUCAGUUAUUUCUAAAAUGCUUUGAUAAUAAGACUGGGGUUUUGUCAAAUCCCAUGGUUUGAAAAACCAGCCUUUGGGAAAAAACUUUGAAAUGCUUUGAAAAGGAUCAGUAUGGUAAAAUCCAUCUUCCAUAGAAAGAAUAUUUUGAAAAUGGGUUUUAUCAAACCAAUCGGAGGUUUUCUUUGAAGGUGUUGGCUGAGAAAGCACAAUUUGGGAAGAUGAGCUUUCGGCAGAGACAACAACAUUUUGAGAGGAGGGUUUUGUAAUUUCUUUAGAUGUGGAUAUGCUCUUAAUUUCUUUUUGAGGAGAAUUUUGGCUCUGGGAAAGGUUUUGUAGAGCGAGCAUGAGCUCGGGAGAUUUUGUAAUGGAACUCAUCCAAUGCUUUACUUGAUCAUCAGAAGAGAUGGGUUUGUAUUGGGCUUCAUGUUCUUCAACCAAUUCAAUCCAUGAUUUGAUGGGUAGGGCAGAAGAAAGUAAUUUUUCUUUAGAAGGGGUUGACUGGGGUUCUUUGGAAGGUUCUUGAGAUCCGGAACUUUUGAGAACAGCUUUACCUUUGUCUUUCUUUAGCGGCAUUAUCUGUUUUGAAGAAAUUCUCUGGUUAGAAAAUCAGGAACAAAAUUUUUAUCACCUUUAAUGAAUUCUAUAUCAAAAUCAAAAACACUCAAAAUAGCUUGCCAACGUGCAAAAAUUUGUUUUGAUGCAAUGUUUUGAACAUCCUUUUCUAAAACAUGUUUUGCAGCUUUGCAAUCAAUUCUAAGUAAAAAUUUUUGAUUUAAUAAAUCACUUUGAAAUUUUGUAAUGCAUAAAACAAUGGAAAGAAUUUCUUUUUUAAUAGUAGAAUAAUUUUUCUGACAAUCAUUCCAAUGUGCAGAAACAUAUUGUACUAUCUGUUCUCUAUCAUUUUCUUUUUGUUUUAAUAUACCUCCAUAUCCUAAAUCAGAUGCAUCAGUUUCAACAAUUUUAGGGAAUGCAGGAUUUGCAAGAUAUAGACAUGGGAUGCUUUUAACAGAACUCUUUAUUAAUUUAACAGCUUUAGUAUGUUCAUCUGUCCAUGGAGCAGGUUUUUUCUUUAAACGAUCAUGCAAAGGUUUAGACAACCUAUUGAUAUUGGGACAGAAAUCAAGAACAUAAUUUAGGCUACCAAGAAAUCUUUGUAAUUGAGUUUUGUCAAGGAUUUUAUCAGGGAAUUUAUCAGCAAAUAAAAGUGAUCUUUCAAUAGGGGUGAUUGUUCCUUUUGAAAUAUAGUGACCAAGAAAUCUGAUUUUCGUUUGAAAUAAUGAAAUCUUUGAACUAGAAAGGGCUAGUCCAGCCUUUUUUGUAGCAAAAUAAAAAGUCUUUAAAUGUUUGAAAUGUUGAUCGAUUGAAUUUGAAAAUAUCAAAACAUCAUCAAUAUAAACAAUGCAAAAAUCAGAAUAAGGAUUAUAAAUAUCAUUCAUAAUUCUUUGAAAUUCUGAGGGUGCAUUCUUUAAACCAAAGGGCAUAACAGUCCAUUCGUAUUGUCCAAAUGGAACAGUGAAAGCGGUUUUGUAACGGUCAUUUGGAUGAAUUUGAAUUUGCCAAAAACCCGAUUUCAUGUCGAAUUUUGAAAAAAAUAAAGGCAGAACAGAGUUUUUGGAGUAAAUCUUUUUUAUUAGGUAUAGGAUACCUAAUCCAUUUUAAAGCUUUAUUCAAAGGUUUGUAGUUUAUAACUAGUCUUGGAGUGCCUCUUUCAAUUUCGGAGUUUUUGUUAACAUAAAAAGCAGCACAAGACCAAGGAGACCUGGAUUUUACAAUGAGUCCUUUAGACUCCAAGUCUUUGAUUUCAUUUUUACAAUGUUUUUCUAAAUCCAUAUUCAUUUGAAUUGGACGAGCUUUGGUCGGAAUCUGUUUUUCAUCAAAAGAAUUUUCAUAAGGCAGGUCUACUAAAUGUUGUUUUCUAUUCCAAAAAGCAGAAGGUAGAUCAGCACAAAUUUCUUUUUCAAUAAGAGUUUUGAAAUCAGAAAUUUUUCUUUUAAUGAAAUCACUUUGUAAUUGGCUUUCAACUCUUUGUAAGUUCAAAUCUUUUUGUAAAAACAUUAGAUCACACUGUUUUGAUUUAAGUAAAUUGUUUAUUCUAUUUUGAUAAAUAGAACAGGCUUUAACAAUAUUUAAAUUUCUUGUUUUAGGUUUUUCAAUAAAAGGGAAAACAAGUUUCUUGUUUUUUGCUUUGAAAGAUAUACUAUCAUAAUUGACAGUAUACGGAGUUAUGAGAUUUAUAAAAGGAGUUCCCAAAAUAAUGGCAUGAUGAAUAUCAUUUGUGAGAACAAAGGAAGUUUUAAAAUCAAAACCAUCAUUAUAGAUCGAGGCUUCAACCUUGGAACUGACAUUCAAUUUUGAAUUAUUGGCGGCAGAAAGCCUUUCUUUUGUUUUUUCAUGAAAUCUUUUGGGGACGAUAUCUUCUCUAAUGCAAUUUAAAUCGGCGCCAGUAUCAAAAAGGGCAAUGGCGUCCAUCGCAAAAUCAUCAGAAAAGAUUAGAGUGACUUUAAUCAAAUACUUUCUUGUGGUGAUUUGUUUUAGAACAAAUAGAAAAUCAUUGGGUACAGACUCAAUAUUUUCUACUUUAAUAUCAUCACCAUCAAUAUCAGGACUGGAUUCAUUGUCUGAAUUAUCCUGUAAUUGCUUUUGUAAAAGAAGUUGAAUAAUAUCAGAAUCACUUUUUUGUUUUUCUUUUAAAUCUCUGAUUUCACUUUUGAUUUCUUUUAUCUCUUUCUGAAGAUCUUGGAUAUUAGGAAUCAUCUUUUUUGUUUUCUUCUUAUCCAAAAUUUGAGUAAGAUCAUAAGAAUUCUUUUUAAUAAUUGGGACUCUAGAAGUCUCGGCUUUAUUAAAAUCCAAUGUUUUCAAAAGUUUAUCAAGGUAUUCCUUUUGAAGAUUUGGAUCAGAAAUAUGCUUUACAAGUUCAAGAAAAGUUUCUUGGUCUUUAGUCAAAACAUUGAUUUUCUUUAAAAAUGAAUCAGAUUCAGAAUCACUACUGCUAGAUGCAGAGUCAUCUGAGUCAAAAAGCUCAUCAACUUGGUAAGGGUCACUGUCUCCCGACAUGGAAGACUCAGAAUCAGAAGAUUCGACAAGAAGAGGGGCUAUUUUAGAAAGGAUGUCCUCAUUGAGGUCAAGUUCUUGGAGUCUUUUGUUCAUUCUGCAAAAUUUUGCAGUAUGACCUUUCAUACCACAUUUGAAACAUGUGGCCUCCUUGAAGUUGAAUGGGGUAUUAGGUUUGGCUUUGAAAUCUUUCUUUUUAGAGAAACUAUGUCUCUUAUAAGGCUUCGAAGGUUUCUUAUAAGGAAGUUUUCUAAAAUCACGGAAGGGUUUUCUAAAAUGUUUAGAUUUGUAAUGUUUCUUACGAGGUUUUGUAGAACACACUCCAUUACAAUCUUUGGAAGUUUUAAAGGGGUCAUAAUUGAAUUGCUUACAGAAACCGCCUAAUUCCUGUUUAGACUUCUUAAGCUCCCACUUAAGACGUUUCUGUAAUUUCAAAUCUUGACAAAUCUUUAAACCUUCUUUGUUGACAAAACUGACUAGUUCACCAUAGGUGAGCUCGUCAUAAGGAAUACGGUUAUCGUAAAGGGCUUUGAUGGAAUUUCUUACCUUUUCACCUAAAAGGGUAGGUAAUCCAGCAAGAAAUUUUUCUUUCCAAGUAAUAUGAUUUGCAUCAUCCCUUAGAAAUAGUCUGGUAAGGAAAGAGGUUUUGUAACUCUGAAAUUCACUAAGUUUUCUACAUCUCAAAUUAUGUAGUAACUCAGCGUUUUUAUCACGAAGGUGAGAAGGGUCACCGAUGAAAUGGAGGGAAAUGGUUAGAAUAAGAGUAGCAACAGCAUCCUGGAUAGGGUUGUUGAACUCAUCAAGAAUAGAGGCUCCAUUUUCAUCUUUUUGGACGGAAUUUAGAAUGUCAAAUUGUUGCUGAUUAGUGAGAAGAUGAUCCCACCAACCUUUUAGUUGACCAGUAAAACCAGCAAUUAGGAUUUCUGAUAUGGCACGAUCAGAAGUUCCUGCUUGGGUUUUAUAAGCAUUAGCUGCCAUUGUCAUUUGUUGCAACAAUCCAAGGAUAUUGUACUCAGACAUGCCGUCAAUAUUCCACUCAUAGACUGAAGAUGCAUUAUAACGGGAUUGAUUUAAUGCACUAGGUCUAUUAUCUAUUGCUAGAUCUGGUGGGGUCUUGACAGUGGGAAGGGCUAAUUCCCAGUGGAUUUUGUUGGCUUUAGGAGUAGAAGGUUCUUCUUUGAAAGCUUCUAAGUCAGAAGAGGCUAUAGAACUCUGGUCAUCUAGAUCCAAUACUCCAAUCUUGCUAGAUUGGGGGGUAUCGGGGGCUAUCUGGAGUUUGCUAGACGAGGAAGAAGCAGCUUCUAUCCUCUCUAGUUGUUCUCUAAUGGCUUUAGCAAAAUCUGAUUUUGACUCUUGAACAAGCCUUUGGCUAGUUUUCGAAACCUGAAAAGGUUUGAAAAUAGGUUCCUUAAGCUUUUUGUCAGAAUCCGAUUUUGAAGGAAUAGACAUAGGAAUAGGAGAAACAGAUAUAGGAGAUUUUUGAAAUUGGUUUUCUAUACGAGCCAAUUGCUUUCCAAUUGUAUUUAAGUUAGUAUUACAGAAAUUAUUCUGUUGUAUAAUACUACUUAAAUUCGCAUCAGAAUCAUUUGGUCUUGGGAUUUUGUAAGGGGAUGCUUUAAUCUCAAUAGGAGGUUCACCAUGAUCUAUGGUUAUACUCCUAAGAGGUGGAUGAUCAGACUCUAUAAUCCUAUCAUUAUCAGAAAGUUUCCAUUCAGGAAUUUUCUUUCUAAUAGUUAUAGGGUUUGACUCUUUAAAAGGAUAAUCAAUAUUGUUCUCAGAAGAAUAUAUUUCGAACCAAUCAAAAAACAAUAUAUGAACUUUAUGAAAAUUCACAAAUUCAUAAUAAGUUUGUUGGAUUUCUUUUCUUUGGUUUAAAAAAUGUUUAAAAAACCAAGUUCUUUUUUCUUUAUUUAUUUCUGAAUAAAAAUCGUUAUGCAGAAAGGCUUUAUCUAAUUCAAAUUCUUUUUCAAUGACAUUAAUGACAUUUUCUGUGACAGCAGAAAACGUAGGAGAUGUUGGAGGAGAAGGUUCCUUCUCUUCCUGUCUUUGCACAUGUUGACUACUAGUGUAUAUAGGAUGAGGAACACUUGUGGCAUAGUCAACGGAACGGAUGGAGGAGCUAGGUAUAUCGAAGUGGAAAACCUAGGUUGGCUCUGAUAUGGGAGAUUUAUAACAGAAGGUACUUUUGUAAACUUCCUUUCUAGUGAAGGAAUGCUUGGGCUCGAUUCUUUUUCAGAAAAUCUAUGUGAGGUAGACCUUCUGAAUGAUAGUUUGACUUUACCAUCGGAAUACUGGGUCACAUUUUUGUAACUCUGUAUUUGGCUCAAGUUGUUUCGGAAUCGCUGGUGGGCGGCUCCUUCGAGGAUCCAUUCAUCUGGAAGAUGGAUAUCUUUCCAUUGGAUCGAUUUUGGAAUGACCAUGUUGGCUUUAGACAAAUCAGUCUGCAAGAGAAGGGUCUCAUCUCUCUUCGACUGGUAUUUAUGCUGUGUGCUAAAUGCAGAAAUCAUGGCUUUAUAGGAAUUUUAAAAAUUAAUGCAACUGGGAUGGAUCCCUUAAUCAUGUGAUAAUUAUGGGUUUGGAUUUGUAAAAUCAUGCUCUUUAAAAUAUUUUUGUCUUUAAGAGAAAUUGUUAUAUUUGGAUAACAAUCAAAAGAUAUGGGACCUUUACAUAGACUAGAUUCGAUACUACUUAGUAAAGAAUCAUCAAAAGAGAUGAAUCGCCCAUCUCUAAGAACAGCAAGGAUAGAGGUAUCCAAGCCUUCUUUGGUCAAAGGUUUUAUUCCUACUUGGAUUAAACCAAUGUGAAUAUAUUUGAAAUUNAAAUGCUUUGAUAAUAAGACUGGGUUUUGUCAAAUCCCAUGGUUUGAAAAACCAGCCUUUGGGAAAAAACUUUGAAAUGCUUUGAAAAGGAUCAGUAUGGUAAAAUCAUCUUCCAUAGAAAGAAUAUUUUGAAAAUGGGUUUUAUCAAACCAAUCGGAGGUUUUUUUUGAAGGUGUUGGCUGAGAAAGCACAAUUUGGGAAGAUGAGCUUUCGGCAGAGACAACAACAUUUUGAGAGGAGGGUUUUGUAAUUUCUUUAGAUGUGGAUAUGCUCUUAAUUUCUUUUUGAGGAGAAUUUUGGCUCUGGGAAAGGUUUUGUAGAGCGAGCAUGAGCUCGGGAGAUUUUGUAAUGGAACUCAUCCAAUGCUUUACUUGAUCAUCAGAAGAGAUGGGUUUGUAUUGGGCUUCAUGUUCUUCAACCAAUUCAAUCCAUGAUUUGAUGGGUAGGGCAGAAGAAAGUAAUUUUUCUUUAGAAGGGGUUGACUGGGGUUCUUUGGAAGGUUCUUGAGAUCCGGAACUUUUGAGAACAGCUUUACCUUUGUCUUUCUUUAGCGGCAUUAUCUGUUUUGAAGAAAUUCUCUGGUUAGAAAAUCAGGAACAGAAAUUUUUAUCACCUUUAAUGAAUUCUAUAUCAAAAUCAAAAACACUCAAAAUAGCUUGCCAACGUGCAAAAAUUUGUUUUGAUGCAAUGUUUUGAACAUCCUUUUCUAAAACAUGUUUUGCAGCUUUGCAAUCAAUUCUAAGUAAAAAUUUUUGAUUUAAUAAAUCACUUUGAAAUUUUGUAAUGCAUAAAACAAUGGAAAGAAUUUCUUUUAAUAGUAGAAUAAUUUUUCUGACAAUCAUUCCAAUGUGCAGAAACAUAUUGUACUAUCUGUUCUCUAUCAUUUUCUUUUUGUUUUAAUAUACCUCCAUAUCCUAAAUCAGAUGCAUCAGUUUCAACAAUUUUAGGGAAUGCAGGAUUUGCAAGAUAUAGACAUGGGAUGCUUUUAACAGAACUCUUUAUUAAUUUAACAGCUUUAGUAUGUUCAUCUGUCCAUGGAGCAGGUUUUUUCUUUAAACGAUCAUGCAAAGGUUUAGACAACCUAUUGAUAUUGGGACAGAAAUCAAGAACAUAAUUUAGGCUACCAAGAAAUCUUUGUAAUUGAGUUUUGUCAAGGAUUUUAUCAGGGAAUUUAUCAGCAAAUAAAAGUGAUCUUUCAAUAGGGGUGAUUGUUCCUUUUGAAAUAUAGUGACCAAGAAAUCUGAUUUUUCGUUUGAAAUAAUGAAAUCUUUGAACUAGAAAGGGCUAGUCCAGCCUUUUUUGUAGCAAAAUAAAAAGUCUUUAAAUGUUUGAAAUGUGAUCGAUUGAAUUUGAAAAUAUCAAAACAUCAUCAAUAUAAAACAAUGCAAAAAUCAGAAUAAGGAUUAUAAAUAUCAUUCAUAAUUCUUUGAAAUUCUGAGGGUGCAUUCUUUAAACCAAAGGGCAUAACAGUCCAUUCGUAUUGUCCAAAUGGAACAGUGAAAGCGGUUUGUAACGGUCAUUUGGAUGAAUUUGAAUUUGCCAAAAACCCGAUUUCAUGUCGAAUUUUGAAAAAAUAAAGGCAGAACAGAGUUUUUGGAGUAAAUCUUUUUUAUUAGGUAUAGGAUACCUAAUCCAUUUUAAAGCUUUAUUCAAAGGUUUGUAGUUUAUAACUAGUCUUGGAGUGCCUCUUUCAAUUUUCGGAAGUUUUUGUUAACAUAAAAAGCAGCACAAGACCAAGGAGACCUGGAUUUUACAAUGAGUCCUUUAGACCCAAGUCUUUGAUUUCAUUUUUACAAUGUUUUUCUAAAUCCAUAUUCAUUUGAAUUGGACGAGCUUUGGUCGGAAUCUGUUUUUCAUCAAAAGAAUUUUCAUAAGGCAGGUCUACUAAAUGUUGUUUUCUAUUCCAAAAAGCAGAAGGUAGAUCAGCACAAAUUUCUUUUCAAUAAGAGUUUUUGAAAUCAGAAAUUUUCUUUUAAUGAAAUCACUUUGUAAUUGGCUUUCAACUCUUUGUAAGUUCAAAUCUUUUUGUAAAAACAUUAGAUCACACUGUUUGAUUUAAGUAAAAUUGUUUAUUCUAUUUUGAUAAAUAGAACAGGCUUUAACAAUAUUUAAAUUUCUUGUUUUAGGUUUUUCAAUAAAAGGGAAAACAAGUUUCUUGUUUUUGCUUUGAAAAGAUAUACUAUCAUAAUUGACAGUAUAAACGGAGUUAUGAGAUUUAUAAAAGGAGUUCCCAAAAUAAUGGCAUGAUGAAUAUCAUUUGUGAGAACAAAGGAAGUUUUAAAAUCAAAACCAUCAUUAUAGAUCGAGGCUUCAACCUUGGAACUGACAUUCAAUUUUGAAUUAUUGGCGGCAGAAAGCCUUUCUUUGUUUUUCAUGAAAUCUUUUGGGGACGAUAUCUUCUCUAAUGCAAUUUAAAAUCGGCGCCAGUAUCAAAAAGGGCAUGGCGUCAUCGCAAAAUCAUCAGAAAAGAUUAGAGUGACUUUAAUCAAAUACUUUCUUGUGGUGAUUUGUUUUAGAACAAAUAGAAAAUCAUUGGGUACAGACUCAAUAUUUUCUACUUUAAUAUCAUCACCAUCAAUAUCAGGACUGGAUUCAUUGUCUGAAUUAUCCUGUAAUUGCUUUUGUAAAAGAAGUUGAAUAAUAUCAGAAUCACUUUUUUUUGUUUUUUCUUUAAAUCUCUGAUUUCACUUUGAUUUCUUUUAUCUCUUUCUGAAGAUCUUGGAUAUUAGGAAUCAUCUUUUUUGUUUUCUUCUUAUCCAAAAUUGAGUAAGAUCAUAAGAAUUCUUUUUAAUAAUUGGGACUCUAGAAGUCUCGGCUUUAUUAAAAUCCAAUGUUUUCAAAAGUUUAUCAAGGUAUUCCUUUGAAGAUUUGGAUCAGAAAUAUGCUUUACAAAGUUCAAGAAAAGUUUCUUGGUCUUUAGUCAAAACAUUGAUUUUCUUUAAAAAUGAAUCAGAUUCAGAAUCACUACUGCUAGAUGCAGAGUCAUCUGAGUCAAAAAAGCUCAUCAACUGGUAAGGGUCACUGUCUCCCGACAUGGAAGACUCAGAAUCAGAAGAUUCGACAAGAAGAGGGGCUAUUUUAGAAAGGAUGUCCUCAUUGAGGUCAAGUUCUUGGAGUCUUUUGUUCAUUCUGCAAAAUUUUGCAGUAUGACCUUUCAUACCACAUUUGAAACAUGUGGCCUCCUUGAAGUUGAAUGGGGUAUUAGGUUUGGCUUUGAAAUCUUUCUUUUUAGAGAAACUAUGUCUCUUAUAAGGCUUCGAAGGUUUCUUAUAAGGAAGUUUUCUAAAAUCACGGAAGGGUUUUCUAAAAUGUUUAGAUUUUGUAAUGUUUCUUACGAGGUUUUGUAGAACACACUCCAUUACAAUCUUUGGAAGUUUUAAAGGGUCAUAAUUGAAUUGCUUACAGAAACCGCCUAAUUCCUGUUUAGACUUCUUAAGCUCCCACUUAAGACGUUUCUGUAAUUUCAAAAUCUUGACAAAUCUUUAAACCUUCUUUGUUGACAAAACUGACUAGUUCACCAUAGGUGAGCUCGUCAUAAGGAAUACGGUUAUCGUAAAGGGCUUUGAUGGAAUUUCUUACCUUUUCAACCUAAAAGGGUAGGUAAUCCAGCAAGAAAUUUUUCUUUCCAAGUAAUAUGAUUUGCAUCAUCCCUUAGAAAUAGUCUGUAAGGAAAGAGGUUUUGUAACUCUGAAAUUCACUAAGUUUUCUACAUCUCAAAUUAUGUAGUAACUUCAGCGUUUUUAUCACGAAGGUGAGAAGGGUCACCGAUGAAAUGGAGGGAAAUGGUUAGAAUAAGAGUAGCAACAGCAUCCUGGAUAGGGUUGUUGAACUCAUCAAGAAUAGAGGCUCCAUUUUCAUCUUUUUGGACGGAAUUUAGAAUGUCAAAUUGUUGCUGAUUAGUGAGAAGAUGAUCCACCAACCUUUUAGUUGACCAGUAAAACCAGCAAUUAGGAUUUCUGAUAUGGCACGAUCAGAAGUUCCUGCUUGGGUUUUAUAAGCAUUAGCUGCCAUUGUCAUUUGUUGCAACAAUCCAAGGAUAUUGUACUCAGACAUGCGUCAAUAUUCCACUCAUAGACUGAAGAUGCAUUAUAACGGGAUUGAUUUAAUGCACUAGGUCUAUUAUCUAUUGCUAGAUCUGGUGGGGUCUUGACAGUGGGAAGGGCUAAUUCCCAGUGGAUUUUGUUGGCUUUAGGAGUAGAAGGUUCUUCUUUGAAAGCUUCUAAGUCAGAAGAGGCUAUAGAACUCUGGUCAUCUAGAUCCAAUACUCCAAUCUUGCUAGAUUGGGGGGUAUCGGGGGCUAUCUGGAGUUUGCUAGACGAGGAAGAAGCAGCUUCUAUCCUCUCUAGUUGUUCUCUAAUGGCUUUAGCAAAAUCUGAUUUUGACUCUUGAACAAGCCUUUGGCUAGUUUUCGAAACCUGAAAAGGUUUGAAAAUAGGUUCCUUAAGCUUUUUGUCAGAAUCCGAUUUUGAAGGAAUAGACAUAGGAAUAGGAGAAACAGAUAUAGGAGAUUUUUGAAAUUGGUUUUCUAUACGAGCCAAUUGCUUUCCAAUUGUAUUUAAGUUAGUAUUACAGAAAUUAUUCUGUUGUAUAAUACUACUUAAAUUCGCAUCAGAAUCAUUUGGUCUUGGGAUUUUGUAAGGGGAUGCUUUAAUCUCAAUAGGAGGUUCACCAUGAUCUAAUGGUUAUACUCCUAAGAGGUGGAUGAUCAGACUCUAUAAUCCUAUCAUUAUCAGAAAGUUUCCAUUCAGGAAUUUUCUUUCUAAUAGUUAUAGGGUUUGACUCUUUAAAAGGAUAAUCAUAUUGUUCUCAGAAGAAUAUAUUUCGAACCAAUCAAAAAACAAUAUAUGAACUUUAUGAAAAUUCACAAAUUCAUAAUAAGUUUGUUGGAUUUCUUUUCUUUGGUUUAAAAAAUGUUUAAAAAACCAAGUUCUUUUUUCUUUAUUUAUUUCUGAAUAAAAAUCGUUAUGCAGAAAGGCUUUAUCUAAUUCAAAUUCUUUUUCAAUGACAUUAAUGACAUUUUCUGUGACAGCAGAAAACGUAGGAGAUGUUGGAGGAGAAGGUUCCUUCUCUUCCUGUCUUUGCACAUGUUGACUACUAGUGUAUAUAGGAUGAGGAACACUUGUGGCAUAGUCAACGGAACGGAUGGAGGAGCUAGGUAUAUCCGAAGUGGAAAACCUAGGUUGGCUCUGAUAUGGGAGAUUUAUAACAGAAGGUACUUUUGUAAACUUCCUUUCUAGUGAAGGAAUGCUUGGGCUCGAUUCUUUUUCAGAAAAUCUAUGUGAGGUAGACCUUCUGAAUGAUAGUUUGACUUUACCAUCGGAAUACUGGGUCACAUUUUUGUAACUCUGUAUUUGGCUCAAGUUGUUUCGGAAUCGCUGGUGGGGCGGCUCCUUCGAGGAUCCAUUCAUCUGGAAGAUGGAUAUCUUUUCCAUUGGAUCGAUUUUGGAAUGACCAUGUUGGCUUUAGACAAAUCAGUCUGCAAGAGAAGGGUCUCAUCUCUCUUCGACUGGUAUUUAUGCUGUGUGCUAAAUGCAGAAAUCAUGGCUUUAUAGGAAAUUUAAAAAUUAAUGCAACUGGGAUGGAUCCCUUAAUCAUGUGAUAAUUAUGGGUUUGGAUUUGUAAAAUCAUGCUCUUUAAAAUAUUUUUGUCUUUAAGAGAAAUUGUUAUAUUUGGAUAACAAUCAAAAGAUAUGGGACCUUUACAUAGACUAGAUUCGAUACUACUUAGUAAAGAAUCAUCAAAAGAGAUGAAUCGCCCAUCUCUAAGAACAGCAAGGAUAGAGGUAUCCAAGCCUUCUUUGGUCAAAGGUUUUAUUCCUACUUGGAUUAAACCAAUGUGAAUAUAUUUGAAAUUCUUUUCUUUUAAUUUCUUUAAAGAUUUUUUCUGAAAACAAAUAAAUUGUUUCAAAAGGCUCCGAAAGAGUUAUGUCUCUUUCUUCAGUUUUUAUAAUAUAAUCAUGUUUUAAAAGAUCAAGCAUUUUGUUUUGUAAAUCUUUUCUUUGGAAAUUUUUGGAAGUUCCCAACAAUCAAUUGCUUUAUCAAAGUUUUCAAUAACGAAUUCUUCUGAACUCACAACAUGCUUUGAAUCACUAGUCUUCCCGGAAGAAGAGCUAGAAAAAGACGAUGUUCUACAGUGUAGAGGGUUCAUGGGUAAAAACCUAUGAUCUAUUUAGUGGUUUUGAAAGAAUGGCUACAGGUAUGGUUUUACAGCCCUAAACGGAAAACUUAUCCUUAGACGGACUUUACUACCAGUAAAAAUUCACCACAAAAACAAAACUUCAAAAUAAAACACAAGUUUUCAAAACACAAAACUCUAAACUGCUUUACACAAUCCUCCCCUUGGCUCUGAUACCAGAAGGAAAUAGGAUCGAAGGAUGGGUGUGUAUUGAAGAUGCUUCUUUAUUGAUUGCUUUAAUGAAAUAAUUGGAUCGCGGUUGUUCAGAUUUUAUAUAAGAUUACCAGCUUUAGAUUAAGUAGAUUUGUUUUAGAGCAUACAAUGAUCAAACAAAUUUGAACGCGGUUGGUCAAAUUUUUAGAAUAUUUAAAGUACGUGCGUUGUUAGACCAGAUCGAUCGCAGAAGUUAAUCUGCCUUUGGACCCAGAUCUGACUUAGAACAGAUCAAUAGUCCGCACGUUCGGGUUUCCAGCCUAUAUACUUUAAUAUAUUUACCAGAUAAAAUUAAGUUGCUUUAAACGUGGUUGUUUCUUUUUAUUGGGCUAAUUCCAGAUUUAAAUUAGAUUCUUUAAGGGGCUUGGGUACAUACACAGUACCAGAUCCGGAUCCGGAAAUGGUGCUCUGAAGGAAUGGAGGAAGAAGAGAAGAUUUACAACUGAGGAUCGAGAUCCGGUCUCUUUGCCUCAGAGGAACGUACAAAUUUUAUGGCAGAUCUGAUAAAGACCAGUCUGCUUUGCAUGCUUUGAAAAGAAAAUUGCUUUAAAAAUAAAUUGCUUUAAUGUAAAUAUGCAUGAAAUUAAAUUGCAGAAAAGUAAAUUGCGAAAAUUUAAAUUACAUCGAAAUUAAAUAACUGAAAUUUAAACAUACAUCUUUGCUUUGAUAGUCUUGGUCUUUACAAUUUUCAAAUCUUUCCUGAAGGGAAGAUUGAAAGACGGGAAGAUUACAAGACAGGAAUGGUUUCCUUGAUGUCUUGGACUGUUCAUCAAAUUUUGACCACCAUUUGACUUUAAAGGUUCUUUGAAGGAUGACUUGGGAAUCUUGAGUAUGAAAACGGAGGUUCCACAUCCAGACCCAUGGUAGGAAGAAGUUUGUACAAAAACAGAGAAAGGGGGGAAAUCUUUUCUCUGAGUCAGAGGGCAUAUAGUGGGCUUUAAAGAGGUUUAGGCAAUUUAUGGCAUUUGGAGUGAGGAUUUGAGGUAUUGGGCCAAAGAAAUUCCACCAAUGAUGGAACCAGUUUGGAAGGCUUUGGACGGUUAUUUUAGGGUUAAAGAAAAAUAACCAAGAAUGGGAUUUUUUAGGGUUUUGAAUAAAAAAGGUGUUAUACCAUGCUUGUUGGUAAUCCCAGUAGGAGAAAGUCCGACAAUGUGGUAAACGGGUUUCAAAGUUUAAAGGAAAGAUUUUGAAAUUGUGGAGUAGGUCGCCCCACUGUUCGGGCUCAAAACUUUUAGAAUCGUGGCCGUGGAAUAGGCCGGUUCAGAAUGGGUUUUAUCAAGAAAGAAAUGUUUGAAUUUAACUGAUUCAGUUAUUUCUAAAAUGCUUUGAUAAUAAGACUGGGGUUUUGUCAAAUCCCAUGGUUUGAAAAACCAGCCUUUGGGAAAAAACUUUGAAAUGCUUUGAAAAGGAUCAGUAUGGUAAAAUCCAUCUUCCAUAGAAAGAAUAUUUUGAAAAUGGGUUUUAUCAAACCAAUCGGAGGUUUUCUUUGAAGGUGUUGGCUGAGAAAGCACAAUUUGGGAAGAUGAGCUUUCGGCAGAGACAACAACAUUUUGAGAGGAGGGUUUUGUAAUUUCUUUAGAUGUGGAUAUGCUCUUAAUUUCUUUUUUAGGAGAAUUUUGGCUCUGGGAAAGGUUUUGUAGAGCGAGCAUGAGCUCGGGAGAUUUUGUAAUGGAACUCAUCCAAUGCUUUACUUGAUCAUCAGAAGAGAUGGGUUUGUAUUGGGCUUCAUGUUCUUCAACCAAUUCAAUCCAUGAUUUGAUGGGUAGGGCAGAAGAAAGUAAUUUUUCUUUAGAAGGGGUUGACUGGGGUUCUUUGGAAGGUUCUUGAGAUCCGGAACUUUUGAGAACAGCUUUACCUUUGUCUUUCUUUAGCGGCAUUAUCUGUUUUGAAGAAAUUCUCUGGUUAGAAAAUCAGGAACAGAAUUUUUAUCACCUUUAAUGAAUUCUAUAUCAAAAUCAAAAACACUCAAAAUAGCUUGCCAACGUGCAAAAAUUUGUUUUGAUGCAAUGUUUUGAACAUCCUUUUCUAAAACAUGUUUUGCAGCUUUGCAAUCAAUUCUAAGUAAAAAUUUUUGAUUUAAUAAAUCACUUUGAAAUUUUGUAAUGCAUAAAACAAUGGAAAGAAUUUCUUUUUUAAUAGUAGAAUAAUUUUUCUGACAAUCAUUCCAAUGUGCAGAAACAUAUUGUACUAUCUGUUCUCUAUCAUUUUCUUUUUGUUUUAAUAUACCUCCAUAUCCUAAAUCAGAUGCAUCAGUUUCAACAAUUUUAGGGAAUGCAGGAUUUGCAAGAUAUAGACAUGGGAUGCUUUUAACAGAACUCUUUAUUAAUUUAACAGCUUUAGUAUGUUCAUCUGUCCAUGGAGCAGGUUUUUUCUUUAAACGAUCAUGCAAAGGUUUAGACAACCUAUUGAUAUUGGGACAGAAAUCAAGAACAUAAUUUAGGCUACCAAGAAAUCUUUGUAAUUGAGUUUUGUCAAGGAUUUUAUCAGGGAAUUUAUCAGCAAAUAAAAGUGAUCUUUCAAUAGGGGUGAUUGUUCCUUUUGAAAUAUAGUGACCAAGAAAUCUGAUUUUCGUUUGAAAUAAUGAAAUCUUUGAACUAGAAAGGGCUAGUCCAGCCUUUUUUGUAGCAAAAUAAAAAGUCUUUAAAUGUUUGAAAUGUUGAUCGAUUGAAUUUGAAAAUAUCAAAACAUCAUCAAUAUAAACAAUGCAAAAAUCAGAAUAAGGAUUAUAAAUAUCAUUCAUAAUUCUUUGAAAUUCUGAGGGUGCAUUCUUUAAACCAAAGGGCAUAACAGUCCAUUCGUAUUGUCCAAAUGGAACAGUGAAAGCGGUUUUGUAACGGUCAUUUGGAUGAAUUUGAAUUUGCCAAAAACCCGAUUUCAUGUCGAAUUUUGAAAAAAUAAAGGCAGAACAGAGUUUUUGGAGUAAAUCUUUUUUAUUAGGUAUAGGAUACCUAAUCCAUUUUAAAGCUUUAUUCAAAGGUUUGUAGUUUAUAACUAGUCUUGGAGUGCCUCUUUCAAUUUCGAAGUUUUUGUUAACAUAAAAAGCAGCACAAGACCAAGGAGACCUGGAUUUUACAAUGAGUCCUUUAGACUCCAAGUCUUUGAUUUCAUUUUUACAAUGUUUUUCUAAAUCCAUAUUCAUUUGAAUUGGACGAGCUUUGGUCGGAAUCUGUUUUUCAUCAAAAGAAUUUUCAUAAGGCAGGUCUACUAAAUGUUGUUUUCUAUUCCAAAAAGCAGAAGGUAGAUCAGCACAAAUUUCUUUUUCAAUAAGAGUUUUGAAAUCAGAAAAUUUUCUUUUAAUGAAAUCACUUUGUAAUUGGCUUUCAACUCUUUGUAAGUUCAAAUCUUUUUGUAAAAACAUUAGAUCACACUGUUUUGAUUUAAGUAAAUUGUUUAUUCUAUUUUGAUAAAUAGAACAGGCUUUAACAAUAUUUAAAUUUCUUGUUUUAGGUUUUUCAAUAAAAGGGAAAACAAGUUUCUUGUUUUUUGCUUUGAAAGAUAUACUAUCAUAAUUGACAGUAUACGGAGUUAUGAGAUUUAUAAAAGGAGUUCCCAAAAUAAUGGCAUGAUGAAUAUCAUUUGUGAGAACAAAGGAAGUUUUAAAAUCAAAACCAUCAUUAUAGAUCGAGGCUUCAACCUUGGAACUGACAUUCAAUUUUGAAUUAUUGGCGGCAGAAAGCCUUUCUUUUGUUUUUUCAUGAAAUCUUUUGGGGACGAUAUCUUCUCUAAUGCAAUUUAAAUCGGCGCCAGUAUCAAAAAGGGCAAUGGCGUCCAUCGCAAAAUCAUCAGAAAAGAUUAGAGUGACUUUAAUCAAAUACUUUCUUGUGGUGAUUUGUUUUAGAACAAAUAGAAAAUCAUUGGGUACAGACUCAAUAUUUUCUACUUUAAUAUCAUCACCAUCAAUAUCAGGACUGGAUUCAUUGUCUGAAUUAUCCUGUAAUUGCUUUUGUAAAAGAAGUUGAAUAAUAUCAGAAUCACUUUUUUGUUUUUCUUUUAAAUCUCUGAUUUCACUUUUGAUUUCUUUUAUCUCUUUCUGAAGAUCUUGGAUAUUAGGAAUCAUCUUUUUUGUUUUCUUCUUAUCCAAAAUUUGAGUAAGAUCAUAAGAAUUCUUUUUAAUAAUUGGGACUCUAGAAGUCUCGGCUUUAUUAAAAUCCAAUGUUUUCAAAAGUUUAUCAAGGUAUUCCUUUUGAAGAUUUGGAUCAGAAAUAUGCUUUACAAGUUCAAGAAAAGUUUCUUGGUCUUUAGUCAAAACAUUGAUUUUCUUUAAAAAUGAAUCAGAUUCAGAAUCACUACUGCUAGAUGCAGAGUCAUCUGAGUCAAAAAGCUCAUCAACUUGGUAAGGGUCACUGUCUCCCGACAUGGAAGACUCAGAAUCAGAAGAUUCGACAAGAAGAGGGGCUAUUUUAGAAAGGAUGUCCUCAUUGAGGUCAAGUUCUUGGAGUCUUUUGUUCAUUCUGCAAAAUUUUGCAGUAUGACCUUUCAUACCACAUUUGAAACAUGUGGCCUCCUUGAAGUUGAAUGGGGUAUUAGGUUUGGCUUUGAAAUCUUUCUUUUUAGAGAAACUAUGUCUCUUAUAAGGCUUCGAAGGUUUCUUAUAAGGAAGUUUUCUAAAAUCACGGAAGGGUUUUCUAAAAUGUUUAGAUUUGUAAUGUUUCUUACGAGGUUUUGUAGAACACUCUCCAUUACAAUCUUUGGAAGUUUUAAAGGGGUCAUAAUUGAAUUGCUUACAGAAACCGCCUAAUUCCUGUUUAGACUUCUUAAGCUCCCACUUAAGACGUUUCUGUAAUUUCAAAUCUUGACAAAUCUUUAAAACCUUCUUUGUUGACAAAACUGACUAGUUCACCAUAGGUGAGCUCGUCAUAAGGAAUACGGUUAUCGUAAAGGGCUUUGAUGGAAUUUCUUACCUUUUCACCUAAAAGGGUAGGUAAUCCAGCAAGAAAUUUUUCUUUCCAAGUAAUAUGAUUUGCAUCAUCCCUUAGAAAUAGUCUGGUAAGGAAAGAGGUUUUGUAACUCUGAAAUUCACUAAGUUUUCUACAUCUCAAAUUAUGUAGUAACUCAGCGUUUUUAUCACGAAGGUGAGAAGGGUCACCGAUGAAAUGGAGGGAAAUGGUUAGAAUAAGAGUAGCAACAGCAUCCUGGAUAGGGUUGUUGAACUCAUCAAGAAUAGAGGCUCCAUUUUCAUCUUUUUGGACGGAAUUUAGAAUGUCAAAUUGUUGCUGAUUAGUGAGAAGAUGAUCCCACCAACCUUUUAGUUGACCAGUAAAACCAGCAAUUAGGAUUUCCGAUAUGGCACGAUCAGAAGUUCCUGCUUGGGUUUUAUAAGCAUUAGCUGCCAUUGUCAUUUGUUGCAACAAUCCAAGGAUAUUGUACUCAGACAUGCCGUCAAUAUUCCACUCAUAGACUGAAGAUGCAUUAUAACGGGAUUGAUUUAAUGCACUAGGUCUAUUAUCUAUUGCUAGAUCUGGUGGGGUCUUGACAGUGGGAAGGGCUAAUUCCCAGUGGAUUUUGUUGGCUUUAGGAGUAGAAGGUUCUUCUUUGAAAGCUUCUAAGUCAGAAGAGGCUAUAGAACUCUGGUCAUCUAGAUCCAAUACUCCAAUCUUGCUAGAUUGGGGGGUAUCGGGGGCUAUCUGGAGUUUGCUAGACGAGGAAGAAGCAGCUUCUAUCCUCUCUAGUUGUUCUCUAAUGGCUUUAGCAAAAUCUGAUUUUGACUCUUGAACAAGCCUUUGGCUAGUUUUCGAAACCUGAAAAGGUUUGAAAAUAGGUUCCUUAAGCUUUUUGUCAGAAUCCGAUUUUGAAGGAAUAGACAUAGGAAUAGGAGAAACAGAUAUAGGAGAUUUUUGAAAUUGGUUUUCUAUACGAGCCAAUUGCUUUCCAAUUGUAUUUAAGUUAGUAUUACAGAAAUUAUUCUGUUGUAUAAUACUACUUAAAUUCGCAUCAGAAUCAUUUGGUCUUGGGAUUUUGUAAGGGGAUGCUUUAAUCUCAAUAGGAGGUUCACCAUGAUCUAUGGUUAUACUCCUAAGAGGUGGAUGAUCAGACUCUAUAAUCCUAUCAUUAUCAGAAAGUUUCCAUUCAGGAAUUUUCUUUCUAAUAGUUAUAGGGUUUGACUCUUUAAAAGGAUAAUCAAUAUUGUUCUCAGAAGAAUAUAUUUCGAACCAAUCAAAAAACAAUAUAUGAACUUUAUGAAAAUUCACAAAUUCAUAAUAAGUUUGUUGGAUUUCUUUUCUUUGGUUUAAAAAAUGUUUAAAAAACCAAGUUCUUUUUUUCUUUAUUUAUUUCUGAAUAAAAAUCGUUAUGCAGAAAGGCUUUAUCUAAUUCAAAUUCUUUUUCAAUGACAUUAAUGACAUUUUCUGUGACAGCAGAAAACGUAGGAGAUGUUGGAGGAGAAGGUUCCUUCUCUUCCUGUCUUUGCACAUGUUGACUACUAGUGUAUAUAGGAUGAGGAACACUUGUGGCAUAGUCAACGGAACGGAUGGAGGAGCUAGGUAUAUCCGAAGUGGAAAACCUAGGUUGGCUCUGAUAUGGGAGAUUUAUAACAGAAGGUACUUUUGUAAACUUCCUUUCUAGUGAAGGAAUGCUUGGGCUCGAUUCUUUUUCAGAAAAUCUAUGUGAGGUAGACCUUCUGAAUGAUAGUUUGACUUUACCAUCGGAAUACUGGGUCACAUUUUGUAACUCUGUAUUUGGCUCAAGUUGUUUCGGAAUCGCCGGUGGGGCGGCUCCUUCGAGGAUCCAUUCAUCUGGAAGAUGGAUAUCUUUCCAUUGGAUCGAUUUUGGAAUGACCAUGUUGGCUUUAGACAAAUCAGUCUGCAAGAGAAGGGUCUCAUCUCUCUUCGACUGGUAUUUAUGCUGUGUGCUAAAUGCAGAAAUCAUGGCUUUAUAGGAAAUUUUAAAAAUUAAUGCAACUGGGAUGGAUCCCUUAAUCAUGUGAUAAUUAUGGGUUUGGAUUUGUAAAAUCAUGCUCUUUAAAAUAUUUUUGUCUUUAAGAGAAAUUGUUAUAUUUGGAUAACAAUCAAAAGAUAUGGGACCUUUACAUAGACUAGAUUCGAUACUACUUAGUAAAGAAUCAUCAAAAGAGAUGAAUCGCCCAUCUCUAAGAACAGCAAGGAUAGAGGUAUCCAAACCUUCUUUGGUCAAAGGUUUUAUUCCUACUUGGAUUAAACCAAUGUGAAUAUAUUUGAAAUUCUUUUCUUUUAAUUUCUUUAAAGAUUUUUCUGAAAACAAAUAAAUUGUUUCAAAAGGCUCCGAAAGAGUUAUGUCUCUUUCUUCAGUUUUUAUAAUAUAAUCAUGUUUUAAAAGAUCAAGCAUUUUUGUUUUGUAAAUCUUUUCUUUGGAAAUUUUUGGAAGUUCCCAACAAUCAAUUGCUUUAUCAAAGUUUUCAAUAACGAAUUCUUCUGAACUCACAACAUGCUUUGAAUCACUAGUCUUCCCGGAAGAAGAGCUAGAAAAGGACGAUGUUCUACAGUGUAGAGGGUUCAUGGGUAAAAACCUAUGAUCUAUUUAGUGGUUUUGAAAGAAUGGCUACAGGUAUGGUUUUACAGCCCUAAACGGAAAACUUAUCCUUAGACGGGACUUACUACCAGUAAAAAUUCACCACAAAAACAAAACUUCAAAAUAAAACACAAGUUUUCAAAGCCAAGGGGAGGAUUGUGUAAAGCAGUUUAGAGUUUUGUGUUUUGAAAACUUGUGUUUUAUUUUGAAGUUUUGUUUUUGUGGUGAAUUUUUACUGGUAGUAAGUCCCGUCUAAGGAUAAGUUUUCCGUUUAGGGCUGUAAAACCAUACCUGUAGCCAUUCUUUCAAAACCACUAAAUAGAUCAUAGGUUUUUACCCAUGAACCCUCUACACUGUAGAACAUCGUCCUUUUCUAGCUCUUCUUCCGGGAAGACUAGUGAUUCAAAGCAUGUUGUGAGUUCAGAAGAAUUCGUUAUUGAAAACUUUGAUAAAGCAAUUGAUUGUUGGGAACUUCCAAAAAUUUCCAAAGAAAAGAUUUACAAAACAAAAAUGCUUGAUCUUUUAAAACAUGAUUAUAUUAUAAAAAACUGAAGAAAGAGACAUAACUCUUUCGGAGCCUUUUGAAACAAUUUAUUUGUUUUCAGAAAAAUCUUUAAAGAAAUUAAAAGAAAAGAAUUUCAAAUAUAUUCACAUUGGUUUAAUCCAAGUAGGAAUAAAACCUUUGACCAAAGAAGGCUUGGAUACCUCUAUCCUUGCUGUUCUUAGAGAUGGGCGAUUCAUCUCUUUUGAUGAUUCUUUACUAAGUAGUAUCGAAUCUAGUCUAUGUAAAGGUCCCAUAUCUUUUGAUUGUUAUCCAAAUAUAACAAUUUCUCUUAAAGACAAAAAUAUUUUAAAGAGCAUGAUUUUACAAAUCCAAACCCAUAAUUAUCACAUGAUUAAGGGAUCCAUCCCAGUUGCAUUAAUUUUUAAAAUUUCCUAUAAAGCCAUGAUUUCUGCAUUUAGCACACAGCAUAAAUACCAGUCGAAGAGAGAUGAGACCCUUCUCUUGCAGACUGAUUUGUCUAAAGCCAACAUGGUCAUUCCAAAAUCGAUCCAAUGGAAAGAUAUCCAUCUUCCAGAUGAAUGGAUCCUCGAAGGAGCCGCCCCACCGGCGAUUCCGAAACAACUUGAGCCAAAUACAGAGUUACAAAAUGUGACCCAGUAUUCCGAUGGUAAAGUCAAACUAUCAUUCAGAAGGUCUACCUCACAUAGAUUUUCUGAAAAAGAAUCGAGCCCAAGCAUUCCUUCACUAGAAAGGAAGUUUACAAAAGUACCUUCUGUUAUAAAUCUCCCAUAUCAGAGCCAACCUAGGUUUUCCACUUCGGAUAUACCUAGCUCCUCCAUCCGUUCCGUUGACUAUGCCACAAGUGUUCCUCAUCCUAUAUACACUAGUAGUCAACAUGUGCAAAGACAGGAAGAGAAGGAACCUUCUCCUCCAACAUCUCCUACGUUUUCUGCUGUCACAGAAAAUGUCAUUAAUGUCAUUGAAAAAGAAUUUGAAUUAGAUAAAGCCUUUCUGCAUAACGAUUUUUAUUCAGAAAUAAAUAAAGAAAAAAGAACUUGGUUUUUUAAACAUUUUUUAAACCAAAGAAAAGAAAUCCAACAAACUUAUUAUGAAUUUGUGAAUUUUCAUAAAGUUCAUAUAUUGUUUUUUGAUUGGUUCGAAAUAUAUUCUUCUGAGAACAAUAUUGAUUAUCCUUUUAAAGAGUCAAACCCUAUAACUAUUAGAAAGAAAAUUCCUGAAUGGAAACUUUCUGAUAAUGAUAGGAUUAUAGAGUCUGAUCAUCCACCUCUUAGGAGUAUAACCAUAGAUCAUGGUGAACCUCCUAUUGAGAUUAAAGCAUCCCCUUACAAAAUCCCAAGACCAAAUGAUUCUGAUGCGAAUUUAAGUAGUAUUAUACAACAGAAUAAUUUCUGUAAUACUAACUUAAAUACAAUUGGAAAGCAAUUGGCUCGUAUAGAAAACCAAUUUCAAAAAUCUCCUAUAUCUGUUUCUCCUAUUCCUAUGUCUAUUCCUUCAAAAUCGGAUUCUGACAAAAAGCUUAAGGAACCUAUUUUCAAACCUUUUCAGGUUUCGAAAACUAGCCAAAGGCUUGUUCAAGAGUCAAAAUCAGAUUUUGCUAAAGCCAUUAGAGAACAACUAGAGAGGAUAGAAGCUGCUUCUUCCUCGUCUAGCAAACUCCAGAUAGCCCCCGAUACCCCCCAAUCUAGCAAGAUUGGAGUAUUGGAUCUAGAUGACCAGAGUUCUAUAGCCUCUUCUGACUUAGAAGCUUUCAAAGAAGAACCUUCUACUCCUAAAGCCAACAAAAUCCACUGGGAAUUAGCCCUUCCCACUGUCAAGACUCCACCAGAUCUAGCAAUAGAUAAUAGACCUAGUGCAUUAAAUCAAUCCCGUUAUAAUGCAUCUUCAGUCUAUGAGUGGAAUAUUGACGGCAUGUCUGAGUACAAUAUCCUUGGAUUGUUGCAACAAAUGACAAUGGCAGCUAAUGCUUAUAAAACCCAAGCAGGAACUUCUGAUCGUGCCAUAUCGGAAAUCCUAAUUGCUGGUUUUACUGGUCAACUAAAAGGUUGGUGGGAUCAUCUUCUCACUAAUCAGCAACAAUUUGACAUUCUAAAUUCCGUCCAAAAAGAUGAAAAUGGAGCCUCUAUUCUUGAUGAGUUCAACAACCCUAUCCAGGAUGCUGUUGCUACUCUUAUUCUAACCAUUUCCCUCCAUUUCAUCGGUGACCCUUCUCACCUUCGUGAUAAAAACGCUGAGUUACUACAUAAUUUGAGAUGUAGAAAACUUAGUGAAUUUCAGAGUUACAAAACCUCUUUCCUUACCAGACUAUUUCUAAGGGAUGAUGCAAAUCAUAUUACUUGGAAAGAAAAAUUUCUUGCUGGAUUACCUACCCUUUUAGGUGAAAAGGUAAGAAAUUCCAUCAAAGCCCUUUACGAUAACCGUAUUCCUUAUGACGAGCUCACCUAUGGUGAACUAGUCAGUUUUGUCAACAAAGAAGGUUUAAAGAUUUGUCAAGAUUUGAAAUUACAGAAACGUCUUAAGUGGGAGCUUAAGAAGUCUAAACAGGAAUUAGGCGGUUUCUGUAAGCAAUUCAAUUAUGACCCCUUUAAAACUUCCAAAGAUUGUAAUGGAGAGUGUUCUACAAAACCUCGUAAGAAACAUUACAAAUCUAAACAUUUUAGAAAACCCUUCCGUGAUUUUAGAAAACUUCCUUAUAAGAAACCUUCGAAGCCUUAUAAGAGACAUAGUUUCUCUAAAAAGAAAGAUUUCAAAGCCAAACCUAAUACCCCAUUCAACUUCAAGGAGGCCACAUGUUUCAAAUGUGGUAUGAAAGGUCAUACUGCAAAAUUUUGCAGAAUGAACAAAAGACUCCAAGAACUUGACCUCAAUGAGGACAUCCUUUCUAAAAUAGCCCCUCUUCUUGUCGAAUCUUCUGAUUCUGAGUCUUCCAUGUCGGGAGACAGUGACCCUUACCAAGUUGAUGAGCUUUUUGACUCAGAUGACUCUGCAUCUAGCAGUAGUGAUUCUGAAUCUGAUUCAUUUUUAAAGAAAAUCAAUGUUUUGACUAAAGACCAAGAAACUUUUCUUGAACUUGUAAAGCAUAUUUCUGAUCCAAAUCUUCAAAAGGAAUACCUUGAUAAACUUUUGAAAACAUUGGAUUUUAAUAAAGCCGAGACUUCUAGAGUCCCAAUUAUUAAAAAGAAUUCUUAUGAUCUUACUCAAAUUUUGGAUAAGAAGAAAACAAAAAAGAUGAUUCCUAAUAUCCAAGAUCUUCAGAAAGAGAUAAAAGAAAUCAAAAGUGAAAUCAGAGAUUUAAAAGAAAAACAAAAAAAGUGAUUCUGAUAUUAUUCAACUUCUUUACAAAAGCAAUUACAGGAUAAUUCAGACAAUGAAUCCAGUCCUGAUAUUGAUGGUGAUGAUAUUAAAGUAGAAAAUAUUGAGUCUGUACCCAAUGAUUUUCUAUUUGUUCUAAAACAAAUCACCACAAGAAAGUAUUUGAUUAAAGUCACUCUAAUCUUUUCUGAUGAUUUUGCGAUGGACGCCAUUGCCCUUUUUGAUACUGGCGCCGAUUUAAAUUGCAUUAGAGAAGAUAUCGUCCCCAAAAGAUUUCAUGAAAAAACAAAAGAAAGGCUUUCUGCCGCCAAUAAUUCAAAAUUGAAUGUCAGUUCCAAGGUUGAAGCCUCGAUCUAUAAUGAUGGUUUUGAUUUUAAAACUUCCUUUGUUCUCACAAAUGAUAUUCAUCAUGCCAUUAUUUUGGGAACUCCUUUUAUAAAUCUCAUAACUCCGUAUACUGUCAAUUAUGAUAGUAUAUCUUUCAAAGCAAAAAACAAGAAACUUGUUUUCCCUUUUAUUGAAAAACCUAAAACAAGAAAUUUAAAUAUUGUUAAAGCCUGUUCUAUUUAUCAAAAUAGAAUAAACAUUUACUUAAAUCAAAACAGUGUGAUCUAAUGUUUUUACAAAAAGAUUUGAACUUACAAGAGUUGAAAGCCAAUUACAAAGUGAUUUCAUUAAAAGAAAAAUUUCUGAUUUCAAAAACUCUUAUUGAAAAAAGAAAUUUGUGCUGAUCUACCUCUGCUUUUUGGAAUAGAAAACAACAUUUAGUAGACCUGCCUUAUGAAAAUUCUUUUGAUGAAAAACAGAUUCCGACCAAAAGCUCGUCCAAUUCAAAUGAAUAUGGAUUUAGAAAAACAUUGUAAAAAUGAAAUCAAAGACUUGGAGUCUAAAGGACUCAUUGUAAAAUCCAGGUCUCCUUGGUCUUGUGCUGCUUUUUAUGUUAACAAAAACUUCGAAAUUGAAAGAGGCACUCCAAGACUAGUUAUAAACUACAAACCUUUGAAUAAAGCUUUAAAAUGGAUUAGGUAUCCUAUAUCUAAUAAAAAAGAUUUACUCCAAAAACUCUGUUCUGCCUUUAUUUUUUCAAAAUUCGACAUGAAAUCGGGUUUUUGGCAAAUUCAAAUUCAUCCAAAUGACCGUUACAAAACCGCUUUCACUGUUCCAUUUGGACAAUACGAAUGGACUGUUAUGCCCUUUGGUUUAAAGAAUGCACCCUCAGAAUUUCAAAGAAUUAUGAAUGAUAUUUAUAAUCAUUAUUCUGAUUUUUGCAUUGUUUAUAUUGAUGAUGUUUUGAUAUUUUCAAAUUCAAUCGAUCAACAUUUCAAACAUUUAAAGACUUUUUAUUUUGCUACAAAAAAAGGCUGGACUAGCCCUUUCUAGUUCAAAAGAUUUCAUUAUUUCAAACGAAAAUCAGAUUUCUUGGUCACUAUAUUUCAAAAGGAACAAUCACCCCUAUUGAAAGAUCACUUUUAUUUGCUGAUAAAUUCCCUGAUAAAAUCCUUGACAAAACUCAAUUACAAAGAUUUCUUGGUAGCCUAAAUUAUGUUCUUGAUUUCUGUCCCAAUAUCAAUAGGUUGUCUAAACCUUUGCAUGAUCGUUUAAAGAAAAAACCUGCUCCAUGGACAGAUGAACAUACUAAAGCUGUUAAAUUAAUAAAGAGUUCUGUUAAAAGCAUCCCAUGUCUAUAUCUUGCAAACCCUGCAUUCCCUAAAAUUGUUGAAACUGAUGCAUCUGAUUUAGGAUAUGGAGGUAUAUUAAAACAAAAAGAAAAUGAUAGAGAACAGAUAGUACAAUAUGUUUCUGCACAUUGGAAUGAUUGUCAGAAAAAUUAUUCUACUAUUAAAAAAGAAAUUCUUUCCAUUGUUUUAUGCAUUACAAAAUUUCAAAGUGAUUUAUUAAAUCAAAAUUUUUACUUAGAAUUGAUUGCAAAGCUGCAAAACAUGUUUUAGAAAAGGAUGUUCAAAACAUUGCAUCAAAACAAAUUUUUGCACGUUGGCAAGCUAUUUUGAGUGUUUUUUGAUUUUGAUAUAGAAUUCAUUAAAGGUGAUAAAAAUUCUGUUCCUGAUUUUCUAACCAGAGAAUUUCUUCAAAACAGAUAAUGCCGCUAAAGAAAGACAAAGGUAAAGCUGUUCUCAAAAGUUCCGGAUCUCAAGAACCUUCCAAAGAACCCCAGUCAACCCCUUCUAAAGAAAAAUUACUUUCUUCUGCCCUACCCAUCAAAUCAUGGAUUGAAUUGGUUGAAGAACAUGAAGCCCAUUACAAACCCAUCUCUUCUGAUGAUCAAGUAAAGCAUUGGAUGAGUUCCAUUACAAAAUCUCCCGAGCUCAUGCUCGCUCUACAAAACCUUUCCCAGAGCCAAAAUUCUCCUCAAAAAGAAAUUAAGAGCAUAUCCACAUCUAAAGAAAUUACAAAAACCCUCCUCUCAAAAUGUUGUUGUCUCUGCCGAAAGCUCAUCUUCCCAAAUUGUGCUUUCUCAGCCAACACCUUCAAAGAAAACCUCCGAUUGGUUUGAUAAAACCCAUUUUCAAAAUAUUCUUUCUAUGGAAGAUGGAUUUUACCAUACUGAUCCUUUUCAAAGCAUUUCAAAGUUUUUUUCCCAAAGGCUGGUUUUUUCAAAACCAUGGGAUUUUGACAAAACCCCAGUCUUAUUAUCAAAGCAUUUUUAGAAAUAACUGAAUCAGUUAAAUUCAAACAUUUCUUUCUUGAUAAAAACCCAUUCUGAACCGGCCUAUUCCACGGCCACGAUUCUAAAAGUUUUUGAGCCCGAACCAGUGGGCGACCUACUCCACAAUUUCAAAACCUUUCCUUUAAACUUUGAAAACCCGUUUACCACAUUGUCGGACUUUCUCCUACUGGGAUUACCAACAAGCAUGGUAUAACACCUUUUUUAUUCAAAACCCUAAAAAAUCCCAUUCUUGGUUAUUUUUUCUUUAACCCUAAAAUAACCGUCCAAAGCCUUCCAAACUGGUUUCCAUCAUUGGUGGAAUUUCUUUGGCCCAAUACCUUCAAAUCCUCACUCCAAAUGCCAAUAAAUUGCCUAAACCUCUUUAAAGCCCACUAUAUGCCCUCUGACUCAGAGAAAAGAUUUCCCCCCUUUCUCUGUUUUUGUACAAACUUCUUCCUACCAUGGGUCUGGGAUGUGGAACCUCCGUUUUCAUACUCAAGAUUCCCAAAGUCAUCCUUCAAAGAACCUUUAAAGUCAAAUGGUGGUCAAAAUUUGAUGAACAGUCCAAAACUGACUGUUAACAUGAUCAAAGAUUGGCUCUCCUCUAAAAAACCUUCUCCAACCAACCCUAGAAGCCUCUAAAGCCCAACAGACCUUCUUAACCCAAAAAAUCCAAAGCCCAGUCUCUUUUGGCAAGUGCCAAGACAGAAGAAGGAAUACUUCAAAGCAAUGGAACAGCUCCUCGCCUCCCGUUCAAAGUCAUCAGUAGCUGACACCUCUGAGACGAAGACGAUGAUGAAGAUGAAGAGCCCUUCAUUUCUCUUGGAGACGAAAAUGAAGAUGAUUGUUUUCGGCAUUUUUUCUCCUAUAAAGCAUUGUAAAUAAUUAUUUGGUUAUUUACUUAAAAAAAAAAAAAAAAAAAAAAAAAAAAGAAAAGAGUAAUUUUCUCUCGGGUGGUCCCUUGGACACAAGUGAGAGCGCACAUGUCUCUUCACCCGUGUUGUAUUUCAUUAUGUAUUUCAAUUUUUGUACAAAGUAGUCUACUGUUCAAAGCUACGGUCAGCCUACUAUUCAAAGCUACGAUCCAAAGAUUACUGUGCACUCAAACUCCGCUACAGUGAACAGUGCAAAAUUCCAAAGAUUACUGUGCACUCAAAGCUCCGCUACAGUGAACAGUUUUACAAAAUUUUGUAUAUAAACCAAGAGGAAGACUCAGACUCCUCAGGUUUUUUCAUUUUUCUCUUCUUCUCCUCCUUCUCUCUAGAUCUCUCUCUCUCUCUCUCUCUCUCUUGGGAAGUCUGGAUCAAAGACAUCAAGGAAACCAUUCCUGUCUUGUAAUCUUCCCGUCUUUCAAUCUUCCCUUCAGGAAAGAUUUGAAAUUGUAAAGACCAAGACUAUCAAAGCAAAGAUGUAUGUUUAAAUUUCAGUUAUUUAAUUUCGAUGUAAUUUAAAUUUUCGCAAUUUACUUUUCUGCAAUUUAAUUUCAUGCAUAUUUACAUUAAAGCAAUUUAUUUUUAAAGCAAUUUUUCUUUUCAAAGCAUGCAAAGCAGACUGGUCUUUAUCAGAUCUGCCAUAAAAUUUGUACGUUCCUCUGAGGCAAAGAGACCGGAUCUCGAUCCUCAGUUGUAAAUCUUCUCUUCUUCCUCCAUUCCUUCAGAGCACCAUUUCCGGGAUCCGGAUCUGGUACUGUGUAUGUACCCAAGCCCCUUAAAGAAUCUAAUUUAAAUCUGGAAUUAGCCCAAUAAAAAGAAACAACCACGUUUAAAGCAACUUAAUUUUUAUCUGGUAAAUAUAUUAAAGUAUAUAGGCUGGAAACCCGAACGUGCGGACUAUUGAUCUGUUCUAAGUCAGAUCUGGGUCCAAAGGCAGAUUAACUUCUGCGAUCCGAUCUGGUCUAACAACGCCACGUACUUUAAAUAUUCUAAAAAUUUGACCAAACCGCGUUCAAAUUUGUUUGAUCAUUGUAUGCUCUAAAAACAAAUCUACUUAAUCUAAAGCUGGUAAUCUUAUAUAAAAUCUGAACAACCGCGAUCCAAUUAUUUCAUUAAAGCAAUCAAUAAAGAAGCAUCUUCAAUACACACCCAUCCUUCGAUCCUAUUUCCUUCUGGUAUAUAUAUAUAUAUAUAUAUAUAUAUAUAUAUAUAUUGUGCAUAUUUUGCAACGUAUAGAUAAUUGUUAGUAUAUGGAGACAAGUCUUUUAAGGUAGGACCUAAGAAAAUUUAUAACUUACUACACUGUAGAGUUUUUAUUCCUUUUUAUAAUUGGCUCAUAUUGAUACAUUCUUACACAAAUAUUACCAUUGACAUAUUUUACUACAAUUAGUUUAGAACAUUUGUUAGGAAAAAAAAAAAAGAAAGAAACAUCCUUGGAUGUAGCUCUCCUGACUAUUUAAAUCUUUUAAGGAAAAAAAGAAAAAAGAAAAACUGACACAUUCAAAUCUUGAAGCAAUUACAUUAAAACCUCUCCAUAAUGAUAGGAAUAAUCUCCAUUUAGUAAUAAAAAAUUUUGUUCGCAAUUUAGGCAGAGUUAUAAAUAAGAAUAAAAUCCUCAUUGUAUAAGUUAUAUUUAUUAUGGAUCCCAUCCUAAGGAACUUGUCUCUAUAUAGUAAUAAUUAUUUGCAUAUUAUAAAUAUAUAUGUUGCAUUAAAUUAAAUGAACUUGUCUCCACAUACUACUUAGACAACGAGAGAAAGUUAUUAAAGAGAACACAAAUAUUUAGAGAUUUUUAAGAUGACUUUGCAUAUUUAUAACAAUAAUACAUUGAUAUAUUUAUAUAUUAGAUUUGACAUGCUCUAUUAAUAAAUUAUUAAACGAUGCAUACUUCAUCUCUAUAUCCUUGCAAUAAAAGUAACUAAGUUAUAACAAUAAUUAUUAAUAAAUUAUUAAUACGUUGCGUACUUCAUCUCUAUAUCCUUACAAUAAAAGUAACUAAGUUAUAACGAUAAUUUUUGUAACUACAUGCUUAUUAGGUUUUAACUACUUCAUAAUAAUAAAUUAGUUUCGUCCUACUAUUAUAAUUAUGUAGAGUUGUAGUGUAUAGACACACCCAAUUUAAAUAGUAUAUCAAAUAAAAUUGUCCCCACAAAAAAGAAAAAAGGGGUAAAGGAUUGUUAUUUCUUCAAACAUUAGGAUCACGUUUGUACAAGUGCGAUGCCUUUCUUUUGAAGGCAACGUCAGUGGGUACCCAAUAAGACGUGUGUAAAUCUUUCCAAAAUUUCUCCGGUAUAACGGACAGAGAUCAUUACUUUUCUCUUCCAUAGACCACAGCAGCCUCAGUUAAUCAGACUCAAUCAAUUUUCUUGGUUUCUUCGCGUAUCAAAAUUCCAAAAUAUGGGUAGCAUAUUUCAAAUCACAUGCGAUGGUGCUUUUUUCAAUCGUCGCUUGGAUUGCUUUCUUGGAAAAGUAGCAAACACAAGUAAGCUCCAAGAUAACCUUGUUGCCUUGGAGACUGAAUUGGGAAAACUAAUCGCAGCAAAGAACGAUGUGAUGAUGAGGGUUGUCAAUGCUGAACGGCAACAACUGAGAACGCUGGACCAAGUGCAAGUGUGGCUUUCGAGGGUGGAAGCUGUUGAAACUGAAGCUGAUGAAUUGAAAAGACACGGCUCUCAAGAAAUUGACAAAUUAUGUGUUGGAGGCUACUGUUCCAAGAACUGCGCGUCAAGCUACAAGUUCGGGAAACAAGUGGCUAAAAAGCUACGGGAUGUGCAGACUUUAAUCGACGAAGGAGUUUUUGCGGCGGUGGCUACCGAGGUGGUGCCUGAGAGAGCUCCAGAACCUGUAGCAGAUGAAAACCCACUGAGCCAACAAUAGUAGGCUUGCAAUCACAACUUGAACAAGUUUGGAGAUGUCUUGUAGAAGAAUCAGUGGGAAUCAUUGGCCUAUAUGGUAUGGGCGGUGUUGGUAAAACUACACUAUUGACCCAUAUCAACAAUAAAUUUCUUGAGAGUCCAACCAGUUUGAUUGUGUGAUUUGGGCCGUAGUUUCAAAGGACUUGCGACUCGAAAAAAUUCAAGAAGAUAUUGGGAAAAAGAUCGGUUUGGUUGAUGAUUCAUGGAAGAGUAAAAGUGUAGAGGAGAAAGCUCUCGACAUCUUCCGGAGUUUAAGAGAGAAGAGAAUUGUAUUGCUGUUAGAUGAUAUAUGGGAGCGGGUUGAUUUAACAAAAGUGGGCAUUCCACUUUCCGGACAAAAAAAUACUACAUCAAAAGUCGUAUUCACAACCCGUUUCGUCGAUGUUUGUGUAGCAUGGAAGCUGACAAGAAGUUCCAAGUGGCAUGCUUAUCAGAAGAGCAUGCUUGGGAACUGUUUCGAAAAAAAGUUGGGGAAGAAACUCUUGAGAGGGAUCAUGAUAUCGUUGAGCUAGCCCAAACUGUGGCCAAAGAGUGUGGUGGUUUGCCACUCGCACUUAUUACUAUUGGUCGAGCUAUGGCCUUCAAAAAGACAGCCGAGGAGUGGAGUCAUGCAAUUGAUGUGCUAAGAACAUCAGCUUCUGAGUUUGCAGGUUUGGGAGAAAAGGUGUAUCGUCUUUUAAAGUUUAGCUAUGAUAGUUUGCAGAAUGAGACGAUUAGAUCUUGUUUCUUAUAUUGUUGUUUAUAUCCCGAGGAUUAUGGCAUUCUUAAAUGGGACUUGAUUGAUUGUUGGAUUGGUGAGGAUUCUUAGAGGAAUCUGACAGGUUCAGUGCAGAAAACCAAGGAUACUACAUUGUGGGCACUCUUGUUCAUGCAUGUUUAUUAGAAGAGUUAGAAGAAGAUAAAGUAAAAAUGCAUGACGUUGUUCGUGAUAUGGCUCGAUGGAUAGCUUGUGAAAUUGAAAGGAGGAGAGAAAAUUUUUGGUUUGUGCAGGUGCUGGAGUAGGAGCGGUAUCAGAUGUUGAAGGAUGGGAAAAUGUGAGAAGAUUGUCAUUGAUGCAAAACCAAAUUGAAAUUCUGUCAGAGGUUCCCACAUGCCCUCAUCUCCUCACUUUAUUUCUUGACUUUAAUUAUAAAUUGGAGAUGAUGACCGAUGGCUUCUUCCAAUGUAUGCCUUCUCUCAAAGUUUUGAAGAUGUCAAACUGUGGGCAUGUCAAAGUUUUGAAAUUACCUUUUGGGAUGUCAAAGUUGGGUUCACUACAACUUCUUGAUAUUUCACAUACCGGCAUAAGAGAGUUACCAGAAGAGUUAAAGUUGUUGGUAAAUNUUUGCAAACAAUAUCUUGGCCCACGAGUUCUACCAAAAUUAAAAAGCAUCUAUUGGAAUCAGUAGCCCUCUCUACAUGUCAGGCGAAUUUUGUAUCUGAAUGCCCAAUUCUCAAGAAGCUUCCACUUGGUUUUAACAAUGCAAAGGAAUCUAAAACUAUCAUUAGGGGAGAAGAACAUUGGUCGAAUGAGCUGCAAUGGGAGGACAAAGUGACCCUCAAUGUUCUUCUUCCUUGUUUCGGAUCCAUUUGAGGGCAUCAACAUGGAUUGAUAUGAUGCAAUGGGAGGACUUCAUUUUUUGUUUCGGCCAGAAAUGUUUGUUUCGAUCGAAGACUUGAACCAUUUUCAUUGAACUGAUUAUGAUGCUUUACGUUAUGCAUGUUCCUCUUAAUCAAGAAAAGUUGAGGUGAUGAUUUUAUAUUUCUAUAUUGUAAGUUGAAAUAAUAAUUGGUCUGCUUGUUUCUGUAGCUUGAUAACAUGAAUUUUCCUUCUCAAGUUAAUUUAAUCAAUAAAGUAAUUCUUCAAAGAAAAUAUGCCCAUUCUAUAAUCAUUUUCUUAACUAACAUGUUUUUUUUCUUCACUCUUCAGAGCAUGUUGAAACUAAUUGAUCGCUCGGCAGAGACUUUGGGUGAGAAGACAAAAUUUCUUGGUAAAUCCUCUGAAAAGUUAUGCAUAAUUCCGGAGUAUUAAAUAACCAAUGGUCAUAAUUUUGUACAGGACUCUUUUCUUGUGGAGAUGAUUAAAAGUGGCUGAUGAUCCAGUUUGUAUAUCAUAGAGGUAGCAUCAAUUCCUUUUCUUUUCAGUGGCUAGGCAACACUUUCAGGGCAAAGUAAGGAAAUCUAUUUUAGGCAAUGUGAAAACCAAUGGUAGGAUGUAAUAGUUUAACAUGCACUGACAAUAACUUUUUGUAUAAUUGUCAGUUGAACGAAUACAAGAGGAACUCUGUUGACAAUUCAUCCAAGAUAGAUGCUAAAAUUCAUCCAGUUGCCUUAACUAAUUUUUCUUAACACUGGUAUUGAAGAGGAAAAUGAAUAUGCAAUUUGUAUAUUGUGCCAUGUGGAGAAUUUGGAUAUUCUUAUCUAAGUAACAAGGAGAGUAUUUGCCUCAUCUUUAGACAAUGAAUCUUUGAGAAAUUAGGAGUGGGUGAUUGGCAGUGUCUUCAUGUAAAUGUUCAUUUGUUUGUAUUUUGAGCUAUUAUGAGAAUCUUUUAUAUGCCAAAUUAGUAAUGCAAAUGUUCAGAUUAUUUUUUUCUGUUGAUCGUGCAUUUGUGUCUGCUCACAACCAUUGUAUAUCACUUCAUUCUGAUGCGCAAGUCUCUGUAGUUUAGAAGAAAAGAAAUAAUAAUGAUAUAUUAUUGCUUGAUUCAUGAUUAUUAAAUGAUUAUGGCUUUAAAAACCUACAAAUUCCUUCUGUUGAUAUAUGAAUGUACCAAGUUUGCUAUAUCUUAGAUUACCAUUUCCAAGAUAACAAGUUCAAUUUUUUUUCUUUAUCCUUUUCCAUCACAGUUGCAUUUUAAGUGUAAGAUUUGUUAUUAAUACCUGGUUUCUCGUCAUUAUGAUUUCAUAAACAGUGUAUGGGUAUGUGCUCUACUUUUGGAGGGCCUCCACGUGAAAGAAAAUUGCAACAAUUGAAUUCUUCCGGAUGGUAUGGUAUUUAAUUUAUUUUCUCAACCUCUUGUAAGACUAAUAUAUUUUCCUUCAGUAGAUACGGCAUGGUGGGAAGGGUUUUUUAUUGAAAGAAUUGAUAUUUCUUAGACUUUGUUUUGGAAGGGGGUGCAGGGGUUUCUCAUCCAUAUAUGGUUACUUGAUUAGCUUUUGACUGUAUUGCCUCAAACGUGCAAAGGAAGAUCCAAAUACAAAUGAAGGAGAAUUGUUUAGACACCCAGAAGAUGGAAAUGAACUACAGAAGGAAGUUUUUGCUGCUUUAUUUAGUGCUCCUGAGAAAUCUGAUGAAUUUCCUGAAAUUACGGUGAAGACCAAGUGUGAGGUCCAAAGCAUUAGGAAAGGUGGUGAGUGAACUGCCGGAGGAAUUGGUACAGAAUACAAGGCUAAUGUGGUGGACUUGCAGCAAGAUAACCGGAACAGUACGUGCUCUUAUAUUAACUAUAUUGACUGGAUUUGCUAGUGUGUGCAUUUUCGUGUGUAUACUUUUGUAUUUAUGCAUAUUAAUGUGUGUAGGAUUCUUGAUUUCUGCCACUUACUGGAGAACUAAUGGAAAGCUUUAUACUGGUAUAUCUGCAAUUAAUGGAAACUAUGAUAUUAAUAUUAUCUCUCGCUUGGAGAACUGCGUAACAGAUAUACUUUGUGGCUCUGGAAUACUAAAGAUUCUGCAAUAACUAAUGGAAACUAUGAUAUGAAUAUUUUCUCUCACCUGGAGAACUUUGUAACAGUUACACUUUGGGGCUUGGAAUGUCUAAAGAAUUUGUCUGCUUCAGUUAGAUCAAAUAUCUUUUAGUUACAUACAUUAUAGAAAAGAUAAAGUUCUCUGAAUCUGAAAGACUUAAAAUUUUGCAUAUUUCUUGAAAGGGAAUAUCUGUAGAUACUAGUUCAUGCAUUGUGGUAGCAUCAAUGUUAAAGAAAAACAGCAGUAAGUUAUUAUAUAGAAUUAGGUUCACUUGCUUUAAAUCCUGGUCUGGUCAACCAUAUGAACCUGUAAGUGGUUCUGUAGAAAUAUAUUAUACGGGGAGAAGGUAGCUAAAUUUUCCUUUCAUUUAUGGGUUUGGUCAUUUUUUCCCCUUAUUUAUGUUUUCUCACACAUUUUUUAUAUGCCCCAAACAUGCAAUUUUGUAUGUGUCAAUUGCCUUUUAAGUUUUAAAAACCAUAAGUAAGAAUACAGUUUCUUGUCAGGCUAUUGAUGCAUUUGCUCGGGGGGAUCAUGCUCGAGCAGGAAAACUUCUAGAACAGGUAAGGUUUCCAUCUACAGCCAUUUAUUGACAACAUAUAUAUUUUCAUUCAGCAAGCACUGUUAGCAUUCAAGAUGCUGGCAGAUUCACUUGAUUCUUAUUAGUUUGUUUAGUAGCAAAGCAUAUAACCUGUAUUUUAAAGCUAAGUUGUGCUAUUGAUUAUGUUAACUUUAUUGUUCACAUAAAGUGAUAUAGAGGAAAUAAUCAAUGUAGGAAAAUUAGGUGAAGAGAUGAUGUCAAAUCUUGAACCUCUUACAAAACUCCAAGUUCUUUACUGGAAGAAACUACCAAAUUCGAACAGCAUCUACUGGAAGGCCUUGCCAUUCCCUGAUGUAUGCAGAAUUUUUGUAUUUAAAUGCCCAGAGCUUAAGAAGCUGCCACUGGAUCUUGAAAGGGCAGGCCAAGGUAAAAUUCUUAUCAAGGGAAAGAAAGAUGGGUGGAAACAACUUCAAUGGGAGGAUCAAGUAACUCAGAAUGCAUUGCUUCCAUUUUUAAAAUCAACUCAGAAGUGAUUGAAGGGGGCGUCAUCAACAUGGAUGGAGAGAUUCUGGAGCAGAUCAGCGGGGUUUAGUACGACCUGUGGUGGUUUCUUUGUUGUGACUUUUUUCCCUUUCAUUUUUUUCACUUCCUGUCAUAUUAUCAUUUCUUUGUCUCUGUUUCUAUUGCUGGUGUUGCUGCAUGCUUGCCGUCCUUGACAAAGUUAGCUAGUUUUUUUUUUUGUUUAUUAAAUUUUGUAUGUUCGGUCGGGACAGUCACACAGUACUACUUGUUCUAUAUGGGGGUGAUGUGAAUCAACUUUUCAAUUAUAUAUUCUGUGGUAAUUGUGAAUUCAAUUUCAUUUGUCUCCUGCAAAUUAUGAAGAAAGUGCAGGGUAGAAUGUGGAACUUUUCACUGGCAAAUACUUUGUAAAAGCUUCGGAGUGAAACAGGAAAUGCACUUGCAACUAAGGACAAAUUGGUGGCCAGCUAAUGCAUUCAUUUUAUGUACAUUCAUCAUUUUAAUUAUUAAAGAUAAGUGGUUCGUUGCUUUUGUUGUAGAUAAAAUUCAGACGACCUCAAUUGUGAGAUGACAAUAUUUAAAAUAUCUCUUAAAUUAUUAUAAAUUUAAUUUAUCUUAAUUUUAUUUAAAAGAUAAAAGAAAAAUGUGGUAUAUGGAUAAAAAAAUUUUAUCUUAAUAAAAUGAAAUAAAUUAAAUUACAAUAAUUUAAAAUAUUUAAAAAUAUUAUUUGAUAAGAAUUAAUAUGAAAUUAAUCGUUUUUACUUUUUGAACGUGAAAGGACAAGAAAAAAGAAAGCAAGUGUCACUGCUUUUUAUUUUAUUUGAAAUUGGAGUUAUCCCAUAUACUUUACUACUUUAGCUCUAAGAUUACAAUGUUUUUAGGCAACACUUUUAUUUUUCUCUUUCCCCCUUUUUUUGUACAUGCAUGUGGAUUAUUUUUCUCUAAGCUCCUUAAUAUUUAAGACAAAUCAUAAAAGCGAUUGAAGUAUAACAGAUGAUCAAAUAUUUAACUAAAAAAAGAAAAAGAAAUAAAACACUGAAAAUGGAGACGUUGAUUAAUUUAGAAGAGAUCCAAGCAAAAGAUAUUCCCAAAAAGAAAAAAAAGAAGAAGCAAUGUAUCCCUUUAGAGGGCAAACUUAUUAGUUUUAAAAAAGUACACGCUUUGGAUUGAUGGUUGCAGGAUAUUUGUUUUUUGACACCUAUAUUAGUUGGAAAAGUCGACCGUAGUGGAGAAUGUUAUGAAAGAGAGCAAAGGAUAUUUUUAACAGUGCUCUAUUUGAUUAUACGCAUUCAUUGAAUGGAAGAUAUAUGACUGCGUUAGUUCAUCCAUGUCUGUCAAUUUCGUUUUUUAUGGUUUUUUUUUCCAGUUGUUUGUUGUAAUAGAUUGAUUGUAAAUUGAUAUUAACUUGAUGUUGUAAUAUGUUCGCUUUUGUGGAAUUAAAUUUGAAUAUUCAAGAUUAUUCAAGUCUUAUCUAGUAUGUUUUCAAUUGUGUUGUCGAUAAUUUUGCAUUCGAAUAAGUUUCACCUAAAAUAUUAGCAUGAGUAGUAGUCCUUGAGACUUUGGUCAAAAUUAUUGUUAUUGUUUGUUUUAGAGGAAAUUUUUUUAUUAAAGCCUCGUUAACACUAUUACUUAUUAAGAUUAUAAGUUAGUGUCGGUGCAGGAUUUGCAGCAACAAAUCUUGUCUAGCCACGUGUCAAAAGUAUAAAUAAAUCAAGGGAAAGCACAUGACAUGUUGAGCUGGCAAAACGGGUCAUCGAGUCAUGUUCGUGUCGUGUCAAAUUUAGGUCGACCCAAACCCGACCCAUUUAAUAAUCGUGUCAAAAUAUUGAGACCCAAACCUGACACGAAAAAUAAUCGGGUUACCCAAUAACCCGCUUAAUAUCUAUAUAUUAAACAAAAGUUACAUCAAAUAUUUACACUUUGUCAUACAUAUGUAUGCACAUACAUACAUACAUACAUACAUACAUACAUACAUACAUACAUACUUUAUCACUAUUAUAAAAUAUACAUAUCUACUAAAAUAUUACACACACUAUUAAGGUUUUAAUUAUAUAUAUGUAAAUAAUAUUGUAUAUCAAUAUUAUAAAUAUACAUGUCUACCAAUAUUUUAUACAUUUAAACUAUUAAAGCUCUAAAUGUAUUUAAAAUUUUAUAAAUAAAAUAUUGUGUCUAUAUUCAUCCUUUUAAAGAAAAAAAUUAUCUCUAAUAUUUGAGUUUUGAUGACAAGAAUCUGUAAAUUAUUUUAAAAUAAAAAAUAUAAUCGGGUCAUUAAUCGGGUAAAUGGGUCAAGAAUUUUAACCCUAACCCGACACGGAAAAAAAUCGUGUUGACCCGGACCCGACCCAUUUAAUAAUCAUGUUAAAUUCGACGACCCAUACCCAUUUGUUAGUGUUGUGUUCGUGUCGGAUAAUCGGGUCGUGUCAAAUUUUGCCAACUAUAAUGACAUGGAUUAGGAUCCAAUAAAAAGGAAAAGGAUAACUGUAUCCUAAAGUUUCAAUAAGAGAUACUAAGAUAUCUUUUGACUAAUGUUAUUUUUUGACUUUAUUAAUAAAGAUCAUAGUUUUUAUUAACAAAUAAAAAUUAGUAUUAAGCUAAAUGUGAUAAUUUACACAUUUUUACAUAAUUACAAUAAAAAAUAUAUUUUAAUGUUUUUACAUCUAUCAGACAUAUUUUUAUUAAAUUAAUAAGAUUUUCUUACAAAUAGCAACAUAAUAUUAAAAUAAAUUUAUAAAGAUUUAAUGUUAAAAUUAUUUUAGUAUAAUUAAUACGUGGGAUAUAUUUUGUAAAUUAUAAAAUUACUUUAACCCAAUGAUUUUUAAAAUCUUAAAAUAAUAAAAAUAAAUUAUUCACAUUUUGAUGUAAAUAUUUAAACAUUUUUAUACAUUUGUCCACAAUUAUUUAUGUUAUAUUUGUAUUUAUUAGAAAUUUUUGAAAGUCAAAUGUUUUUCACCUCUAUCUUAUUAGAAUUAUUGCACACAGAGAAAGAGCCAUAUAUGCUUUUAUAGCUUUAAAAUCGGUUUGUUUUAUAGCUGGGAACAGAGAUGAUCAUUUAUUAUAAGGAUUAAAAAAAGAUAAGAAUAUUAAUGAUUAACGAAUCUUUAUGGAAAUUGAAUUUAGUAAGAAAAAAAAUGAGCUGAUUUUAGUGGCUAUAGUAAUAUUUUAUAUAGAGAAAAAGUAAAAGUUUGCACCCCGAAUGUCAAAACUCUUUUUUAAUUAUAAUAUUAUUUUUCCUAGAUAACUUAAAAUUUGACUCUAAUAUUUAUAAUAAAUAAAAACAUAUAAUCCUAAAAUAAUUAAAAUAAUAUAUAUUUUAAAAUAAUCUCAAUAUUUAAAUAUAUUUUAACAUUUUAUAGUCUAUCAGAUAUUUAUUUUAUUUUUUAAAGUAAAUUUUAUAAUAAAUACAAACAUACUAUUAAAAUAGAUAAUAAAUUUUUAAAGUUAUUUUGAAUAUUAUAUAAAAUAACUUAAUAUUGUUAAUGCGUGAGAUGCAUUUUAUUAAUUAAAAAUUCUAUUUACCCAAAGAUUUAUUUAUAAUAAAUUAAUAAUCAUAUUUUUAAAAUUAUUUUAAAUAUUAAAAAUAUUUUAAUAUUACUAACUAUUAGACAGACUAAACUAUUUAUAUUAUUUUCUAUUUAUUAUAAAUUUCAAAGUUAAUCUUUUUUAACUAGUAUUCAAAAGAUAUUAUGAUCAAAACAGAAUUUUUGUGUUUUUAUGAAAAAUUUAGAGUUUACAUCUAUUUUUUCAAAUAUUCGGGGUGUAAAUGUUUUUCCCCUUUUAUAUAUACGAACCGGUGGUGAGAAAGCAUGAUUUACGUUAUUUAUUUAAAUAAAAUCUCAGUUAAAAAUGUAAAGAGAAGAAAUUUCUGUUGGUAUUUUAGUCUUUUACCAAUUAUCAUGAUUAGGCCUUGGCCUUGAAACAUUAAUUGUUUCACUUUUAGCGCUAGUGUCGUUGAAAGUUGUCAAGAAAAAGCAAGACCAUAUUCCACAAAAGCAAAAGUAACGUAGGCUCUUUUAUAAAAGGCAAAGAAAGUAUAAAGUAGUCAAGAAUCGAAUAUCCUGUCGUCUACUCUUUUUUAAAUUCUUCUUUUAUUAUCUUUUAGAAUAGUUUUUGGUAAUUACAAUCAUUAUUCAGAGUUAUUGUUAUCUUCCGGGGCAGUCUCUGUUCAUCGAAGUCGUUACCUUUUUUUUAUGGAUCAGUUCCAGUGCUAAGCAGUAAUUUUCUUAGAACUCGGAUCUUUUAAUUCGAGUUUAUGUGUGAAUUAAUAAUAAAAAAUUUUCAUUACACGCAAUUUAAGCUACGAAUUACUUUUUGCAAAGUUGAAUAUGAAAUUGGAGAAAUUAAGUAAUUUAGAAUGUUGGUAAAAUUGACAAACAUAUCUCUAAUUACAGUAAAAACCUCUCUAUAGUCAUAACAUUAUAACAAAAUUAAUUUUAUUACUAUGUUGAGGUAAUAUAGGUUUAGUUACAAAAUUAUUGUUUUAAUAUGGUUAGUGUCAAGUGAUAUAAAGGUUAAAUAUGCAGUACAAUGAUAAUUAAAUAAUGAAGCGUGUCAAUUCUAAUGUAUAUAUAUUAAUGAUAUAGAUAGACAUAGUUUCAAAAAACUAAUUAAUGUAUAUUUAUGUAGUGUUAUGAAUAUGGAAAGUCAAGCCUACACUUUACUUAUCCUUAGUUUUUUCUCUUAGUUAAAUUCUACAAAUAUUGUACAAUGAUUGGGCAAGAACUCUAAAUUAAGAAUAAAUUAUUGUCACAAAUAAUUUACAAAAUAUUUUAUUUCGUCUUAAACCUUUAAUAUAAGUAAACAUAUAUAUUAUAUAUAUAUAUAUAUAUAUACCAGAAGGAAAUAGGAUCGAAGGAUGGGUGUGUAUUGAAGAUGCUUCUUAUUGAUUGCUUUAAUGAAAUAAUUGGAUCGCGGUUGUUCAGAUUUUUAUAUAAGAUUACCAGCUUUAGAUUAAGUAGAUUUGUUUUAGAGCAUACAAUGAUCAAACAAAUUUGAACGCGGUUGGUCAAAUUUUUUAGAAUAUUUAAAGUACGUGGCGUUGUUAGACCAGAUCGAUCGCAGAAGUUAAUCUGCCUUUGGACCCAGAUCUGACUUAGAACAGAUCAAUAGUCCGCACGUUCGGGUUUCCAGCCUAUAUACUUUAAUAUAUUUACCAGAUAAAAUUAAGUUGCUUUAAACGUGGUUGUUUCUUUUUAUUGGGCUAAUUCCAGAUUUAAAUUAGAUUCUUUAAGGGGCUUGGGUACAUACACAGUACCAGAUCCGGAUCCCGGAAAUGGUGCUCUGAAGGAAUGGAGGAAGAAGAGAAGAUUUACAACUGAGGAUCGAGAUCCGGUCUCUUUGCCUCAGAGGAACGUACAAAUUUUAUGGCAGAUCUGAUAAAGACCAGUCUGCUUUGCAUGCUUUGAAAAGAAAAUUGCUUUAAAAAUAAAUUGCUUUAAUGUAAAUAUGCAUGAAAUUAAAUUGCAGAAAAGUAAAUUGCGAAAAUUUAAAUUACAUCGAAAUUAAAUAACUGAAAUUUAAACAUACAUCUUUGCUUUGAUAGUCUUGGUCUUUACAAUUUUCAAAUCUUUCCUGAAGGGAAGAUUGAAAGACGGGAAGAUUACAAGACAGGAAUGGUUUCCUUGAUGUCUUGAUCCAGACUUCCCAAGAGAGAGAGAGAGAGAGAGAGAGAUCUAGAGAGAAGGAGGAGAAGAAGAGAAAAAUGAAAAACCUGAGGAGUCUGAGUCUUCCUCUUGGUUUAUAUACAAAAUUUUGUAAACUGUUCACUGUAGCGGAGCUUUGAGUGCACAGUAAUCUUUGGAAUUUUGCACUGUUCACUGUAGCGGAGUUUUGAGUGCACAGUAAUCUUUGGAUCGUAGCUUUGAAUAGUAGGCUGACCGUAGCUUUGAACAGUAGACUACUUUGUACAAAAAUUGAAAUACAUAAUGAAAUACAACACGGGUGAAGAGACAUGUGCGCUCUCACUUGUGUCCAAGGGACCACCCGAGAGAAAAUUACUCUUUUCUUUUUUUUUUUUUUUUUUUUUUUUUUUUUAAGUAAAUAACCAAAUAAUUAUUUACAAUGCUUUAUAGGAGAAAAAAUGCCGAAACAAUCAUCUUCAUUUUCGUCUCCAAGAGAAAUGAAGGGCUCUUCAUCUUCAUCAUCGUCUUCGUCUUCAGAGGUGUCAGCUACUGAUGACUUUGAACGGGAGGCGAGGAGCUGUUCCAUUGCUUUGAAGUAUUCCUCUUCUGUCUUGGCACUUGCCAAAAGAGACUGGGCUUUGGAUUUUUGGGUUAAGAAGGUCUGUUGGGCUUUAGAGGCUUCUAGGGUUGGUUGGAGAAGGUUUUUAGAGGAGAGCCAAUCUUUGAUCAUGUUAACAGUCAGUUUGGACUGUUCAUCAAAUUUUGACCACCAUUUGACUUUAAAGGUUCUUUGAAGGAUGACUUGGGAAUCUUGAGUAUGAAAACGGAGGUUCCACAUCCAGACCCAUGGUAGGAAGAAGUUUGUACAAAAACAGAGAAAGGGGGGAAAUCUUUUCUCUGAGUCAGAGGGCAUAUAGUGGGCUUUAAAGAGGUUUAGGCAAUUUAUGGCAUUUGGAGUGAGGAUUUGAGGUAUUGGGCCAAAGAAAUUCCACCAAUGAUGGAACCAGUUUGGAAGGCUUUGGACGGUUAUUUUAGGGUUAAAGAAAAAUAACCAAGAAUGGGAUUUUUUAGGGUUUUGAAUAAAAAAGGUGUUAUACCAUGCUUGUUGGUAAUCCCAGUAGGAGAAAGUCCGACAAUGUGGUAAACGGGUUUCAAAGUUUAAAGGAAAGGUUUUGAAAUUGUGGAGUAGGUCGCCCCACUGGUUCGGGCUCAAAACUUUUAGAAUCGUGGCCGUGGAAUAGGCCGGUUCAGAAUGGGUUUUAUCAAGAAAGAAAUGUUUGAAUUUAACUGAUUCAGUUAUUUCUAAAAUGCUUUGAUAAUAAGACUGGGGUUUUGUCAAAUCCCAUGGUUUGAAAAACCAGCCUUUGGGAAAAAACUUUGAAAUGCUUUGAAAAGGAUCAGUAUGGUAAAAUCCAUCUUCCAUAGAAAGAAUAUUUUGAAAAUGGGUUUUAUCAAACCAAUCGGAGGUUUUCUUUGAAGGUGUUGGCUGAGAAAGCACAAUUUGGGAAGAUGAGCUUUCGGCAGAGACAACAACAUUUUGAGAGGAGGGUUUUGUAAUUUCUUUAGAUGUGGAUAUGCUCUUAAUUUCUUUUUGAGGAGAAUUUUGGCUCUGGGAAAGGUUUUGUAGAGCGAGCAUGAGCUCGGGAGAUUUUGUAAUGGAACUCAUCCAAUGCUUUACUUGAUCAUCAGAAGAGAUGGGUUUGUAUUGGGCUUCAUGUUCUUCAACCAAUUCAAUCCAUGAUUUGAUGGGUAGGGCAGAAGAAAGUAAUUUUUCUUUAGAAGGGGUUGACUGGGGUUCUUUGGAAGGUUCUUGAGAUCCGGAACUUUUGAGAACAGCUUUACCUUUGUCUUUCUUUAGCGGCAUUAUCUGUUUUGAAGAAAUUCUCUGGUUAGAAAAUCAGGAACAGAAUUUUUAUCACCUUUAAUGAAUUCUAUAUCAAAAUCAAAAACACUCAAAAUAGCUUGCCAACGUGCAAAAAUUUGUUUUGAUGCAAUGUUUUGAACAUCCUUUUCUAAAACAUGUUUUGCAGCUUUGCAAUCAAUUCUAAGUAAAAAUUUUUGAUUUAAUAAAUCACUUUGAAAUUUUGUAAUGCAUAAAACAAUGGAAAGAAUUUCUUUUUUAAUAGUAGAAUAAUUUUUCUGACAAUCAUUCCAAUGUGCAGAAACAUAUUGUACUAUCUGUUCUCUAUCAUUUUCUUUUUGUUUUAAUAUACCUCCAUAUCCUAAAUCAGAUGCAUCAGUUUCAACAAUUUUAGGGAAUGCAGGAUUUGCAAGAUAUAGACAUGGGAUGCUUUUAACAGAACUCUUUAUUAAUUUAACAGCUUUAGUAUGUUCAUCUGUCCAUGGAGCAGGUUUUUUCUUUAAACGAUCAUGCAAAGGUUUAGACAACCUAUUGAUAUUGGGACAGAAAUCAAGAACAUAAUUUAGGCUACCAAGAAAUCUUUGUAAUUGAGUUUUGUCAAGGAUUUUAUCAGGGAAUUUAUCAGCAAAUAAAAGUGAUCUUUCAAUAGGGGUGAUUGUUCCUUUUGAAAUAUAGUGACCAAGAAAUCUGAUUUUCGUUUGAAAUAAUGAAAUCUUUGAACUAGAAAGGGCUAGUCCAGCCUUUUUUGUAGCAAAAUAAAAAGUCUUUAAAUGUUUGAAAUGUUGAUCGAUUGAAUUUGAAAAUAUCAAAACAUCAUCAAUAUAAACAAUGCAAAAAUCAGAAUAAGGAUUAUAAAUAUCAUUCAUAAUUCUUUGAAAUUCUGAGGGUGCAUUCUUUAAACCAAAGGGCAUAACAGUCCAUUCGUAUUGUCCAAAUGGAACAGUGAAAGCGGUUUUGUAACGGUCAUUUGGAUGAAUUUGAAUUUGCCAAAAACCCGAUUUCAUGUCGAAUUUUGAAAAAAAUAAAGGCAGAACAGAGUUUUUGGAGUAAAUCUUUUUUAUUAGGUAUAGGAUACCUAAUCCAUUUUAAAGCUUUAUUCAAAGGUUUGUAGUUUAUAACUAGUCUUGGAGUGCCUCUUUCAAUUUCGGAGUUUUUGUUAACAUAAAAAGCAGCACAAGACCAAGGAGACCUGGAUUUUACAAUGAGUCCUUUAGACUCCAAGUCUUUGAUUUCAUUUUUACAAUGUUUUUCUAAAUCCAUAUUCAUUUGAAUUGGACGAGCUUUGGUCGGAAUCUGUUUUUCAUCAAAAGAAUUUUCAUAAGGCAGGUCUACUAAAUGUUGUUUUCUAUUCCAAAAAGCAGAAGGUAGAUCAGCACAAAUUUCUUUUUCAAUAAGAGUUUUGAAAUCAGAAAUUUUUCUUUUAAUGAAAUCACUUUGUAAUUGGCUUUCAACUCUUUGUAAGUUCAAAUCUUUUUGUAAAAACAUUAGAUCACACUGUUUUGAUUUAAGUAAAUUGUUUAUUCUAUUUUGAUAAAUAGAACAGGCUUUAACAAUAUUUAAAUUUCUUGUUUUAGGUUUUUCAAUAAAAGGGAAAACAAGUUUCUUGUUUUUUGCUUUGAAAGAUAUACUAUCAUAAUUGACAGUAUACGGAGUUAUGAGAUUUAUAAAAGGAGUUCCCAAAAUAAUGGCAUGAUGAAUAUCAUUUGUGAGAACAAAGGAAGUUUUAAAAUCAAAACCAUCAUUAUAGAUCGAGGCUUCAACCUUGGAACUGACAUUCAAUUUUGAAUUAUUGGCGGCAGAAAGCCUUUCUUUUGUUUUUUCAUGAAAUCUUUUGGGGACGAUAUCUUCUCUAAUGCAAUUUAAAUCGGCGCCAGUAUCAAAAAGGGCAAUGGCGUCCAUCGCAAAAUCAUCAGAAAAGAUUAGAGUGACUUUAAUCAAAUACUUUCUUGUGGUGAUUUGUUUUAGAACAAAUAGAAAAUCAUUGGGUACAGACUCAAUAUUUUCUACUUUAAUAUCAUCACCAUCAAUAUCAGGACUGGAUUCAUUGUCUGAAUUAUCCUGUAAUUGCUUUUGUAAAAGAAGUUGAAUAAUAUCAGAAUCACUUUUUUGUUUUUCUUUUAAAUCUCUGAUUUCACUUUUGAUUUCUUUUAUCUCUUUCUGAAGAUCUUGGAUAUUAGGAAUCAUCUUUUUUGUUUUCUUCUUAUCCAAAAUUUGAGUAAGAUCAUAAGAAUUCUUUUUAAUAAUUGGGACUCUAGAAGUCUCGGCUUUAUUAAAAUCCAAUGUUUUCAAAAGUUUAUCAAGGUAUUCCUUUUGAAGAUUUGGAUCAGAAAUAUGCUUUACAAGUUCAAGAAAAGUUUCUUGGUCUUUAGUCAAAACAUUGAUUUUCUUUAAAAAUGAAUCAGAUUCAGAAUCACUACUGCUAGAUGCAGAGUCAUCUGAGUCAAAAAGCUCAUCAACUUGGUAAGGGUCACUGUCUCCCGACAUGGAAGACUCAGAAUCAGAAGAUUCGACAAGAAGAGGGGCUAUUUUAGAAAGGAUGUCCUCAUUGAGGUCAAGUUCUUGGAGUCUUUUGUUCAUUCUGCAAAAUUUUGCAGUAUGACCUUUCAUACCACAUUUGAAACAUGUGGCCUCCUUGAAGUUGAAUGGGGUAUUAGGUUUGGCUUUGAAAUCUUUCUUUUUAGAGAAACUAUGUCUCUUAUAAGGCUUCGAAGGUUUCUUAUAAGGAAGUUUUCUAAAAUCACGGAAGGGUUUUCUAAAAUGUUUAGAUUUGUAAUGUUUCUUACGAGGUUUUGUAGAACACUCUCCAUUACAAUCUUUGGAAGUUUUAAAGGGGUCAUAAUUGAAUUGCUUACAGAAACCGCCUAAUUCCUGUUUAGACUUCUUAAGCUCCCACUUAAGACGUUUCUGUAAUUUCAAAUCUUGACAAAUCUUUAAACCUUCUUUGUUGACAAAACUGACUAGUUCACCAUAGGUGAGCUCGUCAUAAGGAAUACGGUUAUCGUAAAGGGCUUUGAUGGAAUUUCUUACCUUUUCACCUAAAAGGGUAGGUAAUCCAGCAAGAAAUUUUUCUUUCCAAGUAAUAUGAUUUGCAUCAUCCCUUAGAAAUAGUCUGGUAAGGAAAGAGGUUUUGUAACUCUGAAAUUCACUAAGUUUUCUACAUCUCAAAUUAUGUAGUAACUCAGCGUUUUUAUCACGAAGGUGAGAAGGGUCACCGAUGAAAUGGAGGGAAAUGGUUAGAAUAAGAGUAGCAACAGCAUCCUGGAUAGGGUUGUUGAACUCAUCAAGAAUAGAGGCUCCAUUUUCAUCUUUUUGGACGGAAUUUAGAAUGUCAAAUUGUUGCUGAUUAGUGAGAAGAUGAUCCCACCAACCUUUUAGUUGACCAGUAAAACCAGCAAUUAGGAUUUCCGAUAUGGCACGAUCAGAAGUUCCUGCUUGGGUUUUAUAAGCAUUAGCUGCCAUUGUCAUUUGUUGCAACAAUCCAAGGAUAUUGUACUCAGACAUGCCGUCAAUAUUCCACUCAUAGACUGAAGAUGCAUUAUAACGGGAUUGAUUUAAUGCACUAGGUCUAUUAUCUAUUGCUAGAUCUGGUGGGGUCUUGACAGUGGGAAGGGCUAAUUCCCAGUGGAUUUUGUUGGCUUUAGGAGUAGAAGGUUCUUCUUUGAAAGCUUCUAAGUCAGAAGAGGCUAUAGAACUCUGGUCAUCUAGAUCCAAUACUCCAAUCUUGCUAGAUUGGGGGGUAUCGGGGGCUAUCUGGAGUUUGCUAGACGAGGAAGAAGCAGCUUCUAUCCUCUCUAGUUGUUCUCUAAUGGCUUUAGCAAAAUCUGAUUUUGACUCUUGAACAAGCCUUUGGCUAGUUUUCGAAACCUGAAAAGGUUUGAAAAUAGGUUCCUUAAGCUUUUUGUCAGAAUCCGAUUUUGAAGGAAUAGACAUAGGAAUAGGAGAAACAGAUAUAGGAGAUUUUUGAAAUUGGUUUUCUAUACGAGCCAAUUGCUUUCCAAUUGUAUUUAAGUUAGUAUUACAGAAAUUAUUCUGUUGUAUAAUACUACUUAAAUUCGCAUCAGAAUCAUUUGGUCUUGGGAUUUUGUAAGGGGAUGCUUUAAUCUCAAUAGGAGGUUCACCAUGAUCUAUGGUUAUACUCCUAAGAGGUGGAUGAUCAGACUCUAUAAUCCUAUCAUUAUCAGAAAGUUUCCAUUCAGGAAUUUUCUUUCUAAUAGUUAUAGGGUUUGACUCUUUAAAAGGAUAAUCAAUAUUGUUCUCAGAAGAAUAUAUUUCGAACCAAUCAAAAAACAAUAUAUGAACUUUAUGAAAAUUCACAAAUUCAUAAUAAGUUUGUUGGAUUUCUUUUCUUUGGUUUAAAAAAUGUUUAAAAAACCAAGUUCUUUUUUCUUUAUUUAUUUCUGAAUAAAAAUCGUUAUGCAGAAAGGCUUUAUCUAAUUCAAAUUCUUUUUCAAUGACAUUAAUGACAUUUUCUGUGACAGCAGAAAACGUAGGAGAUGUUGGAGGAGAAGGUUCCUUCUCUUCCUGUCUUUGCACAUGUUGACUACUAGUGUAUAUAGGAUGAGGAACACUUGUGGCAUAGUCAACGGAACGGAUGGAGGAGCUAGGUAUAUCCGAAGUGGAAAACCUAGGUUGGCUCUGAUAUGGGAGAUUUAUAACAGAAGGUACUUUUGUAAACUUCCUUUCUAGUGAAGGAAUGCUUGGGCUCGAUUCUUUUUCAGAAAAUCUAUGUGAGGUAGACCUUCUGAAUGAUAGUUUGACUUUACCAUCGGAAUACUGGGUCACAUUUUGUAACUCUGUAUUUGGCUCAAGUUGUUUCGGAAUCGCCGGUGGGGCGGCUCCUUCGAGGAUCCAUUCAUCUGGAAGAUGGAUAUCUUUCCAUUGGAUCGAUUUUGGAAUGACCAUGUUGGCUUUAGACAAAUCAGUCUGCAAGAGAAGGGUCUCAUCUCUCUUCGACUGGUAUUUAUGCUGUGUGCUAAAUGCAGAAAUCAUGGCUUUAUAGGAAAUUUUAAAAAUUAAUGCAACUGGGAUGGAUCCCUUAAUCAUGUGAUAAUUAUGGGUUUGGAUUUGUAAAAUCAUGCUCUUUAAAAUAUUUUUGUCUUUAAGAGAAAUUGUUAUAUUGUUAAAGCAGUGCCAAGGGGAGGUUUUUGGCACUCCCCUUUUGGCUUAAGGCGCUUACCACUCGCCCUAAAAGCUUAAGCUGUUAGGGGAAGGCGCUACUUUAUACUUAAGCGCCACCCGGACCAAACCAGGUAACGUCUCCACGUUAUGCCACGACAUCGUGACCCCAUCUCGGCCCCACAAGCGCGGGGUAGGUGUAUAGGAGUCACCACAAGGGUGCGGGCCCCAGUUCCAGUACUGGGAUAAUAUAUUAAGCCCAUUCCUCCCCCCCGAGUUUCGAACCCUGGCUGGCUCUGAUACCAACUUAAGGCGCUUACCACUCGCCCUAAAAGCUUAAGCUGUUAGGGGAAGGCGCUACUUUAUACUUAAGCGCCACCCGGACCAAACCAGGUAACGUCUCCACGUUAUGCCACGACAUCGUGACCCCUUCAGAUUUUAUAUAAGAUUACCAGCUUUAGAUUAAGUAGAUUUGUUUUAGAGCAUACAAUGAUCAAACAAAUUUGAACGCGGUUGGUCAAAUUUUUAGAAUAUUUAAAGUACGUGGCGUUGUUAGACCAGAUCGAUCGCAGAAGUUAAUCUGCCUUUGGACCCAGAUCUGACUUAGAACAGAUCAAUAGUCCGCACGUUCGGGUUUCCAGCCUAUAUACUUUAAUAUAUUUACCAGAUAAAAUUAAGUUGCUUUAAACGUGGUUGUUUCUUUUUAUUGGGCUAAUUCCAGAUUUAAAUUAGAUUCUUUAAGGGGCUUGGGUACAUACACAGUACCAGAUCCGGAUCCCGGAAAUGGUGCUCUGAAGGAAUGGAGGAAGAAGAGAAGAUUUACAACUGAGGAUCGAGAUCCGGUCUCUUUGCCUCAGAGGAACGUACAAAUUUUAUGGCAGAUCUGAUAAAGACCAGUCUGCUUUGCAUGCUUUGAAAAGAAAAUUGCUUUAAAAAUAAAUUGCUUUAAUGUAAAUAUGCAUGAAAUUAAAUUGCAGAAAAGUAAAUUGCGAAAAUUUAAAUUACAUCGAAAUUAAAUAACUGAAAUUUAAACAUACAUCUUUGCUUUGAUAGUCUUGGUCUUUACAAUUUUCAAAUCUUUCCUGAAGGGAAGAUUGAAAGACGGGAAGAUUACAAGACAGGAAUGGUUUCCUUGAUGUCUUGAUCCAGACUUCCCAAGAGAGAGAGAGAGAGAGAGAGAGAUCUAGAGAGAAGGAGGAGAAGAAGAGAAAAAUGAAAAACCUGAGGAGUCUGAGUCUUCCUCUUGGUUUAUAUACAAAAUUUUGUAAACUGUUCACUGUAGCGGAGCUUUGAGUGCACAGUAAUCUUUGGAAUUUUGCACUGUUCACUGUAGCGGAGUUUUGAGUGCACAGUAAUCUUUGGAUCGUAGCUUUGAAUAGUAGGCUGACCGUAGCUUUGAACAGUAGACUACUUUGUACAAAAAUUGAAAUACAUAAUGAAAUACAACACGGGUGAAGAGACAUGUGCGCUCUCACUUGUGUCCAAGGGACCACCCGAGAGAAAAUUACUCUUUUCUUUUUUUUUUUUUUUUUUUUUUUUUUUUUUUAAAGUAAAUAACCAAAUAAUUAUUUACAAUGCUUUAUAGGAGAAAAAAUGCCGAAACAAUCAUCUUCAUUUUCGUCUCCAAGAGAAAUGAAGGGCUCUUCAUCUUCAUCAUCGUCUUCGUCUUCAGAGGUGUCAGCUACUGAUGACUUUGAACGGGAGGCGAGGAGCUGUUCCAUUGCUUUGAAGUAUUCCUCUUCUGUCUUGGCACUUGCCAAAAGAGACUGGGCUUUGGAUUUUUGGGUUAAGAAGGUCUGUUGGGCUUUAGAGGCUUUUAGGGUUGGUUGGAGAAGGUUUUUAGAGGAGAGCCAAUCUUUGAUCAUGUUAACAGUCAGUUUGGACUGUUCAUCAAAUUUUGACCACCAUUUGACUUUAAAGGUUCUUUGAAGGAUGACUUGGGAAUCUUGAGUAUGAAAACGGAGGUUCCACAUCCAGACCCAUGGUAGGAAGAAGUUUGUACAAAAACAGAGAAAGGGGGGAAAUCUUUUCUCUGAGUCAGAGGGCAUAUAGUGGGCUUUAAAGAGGUUUAGGCAAUUUAUGGCAUUUGGAGUGAGGAUUUGAGGUAUUGGGCCAAAGAAAUUCCACCAAUGAUGGAACCAGUUUGGAAGGCUUUGGACGGUUAUUUUAGGGUUAAAGAAAAAUAACCAAGAAUGGGAUUUUUUAGGGUUUUGAAUAAAAAAGGUGUUAUACCAUGCUUGUUGGUAAUCCCAGUAGGAGAAAGUCCGACAAUGUGGUAAACGGGUUUCAAAGUUUAAAGGAAAGGUUUUGAAAUUGUGGAGUAGGUCGCCCCACUGGUUCGGGCUCAAAACUUUUAGAAUCGUGGCCGUGGAAUAGGCCGGUUCAGAAUGGGUUUUAUCAAGAAAGAAAUGUUUGAAUUUAACUGAUUCAGUUAUUUCUAAAAUGCUUUGAUAAUAAGACUGGGGUUUUGUCAAAUCCCAUGGUUUGAAAAACCAGCCUUUGGGAAAAAACUUUGAAAUGCUUUGAAAAGGAUCAGUAUGGUAAAAUCCAUCUUCCAUAGAAAGAAUAUUUUGAAAAUGGGUUUUAUCAAACCAAUCGGAGGUUUUCUUUGAAGGUGUUGGCUGAGAAAGCACAAUUUGGGAAGAUGAGCUUUCGGCAGAGACAACAACAUUUUGAGAGGAGGGUUUUGUAAUUUCUUUAGAUGUGGAUAUGCUCUUAAUUUCUUUUUGAGGAGAAUUUUGGCUCUGGGAAAGGUUUUGUAGAGCGAGCAUGAGCUCGGGAGAUUUUGUAAUGGAACUCAUCCAAUGCUUUACUUGAUCAUCAGAAGAGAUGGGUUUGUAUUGGGCUUCAUGUUCUUCAACCAAUUCAAUCCAUGAUUUGAUGGGUAGGGCAGAAGAAAGUAAUUUUUCUUUAGAAGGGGUUGACUGGGGUUCUUUGGAAGGUUCUUGAGAUCCGGAACUUUUGAGAACAGCUUUACCUUUGUCUUUCUUUAGCGGCAUUAUCUGUUUUGAAGAAAUUCUCUGGUUAGAAAAUCAGGAACAGAAUUUUAUCACCUUUAAUGAAUUCUAUAUCAAAAUAAAAAACACUCAAAAUAGCUUGCCAACGUGCAAAAAUUUGUUUUGAUGCAAUGUUUUGAACAUCCUUUUCUAAAACAUGUUUUGCAGCUUUGCAAUCAAUUCUAAGUAAAAAUUUUUGAUUUAAUAAAUCACUUUGAAAUUUUGUAAUGCAUAAAACAAUGGAAAGAAUUUCUUUUUUAAUAGUAGAAUAAUUUUUCUGACAAUCAUUCCAAUGUGCAGAAACAUAUUGUACUAUCUGUUCUCUAUCAUUUUCUUUUUGUUUUAAUAUACCUCCAUAUCCUAAAUCAGAUGCAUCAGUUUCAACAAUUUUAGGGAAUGCAGGAUUUGCAAGAUAUAGACAUGGGAUGCUUUUAACAGAACUCUUUAUUAAUUUAACAGCUUUAGUAUGUUCAUCUGUCCAUGGAGCAGGUUUUUUCUUUAAACGAUCAUGCAAAGGUUUAGACAACCUAUUGAUAUUGGGACAGAAAUCAAGAACAUAAUUUAGGCUACCAAGAAAUCUUUGUAAUUGAGUUUUGUCAAGGAUUUUAUCAGGGAAUUUAUCAGCAAAUAAAAGUGAUCUUUCAAUAGGGGUGAUUGUUCCUUUUGAAAUAUAGUGACCAAGAAAUCUGAUUUUCGUUUGAAAUAAUGAAAUCUUUGAACUAGAAAGGGCUAGUCCAGCCUUUUUUGUAGCAAAAUAAAAAGUCUUUAAAUGUUUGAAAUGUUGAUCGAUUGAAUUUGAAAAUAUCAAAACAUCAUCAAUAUAAACAAUGCAAAAAUCAGAAUAAGGAUUAUAAAUAUCAUUCAUAAUUCUUUGAAAUUCUGAGGGUGCAUUCUUUAAACCAAAGGGCAUAACAGUCCAUUCGUAUUGUCCAAAUGGAACAGUGAAAGCGGUUUUGUAACGGUCAUUUGGAUGAAUUUGAAUUUGCCAAAAACCCGAUUUCAUGUCGAAUUUUGAAAAAAUAAAGGCAGAACAGAGUUUUUGGAGUAAAUCUUUUUAUUAGGUAUAGGAUACCUAAUCCAUUUUAAAGCUUUAUUCAAAGGUUUGUAGUUAUAACUAGUCUUGGAGUGCCUCUUUCAAUUUCGGAGUUUUUGUUAACAUAAAAAGCAGCACAAGACCAAGGAGACCUGGAUUUUACAAUGAGUCCUUUAGACUCCAAGUCUUUGAUUUCAUUUUUACAAUGUUUUUCUAAAUCCAUAUUCAUUUGAAUUGGACGAGCUUUGGUCGGAAUCUGUUUUUCAUCAAAAGAAUUUUCAUAAGGCAGGUCUACUAAAUGUUGUUUUCUAUUCCAAAAAGCAGAAGGUAGAUCAGCACAAAUUUCUUUUUCAAUAAGAGUUUUGAAAUCAGAAAUUUUUCUUUUAAUGAAAAUCACUUUGUAAUUGGCUUUCAACUCUUUGUAAGUUCAAAUCUUUUUGUAAAAACAUUAGAUCACACUGUUUUGAUUUAAGUAAAUUGUUUUAUUCUAUUUUGAUAAAUAGAACAGGCUUUAACAAUAUUUAAAUUUCUUGUUUUAGGUUUUUCAAUAAAAGGGAAAAACAAGUUUCUUGUUUUUGCUUUGAAAGAUAUACUAUCAUAAUUGACAGUAUACGGAGUUAUGAGAUUUAUAAAAGGAGUUCCCAAAAUAAUGGCAUGAUGAAUAUCAUUGUGAGAACAAAGGAAGUUUUAAAAUCAAAACCAUCAUUAUAGAUCGAGGCUUCAACCUUGGAACUGACAUUCAAUUUUGAAAUUAUUGGCGGCAGAAAGCCUUUCUUUUGUUUUUUCAUGAAAUCUUUUGGGACGAUAUCUUCUCUAAUGCAAUUUAAAUCGGCGCCAGUAUCAAAAAGGGCAAUGGCGUCCAUCGCAAAAUCAUCAGAAAAGAUUAGAGUGACUUUAAUCAAAUACUUUCUUGUGGUGAUUUGUUUUAGAACAAAUAGAAAAUCAUUGGGUACAGACUCAAUAUUUUCUACUUUAAUAUCAUCACCAUCAAUAUCAGGACUGGAUUCAUUGUCUGAAUUAUCCUGUAAUUGCUUUUGUAAAAGAAGUUGAAUAAUAUCAGAAUCACUUUUUUGUUUUUCUUUUAAAUCUCUGAUUUCACUUUUGAUUUCUUUUAUCUCUUUCUGAAGAUCUUGGAUAUUAGGAAUCAUCUUUUUUGUUUUCUUCUUAUCCAAAAUUUGAGUAAGAUCAUAAGAAUUCUUUUUAAUAAUUGGGACUCUAGAAGUCUCGGCUUUAUUAAAAUCCAAUGUUUCAAAAGUUUAUCAAAGGUAUUCCUUUUGAAGAUUUGGAUCAGAAAUAUGCUUUACAAGUUCAAGAAAAGUUUCUUGGUCUUUAGUCAAAACAUUGAUUUUCUUUAAAAAUGAAUCAGAUUCAGAAUCACUACUGCUAGAUGCAGAGUCAUCUGAGUCAAAAAGCUCAUCAACGUAAGGGUCACUGUCUCCGACAUGGAAGACUCAGAAUCAGAAGAUUCGACAAGAAGAGGGGCUAUUUUAGAAAGGAUGUCCUCAUUGAGGUCAAGUUCUUGGAGUCUUUUGUUCAUUCUGCAAAAUUUUGCAGUAUGACCUUUCAUACCACAUUUGAAACAUGUGGCCUCCUUGAAGUUGAAUGGGGUAUUAGGUUUGGCUUUGAAAUCUUUCUUUUUAGAGAAACUAUGUCUCUUAUAAGGCUUCGAAGGUUUCUUAUAAGGAAGUUUUCUAAAUCACGGAAGGGUUUUCUAAAAUGUUUAGAUUUGUAAUGUUUCUUACGAGGUUUUGUAGAACACUCUCCAUUACAAUCUUUGGAAGUUUUAAAGGGGUCAUAAUUGAAUUGCUUACAGAAACCGCCUAAUUCCUGUUUAGACUUCUUAAGCUCCCACUUAAGACGUUUCUGUAAUUUCAAAUCUUGACAAAUCUUUAAACCUCUUUGUUGACAAAACUGACUAGUUCACCAUAGGUGAGCUCGUCAUAAGGAAUACGGUUAUCGUAAAGGGCUUUGAUGGAAUUUCUUACCUUUUCACCUAAAAGGGUAGGUAAUCCAGCAAGAAAUUUUUCUUUCCAAGUAAUAUGAUUUGCAUCAUCCCUUAGAAAUAGUCUGGUAAGGAAAGAGGUUUUGUAACUCUGAAAUUCACUAAGUUUUCUACAUCUCAAAUUAUGUAGUAACUCAGCGUUUUUUAUCACGAAGGUGAGAAGGGUCACCGAUGAAAUGGAGGGAAAUGGUUAGAAUAAGAGUAGCAACAGCAUCCUGGAUAGGGUUGUUGAACUCAUCAAGAAUAGAGGCUCCAUUUUCAUCUUUUUGGACGGAAUUUAGAAUGUCAAAUUGUUGCUGAUUAGUGAGAAGAUGAUCCCACCAACCUUUUAGUUGACCAGUAAAACCAGCAAUUAGGAUUUCCGAUAUGGCACGAUCAGAAGUUCCUGCUUGGGUUUUAUAAGCAUUAGCUGCCAUUGUCAUUUGUUGCAACAAUCCAAGGAUAUUGUACUCAGACAUGCCGUCAAUAUUCCACUCAUAGACUGAAGAUGCAUUAUAACGGAUUGAUUUAAUGCACUAGGUCUAUUAUCUAUUGCUAGAUCUGGUGGGGUCUUGACAGUGGGAAGGGCUAAUUCCCAGUGGAUUUUGUUGGCUUUAGGAGUAGAAGGUUCUUCUUUGAAAGCUUCUAAGUCAGAAGAGGCUAUAGAACUCUGGUCAUCUAGAUCCAAUACUCCAAUCUUGCUAGAUUGGGGUAUCGGGGCUAUCUGGAGUUUGCUAGACGAGGAAGAAGCAGCUUCUAUCUCUCUAGUUGUUCUCUAAUGGCUUUAGCAAAAUCUGAUUUUGACUCUUGAACAAGCCUUUGGCUAGUUUUCGAAACCUGAAAAGGUUUGAAAAUAGGUUCCUUAAGCUUUUUGUCAGAAUCCGAUUUUGAAGGAAUAGACAUAGGAAUAGGAGAAACAGAUAUAGGAGAUUUUUGAAAUUGGUUUUCUAUACGAGCCAAUUGCUUUCCAAUUGUAUUUAAGUUAGUAUUACAGAAAUUAUUCUGUUGUAUAAUACUACUUAAAUUCGCAUCAGAAUCAUUUGGUCUUGGGAUUUUGUAAGGGGAUGCUUUAAUCUCAAUAGGAGGUUCACCAUGAUCUAUGGUUAUACUCCUAAGAGGUGGAUGAUCAGACUCUAUGAUCCUAUCAUUAUCAGAAAGUUUCCAUUCAGGAAUUUUCUUUCUAAUAGUUAUAGGGUUUGACUCUUUAAAAGGAUAAUCAAUAUUGUUCUCAGAAGAAUAUAUUUCGAACCAAUCAAAAAACAAUAUAUGAANNNNNNNNNNNNNNNNNNNNNNNNNNNNNNNNNNNNNNNNNNNNNNNNNNNNNNNNNNNNNNNNNNNNNNNNNNNNNNNNNNNNNNNNNNNNNNNNNNNNNNNNNNNNNNNNNNNNNNNNNNNNNNNNNNNNNNNNNNNNNNNNNNNNNNNNNNNNNNNNNNNNNNNNNNNNNNNNNNNNNNNNNNNNNNNNNNNNNNNNNNNNNNNNNNNNNNNNNNNNNNNNNNNNNNNNNNNNNNNNNNNNNNNNNNNNNNNNNNNNNNNNNNNNNNNNNNNNNNNNNNNNNNNNNNNNNNNNNNNNNNNNNNNNNNNNNNNNNNNNNNNNNNNNNNNNNNNNNNNNNNNNNNNNNNNNNNNNNNNNNNNNNNNNNNNNNNNNNNNNNNNNNNNNNNNNNNNNNNNNNNNNNNNNNNNNNNNNNNNNNNNNNNNNNNNNNNNNNNNNNNNNNNNNNNNNNNNNNNNNNNNNNNNNNNNNNNNNNNNNNNNNNNNNNNNNNNNNNNNNNNNNNNNNNNNNNNNNNNNNNNNNNNNNNNNNNNNNNNNNNNNNNNNNNNNNNNNNNNNNNNNNNNNNNNNNNNNNNNNNNNNNNNNNNNNNNNNNNNNNNNNNNNNNNNNNNNNNNNNNNNNNNNNNNNNNNNNNNNNNNNNNNNNNNNNNNNNNNNNNNNNNNNNNNNNNNNNNNNNNNNNNNNNNNNNNNNNNNNNNNNNNNNNNNNNNNNNNNNNNNNNNNNNNNNNNNNNNNNNNNNNNNNNNNNNNNNNNNNNNNNNNNNNNNNNNNNNNNNNNNNNNNNNNNNNNNNNNNNNNNNNNNNNNNNNNNNNNNNNNNNNNNNNNNNNNNNNNNNNNNNNNNNNNNNNNNNNNNNNNNNNNNNNNNNNNNNNNNNNNNNNNNNNNNNNNNNNNNNNNNNNNNNNNNNNNNNNNNNNNNNNNNNNNNNNNNNNNNNNNNNNNNNNNNNNNNNNNNNNNNNNNNNNNNNNNNNNNNNNNNNNNNNNNNNNNNNNNNNNNNNNNNNNNNNNNNNNNNNNNNNNNNNNNNNNNNNNNNNNNNNNNNNNNNNNNNNNNNNNNNNNNNNNNNNNNNNNNNNNNNNNNNNNNNNNNNNNNNNNNNNNNNNNNNNNNNNNNNNNNNNNNNNNNNNNNNNNNNNNNNNNNNNNNNNNNNNNNNNNNNNNNNNNNNNNNNNNNNNNNNNNNNNNNNNNNNNNNNNNNNNNNNNNNNNNNNNNNNNNNNNNNNNNNNNNNNNNNNNNNNNNNNNNNNNNNNNNNNNNNNNNNNNNNNNNNNNNNNNNNNNNNNNNNNNNNNNNNNNNNNNNNNNNNNNNNNNNNNNNNNNNNNNNNNNNNNNNNNNNNNNNNNNNNNNNNNNNNNNNNNNNNNNNNNNNNNNNNNNNNNNNNNNNNNNNNNNNNNNNNNNNNNNNNNNNNNNNNNNNNNNNNNNNNNNNNNNNNNNNNNNNNNNNNNNNNNNNNNNNNNNNNNNNNNNNNNNNNNNNNNNNNNNNNNNNNNNNNNNNNNNNNNNNNNNNNNNNNNNNNNNNNNNNNNNNNNNNNNNNNNNNNNNNNNNNNNNNNNNNNNNNNNNNNNNNNNNNNNNNNNNNNNNNNNNNNNNNNNNNNNNNNNNNNNNNNNNNNNNNNNNNNNNNNNNNNNNNNNNNNNNNNNNNNNNNNNNNNNNNNNNNNNNNNNNNNNNNNNNNNNNNNNNNNNNNNNNNNNNNNNNNNNNNNNNNNNNNNNNNNNNNNNNNNNNNNNNNNNNNNNNNNNNNNNNNNNNNNNNNNNNNNNNNNNNNNNNNNNNNNNNNNNNNNNNNNNNNNNNNNNNNNNNNNNNNNNNNNNNNNNNNNNNNNNNNNNNNNNNNNNNNNNNNNNNNNNNNNNNNNNNNNNNNNNNNNNNNNNNNNNNNNNNNNNNNNNNNNNNNNNNNNNNNNNNNNNNNNNNNNNNNNNNNNNNNNNNNNNNNNNNNNNNNNNNNNNNNNNNNNNNNNNNNNNNNNNNNNNNNNNNNNNNNNNNNNNNNNNNNNNNNNNNNNNNNNNNNNNNNNNNNNNNNNNNNNNNNNNNNNNNNNNNNNNNNNNNNNNNNNNNNNNNNNNNNNNNNNNNNNNNNNNNNNNNNNNNNNNNNNNNNNNNNNNNNNNNNNNNNNNNNNNNNNNNNNNNNNNNNNNNNNNNNNNNNNNNNNNNNNNNNNNNNNNNNNNNNNNNNNNNNNNNNNNNNNNNNNNNNNNNNNNNNNNNNNNNNNNNNNNNNNNNNNNNNNNNNNNNNNNNNNNNNNNNNNNNNNNNNNNNNNNNNNNNNNNNNNNNNNNNNNNNNNNNNNNNNNNNNNNNNNNNNNNNNNNNNNNNNNNNNNNNNNNNNNNNNNNNNNNNNNNNNNNNNNNNNNNNNNNNNNNNNNNNNNNNNNNNNNNNNNNNNNNNNNNNNNNNNNNNNNNNNNNNNNNNNNNNNNNNNNNNNNNNNNNNNNNNNNNNNNNNNNNNNNNNNNNNNNNNNNNNNNNNNNNNNNNNNNNNNNNNNNNNNNNNNNNNNNNNNNNNNNNNNNNNNNNNNUCAUGUCGAAUUUUGAAAAAUAAAGGCAGAACAGGUUUUUGGAGUAAAUCUUUUUUAUUAGGUAUAGGAUACCUAAUCCAUUUUAAAGCUUUAUUCAAAGGUUUGUAGUUUAUAACUAGUCUUGGAGUGCCUCUUUCAAUUUCGGAGUUUUUGUUAACAUAAAAAGCAGCACAAGACCAAGGAGACCUGGAUUUUACAAUGAGUCCUUUAGACUCCAAGUCUUUGAUUUCAUUUUUACAAUGUUUUUCUAAAUCCAUAUUCAUUUGAAUUGGACGAGCUUUGGUCGGAAUCUGUUUUUCAUCAAAAGAAUUUUCAUAAGGCAGAUCUACUAAAUGUUGUUUUCUAUUCCAAAAAGCAGAAGGUAGAUCAGCACAAAUUUCUUUUUCAAUAAGAGUUUUGAAAUCAGAAAAAUUUUUCUUUUAAUGAAAUCACUUUGUAAUUUGCUUUCAACUCUUUGUAAGUUCAAAUCUUUUUGUAAAAACAUUAGAUCACACUGUUUUGAUUUAAGUAAAUUGUUUAUUCUAUUUUGAUAAAUAGAACAGGCUUUAACAAUAUUUCAAAUUUCUUGUUUUAGGCUUUUCAAUAAAAGGGAAAACAAGUUUCUUGUUUUUUGCUUUGAAAGAUAUACUAUCAUAAUUGACAGUAUACGGAGUUAUGAGAUUUAUAAAAGGAGUUCCCAAAAUAAUGGCAUGAUGAAUAUCAUUUGUGAGAACAAAGGAAGUUUUAAAAUCAAAACCAUCAUUAUAGAUUGAGGCUUCAACCUUGGAACUGACAUUCAAUUUUGAAUUAUUGGCGGCAGAAAGCCUUUCUUUUGUUUUUUCAUGAAAUCUUUUGGGGACGAUAUCUUCUCUAAUGCAAUUUAAAUCGGCGCCAGUAUCAAAAAGGGCAAUGGCGUCCAUCGCAAAAUCAUCAGAAAAGAUUAGAGUGACUUUAAUCAAAUACUUUCUUGUGGUGAUUUGUUUUAGAACAAAUAGAAAAUCAUUGGGUACAGACUCAAUAUUUUCUACUUUAAUAUCAUCACCAUCAAUAUCAGGACUGGAUUCAUUGUCUGAAUUAUCCUGUAAUUGCUUUUGUAAAAGAAGUUGAAUAAUAUCAGAAUCACUUUUUUGUUUUUCUUUUAAAUCUCUGAUUUCACUUUUGAUUUCUUUUAUCUCUUUCUGAAGAUCUUGGAUAUUAGGAAUCAUUUUUUGUUUUCUUCUUAUCCAAAAUUUGAGUAAGAUCAUAAGAAUUCUUUUUAACAAUUGGGACUCUAGAAGUCUCGGCUUUAUUAAAAUCCAAUGUUUUCAAAAGUUUAUCAAGGUAUUCCUUUUGAAGAUUUGGAUCAGAAAUAUGUUUACAAGUUCAAGAAAAGUUUCUUGGUCUUUAGUCAAAACAUUGAUUUUCUUUAAAAAUGAAUCAGAUUCAGAAUCACUACUGCUAGAUGCAGAGUCAUCUGAGUCAAAAAGCUCAUCAACUUGGUAAGGGUCACUGUCUCCCGACAUGGAAGACUCAGAAUCAGAAGAUUCGACAAGAAGAGGGGCUAUUUUAGAAAGGAUGUCCUCAUUGAGGUCAAGUUCUUGGAGUCUUUUGUUCAUUCUGCAAAAUUUUGCAGUAUGACCUUUCAUACCACAUUUGAAACAUGUGGCCUCCUUGAAGUUGAAUGGGGUAUUAGGUUUGGCUUUGAAAUCUUUCUUUUUAGAGAAACUAUGUUCUUAUAAGGCUUCGAAGGUUUCUUAUAAGGAAGUUUUCUAAAAUCACGGAAGGGUUUUCUAAAAUGUUUAGAUUUGUAAUGUUUCUUACGAGGUUUUGUAGAACACUCUCCAUUACAAUCUUUGGAAGUUUUAAAGGGGUCAUAAUUGAAUUGCUUACAGAAACCGCCUAAUUCCUGUUUAGACUUCUUAAGCUCCCACUUAAGACGUUUCUGUAAUUUCAAAUCUUGACAAAUCUUUAAACCUUCUUGUUGACAAAACUGACUAGUUCACCAUAGGUGAGCUCGUCAUAAGGAAUACGGUUAUCGUAAAGGGCUUUGAUGGAAUUUCUUACCUUUUCACCUAAAAGGGUAGGUAAUCCAGCAAGAAAUUUUUCUUUCCAAGUAAUAUGAUUUGCAUCAUCCCUUAGAAAUAGUCUGGUAAGGAAAGAGGUUUUGUAACUCUGAAAUUCACUAAGUUUUCUACAUCUCAAAUUAUGUAGUAACUCAGCGUUUUUAUCACGAAGGUGAGAAGGGUCACCGAUGAAAUGGAGGGAAAUGGUUAGAAUAAGAGUAGCAACAGCAUCCUGGAUAGGGUUGUUGAACUCAUCAAGAAUAGAGGCUCCAUUUUCAUCUUUUUGGACGGAAUUUAGAAUGUCAAAUUGUUGCUGAUUAGUGAGAAGAUGAUCCCACCAACCUUUUAGUUGACCAGUAAAACCAGCAAUUAGGAUUUCCGAUAUGGCACGAUCAGAAGUUCCUGCUUGGGUUUUAUAAGCAUUAGCUGCCAUUGUCAUUUUGUUGCAACAAUCCAAGGAUAUUGUACUCAGACAUGCCGUCAAUAUUCCACUCAUAGACUGAAGAUGCAUUAUAACGGGAUUGAUUUAAUGCACUAGGUCUAUUAUCUAUUGCUAGAUCUGGUGGGGUCUUGACAGUGGGAAGGGCUAAUUCCCAGUGGAUUUUGUUGGCUUUAGGAGUAGAAGGUUCUUCUUUGAAAGCUUCUAAGUCAGAAGAGGCUAUAGAACUUGGUCAUCUAGAUCCAAUACUCCAAUCUUGCUAGAUUGGGGGUAUCGGGCUAUCUGGAGUUUGCUAGACGAGGAAGAAGCAGCUUCUAUCCUCUCUAGUUGUUCUCUAAUGGCUUUAGCAAAAUCUGAUUUUGACUCUUGAACAAGCCUUUGGCUAGUUUUCGAAACCUGAAAAGGUUUGAAAAUAGGUUCCUUAAGCUUUUUGUCAGAAUCCGAUUUUGAAGGAAUAGACAUGGAAUAGGAGAAACAGAUAUAGGAGAUUUUUGAAAUUGGUUUUCUAUACGAGCCAAUUGCUUUCCAAUUGUAUUUAAGUUAGUAUUACAGAAAUUAUUCUGUUGUAUAAUACUACUUAAAUUCGCAUCAGAAUCAUUUGGUCUUGGGAUUUUGUAAGGGGAUGCUUUAAUCUCAAUAGGAGGUUCACCAUGAUCUAUGGUUAUACUCCUAAGAGGUGGAUGAUCAGACUCUAUAAUCCUAUCAUUAUCAAAGUUUCCAUUCAGGAAUUUUCUUUCUAAUAGUUAUAGGGUUUGACUCUUUAAAAGGAUAAUCAAUAUUGUUCUCAGAAGAAUAUAUUUCGAACCAAUCAAAAAACAAUAUAUGAACUUUAUGAAAAUUCACAAAUUCAUAAUAAGUUUGUUGGAUUUCUUUUCUUUGGUUUAAAAAAUGUUUAAAAAACCAAGUUCUUUUUUCUUUAUUUAUUUCUGAAUAAAAAUCGUUAUGCAGAAAGGCUUUAUCUAAUUCAAAUUUUUUCAAUGACAUUAAUGACAUUUUCUGUGACAGCAGAAAACGUAGGAGAUGUUGGAGGAGAAGGUUCCUUCUCUUCCUGUCUUUGCACAUGUUGACUACUAGUGUAUAUAGGAUGAGGAACACUUGUGGCAUAGUCAACGGAACGGAUGGAGGAGCUAGGUAUAUCCGAAGUGGAAAACCUAGGUUGCUCUGAUAUGGGAGAUUUAUAACAGAAGGUACUUUUGUAAACUUCCUUUCUAGUGAAGGAAUGCUUGGGCUCGAUUCUUUUUCAGAAAAUCUAUGUGAGGUAGACCUUCUGAAUGAUAGUUUGACUUUACCAUCGGAAUACUGGGUCACAUUUUGUAACUCUGUAUUUGGCUCAAGUUGUUUCGGAUCGCCGGUGGGCGGCUCCUUCGAGGAUCCAUUCAUCUGGAAGAUGGAUAUCUUUCCAUUGGAUCGAUUUUGGAAUGACCAUGUUGGCUUUAGACAAAUCAGUCUGCAAGAGAAGGGUCUCAUCUCUCUUCGACUGUAUUUAUGCUGUGUGCUAAAUGCAGAAUCAUGGCUUUAUAGGAAAUUUUAAAAAUUAAUGCAACUGGGAUGGAUCCCUUAAUCAUGUGAUAAUUAUGGGUUUGGAUUUGUAAAAUCAUGCUCUUUAAAAUAUUUUUGUCUUUAAGAGAAAUUGUUAUAUUUGGAACAAUCAAAAGAUAUGGGACCUUUACAUAGACUAGAUUCGAUACUACUUAGUAAAGAAUCAUCAAAAGAGAUGAAUCGCCCAUCUCUAAGAACAGCAAGGAUAGAGGUAUCAAGCCUUCUUUGGUCAAAGGUUUUAUUCCUACUUGGAUUAAACCAAUGUGAAUAUAUUUGAAAUUCUUUUCUUUUAAUUUCUUUAAAGAUUUUUCUGAAAACAAAUAAAUUGUUUCAAAAGGCUCCGAAAGAGUUAUGUCUCUUUCUUCAGUUUUUAUAAUAUAAUCAUGUUUUAAAAGAUCAAGCAUUUUUGUUUUGUAAAUCUUUUCUUUGGAAAUUUUUGGAAGUUCCCAACAAUCAAUUGCUUUAUCAAAGUUUUCAAUAACGAAUUCUUCUGAACUCACAACAUGCUUUGAAUCACUAGUCUUCCCGGAAGAAGAGCUAGAAAAGGACGAUGUUCUACAGUGUAGAGGGUUCAUGGGUAAAAACCUAUGAUCUAUUUAGUGGUUUUGAAAGAAUGGCUACAGGUAUGGUUUUACAGCCCUAAACGGAAAACUUAUCCUUAGACGGGACUUACUACCAGUAAAAAUUCACCACAAAAACAAAACUUCAAAAUAAAACACAAGUUUUCAAAACACAAACUCUAACUGCUUUACACAAUCCUUUUGGCUUGAAAACUUGUGUUUUAUUUUGAAGUUUUGUUUUUUGGUGAAUUUUUACUGGUAGUAAGUCCCGUCUAAGGAUAAGUUUUCCGUUUAGGGCUGUAAAACCAUACCUGUAGCCAUUCUUUCAAAACCACUAAAUAGAUCAUAGGUUUUUACCCAUGAACCCUCUACACUGUAGAACAUCGUCCUUUUCUAGCUCUUCUUCCGGGAAGACUAGUGAUUCAAAGCAUGUUGUGAGUUCAGAAGAAUUCGUUAUUGAAACUUUGAUAAAGCAAUUGAUUGUUGGGAACUUCCAAAAAUUUCCAAAGAAAAGAUUUACAAAACAAAAAUGCUUGAUCUUUUAAAACAUGAUUAUAUUAUAAAAACUGAAGAAAGAGACAUAACUCUUUCGGAGCCUUUUGAAACAAUUUAUUUGUUUUCAGAAAAAUCUUUAAAGAAAUUAAAAGAAAAGAAUUUCAAAUAUAUUCACAUUGGUUUAAUCCAAGUAGGAAUAAAAAACCUUUGACCAAAGAAGGCUUGGAUACCUCUAUCCUUGCUGUUCUUAGAGAUGGGCGAUUCAUCUCUUUUGAUGAUUCUUUACUAAGUAGUAUCGAAUCUAGUCUAUGUAAAGGUCCCAUAUCUUUUGAUUGUUAUCCAAAUAUAACAAUUUCUCUUAAAGACAAAAAUAUUUUAAAGAGCAUGAUUUUACAAAUCCAAACCCAUAAUUAUCACAUGAUUAAGGGAUCCAUCCCAGUUGCAUUAAUUUUUAAAAUUUCCUAUAAAGCCAUGAUUUCUGCAUUUAGCACACAGCAUAAAUACCAGUCGAAGAGAGAUGAGACCCUUCUCUUGCAGACUGAUUUGUCUAAAGCCAACAUGGUCAUUCCAAAAUCGAUCCAAUGGAAAGAUAUCCAUCUUCCAGAUGAAUGGAUCCUCGAAGGAGCCGCCCCACCGGCGAUUCCGAAACAACUUGAGCCAAAUACAGAGUUACAAAAUGUGACCCAGUAUUCCGAUGGUAAAGUCAAACUAUCAUUCAGAAGGUCUACCUCACAUAGAUUUUCUGAAAAAGAAUCGAGCCCAAGCAUUCCUUCACUAGAAAGGAAGUUUACAAAAGUACCUUCUGUUAUAAAUCUCCCAUAUCAGAGCCAACCUAGGUUUUCCACUUCGGAUAUACCUAGCUCCUCCAUCCGUUCCGUUGACUAUGCCACAAGUGUUCCUCAUCCUAUAUACACUAGUAGUCAACAUGUGCAAAGACAGGAAGAGAAGGAACCUUCUCCUCCAACAUCUCCUACGUUUUCUGCUGUCACAGAAAAUGUCAUUAAUGUCAUUGAAAAAGAAUUUGAAUUAGAUAAAGCCUUUCUGCAUAACGAUUUUUAUUCAGAAAUAAAUAAAGAAAAAAGAACUUGGUUUUUUUAAACAUUUUUUAAACCAAAGAAAAGAAAUCCAACAAACUUAUUAUGAAUUUGUGAAUUUUCAUAAAGUUCAUAUAUUGUUUUUUGAUUGGUUCGAAAUAUAUUCUUCUGAGAACAAUAUUGAUUAUCCUUUUUAAAGAGUCAAACCCUAUAACUAUUAGAAAGAAAAUUCCUGAAUGGAAACUUUCUGAUAAUGAUAGGAUUAUAGAGUCUGAUCAUCCACCUCUUAGGAGUAUAACCAUAGAUCAUGGUGAACCUCCUAUUGAGAUUAAAGCAUCCCCUUACAAAAUCCCAAGACCAAAUGAUUCUGAUGCGAAUUUAAGUAGUAUUAUACAACAGAAUAAUUUCUGUAAUACUAACUUAAAUACAAUUGGAAAGCAAUUGGCUCGUAUAGAAAACCAAUUUCAAAAAUCUCCUAUAUCUGUUUCUCCUAUUCCUAUGUCUAUUCCUUCAAAAUCGGAUUCUGACAAAAAGCUUAAGGAACCUAUUUUCAAACCUUUUCAGGUUUCGAAAACUAGCCAAAGGCUUGUUCAAGAGUCAAAAUCAGAUUUUGCUAAAGCCAUUAGAGAACAACUAGAGAGGAUAGAAGCUGCUUCUUCCUCGUCUAGCAAACUCCAGAUAGCCCCCGAUACCCCCCAAUCUAGCAAGAUUGGAGUAUUGGAUCUAGAUGACCAGAGUUCUAUAGCCUCUUCUGACUUAGAAGCUUUCAAAGAAGAACCUUCUACUCCUAAAGCCAACAAAAUCCACUGGGAAUUAGCCCUUUCCCACUGUCAAGACCCCACCAGAUCUAGCAAUAGAUAAUAGACCUAGUGCAUUAAAUCAAUCCCGUUAUAAUGCAUCUUCAGUCUAUGAGUGGAAUAUUGACGGCAUGUCUGAGUACAAUAUCCUUGGAUUGUUGCAACAAAUGACAAUGGCAGCUAAUGCUUAUAAAACCCAAGCAGGAACUUCUGAUCGUGCCAUAUCGGAAAUCCUAAUUGCUGGUUUUACUGGUCAACUAAAAAGGUUGGUGGGAUCAUCUUCUCACUAAUCAGCAACAAUUUGACAUUCUAAAUUCCGUCCAAAAAGAUGAAAAUGGAGCCUCUAUUCUUGAUGAGUUCAACAACCCUAUCCAGGAUGCUGUUGCUACUCUUAUUCUAACCAUUUCCCUCCAUUUCAUCGGUGACCCUUCUCACCUUCGUGAUAAAAACGCUGAGUUACUACAUAAUUUGAGAUGUAGAAAACUUAGUGAAUUUCAGAGUUACAAAACCUCUUUCCUUACCAGACUAUUUCUAAGGGAUGAUGCAAAUCAUAUUACUUGGAAAGAAAAAUUUCUUGCUGGAUUACCUACCUUUUAGGUGAAAAGGUAAGAAAUUCCAUCAAAGCCCUUUACGAUAACCGUAUUCCUUAUGACGAGCUCACCUAUGGUGAACUAGUCAGUUUUGUCAACAAAGAAGGUUUAAAGAUUUGUCAAGAUUUGAAAUUACAGAAACGUCUUAAGUGGGAGCUUUAAGAAGUCUAAACAGGAAUUAGGCGGUUUCUGUAAGCAAUUCAAUUAUGACCCCUUUAAAACUUCCAAAGAUUGUAAUGGAGAGUGUUCUACAAAACCUCGUAAGAAACAUUACAAAUCUAAACAUUUUAGAAAACCCUUCCGUGAUUUUAGAAAACUUCCUUAUAAGAAACCUUCGAAGCCUUAUAAGAGACAUAGUUUCUCUUAAAAAGAAAGAUUUCAAAGCCAAACCUAAUACCCCAUUCAACUUCAAGGAGGCCACAUGUUUCAAAUGUGGUAUGAAAGGUCAUACUGCAAAAUUUUGCAGAAUGAACAAAAGACUCCAAGAACUUGACCUCAAUGAGGACAUCCUUUCUAAAAUAGCCCCUCUUCUUGUCGAAUCUUCUGAUUCUGAGUCUUCCAUGUCGGGAGACAGUGACCCUUACCAAGUUGAUGAGCUUUUUGACUCAGAUGACUCUGCAUCUAGCAGUAGUGAUUCUGAAUCUGAUUCAUUUUUAAAGAAAAUCAAUGUUUUGACUAAAGACCAAGAAACUUUUCUUGAACUUGUAAAGCAUAUUUCUGAUCCAAAUCUUCAAAAGGAAUACCUUGAUAAACUUUUGAAAACAUUGGAUUUUAAUAAAGCCGAGACUUCUAGAGUCCCAAUUAUUAAAAAGAAUUCUUAUGAUCUUACUCAAAUUUUGGAUAAGAAGAAAACAAAAAAGAUGAUUCCUAAUAUCCAAGAUCUUCAGAAAGAGAUAAAAGAAAUCAAAAGUGAAAUCAGAGAUUUAAAAGAAAAACAAAAAAGUGAUUCUGAUAUUAUUCAACUUCUUUACAAAAGCAAUUACAGGAUAAUUCAGACAAUGAAUCCAGUCCUGAUAUUGAUGGUGAUGAUAUUAAAGUAGAAAAUAUUGAGUCUGUACCCAAUGAUUUUCUAUUUGUUCUAAAACAAAUCACCACAAGAAAGUAUUUGAUUAAAGUCACUCUAAUCUUUUCUGAUGAUUUUGCGAUGGACGCCAUUGCCCUUUUUGAUACUGGCGCCGAUUUAAAUUGCAUUAGAGAAGAUAUCGUCCCCAAAAGAUUUCAUGAAAAAACAAAAGAAAGGCUUUCUGCCGCCAAUAAUUCAAAAUUGAAUGUCAGUUCCAAGGUUGAAGCCUCGAUCUAUAAUGAUGGUUUUGAUUUUAAAACUUCCUUUGUUCUCACAAAUGAUAUUCAUCAUGCCAUUAUUUUGGGAACUCCUUUUAUAAAUCUCAUAACUCCGUAUACUGUCAAUUAUGAUAGUAUAUCUUUCAAAGCAAAAAACAAGAAACUUGUUUUCCCUUUUAUUGAAAAACCUAAAACAAGAAAUUUAAAUAUUGUUAAAGCCUGUUCUAUUUAUCAAAAUAGAAUAAACAAUUUACUUAAAUCAAAACAGUGUGAUCUAAUGUUUUUACAAAAAGAUUUGAACUUACAAAGAGUUGAAAGCCAAUUACAAAGUGAUUUCAUUAAAAGAAAAUUUUCUGAUUUCAAAACUCUUAUUGAAAAAGAAAUUUGUGCUGAUCUACCUUCUGCUUUUUGGAAUAGAAAACAACAUUUAGUAGACCUGCCUUAUGAAAAUUCUUUUGAUGAAAAACAGAUUCCGACCAAAGCUCGUCCAAUUCAAAUGAAUAUGGAUUUAGAAAAACAUUGUAAAAAUGAAAUCAAAGACUUGGAGUCUAAAGGACUCAUUGUAAAAUCCAGGUCUCCUUGGUCUUGUGCUGCUUUUUAUGUUAACAAAAACUUCGAAAUUGAAAGAGGCACUCCAAGACUAGUUAUAAACUACAAACCUUUGAAUAAAGCUUUAAAAUGGAUUAGGUAUCCUAUACCUAAUAAAAAAGAUUUACUCCAAAAACUCUGUUCUGCCUUUAUUUUUUCAAAAUUCGACAUGAAAUCGGGUUUUUGGCAAAUUCAAAUUCAUCCAAAUGACCGUUACAAAACCGCUUUCACUGUUCCAUUUGGACAAUACGAAUGGACUGUUAUGCCCUUUGGUUUAAAGAAUGCACCCUCAGAAUUUCAAAGAAUUAUGAAUGAUAUUUAUAAUCCUUAUUCUGAUUUUUGCAUUGUUUAUAUUGAUGAUGUUUUGAUAUUUUCAAAUUCAAUCGAUCAACAUUUCAAACAUUUAAAGACUUUUUAUUUUGCUACAAAAAAGGCUGGACUAGCCCUUUCUAGUUCAAAGAUUUCAUUAUUUUCAAACGAAAAUCAGAUUUCUUGGUCACUAUAUUUCAAAAGGAACAAUCACCCCUAUUGAAAGAUCACUUUUAUUUGCUGAUAAAUUCCCUGAUAAAAUCCUUGACAAAACUCAAUUACAAAGAUUUCUUGGUAGCCUAAAUUAUGUUCUUGAUUUCUGUCCCAAUAUCAAUAGGUUGUCUAAACCUUUGCAUGAUCGUUUAAAGAAAAAACCUGCUCCAUGGACAGAUGAACAUACUAAAGCUGUUAAAUUAAUAAAGAGUUCUGUUAAAAGCAUCCCAUGUCUAUAUCUUGCAAAUCCUGCAUUCCCUAAAAUUGUUGAAACUGAUGCAUCUGAUUUAGGAUAUGGAGGUAUAUUAAAACAAAAAGAAAAUGAUAGAGAACAGAUAGUACAAUAUGUUUCUGCACAUUGGAAUGAUUGUCAGAAAAAUUAUUCUACUAUUAAAAAAGAAAUUCUUUCCAUUGUUUUAUGCAUUACAAAAUUUCAAAGUGAUUUAUUAAAUCAAAAAUUUUUACUUAGAAUUGAUUGCAAAGCUGCAAAACAUGUUUUAGAAAAGGAUGUUCAAAACAUUGCAUCAAAACAAAUUUUUGCACGUUGGCAAGCUAUUUUGAGUGUUUUUGAUUUUGAUAUAGAAUUCAUUAAAGGUGAUAAAAAUUCUGUUCCUGAUUUUCUAACCAGAGAAUUUCUUCAAAACAGAUAAUGCCGCUAAAGAAAGACAAAGGUAAAGCUGUUCUCAAAAGUUCCGGAUCUCAAGAACCUUCCAAAGAACCCCAGUCAACCCCUUCUAAAGAAAAAUUACUUUCUUCUGCCCUACCCAUCAAAUCAUGGAUUGAAUUGGUUGAAGAACAUGAAGCCCAAUACAAACCCAUCUCUUCUGAUGAUCAAGUAAAGCAUUGGAUGAGUUCCAUUACAAAAUCUCCCGAGCUCAUGCUCGCUCUACAAAACCUUUCCCAGAGCCAAAAUUCUCCUAAAAAAGAAAUUAAGAGCAUAUCCACAUCUAAAGAAAUUACAAAACCCUCCUCUCAAAAUGUUGUUGUCUCUGCCGAAAGCUCAUCUUCCCAAAUUGUGCUUUCUCAGCCAACACCUUCAAAGAAAACCUCCGAUUGGUUUGAUAAAACCCAUUUUCAAAAUAUUCUUUCUAUGGAAGAUGGAUUUUACCAUACUGAUCCUUUUCAAAGCAUUUCAAAGUUUUUUCCCAAAGGCUGGUUUUUCAAACCAUGGGAUUUGACAAAACCCCAGUCUUAUUAUCAAAGCAUUUUAGAAAUAACUGAAUCAGUUAAAUUCAAACAUUUCUUUCUUGAUAAAACCCAUUCUGAACCGGCCUAUUCCACGGCCACGAUUCUAAAAGUUUUGAGCCCGAACCAGUGGGGCGACCUACUCCACAAUUUCAAAAUCUUUCCUUUAAACUUUGAAACCCGUUUACCACAUUGUCGGACUUUCUCCUACUGGGAUUACCAACAAGCAUGGUAUAACACCUUUUUUAUUCAAAACCCUAAAAAAUCCCAUUCUUGGUUAUUUUUCUUUAACCCUAAAAUAACCGUCCAAAGCCUUCCAAACUGGUUCCAUCAUUGGUGGAAUUUCUUUGGCCCAAUACCUCAAAUCCUCACUCCAAAUGCCAUAAAUUGCCUAAACCUCUUUAAAGCCCACUAUAUGCCCUCUGACUCAGAGAAAAGAUUUCCCCCCUUUCUCUGUUUUUGUACAAACUUCUUCCUACCAUGGGUCUGGAUGUGGAACCUCCGUUUUCAUACUCAAGAUUCCCAAGUCAUCCUUCAAAGAACCUUUAAAGUCAAAUGGUGGUCAAAAUUUGAUGAACAGUCCAAGACAUCAAGGAAACCAUUCCUGUCUUGUAAUCUUCCCGUCUUUCAAUCUUCCCUUCAGGAAAGAUUUGAAAAUUGUAAAGACCAAGACUAUCAAAGCAAAGAUGUAUGUUUAAAUUUCAGUUAUUUAAUUUCGAUGUAAUUUAAAUUUUCGCAAUUUACUUUUCUGCAAUUUAAUUUCAUGCAUAUUUACAUUAAAGCAAUUUAUUUUUAAAGCAAUUUUCUUUUCAAAGCAUGCAAAGCAGACUGGUCUUUAUCAGAUCUGCCAUAAAAUUUGUACGUUCCUCUGAGGCAAAGAGACCGGAUCUCGAUCCUCAGUUGUAAAUCUUCUCUUCUUCCUCCAUUCCUUCAGAGCACCAUUUCCGGGAUCCGGAUCUGGUACUGUGUAUGUACCCAAGCCCCUUAAAGAAUCUAAUUUAAAUCUGGAAUUAGCCCAAUAAAAAGAAACAACCACGUUUAAAGCAACUUAAUUUUAUCUGGUAAAUAUAUUAAAGUAUAUAGGCUGGAAACCCGAACGUGCGGACUAUUGAUCUGUUCUAAGUCAGAUCUGGGUCCAAAGGCAGAUUAACUUCUGCGAUCGAUCUGGUCUAACAACGCCACGUACUUUAAAUAUUCUAAAAAUUUGACCAACCGCGUUCAAAUUUGUUUGAUCAUUGUAUGCUCUAAAACAAAUCUACUUAAUCUAAAGCUGGUAAUCUUAUAUAAAAUCUGAACAACCGCGAUCCAAUUAUUUCAUUAAAGCAAUCAAUAAAGAAGCAUCUUCAAUACACACCCAUCCUUCGAUCCUAUUUCCUUCUGGUAUCAGAGCCAAGGGGAGGAUUGUGUAAAGCAGUUUAGAGUUUUGUGUUUUGAAAACUUGUGUUUUAUUUUGAAGUUUUGUUUUUGUGGUGAAUUUUUACUGGUAGUAAGUCCCGUCUAAGGAUAAGUUUUCCGUUUAGGGCUGUAAAACCAUACCUGUAGCCAUUCUUUCAAAACCACUAAAUAGAUCAUAGGUUUUUACCCAUGAACCCUCUACACUGUAGAACAUCGUCUUUUUCUAGCUCUUCUUCCGGGAAGACUAGUGAUUCAAAGCAUGUUGUGAGUUCAGAAGAAUUCGUUAUUGAAAACUUUGAUAAAGCAAUUGAUUGUUGGGAACUUCCAAAAAUUUCCAAAGAAAAGAUUUACAAAACAAAAAUGCUUGAUCUUUUAAAACAUGAUUAUAUUAUAAAAACUGAAGAAAGAGACAUAACUCUUUCGGAGCCUUUUGAAACAAUUUAUUUGUUUUCAGAAAAAUCUUUAAAGAAAUUAAAAGAAAAGAAUUUCAAAUAUAUUCACAUUGGUUUAAUCCAAGUAGGAAUAAAACCUUUGACCAAAGAAGGCUUGGAUACCUCUAUCCUUGCUGUUCUUAGAGAUGGGCGAUUCAUCUCUUUUGAUGAUUCUUUACUAAGUAGUAUCGAAUCUAGUCUAUGUAAAGGUCCCAUAUCUUUUGAUUGUUAUCCAAAUAUAACAAUUUCUCUUAAAGACAAAAAUAUUUUAAAGAGCAUGAUUUUACAAAUCCAAACCCAUAAUUAUCACAUGAUUAAGGGAUCCAUCCCAGUUGCAUUAAUUUUUAAAAUUUCCUAUAAAGCCAUGAUUUCUGCAUUUAGCACACAGCAUAAAUACCAGUCGAAGAGAGAUGAGACCCUUCUCUUGCAGACUGAUUUGUCUAAAGCCAACAUGGUCAUUCCAAAAUCGAUCCAAUGGAAAGAUAUCCAUCUUCCAGAUGAAUGGAUCCUCGAAGGAGCCGCCCCACCAGCGAUUCCGAAACAACUUGAGCCAAAUACAGAGUUACAAAAUGUGACCCAGUAUUCCGAUGGUAAAGUCAAACUAUCAUUCAGAAGGUCUACCUCACAUAGAUUUUCUGAAAAAGAAUCGAGCCCAAGCAUUCCUUCACUAGAAAGGAAGUUUACAAAAGUACCUUCUGUUAUAAAUCUCCCAUAUCAGAGCCAACCUAGGUUUUCCACUUCGGAUAUACCUAGCUCCUCCAUCCGUUCCGUUGACUAUGCCACAAGUGUUCCUCAUCCUAUAUACACUAGUAGUCAACAUGUGCAAAGACAGGAAGAGAAGGAACCUUCUCCUCCAACAUCUCCUACGUUUUCUGCUGUCACAGAAAAUGUCAUUAAUGUCAUUGAAAAAGAAUUUGAAUUAGAUAAAGCCUUUCUGCAUAACGAUUUUUAUUCAGAAAUAAAUAAAGAAAAAAGAACUUGGUUUUUUAAACAUUUUUUAAACCAAAGAAAAGAAAUCCAACAAACUUAUUAUGAAUUUGUGAAUUUUCAUAAAGUUCAUAUAUUGUUUUUUGAUUGGUUCGAAAUAUAUUCUUCUGAGAACAAUAUUGAUUAUCCUUUUAAAGAGUCAAACCCUAUAACUAUUAGAAAGAAAAUUCCUGAAUGGAAACUUUCUGAUAAUGAUAGGAUUAUAGAGUCUGAUCAUCCACCUCUUAGGAGUAUAACCAUAGAUCAUGGUGAACCUCCUAUUGAGAUUAAAGCAUCCCCUUACAAAAUCCCAAGACCAAAUGAUUCUGAUGCGAAUUUAAGUAGUAUUAUACAACAGAAUAAUUUCUGUAAUACUAACUUAAAUACAAUUGGAAAGCAAUUGGCUCGUAUAGAAAACCAAUUUCAAAAAUCUCCUAUAUCUGUUUCUCCUAUUCCUAUGUCUAUUCCUUCAAAAUCGGAUUCUGACAAAAAGCUUAAGGAACCUAUUUCAAACCUUUUCAGGUUUCGAAAACUAGCCAAAGGCUUGUUCAAGAGUCAAAAUCAGAUUUUGCUAAAGCCAUUAGAGAACAACUAGAGAGGAUAGAAGCUGCUUCUUCCUCGUCUAGCAAACUCCAGAUAGCCCCCGAUACCCCCCAAUCUAGCAAGAUUGGAGUAUUGGAUCUAGAUGACCAGAGUUCUAUAGCCUCUUCUGACUUAGAAGCUUUCAAAGAAGAACCUUCUACUCCUAAAGCCAACAAAAUCCACUGGGAAUUAGCCCUUCCCACUGUCAAGACCCCACCAGAUCUAGCAAUAGAUAAUAGACCUAGUGCAUUAAAUCAAUCCCGUUAUAAUGCAUCUUCAGUCUAUGAGUGGAAUAUUGACGGCAUGUCUGAGUACAAUAUCCUUGGAUUGUUGCAACAAAUGACAAUGGCAGCUAAUGCUUAUAAAACCCAAGCAGGAACUUCUGAUCGUGCCAUAUCAGAAAUCCUAAUUGCUGGUUUUACUGGUCAACUAAAAGGUUGGUGGGAUCAUCUUCUCACUAAUCAGCAACAAUUUGACAUUCUAAAUUCCGUCCAAAAAGAUGAAAAUGGAGCCUCUAUUCUUGAUGAGUUCAACAACCCUAUCCAGGAUGCUGUUGCUACUCUUAUUCUAACCAUUUCCCUCCAUUUCAUCGGUGACCCUUCUCACCUUCGUGAUAAAAACGCUGAGUUACUACAUAAUUUGAGAUGUAGAAAACUUAGUGAAUUUCAGAGUUACAAAACCUCUUUCCUUACCAGACUAUUUCUAAGGGAUGAUGCAAAUCAUAUUACUUGGAAAGAAAAAUUUCUUGCUGGAUUACCUACCCUUUUAGGUGAAAAGGUAAGAAAUUCCAUCAAAGCCCUUUACGAUAACCGUAUUCCUUAUGACGAGCUCACCUAUGGUGAACUAGUCAGUUUUGUCAACAAAGAAGGUUUAAAGAUUUGUCAAGAUUUGAAAUUACAGAAACGUCUUAAGUGGGAGCUUAAGAAGUCUAAACAGGAAUUAGGCGGUUUCUGUAAGCAAUUCAAUUAUGACCCCUUUAAAACUUCCAAAGAUUGUAAUGGAGUGUGUUCUACAAAACCUCGUAAGAAACAUUACAAAUCUAAACAUUUUAGAAAACCCUUCCGUGAUUUUAGAAAACUUCCUUAUAAGAAACCUUCGAAGCCUUAUAAGAGACAUAGUUUCUCUAAAAAGAAAGAUUUCAAAGCCAAACCUAAUACCCCAUUCAACUUCAAGGAGGCCACAUGUUUCAAAUGUGGUAUGAAAGGUCAUACUGCAAAAUUUUGCAGAAUGAACAAAAGACUCCAAGAACUUGACCUCAAUGAGGACAUCCUUUCUAAAAUAGCCCCUCUUCUUGUCGAAUCUUCUGAUUCUGAGUCUUCCAUGUCGGGAGACAGUGACCCUUACCAAGUUGAUGAGCUUUUUGACUCAGAUGACUCUGCAUCUAGCAGUAGUGAUUCUGAAUCUGAUUCAUUUUUAAAGAAAAUCAAUGUUUUGACUAAAGACCAAGAAACUUUUCUUGAACUUGUAAAGCAUAUUUCUGAUCCAAAUCUUCAAAAGGAAUACCUUGAUAAACUUUUGAAAACAUUGGAUUUUAAUAAAGCCGAGACUUCUAGAGUCCCAAUUAUUAAAAAGAAUUCUUAUGAUCUUACUCAAAUUUUGGAUAAGAAGAAAACAAAAAAGAUGAUUCCUAAUAUCCAAGAUCUUCAGAAAGAGAUAAAAGAAAUCAAAAGUGAAAUCAGAGAUUUAAAAGAAAAACAAAAAAGUGAUUCUGAUAUUAUUCAACUUCUUUUACAAAAGCAAUUACAGGAUAAUUCAGACAAUGAAUCCAGUCCUGAUAUUGAUGGUGAUGAUAUUAAAGUAGAAAAUAUUGAGUCUGUACCCAAUGAUUUUCUAUUUGUUCUAAAACAAAUCACCACAAGAAAGUAUUUGAUUAAAGUCACUCUAAUCUUUUCUGAUGAUUUUGCGAUGGACGCCAUUGCCCUUUUUGAUACUGGCGCCGAUUUAAAUUGCAUUAGAGAAGAUAUCGUCCCCAAAAGAUUUCAUGAAAAAACAAAAGAAAGGCUUUCUGCCGCCAAUAAUUCAAAAUUGAAUGUCAGUUCCAAGGUUGAAGCCUCGAUCUAUAAUGAUGGUUUUGAUUUUAAAACUUCCUUUGUUCUCACAAAUGAUAUUCAUCAUGCCAUUAUUUUGGGAACUCCUUUUAUAAAUCUCAUAACUCCGUAUACUGUCAAUUAUGAUAGUAUAUCUUUCAAAGCAAAAAACAAGAAACUUGUUUUCCCUUUUAUUGAAAAACCUAAAACAAGAAAUUUAAAUAUUGUUAAAGCCUGUUCUAUUUAUCAAAAUAGAAUAAACAAUUUACUUAAAUCAAAACAGUGUGAUCUAAUGUUUUUACAAAAAGAUUUGAACUUACAAAGAGUUGAAAGCCAAUUACAAAGUGAUUUCAUUAAAAGAAAAAUUUCUGAUUUCAAAACUCUUAUUGAAAAAGAAAUUUGUGCUGAUCUACCUUCUGCUUUUUGGAAUAGAAAACAACAUUUAGUAGACCUGCCUUAUGAAAAUUCUUUUGAUGAAAAACAGAUUCCGACCAAAGCUCGUCCAAUUCAAAUGAAUAUGGAUUUAGAAAAACAUUGUAAAAAUGAAAUCAAAGACUUGGAGUCUAAAGGACUCAUUGUAAAAUCCAGGUCUCCUUGGUCUUGUGCUGCUUUUUAUGUUAACAAAAACUCCGAAAUUGAAAGAGGCACUCCAAGACUAGUUAUAAACUACAAACCUUUGAAUAAAGCUUUAAAAUGGAUUAGGUAUCCUAUACCUAAUAAAAAAGAUUUACUCCAAAAACUCUGUUCUGCCUUUAUUUUUUCAAAAUUCGACAUGAAAUCGGGUUUUUGGCAAAUUCAAAUUCAUCCAAAUGACCGUUACAAAACCGCUUUCACUGUUCCAUUUGGACAAUACGAAUGGACUGUUAUGCCCUUUGGUUUAAAGAAUGCACCCUCAGAAUUUCAAAGAAUUAUGAAUGAUAUUUAUAAUCCUUAUUCUGAUUUUUGCAUUGUUUAUAUUGAUGAUGUUUUGAUAUUUCAAAUUCAAUCGAUCAACAUUUCAAACAUUUAAAGACUUUUUAUUUUGCUACAAAAAAGGCUGGACUAGCCCUUUCUAGUUCAAAGAUUUCAUUAUUUCAAACGAAAAUCAGAUUUCUUGGUCACUAUAUUUCAAAAGGAACAAUCACCCCUAUUGAAAGAUCACUUUUAUUUGCUGAUAAAUUCCCUGAUAAAAUCCUUGACAAAACUCAAUUACAAAGAUUUCUUGGUAGCCUAAAUUAUGUUCUUGAUUUCUGUCCCAAUAUCAAUAGGUUGUCUAAACCUUUGCAUGAUCGUUUAAAGAAAAAAACCUGCUCCAUGGACAGAUGAACAUACUAAAGCUGUUAAAUUAAUAAAGAGUUCUGUUAAAAGCAUCCCAUGUCUAUAUCUUGCAAAUCCUGCAUUCCCUAAAAUUGUUGAAACUGAUGCAUCUGAUUUAGGAUAUGGAGGUAUAUUAAAACAAAAAGAAAAUGAUAGAGAACAGAUAGUACAAUAUGUUUCUGCACAUUGGAAUGAUUGUCAGAAAAAUUAUUCUACUAUUAAAAAAGAAAUUCUUUCCAUUGUUUUAUGCAUUACAAAAUUUCAAAGUGAUUUAUUAAAUCAAAAAUUUUUACUUAGAAUUGAUUGCAAAGCUGCAAAACAUGUUUUAGAAAAGGAUGUUCAAAACAUUGCAUCAAAACAAAUUUUUGCACGUUGGCAAGCUAUUUUGAGUGUUUUUGAUUUUGAUAUAGAAUUCAUUAAAGGUGAUAAAAAUUUUGUUCCUGAUUUUCUAACCAGAGAAUUUCUUCAAAACAGAUAAUGCCGCUAAAGAAAGACAAAGGUAAAGCUGUUCUCAAAAGUUCCGGAUCUCAAGAACCUUCCAAAGAACCCCAGUCAACCCCUUCUAAAGAAAAAUUACUUUCUUCUGCCCUACCCAUCAAAUCAUGGAUUGAAUUGGUUGAAGAACAUGAAGCCCAAUACAAACCCAUCUCUUCUGAUGAUCAAGUAAAGCAUUGGAUGAGUUCCAUUACAAAAUCUCCCGAGCUCAUGCUCGCUCUACAAAACCUUUCCCAGAGCCAAAAUUCUCCUCAAAAAGAAAUUAAGAGCAUAUCCACAUCUAAAGAAAUUACAAAACCCUCCUCUCAAAAUGUUGUUGUCUCUGCCGAAAGCUCAUCUUCCCAAAUUGUGCUUUCUCAGCCAACACCUUCAAAGAAAACCUCCGAUUGGUUUGAUAAAACCCAUUUUCAAAAUAUUCUUUCUAUGGAAGAUGGAUUUUACCAUACUGAUCCUUUUCAAAGCAUUUCAAAGUUUUUUCCCAAAGGCUGGUUUUUCAAACCAUGGGAUUUGACAAAACCCCAGUCUUAUUAUCAAAGCAUUUUAGAAAUAACUGAAUCAGUUAAAUUCAAACAUUUCUUUCUUGAUAAAACCCAUUCUGAACCGGCCUAUUCCACGGCCACGAUUCUAAAAGUUUUGAGCCCGAACCAGUGGGGCGACCUACUCCACAAUUUCAAAACCUUUCCUUUAAACUUUGAAACCCGUUUACCACAUUGUCGGACUUUCUCCUACUGGGAUUACCAACAAGCAUGGUAUAACACCUUUUUUAUUCAAAACCCUAAAAAAUCCCAUUCUUGGUUAUUUUUCUUUAACCCUAAAAUAACCGUCCAAAGCCUUCCAAACUGGUUCCAUCAUUGGUGGAAUUUCUUUGGCCCAAUACCUCAAAUCCUCACUCCAAAUGCCAUAAAUUGCCUAAACCUCUUUAAAGCCCACUAUAUGCCCUCUGACUCAGAGAAAAGAUUUCCCCCCUUUCUCUGUUUUUGUACAAACUUCUUCCUACCAUGGGUCUGGAUGUGGAACCUCCGUUUUCAUACUCAAGAUUCCCAAGUCAUCCUUCAAAGAACCUUUAAAGUCAAAUGGUGGUCAAAAUUUGAUGAACAGUCCAAGACAUCAAGGAAACCAUUCCUGUCUUGUAAUCUUCCCGUCUUUCAAUCUUCCCUUCAGGAAAGAUUUGAAAAUUGUAAAGACCAAGACUAUCAAAGCAAAGAUGUAUGUUUAAAUUUCAGUUAUUUAAUUUCGAUGUAAUUUAAAUUUUCGCAAUUUACUUUUCUGCAAUUUAAUUUCAUGCAUAUUUACAUUAAAGCAAUUUAUUUUUAAAGCAAUUUUCUUUUCAAAGCAUGCAAAGCAGACUGGUCUUUAUCAGAUCUGCCAUAAAAUUUGUACGUUCCUCUGAGGCAAAGAGACCGGAUCUCGAUCCUCAGUUGUAAAUCUUCUCUUCUUCCUCCAUUCCUUCAGAGCACCAUUUCCGGGAUCCGGAUCUGGUACUGUGUAUGUACCCAAGCCCCUUAAAGAAUCUAAUUUAAAUCUGGAAUUAGCCCAAUAAAAAGAAACAACCACGUUUAAAGCAACUUAAUUUUAUCUGGUAAAUAUAUUAAAGUAUAUAGGCUGGAAACCCGAACGUGCGGACUAUUGAUCUGUUCUAAGUCAGAUCUGGGUCCAAAGGCAGAUUAACUUCUGCGAUCGAUCUGGUCUAACAAACGCCAACGUACUUUAAAUAUUCUAAAAAUUUGACCAACCGCGUUCAAAUUUGUUUGAUCAUUGUAUGCUCUAAAACAAAUCUACUUAAUCUAAAGCUGGUAAUCUUAUAUAAAAUCUGAACAACCGCGAUCCAAUUAUUUCAUUAAAGCAAUCAAUAAAGAAGCAUCUUCAAUACACACCCAUCCUUCGAUUCUAUUUCCUUCUGGUAUCAGAGCCAAGGGGAGGAUUGUGUAAAGCAGUUUAGAGUUUUGUGUUUUGAAAACUUGUGUUUUAUUUUUGAAGUUUUGUUUUUUGUGGUGAAUUUUUACUGGUAGUAAGUCCCGUCUAAGGAUAAGUUUUCCGUUUAGGGCUGUAAAACCAUACCUGUAGCCAUUCUUUCAAAACCACUAAAUAGAUCAUAGGUUUUUACCCAUGAACCCUCUACACUGUAGAACAUCGUCCUUUUCUAGCUCUUCUUCCGGGAAGACUAGUGAUUCAAAGCAUGUUGUGAGUUCAGAAGAAUUCGUUAUUGAAAACUUUGAUAAAGCAAUUGAUUGUUGGGAACUUCCAAAAAUUCCAAAGAAAAGAUUACAAAACAAAAAUGCUUGAUCUUUUAAAACAUGAUUAUAUUAUAAAAACUGAAGAAAGAGGACAUAACUCUUUCGGAGCCUUUUGAAACAAUUUAUUUGUUUUCAGAAAAAUCUUUAAAGAAAUUAAAAGAAAAGAAUUUCAAAUAUAUUCACAUUGGUUUAAUCCAAGUAGGAAUAAAACCUUUGACCAAAGAAGGCUUGGAUACCUCUAUCCUUGCUGUUCUUAGAGAUGGGCGAUUCAUCUCUUUUGAUGAUUCUUUACUAAGUAGUAUCGAAUCUAGUCUAUGUAAAGGUCCAUAUCUUUUGAUUGUUAUCCAAAUAUAACAAUUUCUCUUAAAGACAAAAAUAUUUAAAGAGCAUGAUUUUACAAAUCCAAACCCAUAAUUAUCACAUGAUUAAGGGAUCCAUCCCAGUUGCAUUAAUUUUUAAAAUUUCCUAUAAAGCCAUGAUUUCUGCAUUUAGCACACAGCAUAAAUACCAGUCGAAGAGAGAUGAGACCCUUCUCUUGCAGACUGAUUUGUCUAAAGCCAACAUGGUCAUUCCAAAAUCGAUCCAAUGGAAAGAUAUCCAUCUUCCAGAUGAAUGGAUCCUCGAAGGAGCCGCCCCACCGGCGAUUCCGAAACAACUUGAGCCAAAUACAGAGUUACAAAAUGUGACCCAGUAUUCCGAUGGUAAAGUCAAACUAUCAUUCAGAAGGUCUACCUCACAUAGAUUUUCUGAAAAAGAAUCGAGCCCAAGCAUUCCUUCACUAGAAAGGAAGUUUACAAAAGUACCUUCUGUUAUAAAUCUCCCAUAUCAGAGCCAACCUAGGUUUUCCACUUCGGAUAUACCUAGCUCCUCCAUCCGUUCCGUUGACUAUGCCACAAGUGUUCCUCAUCCUAUAUACACUAGUAGUCAACAUGUGCAAAGACAGGAAGAGAAGGAACCUUCUCCUCCAACAUCUCCUACGUUUUCUGCUGUCACAGAAAAUGUCAUUAAUGUCAUUGAAAAAGAAUUUGAAUUAGAUAAAGCCUUUCUGCAUAACGAUUUUUAUUCAGAAAUAAAUAAAGAAAAAAGAACUUGGUUUUUUAAACAUUUUUUUAAACCAAAGAAAAGAAAUCCAACAAACUUAUUAUGAAUUUGUGAAUUUUCAUAAAGUUCAUAUAUUGUUUUUUGAUUGGUUCGAAAUAUAUUCUUCUGAGAACAAUAUUGAUUAUCCUUUUAAAGAGUCAAACCCUAUAACUAUUAGAAAGAAAAUUCCUGAAUGGAAACUUUCUUGAUAAUGAUAGGAUUAUAGAGUCUGAUCAUCCACCUCUUAGGAGUAUAACCAUAGAUCAUGGUGAAACCUCCUAUUGAGAUUAAAGCAUCCCCUUACAAAUCCCAAGACCAAAUGAUUCUGAUGCGAAUUUAAGUAGUAUUAUACAACAGAAUAAUUUCUGUAAUACUAACUUAAAUACAAUUGGAAAGCAAUUGGCUCGUAUAGAAAACCAAUUUCAAAAAUCUCCUAUAUCUGUUUCUCCUAUUCCUAUGUCUAUUCCUUCAAAAUCGGAUUCUGACAAAAAGCUUAAGGAACCUAUUUUCAAACCUUUUCAGGUUUCGAAAACUAGCCAAAGGCUUGUUCAAGAGUCAAAAUCAGAUUUUGCUAAAGCCAUUAGAGAACAACUAGAGAGGAUAGAAGCUGCUUCUUCCUCGUCUAGCAAACUCCAGAUAGCCCCGAUACCCCCCAAUCUAGCAAGAUUGGAGUAUUGGAUCUAGAUGACCAGAGUUCUAUAGCCUCUUCUGACUUAGAAAGCUUUCAAAGAAGAACCUUCUACUCCUAAAGCCAACAAAUCCACUGGGAAUUAGCCCUUCCCACUGUCAAGACCCCACCAGAUCUAGCAAUAGAUAAUAGACCUAGUGCAUUAAAUCAAUCCGUUAUAAUGCAUCUUCAGUCUAUGAGUGGAAUAUUGACGGCAUGUCUGAGUACAAUAUCCUUGGAUUGUUGCAACAAAAUGACAAUGGCAGCUAAUGCUUAUAAAACCCAAGCAGGAACUUCUGAUCGUGCCAUAUCGGAAAUCCUAAUUGCUGGUUUUACUGGUCAACUAAAAGGUUGGUGGGAUCAUCUUCUCACUAAUCAGCAACAAUUUGACAUUCUAAAUUCCGUCCAAAAAGAUGAAAAUGGAGCCUCUAUUCUUGAUGAGUUCAACAACCCUAUCCAGGAUGCUGUUGCUACUCUUAUUCUAACCAUUUCCCUCCAUUUCAUCGGUGACCCUUCUCACCUUCGUGAUAAAAACGCUGAGUUACAUAAUUUGAGAUGUAGAAAACUUAGUGAAUUUCAGAGUUACAAAACCUCUUUCCUUACCAGACUAUUUCUAAGGGAUGAUGCAAAUCAUAUUACUUGGAAAGAAAAAUUUCUUGCUGGAUUACCUACCUUUUAGGUGAAAAGGUAAGAAAUUCCAUCAAAGCCCUUUACGAUAACCGUAUUCCUUAUGACGAGCUCACCUAUGGUGAACUAGUCAGUUUUGUCAACAAAGAAGGUUUAAAGAUUUGUCAAGAUUUGAAAUUACAGAAACGUCUUAAGUGGGAGCUUAAGAAGUCUAAACAGGAAUUAGGCGGUUUCUGUAAGCAAUUCAAUUAUGACCCCUUUAAAACUUCCAAAGAUUGUAAUGGAGAGUGUUCUACAAACCUCGUAAGAAACAUUACAAAUCUAAACAUUUUAGAAAACCCUUCCGUGAUUUUAGAAAACUUCCUUAUAAGAAACCUUCGAAGCCUUAUAAGAGACAUAGUUUCUCUAAAAAGAAAGAUUUCAAAGCCAAACCUAAUACCCAUUCAACUUCAAGGAGGCCACAUGUUUCAAAUGUGGUAUGAAAGGUCAUACUGCAAAAUUUUGCAGAAUGAACAAAAGACUCCAAGAACUUGACCUCAAUGAGGACAUCCUUUCUAAAAUAGCCCCUCUUCUUGUCGAAUCUUCUGAUUCUGAGUCUUCCAUGUCGGGAGACAGUGACCCUUACCAAGUUGAUGAGCUUUUUGACUCAGAUGACUCUGCAUCUAGCAGUAGUGAUUCUGAAUCUGAUUCAUUUUUAAAGAAAAUCAAUGUUUUGACUAAAGACCAAGAAACUUUUCUUGAACUUGUAAAGCAUAUUUCUGAUCCAAAUCUUCAAAAGGAAUACCUUGAUAAACUUUUGAAAACAUUGGAUUUUAAUAAAGCCGAGACUUCUAGAGUCCCAAUUGUUAAAAAGAAUUCUUAUGAUCUUACUCAAAUUUUGGAUAAGAAGAAAACAAAAAAGAUGAUUCCUAAUAUCCAAGAUCUUCAGAAAGAGAUAAAAGAAAUCAAAAGUGAAAUCAGAGAUUUAAAAGAAAAACAAAAAAGUGAUUCUGAUAUUAUUCAACUUCUUUUACAAAAGCAAUUACAGGAUAAUUCAGACAAUGAAUCUAGUCCUGAUAUUGAUGGUGAUGAUAUUAAAGUAGAAAAUAUUGAGUCUGUACCCAAUGAUUUUCUAUUUGUUCUAAAACAAAUCACCACAAGAAAGUAUUUGAUUAAAGUCACUCUAAUCUUUUCUGAUGAUUUUGCNNNNNNNNNNNNNNNNNNNNNNNNNNNNNNNNNNNNNNNNNNNNNNNNNNNNNNNNNNNNNNNNNNNNNNNNNNNNNNNNNNNNNNNNNNNNNNNNNNNNNNNNNNNNNNNNNNNNNNNNNNNNNNNNNNNNNNNNNNNNNNNNNNNNNNNNNNNNNNNAAUAGCUUGCCAACGUGCAAAAAUCUGUUUUGAUGCAAUGUUUUGAACAUCCUUUUCUAAAACAUGUUUUGCAGCUUUGCAAUCAAUUCUAAGUAAAAAUUUUUGAUUUAAUAAAUCACUUUGAAAUUUUGUAAUGCAUAAAACAAUGGAAAGAAUUUCUUUUUUAAUAGUAGAAUAAUUUUUCUGACAAUCAUUCCAAUGUGCAGAAACAUAUUGUACUAUCUGUUCUCUAUCAUUUUCUUUUUGUUUUAAUAUACCUCCAUAUCCUAAAUCAGAUGCAUCAGUUUCAACAAUUUUAGGGAAUGCAGGAUUUGCAAGAUAUAGACAUGGGAUGCUUUUAACAGAACUCUUUAUUAAUUUAACAGCUUUAGUAUGUUCAUCUGUCCAUGGAGAGUUUUUUCUUUAAACGAUCAUGCAAAGGUUUAGACAACCUAUUGAUAUUGGGACAGAAAUCAAGAACAUAAUUUAGGCUACCAAGAAAUCUUUGUAAUUGAGUUUUGUCAAGAUUUUAUCAGGGAAUUAUCAGCAAAUAAAAGUGAUCUUUCAAUAGGGGUGAUUGUUCCUUUUGAAAUAUAGUGACCAAGAAAUCUGAUUUUCGUUUGAAAUAAUGAAAUCUUUGAACUAGAAAGGGCUAGUCCAGCCUUUUUUGUAGCAAAAUAAAAAGUCUUUAAAUGUUUGAAAUGUUGAUCGAUUGAAUUUGAAAUAUCAAAACAUCAUCAAUAUAAACAAUGCAAAAAUCAGAAUAAGGAUUAUAAAUAUCAUUCAUAAUUCUUUGAAAUUCUGAGGGUGCAUUCUUUAAACCAAAGGCAUAACAGUCCAUUCGUAUUGUCCAAAUGGAACAGUGAAAGCGGUUUUGUAACGGUCAUUUGGAUGAAUUUGAAUUUGCCAAAAACCCGAUUUCAUGUCGAAUUUUGAAAAAAUAAAGGCAGAACAGAGUUUUUGGAGUAAAUCUUUUUAUUAGGUAUAGGAUACCUAAUCCAUUUUAAAGCUUUAUUCAAAGGUUUGUAGUUUAUAACUAGUCUUGGAGUGCCUCUUUCAAUUUCGGAGUUUUUGUUAACAUAAAAAGCAGCACAAGACCAAGGAGACCUGGAUUUUACAAUGAGUCCUUUAGACUCCAAGUCUUUGAUUUCAUUUUACAAUGUUUUUUCUAAAUCCAUAUUCAUUUGAAUUGGACGAGCUUUGGUCGGAAUCUGUUUUUCAUCAAAAGAAUUUUCAUAAGGCAGAUCUACUAAAUGUUGUUUUCUAUUCCAAAAAGCAGAAGGUAGAUCAGCACAAAUUUCUUUUUCAAUAAGAGUUUUGAAAUCAGAAAUUUUUCUUUUAAUGAAAUCACUUUGUAAUUGGCUUUCAACUCUUUGUAAGUUCAAAUCUUUUUGUAAAAACAUUAGAUCACACUGUUUUGAUUUAAGUAAAUUGUUUAUUCUAUUUUGAUAAAUAGAACAGGCUUUAACAAUAUUCAAAUUUCUUGUUUUAGGUUUUCAAUAAAAGGGAAAACAAGUUUCUUGUUUUUUGCUUUGAAAGAUAUACUAUCAUAAUUGACAGUAUACGGUUAUGAGAUUUAUAAAAGGAGUUCCCAAAAUAAUGGCAUGAUGAAUAUCAUUUGUGAGAACAAAGGAAGUUUUAAAAAUCAAAAUCAUUAUAGAUUGAGGCUUCAACCUUGGAACUGACAUUCAAUUUUGAAUUAUUGGCGGCAGAAAGCCUUUCUUUUGUUUUUUCAUGAAAUCUUUUGGGGACGAUAUCUUCUCUAAUGCAAUUUAAAUCGGCGCCAGUAUCAAAAAGGGCAAUGGCGUCCAUCGCAAAAUCAUCAGAAAAGAUUAGAGUGACUUUAAUCAAAUACUUUCUUGUGGUGAUUUGUUUUAGAACAAAUAGAAAAUCAUUGGGUACAGACUCAAUAUUUUCUACUUUAAUAUCAUCACCAUCAAUAUCAGGACUGGAUUCAUUGUCUGAAUUAUCCUGUAAUUGCUUUUGUAAAAGAAGUUGAAUAAUAUCAGAAUCACUUUUUUGUUUUUCUUUUAAAUCUCUGAUUUCACUUUUGAUUUCUUUUAUCUCUUUCUGAAGAUCUUGGAUAUUAGGAAUCAUCUUUUUUGUUUUCUUCUUAUCCAAAAUUUGAGUAAGAUCAUAAGAAUUCUUUUUAAUAAUUGGGACUCUAGAAGUCUCGGCUUUAUUAAAAUCCAAUGUUUUCAAAAGUUUAUCAAGGUAUUCCUUUUGAAGAUUUGGAUCAGAAAUAUGCUUUACAAGUUCAAGAAAAGUUUCUUGGUCUUUAGUCAAAACACUUGAUUUUCUUUUAAAAAUGAAUCAGAUUCAGAAUCACUACUGCUAGAUGCAGAGUCAUUGAGUCAAAAAGCUCAUCAACUUGGUAAGGGUCACUGUCUCCGACAUGGAAGACUCAGAAUCAGAAGAUUCGACAAGAAGAGGGGCUAUUUUAGAAAGGAUGUCCUCAUUGAGGUCAAGUUCUUGGAGUCUUUUGUUCAUUCUGCAAAAUUUUGCAGUAUGACCUUUCAUACCACAUUUGAAACAUGUGGCCUCCUUGAAGUUGAAUGGGGUAUUAGGUUUGGCUUUGAAAUCUUUCUUUUUAGAGAAACUAUUGUCUCUUAUAAGGCUUCGAAGGUUUCUUAUAAGGAAGUUUUCUAAAAUCACGAAGGGUUUUCUAAAAUGUUUAGAUUUGUAAUGUUUCUUACGAGGUUUUUGUAGACACUCUCCAUUACAAUCUUUGGAAGUUUUAAAAGGGGUCAUAAUUGAAUUGCUUACAGAAACCGCCUAAUUCCUGUUUAGACUUCUUAAGCUCCCACUUAAGACGUUUCUGUUAAUUUCAAAUCUUGACAAAUCUUUAAACCUUCUUUGUUGACAAAAACUGACUAGUUCACCAUAGGUGAGCUCGUCAUAAGGAAUACGGUUAUCGUAAAGGGCUUUGAUGGAAUUUCUUACCUUUUCACCUAAAAGGGUAGGUAAUCCAGCAAGAAAUUUUUCUUUCCAAGUAAUAUGAUUUGCAUCAUCCCUUAGAAAUAGUCUGGUAAGGAAAGAGGUUUUGUAACUCUGAAAUUCACUAAGUUUUCUACAUCUCAAAUUAUGUAGUAACUCAGCGUUUUUAUCACGAAGGUGAGAAGGGUCACCGAUGAAAUGGAGGGAAAUGGUUAGAAUAAGAGUAGCAACAGCAUCCUGGAUAGGGUUGUUGAACUCAUCAAGAAUAGAGGCUCCAUUUUCAUCUUUUUGGACGGAAUUUAGAAUGUCAAAUUGUUGCUGAUUAGUGAGAAGAUGAUCCCACCAACCUUUUAGUUGACCAGUAAAACCAGCAAUUAGGAUUUCCGAUAUGGCACGAUCAGAAGUUCCUGCUUGGGUUUUAUAAGCAUUAGCUGCCAUUGUCAUUUGUUGCAACAAUCCAAGGAUAUUGUACUCAGACAUGCCGUCAAUAUUCCACUCAUAGACUGAAGAUGCAUUAUAACGGGAUUGAUUUAAUGCACUAGGUCUAUUAUCUAUUGCUAGAUCUGGUGGGGUCUUGACAGUGGGAAGGGCUAAUUCCCAGUGGAUUUUGUUGGCUUUAGGAGUAGAAGGUUCUUCUUUGAAAGCUUCUAAGUCAGAAGAGGCUAUAGAACUCUGGUCAUCUAGAUCCAAUACUCCAAUCUUGCUAGAUUGGGGGGUAUCGGGGGCUAUCUGGAGUUUGCUAGACGAGGAAGAAGCAGCUUCUAUCCUCUCUAGUUGUUCUCUAAUGGCUUUAGCAAAAUCUGAUUUUGACUCUUGAACAAGCCUUUGGCUAGUUUUCGAAACCUGAAAAGGUUUGAAAAUAGGUUCCUUAAGCUUUUUGUCAGAAUCCGAUUUUGAAGGAAUAGACAUAGGAAUAGGAGAAACAGAUAUAGGAGAUUUUUGAAAUUGGUUUUCUAUACGAGCCAAUUGCUUUCCAAUUGUAUUUAAGUUAGUAUUACAGAAAUUAUUCUGUUGUAUAAUACUACUUAAAUUCGCAUCAGAAUCAUUUGGUCUUGGGAUUUUGUAAGGGGAUGCUUUAAUCUCAAUAGGAGGUUCACCAUGAUCUAUGGUUAUACUCCUAAGAGGUGGAUGAUCAGACUCUAUAAUCCUAUCAUUAUCAGAAAGUUUCCAUUCAGGAAUUUUCUUUCUAAUAGUUAUAGGGUUUGACUCUUUAAAAGGAUAAUCAAUAUUGUUCUCAGAAGAAUAUAUUUCGAACCAAUCAAAAAACAAUAUAUGAACUUUAUGAAAUUCACAAAUUCAUAAUAAGUUUGUUGGAUUUCUUUUCUUUGGUUUAAAAAAUGUUUAAAAAACCAAGUUCUUUUUUCUUUAUUUAUUUCUGAAUAAAAAUCGUUAUGCAGAAAGGCUUUAUCUAAUUCAAAUUCUUUUUCAAUGACAUUAAUGACAUUUUCUGUGACAGCAGAAAACGUAGGAGAUGUUGGAGGAGAAGGUUCCUUCUCUUCCUGUCUUUGCACAUGUUGACUACUAGUGUAUAUAGGAUGAGGAACACUUGUGGCAUAGUCAACGGAACGGAUGGAGGAGCUAGGUAUAUCCGAAGUGGAAAACCUAGGUUGGCUCUGAUAUGGGAGAUUUAUAACAGAAGGUACUUUUGUAAACUUCCUUUCUAGUGAAGGAAUGCUUGGGCUCGAUUCUUUUUCAGAAAAUCUAUGUGAGGUAGACCUUCUGAAUGAUAGUUUGACUUUACCAUCGGAAUACUGGGUCACAUUUUGUAACUCUGUAUUUGGCUCAAGUUGUUUCGGAAUCGCCGGUGGGGCGGCUCCUUCGAGGAUCCAUUCAUCUGGAAGAUGGAUAUCUUUCCAUUGGAUCGAUUUUGGAAUGACCAUGUUGGCUUUAGACAAAUCAGUCUGCAAGAGAAGGGUCUCAUCUCUCUUCGACUGGUAUUUAUGCUGUGUGCUAAAUGCAGAAAUCAUGGCUUUAUAGGAAAUUUUAAAAAUUAAUGCAACUGGGAUGGAUCCCUUAAUCAUGUGAUAAUUAUGGGUUUGGAUUUGUAAAAUCAUGCUCUUUAAAAUAUUUUUGUCUUUAAGAGAAAUUGUUAUAUUUGGAUAACAAUCAAAAGAUAUGGGACCUUUACAUAGACUAGAUUCGAUACUACUUAGUAAAGAAUCAUCAAAAGAGAUGAAUCGCCCAUCUCUAAGAACAGCAAGGAUAGAGGUAUCCAAACCUUCUUUGGUCAAAGGUUUUAUUCCUACUUGGAUUAAACCAAUGUGAAUAUAUUUGAAAUUCUUUUCUUUUAAUUUCUUUAAAGAUUUUUCUGAAAACAAAUAAAUUGUUUCAAAAGGCUCCGAAAGAGUUAUGUCUCUUUCUUCAGUUUUUAUAAUAUAAUCAUGUUUUAAAAGAUCAAGCAUUUUUGUUUUGUAAAUCUUUUCUUUGGAAAUUUUUGGAAGUUCCCAACAAUCAAUUGCUUUAUCAAAGUUUUCAAUAACGAAUUCUUCUGAACUCACAACAUGCUUUGAAUCACUAGUCUUCCCGGAAGAAGAGCUAGAAAAGGACGAUGUUCUACAGUGUAGAGGGUUCAUGGGUAAAAACCUAUGAUCUAUUUAGUGGUUUUGAAAGAAUGGCUACAGGUAUGGUUUUACAGCCCUAAACGGAAAACUUAUCCUUAGACGGGACUUACUACCAGUAAAAAUUCACCACAAAAACAAAACUUCAAAAUAAAACACAAGUUUUCAAAGCCAAGGGGAGGAUUGUGUAAAGCAGUUUAGAGUUUUGUGUUUUGAAAACUUGUGUUUUAUUUUGAAGUUUUGUUUUUGUGGUGAAUUUUUACUGGUAGUAAGUCCCGUCUAAGGAUAAGUUUUCCGUUUAGGGCUGUAAAACCAUACCUGUAGCCAUUCUUUCAAAACCACUAAAUAGAUCAUAGGUUUUUACCCAUGAACCCUCUACACUGUAGAACAUCGUCCUUUUCUAGCUCUUCUUCCGGGAAGACUAGUGAUUCAAAGCAUGUUGUGAGUUCAGAAGAAUUCGUUAUUGAAAACUUUGAUAAAGCAAUUGAUUGUUGGGAACUUCCAAAAAUUUCCAAAGAAAAGAUUUACAAAACAAAAAUGCUUGAUCUUUUAAAACAUGAUUAUAUUAUAAAAACUGAAGAAAGAGACAUAACUCUUUCGGAGCCUUUUGAAACAAUUUAUUUGUUUUCAGAAAAAUCUUUAAAGAAAUUAAAAGAAAAGAAUUUCAAAUAUAUUCACAUUGGUUUAAUCCAAGUAGGAAUAAAACCUUUGACCAAAGAAGGCUUGGAUACCUCUAUCCUUGCUGUUCUUAGAGAUGGGCGAUUCAUCUCUUUUUGAUGAUUCUUUACUAAGUAGUAUCGAAUCUAGUCUAUGUAAAGGUCCCAUAUCUUUUGAUUGUUAUCCAAAUAUAACAAUUUCUCUUAAAGACAAAAAUAUUUUAAAGAGCAUGAUUUUACAAAUCCAAACCCAUAAUUAUCACAUGAUUAAGGGAUCCAUCCCAGUUGCAUUAAUUUUUAAAAUUUCCUAUAAAGCCAUGAUUUCUGCAUUUAGCACACAGCAUAAAUACCAGUCGAAGAGAGAUGAGACCCUUCUCUUGCAGACUGAUUUGUCUAAAGCCAACAUGGUCAUUCCAAAAUCGAUCCAAUGGAAAGAUAUCCAUCUUCCAGAUGAAUGGAUCCUCGAAGGAGCCGCCCCACCGGCGAUUCCGAAACAACUUGAGCCAAAUACAGAGUUACAAAAUGUGACCCAGUAUUCCGAUGGUAAAGUCAAACUAUCAUUCAGAAGGUCUACCUCACAUAGAUUUUCUGAAAAAGAAUCGAGCCCAAGCAUUCCUUCACUAGAAAGGAAGUUUACAAAAGUACCUUCUGUUAUAAAUCUCCCAUAUCAGAGCCAACCUAGGUUUUCCACUUCGGAUAUACCUAGCUCCUCCAUCCGUUCCGUUGACUAUGCCACAAGUGUUCCUCAUCCUAUAUACACUAGUAGUCAACAUGUGCAAAGACAGGAAGAGAAGGAACCUUCUCCUCCAACAUCUCCUACGUUUUCUGCUGUCACAGAAAAUGUCAUUAAUGUCAUUGAAAAAGAAUUUGAAUUAGAUAAAGCCUUUCUGCAUAACGAUUUUUAUUCAGAAAUAAAUAAAGAAAAAAGAACUUGGUUUUUUAAACAUUUUUUAAACCAAAGAAAAGAAAUCCAACAAACUUAUUAUGAAUUUGUGAAUUUUCAUAAAGUUCAUAUAUUGUUUUUUGAUUGGUUCGAAAUAUAUUCUUCUGAGAACAAUAUUGAUUAUCCUUUUAAAGAGUCAAACCCUAUAACUAUUAGAAAGAAAAUUCCUGAAUGGAAACUUUCUGAUAAUGAUAGGAUUAUAGAGUCUGAUCAUCCACCUCUUAGGAGUAUAACCAUAGAUCAUGGUGAACCUCCUAUUGAGAUUAAAGCAUCCCCUUACAAAAUCCCAAGACCAAAUGAUUCUGAUGCGAAUUUAAGUAGUAUUAUACAACAGAAUAAUUUCUGUAAUACUAACUUAAAUACAAUUGGAAAGCAAUUGGCUCGUAUAGAAAACCAAUUUCAAAAAUCUCCUAUAUCUGUUUCUCCUAUUCCUAUGUCUAUUCCUUCAAAAUCGGAUUCUGACAAAAAGCUUAAGGAACCUAUUUUCAAACCUUUUCAGGUUUCGAAAACUAGCCAAAGGCUUGUUCAAGAGUCAAAAUCAGAUUUUGCUAAAGCCAUUAGAGAACAACUAGAGAGGAUAGAAGCUGCUUCUUCCUCGUCUAGCAAACUCCAGAUAGCCCCCGAUACCCCCCAAUCUAGCAAGAUUGGAGUAUUGGAUCUAGAUGACCAGAGUUCUAUAGCCUCUUCUGACUUAGAAGCUUUCAAAGAAGAACCUUCUACUCCUAAAGCCAACAAAAUCCACUGGGAAUUAGCCCUUCCCACUGUCAAGACUCCACCAGAUCUAGCAAUAGAUAAUAGACCUAGUGCAUUAAAUCAAUCCCGUUAUAAUGCAUCUUCAGUCUAUGAGUGGAAUAUUGACGGCAUGUCUGAGUACAAUAUCCUUGGAUUGUUGCAACAAAUGACAAUGGCAGCUAAUGCUUAUAAAACCCAAGCAGGAACUUCUGAUCGUGCCAUAUCGGAAAUCCUAAUUGCUGGUUUUACUGGUCAACUAAAAGGUUGGUGGGAUCAUCUUCUCACUAAUCAGCAACAAUUUGACAUUCUAAAUUCCGUCCAAAAAGAUGAAAAUGGAGCCUCUAUUCUUGAUGAGUUCAACAACCCUAUCCAGGAUGCUGUUGCUACUCUUAUUCUAACCAUUUCCCUCCAUUUCAUCGGUGACCCUUCUCACCUUCGUGAUAAAAACGCUGAGUUACUACAUAAUUUGAGAUGUAGAAAACUUAGUGAAUUUCAGAGUUACAAAACCUCUUUCCUUACCAGACUAUUUCUAAGGGAUGAUGCAAAUCAUAUUACUUGGAAAGAAAAAUUUCUUGCUGGAUUACCUACCCUUUUAGGUGAAAAGGUAAGAAAUUCCAUCAAAGCCCUUUACGAUAACCGUAUUCCUUAUGACGAGCUCACCUAUGGUGAACUAGUCAGUUUUGUCAACAAAGAAGGUUUAAAGAUUUGUCAAGAUUUGAAAUUACAGAAACGUCUUAAGUGGGAGCUUAAGAAGUCUAAACAGGAAUUAGGCGGUUUCUGUAAGCAAUUCAAUUAUGACCCCUUUAAAACUUCCAAAGAUUGUAAUGGAGAGUGUUCUACAAAACCUCGUAAGAAACAUUACAAAUCUAAACAUUUUAGAAAACCCUUCCGUGAUUUUAGAAAACUUCCUUAUAAGAAACCUUCGAAGCCUUAUAAGAGACAUAGUUUCUCUAAAAAGAAAGAUUUCAAAGCCAAACCUAAUACCCCAUUCAACUUCAAGGAGGCCACAUGUUUCAAAUGUGGUAUGAAAGGUCAUACUGCAAAAUUUUGCAGAAUGAACAAAAGACUCCAAGAACUUGACCUCAAUGAGGACAUCCUUUCUAAAAUAGCCCCUCUUCUUGUCGAAUCUUCUGAUUCUGAGUCUUCCAUGUCGGGAGACAGUGACCCUUACCAAGUUGAUGAGCUUUUUGACUCAGAUGACUCUGCAUCUAGCAGUAGUGAUUCUGAAUCUGAUUCAUUUUUAAAGAAAAUCAAUGUUUUGACUAAAGACCAAGAAACUUUUCUUGAACUUGUAAAGCAUAUUUCUGAUCCAAAUCUUCAAAAGGAAUACCUUGAUAAACUUUUGAAAACAUUGGAUUUUAAUAAAGCCGAGACUUCUAGAGUCCCAAUUAUUAAAAAGAAUUCUUAUGAUCUUACUCAAAUUUUGGAUAAGAAGAAAACAAAAAAGAUGAUUCCUAAUAUCCAAGAUCUUCAGAAAGAGAUAAAAGAAAUCAAAAGUGAAAUCAGAGAUUUAAAAGAAAAACAAAAAAGUGAUUCUGAUAUUAUUCAACUUCUUUUACAAAAGCAAUUACAGGAUAAUUCAGACAAUGAAUCCAGUCCUGAUAUUGAUGGUGAUGAUAUUAAAGUAGAAAAUAUUGAGUCUGUACCCAAUGAUUUUCUAUUUGUUCUAAAACAAAUCACCACAAGAAAGUAUUUGAUUAAAGUCACUCUAAUCUUUUCUGAUGAUUUUGCGAUGGACGCCAUUGCCCUUUUUGAUACUGGCGCCGAUUUAAAUUGCAUUAGAGAAGAUAUCGUCCCCAAAAGAUUUCAUGAAAAAACAAAAGAAAGGCUUUCUGCCGCCAAUAAUUCAAAAUUGAAUGUCAGUUCCAAGGUUGAAGCCUCGAUCUAUAAUGAUGGUUUUGAUUUUAAAACUUCCUUUGUUCUCACAAAUGAUAUUCAUCAUGCCAUUAUUUUGGGAACUCCUUUUAUAAAUCUCAUAACUCCGUAUACUGUCAAUUAUGAUAGUAUAUCUUUCAAAGCAAAAAACAAGAAACUUGUUUUCCCUUUUAUUGAAAAACCUAAAACAAGAAAUUUAAAUAUUGUUAAAGCCUGUUCUAUUUAUCAAAAUAGAAUAAACAAUUUACUUAAAUCAAAACAGUGUGAUCUAAUGUUUUUACAAAAAGAUUUGAACUUACAAAGAGUUGAAAGCCAAUUACAAAGUGAUUUCAUUAAAAGAAAAAUUUCUGAUUUCAAAACUCUUAUUGAAAAAGAAAUUUGUGCUGAUCUACCUUCUGCUUUUUGGAAUAGAAAACAACAUUUAGUAGACCUGCCUUAUGAAAAUUCUUUUGAUGAAAAACAGAUUCCGACCAAAGCUCGUCCAAUUCAAAUGAAUAUGGAUUUAGAAAAACAUUGUAAAAAUGAAAUCAAAGACUUGGAGUCUAAAGGACUCAUUGUAAAAUCCAGGUCUCCUUGGUCUUGUGCUGCUUUUUAUGUUAACAAAAACUUCGAAAUUGAAAGAGGCACUCCAAGACUAGUUAUAAACUACAAACCUUUGAAUAAAGCUUUAAAAUGGAUUAGGUAUCCUAUAUCUAAUAAAAAAGAUUUACUCCAAAAACUCUGUUCUGCCUUUAUUUUUUCAAAAUUCGACAUGAAAUCGGGUUUUUGGCAAAUUCAAAUUCAUCCAAAUGACCGUUACAAAACCGCUUUCACUGUUCCAUUUGGACAAUACGAAUGGACUGUUAUGCCCUUUGGUUUAAAGAAUGCACCCUCAGAAUUUCAAAGAAUUAUGAAUGAUAUUUAUAAUCAUUAUUCUGAUUUUUGCAUUGUUUAUAUUGAUGAUGUUUUGAUAUUUUCAAAUUCAAUCGAUCAACAUUUCAAACAUUUAAAGACUUUUUAUUUUGCUACAAAAAAGGCUGGACUAGCCCUUUCUAGUUCAAAGAUUUCAUUAUUUCAAACGAAAAUCAGAUUUCUUGGUCACUAUAUUUCAAAAGGAACAAUCACCCCUAUUGAAAGAUCACUUUUAUUUGCUGAUAAAUUCCCUGAUAAAAUCCUUGACAAAACUCAAUUACAAAGAUUUCUUGGUAGCCUAAAUUAUGUUCUUGAUUUCUGUCCCAAUAUCAAUAGGUUGUCUAAACCUUUGCAUGAUCGUUUAAAGAAAAAACCUGCUCCAUGGACAGAUGAACAUACUAAAGCUGUUAAAUUAAUAAAGAGUUCUGUUAAAAGCAUCCCAUGUCUAUAUCUUGCAAACCCUGCAUUCCCUAAAAUUGUUGAAACUGAUGCAUCUGAUUUAGGAUAUGGAGGUAUAUUAAAACAAAAAGAAAAUGAUAGAGAACAGAUAGUACAAUAUGUUUCUGCACAUUGGAAUGAUUGUCAGAAAAAUUAUUCUACUAUUAAAAAAGAAAUUCUUUCCAUUGUUUUAUGCAUUACAAAAUUUCAAAGUGAUUUAUUAAAUCAAAAAUUUUUACUUAGAAUUGAUUGCAAAGCUGCAAAACAUGUUUUAGAAAAGGAUGUUCAAAACAUUGCAUCAAAACAAAUUUUUGCACGUUGGCAAGCUAUUUUGAGUGUUUUUGAUUUUGAUAUAGAAUUCAUUAAAGGUGAUAAAAAUUCUGUUCCUGAUUUUCUAACCAGAGAAUUUCUUCAAAACAGAUAAUGCCGCUAAAGAAAGACAAAGGUAAAGCUGUUCUCAAAAGUUCCGGAUCUCAAGAACCUUCCAAAGAACCCCAGUCAACCCCUUCUAAAGAAAAAUUACUUUCUUCUGCCCUACCCAUCAAAUCAUGGAUUGAAUUGGUUGAAGAACAUGAAGCCCAAUACAAACCCAUCUCUUCUGAUGAUCAAGUAAAGCAUUGGAUGAGUUCCAUUACAAAAUCUCCCGAGCUCAUGCUCGCUCUACAAAACCUUUCCCAGAGCCAAAAUUCUCCUCAAAAAGAAAUUAAGAGCAUAUCCACAUCUAAAGAAAUUACAAAACCCUCCUCUCAAAAUGUUGUUGUCUCUGCCGAAAGCUCAUCUUCCCAAAUUGUGCUUUCUCAGCCAACACCUUCAAAGAAAACCUCCGAUUGGUUUGAUAAAACCCAUUUUCAAAAUAUUCUUUCUAUGGAAGAUGGAUUUUACCAUACUGAUCCUUUUCAAAGCAUUUCAAAGUUUUUUCCCAAAGGCUGGUUUUUCAAACCAUGGGAUUUGACAAAACCCCAGUCUUAUUAUCAAAGCAUUUUAGAAAUAACUGAAUCAGUUAAAUUCAAACAUUUCUUUCUUGAUAAAACCCAUUCUGAACCGGCCUAUUCCACGGCCACGAUUCUAAAAGUUUUGAGCCCGAACCAGUGGGGCGACCUACUCCACAAUUUCAAAACCUUUCCUUUAAACUUUGAAACCCGUUUACCACAUUGUCGGACUUUCUCCUACUGGGAUUACCAACAAGCAUGGUAUAACACCUUUUUUAUUCAAAACCCUAAAAAAUCCCAUUCUUGGUUAUUUUUCUUUAACCCUAAAAUAACCGUCCAAAGCCUUCCAAACUGGUUCCAUCAUUGGUGGAAUUUCUUUGGCCCAAUACCUCAAAUCCUCACUCCAAAUGCCAUAAAUUGCCUAAACCUCUUUAAAGCCCACUAUAUGCCCUCUGACUCAGAGAAAAGAUUUCCCCCCUUUCUCUGUUUUUGUACAAACUUCUUCCUACCAUGGGUCUGGAUGUGGAACCUCCGUUUUCAUACUCAAGAUUCCCAAGUCAUCCUUCAAAGAACCUUUAAAGUCAAAUGGUGGUCAAAAUUUGAUGAACAGUCCAAACUGACUGUUAACAUGAUCAAAGAUUGGCUCUCCUCUAAAAACCUUCUCCAACCAACCCUAGAAGCCUCUAAAGCCCAACAGACCUUCUUAACCCAAAAAUCCAAAGCCCAGUCUCUUUUGGCAAGUGCCAAGACAGAAGAGGAAUACUUCAAAGCAAUGGAACAGCUCCUCGCCUCCCGUUCAAAGUCAUCAGUAGCUGACACCUCUGAAGACGAAGACGAUGAUGAAGAUGAAGAGCCCUUCAUUUCUCUUGGAGACGAAAAUGAAGAUGAUUGUUUCGGCAUUUUUUCUCCUAUAAAGCAUUGUAAAUAAUUAUUUGGUUAUUUACUUAAAAAAAAAAAAAAAAAAAAAAAAAAAAAAGAAAAGAGUAAUUUUCUCUCGGGUGGUCCCUUGGACACAAGUGAGAGCGCACAUGUCUCUUCACCCGUGUUGUAUUUCAUUAUGUAUUUCAAUUUUUGUACAAAGUAGUCUACUGUUCAAAGCUACGGUCAGCCUACUAUUCAAAGCUACGAUCCAAAGAUUACUGUGCACUCAAAACUCCGCUACAGUGAACAGUGCAAAAUUCCAAAGAUUACUGUGCACUCAAAGCUCCGCUACAGUGAACAGUUUACAAAAUUUUGUAUAUAAACCAAGAGGAAGACUCAGACUCCUCAGGUUUUUCAUUUUUCUCUUCUUCUCCUCCUUCUCUCUAGAUCUCUCUCUCUCUCUCUCUCUCUCUUGGGAAGUCUGGAUCAAGACAUCAAGGAAACCAUUCCUGUCUUGUAAUCUUCCCGUCUUUCAAUCUUCCCUUCAGGAAAGAUUUGAAAAUUGUAAAGACCAAGACUAUCAAAGCAAAGAUGUAUGUUUAAAUUUCAGUUAUUUAAUUUCGAUGUAAUUUAAAUUUUCGCAAUUUACUUUUCUGCAAUUUAAUUUCAUGCAUAUUUACAUUAAAGCAAUUUAUUUUUAAAGCAAUUUUCUUUUCAAAGCAUGCAAAGCAGACUGGUCUUUAUCAGAUCUGCCAUAAAAUUUGUACGUUCCUCUGAGGCAAAGAGACCGGAUCUCGAUCCUCAGUUGUAAAUCUUCUCUUCUUCCUCCAUUCCUUCAGAGCACCAUUUCCGGGAUCCGGAUCUGGUACUGUGUAUGUACCCAAGCCCCUUAAAGAAUCUAAUUUAAAUCUGGAAUUAGCCCAAUAAAAAGAAACAACCACGUUUAAAGCAACUUAAUUUUAUCUGGUAAAUAUAUUAAAGUAUAUAGGCUGGAAACCCGAACGUGCGGACUAUUGAUCUGUUCUAAGUCAGAUCUGGGUCCAAAGGCAGAUUAACUUCUGCGAUCGAUCUGGUCUAACAACGCCACGUACUUUAAAUAUUCUAAAAAUUUGACCAACCGCGUUCAAAUUUGUUUGAUCAUUGUAUGCUCUAAAACAAAUCUACUUAAUCUAAAGCUGGUAAUCUUAUAUAAAAUCUGAACAACCGCGAUCCAAUUAUUUCAUUAAAGCAAUCAAUAAAGAAGCAUCUUCAAUACACACCCAUCCUUCGAUCCUAUUUCCUUCUGGUAUAUAUAUAUAUAUAUAUAUAUAUAUAUAUAUAUAUAUGUGCAUAUUUUGCAACGUAUAGAUAAUUGUUAGUAUAUGGAGACAAGUCUUUUAAGGUAGGACCUAAGAAAAUUUAUAACUUACUACACUGUAGAGUUUUUAUUCCUUUUUAUAAUUGGCUCAUAUUGAUACAUUCUUACACAAAAUAUUACCAUUGACAUAUUUUACUACAAUUAGUUUAGAACAUUUGUUAGGAAAAAAAAGAAAAGAAAAGAAAACAUCCCUUGGAUGUAGCUCUCCUGACUAUUUAAAUCUUUUAAGGAAAAAAAGAAAAAAGAAAAACUGACACAUUCAAAUCUUGAAGCAAUUACAUUAAAACCUCUCCAUAAUGAUAGGAAUAAUCUCCAUUUAGUAAUAAAAAAUUUUGUUCGCAAUUUAGGCAGAGUUAUAAAUAAGAAUAAAAUCCUCAUUGUAUAAGUUAUAUUUAUUAUGGAUCCCAUCCUAAGGAACUUGUCUCUAUAUAGUAAUAAUUAUUUGCAUAUUAUAAAUAUAUAUGUUGCAUUAAAUUAAAUGAACUUGUCUCCACAUACUACUUAGACAACGAGAGAAAGUUAUUAAAGAGAACACAAAUAUUUAGAGAUUUUUAAGAUGACUUUGCAUAUUUAUAACAAUAAUACAUUGAUAUAUUUAUAUAUUAGAUUUGACAUGCUCUAUUAAUAAAUUAUUAAAACGAUGCAUACUUCAUCUCUAUAUCCUUGCAAUAAAAGUAACUAAGUUAUAACAAUAAUUAUUAAUAAAUUAUUAAUACGUUGCGUACUUCAUCUCUAUAUCCUUACAAUAAAAGUAACUAAGUUAUAACGAUAAUUUUUGUAACUACAUGCUUAUUAGGUUUUAACUACUUCAUAAUAAUAAAUUAGUUUCGUCCUACUAUUAUAAUUAUGUAGAGUUGUAGUGUAUAGACACACCCAAUUUAAAUAGUAUAUCAAAUAAAAUUGUCCCCACAAAAAAGAAAAAAGGGGUAAAGGAUUGUUAUUUCUUCAAACAUUAGGAUCACGUUUGUACAAGUGCGAUGCCUUUCUUUUGAAGGCAACGUCAGUGGGUACCCAAUAAGACGUGUGUAAAUCUUUCCAAAAUUUCUCCGGUAUAACGGACAGAGAUCAUUACUUUUCUCUUCCAUAGACCACAGCAGCCUCAGUUAAUCAGACUCAAUCAAUUUUCUUGGUUUCUUCGCGUAUCAAAAUUCCAAAAUAUGGGUAGCAUAUUUCAAAUCACAUGCGAUGGUGCUUUUUUCAAUCGUCGCUUGGAUUGCUUUCUUGGAAAAGUAGCAAACACAAGUAAGCUCCAAGAUAACCUUGUUGCCUUGGAGACUGAAUUGGGAAAACUAAUCGCAGCAAAGAACGAUGUGAUGAUGAGGGUUGUCAAUGCUGAACGGCAACAACUGAGAACGCUGGACCAAGUGCAAGUGUGGCUUUCGAGGGUGGAAGCUGUUGAAACUGAAGCUGAUGAAUUGAAAAGACACGGCUCUCAAGAAAUUGACAAAUUAUGUGUUGGAGGCUACUGUUCCAAGAACUGCGCGUCAAGCUACAAGUUCGGGAAACAAGUGGCUAAAAAGCUACGGGAUGUGCAGACUUUAAUCGACGAAGGAGUUUUUGCGGCGGUGGCUACCGAGGUGGUGCCUGAGAGAGCUCCAGAACCUGUAGCAGAUGAAAGACCCACUGAGCCAACAAUAGUAGGCUUGCAAUCACAACUUGAACAAGUUUGGAGAUGUCUUGUAGAAGAAUCAGUGGGAAUCAUUGGCCUAUAUGGUAUGGGCGGUGUUGGUAAAACUACACUAUUGACCCAUAUCAACAAUAAAUUUCUUGAGAGUCCAACCAGUUUUGAUUGUGUGAUUUGGGCCGUAGUUUCAAAGGACUUGCGACUCGAAAAAAUUCAAGAAGAUAUUGGGAAAAAGAUCGGUUUGGUUGAUGAUUCAUGGAAGAGUAAAAGUGUAGAGGAGAAAGCUCUCGACAUCUUCCGGAGUUUAAGAGAGAAGAGAAUUGUAUUGCUGUUAGAUGAUAUAUGGGAGCGGGUUGAUUUAACAAAAGUGGGCAUUCCACUUUCCGGACAAAAAAAUACUACAUCAAAAGUCGUAUUCACAACCCGUUUCGUCGAUGUUUGUGGUAGCAUGGAAGCUGACAAGAAGUUCCAAGUGGCAUGCUUAUCAGAAGAGCAUGCUUGGGAACUGUUUCGAAAAAAAGUUGGGGAAGAAACUCUUGAGAGGGAUCAUGAUAUCGUUGAGCUAGCCCAAACUGUGGCCAAAGAGUGUGGUGGUUUGCCACUCGCACUUAUUACUAUUGGUCGAGCUAUGGCCUUCAAAAAGACAGCCGAGGAGUGGAGUCAUGCAAUUGAUGUGCUAAGAACAUCAGCUUCUGAGUUUGCAGGUUUGGGAGAAAAGGUGUAUCGUCUUUUAAAGUUUAGCUAUGAUAGUUUGCAGAAUGAGACGAUUAGAUCUUGUUUCUUAUAUUGUUGUUUAUAUCCCGAGGAUUAUGGCAUUCUUAAAUGGGACUUGAUUGAUUGUUGGAUUGGUGAGGGAUUCUUAGAGGAAUCUGACAGGUUCAGUGCAGAAAACCAAGGAUACUACAUUGUGGGCACUCUUGUUCAUGCAUGUUUAUUAGAAGAGUUAGAAGAAGAUAAAGUAAAAAUGCAUGACGUUGUUCGUGAUAUGGCUCGAUGGAUAGCUUGUGAAAUUGAGAAGGAGGAGAGAAAAUUUUUGGUUUGUGCAGGUGCUGGAGUAGGAGCGGUAUCAGAUGUUGAAGGAUGGGAAAAUGUGAGAAGAUUGUCAUUGAUGCAAAACCAAAUUGAAAUUCUGUCAGAGGUUCCCACAUGCCCUCAUCUCCUCACUUUAUUUCUUGACUUUAAUUAUAAAUUGGAGAUGAUGACCGAUGGCUUCUUCCAAUGUAUGCCUUCUCUCAAAGUUUUGAAGAUGUCAAACUGUGGGCAUGUCAAAGUUUUGAAAUUACCUUUUGGGAUGUCAAAGUUGGGUUCACUACAACUUCUUGAUAUUUCACAUACCGGCAUAAGAGAGUUACCAGAAGAGUUAAAGUUGUUGGUAAAUCUGAAAUGUUUGAAUUUGAGGUGGACACAUAUGUUAAAUAAAAUUCCACGGCAGCUAAUAUCAAAUUCUUCAUGGUUACGUGUGUUGAGAAUGUUCGCUAUUGGCUUUGAAAAUUCUAAAGAACCAUCAGAAGACAGCGUUUUAAUUGGUGGGGGUGAAGUUUUAGUACAUGAAUUGCUCGGUUUGAAAUAUUUAGAGGUGUUGGAGUUGACCUUGCGCAGCUAUGAUGCUCUCCAAUUUUUUUUGAGCUCAAAUAAGUUAAAAAAUUGUAUUCGAUCUCUUUUCCUCAAUAAGCUGGGAGACACAAAGUCGAUUCAUGCUACGGCUUUCGCAGAUCUAAAGCAUCUCAAUGAACUAUGCAUUCGUUCGGCAGUAGAGUUGGAAGAAUUGAAGGUUGCUUAUACAGAGAUGGCGCCAAAAGGGUCGGAACCUUUUGCUUUCCGCAGCCUUCACCGUGUUACUAUGGAGCGGUGCCAUAAAUUGAAAGAUUUGACAUUCCUCGUUUUUGCUCCAAGCCUCAAGUCUCUUUCGCUAUACGGAUGCAAUGCUAUGGAAGAAAUAAUCAGCGUUGGAAAAUUUGCUGAGACUCCUGAGGUGAUGGGACAUAUAAGCCCUUUUGGAAAUCUCCAAACGCUUUAUUUAACUGAUUUGCCAGAGUUGAAGAGCAUCUACUGGAAGCCAUUGCCUUUCACUCAUCUCAAAGAAAUGACGGUACAUGGGUGUAAUCAGCUUAAAAAGCUUCCACUCGAUUCCAACAGUGCAACAGAGCGUAAAUUCGUUAUUCGUGGAUACACACUCUGGUGGAACCGUCUUCAAUGGGAGGAUGAAGCCACUCAAAUUGCUUUUCGUUCCUGUUUCCAAUCUCAUGAAAUAUAAAUUCCUGAGCGGUGGUUGCAAAAUUUGAUUCUAGUGAGUGCUUUUUUCUUAAACUCUUUCAUAUAUUCUCGUCAUUUGCUUCGUGCAACAGACUAGGUUUUUAUUUCAGAUUCGUUUUUUGUCUCCUGCAAAUCACAAUUAAAUGUUGAAUUAUAUGGAGUCAAUGCUUUAGAAAAUUUUCAAGGCACUGCCAUUUCCUUUUUCUUUUUUAUUUUUGGGUCGAAUUGAUGCUCUGGCUUUUUACUUUUUGUUGGCAAAUUUUGCUCUGUUUUUUCAAGUUGAUGCUUGAAUAGUUGAAUUCAAUUAAUGCUCACAUAAAUUUGUUUAGUUUCCGUAAAAGGAUAUAAUUAGACUGAAGUACACACUUCUAGAAUGAAUACAAAAUGUUAAGUAUACUAGGCCUCUUUACAGAAAAUCAAAUGAAAAUCAAUUUUUUGGGGCUUUGAUUUUCUAUGGUCUAUUAUAUACUCUUUUUAAUAUCUUCUGUUCUAACUAUAACCAAAUCCUUUGUUCAAGGAUUUUUAUUUGGGGUAUUGAUAACUGUCCACCAAAAGAGUGAACACCUGGAUGCUGCUCAAGGAUCUCUAAUCAAUAGCUGGAAGCAACUGAGAAGGCGGUCGCUACUGUUUACAAAGCGAUGCAGUAUUUGCCAUUCAUCUUAACAAUUAUGAAGCUUUGGUAAAAUUUUCAAACAAAGUUGAACAUGUUGUUUUGAGAUUUGGUUCAUGAUUUUGGAUGAAUAUCGUUGUUCCGUUGAGUUGGAUGUGAAUUCAAAAUCUAUAUAUUCUUUGGUUUUCAAUUCUGAACUCAAUUUCUUUUUCUCAAGCAUGUUAUGCAGAAAUGAUUUUUACUAAAUCAUUUUUGAUGAAUUAUUUAAAUUAAACAAUUGGAAUAAGAAUUGUAAAGGAUUAUCAUAAGCAUGCUAAUAUGAUAAGUUGUUUUAUGAACGAUUAAUUAAUUAAUCAAUUAAUAUUAAAUUAUCUAUUAGUCAAUUAGAUAUGCGUUACAUGUCAUGUUUAAAAGCUAUUUAUUUAUAUUUCAAACAAAUUUGACUGGAUGUUGUGUAGGUAAUACUACAUAAUUUCAAAACAAAAAAAGUAAUAAAAACACCUUAACUUUCGUUUUUGUCAAAUAAGGUGGCCAUCUAGAUGGUAUAAAGCAACCAUCUAGAUGGUCAGCAUAAUGUUGUUCAAAGAAGAAGAAAGUUGGCAGCAGCAGCAGCAUUUCUUGAAGAAGGAACUUUGACAUUCAAUGGCGGUGAAAAAAAAAAAAAUAUUUUAAUAGCCAAUUUUGGCUAUAAAAGGGGAGAGCACCCAUUUUGAUUUGUGCAUCCAAAUUUGUGAAAGGCAUUUUGAGAGAGAGUUUAGAGAGCUUAAAAUUAUAAGCUCUUGUUAUAGUGAUUUGAGAGUUUUGGUGUAUUGGGGUUUUGGGUAGUGAGCUAAAAUACUACAAUACUUGUAACUCCUUUUUACUAGUAAAAUAUUUCCUUCUGUCUUCGCCUGUGGACGUAGGCUAAAAGCCGAACCAUGUAAUUUCUUGUGUCUAAUUUUUGUGCUUGUUCUUUAUUUUCUUACGAUUUCAUCUUAGCUGCGGUCCUGCUUCACCCACCAAUUUCCUAACAGUGAUAUCAGAGCUAUUGGUUGUAUUUUUUGGAGUCAGGAACUGUUCACGUAAGGGGUACUAUUCACGUAAGGGGUACUAUUCACGUAUACGGCACUAUACACGUUUACAAUACUAUUCACGUAUACGGUUUUGUUCACAUAUACGGUACUAUUCACGUGAAACGGUGGAAGCGAUCCAAGAAUUUUGCGGUGCAAAGCAGGGAAUAGUGGUGUGAGUAAAACAACUGUGUGGUUUUGUACAUGUCUAGGAAAGUUCUGUCACAAAGACGAUAAGAGCUUAAGGAGUCUGAGUUUUAAGUGGGACCAUUGUGACCCCUCCAGUCUUUCCUGGGAACUUUCCUGGUGUGCAUUCUCACACAUACUCACAACUAUUCAAGGUAGUAUACUAGCUUGUGUGCAGUAUUUAUCAACAAAAUGGUGGCAAAGUAUGAAAUUGAGAAGUUUAACGGAAAUAAUUUUUCGUUGUGGAAAAUGAAGAUGAAAGCAAUAUUGAGGAAAAAUAAUUGCUUGGCAGCAAUUGGAGAAAGGCCCAUGGAGAUAACUGAUGACAAGUGGAACGAGGUAGACGGCAACGCCAUUUCUGAUCUACACUUGGCACUUGCAGACGGAGUAUUAUCCAGUGUGGUAGAGAAAAAUAUAGCGAAGGAAAUAUGGGAUACUCUCACAAAAUUGUACGAGGCCAAGUCACUACACAACAAAAUCUUCUUGAAGAGGAAACUCUAUACUCUUCGAAUGGCGGAAUCUACAAUGGUGACCGACCACAUCAACACCUUGAAGACUCUAUUUUCACAACUCACAAUGUUGGGUCAUAAUAUAGAGGAAAAUGAACGUGCAGAACUUCUACUUCAAAGUCUACCAGAUUCGUAUGAUCAACUCAUCAUCAACCUGACAAACAACAAUCCAGCGGACAGUCUAGUUUUCGACGAUGUUGCAGCCUCCGUAUUAAAUGAGGAGAGCAGGCGGAAAAAUAAGGAAAACAGACAAGCAAGUUCGCAAGCGGAGGCGCUAUCGGUGACAAGAGGGAGAUCAACGGAACGUGGCCCCAGUGGGAGUCAAAAUCAUGGUAGAUCAAAAUCCAGAAGUAAGAAGAAUGUUAAGUGCUACAACUGUGGCAAAAAAGGGCACGUCAAGAAAGAGUGUUGGAGUAACCAGAAGAGAAAAGAGGGCAAAGAACCUGAGUCAUCAAAUGCUCAGGGGUGUGUAGCAAGUACCUCGGAUGAUGGCGAAAUUCUGUACAGCGAGGCAACAAUUGUUUCAGAAGGCAGAAAACGACUAUAUGAUGUCUGGCUUAUAGACUCAGGAGCUACCUGGCACAUGACCUCUCGGAGAGAAUGGUUCCACACAUAUGAACCUAUCUCAGGAGGAUCUAUAUAUAUGGGUAAUGAUCAUGCCUUGGAGAUCGCUGGUAUUGGUACGAUCAAAAUAAAAAUGUUUGAUGGUACAAUUCGUACAAUUGGGGAGGUACGACAUGUCAACGGCUUGAAGAAAAAUCUUUUGUCUUUGGGACAAAUGGAUAGUCAUGGGUACAAAACUCAUGUGGAGAAUGGAAUUAUGAAGAUCGUUAAGGGCGCGCUUGUAUUGAUGAAGGCAGAAAAGAUCGGUGCUAAUCUAUUCAUGCUUAAAGGAGAAACACUACAGGAGGCUGAUGUGUGUGUCGCAUCAAAUGGAGAAGAGUCAACGAUGAUGUGGCAUCUCAAACUUGGCCACAUGUCAGAACAAGGUUUGAAGAUUCUCUCUGAGCGAAAAUUACUUCCGGGGCUCAAAUCGGUAAGUUUACCAUUUUACGAGCAUUGUGUUACAAGUAAGCAGCAUAGAUUAAAAUUCAGUAGAUCUAUUGCUAGAAGUAAAUGCAUUCUAGACUUGAUUCAUUUUGAUGUUUGGGAAUCACCGGAUAUAUCCAUGGGAGGUGCAAAGUACAUGGUGACUUUCAUUGAUGAUUAUUCCAGAAGAUGUUGGGUGUAUCCAAUUAAGAAAAAGUCAGAUGUAUUUCUAGUGUUUAAAGAAUACAAAGCGCGGGUGGAACUUGAAUCUGGUAAAAAGAUCAAGUGCUUGAGGACAGAUAAUGGUGGAGAGUAUACAGACGGCGAGUUUCUUAGUUUCUGUAAGCAAGAAGGUAUUCAGAGGCAGUUCAUGGUGGCAUACACUCCUCAACAAAAUGGAGUGGCGGAGCGGAUGAACAGAACUCUUACAGAAAGAAUAAGAACUAUGUUGAGGACUGCUGGUCUACCCAAUUCAUUCUGGGCAGAAGCAGCCAAAACUGCCUAUUAUAUAGUAAAUCGAUCGCCAUCUACAGCUAUUGGGCUGAAGACAGCGAUGGAGAUGUGGACUGGAAAGCCAGCUGAUUAUUCCUACCUACAUGCAUUUGGAGGUCCUGUGUAUGUGAUGUACAAUGCCCAAGAAAGAACAAAGCUGGAUCCAAAAUCUAGAAGAUGUAUCUUCUUAGGGUAUGCUGAUAGAGUAAAGGGGUAUCGUCUGUGGGACCCCACUGCCCAUAAGAUCGUCAUCAGCAGAGAUGUUAUCUUUAUAGAAGAUCAACUGCAAAGGAAAGAUGAGGAAGAUGAGGAUGAUAGCACUGUAAAAGAAAAGUCAGAGACUGUACCGGUAUAUGUAGAAAAUAAUCUAAAAGAUUCAGAUUCUUCUGAAGCAGCACCAGAGCACGAGGAACAAGAACCAGUCGACUCUGAGGCUCUAGAAGUUCGUCGGUCAACUCAUUAGAGACGACCGCCAACGUGGCACUCGGAGUAUGUCACAGAGAUCAAUGUUGCAUAUUGUCUUCUAACAGAGGAUGGAGAGCCUUCAACUUUCCAUGAAGCUUUAAACAGCUCAGAAGUUGCUUUGUGGAUGACAGCAAUGCAGGAAGAAAUUGAGGCUCUACACAAGAACAAGACAUGGGAACUUGUACCACUACCACGUGGAAGAAAAGUCAUUGGAAACAAAUGGGUCUACAAGAUCAAACGCGAUGGCAAUGACCAAGUGGAGCGGUAUCGUGCGAGAUUGGUGGUGAAAGGAUAUGAUCAGAAAGAAGGUAUUGACUUCAACGAGAUAUUUUCUCCGGUGGUUCGACUUACAACAAUCAGAGUAGUCUUGGCGAUGUGUGCUACAUUUGACUUACAUCUAGAGCAGUUAGAUGUGAAAACUGCAUUUCUUCAUGGAGAACUUGAAGAAGAAAUAUAUAUGCUCCAACCAGAAGGUUUUGCAGAAACAGGAAAGGAGAACUUGGUUUGCAGGUUGAACAAAUCUCUAUACGGUCUCAAACAGGCGCCGAGGUGUUGGUAUAAGAGAUUUGAUUCCUUCAUCAUGAGCCUUGGAUACAACAGACUCAGUUCAGACCAUUGUGCAUAUUACAAGAGGUUUGAAGAUAAUGAUUUCAUCAUUUUGCUGUUGUAUGUGGAUGACAUGUUGGUAGCAGGCCCCAACAAAGAUCGAGUCCAAGAAUUAAAGGCACAGUUGGCUAGGGAGUUUGAAAUGAAGGACUCGGGACCAGCAAACAAGAUUCUGGGGAUGCAAAUUCACCGAGACAGAAAUAACAGGAAGAUUUGGCUUUCACAGAAGAAUUACUUGAAGAAAAUCUUGCGGCGCUUCAACAUGCAAGAUUGUAAGUCAAUUUCUACCCCACUUCCUGUUAAUUUCAAAUUAUCCUCAAGUAUGUGUCCUAACAAUGAAGCAGAGAGGAAUGAGAUGUCUCGAGUACUGUAUGCAUCAGCAGUGGGAAGUUUGAUGUUCGCUAUGAUAUGUACAAGACCAGACAUUGCACAAGCAGUGGGAGCAGUAAGUCGAUACAUGGCGAAUCCUGGUGAAAAGCAUUGGAUAGCUGUAAAGAGAAUUCUGAGAUACAAUAGAGGAACCUCAGAUGUUGCAUUAUGUUAUAGAGGAUCAGAGUUUACUGUCAGGGGUUAUGUGGAUUCAGAUUUUGCAGGAGACCUUGAUAAAAGGAAAUCCACUACUGGUUAUGUGUUUACACUUGCGGGAGCAGCUGUAAGCUGGGUUUCGAAACUGCAGACCGUUGUGGCUUUAUCUACAACAGAAGCAGAGUACAUGGCAGCUACACAAACUUGCAAGGAAGCUAUUUGGAUACAAAGGUUAUUGGAGGAGCUCGGGCAUAAACAACAGAAAAUUCCUGUAUUUUGUGACAGUUAGAGUGCCUUGCACAUUGCAAGGAAUCCAUCCUUUCAUUCCAGGACAAAGCACAUAGGAGUUCAGUAUCACUUCGUUCGUGAAGUAGUGGAAGAUGGAAGUGUGGAUUUACAGAAAAUCCAUACCAAAGAGAACCUAGCAGAUGUUUUGACCAAGCCGAUAAAUACUGAUAAAUUUGUCUGGAGUAGAUCCUCUUGUGGCCUAGCAGCAACGUAGGCAACAUGACUACGGCGAAGCAGAAAGGAUGAUGUGGAGAUUGAUUGAUUCUCAAUCUAAUCUCCAAGUGGGAGAAAUGUCAAAUAAGGUGGCCAUCUAGAUGGUAUAAAGCAGCCAUCUAGAUGGUCAGCAUAAUGUUGUUCAAAGAAGAAGAAAGUUGGCAGCAGCAGCAGCAUUUCUUGAAGAAGGAACUUUGACAUUCAAUGGCGGUGAAAAAAAAAAAUAUAUAUUUUAAUAGCCAAUUUUGGCUAUAAAAGGGGAGAGCACCCAUUUUGAUUUGUGCAUCCAAAUUUGUGAAAGGCAUUUUAAGAGAGAGUUUAGAGAGCUUAAAAUUAUAAGCUGUUGUUAUAGUGAUUUGAGAGUUUUGGUGUAUUGGGGUUUUGGGUAGUGAGCUAAAAUACUACAAUACUUGUAACUCCUUUUCACUAGUAAAAUAUUUCCUUCUGUCUUCGCCCGUGGACGUAGGCUAAAAGCCGAACCACGUAAUUUCUUGCGUCUAAUUUUUGUGCUUGUUCUUUAUUUUCUUACGAUUUCAUCUUAGCUGCGGUCCUGCUUCACCCACCAAUUUCCUAACAGUUUUUAUGAAGAAAAAUUUAAAAUUUUAUUAAAUAGGUGAAAAUAAUAAAUGGAUUCGUGUAUGGUUUGAGAUUCUUGACAUAAUUAUAAAAUAAGCCGGAUUCGACUUAGUUCAAUUUUGACGCGAUAAGAAGACGAUACCACACAAACACACGAUAAGAACCGUUACCUGAGAAGAUUGCCAUCAGGAAUUUUGAAAUUCAUUUCACUACAAUACCUUAAUCUUUCAGAUACUCCCAUCACUGAGCUGCCAGAAGAGCUAAAAGCCUUGGUAAAUCUUAAGUGUUUGAACUGUACACAAAUUAUCUCUCUACAAUUCAAAAACAACUGAUUUGUUACUUUUCAAUGCUACAUGUUCUACGAAUAUUGAGUUGUGGUUAUCUUGUUGAAAGAUCAGAAAAUAGAGUUCUAUUUGGUGGUAGUGAAUUGUUGGUUGGGGAGUUGCUUAGUUUAUAACGUUUAAAUGUAUUAAGCAUCAUACAAGGUUUUUCUGCUGUCCAAAAACUUAUGAGCUCUCAAAAGUUUCAAAGCUGUACAAAAUGUUUGGAGCUUAUAGACUGUGAUGAUUCAAAGUCUUUUGCCUUGGCAGAGUUGAAGCAUCUCGAAAAACUAGUUUUUCGAAUUGUGGAAGAGUUUAAGUUCUGCUGUGUUGAAGUUGGAAAAGCUCAAGAAUGUUUUCGUUUGAACAGCUUUCACCGAGUUAAUAUAAAGGCUUGUCAUAAAUUGAGGGACGUGACAUGGCUUGUAUUUGCUCCAAAUCAUACGGUUAUUCAAAUAGAAAAAUGUAUGCAGACGGAAGUAAUAAUCAGCGCAAGGAAAUUGGGUGAAGUUCCAGAGAUGAUGGCAGAUCUAAACCCUUUUGCGAAACUCCAAUAUCUUCGCCUGCGAGUUCUACCAAAAUUAAAAAGCGUCUAUUCGAAUGAGUCACCCUUUCCGCAUGUCAGGGAAAUUAUUGUAUCUGAAUGCCCAAUUCUCAAGAAGCUUUCACUCGGUUUUAACAAUGCAAAGGAAUCUAAAAUUGUCAUUUAUUACAUGUUUAUAUCUAACUUUUGUUCUCCUUUAUGGUUAAAUUUUACUAUAUAUAUGUUGUUAUACGGUGACAUUCUCGCAUCAAUUAUUAGCUUUUUAAUUCUCUUCUCGCAUUAAUUAAGAGUAGUAAAUUGGGAUACAAAUGUAAGAAUUAGCCAGAUGACAUGUUGUUUUGAAGCUUUCGAAGGACUAAUUAUGUCAUUCAAAGCAUCCAAUUUCGCUACUUUUUUUUUUUUUCAUUUGUUGCUUUUUCUAUUUUUAGAUAGCUUGAUUGUCAGUUGUCGUAAUGUAAUGUUUUAGUGUAGAAAAAUGAUAUUCGGCCAAGACAUCGAUAGGAGGGCACAUUGUGCAUGCGCACUCGUGGAUGAUUUCGGCAUGCCGAAUCCAAUUAGUGUGAAUAACCCUUUAUAAACAUUAGGCUUCUCUCAUACCAGAUAGAGGUGGCAAAAAUAUCCGCUCGGUCCGGAUCCGGACCAUACCCGGGCAUUGUGGGUCGGGUAUUACCUAAUCUGGGUAUAAAGUCGAGUCGGUCUUGGGCAUCACUUGAUAAACUCGGAACCCAGAUUUUAUUAAAAAAAUAUUAUAAAAUAUAUAUUAUUUUAAAUAUUUAUAUUUAUUUGACUCAUUUAUUAUACAUAUAUAAAGUUUUAAACACGUAAAGUUUAUAUUUUCAUGUCAAAUUUUAUUAAAAUAAAUUUAACACUUAUAAAAUUACCUAAAAAUAAAAAAAAUAUAUACAUAUAAUAUUAAAAAAUAUACAAUUCGGGUACCCAGAUUAAAAUCUGACCCGGACUCGGACCCAGACCGAUUGCAUCCGGGCAGGAUCCAGUCAUUGCAAUAAUCGGACCUGGCCCGGGGUUUCGCCAUCUCCAAUACCAGAGCAAUGUAGAAUAUGUUUAUAAACUGUGAAUUACCCUUUAAAAGUAUUAGGCUUCUUUUAUACUCGAGCGAUGUGGAAUACCUUUAUAAGCAUUAAGCUUCUCCCAUACACUUUAUGUUAAAAAUAAUAAUAAUAAAAUAAAUCCAUUUUAAAAUAGGCUUUUUUUUUUCUUUUUCUAUAUAAACAAAAUGCAUUCUUCAAAUCAAUAGUGGGUGGAAGAAGUGAGUAGAGAAGAACUAGGCCCCUUUCAUUCCCCUAAAACCUCACCGAAACCUCUCUUGUGAACUUCUCAGAUUCUCUCUCAAUAUUUCUUAUGAUCUCGUUUUUGAUAGAAUCACUUCUUUUGCAUGCUGCAUUUUGUGAGUCGUUUUUGGGUAAUAUCUUAUCUGGAAUGCUGUUAUGAUCAAUAGAACAAGUAAUCAAUUUUUGGUUCGACGGAAGUCGAUUUAUUUAUUUACUAUUAUUUUUUAUUUGAAAUUUUGUACAAUUGUGUUUCAUUCAUUUCUUUCCUUCUUUUUUUAUUUUAUAUUUAUUAUGUAUAAUUGUGUUUCAUUUGAUAUUGAUCAUACUCUAGAUAACUAUAUGAUUGUAGCUGGGGAUUUUAAGUUUUGUGAAUUCAAGAAACUGUCAAAAUGCUAGUGAAAUUGGCACCUUUAUUCAUAAGCUUGUGGUUUUGAAAAGUAGCCCGGUUCAACUGAUGAAGUUCCUUUUUGGGAUUCUUUUUUUUCUAGGCUGCAAUUCGGAUAUGUACCUGAUAGACAAUCUUUUGUGGGUUUAGCAUAUCUUCUCCGAUUUUGUCUUUUAUUCCCCAAUUUUACAGCUACACACCAUGAAUGUUGGGUGAUUGUACAGAAAAUUUGUGUUAGAACAAAAGCAUUGUGAAGGAGUUUCUGUGCUAUAAGUUAUUGGCAUUAAUUGGGUAGAUUAUGUGUUACAGUGAUUCAAUUUGUGAUCCACACUUUAAUUUUCUCUUUUCCCCAAUUAUUUAUGUCAAAUUCAAAUCCAGAAGCAUGUGCUGAUUUUUUCAUUUUGUAUUAAUCUGUGAAGUUUAUUUGGAAAGGAAGUAUCUGGGUCUAAUGGAUUAAAUUAUGACAUUGAGGAAAGGCACUAAAGGUUUUACUUGACACAUUUGGUCUGUGUUUACUCUGCAAUAAAUAGCCUCGCUUAUCGGAAAUCCCGAUUUGGCUGGUGAAUUUCUCUGUGACAGACAGGCAAACACCUAAACCGCUUCUAUCCAUCUUUCUGCUGGUGAGGCAAGGGGUAAAAAGUCUUCAAAAUCAUCAAAUAGUAACAUAUCCGAGAAUUCGUUUUAGAAAAAUGGAAAAUCUAGACCUACUAGGACAAAAUGGCGUCCGGUAUCAGGAGGUACCGUUUCAAGUUUUCUUGGUAAAGAAUAUAUUAAACCUGCGCAACCAGCUAAUGGCACUUUUCUGGCAUCAAAGCCAUUGAAGUUGGAUCUAAAGGAGUUUUCCCAUGUCUGCACUGUGCAGAGAAGAAACUAAACCAAAACAAUCAAAGAAUGACAUUUGCAGAAGGAUACGGAAGAUUUUCUAUUUAAAUUGUUAGGAGAAGGGUUCCAGCUGAACAGGGAUGUGAUUCAGGAGGUUCUCGGUAAUGUCUUAAAUAUACUGAUGCCAAUUUAAUACAUAUUGUCCUUUUCAAUGUUCUUUCUUUUUUAAAAAAAUUCAAAGUCAAGUGAUUGUUAUAUAAUAUCAUAUUAUGUUCUUUCUUUGUGAUUGUUAUAUAAUAUCAAAGUCAAGUCUUAAAUACUGCUGUCAUAUAUUAAGGUUCAACUUGCAUUUUGAUUAACAUCCAUUUGCUGCUGCUUCCAAAAGUGAGAAUGAGAUACUUUGGUUAAUUUCAGUGGUUGAACCCAAUAGAGAACUUUAUUUAGAUCUUCAUGGUUCAAAGGCCUGAAAAAACUUGCCCGUAAUUGUAAAAUGACAUUCUGUGCUUUUUAUGCAAUAGGGAACAGGGAAGUAGAGCUUUGGAAAAGCCUGGAUUGAUAACUAUGGAGAGACUUAUUAUUUAAGUGAUGAAAAUUCCCAUCACCCGCGGUGAGGAAAAUUUUAGAUAGUUAAAGACUCCAUUUUGCUCCAGCCAAAAAUGUUUGUUUCAUGUAAAGACUUGAACCAUUUUCAUUGAACCUGAUUGUGAUCCUUUACGUUAUGCAUGUUCCUCUCAAUCAAGAAAAGUUGAGGGCAUGAUUCUAUAUUUCUAUAUUGUAACUUGAAAUAAUAAUUGGUCUACUUGUUUCUGUAUCUUGAUAAGAUGAAUUUUCCUUCUCAAGUUAAUUUGAUCAAUAAAGUAAUUCUUCAAAGAAAAUAUGCCCAUUCUAUAAUCAUUUUCUUAGCUAAGAUGUUUUUUCUUCACUCUUCAGAGCAUGUUAAAACUAAUUGAUCGCUUGGCAGAGACUUUGGGUGAGAAGACAAACUUUCUUGGUAAAUCCUCGGAAAAGGUAUGCAUAAUUCCCGAGUAUUAAAUAACCAAUAGUCAUAAUUUUUGUACAUGACUCUUUUUUCUCUUUUUUGUGGAGAUCAUUAAAAUUGGUUCAUGAUCCAUUUUGUAAUAUCAUAGAGGGAUCAUCAAUUCCUUCUCUUUUCUGUGGCUAGGCAACACUUUCAGGCCAAAGUAAGAAAAUCUAUUUUUGGUAAUGUGAAAACCAACGGUAGGAUGUAAUAGUCUAUUAUGCACUGACAAUAACUUUUUGUAUGAUUGGCAGUUUAAUGAAUACAAGAGGAACUGAGUUGACAAAUUCAUCCAAGAUAGAUGCUAAAAUUAUUUAUGCAUGCCAGUUGCCUUAACUAACUUUUCUUAACACUUGUAUUGAACAGGAAAAUGAAUAAGCAAUUUGUAUAUUGUGCCAUUGUGGAGUAUUUGGAUAUUCUGAUUUAAGUAACAAGGAGAAUACUUGCCUCAUCUUUAAACAAUGAAUAUUUGAGAAAUGAGGAGUGGGGGAUUGGAAGUGUCUUCAUGUAAAUGUUCAUUUAUUUGUAUUUUGAACUAUUAGGAGAAUCUAAUAUGCCAAAUCAGUAAUACAAAUGUUCAGAUGAUUUUUCCUGUUGAUCAUGCAUUUGUGUCUGCACACAACCAUUGUAUAUCACUUUAUUCUGAUGUGCAGGUGUGUGUAGCUUAGAAGAAACGGAAUAAUAAUCAUCUAUUAUUGCUUGGUUCAUGAUUAUUAAAUGAUUAUGGCUUUAAAAAGUCUACUAAUUCCUUACUGUUCAUAUAUGAAUGUGUCAAGUUUGCUAUAUCUUAGAUUAUCUUCUUCCAAGAUAACAAGUUCAUAUUCUUUUUAAUCUUUUCCAUCACAGUUGACUUUUAGGUGUUAAGAUUUGUUAUUAAUAUCUGGUCCCCUGUUAUUAUGAUUUCAUAAACAGUGUACGGAUAUGUGCUCUAACUUUGGAGGACCUCCACGUGAAAGAAAAUUGCAACAAUUGAAUUCUUCCUGAGGGUAUGGUCUUUAAUUUAUUUUCUCAACUUCUUGUAAGAUUAAUAUAUUUCUUUCAGUAGGCACAGCACGGGGGGAAGGGUUUUUAUUGAAAGAAUUAUGAUAUUUCUUAGACUUUGUUUUGGAAAGGGGGUGGAGGGAUUUCUCAUCCAUAUAUGGUUACUUGAUGAGCUUUUGACUGUAUUUCCUCAGUCGUGUAAAGGAAGAUCGAAAUACCCGAAAGACAGAAAUGAGCUACAGAAGCAAGUUUUAGCUGCUUUUGACUAUAUUGACUGGAUUUGUAAGUGUGUGCAUUUUUUUGUGUAUACUCUUGUAUUUAUGCAUAUUAAUGUGUGUAGGAAUUUCUGCCACUUACUGGAGAACUAGUGGAAAGCUUUAUACCGAUAUAUCUGCAAUAACUAAUUGGAAACUAUGAUAUUAAUAUUUUCUCUCACCUGAGGAACUGUGUAACAGUUAUACUUUGUGGCUCUGGAAUACUAGAGAUUCUGCAAUAACUAAUGGAAAUUAUGAUAUGAAUAUUUUAUCUCAACUGGAGAACUUUGUAACUUGUAGCUCUGGAAUGUCUAAGGAAUUUUGUCUGCUUCAGUUAGAUCAAAUAUCUUUUAGUUGCAUACAUUAUAGAAAAAGAUAAAGUUCUCUGAAUCUGAAAGACUGAAACAUUUUGUAUAUUUUGUGAAAGGGAAAUAUCUGUAGAUACUAGUUCAUGCAUUGAGGUAACAUCAAUGUUAAAGAAAAACAGCAAUAAGUUAUUAUGUGGAACUAGGUUCACUUGCUUUAAAUGCUGGUCUGGUCAACCAUAUGAACCUGUAAGUUCUGCAGAAAUAUAUAUACGGGGAGAAACUAGCUAAAUUUUCCGUUCAUUGAUGGCUUUGGUCAUUUUUUUCCCCUUAUUUUUCAGCUUUCCUUCUCCUGAAGUAUGUUAACAACUGCAGAUAAUGACAAAGAGGACAGCUUGCAGACUCUUCUUAGAGCCAUGAUGGAAUAUAGGGUCACAAUGAAGGAACAUUGUAAAGCUGUAGGUUCUUUUUCUCCUGUCAUUUAUGUUUUCUCACACAUUUUUUAUAUGCUCCAAGCAUGCAAUUUUGUAUGUGUCAACUGCUUUCUAAGUUUUAAAAGCCAUAAUGUAAGAAUACAGUUCUUUGUCAGGUUAUUGAUGCAUUUGCUCAGGGGGAUCAUAUUCGAGCAGGAAAACUUCUAGAACAGACAAGGUUUUCCAUCUACAGCCAUCUAUUGACAACAGAUACAUUUUCAUUCAGCAAACACUGUUAGCAUUCAAGAUACUGGCAGAUUCACUUGAUUCUUAUUAGUUUGAUUAGUAGCAAAGCAUAUAACCUGUAUUUCUAAGCCAAGUUGUGCUAUUGAUUAUGUUAACUUUAUUGUUCUCAUAAAGUGAUAUGGAGGAAAUAAUCAAUGUAGGAAAAUUAGGUGAAGAGAUGAUGUCAAAUCUUGAACCUCUUACAAAAUUCCAAGUUCUUUACUUGAAGAAGCUACCAAAUUUGAACAGGGUCCACUGGAAGGCCUUGCCAUUCCCUGAUGCAUGCAGAAUUUUUGUAUUUAAAUGCCCAGAGCUUAAGAAGCUGCCGCUGGAUCUUGAAAGGGAGGCCAAGGUAAAAUUCUUAUCAAGGGAAAGGAAGAUUGGUGGAAACAACUUCAAUGGGAGGAUCAAGUAACUCCGAAAGCAUUGCUUCCAUUUUUAAAAUCAACCAACAAGUGAUUGAGGGGGCAUCAUCAACAUCAUCAACAUGGAUGGAGAGAUUUUGGAGCAGAUCAGCCGGGUUUAGUACGACCUGUGGUGGUUUCUUUUUUGUGACUUUUUUCCCUUUCAUUUUUUCACUUCCUGUCAUAUUAUCAUUUCUUUGUCUCUGUUUCUAUUGCUGGUGUUGCUGCAUGCUUGCAGCCCUUGACAAAGUUAGCUAGUUUUUUUGUUUAUUAAAUUUUGUAUGUUCGGUCGGGACAGUCACAAAGUACUACUUGUUCUAUAUGGGGGUGAUGUGAAUCAACUUUUCAAUUAAAUAUUCUGUGGUAAUUGUGAAUUCAAUUUCAUUUGUCUCCUGCAAAUUAUGAAGAAAGUGCAGAGUUACAAUAUGGAAAAGUUCACUGGCAAAUACUUUGUAAAAGCUUCGGAGUGAAACAGGGAAUGCACUUGCAACUAAGGACAAAUUGGUGGCCAGCUAAUUCAUUCAUUUUAUGUACAUUCAUCUUUUUAAUUAUUGAAGAUAAGUGGUUCGUUGCUUUUGUUGUAGAUAAAAUCCAGACGACCUCAAUUGUGAGAUUGAAAAUAUUUAAAAUAUCUCUUAAAUUAUUAUAAACUUUAAUUUAUCUUAAUUUUAUUUAAAAGAUAAAAGAAAAAUGUGGUUUAUGGAUAAAUUUUUUUUUUAUCUUGUUAAUAAAAUGAAAUAAAUUAAAAUUUACAAUAAUUUAAAGUAUUUUAAAAAUUAUUAUUUCAUAAGAGAUUAAUAUGAAAUUAAUCCUUUUUACUUUUUGAAUGUGAAAGGACAAGAAAAGAGAAAGCAAGUGUCACUGCUUUUUAUUUUAUUUGAAAUCGGAGUUAUCCCAUAUACUUUACUACUUUAGCUCUCUCCUCAAGGUGAGAUGCGUGAGUUGGGUGAAGAUUUGGUGAGUCACCCGUAUAUAUAUAUAUAUAUAUAUAUAUUAUCUGCUCGGUGAAAUUUUUUUUAAUCUGAGCUUAGAAUCUAGGAUUAAAAUUAUGGAAAAAUUUAAGUAUUACACACACGCACACUAUUCGGUCAAUUUUUUUUUAAUCUGAGUUUAGAUGUAGAAUUAAAGUUCAAAAUGAAUUUACUGUGUGAUAAAUCAAUUUUUACAAUGUUGUAAACUGAUUUAUGGUAUUAUAAAUCCAUCUUAAAUUUUAAUCUCAGAUUCUAAGUUCGGAUCUAAUAAACACUCUCUCCAAUUAUGUUGUCUAUAAUUUUGCAUUCAAAGAAACUUCACGAAAAAUAUAAUAUCAUGUGUAGCCCCAGAAAAUUUAAUAACAAUAAAAAAGAUAUCAUAAGAAAAGAAAACUCAUAAUUGUUCAGAUAUUUAUAAAUUAGUGGCCGUUGGAAAUUUAACUGCAAGUGCCAAUCCGAGUGCACAAAAGACUUUUAGCCAUACUUUUAGCCAUAUGUCAUUCAUUGUUUGUUUGCUGCAUUCCCUCUCAUUUUCUUAAUUAUUGAAGACAGGUUGCUCAUAGCAUGUAAUUUUCAAAUGUGGAACCGCAGCUAAUGUCACUAUUUUAAUUUGGAAUUAAAUUAGGGCCCAUGUAUAAAAUUUAUAACAGUAUAUUGCAGCGUGAACUAACUUUUAUGUUUAUCUAAACACCUUAAAUUUAAGGCAAAUUAUGGCAUAAAUAAGAAUUAUAACAGAACAUUUAUGAUGUAUAGCAAAAGAGUUGUGAUGAAGAUCUUGAAGACAUAAUAUUAGCGCCGAAUUAAGUAACUAAGAACACCCCUGAACUGAAUAUUGGUUAUCAAAAUUGUGUUACUUGCACUCCUAUUAACUAAAAGUUUGGUUCUGUUCCAUUUGAGUUUUUAUCUUCAAAUUUCAAAAUCUUGCUAAGUUUUGACAAUCACAAAGGCUCAGUUUGCUUGUUCUAUAUUUGUAUGAUACGAAUCCAAAUUUUUGUGUUCUAUUUUCUCAAUUUUGAAUACAGAUUCUUUUCUUCUCCCGCAAACCAGAAAGAAAUGUUGUAUUAAAAAAAAUGGAAAUAACUUCAUGACAACAAAAAUUAGGAAAAAUAAUAUAAACCAAAUUAAGAUAAAUAAUAUCAUUUUCUAGACAAACAGGCAAAAAUGGAAAAGGAUAUUUCAAUUUCUAAAUUUUCUUUCAUGUUUGCUUCUCGCAUAGAAUCAUUUGGUAUUAACAAAUUUUUUACUUAUUAAACAAAAGUUUUUAAGAUUUUUUUGUUUCCUGCUGUUAAUCUAUGAAUGGUUUCAUUGUUGGAGUUUCUUUCAGAAGACAAGAAUACUUUGGUUAAGUGUUUGGCUAAGUACUAAAUUAAAGGUUGUUAGAUAGAAGAAAUUAAAAAAAAAAUUCCUAACCCUUUAUUCAGUGUUUAAUCAGCAAAUAUUCAACUCAACAUGAAUCUUAAUCAUCUUUAAAAAAAAAUUAUUCAAUUUUCUAAUAAUAUUUAUGCAGGUACUAGAAAUUAAAACCCUAUUUACAUGGAUGCGUGCCCAUCGGUCCAAUUUAAAAAAAAAAAGAGAAAAAAUAAAUGUAAUCCAUGAAUUUGGUUAAUUUUCCUUUGUUUGUUUCUUUCUGUUCUCCUCCCCCCCCCCCCCCCCCCCCCCUCAAUAUCAUUCCUUUUUGGCCGCCCAAGGACAUUUUCACAAAUACCUUUUGUGCAGAAGUCUUUUAAACCAUCAAUCGGAAGAAACAUGCUUCCAGUGAUACCUCCAAUUAUCAUUGAUGACUUUUCUUACUCUAAUGCUAUGUCAAUUCCAACAUUUGUAUGUUAAUAUAACAUAAUCAAUGAUUUGGAUAAUUGAUUACUUUUACGGAUUGUGGACUUUUGCGGAUUUUCAAUCUAAUCCAAUCCACCAAUUCACAAAUUCAGAUUUUUACUGAUUAGAUUUCUACAUAUCAAAUGAAUUGAGCAGACUAGAUUGGAUUUUGAACAUUGCUAAUUUGUAUGUUAAUUAUAAGAUAAUCAAUUAUUUGGAUAAUCCCUUGUGUUUUAUCUCUAAUUAGAACAUCAAUCUUCACAAUAUCUACAAUGCUACAAUGGCUAUAAAACAAAACCUGCUUGCAAAUUGUCAAGGAUACUUAUCCUUUCGCUUGACAAGUCAUUUGGAAAAAUAUUGUCCCUUGGCGGCUCCAUGUCUUCUCUGCCCCUCCUUUUGGUCUUAAUGUACGGUUGCAUAGUGAUAGUUUAGGCCCUUAGGGACUACUUUCCCUGGUGUUGUUAAGUCUUAGCUUGUGCUAGGCUUGUGUUUCUUACCAAAAGAAAAGGAAUACUUCUCCGAAAUAAUCUCUAUAUAUAGGAUGGUUGGAUUCACUUGUUUAUAUAACAGAUCAAUUAGUUCUCUGUAAGUAGAGAGUUUCUAGUAUGAGAGAAACGGUAGGUCUAUUGAGAUAUUAUGUGUUAUUAGGAUUUUGGUUGUGAAGAAAAAUACUAGAGUGAUUGUGUUAAUUUUCUAUGUAGUGGAUUUUUCUAUCGUCAUCUUUGUGGCUGUGAUUUUUCUUUCAUAUAGAAGUUUCCCACGUAAAUUCUUAUGUUGUGUGAUUAGUUUUAUUCUCUAUCUAUUUUUUUGUUUAUUAUUUGUUUGAUAUUUUAUUUGUAAGAUGUUGGAUGGGAUAAAAUUCCUUAACAAAUAACGGAUUAAAAAUCUUGAAGAAAAAGCUCAAGAGAUCUUCAAGAUUUGAAGUGUGAACAAGUUCAUAUUACUGCUAGAUGAUAUAUGGGAGCGGGUUGAUUUAGUAAAAAUGGGUGUCCCUCUUCCUAGAUCAGAAAACAGCACAUCCAAAGUGAUAUUUACAAACCCGUUCUGAGGAAGUUUGCAGCUUAAUGGAAGCUCGUAGGAGUUUUAAAGUGGCGUGCUUAUCAAAUAAAGAUGCUUGGGAAUUGUUUCGAUACAAAGUUGGGGAAGAAACUUUGAACAAUCAUCCGUUAAGGGGUGUGGUGGUUUGCCACUUGCACUUUUUACCAUCGGCCGAUCUAUGGCAUGCAAGAAGACACAGCCGAAGAAUGGAGAUAUGCUAUUCAAGUGUUCACUUCGUCCGCUUCCCGUUUCCAGGUCUGGAAGAAGGGAUAUAUACUCUUGUAAAAUUUAGUUAUGAUAGUUUACCCAAUGACACAAUGACACCUUGUUUGUUAUAUUGUAGUUUAUAUCCAGAAGAUUGUUGCAUUUCUAAAGAGAAUUUGGUAGAUUGUGAGAUCAGUGGAGGAUUUUUGAAUGAAUUGAAAGUGACUGGUUUGGAGAAAAAAAUCAAGCAUACGUCAUUUUGGGCAUUCUUCUUCAUGUUUUUUUUUUUUUUUUUUUAUGGAAAAUGGAGGAGAUUGUGAAGUGAAAAAUGCAUGCAUGACGUUAUUCGUGAUAUGGCUUUGUGGAUCGCAUGCGACUAUGAGAAGGAGAAGGAGAACUUUUUGGUUUAAGUUGGUGUUGGUUUAACUAAGGCACCAGAUAUUAGAGAUUGGGAAAAGGUGAGGAGAUUGUCAUUGAUGAAAAAUAAAAAUGAGAAUCUAACUGAGGCUCAUACAUGCUGUAACGCCACAAAUUUCCAUAAUAUUAAAUUAUAGAAAUUGGGCUUUCAUUGAGAAUUAUGGGUGGCCUAUAACCCUUAUUAAGAAAGGGAUAUUAAAUUAUAAAUAGAGGUUAUUUAUGAGAUAGUUUUGAAAAAGGGUUAUUUUUCCUAAUUAAAUAGGGUUUCUUAAGACUCCCUAUAAAUUCAUACUUUUUCCUUUCCAUAACCCUAAGUUCACGACGUUUAUUCUUCUUCUCUGCUGCUCUUUACGCUCCUAACGCUCCUACCCAAAUCUUAGGAUUCAAACCUUUGUUUAGGAGAGAAUCAAAACGACGGGUAAGUUAUUCUCUCUAUUCUCAAAAGAUUUCUAAUCAUUCUAUCUAGGGUUUAUAUUGGCACGAUUCUAGAUGGUUAUAGAUCAUAAUGCAUUAUUUAGAAUGUAUUUAGGCUUUGUUUAGAGUUUUGACUUAUUAUGAGUUUAGUUAAUCAAUCCUUGACGUAUUAAGCACAUAGGAUAAUUCUGGACAGCAUGAGUAUCUCGAAUUUAAACCUAUAUUUUCUGAACGAGCUUUCUUAUGAAAUUUAUAUUUCUGGAAACUAGACAUGUAGGGCUUCUUGAAUAAAUUUUAUUUCAUUAAAUUCGACUUCUUUUUCAAUUUUACAUGUAUUUUCGAAAUAGAAACCACUGCACUGGAAAACUGCGAUUCCAGCAUUGCAAUCGGAUUCACAAGAUUAUUUGUACCACCAAAUGAACUCUGAAAAUUAUGAAAUUUUAUAUGUAGGUUAAUAUAUAUGUCUAGGAUUCCCAGUUUUAAUUUCAUAAUUUUCUAAUUUUUAUUUUAUUUUAUAAAAAUCACAGAACCCGUUCUGUUUGGUUUAGGUUAUGCGAAAACAGUUUCGAAUUUGUUGAGAAAUAAAUAGUUUUGAAAAUGUUUUUGAUUUCGGAUCCUCUUGAAAAUUUUACAUGGGGUACUCAUGGAUAUCCAGAAUAGUUUCAUAGAACAUUAUGUCAUUAUGAGUUUUAGAUUAAGAGUCAAAAUUCUGAGAAUCAGACCUGUACGGUUAUGAAUUAGAAAAUCAGAUUCUUAGAAUAAGUUAUUAAUUGUCAUAUCUUGUACUUCUUUAAGGUGUUGGAGGUGAUUGAGACUCUUAGAGGCUUAGAGGCGUGUUAAUUCAAAUUCUUUAGUCGAGGUAAGUAACUUCAUUCCUAAUAUACUGUAUAUGUAUAAGUAUUUUGAUAUUAUUAUUAUAAGUAUAAAUGUUUUCAUACUACUUAGAAGAUUAAUGGAUUUUCAUAACAAAAUUAGCAUAUGAAAUGUUUUCAAAACCUAAAUUCUUUUUAACAAAGCAUUUUAUAAAUACUUUUUAAAUAUGUAAGUUAUUUUGUUACAUGCCUACUUUUAUGAUUUUAUUUAUAAAAUAUUUUGCAAGCCUAAAUUAUUGUUAUGGACUUUUAUGAAUCUGAUACGAAGGUUUUGUGCCUAUAUAUGAUUUCAAUUAUAUAUGAUUGUACGGGGGCCACCUCCUGGGACUAUAUGGGCGCCACCACUUGAAGGCCACAGCGUCGCAAAGUGCCACGUAUAAAUCAUUAUGUUUUGGCUCAUUGUCCGUAGUCAUUUUGAUUCUGAUUCUGAUUGUAUAAUACGAUAUAUGUCUGUUCUAGACCAGUACUGGGUUUCUGUUCUGAGUGUGCACACGAUAUUCUGAUUCUGUUCUGGCUGGGUCACCGGGACUAUAGGUGACACUAUGUGACAUAAGCUAACAUUGAAACGACUCGUCCCGAAUCCCCCCAAGCGAGUCUAUCUAGUCUCAUCAAAACGGACUUGAUAAUAAUUCUAUUCGUAAAGAUUCUGCCGAAAAUUUGGCAGAGUCUCCUUUAUAUAUAUAACACUCCCAAUCUACAAAUAUGAAUAUAACACUCCCAAUACAAUUCAAUAUACAACAAACUCCAGUGCUCAACAUCCUCGACAAAAAUGCUGAGUUUUAUUUCUCUAGAGUCUUAAAAGAUAAUAUUAUAACGAAUAUUAAUAUCUCAAUUUAUUCUUAAUCUCAAAAGAAUAAUAUAACAAAAUUAUACAAUCCCAAAAGAACAAGAUGACUAAGAUGUCCUAACAAAAACAUUUAUAUCUUCUAACACCAUCACGUGGCCAAGACUCAAAAUAUAUUUACAGUCGCUGGGUCGGUCUGGUGUACCUGCAACCUCUUGGUGAGGGGGAGAAAAUAUAAUAAAAACGGGGUGAGUUUAAAACUCAGUGAGAUCAGUGAGUGGAUAGUAGUUUUGAAAAUUAAUUCUUACUUUAAAAGAAAUAAUCAUAUCAUUUCCAAACAUGAUUUCAUUAAACCAUAAGCGAGAAACCAGUAAUAAAUCAUUAAACAUUUAAAUCAGAUUACUAACCAUAGAAAUCAUCUUACAAUAUCAUAUAGAAUUCACAAAUUUGAAAAUCAUCACCAAACAAGUACCCAGGGAAAUAAUCUCGUCAUAUCCGGACCUCAACGAACGGGCAAUGAUGUACUAUCUGGGUAACGUCACUCCCCGGAGCUACACGGAUAGACAGGGAAAUACCAUAUCAUAUCUCAUCAUAUCUGUGCAUGCAUAAUCUAGUCCCCAAGGGAUAAAAGCGCCCAAGCACACGGCCCAAAGCCUCUGUGUGUACUUAGACGGGCCCCAAAGGCCUGUAUCUCAUCUGUAUCAUAUGUAUCAUUUGUAUCUCAAUAUUUGUCUGUAUCUCAUAUUUGUAUCUCUCUAAUCAUCAUACCGCAUGCAUAUGCCCCCAAAAGACAAAAACGCCCAAACACACGGCCCAAAGCCUCUAUGUGUGUUCAGACGGGCCCCAAAGGCCUCUCAUCUCAUAUCAUCUGUAUCACUGUAUUUGGAGGGGAAGGGUACUAGCUAAUGAUUUCAAAAACAAUCAUUAUACUCAUAUUCACAUACCUCUUAACCAUAUUUUAAAUCAUACCAUAUUUGAAUUGUCUUUUCUUAUCUUUAAAGUAUUAUCAUGCUUUAUUCAAAAUCGAUACGCAAAAUCAUCAACCAAACAUUUCGAGAAAUCAUUAAAUCAGAACAUUUAAAAUACUUAUUUCGCAAACAUGCUUUACUAUCAUAAUUAACUAUGAAAAUAGGUUUUGUAUAUUCCACUCACAGUGACGGUGUUCACGGUCGGUUAUCGUCCACGUCCGCGGACCGAUUCUCGCUCGCGGAUUCUCCUAAAUCAAGGAAACGACAUAAUUAUUUUUUGUAAAUCGGAAUUAUGACUAAAUUUAUGCAAUAAACUCGAAACGAACAUUUAUCCAUAAUUUACAACUCCCGUGUCGAUAAAAUUACUAAAAUGCCCUUUUGUUAUUGUUAUGUUUUGGAAGAGAUUAUUUAGUGUUAGACGUUGGAAUUUGUGGAUUUGUUUGAAUAAGAAUUUAAGGUAUUUCAGUUAGGAAUUUAUGAGUCAGGAUUACGAUUUAUAAGUAACAUCCUUCUUCACGUGCUCCGCACGUGUUAGUUUUGCGGUGUUACACAUGCCCUCAUCUCCUCACUUUCUUUCUUGACGAUAAUGAGUUUCGGAAGAUCCCCAGUGACUUCUUCCAGUUUAUGCCUUCUCUCACUGUUUUAAACUUGUCAUGUAUUAAACUAAAGUCAGUUCCUUUAGGGACUUCAAGGUUGGUUCCACUACAACAACUCGAUCAUUCAUAUUGAAGCAUAAAAGAGUUGCAAGAAGAGUUAAAUGCCCUGAUUAAACUUAAAUGCUUGAGUAUAGAUCAUGUAGAAGAGCUAAUUACAGUUCCACAACAACGGAUAUUUAAUUUUUAAGGUUACAUGUGUUGAGAAUGUUCGAUACUAUUAGUUUAAAUUUUCAAGAAGCAUUAAAUAAAGACAGCAUUUUAUUUGGUGGGGAGGAAGUUUUAGCAGAGGAGUUGCUCGGUUUGAAAUAUUUGGAGGUAUUGAGCUUCACUUGAGAAGUGUUCGUGCUCUCCAAUUUAUUUCGAGCUCACAUAAGCUACGAAGUUGUACUCAAGCGCUGUUCCUCCAAUCCUUCAAUGAUUCGACAUGGCUUGAUGUUUCACUUUUGGCAGAGUUAAAAGCACCACUACAGAUUUAAGUAUUUUUGGGUGUAGAAAAUUGGAGGACUUGAAGAUGGAAUAUACUGGGGGAGCGAAAAGCAAGCGGCAACCUUGUGUUUUCUAAGGCCUACAUACAGUUCACAGAGAGGUUUGUUCUAAAUUGAAGGACUUUGACAUUCCUUGUUUUUGCUCCAAAUCUCAAGAACUUGUAAAUACAAAAUUGCCCUGCUGUGGAAGCAAUCAUCGGUGUGGGAGAAUUUGCGGAAGCUCUAGAGGCGGUGGAAAAUCUAAACCCAUUUGCAAAACUCAGUAUCUUGGACUAGAAAAUCAGCCAAAUGUGGAGAGCAUCUAUUGCAAGUCUCUGCCCUUUCAGAAAUGACUGUGGAUAGUUGCCGUUGUCUUAAAAAGCUUCCUCUCUACUCCAACAGUGUAAAAGAGUGGACAAUUGUUAUUUCAUCAUUCGGAGAAUUAAUGGUGCAAUGAGAUUUAGCAGUUAACUCUCGUGGGAAGAGCUUGAAUGGGAAGACGAAGCCGCUCCAAUUGCUUUUCAUUCCUGUUUCAAAUCUCUGAUCGGAUUGGAGAUUGCAUUUCGCCUCAGGUUCGUGCUUUUCUUGAAUUUUUCUCGUUAACUUCAUUUGUUCAUUUAUCCAUUUUUUUUAAGGAAUCAGAAGGGUUAAUAUUUUUGGUUGUGUUAGGUCGACUUCUAAUCACGAGGCAGAAGGAGUUGAGAUGAAGUUUAAUUUUGGUGGAGAAAUUGUUUGAUUUAAAAAAUUUAAAUGAGUUGACCAUCAUUCUUUAGCAUAUUUGUAUGAACAGGAGUGUGAAAAUAUGCAAACUGUCCAGCUGUAUGUGUAUAACGUAAUAAUUUUGAGGAGUUAAAACAUUGAAGAAUAUUGAUGUUUCCAUUGUCAGACCAAAUAUACUUAAUUACUUGAGGAUAACGAUUACUGCUAAUACGUUUGCAAAGAAAAAACAUGCCUAUUGAAAAACUCAUCUUAUUAGCAACAGUAUUAUAAGUAGUAUCCAAUCAUAGUUUCAUGCAAGAUUUUGAGAUUUUUCAAAUGCUGAUUCCGGGAAUGGAGAUUAAUAGAUAAUGGAGACAGGUUGACUGCAAUGGCUAAUUGCAAGAGGGAAUUUUAGUCGUAAAAAAAGACCAACUAGCAAAGCAAAUUCCAAAUCUCGGAAUGAAGUAGCAAAAAAAAGAAACAAACAAAUGGCAAGAGGAAGUGACUAUACAAUAAUAACAUCGACUUGCAAUUCAACAUUUAUACAGUUUUACACACCAAGAAAGGAAAAAAUUACAAUAGAAAUUUGGCCACUAAAAGAUGCUCGUUCAUGCUUAUGCCUGUCAUAUGGAUUUGAAACAUGGAGUAAAAGCAUUUAGAGUGGCUUCAUCCUUCCACUGCAGCUCAUUCCACCAGUGUUGCUCUCCCCUAAUAACAAGUUUUUGUUCCUUGGCACUGUUGUAAUCGAGUGGAAGCUUCUUGAGAUUCGGGCAGCCAGAUACAAACAAUUCCAAGAGAUUUGGAAAGGGCAAUGCAUUCAAACAGAUCUUCUUCAAAUUUCUUAGAACUUGCAACCGAAGAUAUUGGAGUUUCGCAAAAGGUUUUAGCCCGGGAACUUCUUCCACUUUCCAAACACUGAUUAUUUCUUCCAUCCCAUAACAACGUUCUAUAUGGACCACCUUGAGAUUUGGAGCAAAAACAAGCCAUGUCAUCUCCCUCAAUUUACUGCAACCGUCUAUGGUAACACUUUGAAGGCUGUUGAAACCCUACGGUUCUCUUGUUGUUUGAACUUCUGCAUAGUCAACCUUUAGCUCUUCCAAACUUGUACAAUGCACAAAAUCUAGUUUGUCAAGAUACUUGAGAUCUGCUAUGGACAAAAUAUUCCAUGACCUUGAAUCCUCACAGCGGCGAAGCUCUAAAGCAUAUUUACAACUCUUAUACUGUUGGCGGCUCAAAAGUCUUCGUAGAGCAUAAAAACUUCUUAACGUGACGCUUAAUACAUUUAAAUGUUCCAAAGUAAUCAACUCCUCUACCAAAAUUUCACUACCACCAAAUAGAACGCUAUCUUCUGGAACUGUAUCGGCAGAGCCACAAUCUAGCAUCCUCAACACCUUUAACCCAGAAAAAUUACAAAGCAGUUGCCGUGGAAUCGUAUGGAGAUAACGCAUGUACUCCAAGUUCAAACACUUUAGAUUUUUCAAGGCCUUUAGUUCAUGUGGCAACUCUUUGAUGAAAGUUUCUGAAAGAUUAAGAUAUUGUAGUGAAACCAAUUUUGAAAUUCCUGAAGGCAAUUGACUCAAGGAGCGAUUCUUUGAUAGGUUUAAAACUUUAAGAGAAGGCAUAAAAUCGAAGAAAUCACUAGGGAUAGUAUCUAACAUAUUAAUUCCGAGGAACAAAGUUAUAAGAUGAGGGCAUAUUGGAGUUAUUGGUAAAAUCACAAUUUUAUUUCUCAUCAACGGUAUCCUUCUCUUAUCUUCCCAUUUUUUAACCUCGGGUGGUUCAGUUAAUUCAAUACCGGCAGAAACCAAAAAGUUUUCAUUCUCCACUUCACAGGCUAUCCACAAGGUCAUAUCACGAAUCACAUCAUGCAGUUUUACAUAAUCUGAUCCUGCUUCUUCCAAUAGGCAUGCAUGAACAAGAACACCAAUAAUGCAGUAUCCUUGGUUAUGUACUCCAUUAAUUCCUUCAUUUUCCUUCAGAAAACCCUCACCAAUCCAACACUUUAUCAAUUCAGUUUUGCUAAUUUGAUAAUCCUCAGGAAAUAAACUACAGUAUAACAGACAAGAUCUAAGGACGUCACUAGACAAACUAUCAUAACUGAAUUUUAAAAGACGAAACACCUCUUUCUCCAUACCUGGAAAUUCAUAAGCUGAUCUCCUUAACAUCUGAAUUGCAUAGCUCCGUUCUUCGGGUCUCUUCUUGCUGCUCAUGGCACGACUAGUGGUAAUAAGUGCAAGUGGCAAACCACUACACUCCUUUGCCACAGUUUGGGCUAACUCCGGAAUAUCGGGAUGACUUUCAAGAGUCUCUUGUCCGACCUUCUUUAGGAACAAUUCCCAAGCAUCUUGAUCUGCGAAACACUCCACCUUGAACGUUUUUUGAGCUUCCAUGAGGCCACAGACGUCCACAAGACGAGUCGUAAAGACUAUCUUUGAUGCAUUUCUUGAACUCGCAGGAAAAGGGACACCCACUUUGGCUAAAUCAAUUCUUUCCCAUAUAUCAUCUAACAAUAGCAGAAAUUUCAUUUUGCUCAAUAAAUUGAAUAUACCUGAUGCUUUCUCUUCAAAGCUUCAAUUCUGAAGCCAUCCUAUUCUUUCUCCGAUUUUUUGUUGAAUUCUCUCAAGUUGCAUGUCUUUUGACACCACCACCCAAAUCACAAUAUCAAAAUAAUAGUGUAGUCUUGCCGACUCCCCCCAUGCCAUAAAGUCCGAUGAUUCCAAAUUGUCCUUCUACAAGACAUCUCCAAACUUUAUCAAAUGUUGAUUCUAGGCCGAUUAUUGUUGGCUGAAGAGGCCUUUUAUCCACUGCUGGUUGUGGUACCUUUUCAGCUACCACAGCAAAAUCCCCAUCGUCUAUUAAAGUAGCCACAAGCUGCAGCUUUUUGGACACCUUUUUCCCAAACUUGUAGCUUGACUUGCAGUUCUUGGAGCAGUAGCCUCCAAGGCAUAGUUUUUCAAUUUCUUGAGAGGUGUCCCUUGUCAAUUCACCUACUUCAGCUUCCACAGCCUCCACCCUUGAAAGCCAACCUUGCACUCUGUUCAGCCGUCUUAGUUAUUGUUGCUCAGCAUUAGCGACCCUCAUCAUCACAUCGUUCUUUGUUUCAAUUAGUUUCUGCAAUUCGGUCUGGACGGCAACCAGGUUAUUUUCAAGCUGGCUUAGAUAUGCUGCUUUUCUGCGGAUACAAUUUAUGAAGCCAGUGGAAAGGGCAUCACAUGUAAGUUGGAUUCCCAAAAUAUUACCCAUAGUUUGUAUGAGAUUCAGAGUACAAUAGAAGGAAUGCAACACAGUAUGUAUUCGGUUGUGGUGUCUAUGAUUUUACAGUCGCAGAAGCUUAUUCACCUUGUGAGAGCUGAUCAGGUGGGCACCAUCACUCUCCUUACGCUUUAUAGAGAGCGAUAGUCCAUGUGGUCAGAUCUCAUUCAGAUAACUAGCCAAGUGGGCAAUCGCUCCACCUUAUCAAAAUUCUUCAUCUAUAAUAAUAUCAUGAGUAGGCCUUGAAUUUUUCUUUUAAUUUUAACAUUUAAAAGGUAGAGGUGAAAAAGUCUAAAUAGUAUUUUUGUCCUCGUACUUUAAUAACAUUUCUUGAAAGUCACUCGAUCUCAAAAUUUAAUUAAGAAGAUAUUAUAGAUUUAUAAGCAAGCCUUUAAAAUUUAUUUGCAAGUAAGCCCAUAAGACUUACUAAAAGUCGUCAACUCGUCAUGACCAAAAUUGAAAAUUCUUCCGCGUGUGAAAUACGGCAUGCACAGACGUAUUAAAAACAAAGGCCAGCUAUGAUAUUCUUCGUAUAUUUGCAUUCCCUAUUAUCUUAUUAAUAAUUUCAGACACGUAGUUCGUUGCUUGUGAUUUUUCAUAUGCAAAAGCACAGUCAGUGUUACAAUUUACAAUUACAAUUGAGUGCCACCUAUAUACUCCUUCAUUCUUUUCAAAAUAUGUUGUAGGAUGGGUAAUCGUGACAAAAGUGAUUUUUAAAAAGAUUUGUUAUAAUAUUAAAAUUAACUUUUAAUUUUUUUUAAAUUACUUUUGAGAUUUGUGAAAAAAAUCCUAAACGGGUCUCAGAAGUAUAAUUAGAACCACGAAUUUAUAAAAUGAUCAAAGGAAUCCAUUGCCUAAUAUUAUAGUACGCAAUUGAUUGCUAUAAACUAAACUUCUAUGAUCUCACUUCAUAAUAAUUUAUUUUCAAUCUCCAUCAUGGUAGAAAAAUUUCAUCAAUCAACAUACCCUACCACCACCCAGUAGUCGACCAUUUAUCAUCUUCUAUCCGUAAAAAAAAGGAAAAAAAAAAAAGAAAGGAAAAAUUUAGUCCAGAAAAGAAAAUAUCGCAAGACCAAACAGAGAGAGAAAAUAGAAAAAGCAAAGAGCUGUACUGAAUACCGGCAGUGAUGGCUCCGUACUUGACCAUUUAGGUUUGAUUCUGCAUUAACAUAAUAUUUUUUCUGCACUGCAUUCACAUCACAACCAUUGAAUAGUCGUGAUCUAUUUUUCUAAAGCGAAUAAUACUAUCUUCUCGUGUCGGUGGCUUGAUCAUAUAACAAAAUAGACUAAUAAUGUUUCAAUAGACAUUUUGGUAAAUGGAAGAAGUUAUGAUCUGUCCAUUUUUAUGUUACUUUAUUUUAAUUUGUUAAUUACUAUUAAUAUCUUUGAGUGUGGCAGAAUCUUGACCUAAGAUAUGACUAGGCUCCACAUGUUAUAUAUUAAUUUGAUUAAGCCUAGCUAAUUGUUAAUUAUUAAUUUGAUUGCGGCUUUUUAUUUUACCCACAUUUUUUACGCGUGAAAUCUUUCUUAGUGAAAAACUACACGUAUGUGCAAAUAUUCGGAAUGGACAUUUUAGAAAGAAAAAAAAGUAAAAGAAAAUGUUUGAGGGAAAAAUAGGAAAGGCAAUAGAGCGCCACGUGUCAACCAAUGGAAUGAUUUCAGCACAAUCGGAGGUACCCUACACAAUCCGAGGUGCCCGGCAUGACUUGAGGUACCCCGUAUAAAUAGAGGUAUCCCACACAAAUAGAGGUACCUCAUAUAAUAUGAGGUACCCCAUAUGAAUAGAGGUACCCCAUACAAAUAGGGGUACUCCGCGUAAUAGGGGGUACCCCACGUAACUCGAGGUACCCGGCAAAGCGGAUGCAAGAGAAUCCACCGAAAAUACCCGCCAUGAGAAACGUCUCCGCCUCCUAAAAGAUAUCAUUUGAUUUUGUCAGAAUUAGGAAUCAAAAGCGACGUGCUAAAAGGAGGGACAGCCGCCUGCUACCUCUGCCAAAAGUGAAGGACACUGUCCCAAGGACAGUGGUCCCUAGCCGCCUACCCGACAGCUACUGCAGAGGUACCCUGGACCACUCUCCAGCGCGCGCCACGUUUUCAAAAGAUGAGAUACGCCGCGAACAUGCAAAUAACGGCCCAAAAAAUUAUAAAAAGGUAAAAGGACGUUAGCCAAAAAGGGUACGCCACGUGGUAGCUGAGGUACUCCAUAUAUAAAGGCGCCUAGGUUUCAUCCUCCAAGAGGCUCUCAUUCGCCCAAAAACACUCACACUCCAGAAAAUAGGUUUUCUUCAACCUUAAACCCUAAUUUACAAAGGGCUAGCUAGCUCUCUUUACCAUAAAAGCUUGAGUUUGCUAACUUGAGCGUCGGAGUGUGAACGCCGGGGUACCCCGGCUUCACCUCUAACCUCCAUUUCACUGUUUUGCAGGUGUGGAGCCCAUCUCGAAGGAUACCUCUCUUAGUUCUAAACCUUUCACCAUUGAUACCACUCUCUCUCCCUUUCUCACCUCCCCCAAAUCUUAGAUACACCGCACCGCACACAAUAAACUAGUGAGGUACCCCAUCUCCCCCAAAAAUAUAAAUUUAUUGUUCUAGAUUGGUUUGACUUUUCCUACCCCAAAAUCAGUUGAAAACAGAAAAUGACUAAAAAGUAAAAGAAAAUAGACACCCAAUUGUAAUUACGAGUACAAUAGAAGGAAUGCAACACAAUACCGAUUUUGCAGUCGCUGAAGCUUAUUCACCCUAUGAGGGCUGAUCAGGUGGGGGCCGUCGCUCUCCUUACACUCUUAUAGAGAGUUAUAGUCCAUGAUCUCAUUGGGAGAACUAGCCAAGUGGGCAAUCGCUCCACCUGAUCAAAAUUCUUCAUCUUAUAAUAAUAUCUUGAGUAGGCCUUCAAUUUUAAUCUUUAAAAGGUAGAAGAGGUGAAAAAGUUAAAUAAUAUUUUUGUCCUCCUAUAUAACAUUUUUUGAAAAUCACUCGAUCUUAAAAAUUAAUUAAGAAAAUAUUAUAGAUUUUUAAGUUAGUGGCCCUUAAAAUUUAUUUGCAAGUAACAAUUAGAGAAAAGUCGUCAUGCCCAAAUGACUUACUAAAAGUCUGCAACUCGUCAUGACCAAAAUUCUUCCGAGUGUGAAAUACGGCAUGCGCAGAUGCAUUAAAAACAAAGGCCAGCUAUGAUAAUCUUUGUAUACUUGCCUUCCCUAUUAUCUUAUUAAUAAUUUCAGACGCGUCGUUCGUUGCCUGUGACUUUUCAUAUGCAAAAGCGGAGUCAGUGUUACUUGCAUUCCCUGUCACCUUAUUAAUAAUUUCAGACACAUCGUUGGUUGCCUGUGAUUUUCAUAUGCAAAAGCACAGUCAGAAUUACAAUUUACAUUUGGAAUUGAGUGCCAUCUAUUUAUUCUAGCUGGAUCUAAAAUGAUAUUGCAUUAUUGCACUGACUUUUUAGUCACAGCGUUUCUCUAUGAAUUCCUUAAACUUUAAACACAUCAUGGAAUAAUUAUUUUCUUAAAGACCAAAUUAACAUAAUUCUUAAAUCAUUUAUAAAACAACAUUUAUCAUAUAACAAAUCGUACAUGAAUAAAUUUACCUUGAACCGUAGCAAACAAACAAGAAUCUCAACCACAUCAAUAUCAUAAUCCCUUCUGACCUUAACAGUAAUUUUAUUCGUCCUUAAUUCAUAGGUAUAAGUAUCCCAAUAUAUACUUGAUGUCAACCUUUACAAUUCUUUACAGAAUUGCAGCAGACCAAAUUUGUAUACAAAACUGAAAUCAUACAGUAAUUGAUGUUUUCGAUAGAUUUUAGGGUAGGAAAAGCCAAACCAAUCUAGAACAAUGAAUUUGUAUUUUUGGGGGAGACGGCGUACCUCACUAGUUUGUUGUGUGCAGUGUGGUGUAUCUGAAAUUCGGGGGAGGUGAGAAGGGGAGAGGGAGUAGCAACAAUGGAGAAAGGUCAAAACCAAGAGAGAUAUCCUUAAAAAUGAGCUUCACGCCUGCAAAACAGUGAAAUAGAGGUUAGAGGUGAAGCCGGGGUACCCUGGCGUUCACACUCCGACACUCAAGUUAGCAAACUCAAGCUUUUAUGAUAAAGAGAGUUGGCUAACCCUCUGUAAAUUAGGGUUUAUGGUUGAAGAAAACCUAUUUUUUAGAGUGUGAGUGAGAGCAUCCAUGGAGAAUAAAAUAUAGGCACAUUUAUAUAUGGAGUACCUUAGUUGCCAUGUGGCAUACCCUUUUUGGCUAACGUCUUUUUACCUUUUAUGAUUUUGGGGCCGUUAUGUGCAUGUUCGCGGCGUAUCUCAUCCUUUGGAGACGUGGCGCACGCUGUGGUCCAAGGUACCUCUGCAGUAGCUGUCGGGUAGGCGACUGAGGACCACUGUCCUUGGGACAAUGUCCUUCACUUUUGGCAGAGGUAGUAGGCGGUUGUCCCCCCCUUUUGGUACUACGUUUUUUAUUCCUAAUUCUGACAAAAUCAAAUAUUAUCCUUCAAGAUAUGGAGAUAUUUCCUAUAGUGGACUUUUUCAGAGGAUUCUCCUGAGACAGACCUAUCGGGUACCUCAAGUUAUAUGGGGUACCUCGAUCCAUGUGGGGUACCUCGAGUUAAUCUGGAGUGAAGUGGGGUAUCUCUGAUUAUGCUGGGUACCUUUAAUUAUGUGGGAUACCUCUAAUCAAGCCGGUACUUCUAAUUACGCCGGGUACCUCUAAUUGCGCGGGGUACCUCUAAUCAAGCCGCGUACCUCUAAUUACGUCGGGUACCUCUAAUCAUGCAGGGUACCUCUAAAUCAGGCAGGGUACCUCUAAUCACGUCGGGUACCUCUAAUCAUGUUGGGCACCUCAAGUUAUUCCGAGUACCUUAAAUUAUGUUGAAGUUAUUCUGGGUACCUUGAAUUAUGCUGGAGUUAUUCCGAGUACCUCGAAUUAUACGGGGUACCCCAGUCUAUGUGGGGUACCUCUGACCGUGCCAGGUACCUCAAAUCAUGGCAUGUACCUCUAAUCGUGCGGGGUACCUCUAAUCAUGUCGGGUACCUCAGAUUGCACUAAAGUUAUUCCAUUUGUCGACACGUGGCGUUCUGCUAUCUUUCUUAUUUUUCCCCCAAACAAUUGAAUACAGUGAAAAUAGACAUGAUGGGAAUUAGUAUAUAUAAAUAUCUUAAUAAUUUAAAAGUUUCUUAAACUGAUUUUACAUAUCUGAAAAAUUAUAGAAAUCGGAACUGCUGCAGAAAUCAUAAUUUUCCAGCGAAUGUGUUACAACUUCAGAAACUCAUAAGAAAUUAAAUUCUUGGGAUCACAAAAUAAUUCAAUAGAAAGCUUAAGAUGUCUAGUUCAUAAAAUCUGAAUUUUUUUUUUAAUAAGAUCUUUGGAAUUUAAGAGAUUCAGCAGUACUUUUAUUACAUCAAUUCUUCAAACAAUCACCAAUCUAACAUUCAUCAAAAUUAAGUCAUAAAAGUCAUGUGGUUUAUAAAAAGAAUUACCUGAAAAAGAUUAGCCUUCCCCUUUCAAAAGCAACGUGAAACUCCAAAAACUCUUCUUCCAUUACCUAUUCAAACAUGAAAAAAAAAAAAAAAUUUGGUGUCUCUUCUUUAAAUGCGUGAUGAGUGUGCUCUGUUUUCUCUGUUUUCUCUGUUCUUCUCUUUCUUUUUUAGAUUUCGAAAACCUAAAGAGUGUUGGAGUCUUUAUUUUCUAAAAACAAGACUUUUCCAUGUAUUCAGUUAAAUUAAAUUACGUCCAAAUGCUAUGUCAGUUCCAUCAUUAGCAUUUUUUUUUCCUUUUAACACCAACAUUAGCGUAUGUUAAGUGUCAUAAUCCAUAGUUGGACAAUUUGAAAUCUCUUCGUGUUUUAUCUCAAAGUAGAGCUUCAAACAAUUUGUACCUCACAAAUUUACAAUAUCUAUGAGGGCUAAUAAGACCAAACUCAGGCAUAUUGUCAAAUGUGCUUAUACUUUCGCUUGACAAGUCAUUUUAAAAUUGUCUUUCAAUGCCAAAAAACCACAUAAACUAAUGGUCCACUACUUUAAUUUGAAAGCAUGCAUGCGAUCGCCAUUAAUCAAGGAUGUUAGGGUCAUGCUGCAGAGUAUAGAACUUGAUUUUAUGGGAUAGCCUUCUUUCUUUAUAAUUUUUAAGUUUAAUACUGUUACGCAAGUAGCACAUAAGUUGGAAAACAUAACAUAAAUUUUGAAAAAUGUAUAGUUUUCGUUCCCUUUUUUCCCCUCUAAAAAUGGGAAAAAAGAACGUAAUUUUGAUUUAUUUAAAUUACUGUUGUGAUAACAAUUUUUAUUUUAUUGAUUAUUUACCCAUACAUGUGGCAAAUUUUUUAAGAUAAGGUGAAGGAUGAAGCUCAAAAAUAUAAAUUAUAGAAUUAAUUACCCUCUGUAGUAAGUUUAAAGUUUAUUAUUUUUAACUACAUAUUUAUAAUUUAUUUUUAUUAUGUGUUAAUCUAUAGAUCUAAAUUCACUUCGGAACCAUAUACAUAUUUAGACAUAAUGUGCAUGUUAAUCUAUAGAUCUAAAUUCACUUUAGAUCUAUAUGAGUAUUUAGACAUAACGUAUUGCAACCAUAUUGGCAUGUUCUCACUAUAGUAUUGGUGUAUUGACAUUAUAUCUAAUUGUCCCUAUAAAUCCAAAAAUAAUCUAGAUAUACAAAUUAACAUAAAAUAAAGAUAAUUGGUAGAAAAUGCAAAUUAUAAACAUAUAAUUGAAAACGAUAAAUUUAAAUUUACUUAAGAAAGUAAUUAAUCACUUAUUUCUUUUUUAUAAUAUGACAAAUAUUAUAAUAAAUAUUAAUUAAUAAUAAUUAGAAUAACAAAUUAAGGAUAUUUUAAUAACUUAAAAUAAUUUAUUUUGAUUUCGAGACAAAAUAAACACAUGAAUCGCAAUACAACUCAUUCUGAUUCCACUCAUUUAGAUUUCAACAUAUUUUAAUUAAUUCAAGUGCUCUCCAUUAUAAUUGAAGCCGCUGCCCCACUCGUGAUUCCAAACUUUAUCUUUUUCCUUUUUAAAAUUAAUGCAAGCAGCCGCUGUCCUUUUUAUUAAUUAAUUAAUUAAUUCGGCCGCCCACAUUUCUUUUCCUAAUGUCUUCGGCUUUCGAUUUUCUUUUGUUUUCUCUUUAUUCUUAAAACUGUGAAAAUAAUAUAUAAAUUAUGAGCGUAUCAAUCAAUAAAUUAAAAAUAAUAAUUUUUAUUUUUAUUAAAUAUAUAUUUUUCAGUAUUAAUCAGUUAUCUAAGUAACUAAAAUCAGUUAAAAAUAAAUAAAUAAAUUAUUCUUAAAAAAAAAACUUUUUAUACCACUCACUAUGCUGGCUGUCAAGGGUAGAAGCUUUGGGGACUGAAGUUGGUAACUUCUACAAGUAGUCUUAAGUUGACUGGCAACAACUAUAUUGGCAUUUAGACAUAAUGUUCGGCAACCAUAUUGGCAUGUUCAAAUGUUCUUCCUAUUGUAUUGGUGUGUCGCUCUAACUGCCUUAUAGAUCCAAAAAUGAUCUAAAUUUACAAUUUAACAUAAAAUAAAAUAAUUGGUAGAAAACAAUUAUGGUUCAUUUACUUAUUAGUAAUUAGAAUAGACUGAACUUAGCAUGAGUUGUAUUGCCGUUAAUAUGUUUAUGUUGUCCUCAAAUCGGAAUGAAUUAUUUUAAGUUACUAAAAUACCCUUGGUUUGUUACUCUAAUUAUUAUUAUUUAAUAUUUAUUUUAGUAUUGUCAUAUUAUUAAAAAGAAAUAAUAAUGAUGAUAAUAUUAUCAUUAUUGUUUGUUAUAUUAUUAUUAUUAAAAAAAUUAUUGUUAAUAACAAUAAUAACUUUAUUUCAAUAAUAAAAAUGAUAAAAUUAAUAAUAACAAUCAUGACAACAACAAUAAUUAUUUAUUAUGCCAAAAAUAACAAUAAUAAUAAGAAUAAUAAUCAUCAUCCUUUUUUCCCAAAGAAGCAUUAUCAUCAUCAUUUCAAAAAAAAAAAAAAAUCAUCAUCAUCAUCAUUUUUGUAGUGGCUGCCUAUCGGCUGCUGCUUUCAUGCAAGAUUGACUUGCGACGCUUCAACUGCUAUUAUUUCUGGCAAUGUCAGGUGUUGUUGUUUCAAUGUGGGGAGAAGCUGUUUCGGUGCGCUAACGAUGGGAAGUGUUGUGGCUGCGAUUCGGGGAGCUACUGGUUCAGUGCACUAAUGACGGCAGGUGUUGCUGCUCAAUGCGAGGUCCAUGGCCAGUUGUCUUGUUUUACAGCCAGCUCUUGUAGGAAAUUCUUCAUCCAAAAUAUUUUUUUGUAACCUUCAAUAAUUGUAAUAUCAUUUGCUUCCGUGGUAGAAAAGACAACUCAUUGCUAAAGUCUAGAUUGUGAUGAGACUGCUCUCCCAGCAAAAGUGAGCAAAUAUCCUAGUAGGAAUUUUUCAAAAUCAAUAUCUCCUGUCAUAUCUACACACGUUUGUCACCACCAAAAUAUAAACAUAUUCUGGAAAUGCCUCUAAGAUAUCUGAGAGUUCAUUUCACUGUUGUCCAGUGCUCUUUGCCGAGAUUGAAGAGAAACCGACUGACUACACUAACUGCAUAGGCAAUAGCUGGUCUUGUACAAAAAAUGGUGUACGCCAAACUGCCAAUUGCCAAACACUGAGAAAUGGGUUUUGCUCUUGAGAUUUUUGGGAACAUGAAGAAUAAAGAUGUAAUUUCUUGGACUACCAUUGUUUCGGGGUAUAUAAAUAGAGGACAAGUCGAUAUAGCUCGACAGUAUUUUGCUCAGAUGCCAGAACGAGAUUAUGUCUUAUGGACUGCCAUGAUUGAUGGGUACCUUCGAGUGAAUAGGUUCAGAGAGGCUUUGACACUUUUCCGGGAGAUGCAAACUUCAAAUAUAAGGCGAGACGAGUUUACCACUGUUAGGAUUCUUACAACUUGUGCGAAUCUGGGGGCACUAGAACUGGGAGAAUGGAUAAAGACUUACAUUGAAAAAAAAAAGUCAACAAUGAUAUAUUUGUGGGGAUUGCUUUGAUAGACAUGUACUGUAAAUGCGGAGAUGUUGAGAAAGCUCAAAGGGUAUUCUGGAAGAUGCUUCGAAAGGACAAAUUCACAUGGACGGCCAUGAUUGUUGGCCUUGCCAUCAGUGGCCAUGGUGAUACAGCUCUUGAUAUGUUUUCCCAAAUGCUUAGGGCUUCGAUCAGACUAGAUGAGGUAACUUAUGUUGGUGUUCUGUCUGCCUGUACUCACAAUGGUAACGAAAAUUUUGUGAUAAAUAGAUGCAACUUAAGGUGAGAAUUGGAGGAAACGAAAUAGACUGAAGUUGUUCAAUCAUCGGUGGUUGCUAUAUGAUUUUAAGUUGUUCAAUCAUCGGUCGUCUCUAUUUGGUUUUCUCCAAUAUCUCAUCUCCAGUUUUGACUCAGAUUCUGUCUUACCGCUAGUAAUUACAUAGACUUGCUGCCAAAGGUAAGAAUGGGAAUAAAUUAAAUAGAUUAUGUCGAUAACGAAAUAGAUUUACUAUUGCUAUGUGCAUUCUAUUUGGUUCCUGCAAAAUAUUUUCUCCUGCCUAAAAUUUUUUGAAUAAGUAAGUUUUUACCUUACGCAAGAAUUGUGCUAAGAGUAAUUCCAGUCUCUCUAUGUUUCAAUGAAGACGUAAAACUUGUGUUUUAGAGCACCAAUGUUAUGCUUCUUACAAUUGGAUUUUAAUUUACUUCGUAAAACUUUUGUCAAAAUGUACUACGGGUGUAUUUGAAAAUGAGGUACUGUAGCUUUUAAGCUACAGCUGCUAUGGAAAAAAAAAACUAACUAUGAAAUAAAAGUUAAUAAUAUAUAGUAAAUAUAAAUUUUAAAUAAUAAUUUUGAUAAAAUUAUUAAAGAUAUAAUAGUUUUUUUAUUAUACAAGUGAAAAAUUAUAUAAACAUAGUUUUCAAGUUACAGCAGCUAGUGUUUACCAAACACUUUAGUACUGUACUUUUUAAGUUACAGCUGCCCAACAUCAAUCUCAAACGCACCUUAAGGAGUAGUGCGCCAAACACCAACUUUAUUACAGAGAGGACUUUGGUUAAACUUUAAGAAAAACACCGAUGGUUGUCGAAGCCAACAAAUAUAAAUUCCUACUCUAAAUAAAUUGUAUAUAGUGAUUGAGCAGGGUCGUGUCCACAGAAAUCGGUAAUUAUUUAAAUCCUUUUAAAACGUAAAACAUAAAAUGGGGGUUUUGUUGACAAUAAUAAAAAUCAAAUUAAAAUAAUAAGAAUGCAAAUUAAAGUUGUAAUUCAAAUUAGAGAAAGCUCUGGUUGAAGGAAUUAACUCAGCUUGAUUCGACUACUGAUCAUUGAUUCAAAUAUAGAUUAUUAUUACUCAUGAAUAGACCGGUUAUAGCUACUGAGACCCUCUAAUAGCCAAUCUCUCCUUAACUAGUCGAUAACCAAGGUACGACCGUUGGUUAUUUCCCUAAUCAAUAGACAACCCUAGAUACGAUCAUAGGAUUUAAUCAAUUGACAGCCUGAAAAACCAGAGAGACCCAAAUCCUAAUCAACACAUAUGAUGAUUCAUUUAAAUUAGAUUGUUUAUUCUCACAACACAACUCUCUGCUAUGUUAUUUGUCACAAACAUUAAAUUCUUCAUACGAUGAAUCCUUUAAUUGACAAUAGAUUAAGUUGAUAAUUAAAUAGUGGCCAAUUACCUAAUUAACAAACAUAAUCAUGAAAAUAAUUCAGAGAAUAAACAAAUACCCAAAAAUUAAUAAAACAAUUAAAGCACAAGAAAAAUCUCACAGUAGUGAUGAAUCAAAGCUUCAUUAACCUUCAACCAGAAAAAUAGGUUUAGUUCCUCAUAGAGAGAAGAGAAAAAUUAGAUCUAGGGUUUCUUUCUUUUUCUCCAAUCCAAAUCUCCCAUUUUCAAAAUAGAUUCCUCCCUUAAAUACUCUCUCUCUCUUCUCCUCUAGAAUUCUAUUUAAAAUAAAAUACUAGUAUCUGAAAUAUUAAAUUCGUAAUUACAAAAAUAACCAAAAAUACAAAACACGUUAAACUAAAAACUGCAGGUCCGCAGUUGACAGCACGCGCCCACGCCUUAUCAACAAAGUUCUUCUGCCGCUCAUAAUUUCUCCAAGAGAACAAUCAUCCUUAAACAUCAUCUUGUAACUCAAUUUUAUCACCAAUAAAUAGAAUUGCACCUACAAAAGUAAAUCACAAGUAAAUCACUAUUAUUAAGUGCAAAACAUCGAUAUUAAGGGAAGUAAACAAUGCAAAACUAGUGCAUAAAUUGCACUCUAACAAACACUCAAAGGAAGAGUUAUAAAUUAUUAUAGAAAUAUUUCACAUAAAUAAAAGCCAUUCCACAAUGCGAAGAUCGUGCUAUCAUCACCAGAAACCAUCGGGAGCAUUCAGGGUUUCCAUGAAAACGCCAUUUCAUUCCAAGAGUCAAUGGUGAGUAGAAAGUGGUGCAAACGAUAAUCAUUCUUAAUGCUAUAAGUUUUUGCUAAAUUAUGUCUUACCCAAAAUGAUGAUUUAAUUUCCAUUCUCAAUUAAUUUUCAAGUUUCAACACUUUUCUUUGUAGCAUGACAUUGGAAAGAUCUUGUACUACUAAAAGCUAGCACCACACGUUAAUUAUUGUUAAGUUCUUUUUCAACGUGAAAUAAAGGAAGUAGUCCUUCGUUAAAACCAUUAUAGCCAAAUUUCAUGUAAUUGGACACUUACAGACUUUCAUUUCAAGCUGGAAUUUGGUCCAACGUUUCAAAGUUGACCCAACUAAUUGUCUGAUCAAGUCCUACACAACUAAGACCCUCAAUGAAUGAGGGUGAGACUGCUAAAAAUUACGACAGUUGAUAUUAUUAUUAUUAUUUUGGGAUAAAUCCUUACCAAGGUGAGUGAGGAGAUUUUAUCAAAAUAAAAAUAAAAUAUAACAAGAAAACUAGCUAAAUUAAAAUAUUACAAAAGCUAGAUGAACUGAAAGGCAGCCUAAAAACAACCUUAUGCAAAAGAGAAGCAACAUGCUAGUAUUCCAAGCUUCUUGUUAUAAAAGUGUAGAAUGAAGUAGGUGACGUAGUUUUAAGUUACACCUCCAUGCCCAAUCACAAUAUCAAAUAAUGCUUAAAGUAGUUAUAUUAACUCUUAAAUUUAUAAAUAAUUAAAUUUUUAAAAGUAUGGAUUUAUAUUAAAAAAUUUCUAUAUAAAUAAAUAAUAUAUGCAUUUUUACAACAUAGUCUUUAAAUUUAAACUUUUCUAGAAAAAUCUUCUGGAUAUCUUUUCUAUUAAAAAAGAGUUUCUCAAAAUUUAUAAAAGUAACUUAAAGUUUUGUCUUCCCUUUUCUUUUAGCUUAUACAUAUGUGUGUGUAUUCUUUUAUAGCAAUAACUAACGUUAUUUAUUUUUAAAUCAUAAAAAAAUUAUGAAAAAAAAAAUGUACCAAAUUUAAUUGGACACAGCACAAUGCACAUGCAUAGAACACAUUCUGAAAAGCCAUGCUAUUCGGAAAUUGACGAAUGGAAAGUGAAGAGGCAGCAGUCAAUGCCAUUUCGGCUUGGCCCAAAAUUUCACCAGUUUGUUAAUCAGUGUUCUGCAGCUCUUGCUGCUUUCCUAGAGAUUCUGCAUCUUUUGCAAUUUGAUUGAUUAAAAAAAAAAAAUUAGUGGCCAUUUGGAAUGGAGGAGAGAUUUGUGUGAAUGGUAUAGGUGAAAAAUUGGAUGAAAAUAAACAGGCAACCGUCCGUAUAAAACAACAAUAACAAUAUACAAAAAGAUAAGUAAUUCACGAAAGGAAAUUUACGGUUGUUUCUAAAAAACAUACACAUUAAUUUCACUUAUACUCUAAGAUUUGCCAUCAUGACUGGACUUGUGAGGAAUUUGGAAACAUGUAUGAUGUAGAAAUGCUGAAGUAGCUUGAACCAGAUGGUGAAAUCGUCUAGCGGUCAGCGGGACAUGAAGCUAUAGGGGUUGUUAGUUGUGUUUUGGAUAUUUACAGACAUGCUGAGUUUGAGUUUAUAUCUUAACUUAAAAUUUGUAGUUUUCACUUGAAAAGAUUCAGUUAAAAAUUGAUUGGUGGAAUUGUUAAAAAGUCUAAAUUUUUAGUUCAAACCUAUUGCAUAUUUAAGAACAUCUCAAAUGAAUUGCUUACUGCUAUCGUCGUCAUCAUUGCCCAUAUAAUAAUAAUAAUUAUUAUUAUUAUGCCUUUAUAAUUAUUAGUAUCGCUGUUAUUAUUUUUAUGGGUAAAUGGUUUUUCUAUCCUGGCAAUUUAAGCCAAUUACCUAACUAAUCCAUGUAAGUUUAAAAAUGUUUCAAAAGAUCUUUAUUUUAUAUAUGUUUCCACUAAAAUUUAUUUAAUUAUUCUUUAUUUUUCAAUUAUUGCAUGUUCGAUUUUUUUGAGUUCUAAGCUAUAUCAAUAGAAAUGUUAUCUUAUCCAUAAAAAGUUAGAUCCAACAAUUAUGAAAAUUACUAUGGAGCUGCUUUGAAUAAUUUUUAAAAAAUACCACAAGUAAAUAAUAAUUAGUUUAAAUAGUGGAGACUAAAAAGCAUUCACCCUUAUUCUUUAUCUGUUAUUUGUUUUUUUUUUCCGUUAAUGCACAUGUUAUACAUUUGAAACAUUCCGUUAAUUGCCAAUUAUGUAAGCGAGAUAGUAAUUUAAUUUUUUUUUUAAAAAAGUGAAAAUUAAUCCUAUGCAAUGUGAAUAAAUUUCUUUCCAUUUUCCUUCUCUCUUUUUAUUUGAUAAUUAAGUUUCAACCUAUGUACCCAAAAUUUCUGCAACAGGUAAAAAACAUAAAAAUAUAUGAUUGUUAAUGUAAACACGCGGAAGUUCAUCAUUUCAAUGUUCAGUAUUUCCAAUUUUGGCAUACGAAUAUAUUCCACUCAGAAAGCCAAAUAUUAAAAUUCUGAUUUUAAUUCAUUCAUCAUAUCUCAUUUCAAUCCCAAAAUAUUCAAGAGGAUCCAAGUUACCAUAAGACUUCAGAGGCUCGAGCCUUAGCCAGAGACGGUUAAUUGAUAGACUAUGUGCACUGGAAGCCUGCAAUGCAGACUGAUUGAUUUAUCAGUUUGAAGUGUGCCAGGAAUGAAGAACUGGAAUAUCACCGUCAAGCAAGCACCCAGUGAAGCAAUACCAUGGAAUGCACAAUCCGGCCUUGCUAGGUGACACUGGAGGCUUUUUGAAAAGUGCUUCAUGCUCACUUGCACAGAUUGAGCAUCCCCUCUGGAUAUUGCCCUCUCUGAUCGAGUCUGAGCACUCAAAUUUCGGUCCUCAGAUGGAGCUACAGCUUUCUCUCCAAUAACCAACAAUUUUCUAAACUCAGCACCUAGUGUGAUCAGAGUUGUUGAUAUUUGUAAAUGGAGAUCCCCAUAUUUGCAAAUGGAGACAUUUAACAAAUCACCAACAUGCUUCAUCCGGUCUACGAAAUUCUGCAGCUGAUUCAAAUCCGGAACCUGAACCAGAGUCGAAGGUAAAUCUUGAGCCAUAUCUAAAGCAGUUUGAAGUUCAAGUACUUGAGCCCUUGACAGUGGUUUUGAAAUUGGAACAUCUUGAAUUACUGCAGACUUGUACCCUUUGGUUUCAAAGGUAAGGAAAGGCAUUGCUUGAGUACAAUUUGGAGGCAGCUUCUUCACCAAUUUUAUUUGGAGGCGAUUGGCAGUGGAUCCAGCUGCACCAAUUUCAGAGCAAAUACUGACACUACUUCAAACAGCACACUGAAGAAGCACUAUGUCUAUGGCAAAGGCAAUGCAGUCCUCAUUUUGGCUUGAGAUGCGGUAAUCAUCGAAGAGAGUUUCCUUAUGAAACUGGGCAACACAUUGAAUCCCUUCACCACUGAGAAGGUUGUGGAGGAAGUACGCUUUCUCUCUAGUGAGGAAGAGGUGGCAUACCUUCCCCAUUUUGUCUAGGGCAGUUAGGAAUCUUUUUUCUAAGAGAUUUACUCCAUUCUCUGUGAGAAAUGCUUUGAACUUCAUCCCUCUGUCUCUAUCCUCACUUAUCAGUAAAACAGUUGAAAGUGAUACAAGGAGAGAAAAGGAGAGUACUAAGAUAUAUAGACAAGAAAAACAUUAGGUGUCGAUCUUACAUGUUAAUACUUCAAACAGUAUCCUAGAAAGCUAAAAACUGCAGAAUGGCUUGAAAUUUGAAAAGAACACAUGCUUUUCCUCCUUAACUUGAGAAAAUGUUUAACAUAGCGCGCCUUACAGAAGCAAGCAAUUAGAACUUUGCACAAAAACAUUCAAGAAGACCAAUAUUUCAACUAUUUUACUGAUGAAAAUCUCAAAGCACAAAUGGCAUUGCAUUUUGUCCUCAACUGUAAUAUUUCUUGAUGAAAAUCAGUACAGGUCCCUCAUUUGUUAUGGAAAGCUUUCUUGUAGUCUGACCGGUUAAUUCACGGGUCUAUAAUCAUCUUGCAAAGUUACGGACAUUUCUUUCGAUUUAAAGUCUUUGCAUCACCACCUCAUCACACACCAAGCCAAUAUUCUGUCUACCUCUACAACAAAAAGUUUUAAGUAAACGAUCCUAAUGCACGCAGCCAAAUAAAAUGCAGUAAGAAUAUUCAACUUAAAAAUCUGAAAGUCAUCUUGGUGAAUUACCUUCUUAGGGGAAGUUCCAUGAUUUACUAUACUAGACAGAACUGAGCAAAAGCUUCCAUUCGACAGAUUUUGACAAUAAUGAUGCCAACAGAUCCUCAUUAAAUCCAUUAAAACUCCUAAGGUUCAUUGUUCAUGGAUGUUUACAGAGUUUUGGUCAUCAAAUAGCUCAGACCACAAUCCCAAACAAAAGACGAGUGAAAGUUAGAUAACGAGCAGCUAAUUGUAAAUUCUAACUUAACUCUUCAUCUCCAUUGUAAAAAGGAAACAAAAUGGAGACGCGCAAAAUGAAUAAGGAGAACAUUUGAACUCAAAUGAAAUGAGGGCGCGAAAGCAAACAAAUGGCAUGCACAAACAAACCAAGCCUCAAUCAAAAACUAAUUGACCAUUAAAAAAAAUAAAAAUUGGUCAGAGAAUGAACUCCAAAUUCGGGAGUGAAGCAAGAAGCUUUCACUAUUUCAGAAGCUCCUGUACAAAUUAAUAAGUUAUGCUCUUUGGAGACAAUCCUAAAUUCCAAGAGAAACAGAGCUCAAAAAAAUUUUGCAAUUAUGAGCAAAGGAAGUGAAGCACAGCAUUCUACCACACACAGGAAUUGUAUAACAUGAGAUCGAUAUAUCGAAUUGGAAGAACUCAAUUCUAAUUUGUGUCAAAAAUCAAAAUUAGAAGAUUUCAUAUUUCGACAGGAACAAGCAACAGGGGAGGUUCAAAAUUUCAGCCAUAACAUGCUAAAAUUGCUACAUUUAACGGUUUAUUUUCAUGGAUUUUCUCCGGAAACAAACAGAAAAUUACGGUUUAGAGAGCUGACUGACCCUUUGGCUUUUAGAAUUGAGAAGAUCGCGCGCCAAAUUGGAAGAGGGGAAGUGAAAGUGCGAGUUUUAAACUUUUAAUAUGGGUAUUAGAUAAGGAAAUUUCAUUAGGUUGCGAGGGUAAAAAAGGAAAGAGAUAUCAUUAUUUUAUUAUCGAUAAUUAUUAACUUUUUUUUCCCCAAAAAAAAGAACAAGCAAGGAUAUUUUAUUGUCAUUUGCAACCUUUAAUUUUUUUAAAUGCUAUUAGAAACACAAGACAACAAAGAAAUGCUUAUUUUUUCCAAAAAUUAAAAUCAAUUGUUUAACUUGUUAUUUCAUAAUCCAACUCCACCACUAAGUUAAAGAAAAUUGUUUUAAAAUUACUCGAGUCAUAUCCUAUGGACCAACAAAAUACUUAUUUUUGUUUUUAUUUAUUUUUGCAGGAAAUUAAUAACUUAAAAAUACUGAAAGCUAUUGUAAAAAUUUUUAUUGUUUUUAUUUUUACUGGAAAUUAAUAACUUAAAAAUAUUGAAAGCUAUUGUAAAAAUUUUUAUUAUCAACCUCAUAAUUUUUUUUUUUUUUGGGGGGAGGAGAAUUCAAACAUUUUUUUAAAAAAUUUCCAAGAAUUCUUGACACCCAUCUUAAUUAAAAGCUAUAUUUUUAUUCAAGAGUCAUGCUAUUCAUUCACUCACAGACCAAAGGCUUUCCGCAGCAAUAUUAUUAUUUAAAUUACAACAAAGGGGAAAUCGAAUACGUCAUACAGAAACUUAAAGCUCAAUCUACAAAAUCUAGAGCUCUGAGCUACAUAAAUUACACUUGAUGAUCCUCUACAAGAUGAAGCUUGUUCAAUAUCUCGUCCAAAGCUUGCAAAGUAACCUUGUAACGAUCUUGAGAUUGCCGGCCUUCCUCAACGACCUGCACGAUGCGUUUGUACAAUCAUCAUACCUGUGCACCGGAUUUUUAAUAUCAAUGGCACUGCAGCUGUGAUCAAGAACAUACGAGUGUUUAACAUCUUUUCUCCAUCGAGAAAGAAUGUAGUGAGAUGGGAUCUCCUGCAUGCCACUCUGGUUUAGAACACAAAGAAUGUGCCUGCAUAAAUAUCCCCUGAAAUUGAACAACCCACAAACACAAAGCACCUCCAAGUCGGAGGCAUUGUACAAAACAUCGAAAGCCCUUGAAUCCUUCUUGUUGCCACCAACCUCGAAUUCUUCCUUCACUAUGUAUGUUAUAGGUCCAUCAGAACUAAUAUGUUUUGUGCUAUAGCAAGAGUACAUAGCCUCCACCUCCGUCUGAAACUUCCUUAACAUUUCAUUUGUGUACAGUUUUGAGAGUUGAAAUUCAUAGUAACAUCUUGGUUUCCGGAUACAACUUGAAUUUCUUGAAUCCAUAUCUGCCAAGGCUUCCAGUUGAUAAUUCGCCUGCAGUGCUUGAUCAUACUUGUCUAAGAAUUCUUUCAAAGGAGUAUUCUUAUCAAGAUAUCCUUCAAAGUAUGAAGUAGAAACCUCAUUCUGCAGGAAUGAAAACACUCCUGAUAAAAAUGCUUCCUUCAAAUAAACAGGAGCCCACCCUUUACGAUCUUCAUAUAAAGUUUGAAUCCAUCCAUGAUCCUUCAUUCCAUGACGUUGAAUCGUGUCCUCCCAAGCUGUCUCAAAUUCCUCAGGCCUAAGAGAGUGAUAAAUUGCCCUAUGCAAUGCAGCUCUAAUAGCUUCAUAUUCAAAAUGUCCUUGGAGAUUCUCUGGAAUUUUUUGCGUGACACAUGACAAUGAAAAACAAUGAUAAGCUCUUGGGAAAACAUCGCCGACAGCAGUUUGCAAGAUUCUACAUUGGUCAGUGAUGAUUGUUUGUGGAAAGCGUCCUAACAUACAUGUAAGCCACACCCUAAACAACCAUGUAUAUGAUUCUAUAGUCUCACUGGCAAGUAAACCACAGCCCAACAGCACUGAUUGUCCAUGAUGAUUCACCCCAAUGAACGAAACCAGCGGUACAUCAUAUCUUUCUGCCAAGCAUGUAGUAUCAAUUAAGACUACAUCACCAAAGUACCUAUAGGCAACUCUUGACCUGGUAUCAGUCCAGAAGAGGUUUCUCAGGCAUACCUUUUCAUUUAGAUCCACCACAUUAAAAAAGUUUGGAUGUGUCAACUGCAAACGACAAAAGAAACUCUGGACAGCUUGUGCAUCUCCUGGUUUAAGCUUCAAUUGAUUUGAGCUAUUAACAUCAUUUCCAAAUACUCCAUUGGCAUCUACAUUACCAUUUCCCUCGGCAUCAAUGAUAAGAGUUCGAAACAGUAAUUUUUUGAACUUCUUGAGCACCAUCUAAGAGCAAUGUUCUUUUGGUUCCAAUACCCAUGUGCUUAUGAGACUUGUAAAACUUCCCGCUUCUUGGGCUUAACAAGUGGUUAUGCUCAAGCUCGACUUCAAUGAUUCUCCAUCUUUUGGUUUCCAUCAACCUAAACUUUAUCAUUGCUGGACAGCCAGUUCUUGUUUCUGGUCUUGGGUGGUUUGCCUCGCUUUUCUUCUUGAAGCCUGCAUUACUACAGCUGAGCUUUCCUCUAUACUUUUCUCUACUCUUUCGGUACCAUGUAUUGCUAACUCUAACACCAAAACCCUGUUCCUUGGCAUAGCAAUUAUAAAAGUAAUAUACGUCAUCAUACGUCUCAAACUCCAUUCCAACAGCAGGAGGCAAUGGAUUUUGGAUUAUCCCAGUUUGUCCAACAUAUUCAGUCAUCGCACAAUCUCCUACGACCUCAAAAUCAUCAGCUUCAUCAUCACCUACUGGUUUAGUAUUCAGAGAAACUUCAUCCACCUACAAUAGAUGUUUAAUGAAGUGCGCUUUAAGGAGAAAAAGCAAAAUCAGUUCAAGGAAUGAUAAUAUAGCCAUACAGUUACUUUCAUAAAGCUGCGUAUUUCAUCAAUACUUUAACAACAUACAACUGCCUGAGAACAUAUAGACAUGUCAUAGACGCUUGAAUUAAGUAUUGGUACAAAUUAGCACACAUCAUGUGGGACAAAAUUUCAGUCACUAAACCCAAUGCCCUUUUUUUUCACAUCAUACCAAGGAACGGAUUAAACCCAAUACCUUCUUUUACACCAUACCAAAGAACAGAUUAAAUCAUCAAUGAAAAUUAAUCACAUAAUAAUUUAACUAGACAAUUGAAGAGCUUGAAACAGCACAAAACUUGAAUCUGAUUAUGAUAAUUGUUGAGUCCUGGUAUCGACAGCUUUCCCUCAAUGAUAAGACAAUGAACAUAAACUUCACACAAAAAAAUUAUUUAAACUGACAGCCCAUGAUAUAAAUCAAUCAAAAUUAACUCCUUUUACAAAUUACAUCUUGUAUUCAUUUACAUCGAAACACAAAAAGGAAGCAGGAGCCAGAAAAAAACAACAGCAGAGAAACUUAUUUCCAUAAGGUUUACGAAAUAAGGAAUUUAUUAAGACACAAAAUUUGAGGUCACCAAUAAGAAUUUGGUUCUCAUUCUCUUUUUCUUCAUUUUUCACUUAUUGAUGGAGUUAGCGUACAAUCCUAAAUGAUAAAACCCCAUCUCCAUCUUUUUCAACUAGAGCUAAAGCAAAGCUUUUUAAGAUGUUUUUCCCUAAAAAACUCAAUCGUACAAUGUUUUUCAAUAUUAAAUACACAACUCAAUCUUCUCCUAACUAACUCUAAUAAUCUCUUAACUAAGGAAGAUUAAGCUCCACUUGUAAGCUAAAACAAGUUUCUUAAAUCAAGCCCCAAUGCUCUAUACUAUUCAACAAGGCCUCAUAAAUGAUAAAACUACCUCUACAAAGAUACCCAUUUUAAUUUCGCAAACUAAAAUCAAACUCCUGAAACGUAACGAGCAUUAAAACAAACAAGUCCGAACAAGAACUGAAAAAUGAUACGUAAACCCGUUUCGACAAACAGUUUCCAAUCAAUGAGCAAAAAAGUUAAUGGAAAACAUGAAAUUCAAACGAAACAUACCUUAGGUUGAUAAAUUAGUAGGGCAAAAGAAAUUUUAGCGAGAUAUGGGAUCAGGGAUUUUGCCACGGUGAUGUUAAUUGCGACAUUCGGGUGGCUCAGCAGCCUUCGAGGCUGAAACUUUGAUUGACCAAAAGCUUCCCGUUCGUUGAUUCUCUAAUUGCAGAAACGAAACUGGCAGUGUACAGAAGAAGUACGCUGAUUUGAUAAUUCUGUGAAAAUCAUUGUUUUUUUUUCAGAUUUUUAAUGUGUUCGAUAAAAUAUCAAAAUCUCAAAAACUUUUGUCUUUCAUUUUGGGGGGGAAAAACCCAUUGAGAUCCUUAUUUUUUUUUCUUAUAUAAUCUGGGUUAAUAAUUUGCAAAGUCUAUUACUUUGCACCCAUGCAUGCUGCGUUUCAAUUUACAAAAUUGUACGUGAGUGCAUCGAGCUAAAAUUUGUAAAAAGAAAAUAAUAAUAACAUGUUAAAAAUGUGAUUAUUAUGAAGAAAUUUUAAUUUAGUUAAAUAGGUGACGAUGGAUAGGUAUAAAAUCUGAGAUCUUUUAUGAGAUUAAUAAAUAUGUUGAGUUUGGAUUAGUUCAAUUUUGCAUAAUACAGAAUAAACACAACCUACUAAUCUAAGUUACCAUCUUUUCCCGUCAUCAGUAGGGAUGGCAAUGGGCACCGCCCGCAGCGGGUUUGCCAUUACCAAAUUCAAACCCGCACAAAAUUUAAAUUACCAAACCCACCCGCAACCCGCAGCGGGUUUUAAUUUUUUUAUAAAAACCCACCCGCAGCGGGUUUUAACAAUUACCAAACCCGCAAUGGUAUCCGGCGGAUUUUUUGCGGGUUUCCGUAUUUAAAAUCACAAAUGUUUAAUAUAUAAAUUUAUAAUAAUAACCUCAAAUUCCAUAUAACAUACUCAAUUUUAUAUUUAAAUAAUGUAAAUGAAAAAUUAAAAUUUCCACAUCAAUUCAACACAAAUUCUCAAAUUUAAGUAUAAAUUACACAAAUCCAUUUAAAAAACACAAACUAGUAUCUAAAAAUAAUAAUUACAUUUCAUAUUAUCAUUUAAAACAAGCUCCAAGAGAAGAUAUUCAUUUCAUUCACCACCAUAAGCACCCAUCCAACACAAUGCCUAUAAUAAUAAUUAAGAUUAAUAUUUUCAAAUACUAAUUCGAAGGAAAAUGCCUCUAGUUUUCUUUAGAUUAUGACUUUAGAAUAGGAGAUAGGUCACAUACACACAUACACAACUUUGAGCCUUUGGCUAUUUGGUAAUUUGAUUAAUGACAUUAUUUUCUUUAUACAUUUUUAGAUUAAAAUUAAAUUAAAAAUAUUUGGAAAAAAUAUUGCGGGUUUGGUGGAUAUCCAUGCGGGUAUCCACCGGAUAUAAGGUUAAUACCAAACCCACCCGCAUCCAUGUGCGGGUUUUAAUUUAUAAUACUAAAUCCGCCCGCAACGGGCGGGUUUUGGCGGGUGGGUUUGGGCGGGUUUGCGGGUUUGCGGGUACAAUUGCCAUCCCUAGUCAUCAGGUACCUGUUUGAAAAAUAAUUAUAUACAAUUUUAUUUGCGUCUUCUCUCUAAAAAUUUGGGACUCAAAUGUUAUUUCUAAUUGUUAAAAUUACAAAAAUGCCACCUUUCUCUUCAGCUAAAGGAGUGCAAGGUCAUCUGUAUAAUUGAAUCUGCAUCAUCAACAUCAAUUUCUAUUGCCGGUGUUACUGCAUGCUUACAGUUGCUUGACAAAGUGAGCCAGUUUUUUGUUUAUUAAUUUUUUUUCUUGUCGAGACAGUCACAAAGUAUUACUUGUUCCAUAUGAGAAUGAUGUGAAUCAAUUUUUCAAUUAUACAUUCUGUGGUAAUUAUUGUGAAUUUAGUUUCAUUUGUCUUGUCUCCCGCAAAUUAUGAAGAAAAUGCAGACAUACAAACUUACAAUAUGUAUUUGCGUUAGUAUAAAAACAAUUGUUAGAUGAUUAAAGCGAUUUUUUUUUUUACAGCAUUUGAUUGUAUUAGUUAAAAUCAUUUUUUAAGGAUAAAAAUAAGUAGAAAAUUAUUCUCAUGUAGUGUGGAAAUCUUUUCUAAUUUCUUGUUGACUUGUACAUUUAUUUCAGAAUUUCCAUUCAUUAGUUCUACUGUUUUAAUCUUUGACUUAGCUACCGUAGUUGACUUUUUAUAUCAAAGGCUUAAACAGCAUGCAUUUUUGAAUUGACUGAGAAUAAUUUGGUGGACAAAUUACUCUUUAAAUGGCUUAAAGAGUAAUUUAAAUGGCUUAAACAGCAUGCAUUUUCAUGCCCAAGUCACUCGUCACGUCCUUUCAUCGAAACAAAGUGCCCGGUGCAAAUGGUGUGAUGUAAAACACUUUUUUAAAUUGUCAUUUUUUUCCUUUGCUUUUGCUUUAAGUUUCUAAAUGCUCAACGCCAUAAAUCCAUGCAUUCUUAAUUUUCGUUUGCUGUAUUGAUUCCCAACCCUCUAUGUCACAAGGUUUUGAAUGCCAGUAAUUAAGUUAAAUUAAACAUAUUUUAAGUCCUACUUUAAAUUAUUGAAAAAUGUAUUAUGGUUGAACUGAAUUUUAACUAAAAAAUAUAUACAAAAUAAAAGAUUAAUCAUAUCUUUUUAUGAGGAAGGUUCUGACCACAGCCACUUAAAAUUAAUUGAGUGGAAUAUUGCAAAAUAUAUAUAAACCAUGCCAAAACUAGAUGUUUGAGUAAUGAAAACGAGAAUUCAUAUGACUCAGAAAUAUGGUUGCUUUCCUUUUUCUGAAAGGAAAAAAAAAAGGGGGACCAAAAAGGACCAAAAUGAACAAAAAUGGAAGGCGAAGGUAAGCAGACAUGUUAUUUGUUUUACCUAAGAUGCCAGAUGCAACUCCCCAUUGAUGGUGAUCGAACAUUAUGGCCAUUUUCUUAGUAAACAAAAAAUGAAUUUUGAACACUCAACAACGAAAUUUGAGCAGAAGAUCAAGCAAGGGCCUCGAUCUCAAAGAAGAUACUAUGAAACCCUACUUAAUGGUUAAAUAACUGAUACACCUCUCUGCAACCAAGGCUGUAUCGAUAAAUUGGCACUCUUCGAGUGAGGGCUGACUCCAAAAGAAAUUCACAAAGAUGAGCAAGAGUGGGGAGAGAGAUGGAGAGUGAGAGAAGAAUAGAGAAAAGUUAAAAAGAAAUGAUUCAUUCUGGAUUCCUUUUGCACGAAUUAGUUAUGCUAUACAUAUACUCCUCUGUCUUUUGGCCUUUAAAAGAAUACAGCUCAGCAUAACUUUGUAACAGAAAAUAUGACAGCAACAUAAACCAGCAAAAUAUAAAGCUCUAUCAAUUUCACUAUACGACAUAAUCUUUAAACCACACAGGGGGUCUUCUCACUCUUGUGCCGGUAUACCCUUCCUCACGAGCUACUUCUACUUCAACUUGUGAUGAGGCUUCCUUCAUGGGCUGCACACAAUUAGACUCAUCGAUGAGCUGCCCUUCUCGUAAAUAAUCCGGUUGAUCCAGCUGAAUGUGGAAGGUUGUAUCAUCCCCUCCAGCUUCAAAAUUCACCUUGUCCUCAAGGUGAAAAUCGGGAUAAAGUUUACAGAAGGUGUCGAACUCUUCCCAAGUAGAAUCUUCAGGCGAACUGGCCAGCCAUUGAACCAGAAUUUGGCGACAUCUCAUUCCUUGUUUAAGCACGGUUCUAAUAGCGCAAACUGCAGCAGGGAGAUAUAAUGGCUGAUUGUCCACACUAGUUAAUGGCAAGGAAUGGUGAUCAGGUGUAUGAGAACCAAGAAAGGGUUUGAGAAGUGAAAUGUGAAACACUGGAUGGAUCUUGGAACCACUGGGCAAGGCAAGCUUAUAAGCUACAGGGCCAACUCGAGCGAGUACAGGAAAGGGGCCAUAAUACCGUUUAGCUAGCUUUUGACAAGAACGAGAUGCCACUGUAUUUUGGCGGUAUGGCUGAAUCCUCACUAGAACCUGGUCCCCAACAGCAAACUGAGCUUCGCGUCUAUGUGCAUUAACCUUUUGAAUCAUGCGAUGUUGAGCUUGACGCAAAUUCUCUUUCAAGGUACGAAGUAAUGCAUCCCGUUCACUUAAUGCUUCAUCAAGAGCUUGGAUUGAAGUAGAGCCCUUCGAGUAAGGAGGAAUUGCUAGAGGUGGUCGCCCAAAAAGAGCUUGAAAAGGAGACAUUUUGAUGCUGCUGUGAUAAGUAGAAUUGUAGGAAAACUCAGCCCACCCAAGUAGAGAUACCCAUGAGUGUGGUUUGUCUUGGGUGAAAGUGCGAAGAUAUUGCUCCAAGCCGCGAUUGACAACCUCCGAUUGCCCAUCUGUUUGUGGGUGAUAGGCUGUACUGUGUCGAAGGGUAGUGCCACUUAACUCAAAUAACUUCUUCCAAAAAUUGCUCAAGAACACAGGGUCGCGAUCAGAAAUAAUAGAAGUCGAAAACCCAUGAAGCUUUAUUACCAUAUCCACGAAUAAUUUGGCAGUCUUCACUGCUGUAAAUUGAGUGGGAAGGGAUCCGAAGUGUGCUGAUUUCGUAAGGUGAUCAACCACUACUAAUAUCACCGUGAAACCUCGCGAAACUGGAAGGCCAGUAAUGAAAUCCAUAGUGAGUUCGUCCCAAACUAAAGUGGGGAUAGGAAGCGGCUGCAGUGGACCUGCUGGUGCUUGAGUAGAAUAUUUAGUCUGUUGGCACACAAGGCAUUCGGCCACGAAUCGCUCAACGUCCAUACGCAUUUUAGGCCAAAAAAAAUUAGAUGCCAAGCGGACCAGCGUGCGUUUGAUGCCUACAUGCCCUGCAAGUGGAGUAGAGUGGAAUUCAGCCAAUAGAACUGCUUUCAAGGAUGAUGAUGGGCUGAUAUAGUAACGAUUGCGAUAAAAAAGGACCCCAUUAUGCAGCGAAUAAUCCCGUGAAAGAGACCCCACAGCAAACUGCUGAUGAAGAUCAAUCAUUUCCGGAAGUGUGGAAUUCUCUAGUGUUAGAGUUGCUAACAACUCAAACGACGGGCGACUAAGGAGGGGCAAACAAGAAGCAGUCACUGUUGGUGUUACCUCACCAGCCUCGUCAUGAAUUCGUGAUAAGGCGUCGGCUGCAAGAUUGGUACAGCCCGGUUUAUACUCAAUGCGGAAGUGAUAGCCUAGUAAUUUUCUGAUGUAGACUUGCUGAUCCGGAGUUUGAACUACCUGCUGGAGAAGUUCCUUAAUGCUCUUAUGGUCAGUUCGGAUUACAAAAAAUCUACCCAAUAAGUAUUGUCGCCAUUUAUGCACCGCUUCAACAAUAGCGGUUAAUUCCUUGAUGUAGGUAAAAGAAGCCCGAAGUCGAGGACCUAAUUUCUUACUGAAAUAAGAUAUGGGGUGCCCCAAUUGCAUAAGCACAGCCCCGAUACCCACAUUAGAGGCGUCAGUCUCAAGAAUGAAGUCGGAGUCAAAAUCUAGUAGCCGUAACACAGGGGCUUCCACCAUUGCUCUCUUAAGAGCUUCAAAUGCGUCAGCUGCUGCUGGUGUCCACUGGAAGGCAUCUUUACAAAGCAAAUCAGUAAGUGGGGCUGCUAAAGACGCAUAUCUGCGAAUAAACCGCCGAUAAUAACCCGUCAAACCCAAAAAACCUCGAAGUUUUUUAGUAGUAUGAGGAGUUGGCCAACAAACCAUAGCUGCAAUUUUCUGAGGAUCGGCUCACACACCAAAGGCCGAAACAAUGUGGCCCAGGUAAUCGAUAGCGUCUUGGCAAAACAAGCAUUUGGAUAGCUUGACAAAGAACUGGUGAAAAUGAAGGCACCACAAGACUUGCUGAAGGUGACGCAAAUGUUCCUCUGCUGUAGCACUAUAAACCAAAAUGUCAUAAAAAAAAAUAAUCACAAAUUUACGCAAAAAGAAAGCGAAAAUCUGGUUCAUAGUAGCUUGGAAGGUAGAAGGCGCGUUUGUUAACCCAAACGGCAUGACGAGGAACUCGUAAUGGCCCUCAUGAGUGCGAAAAGCCGUUUUAUAAAUGUCUCGGUGGUGCACGCGAAUCUAAUGGUAACCAGCCCGUAAAUCCAACUUGCUAAAGAUUGCUGCCCCGCCUAAUUCAUCGAAUAAUUCGUCGAUAGUUGGAAUGGGGAAUUUAUCUUUAAUGGUGGCGGCAUUCAAAGCCCUGUAAUCAACACAGAAACGAUAGGUCCCAUCUUUUUUUUUUUACCAACAAGACCGGUGACGAAAAUGGACUUUGACUCGGUUGAAUGAUGCCUUGUUCUAACAUUUCACGGAUUAGUUCUUCCAUCUCAUUUUUUUUGGAAAUGGGGGUGGCGAUAUGGGCGCACAUUUAUGGGAGUAGUGUUGGGGAGGAGGUGGAUUCUGUGAUCAAUUGUGCGAUGUGGCGGCAGGGUAGUAGGUGGAAGAAAUAAGUUGCGGUAAGUGUGUAGAAGAUCAACAAAUGGUGUGGUUAAAUGUGGAGGUAAUUCGAAGGAAGAACUCUCGGGAUUGCUUUCCGAUUCCUCCCCGGGUAUAGGUACCUGUUGCAGAGCAUACAAACUAUAAAUAUCAGCACUGUGGACUAGAGAUUGCAACUGAUGAAAGGUGAUUAGGGAGGGAGUAAUGGAUAGUUCGCCGCGAAGAGUCACUGGUGCCCAACAAAAUUCCAUAGAGAGGGCAGAGUAAUCAUGAGAGACACGACCCAAGAGUUGCAGCCAUUGUAUUCCCAACACCACAUCAGGCCCCUCAAUGGGCAGAACAAAGAGGUCCAAAGUGAAGAUUGUUCCCUGCAUCGUGAGAGCAACUUGAGGGCAAACAUAUUUGCACACUAGAAAAUCCCCAUUGCCAAUAUAAACACGGAAAUUUGUUGUUGGUUGUAUCGGUAAGCCCAAACACUCUGCCACUGCUGGUUUGAUAAAGUUGUGGGUACUUCCGCUAUCGAUCAAUACUUGAAAGCUGUGAGAACCAACUUUGCCAACCAAACGGAGUGAGCGGGGAUUGAUUUGACCCGCCAAAGCAUUCAAACUAGAAAUAUCCCCUGUUAUGACCUCUUCGACAGGAUCCAGUGGCAACUCUUGUUCACAAGAAGCAAGUUCAUUAUCAUCAGUACCCAUGAGAAGCAAAAACUUACUGCGACAGCGAUGAUUAGCACUAUAUUUUUUAUCGCAGUUAUAACACAAUCCCUUCUCACGCUUGUCACGUAGCUCUGCUGGAGUAAGGCGGCGAAUCGUUAAGUUGGGUGUGGGUAGAAGUGGUGGUAAUGUGUUUGGUUUCGGGGGUGGGGAAGUAUUGUGGGAGUGAGAUAUGGUUUGGGCCAUACCAGUGGAAUGGUGCGGCUGGGUUGAAGCAAUGGGAUAUGUGUUAAGCUGAAAUUUGGGUGACGGGAAGGUUGUGGUAUGAGUAGGUGACAUGGUGUUCCAUUUUGGUAAAAAACGGUGUCCUUGUUUGGCUUCCUCAGCAUGGGCUUCAUAGGCACGAGCUAGUGCAAAUGCUUCCAUUAGAGAAGAAGGCCGAGCAAAAAGCAGCUCACGACGAAUAUCGGAUUUCAAUCCCGUGAUAAAAAAACUUAUCAGAAGCGGUUCUGAAAUUCCAGUCACGUGAUUCAUUAAAUCUUCAAAAGAGGUCUGAAAUUCUGCCACUGUUGUAGUUUGGGAUAACUUAGACAAAUUUCCUUGAGGAUCUUCAUAGAGGGAGGCACCAAAACGAUGUUUAAGGUUCUGCAAAAAUUCUUUCCAUGUUGUAAGCAAGCUGUUCAUUUUCAUCCAUUGAUACCACGCUGCCGCGCGUCCUUCCAUAUGAAAAGAAACAAUUCGCAAACGAAGAGUUUUUGGUGUACCGUGGAAAUCAAAGAACUCCUCAAUUCGAAAAACCCACCCGUUUGGGUCAGAUCCAUCAAACUUAGGAACCUCCAUCUUCAUAGAACGGAGCACAGGGGACAGCUCAAUACCACUGGAAUUUACCUCAGUCGAAGAAGAGGUUAGGUGUGGUGGAUUAGGAACCCGACCCGAGUGAUUGGAAGACUCAUGGAUCUGUGAACGCAAAUCAUCAAGGCGAGAAUCCACCGUGGCCAUAUACUGUUGCAGCGUUUGAUGUAAGGACAAUGUUUGGCUCUCGAACUGUUCUUGGAUCGUCUUUAAAAGGUCAGAAUCCGUCAUAACGAUAGCAAUGAAAGCACCACUGAUACACCUCUCUGCAACCAAGGCUGUAUCGAUAAAUUGGCACUCUUAGAGUGAGGGCUGACUCCAAAAGAAAUUCACAAAGAUGAGCAAGAGUGGGGAGAGAGAUGGAGAGUGAGGGAAGAAUAGAGAAAAGUUAAAAAAAAAUGAUUCAUUCUGGAUUCCUUUUGCACGAAUUAGUUAUGCUAUACAUAUACUCCUCUGUCUUUUGGCCUUUAAAAGAAUACAGCUCAGCAUAACUUUGUAACAGAAAAUAUGACAGCAACAUAAACCAGUAAAAUAUAAAGCUCUAUCAAUUUCACUAUAUGACAUAAUCUUUAAACCACCCAGGGGGUCUUCUCACUCUUGUAUCGGUAUACCCUUCCUCACGAGCUACUUCGACUUCAACUUGUGAUGAGGCUUCCUUCAUGGGCUGCACACAAUUAGACUCAUCGAUGGGCUGCCCUUCUCGUAAAUAAUCCGGUUGAUCCAGCUGAAUGUGGAAGGUUGUAUCAAUAACUUUCAUUCAGCUUUGGACCUUAUUUCGUGAUACGGAAAGACAAACCUUUCUUGGCCAGCAGUGUCCCAAAUCUGAGCUUUGAUGAUGAUCUUGCCGUUGAUGGUGACAGUUCUGGUUUGGAACUCGACGCCAAUGGUUUAUUUCGAUUCAAAGCAAAACUCAUUCUUGGUGAAUCUCGAAAGAAUCUGAGACUUGCCCACGGCCGAGUCACCGAUCACCACUACCUUGAAUACAAAGUCUAUUUUGUCAGGAAUCAUAUUCUCUCGUUGUUGAUGACGAUGAUCGGUGCCAUCACCACUCAUUUCUUCGUUCAUUCAUUCUAUGUCCAUUGAUCUUUUUGAAUUAUUGAAGACAAGUGGCUCACCGCUUUUAGUAUUGGUAAAAUUCAGAUAAUCUCUAUUCCGAAAUAAUAAUAUUCAAAAUAUAUCUUAAAUCAUUAUAAACCUCAAAUCUAUUUUAAUUUUAUUUAAAAGAUAAAAGAAAAAUAGGUUAUGUUGGUGAUUUUUUAUUAUCUUUUUAAUAAAAAUGGAAUAAAUUGAUGUUUAUAAUUAUUUAAAGUAUUUUAAAGAUUGCUAUUUUAUGAGAGAAUAAUAUUUCACUUUUUUUUAGUGUGAAAGACCGAAAAAGGACAAAGCAAGUUUCCCUAAUUUUUAUUUUAUUUGAAAUUGGUCAUCUCAUAUACUUCACCCUUCAACACUAUAAUUUUUUUUGUUAUAAUUUUAUUAUUUUUUUCUCUUUUACACAUGCAUGUGAAUUACUUUUCUUUAAGCUCCUGAAUAUUUAAGACAAAUCAUGGAAGAGAUGAGAGUAUAACAAGAUGAUCAAAAUAUGUAACAAAAAAAUUUUAGAAGUGAAAAAUAUGUUAGAGUCGAAGUAAAACUCUGAGGUGAUGUUUGAUUUGAAGAAAAUGGAGGAGAGGAAAAGAGUGAAAUGGAGAGUAAAAGAGAGAAAAGGAGAGGAGAGGAGAGUGAAAUUUUUUUCUAAUGUUUGGUUUGUCACAUAAUUAUACAAAGAAAGGAAAUCUCUAAUUUUUUAUUUAGACAAUUUUAACCUUAAUAAGUAUUAAGCUUUCAAUAUUUAUCAUGUGUAUAAUUUAAAAAAAGUAAAUGGUAGAAAGCGGUUUCUGAUUCCGGCCACAUCGCCGGCAAUGGAAGGUACUUAUCAGAACAUCAAGAGCCGGCCAUCAUUCCCUAGCCAUCACUGCUGUCGGAACACUGCCAGAAAGCUACCGAUUGAACCGCGAAAAGUUGUGGAAAUCGCUGCCUCAAAUCGGUGAGUUUCGCCUUUUUCUGGUCACGUCGUCGCCUUGGCUUUGUCCAUCAAGGCUGCCACUUCCAUUUUCAACCAUCCAUAGCCACUAUUAACCGCCAAAUCACCGCCGAUCAGCGGGAUCUGUGGAAGUUAAAAAGUUUCUAAAAUUUUUUAAUUGGAUUUGAACAACAUACAACCAUUUUUUGAUCUUGAUAACGAUGUAGUAAUGUUGAUCGUUGGUCGGCAAGUCGAAUGGUAGUGGCAGUGAGUAACACGCGCCAAUGACAUCGGCGGCGGCGGCGGCACUAUCCGGCAACUGUUAAAAUUAAUAUUUUAUAUUUGUAGAUUAAAUAAAUUUAUUUUAUUAAACUUUUUAAAUCAUUAUUUAAAUUUAAUUAAUUUAAAUUAUCUAUAAUGUUGAAUUGAUAAAAUAAAUUUAUAAAUAGUAAUUAUGUGAUUACAUUAAAUAAGUUAAAAAGUUGAAGGGUUAUUUUUGGAAGAUUUAGUUUCCAACACAAAGGGAAUUUGAAUUCUUCACUUCUUAGUGUGGAAUUCAAAUUCUAUAUUGUAAUGGAUAUUAAAUUCCAAUAGAAAUUAAAUUCUUAUAAGUUAUGUCAAACCAAACAACGGAAAUAAAAAAAAAAGAAUUUAAAUUAUUUUCCUUUCCUCCACCCUCUCCUUCCAACCAAAUACAUCCUGAAAAUAGAGAUAUUGAUUAAUUUAGAAGAGAUGCAAGCAAAAGAUAUUCCACAAAAAAAAAAAAGCAAUAUGUCCCUUUGGAGGGCAAACUUGUCAGUUUUAAAAAAGUACAUGCUUUGGAUUGAUAGUUGUAGGAUAUUUGUUUUGUCACUAUGUAUUAGUUGGAGAAGUCAAGCCUUGUGAAGAAUGUUAUGAAAGAGCAAAGGAUAUUCCUGAUAGCUGAUAGAGCUCUAUUUGAUUAUGUAUCCAGUGAAUGGAUGUGUUGUUGGAAGAUAUUUGAGUGCAUUAGUUCAUAUGUGUCUGUCAAUGUGAUUUUAAUGAUUUUUCCACUUGUUUGUUGUAAAAGAUUAUUGUAAAUUGAAAUGAACUUGAUGUUGUAAUAUUUUCUCCUUAGUAGAAUUUCACCUAGUAUGUAUUCAGUUGUGUUGUCUAUAAUUUUGCAUUUGAAUAAGUUUCACCUAAAAUAUUAGCAUGAGUAGUGGCCCUUGAAACUUUGGUCAAAAUUAUUGUUAUUAUUUCCGACUAGAUGUAAAUUUUUUAUUAAAUCUCGUUAACACAAUUCUUAAUUAAAAGUAUAGGUUAGUGUUGGUGCAAGAUUUGCCACACCAAAUUCUGCCUAGCUGUCAAAAGUGCAAAACAAAUGAAGAGAAAGCACAAAUACAAGACUUGAAUAAGGAUACAACGAAACUUAAAUUCAAGAGAAAAUGAUAGCUAUAUCUCAAGAUUUGAAAAAAUGGCCAUGUAGAUUUUUAAGAUUUCAAUAAGCGACUGAGAUUCAAAUAAUAUCCUUUAAUUCUAUUAACAAAAAACAAAGACUCAAAUAUUUUAUGAUAAAUAAAAAUAUAAUAUUAAAAUAUAUGUGAUAAUAUACACAUUUUAAAUACUUUCAAUCCAAAAAAAUAGUUAUGUUUUACAAUCUAUUAGACAUAUUUUAUUAAAUUAAUAUAAAUUUUCUAUAAAAUAAGAAUAUAAUAUUAAAAUAAAUUUACAAAAAUUUAAAGAAUUUUGAAUGUAAAAUAAUUUUAAUAUAUUAAUACGUGAGUUUUUUUAUUAAUAUAAAAAUUAUUUAACUUUAAGAUUUUUAAAAUCUUUACAAUAAGUAUAACUAUAUUAUUUACAUUUAAAAAUAUUUAAAUAUUAUUAACCUACAAUUAUAUUUGCAUUUGUUAGAAAUUUUUUAAGUCAAAUAUUUUGCACUUCUAUAUUAUUAGAAUUAUUGCACACAAAGAAAGAAACAUAUACCUUUAGAAAUUGUUUUAUUUUAAAAUAGAGAUGAUGAUUAGUAUAAGGAUGAAAAAAAGGAUAAAGAAUAUUAAUGAUUAACGAAAUCUCUAUACAAAUUGAUUUUAGUAGGAAAAGAAUGAGAUGAAUGAAUUCUUUUACAGUUAGAAACAUAGAUGAUGAUUAUUAUAACGAAGAAAAAAGAUAAAGAAUAUUAAUUAUUAAUGGAAUCUCUAUGCAAAUUGAUUUUAGUAGGAAAAAAAUGAGUUAAAUGAUUUAGAGUGCGUUUGGAAUUGAGAUUGGGCAGCCAUAGAUUUUAAGUUACAACACUGAAGUGUUUGGUAAAUACUAGCUGCUGCAGAUUGAAAGUUAUGUUGAUAUGAUUUUUCACAUGUAUCAUAGAAAAUAUAUUACAUCUUUAAUAAUUUUUUUAAAAUUUAUAUUUGCUAUAUAUUAUUAAUUUUUUUAUAGUUAUAAUUUUUUUUCCACAGCAGCUGUAGCUUAAAAGUCACAGCACCUCAAUCUCAAACAAAUCCUUAGACAUUCAUAGUGUGUUUAUUUUUUGGAUUGGUGAAUCAAAAUUAUUGACAACGCUAACUUCAUCUUCAUUGUUCGCAAUCCAACAGCAGCAAUUGUCACAAAUAAUGAUAUCUCCAAUGAUGAUGACAAUUAUUAUUAUUAUUAUUAUUAUUAUUAUUAUUAUUAUUAUUAUUAUUAUUAUUAUUAUUAUUAUUAUUAUUAUUAUUAUUUAUUAAUUAAUUAAUUAAUAUAUUAAUGUUAAUAUUAUUAUUAUUAUUAAGAUUAACAAUAAUUAUUAGUAAUACAAUUUUUUGAAUAAAAAUAAUCACAAUAAUUAAAAUACAAAUGAAUAAUUAUGACAAUAGUUAAUUAAUAUCUUUUUAGUAAUUUGUAAUAAUCUAACUCAUUUUGAUUCUGAUUAUUAUAGUUUAAGUAAAUAAAUUAUUAUGAUUUUUAUUCUCCUUUCCCAUUUUAACUCACUUCGAUUCCAGUCUAUUCCGAUUUCUAUCUAAUAAAUGCACCAUUAGUGCUAAAGUAAUAUUUCAUACAUAGAAAAAUAAAAACUACACCUAAGGUUAAGGGAAAGGACUUCAAAACUCUCUUUUGAUCAUAAUACAUUUUGUCCUAAUUAACUUAAAGAUUUUGAAUCUAAUAUUUUAUAAUAAAUAAAAAUAUAUUCCUAAAAUAAAUAUAAUAUCAAUAUUUAAAAUAUGUUUUAAUAUUUUACAAUCUAUCAUACACAUUUUAUUAUAUUAAAGUAGAUUUUAUAAUAAAUAUAUAAAAAAUUUAGAAAAUUUAGAAUAUUAUAUAAAAUAAUUUUAAUAUAAUGCGUGAGAUAUAUUUUAUUAAUUUAAAAUGUUAUUUUACCUAAAAAAUAUGAUAAAUUAAUAAUUACAUAUUUGAAGCUAUUUCAAAUAUUAAAAAAAUUUAAUAUUAUUAAUCUUUUAGAUAGAUUAAAUUAUUUUUUAUAAGAGAGAUUAAAUUAUUUUAAAAUGCCUUAAUUGUUUUUACUUUUAACGUUACCGGCCUUUCUUUUAUUUUAUUGCAAAUUAAUGCUAACAAGAAAAAGCUAGAUCAUAUUCCACAAAAGUAAAAGUGACAAACACAACCAGCUGGAAUCUUUUAUAAAACUACAAAUUAAAAUGGAUUUUUUUUUUGUUGAUAAAGUACACGUGAAAGUGGAUUCUUUUAUUUUUUUUUAAUGUGUAGACUCUUUUAUUGAGCACAAAUAUAGAGUAGUCGAGACGAUUAGGGUCUUUUAUUAAACUACAAAUUGUAUAGUCUUUUUCAAAUUGUUCAGAUAUUUCUAAAUUGGUGGCCCCUACAAUCCUCGAUAAUUGUACCGAUAUUCACAAGUUGGUGGCCCCUACAAUUAUCAACUGUGCAAGUGCUCAUUCACAAUCUUCCAGGUCAUGCUCUUAAUAAUUGUUUUUUUUUUUUCCUGCAUUCCCUUUCAUGCUCUUAAUAAUUGAAGAGCAUACUUUUCAAAUGUGGAGCCGCGGCUAAUGUCGCUAAUUUAAUUUGGGAUUAAAUCAAGGGACCAUUAUAUUGCAGUGUGCAUUAAUUUUUGUGUUUAUCUAAACUCCUUAAAUUUAAGACAUAUUAUGGCAUAAAUAAGAAUAUAACAAUAGCAAAAGAGUUAGAAAGUGUAGAGAAGAUCUUGCAGAAAUAUAAAUAAUAUCUAUUUUUAAAAUAAUAUCAAUUUUUAAAAUAAUUUUUAAUAUUUUAUGAUCCAUUAGGUAUAUUUUAUUAUAUUAAAGUAAAUUUUAUAAUAAAUAAAAAUAUUCUUAAUUAUGUAAAUCAUAAUUUUUUUAUUAAUUUUAAUUUAAAUUAUGUGAAUAAAAAUUAUUAAUAAUAGCAACACAAAUGAAACAUUAUUAUUAAUAAUAUAGUACAAAAUUAAUAUUUUUUUACAAUAAAAUAUUUAUUAUUAUUAAUUAAAUAAAUAAUUAAUAUUUAUUAAAAUUAAUGUUUAAUAUUAUUAAUUUAAAUAUAAUAUUUAUUUAUUUUUAUUUUAUUAAAUUUAAUAAAAUAAAUAUGUUAUAAUUAUUAUUUUUAAUAAAUAUGAUAUUAUUUAUUUUAUUAAAUAUUAUUUAUUUAUUUUAAUUAUGAGGGUAAAAAGGAAAGAGGGGGGAGUGGAUUUCCACUCCCACCUCCUCCCAUGGGAGUGAGAAUCCCACUCCCCACUCCAAAAUUAGGUGGGAUCCAUGGAGUGGGAAUCCCACUCUCUCCUUAAAAAUGGUAAGUAAACACUAGAAUGUGAGGAAUCCACAUUUUACACUUUCAUUCCAAAAAAUAAACACUACCUAACUAGUUUUUAUUAAAGGCAAGUACAAACUAGUCAAGAAUCGAAUAGUCUUUUUCAAAUUCUUGUUUUAUUAUUUUUCAAAAUUAGUUUUUAGUAAUUACAAUCGGGUCAUUCAUUAAUCAUUAUUCAGAAGUUAGUGUGGGUAAAGGAUAAUUACUAACUGUUUUUCCUUCAAAAGUUAGUGUGGCUCAUGUUUGCAGGUGCGAAUGUGCGAUGCUCUCUUUUUAAAGGCAAUUACAGUGGGUCCCGAAUCAUUACUAAAAUUUGUCUUCCACAGCCCACCGCAGCUUCAGUUAAUCAAACUCCAUCAAUUUUCUUUCUUAACAAAAUUCUAAAGAUGUGUAGCAUUUUUCAGAUCACAUGCGAUGGUGCUUUUUUCAAUCGUUGCUUGGAUUGCUUUCUUGGAAAAGCAGCAUACAUACGUAACCUCCAAGAUAAUCUUGUAGCCUUGCAGACUGAAUUGGGAAAUCUGAUCGCUAAAAAGAACGAUGUGAUGAGGAGGGUUGACAAUGCUGAACGGCAACAAAUGAUAAGGCUGGAAGGAGUGCAAGUGUGGGUUUCGAGAGUAGAAGCUGUUAAAACUGAAGCUGAUCAAUUUAUAAGAGACGGCUCUCGAGAAAUUGAAAAAUUAUGUGUUGGAGGCUACUGUUCCAAGAAUUGCAUGUCAAGCUACAAGUUCGGGAAAAAAGUGGCUAAAAAGCUACGGGAUGUGCGGACUUUAAUCAGUGAAGGAGUUUUUGAGGUGGUGGCUGACAGAGCUCCAGAGUCUGUAGCAGAUGAAAGACCUACUGAGCGAACAGUAGUAGGCUUGCAAUCACAACUUGAACAAGUCUGGAGAUGUCUUGUAGAAGAAUCAGCGGGAAUCAUUGGCCUAUAUGGUAUGGGCGGUGUUGGUAAAACUACACUACUGACCCAUAUCAACAAUAAAUUUCUCGAGAGUCCAACCAACUUUGAUUGUGUGAUUUGGGUUGUAGUUUCAAAAGACCUGCGACUCGAAAAAAUUCAAGAAGAUAUUGGGAAAAAGAUAGGUUUGGUUGGUGAUUCAUGGAAGAGUAAAAGUGUAGAGGAGAAAGCUGUCGACAUCUUCCGGAGUUUAAGAGAGAAGCGAUUUGUAUUGUUGUUAGAUGAUAUAUGGGAGCGGGUUGAUUUAACAAAGGUGGGCGUUACACUUCCCAGACCAAAAAAUACUACCUCAAAAGUCGUAUUCACAACCCGUUUCAUCGAUGUUUGUGGUAGCAUGGAAGUUGACAGGAAGUUUCAAGUAGCAUGCUUAUCAGAAAAGGAUGCUUGGGAACUGUUUCGAGAAAAAGUUGGGGAAGAAACUCUUCAGAGUCAUCAUGAUAUCGUUGAGCUAGCCCAAACUGUGGCCAGAGAGUGUGAUGGUUUGCCACUCGCACUUAUUACUAUUGGUCGAGCUAUGGCCUGCAAAAGGACAGCCGAGGAGUGGAGACACGCAGUUGAAGAGUUAAGGAGAUCAGCUUCUGAGUUUGCAGGUUUGGGAGAAAAGGUGUACUCUCUUUUAAAAUUCAGCUAUGAUAGUUUGCAGAAUGAGACGAUUAAAUCUUGUUUCUUAUAUUGUUGUUUAUAUCCCGAAGAUUAUGGAAUUCUUAAAUGGGACUUGAUUGAUUGUUGGAUUGGCGAGGGAUUUUUGGGGGAAUCUGACAGGUCUGGUGCAGAAAACCAAGGAUAUGACAUUUUGGACACUCUUGUUCGUGCAUGUUUAUUAGAAGAGGUGGAAGAUAGAGUAAAAAUGCAUGACGUUAUUCGUGAUAUGGCUCUAUGGAUAACUUGUGAAAUUGAGAAGGAGAAGAGAAACUUUUUGGUUCGUGCAGGUGCUGGAUUAAAAGAGGCACCGGGUGUUAAAGGAUGGGAAAAUGUGAGAAGAUUGUCAUUGAUGCAAAACCAAAUUGAAACUCUGUCAGAGGUUCCCACAUGCCCUCAUCUCCUCACUUUAUUUCUUGACUUUAAUCAGGAGUUGGAGAUGAUCGCGGAUGGCUUCUUCCAACUUAUGCCUUCUCUCAAAGUUUUGAAGAUGUCAAACUGUUCGAAUUUGAAAUUACCUGUUGGGAUGUCAGAGUUGGGUUCAUCACUAGAACUUCUCGAUAUUUCAGAAAACAGCAUAACAGAGUUACCGGAAGAGUUAAAGAAGUUGGUAAAUCUGAAAUGUUUGAAUUUGAGGUGGACACAGCAUUUAAAUAAAAUUCCACGGCAACUAAUAUCAAAUUCUUCAAGGUUACGUGUGUUGAGAAUGUUCGCUACUGGCCGGUUCAAUUUUCAUGAAGCACCAGAAGACAGCGUUUUAUUUGGUGGGGGUGAAGUUUUGAUACAGGAAUUGCUCGGUUUGAAAUAUUUAGAGGUAUUGGAGUUGACCUUGGGAAGUUAUCAUGCUCUCCAAAUUCUUUUGAGCUCAAAUAAGUUAAAAAGUUGUAUUCGAUCUCUUUACCUCCAGUUGACCGGAGAUACAACGUCAAUUAUUGAUGCUACGGCUUUCGCAGAUCUAAACCACCUCAAUGAAUUAUAUAUUUAUAAAGGUAUUGAGUUGGAAGAAUUGAAGAUUGAUUAUACGGAGAUAGUACGAAAAAGGCGGGAACCUUUUGUUUUCCGUAGCCUUCACUGUGUUACUAUGAUUUCGUGCCGUAAAUUGAAAGAUGUGACAUUCCUCGUUUUUGCUCCAAACCUCAAGUCUCUUCGGCUAUUCGAUUGCGGUGCUAUGGAAGAAAUAAUCAGCGUCGGAAAAAUUGCUGAGACUCCUGAGAUGAUGGGACAUAUAAGCCCUUUUGAAAAUCUCCAAAUGCUUCAUCUAUCGUUAUUGCGAAAUUUUAAGAGCAUCUACUGGAAGCCAUUGCCUUUCGCUCAUCUAAAAGAAAUGAUGGUGCAUCGGUGCGAUCAGCUUGAAAAGCUUCCACUCGAUUCCAACAGUGCAAAGGAGCGUAAAUUUGUUAUUCGUGGAGACACACAGUGGUGGAACCGACUUCAAUGGGAGGAUGAAGCCACUCAAAUUGCUUUUCGUUCCUGUUUCCAACCUCAGUCCUGAGCGGUGGUCGCAAAAUUUGAUUUCUGGUGAGUGCGGUUGUCUUUUAAAAGAAGAAUUUAAAAGAAAUUUAUUCUUGUCGUUUUCUUCUCUGUUUUUAUUUCAGUUUCUUUCUCUCUCUCUCUCUUUUUGUCUUCUGCAAAUCACAAUUAAAUGUUGAAUUAAUGGAAUUAAUGCUUCAUAAAUUUGCCGGCACUGCCAUUACUUUUUUUUUUUUAAUACAAAUUGAUACUUUAUUUAUAUCUUCUUAGCGAUAUAAUUUCCUGUCAAUUGACGAACGAGAAGAACAUAUGACUUAAACCAAUUCUCGCAUAAACUUGCUGUAAAAAGAUAUAAUCUCACUGAAAUGCACACGUCUAGAAUGAAUAGAAUUAAAACAGGGAAAAUAUUAGGUAUAUUAGCCUUCUUUACUGAAAAUCAAAUGACAAUAAAUUUUUUGAAGUUUUGAUUUUCUAUGGUCAAUUCCACCUUUUGCAAUUUCUUCUGUUCUAACAAAAACCAAUUUCUUUGUUCAAGUAUUUUCGUUUGGGUAUUAAUAAUUCUCCACCGAAAGAGUGAACUCUUGGAUGCUGCUCUUUUGUUCUCUGUUUUUAUUUCCCCUUUUUUCUUUUGGUCUUCUGCAAAUCACAAUCAAAUGUUGAAUUUGUUGAAAAAAUAGCAUAACAUGCUAUUUUGAGAGCACAUUUUGAGUGGGUCCCACUUAACAAAAGUGAAAAAUAUUGUGAGGUUCGGAUUCUACUCCGUUGAUACUUCAAUAGUAUAAUUUUAUUUUCUCAAAAUGGUGCUUGGGUGAAUGAGAAAUUGUCUCUCAAAGUUCACCCUUGAAGUUGAAAAUUCGAAAGGAAAUGAGUCUUAUCCCACAUGGGAAAAAGAAGCCUAGGAAUUAGUGUUUAAAUAUAAAUACUUAACCAUACAUGAGUAAGAAUUAUAAGGAUAGAGGCUCUCUCCACACGCGUGCGUGCGCAGGGGGGGUGCGAAUCCAAGCUUGAUUUGGUUGAACUCGUGUGCGUCCUGCGUACACGAAUGUCAGCCCAAAAUCAUCCAUGCAAGCUAGGCACCUUUUGAAUUCAAAUAAAUUGGUGACAGCUUUUUAGCUGUUAUUCACGUUUUUUUUAAAUUGAUUUGGCUGUUAUAACAAGGCACCUUCACUUCUGUUUUUUCCACUUGCAAAAACGAGCACAAAGCACACUUGUUUUCCCUUCAUUCUUCUUCGUCUUUCUCUGAUCGAGUUCGCUGUUGUGGUUCGCCGGAAAUUCUAGCCUGUGCUUGACUGGAAGUUCGUACCCGUUGCAUCCUGGGAAACAAAUACCAAUAAACCUUAAGCACUCCGAAUAGGUGGUAAAUCUGUUUUAAGGAGACUGUUUUGUGCAGGCCUCGGGUUCCUUUCUUUUUAUUUCAAUUCGGUUUCUUCCUCUUCUGUUCUUCAUUUAUUGUUUCCGAUUGCUAGUUUACACUAGCUAACAUAUAAUUUGUUAUCUCACUGUUUUAUUUUCUUACAGAAUUAAAUGGAAUUAAUUCUUUAUAAAUUUGCCUGCAUUGCUUUUUUUUUUUGGGGUCGGGGGGGGGGGGGGGGGGGGGGGGGGGGGGGGGGGGCGAAUUGAUGCUCUGGUUUUUGACUUUUUGUUGUCAAAUUUUACUCUGUUUUUUCAAAUUGAUGCUUCAAUAUUUGAAUCAAAUUAAUGCUCACGUAAAUUUGUCUAGUUGCCGUAAAAGAUAUAAUUAGACUGAAAUACACACUUUUAGAAUCAAUAGAAUUAAACAGAGAAAACAUUAAGUAUAAUAGCCAUCUUCACAUAAAAUCAUGUCAUAAACACAUGAUUAACAUUAAGUUAAAAUUUUGAAGUUUUGAUUUUCGAUGGUCAAUCAUACCCUUUAUAAUUUCUUCUGUUCUAACCACAAUAAAAUUUUUGGUUCCAGGAUUUUUAUUUGGGGUAUUAAUAAUAGUCCACCAAAAGAGUGAACAGUUGGAUGCUGCUCUAAGGGUCUCUAAUGUAAUCAAUAGCUGGAAGCAAUUGAGAAGGCGGUCGCUACUGUGUGCAAAGCCAUGCAGUAUUUGUUAUUCAUCUUAGUAAUUAUGAAGCUUCGGUAAAAUUUUCAUGAAUUUGUAUGAAUAUCGUUGUUCCAUUGAGUUGUAUAUGAAUUCAAAUGUAAAAUAUUCUUUGGUUUUCAAUUUUGAAUUCAAUUUCUUUUUCUUAAGCAUGUUGUGCAGAAAUGAUUUCUAUUAAAUCAUUUUUGAUAAACUAUUUAAAUUAAACAACUGGAAUAAGAACUGUAAGGAUUUAUCGUAAGCAGUCUAAUAUGAUAAUUCUGAAACUAUUAAUUAUUUUUUUCAAUUUGUUGCAGGGAAAGCCAAAUUUUGCGUUUUUCAGUUUUAUCUGAUAUGGAAUUUAUUUCCUCUACACUAGCUACCUAAAGAUUUAUCAAAUUGCUUCUCUUCCCUGCUUCAAAUAUCUUCAUGGCAUCAUAGGAAAAGAGAGUUUGGGUUGUAUUUAUUAGAGUUUUUAUUUUUUUCGUUAUAAGCAAAUUUAUUUUAAAUACUUUAGUAGUAACAGUUUUUAUUGAAUAAUAAUGGGGGAUGGUUAUUAUAGGUUCAAAUAGUUGUUAGAACAUUAUAAAAAGUCUAUUUACUAUCAAAUGUUUUAAAUUGAUGCAACGUGAUAAUUGUCUCAUAUAAUUUUUUUAUAAUAUAUAUGUCCCAUAAUCUUAACAUGAAUAAAUGAAUUUCAACGGUUAAAUUUGACACGAUUAUUAAAUAGAUCAUAUCUAUAUUAAUUCGAUUUAAAAUUUGGCCACAUUUGGAUUUAGAGUUUCUAACAUGAUAACUUGUUUUAUAACAUGAUUUACUAAUCAAUUAAUAAUAAAUCAAAUGUUAGUCAAUUAAAUAUGUGGUACAUUUGUCAUAUUUUAAAAUUAUUUAUUUAUGUUUGAAAUAAAUUUGACUAGACUUUGUGCAGGUAAUAUUGCAUAAUUUCUAAAAAAAAUGUAAUAAAAACAUGUUAAAAUGUUAUUUUUAUGAAGAAAAAUUGAAAUUUUAUUAAAUAGGUGACACAAUAAUAAAUGGAUGCUUGUAAAAAUUGAAAUUAUUGAUAUAAUUAUUAAAUAGAUUGGAUUGAAGUUAGUUUAAUUUUGACAAGAUAAUAAGACGACGCGACACAAAUACAGCCAACCGGUCAACCCAAAUUGCCACCUUUUAUUUUCUUCUUUGUGUUACUUCUCUAAAAAUUUGUGCCAUCGCUUACACUUUUAAAUCUAUCAAAGAACCGUUACUUGGGAAGAUUGCCAUCAGGAAUUUCGAAAUUGAUUUCACUACAAUACGUUAGUCUUUCAGAUACUUCCAUCACUGAGUUGCCAAAAGAGCUAAAAGCCUUGGUAAAUCUUAGGGCAUGUUUGGCACGCGGUAAUAUAUAGGAUAAGGACUCCGCAUUGCAUUAGAAUUAUACAAUCUCGUGUUUGGCAGUUACAGCUCAUUGCAUUAACUAAAAUUUAUAAUGCGGUAACACCCGCAUAAACUACACCCGACCACCCCCCCCCCCCCCCCCCCCCACGGGUUUAUACGGGUUUGCAAUAGAUCUUUCUCCUUCCCUCAACUUUCUCCUUCUUUAUGCUCUCUCACGAACACAGCGCUCCACACCAGGCCAUCGUCCUUCGCCGCGCAACACCCAGCUCCACCACCACCCCAUCCCGCAACACCACUGCCUUCUCUUUUAACUUGCUGACGCACGACACUCGACCACCAUGCAAUCUUCUAUCUCUGCGUGACAGCCAGCUCCGUCACCACCCCACUGUGCAAUACCACCGCCAUGCUUGCCUUCGCCUCCUGAAUCAACGAACUACAACUUUGAUUUUUGAAAAGGUCUUUCUCUUUAUUUCUUCUCACGAUUUCUGUAACAAAACAGAGGCUAAAUAUCACAUGUCUCUUUCUCAUACUAUUCCAAGCUAAAUAGCAAAAGCAAUAGAUUCUCAGACUCAUAUAUGAUCUUCAAGAAGCCGGAGGUUCUCGAUUUAUUUAAUUUCUCUUUAUAUAUAUUUUUUCCAACUGUUAACUUUAAUUUUUUAUGUAAAUGCUUCACAACAUGUUGGAAUUGCUAUUUCUUUGAUAAUUUGGGGAAAUUGAACCCUAACGAAGCAAAGUGAGGGGAAAUUUUCUAUUGGGUCUUGUCUGAGGAGUGUGUAGGGAUUCUUGUGUUGCUGUUGGCUUUCGCUUUGAAUUUGAUGACUGUGGGUUUUUGUUUUGGUUUUUUGGUUUCGUGAGUGGAGGGGAUUGUAAAGCAAAAACAGAAAGCGCGAUAGGAAAUGGAGGGAAGGUGUUUCAUGGUUGUUCUCACUGACAUUUUGUUGUUCUGUUCAUGCUUUAAUUUUCGUUUGAUUUUCGAACAUGCUGCAGUUUGAACUUUGAUGAACUGAGCUUUGCAAGUUAGACACAUGUCUCGUCAUCGGUUCAACGGCGUUCUUUACCAUAGAAAUUUGUGUUUUAUUGUUGUUGUUGUUGUAAGCUUUUCUUGAUUUUGCAGUGAGGCUUGAGGAAAAGAAAAGGAAAAGCAAUGUUGAUUUCAUUCAAUGGCAUUAUUCUAAGACGUAAAAACAAAUAAUCUGGACCAAAUUGAAACGAUCAUAUCACUAUAUUUUCAUUAAACAUAGGCUUUUUGGUUACCAAAUUGAAACAAUAAAAGAAUGAAAAAGAUUUUAAGUUUAUGGAUUAAGCAAUCCUAGAAUUUGAAUUUAUGAAAUUAGAAGACCAAAAAUUGUAAAAAUAUUGUCAGUAUAAAAUUAAUGUUGUAAAAAUAAAUGUUAUACUGACAAAAAUUUAAAGUUAUAAAGUUUGAUUUUUAUGAAGAAUUAUGAUAUUAAAAAAUAAUGUUAAAUUUCUCAAUUUUAAAAUUUUUGAUAUUUAGUAUUUUUUUAAGUAUUAAUAAAUAUUAUUUUUUAAAAUAUGUAAUCAAAAUUAAUCAUUAAAAAAUUAAUACAGUACAAUGCGGCACCAAACAUAGUAUAACUAAAAAUUAAUACAAUACAGUGUAAUACCAAAUAUUGUACAACAUUAUUAUAAUACAAUGCUAAUGCAAUACCGCAUAAUACAAUACACCUGCAUUAAAAUAAUGUAAUAUAACAUAAUACAAUACAGUGUGCCAAACGCACCCUUAAGUGUUUGAACUGGAGUAAAUGUAUAUCGAACCAUCGGUGCGAAAGCUACGAUCAAAGACGACCAACGGUCGAUCGAACUCAUCAGCGCUGGGGAGUCUAAGUGGGGUCUCAACAUCAUGAUGGCGGAUAAUGUAGGCCCCAACUAAGCCAGCCAAAAGGUUGAUCCUAGUCAAGCCCAUGGCAUGAUCAUGGUACCACAAAUUCCCCGGCUGUUGCAUGUUGUGAAAGUGGUAAGUUUUCUUAGUCCAAGUGGGUCCCUUUUCUUUAAAUCCAGCGGUGAACCAUGAAUUUGAGUUUCCAUCACUCUCGGGUUCAUCAAUGCCUCCAUGGAGGUGCACUACAGUAGGAAUUCCCUUCUUGCGUGGAAUGGCAGUUGGAAUUGUGGGGUCCCAUGGAAGUAUGUGUUUUGAAGGGAGAUGAUUUUGCCACGUCACGUAGGUGUCAAUCCCAUGGAGGGCCUCGAUGGUUGGACCAGGGACGGUUGCUGUGUGCUUCGAUGUACCGUAGGCAUACACUGGGGUUUGGAGGUAUAGGUCUCUGUGGAAUUUCUGCACUAGAAAGAAAAAAGAUAAGCCAGAAAUCGUUGAUUAAGAAUAGAAUAAUAAUGAAUUGGAAGAAUUAACUAUAUUUUUUAGAAUAGAAAAUAUUUUGAGUGGUGGGCUAUCAUUAUUUUUAAUUAAAAUAUAAGUUUUUAUAUUUUUUAAAAGUUAAAUUUAAAUUUUAUAGGGAUUUAUAUUUUAUAGCAACUAUUUUAAUAAAUUUAAUAGGAAUUAGUUAGAAAAUUAAAAUAUUUUUCCCUUUUAUUUAUUUAUUUUUUUUUGGCCAGUGCAUCCGUCCCUGUCUGGGUCCCCCACAUUGACUAAACAAAAUCAAUGUACAGAGAAAACUAAGGCAAAAAAAUUAAGGACAUGUGUGAUGUGGGCUUGUGGCCUAAAUAAAAUGCUUGUAGAUAAAGUACCCCUUUUUUUUUUUUUUUUAUUAAGGUGAUUUUUCUCAUGAACACGAAUGCAUCCUAAUUCUACUGUGUACAAAGCAAAUAAAAUGAUUUUUCUCAUGAGCAAGAUCGUAGAUUUCCAAAACAACCAAUUUGUUGCUUGGUAAAUCUUAAUCAAUGGCAGGAAGCAAUUGAGAAGGUGGUAGCUACUGUGUACAAAGCCAUGCAGUAUUUGCUAUUCAUCUUAAUAAUUGUUAAGCUUUGGUAAAAUUUUCAAAAUAAGUUGACAUAUUAUUUUGAGAUUUGGUUCAUGAUUUUGUAUGAAUAUUGUUGUUCCGUUUGAGUUGGAUGUGAAUUCAAACCUAAAUAUUCUUUGGUUUUCAAUUUUGAAUUCAAUUUCUUUUUCUCAAGAAUGUUAUGCAGAAAUGAUUUUUACAAAAUCAUUUUUGAUCAAUUAUUUAAAUUAAACAAUUGGAAUAAGAAUUGUAACGGUUUAUCAUAAGCAUGCUAAUAUGAUAACUUGUUUUACGAACGAUUAAUUAAUCAAUUAAUAUUAAAUUAUAUAUUAGUCAAUUAGAUAUGUGUUAUAUUUGUCAUAUUGUAAAAACUAUUUAUUUAUAUUUCAAAUAAAUUUGACCAGAGGUUACGUAGGUAAUACUACAUAAUUUCUAAAGGAAUGUAAAAAUUUAAAAUUUUAUUAAAUAGGUGACUCAACCAUAAAUGGAUUUCUGCAAGAAUUGAGAUUCUCGAGAUAAUUAUUACAUAGGGGGAAUUUUGGUUGGUUCAAUUUUGACAUGAUAAGAAGACAACACAGCGCAGAAAACCCAAAUUGCCACUUCUACAGUUGUAAUAAAAGAUACCUGUUUGAAAAGUAAUUAUAAACUAUCUUCUUUGUGUUAUUUCUCAAAACUUUUGUGGCACAAAUGUUAUUUCCCUAGUGAAAAGUACGAAAUACCCUCUUUCACGUCGGCAGAAGCAAAGCAAAGCUAUGAGCUAUCUCUGUAUACUUGAAACGCCAUUGCUAAACGAUUCUCGAUGAUGGGUGCCACUGGGCCAGUGUUGUCGCUGAUUUGCAUGAUUUAUUAGUUGUCCACAUGCCAGAGAAACCAUGGUGGCAUUGAAGUUGCCCAGUUGGUUAGUUUUCUGAUCAUUUUUUUAUUCAAUUAUUUAUUUUUUUAGAAAAAUGUAAGAAAUAUGUAGAAAUGUUGACAGCUAUGAUUUUGAAACUUUGCCUAAAAUUGUUAUCAUCACUUAUUUAAAGAGAAAUCCUAGAAACAUGACAUGAUUAGUAGCCUAAUUCAAAAUUAGACGUGAUUACAACAAGAGAAAAGUGGAGAGAACUUGAUAAUCGAGUGCAUUUAGAAUUUAAUUUUUCUUUUAGCUGCCGAUCAUUAAAUUUUUUAUUUCAGAAAAUUAUACCUAGAAUAUUUCAAGGAUAUACUAUGAAGAUUAUGAAGGUUUGAUUACAUGUCACUAUCAAUUGCCCCAAUCAUUUGUAGUAAAUUAAUUGAUCAUUUUGAUGCAAAUGAUUCCCUACUAAAAAAUUCAAGUCAAAGCUGAAUUGCACAGUAGUUAGUCGAGCUUGCACUUCAAAUUAAGUAUUGUAUUUUCUGCCUGGUUUGGUUGAUUAAAGUGUGUGCAUUUGCUUAUGAACGUUGUAGUAUAGAAAUCGAAACAUUUGUUUUUCGCUAAGCCCAGAAGCAAAGUUCUUUGUACUGUACUCAUCACUUCUCUUCGUUCUCUUUGUUGAAAUUUUAUCCAAACAGCGGUUUCUUCGAAUUUGUGCCUUCUCUUACACUUUUAAAUCUAUCAAAGAACCGUUACCUGAGAAGAUUGCCAUCAGGAAUUUCUAAAUUGAUUUCACUAUAAUACCUUAAUCUUUCAGAUACUCCUGUCACUGGGUUGCCAAAAGUGCUAAAAGCCUUGGUAAAUCCUACGUGUUUGAACUGGAGUGCAAAAGUUAUCUCUCCACAAUUCCAAAACAACUGAUUUGUUACUUUUCAAUGCUACACGUUCUGCGAACGUUCAGUUGUGGUUAUCUUGCUGAAAUACCAGAAAAUAGGGUUCUAUUUGGCGGUAGUGGAUUCUUGGUUGGGGAGUUGCUUAGUUUAAAACGUUUAGAUGUAUUAAGCAUCACCUUAAAAGGUUUUUCUUCUGUCCAAAAACUUAUGAGCUCCCAACAGUUUCAAAGCUGUACAAAAUGUUUGGAGCUUAUAGACUGUGAUGAUUCAAAGUUGUUUGCCUUGGCAGAGUUGAAGCAUCUUGAAAAACUAGGUUUUUCAAAUUGUGGAAAUUUGGAAGAUAAAUUACAUUUAUAAACUGUGGAUCGCCCUUUAUAAGUAUUAGGCUUAUCCCAUACUCGAGCAAUGUGGAAUACCUUUAUAAGCAUUAAGCCUCUCCCAUACAAUUUCUGUACAUGACUCUUCUUUUUUUUUUUUUUUUUUUUUUUUGAAGAUCGUUAAAAGUGGUUGAUGAUCCGUUUUGUAAUAUCAUAGAGGGAUCAUGAAUUCCUUUUCUUUUCUGUGGCUAGGCAACACUUUUGGCCAAAGUAAGGAAAUCUAUUUUAGGGAAUGUAAAAACCAGUUGUGGGAUGUAAUAGUUUAUUAUGCACUGACAAUAACUUUUUGUAUAAUUGUCAGUUUAAUGAAUACGAGAGGAACUCUGUUGGCAAAUUCAUCCAUGAUAGAUGCUAAAAUUAUACCAGCUGCCUUAACUAAUUUUUCUCAACACUGGUAUUGAACAGGAAAAUGAAUAUGCAAUUUGUAUUUGUGCCAUUGUGGAGAAUUUGGAUAUUCUUAUUCUUACUAACAAGGAGAGUAUUUGCCUCAUCUUUAAACAAUGAAUCUUUGAGAAAUGAGGAGUGGGUCAUUGGUAGUGUCAGAGUGUCUUCAUGUAAAUGUUCAUUUAUUUGUAUUUUGAACUAUUAUUAGAAUCUUUAUAUGCCAAAUUAGUAAUACAAAUGUUGAGAUGAUUUUCCCUGUUGAUCAUUUCAUUCUUGAGAGCCAUGUACAAUACUAGGAUACCAGAGAAACCAAGGUAGCAUUGAAGUUGCCCCAGUGGCUAGUUUUCCGAACAUUUUUUAUUCAAAUUUUUAUGUUUUAGAAAAAUGUAAGAAAUAUUUAGAAAUGUUGAUAGCUAUGAUUUUGAAACUUUGCCUAAAAUUGUUAUCAUCACUUAUUGUUUCUUAUUUAAAGAGAAAUCCUAGAAACGUGACAUGAUUAUUCCAUACUUGUUUUAAUAUUAUUUAUUAGCAGCCUAAUUCAAAAUUAGACGUGAUUAUUUGUUACUUUUAAUGGUACAUGUUCUGGGAAUAUUCAGUUGUGGUUAUCUUGUUGAAAUACCAGAAAAUAGCGUUCUAUUUGGUGGUAGUGGAUUCUUGGUUGGUUUAAAUGUAUUAAGCAUCACCUUAAAAGGUUUUUCUGCUGUCCAAAAACUUACGAGCUCCCAAAAGUUUCAAAGCUGUGCACAACCUUUGGAGCUUAUAGACUGUAGUGAUUCAAAGUUGUUUGCCUUCGCAGAGUUGAAGCAUCUUGAAAAACUAGGUUUUUCAAAUUGUGGAAAUUGGAAGAGUUUAAGUUCUGCUGUGUCGAGGAUGGAAAGGCUCGAGAAUGUUUUCGUGUGAACAGCCUCCAACGAGUUAAGAUAAAGGCUUGUCAUAAAUUGAGGGAAGUGACAUGGCUUGUAUUUGCUCCGUAUCUUGAGGUUAUUCAAAUAGACAAAUGUAUGGGGAUGGAAGUAAUAAUCAGUGCAAGGAAAUUGGGUGAAGUUCCAGAGAUGAUGGCAGAUCUAAACCCUUUUGCUAAACUCCAAUAUCUUGGCCCACGAGUUCUACCAAAACUAAAAAGCAUCUAUUGGAAUCAGUUGCCCUCUCUACAUGUCAGGCGAAUUUUGUAUCUGAAUGCCCAAUUCUCAAGAAGCUUCCACUUGGUUUUAACAAUGCAAAGGAAUCUAAAACUAUCAUUAGGGGAGAAGAACACUGGUCGAAUGAGCUGCAAUGGGAGGACAAAGUGACCCUUAAUGUUCUUCUUCCUUGUUUCGGAUCCAUUUGAGGGCAUCAACAUGGAUUGAUACUUUGCAGUGGAGAAAUUCGAAUAAAACCUAUGGUAAGCGCUUUUCCAUUUAUUGCAUAUUUGUAUCUAACUUUUGUUUUCCUUUGUGGUUAAAUUUUGCUCUAUAUACGUUGUUGUACGGUGACAUUCUCAUAUCAAUUAUUAGCUUUUUAAUUAUCUUCUCACAUUAACUGCCCCUUUUGAUCAUGUAGGAUAUGCUGAUGUCAAAGAGUCGUAAUUUGGGAUGCAAAUGUAAGAAUUAGACAGAUGACCAGUUGUUUUGAAGCGCUCGAAGAAGGAUUAAUUACGUCAUUGAAAGCCUCCAAUUUUGUGACUUUUUUUUUUAAUUUGUUGUUUUUUCUAUUUUUAGAUAGCUUGAUUGUUAGUUGUCGUGAUGUAAUGCUUUAGUGUAGAAAAAUGAUAUUCGGCCAAGGCAACAUUAGGAGGGCACCUUGUGCAUGCAUACUAGUGGAUAAUUUCGGCAUGCUAAAUCCAAUUAGGGUGGAUGACCCUUUAUAAGCAUUAGGCUUCUCUCAUACCCGAAAACAAUGUAGAAUACGCUUAUAAGCUGCGGAUCACCCAUUAUAAGUUUUAGGCUUCUCCUACACUCGAGCGAUGUGGAAUACCUUUAUAAGCAUUAAGCUUCUCCCAGUAUCUUUAUGUUAAAAAUAAUAAUAAUAAAAGAAAUCCAUUUUAAAAUAGACUCUUUUUUCUUUUUCUAUAUAAACAAAUGCAUUCUUCAAAUCAAUUGUGGGCAGAAGAAGUUAGUAGAAAAGAACUAGUCCCCUUUCAUUCCCCCUUAAACCUCACCAAAGCCUCUUUUGUAAGCUUUUCGGAUUUUCUUUCUAUAUUGCUUACGAUCUCAUUUUUGAUUGAAUCACUUCUUUUGCAUGCUGCAUUUUUUGUUUGUUGUAUUUGGAUAUUAUCGUAUCUGGAAUGCUGUUAUGAUUGAUGGAACAAGUAAUCGAUUUUUGGUCUGAUGGAAGUUGACUUAUUUAUUUAUUGUUAUUUUUAUUUGAAAUUAUGUACAAUUGCAUUUCAUUCAUUUCUUUCUCCCCCCCCCCCCCCCCCCCCCCCCCACACAUAUAUUUGUUAUGUAUAAUUGCGUUUCAUUUGAUAUUGAUCAUGCUGUAGAUAAACCAUGUGAUUGUAGAUGGGGAUUUCAAGUUUGUUGAAUAUUCAAGUAAGUGAAGUAACUGUCAAAAUACUAGUGAAAUUGGGAGCUUUAUUCAUGAGCUUGUGGUUUUGAAAAUUACCACAGUUCAACCGAUGAAGGUUCCUUUUUGGGGUUCUUCUUUUUCUAGGCUGCAAUUAGGAUAUGUACAUGUUAGACAAUCUUUUGUGAGUUUAGCAUAUCUGCUCUGAUUUUGUCUUUUAUUCCCCAAUCUUAUAAUUACACAGCAUGAAUGUUGAGUGAUUGUAUAGAAAAUUUGUGUUAUAACCAAAGCAUUGUGAAGGAGUUAAGUUAGUGGCUUCUGUUUUAUUGGCAUUGAUUGGGUAGAUUAUGAGUUACAGUGAUUCAAUUUGUGAUCCAAACUUUGCUUUAAUUUCUGUUUUCCCUAAUUAUUUAUGUCAAAUUUAAAUCCAGAAGCAUGUACUGAUUUUUUCUUUUUGUAUUAAUCUGUGAAGUUUAUUUGGAAUGGAAGUAUCUGGGUUGGGUCUAACGGAUUAAAUUAUGACAUUGGGGGGAAGGCAGUAAAGGGUUUGCUUGACACAUUUGGUUCUGUGUUUACUUUGCGAGAAAUAGCUUUUGGUUAUCACAAUGCCGGGGGAAAUCCCGAUUUGGCUGGUGAAUUUCUUUGUGACAAAUAGGCAAACACAUCAACCUCUUCUAUCCAUCCUUCUACUGGUAAGGCAAGGGGUAAAGAGUCUUCAAAAUCAUCAAAUAGUAACAUCUCUGAGAAUUCAUUUUAUGCAAAUGGAAAAUCUAGACCUUCUAAGACAAAAUGGCGUCCUGUAUCAGGAGGUACCGUUUCAAGUUUUCUUGGUAAAAAUUAUGUUAAACCUGCACAGCCAGCUAAUGGCACAUUUCUAGCAUCAAAGCCAUUGAAGUUGGAUCCAAAGGGGUUUCCCAUGUCUCCACUUUUGCGGAGAAGAUACUAAACUGAAACAAUCAAAGGAUGACCAUUUGCAGAAGGAUAUGGAAGAUUUUCUGUUUAAAUUGCUAGGAGAAGUGUUCCAAUUUAAUACAUAUUGUCCUUUUCAAUGUUCUUUCUUUCUUUCUCUUCUUUUCUUCUUCUUCUUCUUUUUUCUUUUUGUGUGCGUGUGAUCACUAAUUUGGUAUUGUAGUUAAGUUGCAGAUAGUUGUGGAUAUGAUAUGCAAAAGGUAAGGACUAUAUCUUCCUGAUGGAGGCCUCUGCUUUUUCCUUUAUGCAUAAUUUAAUAAAUCGCAUCUUCCUUUGUGAUCGUUAUAUCAUAUCAAAGACAAGUCUUAAAUACUGCUGUCAUAUGUUAAGGUUCAACUUGCAGUUUGAUUAACAUUCAUGGCUCAAAGUCCUGAAAAAACUUGCCAGUAAUUGUAAAAUGACAUUCUUUGCUUUUAAUGCAAUAGAGGGAACAGGGAAGUAUAGCUUUGGAAGCCUGGAUUGGUAACUAUAGAGAGACUUAGUAUUUCAUUGAUAAAAAUUCCCAUAACCCAAGGUCAAGAAAAUUUUAGAUCGUUAAAGACUUCAUUUUGUUUCGGCCAGAAAUGUUUGUUUCGAUCGAAGACUUGAACCAUUUUCAUUGAACCUGAUUAUGAUGCUUUACGUUAUGCAUGUUCCUCUUAAUCAAGAAAAGUUGAGGUGAUGAUUUUAUAUUUCUAUAUUGUAAGUUGAAAUAAUAAUUGGUCUGCUUGUUUCUGUAGCUUGAUAACAUGAAUUUUCCUUCUCAAGUUAAUUUAAUCAAUAAAGUAAUUCUUCAAAGAAAGUAUGCCCAUUCUAUAAUCAUUUUCUUAACUAACAUGUUUUUUUCUUCACUUUUCAGAGCAUGUUGAAACUAAUUGAUCGCUCGGCAGAGACUUUGGGUGAGAAGACAAAAUUUCUUGGUAAAUCCUCUGAAAAGGUAUGCAUAAUUCCGGAGUAUUAAAUAACCAAUGGUCAUAAUUUUUUUACAGGACUCUUUUCUUGUGGAGAUGAUUAAAAGUGGCUGAUGAUCCAGUUUGUAUAUCAUAGAGGGAGCAUCAAUUCCUUUUCUUUUCAGUGGCUAGGCAACACUUUCAGGGCAAAGUAAGGAAAUCUAUUUUAGGCAAUGUAAAACCCAAUGGUAGGAUGUAAUAGUUUAACAUGCACUGACAAUAACUUUUUGUAUAAUUGUCAGUUGAACGAAUACAAGAGGAACUCUGUUGACAAUUCAUCCAAGAUAGAUGCUAAAAUUAUUUAUGCAUGCCAGUUGCCUUAACUAAUUUUUCUUAACACUGGUAUUGAAGAGGAAAAUGAAUAUGCAAUUUGUAUAUUGUGCCAUGUGGAGAAUUUGGAUAUUCUUAUCUAAGUAACAAGGAGAGUAUUUGCCUCAUCUUUAGACAAUGAAUCUUUGAGAAAUUAGGAGUGGGUGAUUGGCAGUGUCUUCAUGUAAAUGUUCAUUUGUUUGUAUUUUGAACUAUUAUGAGAAUCUUUUAUAUGCCAAAUUAGUAAUGCAAAUGUUCAGAUUAUUUUUUCUGUUGAUCGUGCAUUUGUGUCCGCACACAACCAUUGUAUAUCACUUCAUUCUGAUGCGCAAGUCUCUGUAGUUUAGAAGAAAAGAAAUAAUAAUGAUAUAUUAUUGCUUGAUUCAUGAUUAUUAAAUGAUUAUGGCUUUAAAAAACCUACAAAUUCCUUCUGUUGAUAGAUGAAUGUACCAAGUUUGCUAUAUCUUAGAUUACCAUUUCCAAGAUAAGUUCAAAUUUUUUCUUUAUCCUUUUCCAUCACAGUUGCAUUUUAAGUGUAAGAUUUGUUAUUAAUACCUGGUUUCCUGUCAUUAUGAUUUCAUAAACAGUGUAUGGGUAUGUGCUCUACUUUUGGAGGGCCUCCACGUGAAAGAAAAUUGCAACAAUUGAAUUCUUCCGGAUGGUAUGGUAUUUAAUUUAUUUUCUCAACCUCUUGUAAGACUAAUAUAUUUUCCUUCAGUAGACACGGCAUGGUGGGAAGGGUUUUUUAUUGAAAGAAUUCUGAUAUUUCUUAGACUUUGUUUUGGAAGGGGGUGCAGGGGUUUCUCAUCCAUAUAUGGUUACUUGAUUAGCUUUUGACUGUAUUGCCUCAAUCGUGCAAAGGAAGAUCCAAAUACAAACGAAGGAGAAUUGUUUAGACACCCAGAAGAUGGAAAUGAACUACAGAAGGAAGUUUUUGCUGCUUUAUUUAGUGCUCCUGAGAAAUCUGAUGAAUUUCCUGAAAUUACGGUGAAGACCAAGUGUGAGGUCCAAAGCAUUAGGAAAGGUGGUGAGUGAACUGCUGGAGGAAUUGGUACAGAAUACAAGGCUAAUGUGGUGUACUUGCAGCAAGAUAACCGGAACAGUACGUGCUCUUAUAUUAACUAUAUUGACUGGAUUUGCUAGUGUGUGCAUUUUCGUGUGUAUACUUUUGUAUUUAUGCAUAUUAAUGUGUGUAGGAUUCUUGAUUUCUGCCACUUACUGGAGAACUAAUGGAAAGCUUUAUACUGGUAUAUCUGCAAUAACUAAUGGAAACUAUGAUAUUAAUAUUUUCUCUCGCUUGGAGAACUGCAUAACAGAUAUACUUUGUGGCUCUGGAAUACUAAAGAUUCUGCAAUAACUAAUGGAAACUAUGAUAUGAAUAUUUUCUCUCACCUAGAGAACUUUGUAACAGUUACACUUUGGGGCUUGGAAUGUCUAAAGAAUUUUGUCUGCUUCAGUUAGAUCAAAUAUCUUUUAGUUACAUACAUUAUAGAAAAGAUAAAGUUCUCUGAAUCUGAAAGACUUAAAAUUUUGCAUAUUUCUUGAAAGGGAAAUAUCUGUAGAUACUAGUUCAUGCAUUGUGGUAGCAUCAGUGUUAAAGAAAAACAGCAGUAAGUUAUUAUAUAGAAUUAGGUUCACUUGCUUUAAAUCCUGGUCUGGUCAACCAUAUGAACCUGUAAGUGGUUCUGUAGAAAUAUAUAUAUAUGGGGAGAAAGUAGCUAAAUUUUCCUUUCAUUUAUGGGUUUGGUCAUUUUUUCCCCUUAUUUAUGUUUUCUCACACAUUUUUUAUAUGCCCCAAACAUGCAAUUUUGUAUGUGUCAAUUGCCUUUUAAGUUUUAAAAACCAUAAAGUAAGAAUACAGUUUCUUGUCAGGCUAUUGAUGCAUUUGCUCGGGGGGAUCAUGCUCGAGCAGGAAAACUUCUAGGACAGGUAAGGUUUCCAUCUACAGCCAUUUAUUGACAACAUAUAUAUUUUCAUUCAGCAAGCACUGUUAGCAUUCAAGAUGCUGGCAGAUUCACUUGAUUCUUAUUAGUUUGUUUAGUAGCGAAGCAAAUAACCUGUAUUUCAAAGCUAAGUUGUGCUAUUGAUUAUGUUAACUUUAUUGUUCACAUAAAGUGAUAUAGAGGAAAUAAUCAAUGUAGGAAAAUUAGGUGAAGAGAUGAUGUCAAAUCUUGAACCUCUUACAAAACUCUAAGUUCUUUACUUGAAGAAGCUACCAAAUUCGAACAGCAUCUACUGGAAGGCCUUGCCAUUCCCUGAUGUAUGCAGAAUUUUUGUAUUUAAAUGCCCAGAGCUUAAGAAGCUGCCCCUGGAUCUUGAAAGGGCAGGCCAAGGUAAAAUUCUUAUCAAGGGAAAGAAAGAUUGGUGGAAACAACUUCAAUGGUAGGAUCAAGUAACUCAGAAUGCAUUGCUUCCAUUUUUAAAAUCAACUGACAAGUGAUUGAAGGGGGCAUCAUCAACAUGGAUGGAGAGAUUCAGGAGCAGAUCAGCAGGGUUUAGUACGACCUGUGGUGGUAGCUUUUUUGUGACUUUUUUCCCUUUCAUUUUUUCACUUCCUGUCAUAUUAUCAUUUCUUUGUCUCUGUUUCUAUUGCUGGUGUUGCUGCAUGCUUGCUGCCCUUGACAAAGUUAGCUAGUUUUUUUGUUUAUUAAAUUUUGUAUGUUCGGGACAGUCACAAAGUAGUACUUGUUCUAUAUGGGGGUGAUGUGAAUCAACUUUUCAAUUAUAUAUUCUGUGGUAAUUGUGAAUUCAAUUUCAUUUGUCUCCUGCAAAUUAUGAAGAAAGUACAGAGUUAGAAUAUGGAAAAGUUCACUGGCAAAUACUUUGUAAAAGCUUCGGAGUGAAACAGGGAAUGCACUUGCAACUAAGGACAAAUUGGUGGCCAGCUAAUGCAUUCAUUUUAUGUACAUUCAUCUUUUUAAUUAUUGAAGAUAAGUGGUUCGUUGCUUUUGUUGUAGAUAAAAUUCAGGCGACCUCAAUUGUGAGAUGAAAAUAUUUAAAAUAUCUCUUAAAUUAUUAUAAACUUUAAUUUAUCUUAAUUUUAUUUAAAAGAUAAAAGAAAAAUGUAGUAUAUGGAUAAAAAAAUUUUUAUCUUCUUAAUAAAAUGAAAUAAAUUAAAAUUUACAAUAAUUUAAAGUAUUUUUAAAAUUAUUAUUUCAUAAGAGAUUAAUAUGAAAUUAAUCCUUUUUACUUUUUGAAUGUGAAAGGACAAGAAAAGAGAAAGCAAGUUUCACUGCUUUUUAUUUUAUUUGAAAUCGGAGUUAUCCCAUAUACUUUACUACUUUAGCUCUAACAUUACAAUGUUUUUAGGCUACACUUUUAUUUUUCUUUUUUCCCCUUUUUUUAUACAUGCAUGUGGAUUACUUUUCUCUAAGCUCCUUAAUAUUUAAGACAAAUCAUAAAAGCGAUUGAAGUAUAACAAGAUGAUCAAAACAUUUAACCAAAAAUAAAUAAAUAAAUAAAACAUUGAAAAUGGAGAUGUUGAUUAAUGUAGAAGAGAUGCAAGCAAAAGAUAUUCCCAAAAAAAUGAAAAAAAGAAAAAAGCAACGUUAGUUCAUCCAUGUCUGUCAAUGCGUUUUUUAUGGUUUUUUUUCCAGUUGUUUGUUGUAAUAGAUUGAUUGCAAAUUGAUAUGAACUUGAUGUUGUAAUAUGUUCGCUUUUGUGGAAUUAAAUUUGAAUAUUCAAGAUUAUUCAAGUCUUAUUUAGUAUGUGUUUAGUUGUGUUGUCGAUAACUUUGCAUUCGAAUAAGUUUUCACCUAAAAUAUUAGCAUGAGUAGUAGUCCUUGAAACUUUGGUCAAAAUUAUUGUUAUUGUUUCUUUUAGAGGAAAUUUUUUUAUUAAAGCCUCGUUAACACUAUUUCUUAUUAAGAUUAUAAGUUAGUGUCGGUGUAGGAUUUGCAGCGACAAAUCCUGUCUAGCCACGUGUCAAAAGUACAAAUAAAUCAAGGGAAAAGCACAUGUCGCGGAUUAGGAUCCAAUAAAAUUUAAAUCCCAAGGAAAAGGACAAUUGUAUCCUAAAGUUUCAAUAAGAGAUACUGAUAUAUCUUUUGACUAAUGUUAUUUUUUGGCUUCAUUAAUAAAAAGAUCCAAUAGUUUAUAACAAAUAAAAAUAUAGUAUUAAGCUAAAUGUGAUAAUAUAUACAUUUUACAUAAUUUCAAUAAAAAACAUUUUAAUGUUUUACAAUCUAUCAGACAUAUUUUAUUAAAUUAAUAAGAAUUUUCUUAUAAAUAGCAACAUAAUAUUAAAAUAAAUUUAUAAAGAUUAAAAUGUAAAAUAAUUUUAGUAUAAUUAAUACGUGGGAUAUAUUUUGUAAAUUAUAAAAUUACUUAACCCAAUGAUUUUUAAAAUAAAUAAAAAUAAAUUAUUCACAUUUUGAUGUAAAUAUUUAAAACAUUUUUAUACAUUAGUCCACAAUUAUUUAUGUUAUAUUUGUAUUUAUUAGAAAUUUUGAAAGUCAAAAUGUUUUUCACCUCUAUCUUAUUAGAAUUAUUGCACACAGAGAAAGAGCCAUAUAUGCUUUAUAGCUUUAAAAUCGGUUUGUUUUAUAGCUGGGAACAGAGAUGAUCAUUAUUAUAAGGAUUAAAAAAAGAUAAAGAAUAUUAAUGAUUAACGAAAUCUUUAUGGAAAUUGAAUUUAGUAAGAAAAAAUUGAGCUGAUUUUAGUGGUAUAGUAAUAUUUUAUAUAGAGAAAAGUAAAAGUUGCACCCCCAAAUGUUCAAAACUCUUUUUUAAUCAUAAUAUUCUUUUUCCUAGAUAACUUAAAAAUUUGACUCUAAUAUUUUAUAAUAAAUAAAAACAUAUAAUCCUAAAAUAAAUAAAAUAAUAUAUAUUUUAAAAUAAUCUCAAUAUUUAAAAUAUAUUUUAACAUUUUAUAGUCUAUCAGAUAUAUUUUAUUUUUUUAAAGUAAAUUUUAUAAUAAAUACAAACAUACUAUUAAAAUAGAUAUAUAAAAUUUUUAAAGUAUUUUGAAUAUUAUAUAAAAUAACUUUAAUAUUGUUAAUGCGUGAGAUGAAUUUUAUUAACUAUUAGAUAGACUAAACUAUUUAUAUUAUUUUCUAUUUAUUAUAAAAUUUCAAAGUUAAUCUUUUUAACUACUAUUCAAAAGAUGUUAUGAUAAAAACAGAAUUUUUGUGUUUUUAUUGAAAAUUUGGAGUUUACAUCUAUUUUUUCAAAAAUUCGGGGUGUAACUGUUUUUUCCCUUUUAUAUAUACGAACGGUGGUGAGAAAGCUUGAUUUAACGUUAUUUAUUUAAAUAAAAUCUCAGUUAAAAAUGUACAGAGAAGAAAUUUCUGUUGGUAUUUUAGUCUUUUACCAAUUAAUUGUUUCACUUUUAGCGCUAGUGGCGUUGAAAGUUGUCAAGAAAAAGCAAGACCAUAUUCCACAAAAGCAAAAGUAACGUAGGCUCUUUUAUUAAAGGCAAAGUAUAAAGUAGUCAAGAAUCGAAUAUCCUGUCGUCUACUCUUUUUUUAAAUUCUUCUUUUAUUAUCUUUUAGAAUAGUUUUUGGUAAUUACAAUCAUUAUUCAGAGUUAUUGUUAUCUUCCGGGGCAGUCUCUGUUCAUCGAAGUCGUUACCUUUUUUUUAUGGAUCAGUUCCAGUGGUCAGCAGUAAUUUUCUUAGAACUCGGAUCUUUAAUUCGAGUUUCUGUGUGAAUUAAUAAUAAAAAAUUUUCAUUACACGCAAUUUAAGCUACGAAUUACUUUUUGCAAAGUUGAAUAUGAAAUUGGAGAAAUUAAGUAAUUUAGAAUGUUGGUAAAAAUUGACGAACAUAUCUCCAAUUACAGUAAAACCUCUCUACAGUCAUAACAUUAUAACAAAAUUAAUUUUAUUACUAUGUUGAGGUAAUAUAGGUUUAGUUACAAAAUUAUUGUUUUAAUAUGGUUGGUGUCAAGUGAUAUAAAGGUUAAAUAUGCAGUACAAUGAUAAUUAAAUAAUGAAGCGUGUCAAUUCUAAUGUAUAUAUAUUAAUGAUAUAGAUAGACAUAGUUUUAAAAAACUAAUUAAUGUAUAUUUAUGUAGUGUUAUGAAUAUGGAAAGUCAAGCCUACACUUGACAUUAUCCUUAGUUUUUUCUCUCAGUUAAAUUCUACAAAUAUUGUACAAUGAUUGGGCAAGAACUCUAAAUUAAGAAUAAAUUAUUGUCACAAAUAAUUUUAGAAAAUAUUUUAUUUCGUCUUAAACCUUUAAUGUAAGUAAACAUAUAUAUAUAUAUAUAUGUGUGUGUGUGUGUGUGUGUGUGUGUGUGUUUGUGUGUGUGUGUGUGCAUAUUUUGCAACGUAUAGAUAAUUGUUAGUAUAUGGAGACAAGUCUUUUAAGGUAGGACCUAGAAAAAUUUAUAACUUACUACACUGGGGAGUUUUUAUUCCUUUUUAUAAUUGGCUCAUAUUGAUACAUUCUUACACAAAAAUAUUACCAUUGACAUAUUUUACUACAAUUAGUUUAGAUUCUUUAGAACAUUUGUUAGGAAAAAAAAAAAAAAGAAAAGAAAACAUCCCUUGGAUGUAGCUCUCCUGACUAUUUAAAUCUUUUAAGGAAAAAAAGAAAAAAAGAAAAACUGACACAUUCAAAUCUUGAAGCAAUUACAUUAAAACCUCUCCAUAAUGAUAGGAAUAAUCUCCAUUUAGUAAUAAAAAAUUUUGUUCGCAAUUUAGGCAGAGUUAUAAAUAAGAAUAAAAUCCUCAUUGUAAUAAGUUAUAUUUAUUAUGGAUCCCAUCCUAAGGAACUUGUCUCUAUAUAGUAAUAAUUAUUUGCAUAUUAUAAAUAUAUAUGUUGCAUUAGAUUAAACGAACUUGUCUCCACAUACUACUAAGACAACAAGAGAAAGUUAUUAAAGAGAACACAAAUAUUUAGAGAUUUUUAAGAUUACUUUGCAUAUUUAUAACAAUAAUACAUUGAUAUAUGUAUUAGUUUUUUGAUAUAUUAGAUUUGACAUGCUCUAUUAAUAAAUUAUUAAUAUGAUGCAUACUUCAUCUCCAUAUCCUUGCAGUAAAAGUAACUAAGUUGUAACAAUAAUUAUUAAUACGAUGCGUACUUCAUCUCUAUAUCCUUGCAAUAAAAGUAACUAAGUGAUAACAAUAAUUUUUGUAACUACAUGUUUAUUAGGUUUUAACUGCUUCAUAAUAAUAAAUUAGUUUCGUCCUAAUAUUAUAAUUAUGUAGAGUUGUAGUGUAUAGACACACCCAAUUUAAAUAGUAUCUCAAAUAAAAUUGUCCCCACAAAAAAGAAAAAAGGGUAAAGGAUUGUUAUUUCUUCAAACAUCAGGAGCACGUUUGUACAAGUGCGAUGCCUUUCUUUUUUUUUUUGAAGGCAACGUCAGUGGGUACUAAAUAGGACGUGCGUAAAUCUUUCUAAAAUUUCUCCGGUAUAACUCACAGAGAUCAUUACUUUUCUCUUCCACAGACCACAGCAGCUUCAGUUAAUCCGACUCAAUCAAUUUUCUUGGUUUCUUCGCUUAUCAAAAUUCCAAAAUAUGGGUAGCAUAUUUCAAAUCACAUGCGAUGGUGCUUUUUUCAAUCGUUGUUUGGAUUGCUUUCUUGGAAAAGUAGCAAACACAAGUAAGCUCCAAGAUAACCUUGUUGCCUUGGAGACUGAAUUGGGAAAACUAAUCGCAGCAAAGAACGAUGUGAUGAUGAGGGUUGUCAAUGCUGAACGGCAACAACUGAGAACGCUGGACCAAGUGCAAGUGUGGCUUUCGAGGGUGGAAGCUGUUAAAACUGAAGCUGAUGAAUUGAUAAGACACGGCUCUCAAGAAAUUGACAAAUUAUGUGUUGGAGGCUACUGUUCCAAGCACUGCGCGUCAAGCUACAAGUUCGGGAAACAAGUGGCUAAAAAGCUACGGGAUGUGCAGACUUUAAUCGGCGAAGGAGUUUUUGCGGCGGUGGCUACUGAGGUGGUGCCUGAGAGAGCUCCAGAACCUGUAGCAGAUGAAAGACCCACUGAGCCAACAAUAGUAGGCUUGCAAUCACAACUUGAACAAGUUUGGAGAUGUCUUGUAGAAGAAUCAGUGGGAAUCAUUGGCCUAUAUGGUAUGGGCGGUGUUGGUAAAACUACACUAUUGACCCAUAUCAACAAUAAAUUUCUUGAGAGUCCAACCAGUUUUGAUUGUGUGAUUUGGGCCGUAGUUUCAAAGGACUUGCAACUCGAAAAAAUUCAAGAAGAUAUUGGGAAAAAGAUCGGUUUGGUUGAUGAUUCAUGGAAGAGUAAAAGUGUAGAGGAGAAAGCUCUCGACAUCUUCCGGAGUUUAAGAGAGAAGAGAAUUGUAUUGUUGUUAGAUGAUAUAUGGGAGCGGGUUGAUUUAACAAAAGUGGGCAUUCCACUUUCCGGACCAAAGAAUACUACCUCAAAAGUCGUAUUCACAACCCGUUUCGUCGAUGUUUGUGGUAGCAUGGAAGCUGACAAGAAGUUCCAAGUGGCAUGCUUAUCAGAAGAGCAUGCUUGGGAACUGUUUCGAAAAAAAGUUGGGGAAGAAACUCUUGAGAGUGAUCAUGAUAUCGUUGAGCUAGCCCAAACUGUGGCCAAAGAGUGUGGUGGUUUGCCACUCGCACUUAUUACUAUUGGUCGAGCUAUGGCCUGCAAAAGGACAGCCGAGGAGUGGAGACACGCAGUUGAAGUGCUAAGAAGAUCAGCUUCUGAGUUUGCAGGUUUGGGAAAAGAGGUGUAUCCUCUUUUAAAGUUUAGCUAUGAUAGUUUGCAGAAUGAGACGAUUAAAUCUUGUUUCUUAUAUUGUUGUUUAUAUCCCGAGGAUUAUGGCAUUCUUAAAUGGGACUUGAUUGAUUGUUGGAUUGGUGAGGGAUUCUUAGAGGAAUCUGACAGGUUUGGUGCAGAAAACCAAGGAUACUACAUUGUGGGCACUCUUGUUCAUGCGUGUUUACUAGAAGAGAUAGAAGAUGAUAAAGUAAAAAUGCAUGACGUUGUUCGUGAUAUGGCUUUAUGGAUAGCUUGUGAAAUUGAGAAGGAGAAGAGAAACUUUUUGGUUUGUGCAGGUGCUGGAGUAGGAGCGGUACCAGAUGUUGAAGGAUGGGAAAAUGUGAGAAGAUUGUCAUUGAUGCAAAACCAAAUUGAAAUUCUGUCAGAGGUUCCCACAUGCCCUCAUCUCCUCACUUUAUUUCUUGACUUUAAUUAUAAAUUGGAGAUGAUCACCGAUGGCUUCUUCCAAUGUAUGCCUUCUCUCAAAGUUUUGAAGAUGUCAAACUGUGGGCAUGUCAAAGUUUUGAAAUUACCUUUUGGGAUGUCAAAGUUGGGUUCACUACAACUUCUUGAUAUUUCACAUACCGGCAUAAGAGAGUUACCAGAAGAGUUAAAGUUGUUGGUAAAUCUGAAAUGUUUGAAUUUGAGGUGGACACAUAUGUUAAAUAAAAUUCCACGGCAGCUAAUAUCAAAUUCUUCAUGGUUACGUGUGUUGAGAAUGUUCGCUAUUGGCUUUGAAAAUUCCAAAGAACCAUCAGAAGACAGUGUUUUAAUUGGUGGGGGUGAAGUUUUAGUACAGGAAUUGCUCGGUUUGAAAUAUUUAGAGGUAUUGGAGUUGACCUUGCGAAGUUAUCAUGCUCUCCAUUCUUUUUUGAGCUCAAAUAAGUUAAAAAGUUGUAUUCGAUCUCUUUUCCUCAAUAAGCUGGGAGAUACAAAGUCGAUUGAUGCUACGGUUUUGGCAGAUCUAAAGCAUCUCAAUGAACUAUGCAUUCGUUCGGCUGUGGAGUUGGAAGAAUUGAAGGUUGAUUAUACAGAGAUAGCGCCAAAAUGGUCGGAACAUUUUGUUUUCCGCAGCCUUCACAGUGUUACUAUGGAGCGGUGCCAUAAAUUAAAAGAUUUGACAUUCCUCGUUUUUGCUCCAAGCCUCAAGUCUCUUUCGCUAUACGGUUGUAAUGCUGUGGAAGAAAUAAUCAGCGUUGGGAAAUUUGCUGAGGUUCCUGAGAUGAUGGGACAUAUAAGCCCUUUUCAGAAUCUCCAAAAGCUUGAUUUAUCACAUUUGCCAGCUUUGAAGAGCAUCUACUGGAAGCCAUUGCCUUUCGCUCAUCUGAAAGAAAUGGUGGUGCAUUGGUGUGAUCGGCUUAAAAAGCUUCCGCUCGAUUCCAACAGUGCAAAAGAGCGUAAAUUUGUUAUUCGUGGAAGAGCAGACUGGUGGAACCAUCUUCAAUGGGAGGAUGAAGCCACUCAAAUUGCUUUCCAUUCCUGCUUCCACUCUAAUGAAAUAUAAAUUCCUUAGCGGUGGUUGCAAAAUUUGAUUUGUGCUUUUUCUUAAACUCUUACAUUUAUUUCAGAUUCGUUUUUUGUCUCCUGCAAAUCACAAUUAAAUGCUCAAUUAUAUGGAGUCAAUGCUUUAGAAAAUUUUCAAGGCACUGCCAUUUCCUUUUUUUCAUUUUUUUUUUGGGUCGAAUUGAUGCUCUGGCUUUUUACUUUUUGUUGUCAAAUUUUGCUCUGUUUUUUCAAGUUGAUGCUUGAAUAGUUGAAUUCAAUUAAUGCUCACAUAAAUUUGUUUAGUUGCCGUGAAAGGAUAUAAUUAGACUGAAGUACACACUUCUAGAAUGAAUACAAAAUGUGAAGUAUACUAGCCCUCUUUACAGAAAAUCAAAUGAAAAUCAAUUUUUUGGGGCGUUGAUUUUCUAUGGUCUAUUAUAUACUCUUUUUAAUAUCUUCUGUUCUAACUAUAACCAAAUCCUUUGUUCAAGGAUUUUUAUUUGGGGUAUUGAUAACUGUCCACCAAAAGAGUGAACACUUGGAUGCUGCUCAAGGAUCUCUAAUCAAUAGCUGGAAGCAACUGAGAAGGCGGUCGCUACUGUUUACAAAGCGAAUCAGUAUUUGCCAUUCAUCUUAAUAAUUAUGAAGCUUUGGUAAAAUUUUCAAACAAAGUUGAACAUGUUGUUUUGAGAUUUGGUUCAUGAUUUUGGAUGAAUAUCGUUGUUCCGUUUGAGUUGGAUGUGAAUUCAAAAUCUAUAUAUUCUUUGGUUUUCAAUUCUGAACUCAAUUUCUUUUUCUCAAGCAUGUUAUGCAGAAAUGAAUUUUACUAAAUCAUUUUUGAUGAAUUGUUCAAAUUAAACAAUUGGAAUAAGAAUUGUAAAGGUUUAUCAUAAGCAUGCUAAUAUGAUAAGUUGUUUUAUGAACGAUUAAUUAAUUAAUCAAUUAAUAUUAAAGAAUAUAUUAGGCAAUUAGAUAUGCGUUACAUGUCAUGUUUAAAAACUAUUUAUUUAUAUUUCAAACAAAUUUGACUGGAUGUUGUGUAGGUAAUACUCAUAAUUAAUUUCAAAACAAAAAAAGUAAUAAAAACACGUUAAAUUUUGUUUUUAUGAAGAAAAAUUUAAAAUUUUGUUAAAUAGGUGAAAAUAAUAAAUGGAUUCGUGUAUGGUUUGAGAUUCUUGACAUAAUUAUGAAAUAAGCCGGAUUCGACUUAGUUCAAUUUUGACGCGAUAAGAAGACGACACCACACAAACACACGAUAAGAACCGGUACCUGAGAAGAUUGCCAUCAGGAAUUUUGAAAUUGAUUUCACUACAAUACCUUAAUCUUUCAGAUACUCCCAUCACUGAGCUGCCAGAGGAGCUAAAAGCCUUGGUAAGUCUUAAGUGUUUGAACUGUACACAAAUUAUCUCUCUACAAUUCAAAAACAACUGAUUUGUUACUUUUCAAUGCUACAUGUUCUGCGAAUAUUGAGUUGUGGUUAUCUUGUUGAAAGAUCAGAAAAUAGAGUUCUAUUUGGUGGUAGUGAAUUGUUGGUUGGGGAGUUGCUUAGUUUAAAACGUUUAAAUGUAUUAAGCAUCACCUUACAAGGUUUUUCUGCUGUCCAAAAACUUACGAGCUCUCAAAAGUUUCAAAGCUGUACAAAAUGUUUGGAGCUUAUAGACUGUGAUGAUUCAAAGUCUUUUGCCUUGGCAGAGUUGAAGCAUCUCGAAAAACUAGUUUUUCGAAUUGUGGAAGAGUUUAAGUUCUGCUGUGUUGAAGUUGGAAAAGCUCAAGAAUGUUUUCGUUUGAACAGCUUUCACCGAGUUAAUAUAAAGGCUUGUCAUAAAUUGAGGGACGUGACAUGGCUUGUAUUUGCUCCAAAUCAUACGGUUAUUCAAAUAGAAAAAUGUAUGCAGAUGGAAGUAAUAAUCAGCGCAAGGAAAUUGGGUGAAGUUCCAGAGAUGAUGGCAGAUCUAAACCCUUUUGCAAAACUCCAAUAUCUUCGCCUGCGAGUUCUACCAAAAUUAAAAAGCGUCUAUUGGAAUGAGUCACCCUUUCCGCAUGUCAGGGAAAUUAUUGUAUCUGAAUGCCCAAUUCUCAAGAAGCUUUCACUCGGUUUUAACAAUGCAAAGGAAUCUAAAAUUGUCAUUUAUUACAUGUUUAUAUCUAACUUUUGUUCUCCUUUAUGGUUAAAUUUUACUAUAUAUAUGUUGUUAUACGGUGACAUUCUCGCAUCAAUUAUUAGCUUUUUAAUUCUCUUCUCGUAUUAAUUGCCCUUCUGAUCAUGUAGGAUAUGCCGAUGUCAAAGAGUAGUAAAUUGGGAUACAAAUGUAAGAAUUAGCCAGAUGACAUGUUGUUUUGAAGCUUUCGAAGGACUAAUUAUGUCAUUCAAAGCAUCCAAUUUCGCUACUUUUUUUUUUUUUUCAUUUGUUGCUUUUUCUAUUUUUAGAUAGCUUGAUUGUCAGUUGUCGUAAUGUAAUGUUUUAGUAUAGAAAAAUGAUAUUCGGCCAAGACAUCGAUAGGAGGGCACAUUGUGCAUGCAUACUCGUGGAUGAUUUUGGCAUGCCGAAUCCAAUUAGUGUGAAUAACCCUUUAUAAACAUCAGGCUUCUCUCAUACCAGAUAGAGGUGGCAAAAAUACCCGCUCGGUCCGGAUCCAGACCAUACCCGGGCGUUGUGGGUCGGGUAUUACUUAAUCUGGGUAUAAAGUCGAGUCGGUCUUGGGCAUCACUUGAUAAACCCGGAACCCAGAUUUUAUUAAAAAAAUAUUAUAAAAUAUAUAUUAUUUUAAAUAUUUAUAUUUAUUUGACUCAUUUAUUAUACAUAUAUAAAGUUUUAAACACGUAAAGUUUAUAUUUUCAUGUCAAAUUUUAUUAAAAUAAAUUUAACACUUAUAAAAUUACCUAAAAAUAAAAAAUAUAUAUACAUAUAAUAUUAAAAAAUAUACAAUUCGGGUACCCAGAUUAAAAUCUAGCCUGGACUCGGACCCAGACCGAUUGCAUCCAAGCAGGAUCCAGUCAUUGCAAUAAUCGGACCUGGCCUGGGGUUUCGCCAUCUCCAAUACCAGAGCAAUGUAGAAUAUGUUUAUAAACUGUGAAUUACCCUUUAUAAGUAUUAGGCUUCUUUUAUACUCGAGCGAUGUGGAAUACCUUUAUAAGCAUUAAGCUUCUCCCAUACACUUUAUGUUAAAAAUAAUAAUAAUAAAAUAAAUCCAUUUUAAAAUAGGCUUUUUUUUUUCUUUUUCUAUAUAAACAAAAUGCAUUCUUCAAAUCAAUAGUGGGUGGAAGAAGUGAGUAGAGAAGAACUAGGCCCCUUUCAUUCCCCUAAAACCUCACCGAAACCUCUCUUGUGAACUUCUCAGAUUCUCUCUCAAUAUUUCUUAUGAUCUCGUUUUUGAUAGAAUCACUUCUUUUGCAUGCUGCAUUUUGUGAGUUGUUUUUGGGUAAUAUCUUAUCUGGAAUGCUGUUAUGAUCAAUAGAACAAGUAAUCAAUUUUUGGUUCGACGGAAGUCGAUUUAUUUAUUUACUAUUAUUUUUAUUUGAAAUUUUGUACAAUUGUGUUUCAUUCAUUUCUUUUCUUCUUUUUUUUUUUUAUAUUUAUUAUGUAGAAUUGUGUUUCAUUUGAUAUUGAUCAUACUGUAGAUAACUAUGUGAUUGUAGCUGGGGAUUUUAAGUUUUGUGAAUUCAAGAAACUGUCAAAAUGCUAGUGAAAUUGGGACCUUUAUUCAUAAGCUUGUGGUUUUGAAAAGUAGCCCGGUUCAACUGAUGAAGUUCCUUUUUGGGAUUCUUUUUUUUCUAGGCUGCAAUUCGGAUAUGUACGUGAUAGACAAUCUUUUGUGGGUUUAGCAUAUCUUCUUCGAUUUUGUCUUUUAUUCCCCAAUUUUACAGCUACACACCAUGAAUGCUGGGUGAUUGUACAGAAAAUUUGUGUUAGAACAAAAGCAUUGUGAAGGAGUUUCUGUGCUAUAAGUUAUUGGCUUCAGUUUUAUUGGCAUUAAUUGGGUAGAUUAUGUGUUACAGUGAUUCAAUUUGUGAUCCACACUUUAAUUUUCUCUUUUCCCCAAUUAUUUAUGUCAAAUUCAAAUCCAGAAGCAUGUGCUGAUUUUUUUUUUUUUGUGUUAAUCUGUGAAGUUUAUUUGGAAAGGAUGUAUCUGGGUCUAAUGGAUUAAAUUAUGACAUUGAGGAAAAGGCACUAAAGGUUUUGCUUGACACAUUUGGUCUGUGUUUACUCUGCAAUAAAUAGCUUCGCUUAUCGGAAAUCCCGAUUUGGCUGGUGAAUUUCUCAGUGACAGACAGGCAAACACCUAAACCGCUUCUAUCCAUUUUUCUGCUGGUGAGGUAAGGGGUAAAAAGUCUUCAAAAUCAUCAAAUAGUAACAUCUCUCAGAAUUCAUUUUAGAAAAAUGGAAAAUCUAGACCUGCUAGGACAAAAUGGCGUCCAGUAUCAGGAGGUACCGUUUCAAGUUUUCUUGGUAAAGAAUAUAAUAAACCUGCGCAACCAGCUAAUGGCACUUUUCUGGCAUCAAAGCCAUUGAAGUUGGAUCUAAAGGAGUUUUCCCAUGCCUGCACUGUGCAGAGAAGAAACUAAACCAAAACAAUCAAAGAAUGACCAUUUGCAGAAGGAUACGGAAGAUUUUCUAUUUAAAUUGUUAGUAGAAGGGUCCCAGCUGAACAGGGAUGUGAUUCAGGAGGUUCUCGGUAAUGUCUUAAAUAUACUGAUGCCAAUUUAAUACAUAUUGUCCUUUUCAAUGUUCUUUCUUUCUUUUUUUUUUCCCUUCUUCUUCUUUUUUCUUUUUGUGUGCAUGUGAUCACUGAUUUGGUAUUACGCUUAAGUUGCAGAUAGUUGUGGAUUUGAUAUGCAAAAGGUAAGGACUAUAUCUUCCUGAUGUAGGCCUCUGCUUUUUCCCCUUCUAUGUAAUUUAGUAAAUCACAUCUUCCUUUGUGAUUGUUAUACCAUAUCAAAGUCAAGUCUUAAAUACUGCUGUCAUAUGUUAAGGUUCAACUUGUAUUUUGAUUAACAUCCAUUUGCUGCUGCUUCCAAAAGUGAGAAUGAGAUACUUUGGUUAAUUUCAGUGGUUGAACCCAAUAGAGAACUUUAUUUAGAUCUUCAUGGUUCAAAGGCCUGAAAAAACUUCCUGUAAUUGUAAAAUGCCAUUCUGUGCUUUUUAUGCAAUAGGGAACAGGGAAGUAGAGCUUUGGAAAAGCCUGGAUUGAUAACUAUGGAGAGACUUAUUAUUUAAGUGAUGAAAAAUUCCCAUCACCCGCGGUCAAGAAAAUUUCAGAUAGUUAAAGACUCCAUUUUGCUUCAGCCAAAAAUGUUUGUUGCAAUGAAAGACUUGAACCAUUUUCAUUGAACCUGAUUGUGAUCCUUUACGUUAUGCAUGUUCCUCUCAAUCAAGAAAAGUUGAGGUCAUGAUUCUAUAUUUCUAUAUUGUAACUUGAAAUAAUAAUUGGUCUACUUGUUUCUGUAUCUUGAUAAGAUGAAUUUUCCUUCUCAAGUUAAUUUGAUCAAUAAAGUAAUUCUUCAAAGAAAAUAUGCCCAUUCUAUAAUCAUUUUCUUAGCUAAGAUGUUUUUUCUUCACUCUUCAGAGCAUGUCAAAACUAAUUGAUCGCUUGGCAGAUACUUUGGGUGAGAAGACAAAAUUUCUUGGUAAAUCCUCGGAAAAGGUAUGCAUAAUUCCCGAGUAUUAAAUAACCAAUAGUCAUAAUUUUUGUACAUGACUCUUUUUUCUCUUUUUUGUGGAGAUCAUUAAAAUUGGUUGAUGAUCCAUUUUGUAAUAUCAUAGAGGGAUCAUCAAUUCCUUCUCUUUUCUGUGGCUAGGCAACACUUUCUGGCCAAAGUAAGAAAAUCUAUUUAGGUAAUGUGAAAACCAACGGUAGGAUGUAAUAGUUUAUUAUGCACUGACAAUAACUUUUUGUAUGAUUGGCAGUUUAAUGAAUACAAGAGGAACUUUGUUGACAAAUUCAUCCAAGAUAGAUGCUAAAAUUAUUUAUGCAUGCCAGUUGCCUUAACUAAUUUUUCUUAACACUUGUAUUGAACAGGAAAAUGAAUAAACAAUCUGUAUAUUGUGCCAUUGUGGAGUAUUUGGAUAUUCUGAUUUAAGUAACAAGGAGAAUACUUGUCUCAUCUUUAAACAAUGAAUCUUUGAGAAAUGAGGAGUGGGGGAUUGGAAGUGUCUUCAUGUAAAUGUUCAUUUAUUUGUAUUUUGAACUAUUAUGAGAAUCUUAUAUGCCAAAUCAGUAAUACAAAUGUUCAGAUGAUUUUUGCUGUUGAUCAUGCAUUUGUGUCUGCACACAACCAUUGUAUAUCACUUUAUUCUGAUGUGCAGGUAUGUGUAGCUUAGAAGAAACGGAAUAAUAAUCAUCUAUUAUUGCUUGGUUCAUGAUUAUUAAACGAUUAUGGCUUUAAAAAGUCUACAAAUUCCUUCUGUUCAUAUGUGAAUGUGUGAUGGGUGUCGAAGCCAACAAAAAUAAAUUCCUACUCUAAAUAAAUUGUGUAUAGUGAUUGAGCAGGGUCGUGUCCACAGAGAUCGGUAAUUAUUUAAAUCCUUUUGAAACGUAAAACGUAAAAUGGGGGAAUUGUUGACAAUAAUAAAAAUCAAAUUAAAAUAACAAGAAUGCAAAUUAAAGUUGUAAUUCAAAUUGGAGAAAGCUCUGGUUGAAGGAAUUAACUCAGCUUGAUUCGACUACUGAUCAUUGAUUCAAAUAUAGAUUAUUAUUACUCAUGAAUAGACCGGUUAUAGCUACUGAGACCCUCGAAUAGCCAAUCUCUCCUUAACUAGUCGAUAACCAAGGUACGACCGUUGGUUAUUUCCCUAAUCAAUAGACAACCCUAGAUACGAUCAUAGGAUUUAAUCAAUUGACAGCCUGAAAAAUCAGAGAGACCCAAAUCCUAAUCAACACAUAUGAUGAUUCAUUUAAAUUAGAUUGUUUAUUCUCACAACACAACUCUCUGCUAUGUUAUUUGUCACAAACAUUAAAUUCUUCAUACGAUGAAUCCUUUAAUUGACAAUAGAUUAAGUUGAUAAUUAAAUAGUGGCCAAUUACCUAAUUAACAAACAUAAUCAUGAAACUAAUUCAGAGAAUAAACAAAUACCCAAAAAGUAAUAAAACAAUUAAAGCAUAAGAAAGAUCUCACAGUAGUGAUGAAUCAAAGCUUCAUUAUCCUUCAACCAGAAAAAUAAGUUUAGUUCUUCAUAGAGAGAAGAGAAAAAUUAGAUCUAGGGUUUCUUUCUUUGUCUCCAAUCCAAAAAUCCCCCUUUUUCACAAUAGAUUCCUCCCUUAAAUACUCUCUCUCUCUUCUCUUUUAGAAUUCUAUUUAAAAUAAAAUACUAAUAUCUUAAAUAUUAAAUUCGUAAUUACAAAAAUAGCCAAAAAUACAAAACACGUUAAACUAAAAACUGCAGGUCCGCAGUUGACAGCACGCGCCCACGCCUUAUCAACAAAGUUCUUCUGACGCUCAUAAUUUCUCCAAGAGAACAAUCCUCCUUAAACAUCAUCUUUUAGCUCAAUUUUAUCACCAAUCAAUAGAAUUGCACCUACAAAAGUAAAACACAAGUAAAAUAUUAUUAUUAAGUGCAAAACAUCGAUAUUAAGGGAAGUAAAUAAUGCAAAACUAGUGCAUAAAUUGCACUCUAACAAAUUCCCCCACACCAAGACGAUGCUUGUCCUCAAGCAUAUAACUCAAGAUUAAUCCCAAAUCUCCACUCAAUUCUCAUCUCAACUCAUCCAAAAAUAAUUUUAAGCAAGCAUACCUCAAGAAAUUAAGUCGAUCAACAUUCGAGAGACAAGGAUUUUAAAGCAUAGAAUUUCAUAAGAUAGAAUAAGAACAUUCAACCACCAAGAAGAUCCAUUCAAAAUUCAAGUGCAACAAGAUUUAAUAGCCCUCUCAAUAACUUCACUCCAUGCACUCAAAGUGUUUAGGGUGUCAUUUAUUCACUCAAAUCAAAUCAAAGAAUGCUAUUACCAUAAGCUUGCUCAUAUAUCACAUCUCAAUCCACAAAACAUGAAUAAAAUGCAAAAAUCUAAGGGUCUUAAAAGGGUUGUAAUGGGGUUAAAUGGGUUAAAUGAAAAAGAAAGGUUUACGAAAGAAAACAAAAAUCAAAAUGAGAAGAAUGAACUCAUUGAAUGAACUUAUGAUAUCAAAAUGCUUAUUUCUACUCAAGUCACCAAGAAUGUAAACAUUUUUUUUUUCAAUUUUUUUUUUCGAUUUUUUUUUUCUUUUUUUUUUCUCUUUUUCCUUUUCUUUUCUUUUUUUUUUUUUUUUGAAUCAAACAAAAGAAAUGAACCUUGCACAAUUUAAUUCAAGCAUAAUGCUUGUUGAUCUAAUUGAGAAACUUUAAUACAAGGUAGAAAAAGCAACAAAAUAUAUCCACACAAUGAGUCCAAAAAUCUCCUUAAAUUGAGGCUCAAAAAGAAGAAAAAUGGUUAAGUAGACGGAGAGAAUUAGAUGGGUAAUGGUUAAGGCUCAAACAAAGGUAGCAAAUAAAGGUCUUCGGGUAGAGAAAAAGGAAAAAGCGAGAAUAGAAAAAUGGUAAAUUGUUUGCCCUUAUUAUUUUAAUGCCUAAAAUCCCGUAAUGUGGCUUCAACAUGCAUAACAAAGCAAGUUCUAGAAUAAACAAACUAGGAUUGAUAUUCACAUAACAAAAAUAAUUAGAGCAAAGUGGUUGCUCAUAGGCUCAAAUCCUCACAAAGUUGGUAAAUUUGCCAUCAAAUCAUGUACACUCUUCAAAUGAAUCAACCAUCAAUAGUGGUGUAGAAUGGGAAGAAGGUAUGAGUGAAGGAAAGGUAAAAAUGAUAAGAAGUGAGAAAGAUGUAUGUAGUAAUAUGAAAAGUGAAAGAUAAAAUGUGAGUGAUGAAAGAGUAUGAUAGAAUAAAAAUAGAUGUAAAUAAUUUGAGAUAGAUGGGAAAAAAGUAGUGAGAAAGAAAAGAAAAGAAAAAUAAUAAUAUAUGAAGCAUACUAACUCCAAAAUCAUUUAAGGAUGAGUAGAGUGAAAACAAUAAUUCCAGACAUCAAUAAUGCAAAAAUCCCUCCCCCACACCAAGAACUUACAUUGUCCCCAAUGUAAGAUAAUUAAAGCUCACAUAAAAAUUAAAGCGCAAGGAUAAAAGAUUAAAGGCAAAAAAAACUUCCCUGAAUUGUGAGCUUUGAUCCACAUAACGUCUAUGGUUGCGUUGCGAUUGCUGCUCGGCUGGAGCUUGCUUGAUGGGCGCGGGAUGGAGCUGAUUGUGUUACGCGCGCGCGCUGGGGCUGCUGGAUCUGCGCGCUGCGUGGGCUGUGUUGCGCGCGAGAGCAGGGCUGACGCUGGUUUUGCGCGCUGCUGGGCGAAGGCUGGAUCUACGCGCGCGGUUUGCUGCUUGCUAGACGCGGGAUGCUGGUGCUGCUGGUUGCGUUGCAGGUGGGACUGAUGCGGUUGCUGCUGGUUCUGCGCGCUGGAGCUGAGGGUUGCUGCGGGAAAACGAUAAUCAACAGUGAAUUUUUUUGAAUUAGGGAUUUGUGAACAGUGAUUUGUGAUUUUUGUGUUUUUUUUUGUGUUUUUUUUUUAAAUAAAUAAAGAAAAUAUAUAUAUAUAUAUAUAUAAGAAAGAAAAGAAGGAAAAAAAACUUUUUUUUUUCGUUUUUUUUAUAAAUAAAUAAAAAAUAUAUAUAUAAGAAAAGAAAAUAAGGAAAAAAAAACUCUUUUUUUUUUUUUUUGAAUCACUUUGAGACACUAAAAAUUUCAGAAGUACUUUUCUAAUAAGCACGUAGGCACGCCUUAAAACUAUUUUACUUUAAAAAUUACAGAAGUACUUAUUAGUUAAGACGUGGGCACGCCUUAUCAAAAAUUUUCUUCUGACCAAAAUAAGCAAACACAUUAUUUAAAAAAAAAAAUAUGAAUCAAAAUUAAAAGAAGAUAUAACAAAAACCAAAAUAAAUAAAUCAUUUGGGUUGCCUCCCAAAAAGCGCCUUUGUUUUAUGUCUUUGGCUAGACACAUUUAUGCAUCAAUCUCCAUAAUUAGGACUCUCGAGAGCCACAUCCUCCACAAUAUUCACCGAAAAACCUUCAUAAAAAGGUUUUAAGCGAUGACCAUUAACCUUAAAAACUUUGUCAGAGGUCGGACUCCGAAUUUCAACUGCACCAUGAGGAAAAACAUUAGUAACAAUAAAAGGUCCAACCCAGCAAGAACGUAAUUUACCCGGAAAAAGUUUAAGCUUAGAAUGAAAAAGAAGAACUUUUUGACCAACAGAGAACUCCUUUCUCAAAAUCAUUCUAUCAUGAAAUGUCUUCGUCUUUUCCUUGUAAAAAAUUUCCUGCGCUAUAGGGUUAAUAACAUCCACAGAAAAUACCGAAUGUUCCUCACUAGGAUAUUUCAUGGCAUCAUUCAUAUUGAAUUCUAUAACCUCUCCAUCAAACUCCAUAGUGAGAGUCCCUUUAUGUACAUCCAUUUUAGUCCUAGCAGUCUUAAGAAAAGGUCUUCCUAGCAAAAUUGGGACAGAAUUAGAGGAGUUAUCCUCUUCCAUAUCAAGUACAUAAAAAUCAGCAGGAAAAACCAACUCAUUAACUUGUACUAAGACAUCUUCUAAUACCCCAUCAGGAUAUGCAUUAGACCUAUCAGCUAGUUGAAUUAUCACGCCAGUUUCUUUUAAUGGACCAACAUUCAAAGAUGAAUAAAUGGAACGAGGCAUGACAUUAAUAGAAGCUCCUAGAUCUAACAUAGCCUUUUCAACUCUAACACUACCAAUUUUACAAGGGAUAGUAAACAUACCUGGAUCCUUGCACUUACGAGGUAGUUUCUUUUGGAGAACUGCUGAAACAUUCUCCCCCAUGUGAACUUUUUCAUCUCCUCUUAAUUUUCUCUUGGAGGUGCACAGUUCCUUAAGGACUUUAGCAUAUCGAGGUAUUUGUUUUAUAGCAUCUAAUAAAGGAAUAUUUACCUCAACCUUGCGAAAUGUCUCAAGGAUGUCUUUCUCUUGUUCCUCCUUCUUGGAUUUUGCAAAUCGGCUUGGAAAAGGAGGAGGUAUCACAAUAGGUAGGGGUUUAGCUCUGGUGGGUUCCGCAUCAUGAGAUUGAGGCAUCAAUUCAUUCUUCUCAAGUUCAUCUUCUACAUGCUUUGUCACUUUCUUACUAGGCUCUUGCAACUCCGUCCCACUUCUAAGAAUGACAGCACUAACGUUUUCCUUUGGAUUCACCUCAGAUUGUGAAGGCAAUCUCCCCAAUACUUGAGACUCCAGACGGCUCACUGUAGUCGCCAAUUGACUCAUUUGGUUCUCCAAGUUCUGAAUGCUUGCUGUAGUUGCCUGCUGAAAUUGUUGAGUGUUAGUCGCAAGUGAUUUAACAAUUUCUUCAAGAGAUAUACCUGACUUGGAGUUUGACUGUGGAAGUGCUGGUUGUCUUGGUGGAUACUGUUGUGGGAAUCCUGAUUGCCUAACUCCAUAGCUGAAGUUGGGAUGAUCCUUCCAUCCCGGAUUGUAUGUUUGUGCAUAAGGAUCAUACCUCCUCUGAGGCAUGCCUGGAAAUCCUCCAAUUGCAUUGGCUUGUUCAACGGGUUCUUCUUGAAGUGUAGGACACAUAUCAGUUGAAUGACCCAUAUUGUAACAAAUGCCACAAGUCUUCACCUGUUGCACAUUACCUACAACAAACUUUUCCACAAGAGAAGUAAGUUUAUCUAAACGUUGUUCAACAGAAGAAAUAUUUACCUCAUUCACCGUUCUUGAAGUGGCAUCUUGUCUGCUGCCAAAUUGUUGUGCAUUGGCAGCCAUAUUUGAGAUCAACUCCCUUGCUUGAGUAGGGGUCUUGUUCACCAACACACCUCCACUAGCAGCAUCUAUCAUACUCCUAUCCAUCAAUGAUAGUCCUUCGUAAAAAUAUUGAAUAAGAAGUUGAUCAGAGAUCUGAUGCUGAGGACAACUGGCACACAAUUGUUUGAAUCGCUCCCAAUACUCAUACAAAGUCUCCCCAGGAAGUUGUCUGAUCCCACAAAUAUAUUUUCUGAUGUUGGCAGCUCUUGAAGCAGGAAAGUACUUCUCAAGGAACUGCUUCUUCAAACCAUUCCACGUUGUAAUCGAUCCAGGAGGCAAGUAGUACAACCAAUCUUUAGCUAGCCCAUCUACAGAGAACGGAAAAGCACGCAGCUUAAUCUGCUCUUCAGUCACGCCUUGUGGUCUCAUACUUGAACACACAACAUGAAACUCCUUAAGAUGUUUAUGAGGAUCUUCACCUGCAAAACCAUGAAACUUGGGUAAUAAAUGAAUAAGACCAGACUUUAAUUCAAAAUUUACCUCCAAAUCUACAUAUUGAAUGCAGAGUGGUUGCUGAUUCAAGUCUGGUUCAGCUAACUCUCUAAGAGUUCUUUCUACAGGUGCAGGUCUAUUCAUCACUUGUUCUUCCGAAUCACUAGAUGAUUCAACUAAAUCAGGCACUGUAUCUGUUUCAGAAAGCAAAGGCGACGAGGAUCGUUGCUUAGCUCGCUUCGUCUGCUGUCUCAGCUGGCGAGCUGUCUUCUCAAUUUCGGGAUCAAACGAAAGUGUACCUGUACGAGAAGAACGAACCAUACACAAAGUAAAACGUAAAAAGGAUUAAAUAAAUGACACCAAUCCCCGGCAACGGCGCCAAAAUUUGAUGGGUGUCGAAGCCAACAAAAAUAAAUUCCUACUCUAAAUAAAUUGUGUAUAGUGAUUGAGCAGGGUCGUGUCCACAGAGAUCGGUAAUUAUUUAAAUCCUUUUGAAACGUAAAACGUAAAAUGGGGGAAUUGUUGACAAUAAUAAAAAUCAAAUUAAAAUAACAAGAAUGCAAAUUAAAGUUGUAAUUCAAAUUGGAGAAAGCUCUGGUUGAAGGAAUUAACUCAGCUUGAUUCGACUACUGAUCAUUGAUUCAAAUAUAGAUUAUUAUUACUCAUGAAUAGACCGGUUAUAGCUACUGAGACCCUCGAAUAGCCAAUCUCUCCUUAACUAGUCGAUAACCAAGGUACGACCGUUGGUUAUUUCCCUAAUCAAUAGACAACCCUAGAUACGAUCAUAGGAUUUAAUCAAUUGACAGCCUGAAAAAUCAGAGAGACCCAAAUCCUAAUCAACACAUAUGAUGAUUCAUUUAAAUUAGAUUGUUUAUUCUCACAACACAACUCUCUGCUAUGUUAUUUGUCACAAACAUUAAAUUCUUCAUACGAUGAAUCCUUUAAUUGACAAUAGAUUAAGUUGAUAAUUAAAUAGUGGCCAAUUACCUAAUUAACAAACAUAAUCAUGAAACUAAUUCAGAGAAUAAACAAAUACCCAAAAAGUAAUAAAACAAUUAAAGCAUAAGAAAGAUCUCACAGUAGUGAUGAAUCAAAGCUUCAUUAUCCUUCAACCAGAAAAAUAGGUUUAGUUCUUCAUAGAGAGAAGAGAAAAAUUAGAUCUAGGGUUUCUUUCUUUGUCUCCAAUCCAAAAAUCCCCCUUUUUCACAAUAGAUUCCUCCCUUAAAUACUCUCUCUCUCUUCUCUUUUAGAAUUCUAUUUAAAAUAAAAUACUAAUAUCUUAAAUAUUAAAUUCGUAAUUACAAAAAUAGCCAAAAAUACAAAACACGUUAAACUAAAAACUGCAGGUCCGCAGUUGACAGCACGCGCCCACGCCUUAUCAACAAAGUUCUUCUGACGCUCAUAAUUUCUCCAAGAGAACAAUCCUCCUUAAACAUCAUCUUUUAGCUCAAUUUUAUCACCAAUCAAUAGAAUUGCACCUACAAAAGUAAAACACAAGUAAAAUAUUAUUAUUAAGUGCAAAACAUCGAUAUUAAGGGAAGUAAAUAAUGCAAAACUAGUGCAUAAAUUGCACUCUAACAAUGUGCCAAGUUUGCUAUAUCUUAGAUUAUCUUCUUCCAAGAUAACAAGUUCAUAUUCUUUUUAAUCUUUUUCCAUCACAGUUGACUUUUAGGUGUUAAGAUUUGUUAUUAGUCCCCUGUUAUUAUGAUUUCAUAAACAGUGUACGGAUAUGUGCUCUAACUUUGGAGGACCUCCACGUGAAAGAAAAUUGCAACAAUUGAAUUCUUCCGGAGGGUAUGGUCUUUAAUUUAUUUUCUCAACUUCUCGUAAGAUUAAUAUAUUUCAUUCAGUAGGCACAGCAUGGGGGGAAGGGUUUUUAUUGAAAGAAUUCUGAUAUUUCUUAGACUUCGUUUUGGAAUGGGGUGGAGGGAUUUCUCAUCCAUGUAUGGUUACUUGAUUAGCUUUUGACUGUAUUUCCUCAGUCAUGUAAAGGAAGAUCCAAAUACCAACGAAGGAAAAUUGCCUAGACACCCGAAAGACAGAAAUGAGCUACAGAAGCAAGUUUUAGCUACUUUAUUUAGUGCUCCUGAGAAAUCUGAUGGAGACCGAAUGGAGGUCCAAAGCACUGGGAAAGGUAGUGAGUGAACCGCCGGAGGAGUUGGCACCGGAAUGCAAGGCUAAUGUGGUGCACUUGCAGCAAGAUAACCAAACCGGUAUGUGCUCUUAUAUUAACUAUACUGACAGGAUUUGUGAGUGUGUGCAUUUUUUUGUGUAUACUCUUGUAUUUAUGCAUAUUAAUGUGUGUAGGAAUUUCUGCCACUUACUGGAGAACUAGUGGAAAGCUUUAUACCGAUAUAUCUGCAAUAACUAAUUGGAAACUAUGAUAUUAAUAUUUUCUCUCACCUGAGGAACUGUGUAACAGAUAUACUUUGUGGCUCUGGAAUACUAGAGAUUCUGCAAUAACUAAUGGAAACUAUGAUAUGAAUAUUUUAUCUCAACUGGAGAACUUUGUAACUUGUAGCUCUGGAAUGUCUAAGGAAUUUUGUCUGCUUCAGUUAGAUCAAAUAUCUUUUAGUUGCAUACAUUAUAGAAAAAGAUAAAGUUCUCUGAAUCUGAAAGACUGAAACAUUUUGUAUAUUUUGUGAAAGGGAAAUAUCUGUAUAUACUAGUUCAUGCAUUGAGGUAACAUCAAUGUUAAAGAAAAACAGCAAUAAGUUAUUAUGUGGAACAAGGUUCACUUGCUUUAAAUGCUGGUCUGGUCAACCAUAUGAACCUGUAAGUUCUGCAGAAAUAUAUAUAUGGGGAGAAACUAGCUAAAUUUUCCGUUCAUUGAUGGCUUUGGUCAUUUUUUUCCCCUUAUUUUUCAGCUUUCCUUCUCCUGAAGUAUGUCAACAACUGCAGAUAAUGAUGAAGAGGACAGCUUGCAGGCUCUUCUUAGAGCCAUGAUGGAAUAUAGGGGCACAAUGAAGGAACAUUGCAAAGCUGUAGGUUCUUUUUCUCCUGUCAUUUAUGUUUUCUCACACAUUUUUUAUAUGCUCCAAGCAUGCAAUUUUGUAUGUGUCAACUGCUUCCUAAGUUUUAAAAACCAUAAUGUAAGAAUACAGUUCUUUGUCAGGUUAUUGAUGCAUUUGCUCAGGGGGAUCAUGUUCGAGCAGGAAAACUUCUAGAGCUGACAAGGUUUUCCAUCUACAGCCAUCUAUUGACAACAGAUACAUUUUCAUUCAGCAAACACUGUUAGCAUUCAAGAUACUGGCAGAUUCACUUGAUUCUUAUUAGUUUGUUUAGUAGCAAAGCAUAUAACCUGUAUUUCAAAGCCAAGUUGUGCUAUUGAUUAUGUUAACUUUAUUGUUCACAUAAAGUGAUAUGGAGGAAAUAAUCAAUGUAGGAAAAUUAGGUGAAGAGAUGAUGUCACAUCUUGAACCUCUUACAAAGCUCCAAGUUCUUUACUUGAAGAAGCCGCCAAAUUUGAAGAGCGUCUACUGGAAGGCAUUUCCAUUCCCAGAUGUAUGCAGAAUUUUUGUAUUAAUGCCCAGUUCUUAAGAAGCUGCCACUGGACUUUCAAAGGCGGGCCAAGGUAAAAUUCUUAUCGAGGGAAAGGAAGAUUGGUGGAAACAACUUCAAUCGGAGGAUCAAGUAACUCAGAAUGCAUUGCUUCCAUUUUUAAAAUCAACUGACAAGUGAUUGAAGGGGGCAUCAUCAACAUCAUCAACAUGGAUGGAGAGAUUCAGGAGCAGAUCAGCAGGGUUUAGUACGACCUGUGGUGGUUUCUUUUUUGUGACUUUUUUCCCUUUCAUUUUUUCACUUCCUGUCAUAUUAUCAUUUCUGUCUCUGUUUCUAUUGCUGUUGUUGCUGCAUGCUUGCUGUCCUUGACAAAGUUAGCUAGUUUUUUUGUUUAUUAAAUUUUUUAUGUUCGGGACAUCCUUGACAAAGUUAGCUAGUUUUUUUGUUUAUUAAAUUUUUUAUGUUCGGGACAGUCACAAAGUACUACUUGUUCUAUAAGGGGGUGAUGUGAAUCAACUUUUCAAUUAUAUAUUCUGUGGUAAUUGUGAAUUCAAUUUCAUUUGUCUCCUGCAAAUUAUGAAGAAAGUGCAGAGUUACAAUAUGGAAAAGUUCACUGGCAAAUACUUUGUAAAAGCUUCGGAGUGAAACAGGGAAUGCACUUGCAACUAAGGACAAAUUGGUGGCCAGCUAAUGCAUUCAUUUUAUGUACAUUCAUCUUUUUAAUUAUUGAAGAUAAGUGGUUCGUCGCUUUUGUUGUAGAUAAAAUUCAGACGAUCUCCAUUGUGAAAUGAUAAUAUUUAAAAUAUCUCUUAAAUUAUAAUAAACUUUAAUUUAUCUUAAUUUUAUUUAAAAGAUAAAAGAAAAAUGUGGUAUAUCGAUAAUUUUUUUAUCUUCUUAAUAAAACGAAGUAAAUUAAAAUUUAUAAUAAUUUAAAAUAUUUUAAAGAUUAUUAUUUCAUAAGAGAGUAAUAUGAAAUUAAUCCUUUUUACUUUUUGAAUGUGAAAGAUCAAGAAAAGAGAAAGUAAGUGUCCUUGCUUUUUAUUUUAAUUGAAAUCGGAGUCAUCCCAUAUACUUUACUCCUUUAGCUCUCUCCUCAAGGUGAGAUGCGUGAGUUGGGUGAAGAUUUGGUGAGUGUUGUGAUAUGCGUGCUACUUUGAGAAUUUAUAGAUAGCACAAAACGCAGCGUUCUGUGUUAAUUGUGGUUCUUACUGUGGUAAGAAUCUCAUUUUCUUAUUUCAACAGGUUUACCAGAAGAAAAAUCCCUCAGAUCACAUCACUGCCUUUUCUCUCAUUUUCUCUCUCUAUAUUUUCUAAUACAUUCUACAUAUUUUUCAUGUCCUCACAUACUUGUAUUUCAAAUGCAAUAGAUGUGUUUAUAUAGAGGCUAAUGAGAGUGAUUAAAGUUAACUAAAAAACUUCUAUGUAAAAUAAACUUCUAUGUGUUUAAAACCAAUAAAAUAGUAAGUAUAGCAGCCCUUUUUACAAUAAUGAAGUGAAAAUUAAUUUAGCAAGAUAUUUUCUUAAUUUAUACUUUCUUUUUUGAAGUUUUUAUUUUCUAUGGUCAAUUAUACCGUUUACAAUUUCUUUUGAUCUAACUACAACUAAAUUUUUGGUUUAAGGAUUCUUAUUUGGGAGUAUUAAUAUGUGAGCGAACGCUUGGAUACUGCUCAAUGAUAUCUAAUCAAUAGCUGGAAACAAUCGAGAAGGCGGUCGCAGCUGUGCACAAACAGCUUUGGUAAAAUUUUUAAACAGAGUUGACAUGCUAUUCUGAGAUUUGGUUCAUUACUUUGUAUGAUUUUUUCUCAAGCAUGUUAUGCCGAAAUGAACAAUUAAAAAAGAAGAAGGAAAAGUUAGGGUAAAAUUUUUACUAAAUCAUUUUUUAUUAACUAUUUAUAUUAAACAAAUGGAACAAGAAUUGUAGUCAUUCGUCAUAAGCGUGCUAAUAUGAUAAUUCUCUGACUACCAUUUUCUAUUUACCCCUUUUGCAGCAGGGAAUCCAAAUUUUGAAUUGUCCAAUGAUCCACAAUCAAUCCAAUGGUCCAAAACUUUUGGUCGUUAUGCGAAAAAUUUUCCCAAUUUUGGGCCAAUAUUCUAACAAGUUUUAUUGAAGGGCUGGACUAUUGGCACCCCUCUAAAAUUUCCUUAAAACCCCUUUUCUAUUACAAUUACAUUUAAAGAUAAAAAUAAUUACCAAUUCAUCUAUUUUAAUAUUUUAUCCCUCUUCAAACUUUUCUAUUUUCUUCUCAUCAAAAUUUUUCCCUCAAAUUCUCUGUAUUUUUUUGUUUUAUUCAUUUAUUAACAUAUUCUUUUUAUUAUAACAAAUCCAAAUUUUCAAGCAAAAUUAUAGUACAAUAUUGAUUGUUGUUUGCUUUAUUAGAAGGGACUUUUUAGCUGAGGAAAUAAAAACUGUAUAUUUGGUUUCUUCUAACUGCUCGUUGACGAUAGUCACGGCAUCCUGCACAUUUCUAAUGACUUCCUUUAGUAUGUUCUGCUUCUACCUCAUUAGUUCCAAAUAGCUUCUGUUAUCCCAUGCGUACUUCUUAAAAAUAACUUCUGCUAUUUUUUUAAUUAAUUAUUUGAAUCUUGGAGUUUUCUUUUUUAUCUUUUCCACAAUUUUUCAUUCGGAUUUAUUCAUAAUCAUACUAAAACUUUUUACAUUAUAAUUCUAAAGAUAUUGAAUCUAAUUCACUAAUUUGUAUUAAGAAGUUUAUCGCAUAAAUUUUGUGUGGAGAUUGAUAUAAUAAGACUCUAAAAUAAUUUUAGAAAUAAGAAAAUAUUAAGAAAUCGAAAGAUUAACAAAUUAGAAAUAAGGGUAAUUCUGACAUUAAAUGAAAUAUUAGGGACAAAGGAGUUUUUAGAGGAUUUUAACGGGUGCCAAUAGUUCAACUCUUUAUUGAAAUAAAAGGGAGAGGAUCGUUAAAUUGAAAAGUCCAUUUUAUUAUCAAGUGUUUUAAAUUAGUGCAACGUGACAAUUUUUACUGAUGAUAUCUUCUAUUUUUUUCAUAUAAAAUUAAUGUUAUUUUACUUACAAAUAUAAACUCCUAAAUAUUUGUAGUAGAUUUGAAGUUGAGCCCAUGAAACGGUAAUGAGGAAUUAAUGAGACUGAGGAUCUGCAAUUUAGUCAUGAAAAAUUUGUAAUUAAGCACGACUAAAUUUCAAUUUUCUCUUUGUAAUUUCUUUGGGUGCCUGAAAUUUUUUCUCCCUUAAUUUUCUGAUUACAAGUGCAUAAUUGUAAGUGCAACCGAUUUUAUUUUCAGGGAAUACUAUCGGACGGUGUGGAUAUAUAUAUAUAUAUAUAUAUAUAUAUACGAGAAAUGUUCCAAUUCAGAAUUUUAAAGUGUAGGAACGUCUGGGAAAACGCAUAAACCGUGCAGUUUAAACGCUUUAAGUUUUAAGCCUUUAAAACCCCGCAGUUUUAAAGUUUUCCUAGAUGUUUUCCGCACUUUAUGAUCCCGGACUAGAAAACUACUAUAUAUAUAUAUAUUAUCUGCUCGGUGAAAAGUUUUUUAAUCCGAGCUUAGAAUCUAGGAUUAAAAUUAUGAAAAAAAUUUAAGUAUUACACACACACACACACACUAUUCGGUCAUUUUUUUUUAAAAUCUGAGUUUAGAUGUAGAAUUAAAGUUCGAAAUGAAUUUACUGUGUUAUAAAUCAAUUUUUACAAUGUUGUAAAUUGAUUUAUGAUAUUAAAAAUCCAUCUUAAAUUUUAAUCUCAGAUUCUGAGUUUGGAUCUAAUAAACACUCUCUCCGAUUAUGUUGUCUAUAAUUUUGCAUUCAAAGAAACUUCACGAAAAAUAUAAUAUCAUGUGUAGCCCUAGAAACUUUAAUAACAAUAAAAAAGAUAUCAUAAGAAAAGAAAACUCAUAAUUGUUCAGAUAUUUAUAAAUUGGUGGCCGUUGGAAAUUUAACUGCAAGUGCCAAUCCGAGAAAAGUCUUCGUGCAGGAAAGACUUUUAGCCAUACGUUCUUCCAAGUCAAAUGAAACAGUGGAUGUACAAAGAAUAAGACAUGUCAUUCAGCUGCAGAUUUCAUGGCCAGUAUGACUCAUUCAGUCCCUUAUGGGUUACAUGUUUUUGAUAGCCCGCCUGUGGGUAUUUAUUCAAUUAUUUUACAAGACAUAUUUGGGGUUGCUAAACCCCGUAUGGUUCUGUCUUAGCUCGUUUUAUUGAGCCCAUUUUAAUCAAAAAAAAAAAAAUAAUAAGACAUGUCAUUCAUUGUUUGUUUGCUGCAUUCCCUCUCAUUUUCUUAAUUAUUGAAGACAGGUUGCUCAUAGCAUGUACUUUUCAAAUGUGGAACCGCAGCUAAUGUCACUAUUUUAAUUUGGAAUUAAAUUAGGGCCCAUCUAUAAAAUUUAUAACAUUAUAUUGCAGUGUGAACUAACUUUUAUGUUUAUCUAAACACCUUAAAUUUAAGGCAAAUUAUGGCAUAAAUAAGAAUUAAAACAGAACACUUAUGAUGUAUAGCAAAAGAGUUGUGAUGAAGAUCUUGAAGAAAUAUAAUAUUAGCGCCGAAUUAAGUAACUAAGAACACCCCUGAACUGAAUAAUGGUUAUCAAAAUUGUGUUACUUGCACUCCUAUUUACUAAAAGUCUGGUUCUGUUCCAUUUGAGUUUUUAUCUUCAAAUUUCAAAAUCUUGCUAAGUUUUGACAACAAAAAGGCUCAGUUUGCUUGUUCUAUAUUUGUAUUAUAUGAAUCCAAAUUUUUGUGUUCUAUUUUCUCAAUUUUGAAUACAAAUUCUUUUCUUCUCCCACAAACCAGAAAGAAAUGCUGUAUUAAAAAAAAUGGAAAUAAAUUCAUUACAACAAAAAUUAGGAAAAAUAAUACAAACCAAAUUAGGAUAAAUAACAUCACUUUCUAGAGAAGCAGGCAAAAAUGGAAAAUGAUAUUUCAAUUCUUCAAGAUCCCAAAUCUCUGUUUCUAAAUUUUCUUUCAUGUUGCUUCUCGCAUAGAAUCAUUUGGUAUUAAUAAAAUUUUUACUUAUUAAACAAAAGUUUUUAAAAUUUUUUUUAUUCCUGCUGUUAAUCUAUGAAUGGUUUCAUUGUUGGAGUUUCUUUCAGAAGACAAGAAUACUUUGGUUAAGUGUUUGGCUAAGUACUAAAUUAAAGGUUGUUAGAUAGAAGAAAUUAAAAAAAAAAAAAUCCUAACCCUUUUAUUCAGUGUUUAAUCAGCAAAUAUUCAACUCAACAUGAAUCUUAAUCAUCUUUAAAAAAAAAUUAUUCAAUUUUCUAAUAAUAUUUAUUCAGGUACUAGAAGUUAAAACCCUACUUACAUGGAUGCGUGGCCAUCGGUCCAAUUUAAAAAAAAAGAGAGAAAAAAUAAAUGUAAUCCAUGAAUUUGGUUAAUUUUCCUUUGUUUGUUUGUUUCUGUUCUCCCCCCCCCCCCCCCCCCCACCCCCUUUUCAAUAUCAUUCCUUUUUGGCCGCCCAAGGACAUUUUCACAAAUACCUUUUGUGCAUAAGUCUUUUAAACCAUCAAUCGGAAGAAACAUGCUUCCAGUGAUACCUCCAAUUAUCAUUGAUGACUUUUCUUACUCUAAUGCUAUGUCAAUUCCAACAUUUGUAUGUUAAUAUAACAUAAUCAAUGAUUUGGAUAAUUGAUGACUUUUACAGAUUGUGGAUUCUUGCGGAUUUUCAAUCUAAUCCAAUCCACCAAUUCACAAAUUCAGAUUUUUACGGAUUAAAUUUUUACAGAUCAGACGAAUUGAGCAGACUAGAUUGGAUUUUGAACAUUGCUAAUUUGUAUGUUAAUUAUAAGAUAAUCAAUUAUUUGGAUAAUCCCUUGUGUUUUAUCUCUAAUUAGAACAUCAAUCUUCACAAUAUUUACAAUGCUACAAUGGCUAUAAACAAAACCUGCUUGCAAAUUGUCAAGGAUACUUAUCCUUUCGCUUGACAAGUCAUUUGGAAAAAUAUUGUCCCUUGGCGGCUCCAUGUCUUCCCCGCCCUUCCUUUUGGUCUUAAUGUACGGUUGCUUAAUGAUAGUUUAGGCCCUUUAGGGACUACUUUCCCUGGUGUUGUUAAGUCUUAGCUUGUGCUAGGCUCGUUUUUCUUACCAAAAGAAAAGGAAUACUUCUCCUAUAAGAAAUAAUCUCUAUAUAUAGGGUGGUUGGAUUCACUUGUUUACAUAACAGAUCAAUUAGUUCUCUGUAAAUAGAGAGUUUCAAGUAUGAAAGAAACGGUAGGUCUAUUGAGAGAUUAUGUGUUAUUAGGAUUUUGGUUGUGAAGAAAAGUACUAGAGUGAUUGUGUUAAUUUUCUACGUAGUUGAUUUUUCUAUCGUCAUCUUUGUGGCUGUGAUUUUUCUUUCAUAUAGAAGUUUCCCACGUAAAUUGUUAUGUUAUGUGAUUAGUUUUGAUAUUUUAUUUGUAAGAUGUUGGAUGGGAUUAAAAGUUCAUAUUACUGCUAGAUGAUAUAUGGGAGCGGGUUGAUUUAGUAAAAAUGGGUGUCCCUCUUCCUAGAUCAGAAAACAACACAUCUAAAGUGAUAUUUACAAACCCGUUCUAAGGAAGUUUGCAGCUUAAUGGAAGCUCGUAGGAGUUUUAAAGUGGCGUGCUUAUCAAAUAAAGAUGCUUAGGAAUUGUUUCGAUACAAAGUUGGGGAAGAAACUUUGAACAAUCAUCCUGAUAUCCUUGAGCAAGCACAAUAGUUGUUAAGGAGUGUGGUGGUUUGCCACUUGCACUUUUUACCAUCGGCCGAUCUAUGGUGUGCAAGAAGACAUAGCCGAAGAAUGGAGAUAUGCUAUUCAAGUGUUCACUUCGUCCGCUUCCCAUUUCCAGGUCUGGAAGAAGGGAUAUAUACUCUUGUAAAUUCAGUUAUGAUAGUUUACCCAAUGACACAAUUACACCUUGUAUGUUAUAUUGUAGUUUAUAUCCAGAAGAUUGUUGCAUUUCUAAAGAGAAUUUCGUAUAUUGUUAGAUUAGUGAAGGAUUUUUGAAUGAAAGUGAUUGGUUUGGAGAAAAAAAUCAAGGAUAUUUCAUUUUGGGCAUUCUUCUUCAUGGUUUUUUUUUUUUUGGAAAAGGGAGGAGAUUGUGAAGUGAAAAAUGCAUGCAUGACGUUAUUCGUGAUAUGGCUUUGUGGAUCGCAUGCGACCAUGAGAAGGAGAAGGAGAACUUUUUGGUUUAAGCUAGUGUUGGUUUAACUAAGGUACCAGAUAUUAGAGAUUGGGAAAAGGUGAGGAGAUUGUCAUUGAUGAAAAAUAAAAUUGAGAAUCUAACUGAGGCUCAUACAUGCCCUCAUCUCCUCACUUUCUUUCUUGAUGAUAAUGAGUUUCGAAAGAUCCCCGAUGACUUCUUCCAGUUUAUGCCUUCUCUCACUGUUUUAAACUUGUCACAUAUUAAACUAAAGUCAGUUCCUUUAGGGACUUCAAGGUUGGUUCCACUACAACAACUCGAUCAUUCAUAUUCAAGCAUAAAAGAGUUGCAAGAAGAGUUAAAUGCCUUGAUUAAAGUUAAAUGCUUGAAUAUAGAUCAUGUAGAAGAGCUAAUUACAAUUCCACAACAACGAAUAUUUAAUUUUUAAGGUUAUAUGUGUUGAGAAUGUUCGAUACUAUUAGUUUAAAUUUUCAAGAAGCAUUAAAUAAAGACAGUAUUUUAUUUGGUGGGAGUUAAAGAAACAGAAAAUAAGUGUUUGGCUAAUAAAAAAAUAAAAUGAGAUCUGGAAACUUUUAAUCCUUUUAUUUUCUCAAGCUUAAGUUGCUACUGAACGAUUACAAACAUAUAUAUACAAGUGUAGCUGCUCAGCUGAAGAUUACUAAACUAACUAACUGAUUACAAAUUGAUUAACAAACGCAUCACGUGUAUGAGUACAAGCAGCUACAUAACCACCUGGUGCCAGCUGGCAGUACAUGUCAUCAACUUGUAACUGAUUAUAGAAGCUUCUGUGAUCCUCUGCUCUGUGGUCCUCAGCUUGACUACAAAUAUGAGUUUCCUUAAGAUCCCCCCCAAGCUCAAAGGUCUACUAAUGACAUGGAGUUUGGACCUGAAGUAGCUGAAUUUUGGAAGAGAUGAAGCCUUCGUGAGAACAUCAGCAACUUGUUCAUCUGUAAGAAUGUAUCUCACUUCUAAUUGCUUUUGAAGUACCUUAUCUCGGAUGUAAUGGAUGUCCAACUCGAUAUGCUUAGACCUGGAGUGAAACACAUGAUUUUUGGCUAAUUUCCCAGCACUCUGAUUAUCACACCAAAGCACUGGUGUUGGCAGUUUUACAAUGUUGAGCUCAUAAAAUAAAGAUUCCAGCCAAGAGAUUUCUGAACUUGCUGAUGACAGUGCUCUGUACUCAUUUUCAGUGCUGGAUUUUGCCACUAUGGCUUGUUUCUUAGAGGACCAUGAAAUCAAAUCGUUGCCAAGAUAGAUGCAAUAUGCUCCAAUAGACUUUCUAUCAUCUAUAUCACAAGCCCAAUCUACAUCUGAGUACCCAUUCAAACCUGUAACUUCAAGCUCCCCUUCUUUCUGAAUAUAUAUUCUAUAAGUAACAGUUGCUUGAAGAUAUCUAAGUACAUUUUUACAAGCAAGCCAGUGCUGAAGUGUAGGAGCACUUAGAUACUGACUUAGCUUAUGAACUGAGUAUGCAAUAUCAGGCCUGGUGAGUAUCAAGUAUUGGAGCCCUCCAACAAUGCUUCUAUAGAGAGUUGGAUCUUCAAAUUCUUUCCCCAAACAACCCUUUGCUACCUUUUCUAAUUUCUAACUUUGUGCUGAGAGGUGUAUCAGAACCUUUACAGUUCUGCAUUGAAGCUCUACUUAAGAGGUCUUCGAUAUAUUUUGUUUGUGAUAAAUGUAUCCCACUAUCUGUAUAACACACCUCAACACCAAGAAAGUAGGAUACCGAUCCCAAAUCUUUUAAGGCAAAAACCUUACUAAACUUAAUGAUGAAGGUUUCCAACAGGGAAAAAUCUGGUCCUGUAAUGAGAAUAUCGUCCACAUAGAUAAGAACAAGAAUGAUACCUCUUCUGUCAUGUUUGAUGAACAGGGAUGUAUCAGCCUUGGAGUUGAAGGAAUUCUAGCUUGUAAGACACCCUUUGAGUUUGUCAUACCAAGCUCUAGGAACUUGCUUCAAGGCACAAAGAGCUUUGCUAAGUUUACAGACAUAGCCCUCUUUGGUUAUGAAGCCCUCUGGUUGUGUCAUGUAUAUAUCCUCUAAAAUAUCUCAAUUAAGAAAAGAAUUAUUUAUAUUGUAGAAAAUAUGGAAAGAUUAGAUUAGUUGACAUUCCUGAUUUCUAGGAUUAGUUGUCUAAUUUGUCUGAUUUGUACAGCUAUUACUAAUUUGUAUAUUUUCAGAAAUUAGAAAGUUAAAUUUGGAAUAUGUUGUCCUAUAAAUUAACCCUAUUGUACUGGCUGUUAGAGGUACUUAAAAAUAAGAAAAGAUAUUUAUUCUUCUCCUCUGUUAACAUGGUAUCAAAGCUAUGGCAGAAUUAAGCCUAGCUUGACUCCCAUACGGAUCAGUUCAUUGCCUUGUUGUAAUGGCGCAAAACACCAUGCCUGGGGUUACAGUAAUUGGUGAUACUAAUUCCACUGCUACAUCUAUUGGAAUUGGUACAGGGGAGUUUCUUCCGUCGGGAUUUGGAAACUUGAACGGAAGUGAGAGUUUUCCCAUGCAAUUAACCGGUCACAAAUUGAACGGUAAAAACUAUCUAGAAUGGGCGCAAUCCAUUAAGUUGGUGGUCGAUGGCAAGGGUAGACUUGGCUACAUCACCGGUGAGACGAAGGAGCCGGAAAAAACUGAUCCAACAUGGAAGACUUGGAAGUCAGAAAAUUCCCUAGUUAUGUCCUGGUUGAUCAAUUCCAUGGAGGUUUCUAUUGGGAGGACGUAUUUGUUUCUUCCCACCGCAAAUGAUGUAUGGGAUGCAGUCCGAGAAACGUAUUCUGAUCUAAAAAAUUCAUCAUAGAUUUUUGAAUUGAAAACAAGACUAUGGCAGACUAGGCAAGGUGAUCAUGCUGUUUCUGAGUAUUACAACGAGAUGAAGGCUUUAUGGCAGGAGCUUGAUAUCUGCUAUAAAGAUGAUUGGGCCUAUAUGACAGAUAGUGUUCGUUAUUUAAAAAGAAUUGAAGAUGAUCGUGUUUAUGAAUUUUUGGCAGGUUUGAAUAAGAGCCUUGAUGAAGUGAGAGGCCGGAUUCUUGGCAGAAUUCCUUUGCCAUCAAUCCAGGAAGUAUUUUCAGAAGUACGACGAGAGGAAGGUCGACGCAAAGUGAUGUUAGGAGAAAAAACUGUAUCUGCUCCAGAAGUUUCAGCCCUAAUGACAGGGACUAAUCACAAUAAUUCCCCAUACCAAGCACGAUAGAACAAGAAAGGAGAAAAGGUGUGGUGUGAUCACUGCCACAAACCACGUCACACUAGGGAGACUUGCUGGGAUUUACACGAAAAACCUCCUAAUUGGAAGCCACGAAAUUUUAGUCAGUCAAACCGUGACUCAAAGGCCUUCCACUCAACCACUGAGGAGAAUGGAAACACUGCAACUACAACUACGACACCUUCAUUCAGUAAGAAAUAGUUAGAACAACUGUACUUUUUCUGUCCAGAUAAGUGACCAAUCCAGUAUCUUCUUCUUAUUCCUUAGCCCAGAAAGGUACUUAUCAAUUUGCUAUCUUCAAUGUGUCCACUAUUCCUCUUUGUCCAUGGAUAAUAUAUUCAGGUGCCACCGAUUAUAUGACUGGAUGCUCUAAAUUAUUUUCUUUCUAUAGUCCUUGUACAGGCAAUCAAAAAAUUAAGAUUGCUGAUGGCUCCCUCUCGGCAAUUGCUGGGAAAGGGUCAAUUGUUAUAUCUAAUACUCUCGUUCUUCACGAUGUCCUUCAUGUUCCAAAUCUCUCUUGUAAUCUUUUUUCUGUAAGUAAAAUAACUCGUGGUUUAAAGUGUUGUGCUAAAUUUCUUCCAAAUUGUUGUGAAUUUCAGGAACUGGAUACGGGGAGGAUGAUUGGCAAUGCUAGAGAGUAUGGCGGUCUCUAUUACUUUGAUGAUGGGAACUCUAUGUGUCAGCAACAGAAAAUUUUGAAUCUUGGAGCAUGCUUUAGUUCUACUGAUGAUAAAAUAAUGCUAUGGCACCGUAUGUUAGGCUAUCCUAAAUUUUUAUAUUUAAAACAUUUGUUUCCAACCUUAUUUCGUAAUAAACUUUUAUUGUCUUUUCAAUGCGAUAUUUGUCAGUUAGCUAAACACCAUCGUGCAUCUUUUCCUAUUCAACCAUAUAAAGCAUCCAAGCCUUUUACCCUUAUUCAUAGUGAUGUGUGGGGUGCCUCUAGGACAUCCACCAAUUCUGGAAAAAGAUGGUUUAUAACAUUUAUUGAUGACCAUACACGCCUAAGUUGGGUCUAUCUACUCAAAGAAAAAUCUGAAGCAGAACAUGUUUUUAAAAACUUUUAUAAUAUAGUUGAAACACAAUUUCAAACAAAAAUUCAAGUGUUCCGAAGUGACAAUGGGAAGGAAUACUUUAAUCAAAUAAUGGGGUCAUUUUUCUUAGAAAAAGGAAUUGUUCAUCACAGCUCUUGUAAUGACACUCCUCAACAAAACAUAAUAGCAGAACGGAAAAAUAAGCACCUCCUAGAAGUAGCUAGGUCUUUAAUGUUCACCACUAAAGUUCUUAAAUACUUAUGGGGAAAAGCAAUUCUUACUGCUACAUAUCUUAUUAAUAGGAUGCCAUCAAGAGUUUUGAACUUUCAGCCACCAUUGACAGUUUUUAAAAAAUUCUUUCCAAUGACACGUUUGACUUCAGAUUUACCUUUAAAGGUCUUUGGAUGUGUUGCCUUUGUACAUAUACACAAUCAUAAUAGGGAUAAACUAGAUCCAAGGGCUGUAAAAUGUGUUUUUCUGGGCUAUUCUCCUACUCAGAAAAGGUAUAAAUUUUUUUAUCCUAACAAACAAAAAUAUUUUGUCACGAUGGAUGUUACCUUCUUUGAGUCUCAAAGUUUUUUUAAUCCUCCUCUUCAAGGGGGGAAAGGAAAUGAAGACUCAGUGUUUGAGCUUGACAUGAAUACUAAUGGUGAGGCAAAUAUUGAAACUGAAAUUUUUAAUCCUAAUACCUUGAAUAAGGAGGAUAUGAGGAUUACCUUAGUGCCUGAACAUAAAACUGACACUACGAUAAUAGACGAGACAUGCUUCAAUGAUGAGAGAUUGUUCGGGAAAACUUACACUAGGGAGAAACGGAUUCAAAGUAAGAAAAAUGCAGCGAUACUUCCUCAACGCCAUGAAUCUGAUCCAAUUCCAGAUUCGAAAAACAUUGAUUCUGAAAAUCCAGGUACAAUCUCUAAAUUUAUAGAGUAUGAGUCUUUAUCUAUCCCACAAGUACAUUCUGACCCUCUAGAUCUUCCCAUUGCUCUUAGGAAAAGAAAUAGAUCAUGUACUCAACAUCCCCUUUUCAAUUUUGUGUCUUAUAAGAACCUGCCAUUAUUUUAUCAUACUUUUGUCUCACAAUUUUCAAGUGUGGAUAUACCUAAGUCUAUACAGGAAGCGCUAAAGGUUCCUAAAUGGAAGAAGGUUGUUCGUGAAGAAAUGGAGGCUCUAGAAAAAAAACAGAACGUGGGAGAUGGUUUUACUUGCCUGAAGGAAAAUUGAUUAUUGGUUGCAAGUGGAUUUUCACUGUGAAAUACAACUCAGAUGGAUCCUUGGAACGCUAUAAAGCAAGGUUAGUAGCAAAAGGAUUCACACAGACCUACGGAGUUGAUGAUCAAGAGACAUUUGCUCCCGUAGCCAAACUAAAUACCAUUCGAAUACUACUCUCUGUAGCUGUUAAUUUGGAGUGGCCAUUGUUUCAAUUGGAUGUUAAAAAUGCGUUCCUCAAUGGAGAAUUGGAAGAGGAAGUAUAUAUGGGUGCACCCCCUGGUUUUGAAGACAAGUUUGGAGGAAAGGUGUGUAAAUUGAAGAAAUCCUUUUAUGGACUGAAGCAGUCUCCUCGUGCUUGGUUCGAGAGAUUUACUAGGUUUGUUAAAAAAGAAGGAUAUAGUCAAGGACAAUCUGAUCAUAUAAUGUUCGUGAAACACACAGAUGGUGGAAAGAUGGUUGUCCUAAUUGUAUGCGUAGACGACAUAAUACUUACUGGAAGCGAUAAUGAUGAAAUGAAUAAGCUGAAGAAGCACCUGGCAUCGGAAUUUGAAAUUAAGGAUUUGGGUCCCUUACGCUAUUUCCUGGGUAUGGAAGUUGCAAGAUCUAGAAUGGGAAUUUCUCUGUCACAAAGAAAGUAUGUUUUGGACUUGCUAGAGGAGACAUGAAUGAGUGGUUGCAGACCAAGUGAUAACCCCGUGGAUCCUAAUCAGAAGUUAGGAGAGGUUUCCGAUGGAGUUCGAGUUAAUAAAGGUAGAUAUCAACGUCUCGUAGGGAAACUCAUUUAUUUAUCUCACACAAGACCUGAUAUUGCCUUUGCCGUUAGUGCUGUAAGUCAAUAUAUGCACUCACCCUAUGUGGAACAUUUGGAGGCAGUUCACAAGAUUCUCAGGUACUUAAAGAGGACACCUGGAAGAAGGUUAUUAUUUAAGAAGAGUGAUCAAAAGAGUGUAGAAGUCUUCACAGAUGCAGACUAGGCAGGCUCAAUUUCAGAUAGAAGAUCAACAUCUGGUUACUGUACAUUCUUAUGGGGAAAUUUAAUUACUUGGCGAAGCAAAAAACAAAACGCGGUUGCCAGGAGUAGUACUGAAGCUAAGUUUAGUGCCAUGGCAAAUGGAGUUUACAAGGUAUUAUGGAUUAAAAGAGUCCUUGGAGAACUGAAAUUAGAUAUUGAAGCACCUAUGAGACUGUUCUGUGAUAAUAAAUCAGCAAUAAGCAUUGCAAAUAAUCUUGUUCAGCAUGAUCGUACAAAGCACAUUGAGAUUGAUAGACAUUUUAUUAAACAAAAGCUGGAGAAUGGAGUUAUAUGUAUGCCAUUCAUCCAUUCAGAGUAAUAAACAGCAGAUGUUCUUACCAAGGGACACUUCAGGCCAAAGUUUGAAUCUUUCAUUGACAAGUUGGGCAUGAUUAAUAUCUAUGCACCAACUUAAGGGGGUGUAGAAAAUAUGGAAAGAUUAGAUUAGUUGACAUUCCUGAUUUCUAAGAUUAGUUGUCUAAUUUGUCUGAUUUGUACAACUAUUACUACUUUGUAUAUUUUCAGAAAUUAGGAAGUUAAAUUAGGAAUGUGUAGUCCUAUAAAUUAACCCUAUUGUACUGGCUGUUAGAGGUACUUAAAAAUAAGAAAAGAUAUAUAUUCUUCUCCUUUGUUAACAUAUAUCAAUUUGCCUGACUUUCCAACACUUCAUCACUGCCAAACUCAGUAUAGUUCUAAUUGUAAAAGACUUUACCACAGGACUGAAAGUUUCCUUAUAAUCCACUCCUGCUGUCUGGUGAAAGCCCUUGGCCACCAAUCUUGCUUUGUGUUUAGAAACUGUACCAUUUGUAUUGUACUUGGUUCUAAAAACCUAUUUACAUCCAACCAACUUGUGCUAAGAUGUCACAGGUACUAGAGUCCAUGUGUUAUUGUUGGUUAGAGCAUCAAAUUCUAAUUGCAUUGCAGCUUUCCACUUAGGAUCAGAUAAAGCUUCAUCAACAGUGGAUGGUUCCAGGCUGUUAUGUGAUGUUAAGAAUGCUUUAGGCUUGAAUAUACCAGCUUUUACUCUGGUAAUCAUAGGAUGAUUUGGCAGAGAAUGUUGGGAUGGUUGUGUGGAUUGAGUAUGAGAUGAUGAUGGCUGUUGUGUAUGUGAAGCAUCUAUGAUAGAGGGUUGAAAAUGUAUUUGAGAAGGUGAAACAACAAAGGUUGUAUUGUGAUUGUCAGAUGAGGAGUGAUCACUGAAAUGAUGAGAUUGAGCUUUAUCUUCUGCAGAGCCAGCUUCAAAGGUUUCUUGAUUGCUAUUGGGAAGUGAAAUAGUAUAAGAUUGAAGAAGACUGUAAUGAAAAUCAGAGAGUUUAGAUGGUGAAGUUAAAAAUUGUGAAUUUGAUGUGUAAGGAAAAGAGGUUUCAUCAAAUAAAACAUGACUGGGUAUAAAAUUCUUUCCAGAAGAAUGAAUACACUUGUAACCAUUGUGUAAAGGGCUGUAACCAAGAAAUACACAUUUUGAGGUAUGAAAAUGGAAUUUGUGAGUAUUAUAAUCCCUUAGGAAUGGAAAACAUGAACAACCAAAGACCUUGAGAAAUUUGUAAUCAGGUUUGGUUUUGAAAACACAUUCAUAAGGUGACUGCAUAGAUAGUAUGGGUGUGGGAAGUCUAUUGAUAAUAUAGGUGGCUGUAUGGAAGGAAUCCCACCAAAAUUUUAUAGGUAAAGUGGCUUGAGCAAGUAAGGUGAGACCUAGCUUGGUUAUGUGUCUAUGUUUUCUCUCAAUUAAGCCAUUCUGAUUGUGAGUAUAGGGACAUGAGUUCCUAAAUUGAAUACCUUCCUCAUGAAGAAAAUUAACAAAUGAUCUAUACUCUCCACCCCAAUCUGAUUGAAUACACUUGAUGGAUCUAUCUAGCUGUUUCUAAAUUUGCUUUUUAAAGAUUUUAAAAACAACUAGUGUUUCAUCCUUGGUUUUUAAUGGGAAUAUCCAUGUGAACCUCGAAAAAUCAUCCACAAAACUCACAUAGUAUCUGUAACCUUGAACUGAAAGCACAGGGGCAGGUCCCCAUAAAUCAGUGUGCAAAACCUUUAAUACAUGCUUUGUUUUGGUAGUAGAAACUGGAAAAUGUAAUCUAUGCAUUUUUCUCAUUUUACAUGCAUCACAUGAAUCAAGAAAUUUACUUCCAUUUAAAUUCUUGAAAGCUGAACAAGAGUUUAUUACAUGACUUAAAACUUUGGAAUUAGGAUGACCAAGUUUCUGAUGCAAUACAGAAACACUCAGCAUAUAAUUUGGACUGAUACAAGGUUCUGCUGCAGUAUGCAAGCAGGUGCUUGUUUGAUUAUUGACAACUGAUUGAACAACUGAAAACAUAAACAGGGGAACAUCUGGAAUUUUGGAUUGAGUGGCGUCAAGAGACCUUUGAAAUGAUUGAGAAGAGACUUUAUUAGAGGGAAACAAUAGCAAUCUGUAUAAACCUUUUUCAGCUUUGCCCUGCAGUAUGAUCAAAUUCCUUACCUUGUCCUUCACAUAAUAGGAUUGAUCAGUAAAUUCAAUAACAAUAUUGUUAUCUUUGGUUAGCUGAGAUAUGCUAAUAAGGUUCUUGGAUAUUUGUGGAACAAAUAGCAUGUUGUUUAAUUUGAGUGUGUUAUGAUCAGAAGAGUUAUGCAUUCUUAACACAGCAUUUCCAACAUGUGUUAUGUGCAAACCAGUACCAUUUCCAAUUAUGAGUUUAGAGUUACCUGCAAAAGGUUCUGUCAUAGUCGUAUUUCUCAUGUCAUUGGUAAGAUGGUGUGUAGCUCCACUAUCCAGAUACCAGUUGACAUCAGCUGCACCAUCCAUAUCAGCUAGAUAUGCAGCUUUGGGAUUUCUAUUUGGAGGAGGUCUGUAAGCACCAGAGGUAAAGAAUUCUUCAAGUUUCUAGCAGACAUUUGCAGUAUGACCAGUUUUGAAGCAGUUUUAGAAGCAUUCCACUGAGGUUUAGGAUUCAUUUGGGGCCUAAUAGAGUUAUUGUUACCACCCCCACCAUUGUUCCAAUUUCCUGAGCCUAAUCCCCUUUGAUUAUCACUUUGAAAUCCUCUGAACUGGUUAUUUGAAUUAUUUCCAGAACCAUUUCCAAUGAAACCAGAUCUUCCAUAGCCACCUCUGUAAUUAUUUCCAAAAUUUCCAGCAUUAUCUAAACCAGAAAAAUAGUUAUGAUUUCCAGAUCCUCUACCACCUGAGAAGUUUCCUUUCUUAAAACCUCUGUUCUAAGCUAAAUUAGCUUCAAAAUUAUGCUUAACAUCCAUUCCAGAAAGCAUAUGUGCUUGUUGCUCAAUUCUAGCCUCUUAAGUCAACAACAUAGCAUAAGCCUCAUUCAAAUUCAUUUUAUCACCACUUAUUUGACCAGUAAUAUAAGUAGCAACAACAUUAUAAUCUGGUCCUAGUCCUGAGAGUACAUGCAAAAUUAAAUCAUCACUGCUUAAGGCACUUCCUGCCGCAACCAUGUUAUCAACAAUAUUCUUCAUUUUAAUGAAAUACUCAUUGAUUUUCAAAUCAUCUUUCCUAGUUGAAUUUAUCAAAUAUCUCAAAUGUAAGAGUCUGGAUUUUGAUUGUGAUCCAAAUUGGGUUUCAAUAGCUUUCCAUACCUCAAGAGAAGUUUCCAGAUUAAACACCAGGCUUAUAAUACCUUCACUCAUCGAUGAUAGCAACCAGCCAAGGAGUACUUGAUCUUGUGCUUUCCAGCUUGACAAAUCUGGAUUCUCAAUAGAUCUAAGUUCAUCGUCAAUCCUCUGAGCAAUAUGAGAUGGAGGAGGAGUGACAGUUUCAUCAAUGAAUUUUUCUAACCUAUUGCCGCAUAUGGAAGCUAAAACUUGGGACCUCCAGAUCAGAUAGUUUGCCUGAUCCAGUUUCACAGGAGUAUUGAAAGUGAAUGAGAAGUUUGUUGAGUUUGCAUGAACAUUUGAAGUGUGGUUUGAUGAGGCAAUAUUCAGAGACGCCAUGACUAGCUCUGAUACCAAGUUAAAGAAACAGAAAAUAAGUGUUUGGCUAAUAAGAAAAUAAAAUGAGAUUUGGCAACUUUUAAUCCUUUUAUUUUCUCAAGCUUAAGUUGCUACUGAACGAUUACAAGCAUAUAUAUACAAGUGUAGCUGCUCAGCUGAAGAUUACCAAAUUAACUAACUAAUUACAAAUUGAUUAACAAACUCAUCACGUGUAUAAGUACAAGCAGCUACAUAACCACCUGGUGCCAACUAGCAGUACAUGUCAUCAACUUGUAACUGAUUAUAGAAGCUUCUGUGAUCCUCUGCUCUGUGAUCCUCUGCUUGACUACAAAUAUGAGCUUCCUUAACAGUGGGGAGGAAGUUUAAGCAGAGGAGUUGCUCGGUUUGGAAUAUUUGGAGGUAUUGAGCUUCACUUGAGAAGUGUUCGUGCUCUCCAAUUUAUUUUGAGCUCACAUAAGCUACGAAGUUGUACUCAAGCGGUGUUCCUCCAAUCCUUCAAUGAUUCGAUAUGGCUUGAUAUUUCACUUUUGGCAGAGUUAAAAGCACCACUACAGAUUUAAGUAUUUUUGGGUGUAGAAAAUUGGAGGACUUGAAGAUGGAAUAUACAGGGGGAGCGAAAAACAAGCGGCAACCUUGUGUUUUCUAAGGCCUACAUACAGUUCACAUAGAGGUUUGUUCUAAAUUGAAGGACUUAACAUUCCUUGUUUUUGCUCCAAAUCUCAAGAACUUGUAAAUACAAAAUUGCCCUGCUGUGGAAGCAAUCAUCGGUGUGGAAGAAUUUGCGGAAGCUCUAGAGGUGGUGGAAAAUCUAAACCCAUUUGCAAAACUCCAGUAUCUUGGACUAGAAAAUCUGCUAAAUGUGGAGAGCAUCUAUUGCAAGCCUCUGCCCUUUCCAUGUUUGAAAAGAAAUGACUGUGGAUGGUUGCCGUUGUCUUAAAAAGCUUCCACUCUACUCCAACAGUGUAAAAGAGUGUACAAUUGUUAUUUCAUCAUUCGGAGAGUUAAUGGUGCAAUGAGAUUUGGCAGUUAACUCUCGUGGGAAGAGCUUGAAUGGGAAGACGAAGCUGCUCGAAUUGCUUUUCAUUCCUGUUUCAAAUCUCUGAUUGGAUUGGAGAUUGCAUUUCGCCUCAGGUUCGUACUUUUCUUGAAUUUUUCUUGUUAACUUCAUUUGUUCAUUUAUCCAUUUUUUUUUAAAGGAAUCAGAAGGGUUAAUAUUUUUGGUUGUGUUAGGUCGACUUCUAAUCACGAGGCAGAAGGAGUUGAGAUGAAGUUUAAUUUUGGUGGAGAAAUUGUUUGAUUUAAAAAAUUUAAAUGAGUUGAUCAUCAUUCUUUAGCAUAUUUGUAUGAACAGGAGUGUGUAAAUAUGCAAACUGUCCAGCUGUAUGUGUGUAACGUAAUAAUUUUGAGGAGUUAAACAUUGAAGAGUAUUGAUGUUUCCAUUGUCAAACCAAAUAUACUUAAUUACUUGAGGAUAAUGAUUACUGCUAAUACAUUUGCAAAGAAAAAACAUGCCUAUUGAAAAACUCAUCUUAUUAGCAACAGCAUUAUAAGUAGUAUCCAAUCAUAGUUUCAUGCAAGAUUUUGAGAUUUUUCAAAUGCUGAUUCCGGGAAUGGAGAUUAAUAGAAAAUGGAGACAGGUUGACUGCAAUGGCUAAUUGCAAGAGGGAAUUUUAGUCGUAAAAACAGACCAACUAGCAAAGCAAAUUCCAAAUCUUGGAAUGAAGUGGCAAAAAAACGAAACAAACAAAUGGCAAGAGGAAGUGACUAUACAAUAAUAACAUCGACUUGCAAUUCAACAUUUAUACAGUUUUACACACCAAGAAAAGAGAAAAUUACAAUAGCAAUUUGGCUACUAGAAGAUGGUCAUUCAUGCUUAUGCCUGUCAUAUGGAUUUGAAACAAGGAGUAAAAGCAUUUAGAGUGGCUUCAUCCUUCCACUGCAGCUCAUUCCACCAGUGUUGCUCUCCCCUAAUAACAAGUUUUCGUUCCUUGGCGCUGUUGUAAUCGAGUGGAAGCUUCUUGAGGUUCGGGCAUCCAGAUACAAACAAUUCCAAGAGAUUUGGAAAGGGCAAUGCAUUCAAACAGAUCUUCUUCAAAUUUCUUAGAACUUGCAACCGAAGAUAUUGGAGUUUCGCAAAAGGUUUUAGCCCUGGAACUUCUUCCACUUUCCAAACACUGAUUAUUUCUUCCAUCUCAUAACAACGUUCUACAUGGACCAUCUUCAGAUUUGGGGCAAAAACAAGCCAUGUCAUCUCCCUCAAUUUACUGCAAUAGUCUAUGGUAACACUUUGAAGGCUGUUGAAACCAUAAAGUUCUCUUGUUGUUUGAACUUCUGCAUAGUCAACCUUUAGCUCUUCCAAACUUGUACAAUACACAAAAUCUAGUUUGUCAAGAUACUUGAGAUCUGCUAUGGACAAAAUAUUCCAUGACCUUGAAUCCUCACAGCGGCGAAGCUCUAAAGCAUAUUUACAACUCUUGUACUGUUGGCAGCUCAAAAGUCUUCGUAGAGCAUAAAAACUUCUUAACGUGACGCUUAAUACAUUUAAAUGUUCCAAAGUAAUCAACUCUACCAAAAUUUCACUACCACCAAAUAGAACGCUAUCUUCUGGUACUGUAUUAGCAGAGCCACAAUCUAGCAUCCUCAACACCUUUAACCCAGAAAAAUUACAAAGCAGUUGCCGUGGAAUCGUAUGGAGAUAACGCAUGUACUCCAAGUUCAAACACUUUAGAUUUUUCAAGGCUUUUAAUUCAUGUGGCAACUCUUUGAUGAAAGUUUCUGAAAGAUUAAGAUAUUGUAGUGAAACCAAUUUUGAAAUUCCUGAAGGCAAUUGACUCAAGGAGCGAUUCUUUGAUAGGUUUAAAACUUUAAGAGAAGGCAUAAAAUCGAAGAAAUCACUAGGGAUAGUAUCUAACAUAUUAAUGCCGAGGAACAAAGUUAUAAGAUGAGGGCAUAUUGGAGUUAUUGGUAAAAUCACAAUUUUAUUUCUCAUCAACGAUAUCCUUCUCUUAUCUUCCCAUUGUUUAACCUCGGGUGGUUCAGUUAAUUCAAUACCGGAAGAAACCAAAAAGUUUUCAUUCUCCACUUCACAGGCUAUCCACAAGGUCAUAUCACGAAUCACAUCAUACAGUUUUACAUAAUCUGAUCCUGCUUCUUCCAAUAGGCAUGCAUGAACAAGAACACCAAUAAUGUAGUAUCCUUGGUUAUGUACUCCGUUAAUUCCUUCAUUUUCCUUCAGAAAACCCUCACCAAUCCAACACCCGAUCAAUUCAAUUUUGCUAAUUUGAUAAUCCUCAGGAAAUAAACCACAGUAUAACAGACAAGAUCUAAGGACGUCACUAGACAAACUAUCAUAACUGAAUUUUAAAAGACGAAACACCUCUUUCUCCAUACUUGGAAAUUCAUAAGCUGAUCUCCUUAACAUCUGAAUUGCAUAGCUCCAUUCUUCGGGUGUCUUCUUGCUGCUCAUGGCACGACCGGUGGUAAUAAGUGCAAGUGGCAAACCACUAGACUCCUUUGCCACAGUUUGGGCUAACUCCGGAAUAUCGGGAUGACUUUCAAGAGUCUCUUCUCCGACCUUCUUUAGGAACAAUUCCCAAGCAUCUUGAUCUGCCAAACACUCCACCUUGAACUUUUUUUGAGCUUCCAUGAGGCCACAGACGUCCACAAGACGAGUCGUAAAGACUAUCUUUGAUGCAUUUCUUGAACUCGCAGGAAAAGGGACACCCACUUUGGCUAAAUCAAUUCUUUCCCACAUAUCAUCUAACAAUAGCAGAAAUUUCAUUUUGCUCAAUAAAUUGAAUAUGCCUGAUGCUUUCUCUUCAAAGCUUCUAUUCUGAAGCCAUCCUAUUCUUUCUCCGAUUUUCUGUUGAAUUCUCUCAAGCUGCAUGCCUUUUGACACCACCACCCAAAUCACAAUAUCAAAAUAAUUUGGUGUUUUAAGGAACUUGUUGUUGAUUUGGGUUAAUAGUGUAGUCUUGCCGACUCCCCCCAUGCCAUAAAGUCCGAUGAUUCCAAAUUGUCCUUCUACAAGACAUCUCCAAACUUUAUCAAAUGAUGAUUCUAGGCCGAUUAUUGUUGGCUGAAGAGGCCUUUCAUCCACUGCUGGUUGUGGUACCUUUUCAGCUACCACUGCAAAAGCUCCAUCAUCUAUUAAAGUAGCCACAAGCUGCAGCUUUUUAGACACCUUUUUCCCAAACUUGUAGCUUGACUUGCAGUUCUUGGAGCAGUAGCCUCCAAGACAUAGUUUUUCAAUUUCUUGAGAGCUGUCCCUUGUCAAUUCACCUACUUCAGCUUCCACAGCCUCCACCCUUGAAAGCCAACCUUGCACUCUGUUCAGCCGUCUUAGUUGUUGUUGCUCAGCAUUAGAGACCCUCAUCAUCACAUCGUUCUUUGUUUCAAUUAGUUUCUGCAAUUCGGUCUGGACGGCAACCAGGUUAUUUUCAAGCUGGCUUAGAUAUGCUGCUUUUCUGCGGGUACAAUUUAUGAAGCCAGUGGAAAGGGCAUCACAUGUAAGUUGGAUUCCCAAAAUAUUACCCAUAGUUUGUAUGAGAUUCAGAGUACAAUAGAAGGAAUGCAACACAGUAUGUAUUCGGUUGUGGUGUCUAUGAUUUUACAGUCGCAGAAGCUUUUUCACCUUGUGAGGGCUGAUCAGGUGGGCACCAUCACUCUCUUUACGCUUUAUAGAGAGCGAUAGUCCAUGUGGUCAGAUCUCAUUCAGAUAACUAGCCAAGUGGGCAAUCGCUCCACCUUAUCAAAAUUCUUCAUCUUAUAAUAAUAUCAUGAGUAGGCCUUGAAUUUUUCUUUUAAUUUUAACAUUUAAAAGGUAGAGGUGAAAAAGUCUAAAUAGUAUUUUUGUCCUCGUACUUUAACUAAAUAACAUUUCUUGAAAAUCACUCAAUCUUAAAAUUUAAUUAAGAAGAUAUUAUAGAUUUAUAAGCCCUUAAAAUUUAUUUGCAAGUAACAAUUAGAGAAAAGUCGUCAGGCCCAAAAGACUUACUAAAAGUCGUCAACUCGUCAUGACCAAAAUUCUUCCGCGUGUGAAAUACGGCAUGCGCAGAUGCAUUAAAAACAAAGGCCAGCUAUGAUAAUCUUUGUAGUAUUAAUAAUUUCAGACGCGUCGUUCGUUGCCUGUGACUUUUCAUAUGCAAAAGCGGAGUCAGUGUUACUUGCAUUCCCUGUCACCUUAUUAAUAAUUUCAGACACCAUCGUUGGUUGCCUGUGAUUUUCAUAUGCAAAAGCACAGUCAGAAUUACAAUUUUACAUUUGGAAUUGAGUGCCAUCUAUUUAUUCUAGCUGGAUCUAAAAUGAUAUUGCAGUAUUGCACUGACUUUUUAGUCACAGCGUUUCUCUAUGAAUUCCUUAAAGUUUAAACACAUCAUGGAAUAAUUAUUUUCUUAAAGACCAAAUUAACAUAAUUCUUAAAUCAUUUAUAAAACAACAUUUAUCAUAUAACAGAUCGUACAUGAAUAAAUUUACCUUGAACCGUAGCAAACAAACAAGAAUCUCAACCACAUCAAUAUCAUAACCCCUUCUGACCUUAACAAUAAUUUUAUUCGUCCUUAAUUCAUAGGUAUAAGUAUCCCAAUAUAUACUUGAUGUCAACCUUUACAAUUCUUUACAGAAUUGCAGCAGACCAAAUUUGUAUGCAAAACUGAAAUCAUACAGUAAUUGAAUACAGUGAAAAUAGACAUGAUGGGAAUUAGUAUAUAUAAAUAUCUUAAUAAUUUAAAAGUUUCUUAAACUGAUUUUACAUAUCUGAAAAAUUAUAGAAAUCGGAACUGCUGCAGAAAUCAUAAUUUUCCAGCGAAUGUGUUACAACUUCAGAAACUCAUAAGAAAUUAAAUUCUUGGGAUCACAAAAUAAUUCAAUAGAAAGCUUAAGAUGUCUAGUUCAUAAAAUCUGAUUUUUUUUUUUAAUAAGAUCUUUGGAAUUUAAGAGAUUCAGCAGUACUUUUAUUACAUCAAUUCUUCAAACAAUCACCAAUCUAACAUUCAUCAAAAUUAAGUCAUAAAAAUCAUGUGGUUUAUAAAAAAGAAUUACCUGAAAAAGAUUAGCCUUCCCCUUUCAAAAGCAACGUGAAACUCCAAAAACUCUUCUUCCAUUACCUAUUCAAACAUGAAAAAAAAAAAAAAAAAAAUUGGUAUCUCCUCUUUAAACGCGUGAUGAGUGUGCUCUGUUUUCUCUGUUCUUCUUUUUCUUUUUUAGAUUUCGAAAACGUAAAGAGUGUUGGAGUCUUUAUUUUCUAAAAACAAGACUUUUCCAUGUAUUCAAUUAAAUUAAAUUAUGUCCUAAUGCUAUGUCAGUUCCAUCAUUAACAUUUUUUUUUUUCCUUUUAACACCAACAUUAGCGUAUCUUAAGUAUCAUAAUCCAUAGUUGGACAAUUUGAAAUCUCUUCGUGUUUUAUCUCAAAGUAGAGCUUCAAACAAUUUGUACCUCACAAAUUUACAAUAUCUAUGAGGGCUAAUAAGACCAAACUCAGGCAUAUUGUCAAAUGUGCUUAUACUUUCGCUUGACAAGUCAUUUUAAAAUUGUCUUUCAAUGCCAAAAAACCACAUAAACUAAUGGUCCACUACUUUAAUUUGAAAGCAUGCAUGCGAUCGCCAAUAAUCAAGGAUGUUAGGGUCAUGCUACAGAGUAUAGAACAUGAUUUGAUGGUAUAGCCUUUUUUCUUUAUAAUUUUUAAGUUUAAUACUGUUACGUAUGUAGCACAUAAGUUGGAAAACAUAACAUAAAAUUUGAAAAAUGUGUAGUUUUCGUUCCCUUUUUUCCCCUCUAAAAAUGGGAAAAAAGAACGUAAUUUUGAUUUAUUUAAAUUACUGUUGUGAUAACAAUUUUUAUUUUAUUGAUUAGUUACCCAUACAUGUGGCAAAUUUUUUAAGAUAAGGUGAAGGAUGAAGCUCAAAUAUAUAAAUUAUAUAAUUAAUUACCCUCUGUAGUAAGUUUAAAGUUUAUUAUUUUUAACUACAUGUUUAUAAUUUAUUUUUAUUAUGUGUUAAUCUAUAGAUCUAAAUUCACUUCGGAACCAUAUACAUAUUUAGACAUAAUGUGCAUGUUAAUCUAUAGAUCUAAAUUCACUUUAGAUCUAUAUGAGUAUUUAGACAUAACGUAUUGCAACCAUAUUGGCAUGUUCUCACUAUAGUAUUGGUGUAUUGAGUAUUGACAUUAUAUCUAAUUGUCCUUAUAAAUCCAAAAAUAAUCUAGAUAUACAAAUUAACAUAAAAUAAAUAUAAUUGGUAGAAAAUGCAAAUUAUAAACAUAUAAUUGAAAAUGAUAAAUUUAAAUUUACUUAAGAAAGUAAUUAAUCACUUAUUUCUUUUUUAUAAUAUGACAAAUAUUAUAAUAAAUAUUAAUUAAUAAUAAUUAGAAUAACAAAUUAAGGAUAUUUUAGUAACUUAAAAUAAUUCAUUUUGAUUUCGAGACAAAAUAAACACAUCAAUCACAAUACAACUCAUUCUGAUUCCACUCAUUCAGAUUUCAACAUAUUUUAAUUAAUUCAAGUGCUCUCCAUUAUAAUUGAAGCCGCUGCCCCACUCGUGAUUCCAAACUUUAUCUUUUUCCUUUUUUAAAUUAAUGCAAGCAGCCGCUGUCCUUUUUAUUAAUUAAUUAAUUAAUUCGGCCUCCCACAUUUCUUUUCCUAAUGUCUUCGGCUUUCGAUUUUCUUUUAUUUUCUCUUUAUUCUUAAAAUAGACUUAUAAUAAUAAAAUAUAAAAAUAUAAAAAAAAUUAACAUAAUCAAAAUAUAAUUUAACAGAAAAUUAAGAUAAAAAAUGUGAAAAUAAUAUAUAAAUUAUGAGCGUAUCAAUCAAUAAAUGAAAAAUAAUAAUUUUUAUUUUUAUUAAAUAUAUAUUUUUCAGUAUGAAUCAGUUAUCUAAAUAACUAAAAUCAGUUAAAAAUAAAUAAAUAAAUUAUUCUUAAAAAAAAAAUUUUAUACCACUCACUAUGCUGGCUGUCAAGGGUAGAAGCUUUGGGGACUGAAGUUGGUAACUUCUACAAGUAGUCUUAAGUUGACUGGCAACAACUACAUUGGCAUGUUCAAAUGUUCUCACUAUUGUAUUGGUGUGUUGAUAUUAUCUCUAACUGCCCUAUAGAUCCAAAAAUAAUCUAAAUUUACAAUUUAACAUAAAAUAAAAUAAUUGGUAGAAAACAAUUAUGGUUCAUUUACUUAUCAGUAAUUAGAAUAAACUAAAAUCAGAAUGAGUUGUAUUGCCGUUAAUGUGUUUAUGUUGUAUCGGAAUGAAUUAUUUUAAGUUACUAAAAUACCCUUGGUUUGUUAUUCUAAUUAUUAUUAUUAUUUAAUAUUUAUUAUAAUAUUUGUCAUAUUAUUAAAAAGAAAUAAUAAUGAUGAUAAUAUUAUCAUUAUUGUUUGUUAUAUUAUUAUUAUUAAAAAAAUUAUUGUUAAUAACAAUAAUAACUUUAUUUCAAUAAUAAAAAUGAUAAAAUUAAUAAUAACAAUCAUGACAACAACAACAAUUAUUUAUUAUGCCAAAAAAUAACAAUAAUAAUAAGAAUAAUAAUCAUCAUCAUUUUUUCCCAAAGAAGCAUUAUCAUCAUCAUUUCAAAAAAAAAAAAAAAUCAUCAUCAUCAUCAUUUUUGUAGUGGCUGCCUAUCGGCUGCUGCUUUCAUGCGAGAUUGACUUGCGACGCUUCAACUGCUAUUAUUUCUGGCAAUGUCAGGUGUUGUUGUUUCAAUGGGGGGAGAAGUUGUUUCGGUGCGCUAACGAUGGGAGGUAAUGACGGUAGGUGUUGCUGCUCAAUGCGAGGUCCAUGGCCAGUUGUCUUGUUUUACAACCAGCUCUUGUAGGAAAUUCUUCAUCCAAAAUAUUUUUUUGUAACCUUCAAUAAUUGUAAUAUCAUUUGCUUCCGUGGUAGAAAAGACAACUCAUUACUAAAGUCUAGAUUGUGAUGAGACUGCUCUCCCUGCAAAAGUGAGCAAAUAUCCUAGUAGGGAUUUUUCAGAAUCAACAUCUCCUGUCAUAUCUACACACUUGUAACACAGGUUUGUCACCACCAAAAUAUAAACAUAUUCUGGAAAUGCCUCUAAGAUAUCUGAGAAUUCAUUUCACUGUUGUCCAGUGCUCUUUGCCAAGAUUGAAGAGAAACCGACUGACUACACUAAUUGCAUAGGCAAUAGCUGGUCUUGUACAAAUCAUGGCAUACACCAAACUGCCAAUUGCUGAAGCAUAAGGAACUCCUCUCACUAAGAAAUGGGUUUUGCUCUUGAGAUUUUUGGGAACAUGAAGAAUAAAGAUGUAAUUUCUUGGACUACCAUUGUUUCGGGGUAUAUAAAUAGAGGACAAGUCGAUAUAGCUCGACAGUAUUUUGCUCAGAUGCCAGAACGAGAUUAUGUCUUAUGGACUGCCAUGAUUGAUGGGUACCUUCAAGUGAAUAGGUUCAGAGAGGCUUUGACACUUUUCCGGGAGAUGCAAACUUCAAAUAUAAGGCGAGACGAGUUUACCAUUGUUAGGAUUCUUACAGCUUGUGCGAAUCUGGGGGCACUAGAACCGGGAGAAUGGAUAAAGACUUAAAUUGACAAAAACAAGGUCAAGAAUGAUAUAUUUGUGGGGAAUGCUUUGAUAGACAUGUACUGUAAAUGCGGAGAUGUUGAGAAAGCUCAAAGGGUAUUCAGGAAGAUGCUUCGAAAGGACAAAUUCACAUGGACGGCCAUGAUUGUUGGCCUUGCCAUCAGUGGCCAUGGUGAUAAAGCUCUUGAUAUGUUUUCCCAAAUGCUUAGGGCUUCGAUUAGACCAGAUGAGGUAACUUAUGUUGGUGUUCUGUCUGCCUGUACUCACAAUGGUAACGAAAUUUUUUUGAUAAAUAGUUGCAACUUAAGGUGAGAAUUGGAGGAAACGAAAUAGACUGAAGUUGUUCAAUCAUCGGUGGUUGCUAUUUGAUUUUAAGUUGUUCAAUCAUCGGUCGUCUCUAUUUGGUUUUCUCCAAUAUCUCAUCUCCAGUUUUGACUCAGAUUCUGUCUUACCACUAGUAAUUACAUAGACUUGCUGCCAAAGGUAAGAAUGGUAAUAAAUUAAAUAGAUUAUGUCGAUAACGAAAUAGAUUUACUAUUGCUAUGUGCAUUAUAUUUGGUUCCUGCAAAAUAUUUUCUCCUGCCUAAAAUUUUUUGAAUCAGUAAGUUUUUACCUUACGCAAGAAUUGUGCUAAGAGUAAUUCCAGUCUCUCUAUGUUUCAAUGAAGACGUAAAACUUGUGUUUUAGAGCACCAAUGUUAUGCUUCUUACAAUUGGAUUUUAAUUUACUUCGUAAAACUUUUGUCAAGAAGUACUAAGCGUGUAUUUGAAAUUGAGGUACUGUAGUUUUUAAGCUACAACUGCUGUGGAAAAAAAAUUGUAAUUAUGAAAUAAAAAUUAAUAAUAUAUAGUAAAUAUAAAUUUUAAAUAAUAGUUUUGAUAAAAUUAUUAAAGAUAUAAUAGUUUUUUUUAUUAUACAAGUGAAAAAUUAUAUAAACAUAGUUUUCAAGUUACAGCAGUUAGUGUUUACCAAACACUUUAGUGCUGUACUUUUUAAGUUGCAGCUGCCCAACAUCAAUCUCAAACGCACCUUAAGGAGUAGUGCGCCAAACACCAACUUUAUUACAGAGAGGACUUUGGUUAAACUUUAAGAAAAACACUCAAAGGAAGAGUUAUAAAUUAUUAUAGAAAUAUUUCACAUAAAUAAAAGCCAUUCCACAAUGCGAAGAUCUUGCUAUCAUCACCAGAAACCAUCGGGAGCUUUCAGGGUUUCCAUGAAAACGCCAUUUCAUUCCAAGAGUCAAUGGUGGGUAGAAAGUGGUGCAAACGAUACUCAUUGUUAAUGCUAUAAGUUUUUGCUAAAUUAUGUCUUACCCAAAAUGAUGAUUUAAUUUCCAUUCUCAAUUAAUUUUCAAGUUUCAACACUUUUCUUUGUAGCAUGACAUUGGAAAGGUCUUGUACUACUAAAAGCUAGCACCACACGUUAAUUAUUGUUAAGUUCUUUUUCAACGUGAAAUAAAGGAAGUAGUCCUUCGUUAAAACCAUUAUAGCCAAAUUUCAUGUAAUUGGACACUUACAGACUUUCAUUUCAAGCUGGAAUUUGGUCCAACGUUUCAAAGUUGACCCAACUAAUUGUCUGAUCAAGUCCUACACAGCUAAGACCCUCAAUGAAUGAGGGUGAGACUGCUAAAAAUUACGACAGUUGAUAUUAUUAUUAUUAUUAUUAUUUUGGGAUAAAUCCUCACCAAGGUGAGUGAGGAGAUUUUAUCAAAAUAAAAUAAAAAUAUAACAAGAAAACUAGCUAAAUUAAAAUAUUACAAAAGCUAGAUGAACUGAAAGGCAGCCUAAAAACAACCUUAUGGAAAAGAGAAGCAACAUGCUAGUAUUCCAAGCUUCUUGUUAUAAAAGUGUAGAAUGAAGUAGGUGACGUAGUUUUAAGUUACACCUCCAUGCCCAAUCACAAUAUCAAAUAAUGCUUAAAGUAGUUAUAUUAACUCUUAAAUUUAUAAAUAAUUAAAUUUGUAAAAGUAUGGAUUUAUAUUAAAAAAUUUAUAUAUAAAUAAAUAAUAUAUGCAUUUUUACAACAUAGUCUUUAAAUUUAAACUUUUCUAGAAAAAUCUUCUGGAUAUCUUUUCUAUUAAAAAAGAGUUUCUCAAAAUUUAUAAAAGUAACUUAAAGUUUUGUCUUCCCUUUUCUUUUAGCUUAUACAUAUGUGUGUGUAUUCUUUUAUAGCAAUAACUAACGUUAUUUAUUUUUAAAUCAUAAAAAAAUUAUGAAAAAAAAAUGUACCAAAUUUAAUUGGACCCAGCACAAUGCACAUGCAUAGAACACAUUCUGAAAAGCCAUGCUAUUCGGAAAUUGACGAAUGGAAAGUGAAGAGGCAGCAGUCAAUGCUAUUUCGGCUUGGCCCAAAAUUUCACCAGUUUGUUAAUCAGUGUUCUGCAGCUCUUGCUGCUUUCCUAGAGAUUCUGCAUGUUUUGCAAUCUGAUAGAAUUAAAAAAAAAAAAAAAUUAGUGGCCAUUUGGAAUGGAGGAGAGAUUUGUGUGAAUGGUAUAGGUGAAAAAUUGGAUGAAAAUAAACAGGCAACCGUCCGUAUAAAACAACAAUAACAAUAUACAAAAAGAUAAGUAAUUCACGAAAGGAAAUUUACGGUUGUUUCUGAAAAACAUACAUAUUAAUUUCACUUAUACUCUAAGAUUUGCCAUCAUGACUGGGCUUGUGAGGAAUUUGGAAACAUGUAUGAUGUAGAAAUGCUGAAGUAGCUUGAACCAGAUGGUGAAAUCGUCUAGCGGUCAGCGGGACAUGAAGCUAUAGGGGUUGUUAGUUGUGUUUUGGAUAUUUACAGACAUGCUGAGUUUGAGUUUAUAUCUUAACUUAAAAUUUGUAGUUUUCACUUGAAAAGAUUCAGUUAAAAAUUGAUUGGUAGAAUUGUUAAAAAGUCUAAAUUUUUAGUUCAAACCUAUUGCAUAUUUAAGAACAUCUCAAAUGAAUUGUUUAUUGCUAUCGUCAUCAUCAUUGCCCGUAUAAUUAUUAUUAUGUCUUUAUAAUUAUUAGUAUCGCUGUUAUUAUUUUUAUGGGUAAAUGGGCUUUCUAUCCUGGCAAUUUAAGCCAAUUACCUAACUAAUCCAUGUAAGUUUAAAAAUGUUUCAAAAGAUCUUUAUUUUAUAUAUGUUUCCACUAAAAUUUAUUUAAUUAUUCUUUAUUUUUCAAUUAUUGCAUGUUGGAUUUUUUUGAGUUCUAAGCUAUAUCAAUAGAAAUGUUAUCUUAUAUAUCCACAAAAAGUUAGAUCCAACAAUUAUGAAAAUUACUAUAGAGCUGCUUUGAAUAAUUUUUAAAAAAUACCACAAGUAAAUAAUAAUUAGUUUAAAUAGUGGAGACUAAAAAGCAUUCACCCUUAUUUUUUAUCUGUUAUUUGUAUUUUUUCCCGUUAAUGCACAUGUUAUACAUUUGAAACAUUCCGUUAAUUGCCAAUUAUGUAAGCGAGAUAGUAAUUUAAAUUUUUUUUUAAAAAAGUGAAAAUUAAUCCUAUGCAAUGUGAAUAAAUUUCUUUCCUUUUUCCUUCACUCUUUUUAUUUGAUAAUUAAGUUUCAAUCUAUGUACGCAAAAUUUCUGCAACAGGUGCAAAACAUAAAAAUAUAUGAUUGUUAAGGGAAACACGCGGAAGCUCAUCAUUUCAAUGUUCAGUAUUUCCAAUUUUGGCAUACGAAUAUAUUUCACUUAGAAAGCCAAAUAUUAGAUUUGUGAUUUUAAUUCAUUCAUCAUAUCUCAUUUCAAUCCCAAAAUAUUCAAGAGGAUCCAAGUUACCAUAAGACUUCAGAGGCUCGAGCCUUAGCCAGAGACGGUUAAUUGAUAGACUAUGUGCCCGGGUCGAGCACUGGAAGCGUGCAAUGCAGACUGAUUGAUUUAUCAGUUUGAUGUGUGCCAGGAAUGAAGAACUGGAAUAUCACCGUCAAGCAAGCACCCAGUGAAGCAAUACCAUAGAAUGCACAAUCCGGCCUUGCUAGGUGACACUGGGGGCUUUUUGAAAAGUGCUUCAUGCUCACUUGCACAGAUUGAGCAUCCCCUCUGGAUAUUGCCCUCUCUGAUCGAGUCAGAGCACUCAAAUUUCGGUCCUCAGAUGGAGCUACAGCUUUCUCUCCAAUAACCAACAAUUUUCUAAACUCAGCACCUAGUGUGAUCAGAGUUGUUGAUAUUUGUAAAUGGAGAUCCCCAUAUUUGCAAAUGGAGACAUUUAACAAAUCACCAACAUGCUUCAUCCGGUCUACGAAAUUCUGCAGCUGAUUCAAAUCCGGAACCUGAACCAGAGUCGGAGGUAAAUCUUGAGCCAUAUCUAAAGCAGUUUGAAGUUCAAGUACUUGAGCCCUCGACAGUGGUUUUGAAAUUGGAACAUCUUGAAUUACUGCAGACUUGUACCCUUUGGUUUCAAAGGUAAGGAAAGGCAUUGCUUGAGUACAAUUUGGAGGCAGCUUCUUCACCAAUUUUAUUUGGAGGCGAUUGGCAGCAGAUCCAGCUGCACCAUUUUCAGAGCAAAUACUGACACUACUUCAAACAGCACGCUGAAGAAGCGCUAUGUCUACGGCAAAGGCAAUGCAGUCCUCAUUUUGGCUUGAGAUGCGGUAAUCAUCGAAGAGAGUUUCCUUAUGAAACUGGGCAACACAUUGAAUCCCUUCACCACUGAGAAGGUUGUGGAGGAAGUACGCUUUCUCUCUAGUGAGGAAGAGGUGGCAUACCUUCCCCAUUUUGUCUAGGGCAGUUAGGAAUCUUUUUUCUAAGAGAUUUACUCCAUUCUCUGUGAGAAAUGCUUUGAACUUCAUCCCUCUGUCUCUAUCCUCACUUAUCAGUAAAACAGUUGAAAGUGAUACAAGGAGAGAAAAGGAGAGUACUAAGAUAUAUAGACAAGAAAAACAUUAGGUGUCGAUCUUACAUGUUAAUACUUCAAACAGUAUCCUAGAAAGCUAAAAACUGCAGAAUGGCUUGAAAUUUGAAAAGAACACAUGCUUUUCCUCCUUAACUUGAGAAAAUGUUUAACAUAGCGCGCCUUACAGAAGCAAGCAAUUAGAACUUUGCACAAAAACAUUCAAGAAGACCAAUAUUUCAACUAUUUUACUGAUGAAAAUCUCAAAGCACAAAUGGCAUUGCAUUUUGUCCUCAACUGUAAUAUUUAUUGAUGAAAAUCAGUACAGGUCCCUCAUUUGUUAUGGAAAGCUUUCUUGCAAAGUGACGGACAUUUCUUUCGAUUUAAAGUCUUUGCAUCACCACUUCAUCACACACCAAGCCAAUAUUCUGUCUACCUCUACAACAAAAAGUUUUAAGUAAACGAUCCUAAUGCACGCAGCCAAAUAAAAUGCAGUAAGAAUAUUCAACUUAAAAAUCUGAAAGUCAACUUGGUGAAUUGCCUUCUUAGGGGAAGUUCCAUGAUUUACUAUACUAGACAGAACUGAGCAAAAGCUUCCAUACGACAGAUUUUGACAAUAAUGAUGCCAACAGAUCCUCAUUAAAUCCAUUAAAACUCCUAAGGUUCAUUGUUCAUGGAUGUUUACAGAGUGAAAAUUAGAUCACCAGCAGCUAAUUGUAAAUUCAAACUUAACUCUUCAUCUCCUUUGUAAACAGGAAACAAAAUGGAGACACGCAAAAUGAAUAAGGAGAACAUUUGAACUCAAAUGAAAUGAGGGCACGAAAGCAAACAAAUGGCAUGCACAAACAAACCAAGCCUCAAUAAAAAACUAAUUAACCAUUAAAAAAAAAAAAAACUGGUCAGAGAAUGAACUCCAAAUUCGGUUCGGGAGUGAAGCAAGAAGCUUUAUUAUUUCAGAAGCUCCUGUACAAAUUAAUAAGUUAUGCUCUUUGGAAACAAACCUAAAUUCCAUGAGAAACAGAACUCAAAAAAUUUGCAAUUAUACGCCAAGGAAGUGAAGCACAGCAUUCUAUCACACGUACGAAUUGUAUAACAAGAGAUCGACACAUCGAAUCAGAAGAACUCAAUUCAAAUUUGUCUCAAAAAUCAAAAUUAGAAGAUUUCACAUUUCGAGAGGAACAAGGGACAGGUCAGAUGCAAAAUUUUCAGCCACAACAUGCCACAAUUAACGGUUUAUUUCCAUGGAUUUAGAGAGCUAACUGACCUUUUGGCUUUUGGAAUUGAGAAGAUCGCGCGCCAAAAUGGAAGAGGGAAAGCGAAAGUGCGGGUUUUAAUAGGGUAUUGGAUUAGCAAAUUUUAUUAGUUUGCGGGGGUAAAAUAGGAAAGAGAUAUCACUAUUAACCUUUUUUUUAUAAGAAAAAAGAAUAAUAAAGAAUAUUUUAUUGUCAUUUGCAGCCUUUAAUUUUUUUUUAAAUGCUAUUAGAAAAAUACGACGACAAAGAAAUGCUAUUUUUUUAUUUUUUUCUUGAAGGUGAAAUCAAUUAUUUAGCUCCUUAUAUGUAAUCAAACUCCAUUUCUUACUUUAAGUCAUAUCCAACGGACCAACAAAAUAAUUAUUUUUUUUUCAUUCAUUUUUGCAGAAAAUUAAUAACUUAAAAAUAUUGAAAGCUAUUGUAAAAUUUUUUAUUAUCAACCUCAUAAUUUAAUUUUUUUGGGGAAGAAUUGAAUUUUUUUUUUUAAUUUCCAAGAAUUUCAUUCUCUAGUUUUUCCAUUAAUAUUACUUAUCUUCAUACCCAUCUUAAUUAAAAUCUGUAGUUUUAUUCAAGAGUCAUGCUAUUCAUUCACUCGGACCAAAGGCUUUCCGCAGCAAUAUUAUUAUUUAAAUUACAACAAAGGGGAAAUCAAAUACGUCAUACAGAGGCUUAAAGCUCAAUCUACAAAAUCUAGAGUUCUCAACUACAUAAAUUACACUUGAUGAUCCUCUACAAGAUGAAUCUUGUUCAAUAUCUCAUCCAAAGCUUAUAAAGUAACCUUGUAACGAUCUUGAGAUUGCCUGCCUUCCUCGACGACCUGCACCAUGCGUUUGUACAAAUCAUCUGUGAUCAAGAACAUAAGAGCGUUUAACAUCUUUUCUCCAUCGAGAAAGAAUGUAGUGAGAUGGGAUCUCCUCCAUACCACUCUGGUUUAGAACACAAAGAAUGUGUCUGCAUAAAUAUCCUCUGAAAUUGAACAACCCACAAACACAAAGCACCUCCAAGUCGGAGGCAUUGUACAAAACAUCGAAAGCCCUUGAAUCUUUCUCGUUGCUACCAACCUCAAAUUCUUCCUUCACUAUGUAUGUUAUAGGUCCAUCAGCACUGACAUGUUUUGUGCUAUAGCAAGAGUACAUAGCCUCCACCUCCAUCUGAAACUUCCUUAACAUUUCAUUUGUGUACAGUUUUGAGAGUUGAAAUUCAUAGGAACAUCUUGGUUUCUGGAUACAACUUGAAUUUCUUGAAUCCAUAUCUGCCAAGGCUUCCAGUUGAUAAUUCGCCUGCAGUGCUUGAUCAUAUUUGUCUAAGUAUUCUUUCAAAGGAGUAUUCUUAUCAAGAUAUCCUUCAAAGUAUGAAGUAGAAACCUCACUCUGCAGGAAUGAAAACACUCCUGAUAAAAAUGUUUCCUUCAAAUAAACAGGAGCCCAACUUUUACGAUCCUCAUAUAAAGUUUGAAUCCAUCCAUGAUCCCUUAUUCCAUGACGUUGAAUCGUGUCCUCCCAAGCUGUCUCAAAUUCCUCAGGCCUAAGAGAGUGACAAAUUGCUCUAUGCAAUGCAGCUCUAAUAGCUUCAUAUUCAAAAUAUCCUUGGAGAUUCUCUGGAAUUUUUUGCAUGACGCAUGACAAUGAAAAACAAUGAUAAGCUCUUGGGAAAACAUCGCCGACAGCAGUUUGCAAGAUCUACAUUGGUCAGUGAUGAUUGUUUGUGGAGAGCGUCCUAACAUACAUGUAAGCCACACCCUAAACAACCAUGUAUAUGAUUCUAUAGUCUCACCGGCAAGUAAACCACAGCCCAACAGCACUGAUUGUCCAUGAUGAUUCACCCCAAUGAACGAAACCAGCGUUGCAUCAUAUCUUUCUGUCAAGCAUGUAGUAUCAAUUGAUUUGAGCUAUUAACAUCAUUUCCAAAUACUCCAUUGGCAUCUACAUUACCAUUUCCCUCGGCAUCAAUGAUAAGAGUUCGAAACAGUCUAAUCUUUUGAACUUCUUCAGCACCAUCUAAGAGCAAUGUUCUUUUGGUUCCAAUACCCAUGUGCUUAUGAGACUUGUAAAACUUCCCGCUUCUUGGGCUUAACAAGUGGUUAUGCUCAAGCUCGACUUCAAUGAUUCUCCACCUUUUGGUUUCCAUCAACCUAAACUUUAUCAUUGCUGGACAGCCCGUUCUUGUUUCUGGUCUUGGGCGGUUUGCCUCGCUUUUCUUCUUGAAGCCUGCAUUACUACAGCUGAGCUUUCCUUUAUACUUUUCUCUACUCUUUUGGUACCAUGUAUUGCUAACUCCAACACCAAAACCCUGUUCCUUGGCAUAGCAAUUAUAAAAGUAAUAUACGUCAUCAUACGUCUCAAACUCCAUUCCAACAGCAGGAGGCAAUGGAUUUUGGAUUAUCCCAGUUUGUCCAACAUAUUCAGUCAUCGCACAAUCUCCUACGACCUCAAAAUCAUCAGCUUCAUCAUCACCUACUGGUUCAGUAUUCAGAGAAACUUCAUCCAUCUACAAUAGAUGUUUAAUGAAGUGAGCUUUAAGGAGAAAAAGCAAAAUCAGUUCAAGGAAAGAUAAUAUAACCAUACAGUUACUUUCACAAAGCUGCGUAUUUCAUCAAUACUUUAACAACAUACAACUGCCUGAGAACAUAUAGACAUGUCAUAGACGUUUGAAUUAAGUAUUGGUACAAAUUAGCACACAUCAUGUGGGACACAAUUUCAGUCACUAAACCCAAUGCCUUUUUUUUUUCACAUCAUACCAAGGAACGGAUUAAACCCAAUACCUUCUUUUACGCCAUACCAAAGAACAGAUUAAAUCAUCAAUGAAAAUUUAAUCAAAUAAUAAUUUAACUAGACAAUUGAAGAGCUUGAAACAGCACAAAACUUGAAUCUGAUUAUGAUAAUUGUUGAGUCCUUGUAUCCACAGCUUUCCUUCAAUGAGAAGAUUAUGAACAUAAACUACACAUAAAAAAAUUAUUUAAACUGACAGCCCAUGAUAUAAAUCAAACAAAAUUAACUCCUUUUACAAAUCACAUCUCGUAUUCAGUUACAUUGAAACACAAAAAAGGAAGCAGGAGCCGGAGAAAAACAACAACAGAGAAACUUAUUUCCAGAAGGUUUACGAAAUAAGGAAUUUAUUAAGACACAAAAUUUGAGGUCAACAAUAAGAAUUUGGUUCUCAUUCUCUUUUUCUUCAUUUUUCACUUAUUGAUGGAGUUAGCGUACAAUCCUAUAUGAUAAAACCCCAUCUCCAUCUUUUUGAACUAGAGCUAAAGCAAAGCAUUUUAAGAUGUUUUUCCCUAAAAGACUCAAUAGUACAAUGCUUUUCAAUAUUAAAUACACAACUCAAUCUUCCCCUAAUUUACUCUAAUAAUCUCUUAACUAAGGAAGAUUAAGCUCCACUUGUAAGCUAAAACAAGUUUCUUAAAUCAAGCCCCAAUGCUCUAUACUAUUCAACAAGGCCUCAUAAAUGAUAAAACUACCUCUGCAAAGAUACCCAUUUUAAUUUCGCAAACUAAAAUCAAACUUCUGAAACGUAACGAGCAUUAAAACAAACAAGUCCGAACAAGAACUGAAAAAUGAUACGUAAACCCGUUUACACGUUUCGACAAACACUUUCCAAUCAAUGAGCAAAAAGGUUAAUGGAAAACAUGAAAUUCAAACAAAACAUACCUUAGGUUGAUAAAUUAGUAGGGCAAAAGAAAUUUUAGCGAGAUAUGGGAUCAGGGAUUUUGCCACGGUGAUGUUAAUUGCGACAUUCGGGUGACUCAGCAGCCUUCGAGGCUGAAACUUUGAUUGACCAAAAGGUUCCCGUUCGUUGAUUCUCUAAUUGCAGAAACGAAACUGGCAGUGUACAGAAAAAGUACGCUGAUUUGAUAAUUCUGUGAAAAUCAUUGUUUUUUUCAGAUUUUAAUGUGUUCGAUAAAAUAUCAAAAUCUCAAAAACUUUUGUCUUUCAUUUUGGGGGGAAAAACACACUGAGAUCCUUAUGUUUUUUCUUAUAUAAUCUGGCUUAAUAAUUUGCAAAGUCUAUUACUUUGCACCCAUGCAUGCUGCGUUACAAUUUACAAAAUUGUACGUGAGUGCAUCCAGCUAAAAUUUGUAAAAAGAAAAUAACAAUAACAUGUUAAAAAUGUGAUUAUUAUGAAGAAAUUUUAAUUUAGUUAAAUAGGUGACGAUGGAUAGGUAUAAAAUCUGAGAUCUUUUAUGAGAUUAAUAAAUAUGUUGAGUUUGGAUUAGUUCAAUUUUGACAUAAUACAGAAUAAACACAACCUGCUAAUCUAAGUUACCAUCUUUUCCCGUCAUCAGGUACCUGUUUGAAAAAUAAUUAUAUACAAUUUUAUUUGCGUUGUCUCUCUAAAAAUUUGGGACUCAAAUGUUAUUUCUAAUUGCUAAAAGUACGAAAAUGCCCCAUUUCUCUUCAGCUAAAGGAGUGCAAAGUCAUCUGUAUAAUUGAAGCUGCAUCAUCAGUUUCUAUUGCUGGUGUUUACUGCAUGCUUACAGUUGCUUGACAAAGUGAGCCAGUUUUUUGUUUAUUAAUUUUUUUUCUUGUCGAGAUAGUCACAAAGUAUUACUUGUUCUAUAUAAGAAUGAUGUGAAUCAAUUUUUCAAUUAUGCAUUCUGUGGUAAUUGUGAAUUUAGUUUCAUUUGUCUUGUCUCCUGCAAAUUUUGAAGAAAAUGCAGACAUACAAACUUACAAUACGGAAGAGUUCACAGGCAAAAACUUUGUGAAAGCUUCCAAGUGAAACAGGGAAUGCGCUUACUAGUAAAGAACAAAUUGGUGGCCAGCUAAUGCAUUCAUUCUAUGUCCAUUGAUCUUUUUGAGUUAUUGAAGACAAGUGGCUCACCGCUUUUAGUAUUGGUAAAAUUCAGAUAAUCUCUAUUCCGAAAUAAUAAUAUUCAAAAUAUCUCUUAAAUCAUUAUAAACCUCAAAUUUAUUUUAAUUUUAUUUAAAAGAUAAAAGAAAAAUAGGUUAUGUUGGUGAUUUUUUAUUAUCUUUUUAAUAAAAAUGAAAUAAAUUGAUGUUUAUAAUUAAUUAAAGUAUUUUAAAGAUUGCCAUUUUAUGAGAGAAUAAUAUUUCACUUUUUUUAGUGUGAAAGACCGAAAAAGGACAAAGCAAGUUUCCCUAAUUUUUAUUUUAUUCGAAAUUGGUCAUCUCAUAUACUUCACCCUUCAACAUUAUAAUUUUUUUGGUUAUAAUUUUAUUAUUUUUUUUUCUUUUACACAUGCAUGUGAAUUACUUUUCUUUAAGCUCCUGAAUAUUUAAGACAAAUCAUGGAAGAGAUGAGAGUAUAACAAGAUGAUCAAAAUAUGUAACAAAAAAAUUUUAGAAGUGAAAAAUAUGUUAGAGUCGAAGUAAAACUCUGAGGUGAUGUUUGAUUUGAAGAAAAUGGAGGAGAGGAAAUGAGUGGAAUGGAGAGGAAAAGAGAGAAAAGGAGAGGAGAGGAGAGUGAAAUUUUUUUCUAAUGUUUGGUUUGUCACAUAAUUAUACAAAGAAAAGAAAUCUCUAAUUUUUUAUUUAGACAAUUUUAACCUUAAUAAGUAUUAAGCUUUCAAUAUUUAUCAUGUGUAUAAUUUAAAAAAAGUAAAUGGUAGAAAGCGGUUUCUGAUUCCGGCCACAUCGCCGGCAAUGGAAGGUACUUAUCAGAACAUCAAGAGCCGACCAUCAUUCCCUAGCCAUCACUGCUGUCGGAACACUGCCAGAAAGCUGCCGAUUGAACCGCAAAAAGUCGUGGAAAUCGCUGCCUCAAAUCGGUGAGUUUCGCCUUUUUCUGGUCACGCCGUCACCUUGGCUUUGUCCAUCAAGGCUGCCACUUCCAUUUUCAACCAUCCAUAGCCACUAUUAACGGCCAAAUCGCCGCCGAUCAGCGGGAUAUGUGGAAGUUAAAAAGUUUCUAAAUUUUUUUUAACUGGAUUUGAACAACAUACGACCAUUUUUUGAUCUCGAUAACGACGUAGUAAUGUUGAUCAUUGGUCGGCAAGUCGAAUGGUAGUGGCGGUGAGUAACACGCGCCAAUGACAUCGGCGGCGGCACUAUCCGGCGACUGUUAAAAUUAAUAUUUUAUAUUUUUAGAUUAAAUAAAUUUAUUUUAUUAAACUUUUUAAAUCAUUAUUUAAAUUUAAUUAAUUUAAAAUUAUCUAUAAUGUUGAAUUGAUAAAAUAAAUUUAUAAAUAAUAAUUAUGUGAUUACAUUAAAUAAGUUAAAAAGUUGAAAGGUUAUUUUUGGAAGAUUUAGUUUCCAACACAAAGGGAAUUUGAAUUCUUCACUUCUUAGUGUGGAAUUCAAAUUCUAUAUUGUAAUGGAUAUUAAAUUCCAAUAGAAAUUAAAUUCUUAUAAGUUAUGUCAAACCAAACAACGGAAAUAAAAAAGGAAUUUAAAUUACUUUCCUUUCCUCCACCCUCUCCUUCCAACCAAAUACAUCCUGAAAAUAGAGAUAUUGAUUAAUUUAGAAGAGAUGCAAGCAAAAGAUAUUCCAAAAAAAAAAAGCAAUAUGUCCCUUUGGAGGGCAAACUUGUCAGUUUUAAAAAAGUACAUGCUUUGGAUUGAUAGUUGUAGGAUAUUUGUUUUGUCACUAUGUAUUAGUUGGAGAAGUCAAGCCUUGUGAAGAAUGUUAUGAAAGAGCAAAUGUUAGAGUACAAUUUAUGCACUAGUUUUGCAUUGUUUACUUCCAUUAAUAUCGAUGUUUUGCACUUAAUAAUAGUGAUUUACUUGUGUUUUACUUUUGUAGGUGCAAUUCUAUUGAUUGGUGAUAAAAUUGAGCUAUAAGAUGAUGUUUAAGGAUGAUUGUUCUCUUGGAGAAAUUUAGAACGUCAGAAGAACUUUGUUGAUAAGGCAUGGGCGCGUGCUGUCAACUGCGGACCUGCAGUUUUUAGUUUAACGUGUUUUGUAUUUUUGGUUAUUUUUGUAAUUACGAAUUUAAUAUUUCAGAUAUUAGUAUUUUAUUUUAAAUAGAAUUCUAAAAGAGAGGAGAGAGAGAGUAUUUAAGGGAGGAAUCUAUUGUGAAAAAUGGGGAUUUUGGAUUGGAGAAAGAAAGAAACCCUAGAUCUAAUUUUUCUCUUCUCUCUAUGAAGAACUAAACUUAUUUUUCUGGUUGAAGGUUAAUGAAGCUUUGAUUCAUCACUACUGUGAGAUCUUUCUUGUGCUUUAAUUGUUUUAUUGCUUUUUGGGUAUUUGUUUAUUCUCUGAAUUAUUUUCAUGAUUAUGUUUGUUAAUUAGAUAAUUGGCCACUAUUUAAUUAUCAACUUAAUCUAUUGUCAAUUAAAGGAUUCAUCGUAUGAAGAAUUUAAUGUUUGUGACAAAUAACAUAGCAGAGAGUUGUGUUGUGAGAAUAAACAAUCUAAUUUAAAUGAAUCAUCAUAUGUGUUGAUUAGGAUUUGGGUCUCUCUGGUUUUUCAGGCUGACAUUGAUUAAAUCCUAUGAUCGUAUCUAGGGUUGUCUAUUGAUUAGGGAAAUAACCAACGGUCGUACCUUGGUUAUCGACUAGUUAAGGAGAGAUUGGCUAUUAGAGGUUCUCAAUAGUUAUAACCGAUCUAUUCAUAAGUAAUAAUAAUCUAUAUUUGAAUCAAUGAUCAGUAGUCGAAUCAAGCUGAGUUAAUUCCUUCAACCAGAGCUUUCUCCAAUUUGAAUUACAACUUUAAUUUGCAUUCUUGUUAUUUUGAUUUGAUUUUUAUUAUUGUCAACAAUUCCCUCAUUUUACGUUUUACGUUUCAAAAGGAUUUAAAUAAUUACCGAUCUCUGUGGACACGACCCUGCUCAAUCACUAUACACAAUUUAUUUAGAGUAUGAAUUUAUUUUUAUUGGCUUCGACACCCAUCAGCAAAGGAUAUUCCUGAUAGCUGAUAGAGCUCUAUUUGAUUAUGUAUCCAAUGAAUGGAUGUGUUGUUGGAAGAUAUCUGAGUGCAUUAGUUCAUAUGUGUCUGUCAAUGUGCUUUUAAUGAUUUUUCCACUUGUUUGUUGUAAAAGAUUAUUGUAAAUUGAAAUGAGCUUGAUGUUGUAAUAUUUUUUCCUUAGUGGAAUUUCACCUAGUAUGUAUUCAGUUGUGUUCUCUAUAAUUUUGCAUUCGAAUAAGUUUCACCUAAAAUAUUAGCAUGAGUAGUGGCCUUUGAAACUUUGGUCAAAAUUAUUGUUAUUAUUUCCGACUAGAUGUAAAUUUUUUAUUAAAUCUCGUUAACACAAUUCUUAAUUAAAAGUAUAGGUUAGUGUUGGUGCAAGAUUUGCCACACCAAAUUCUGCCUAGCUGUCAAAAGUGCAAAAUAAAUGAAGAGAAAGCACAAAUACACGACUUGAAUAAGGAUACAACGAAACUUAAUUUCAAGAGAAAAUGAUAGCUAUAUCUCAAGAUUUGAAAAAAUGGUCAUGUAGAUUUUUAAGAUUUCAAUAAGCGACUGAGAUUCAAAUAAUAUCCUUUAAUUCUAUUAACAAAAAACAAAGACUCAAAUAUUUUAUGAUAAAGAAAAAUAUAAUAUUAAAAUAUAUGUGAUAAUAUACACAUUUUAAAUACUUUUAAUCCAAAAAAAUAGUUAUGUUUUACAAUCUAUUAGACAUAUUUUAUUAAAUUAAUAUAAAUUUUCUAUAAAAUAAUAAUAUAAUAUUAAAAUAAAUUCACAAAAAUUUAAAGAAUUUUGAAUGUAAAAUAAUUUUAAUAUAUUAAUACGUGAGUUUUUUAUUAAUAUAAAAAUUAUUUAACUUUAAGAUUUUUUAAAAUCUUUACAAUAAGUAUAACUAUAUUAUUUACAUUUAAAAAUAUUUAAAUAUUAUUAACCUACAAUUAUAUUUGCAUUUGUUAGAAAUUUUUUAAGUCAAAUAUUUUGCACUUCUAUAUUAUUAGAAUUAUUGCACACAAAGAAAGAAACAUAUACCUUUAGAAAUUGUUUUCUUUUAAAAUAGAGAUGAUGAUUAGUAUAAGGAUGAAAAAAAGGAUAUUAACGAAAUCUCUAUACAAAUUGAUUUUAGUAGGAAAAAAAUGAGUUAAAUGAUUUAGAGUGCGUUUGGAAUUGAGAUUGGGCAGUCAUAGAUUUUAAGUUACAACACUGAAGUGUUUGGUAAAUACUAGCUACUGCAGAUUGAAAGUUAUGUUGAUAUGAUUUUUCACAUGUAUCAUAGAAAAUAUAUUACAUCUUUAAUAAUUUUUUUAAAAUUUAUAUUUGCUAUAUAUUAUUAUUAUUUUUUUUUAUAGUUAUAACUUUUUUUCCAUAGCAGCUGUAGCUUAAAAGCCACAGCACCUCAAUCUCAAACAAGUCCUUAGACAUUCAUAGUGUGUUUAUUUUUUGGAUUGGUGAAUCAAAAUUAUUGACAACGCUAACUUCAUCUUCACCGUUCGCAAUCCAACAGCAGCAAUUGUCACCAAUAAUGAUAUCUCCAAUGAUGAUGACAAUUAUUAUUAUUAUUAUUAUUAAUUAAUUAAUUAAUUAAUUAAUUAAUUAAUAUAUUAAUGUUAAUAUUAUUAUUGUUAAGAUUAACAAUAAUUAUUAGUAAUACAAUUUUUUGAAUAAAAAUAAUCACAAUAAUUAAAAUACAAAUUAAUAAUUAUGACAAUAGUUAAUUAAUUUCUUUUUAGUAAUUUGUAACAAUCUAACUCAUUUUAAUUCUGAUUAUUACAGCUUAAGUAAACAAAUUAUUAUGAUUCCUAUUCUCCUUUCCCAUUUUAGCUCACUUCGAUUCCAGUCUAUUCCGAUUUCUAUCUAAUAAAUGCACCAUUAGUGCUAAAGUAAUAUUUCAUACAUAGAAAAGUAAAAACUACACCUAAGGUUAAGGGAAAGGACUUCAAAACUCUCUUUUGAUCAUAAUACAUUUUGUCCUAAUUAACUUAAAGAUUUUGAAUCUAAUAUUUUAUAAUAAAUAAAAAUAUAUUCCUAAAAUAAAUAUAAUAUCAAUAUUUAAAAUAUGUUUUAAUAUUUUACAAUCUAUCAUACACAUUUUAUUAUAUUAAAGUAGAUUUAUAAUAAAUAUAUAAAAAAUUUAGAAUAUUUAGAAUAUUAUAUAAAAUAAUUUUAAUAUAAUGCGUGAGAUAUAUUUUAUUAAUUUAAAAUGUCAUUUUACCUAAAAAAUAUGAUAAAUUAAUAAUUACAUAUUUGAAGUUAUUUCAAAUAUUAAAAAAAUUUAAUAUUAUUAAUCUUUUAGAUAGAUUAAAUUAUUUUUCAUAAGAGAGAUUAAUCUUUUACUAAAAUUUCUCUUCCACAGCCCACCGCAGCUUCAGUUAAUCAAACUCCAUCAAUUUUCUUUCUUAACAAAAUUCUAAAGAUGUGUAGCAUUUUUCAGAUCACAUGCGAUGGUGCUUUUUUCAAUCGUUGCUUGGAUUGCUUUCUUGGAAAAGCAGCAUACAUACGUAACCUCCAAGAUAAUCUUGAUGCCUUGGAGACUGAAUUGGGAAAUCUGAUCGCUAGAAAGAACGAUGUGAUGAGGAGGGUUGUCGAUGCUGAACGGCAACAAAUGAGAAGGCUGGACGGAGUGCAAGUGUGGGCUUCGAGGGUGGAUUCUGUUAAAACUGAAGCUGAUCAAUUUAUAAGAGACGGCUCUCGAGAAAUUGAAAAAUUAUGUGUUGGAGGCUACUGUUCCAAGAAUUGCAUGUCAAGCUACAAGUUCGGGAAAAAAGUGGCUAAAAAGCUACGGGAUGUGCGGUCUUUAAUCAGUGAAGGAGUUUUUGAAGUGGUGGCUGACAGAGCUCCAGAGUCUGUAGCAGAUGAAAGACCUACUGAGCGAACAGUAGUAGGCUUGCAAUCACAACUUGAACAAGUCUGGAGAUGUCUUGUAGAAGAAUCAGCGGGAAUCAUUGGCCUAUAUGGUAUGGGCGGUGUUGGUAAAACUACACUACUGACCCAUAUCAACAAUAAAUUUCUCGAGAGUCCAACCAACUUUGAUUGUGUGAUUUGGGUUGUAGUUUCAAAAGACCUGCGACUCGAAAAAAUUCAAGAAGAUAUUGGGAAAAAGAUAGGUUUGGUUGGUGAUUCAUGGAAGAGUAAAAGUGUAGAGGAGAAAGCUGUCGACAUCUUCCGGAGUUUAAGAGAGAAGAGAUUUGUAUUGUUGUUAGAUGAUAUAUGGGAGCGGGUUGAUUUAACAAAGGUGGGCAUUCCACUUCCCGGACCAAAAAAUACUACCUCAAAAGUCGUAUUCACAACCCGUUUCAUCGAUGUUUGUGGUAGCAUGGAAGUUGACAGGAAGUUUCAAGUAGCAUGCUUAUCAGAAAAGGAUGCUUGGGAACUGUUUCGAGAAAAAGUUGGGGAAGAAACUCUUCAGAGUCAUCAUGAUAUCGAUGAGCUAGCCCAAAUUGUGGUCAAAGAGUGUGGUGGUUUGCCACUCGCACUUAUUACUAUUGGUCGAGCUAUGGCCUACAGAAAGAAAGCGGAGCAGUGGAGACGUGCAAUUGAAGAGUUAAGGAGAUCAGCUUCAGAGUUUGCAGGUUUGGGAAAAGAGGUGUAUCCUCUUUUAAAAUUCAGCUAUGAUAGUUUGCAGAAUGAUACGGUUAGAUCUUGUUUCUUGUACUGUUGUUUAUAUCCUGAAGAUUAUGGCAUUCUUAAAUGGGACUUGAUUGAUUGUUGGUUUGGCGAGGGAUUUUUUGGGGAAUCUGACAGGUCUGGUGCAGAAAACCAAGGAUAUGACAUUUUGGAAACUCUUGUUCGUGCAUGUUUAUUAGAAGAGGUGGAAGAUGAUGAAGUAAAAAUGCAUGACGUUAUUCGUGAUAUGGCUAUAUGGAUAACUUGUGAAAUUGAGAAGGAGAAGAGAAACUUUUUGGUUCGUGCAGGUGCUGGAUUAAAAGAGGCACCGGGUGUUAAAGGAUGGGAAAAUGUGAGAAGAUUGUCAUUGAUGCAAAACCAAAUUGAAACUCUGGCAGAGGUUCCCACAUGCCCUCAUCUCCUCACUUUAUUUUUUGACUUUAAUAAGGAGUUAAAGAUGAUCGCGGAUGGCUUCUUCCAAUUUACGCCUUCUCUCAAAGUUUUGAAGAUGUCAAACUGUUUGAAUUUGAAAUUACCUAUUGGGAUGUCAGAGUUGGGUUCAUCACUAGAACUUCUCGAUAUUUCAUAUACCGGCAUAAGAGAGUAACCGGAAGAGUUAAAGUUGUUGGUAAAUCUGAAAUGUUUGAAUUUGAGGUGGACAAUUUGGUUAAAUAAAAUUCCACGGCAACUAAUAUCAAAUUAUUCAAGGUUACGUGUGUUGAGAAUGUUCGCUACUGGCUUGGGCAUUUUUCAUGAAGCACCAGAAGACAGCGUUUUAUUUGGUGGGGGUGAAGUUUUAGUACAGGAAUUGCUCGGUUUGAAAUAUUUAGAGGUAUUGGAGUUGACCUUGGGAAGUUAUCAUGCUCUCCAAAUUCUUUUGAGCUCAAAUAAGUUAAAAAGUUGUAUUCGAUCUCUUUACCUCGAGUUGACCGGAGAUACAGCGUCAAUUAUUGAUGCUACGGCUUUCGCAGAUCUAAACCACCUCAAUGAAUUAUAUAUUUUUAAAGGUAUUGAGUUGGAAGAAUUGAAGAUUGAUUAUACGGAGAUAGUACGAAAAAGGCGGGAACCUUUUGUUUUCCGCAGCCUUCACUGUGUUAUUAUGGUUUCGUGCCGUAAAUUGAAAGAUGUGACAUUCCUCGUUUUUGCUCCAAACCUCAAGUCUCUUUUGGUAGACGGUUGCGAUGCUAUGGAAGAAAUAAUCAGCGUCGGAAAAUUUGCUGAGACUCCUGAGAUGAUGGGACAUAUAAGCCCUUUUGAAAAUCUCCAAAUGCUUGAUUUAACGGCAUUGCCGGAGUUGAAGAGCAUCUACUGGAAGCCAUUGCCUUUCACUCAUCUGAAAGAAAUGGAGGUACUUAGGUGCGAUCGGCUUGAAAAGCUUCCACUCGAUUCCAACAGUUCAAAGGAGCGUAAAUUUGUUAUUUGUGGAUACACAAAGUGGUGGAACCGACUUCAAUGGGAGGAUGAAGCCACUCAAAUUGCUUUUCGUUCCUGUUUCCAACCAAUGGGAGUACUGAGCGGUGGUCGCAAAAUUUGAUUUCUGGUGAGUGCGUUUUUGUUAACGCUUAUGUUUUUAUUCCAGUGUGUUUUUCUUCUGUCUUCUGCAAAUCAAUGCUUUAUAAAUUUUCCUUUUCCCUUUUUUUUUGGGGGGGGGGGGGGGGGCGUGGGUCGAAUUGAUGCUCUGGUUUUUUACUUUUUGUUGUCAAAUUUGGCCUUUUUUUUUUUUUUUUUUUUUUACAAGUUGAUACUUUAUUUAUAUCUUCUUAGCGAUUUAAUUUCCUGUCAAAAGACGAGCGAGAAGAACAUAUGACUUAAAGCAAUUGAUACUUUAUUUAUGUGCAUUGUAUGUAAUAAAUAUUAAGUAUACUUUAUUUUGCCCUGUUCUCUGUUUUUAUUUCAGUCUCUCUCUCGCUCUCUCUCUUUCCUGUCUUCUGCAAGUCAUAAUUAAAUGUUGAAUUAUAUGGAAUUAAUGCUUUAUAAAUCUGCCUGCGCUGGCUUUUUUUUUUUUUUUUGUGGGGUCGAAUUGAUGCUCUGGUUUUCGACUACUUUUUGUUGUCAAAAUUUUCUCUGUUUUUUCAAAUUUAUAUCUUAUUCGUGAAAAGUGAUUUAAUUUCCUGCCAAAAGACGAACGAGAAGAACAUUAGAGUCAAACUAAUGCUCACAUAAAUUUCCCGUAAGAAUAUAUAAUUAGACUGGAAUGCACACCUCUAGAUUGAACAGAAUUAAAGCUGAGAAAAUAUUGAGUAUAGUAGCCCUCUUUACAGAAAAUGACGCGAAAGUUAAUUUAGAAAGAUAUAUUCUCGAUUAAUCCAUUUUCUGAAUUUUUUUUUUAUUUUGUAUGGUCAAUUUUUUUUUUAAAUUACAACCUCAUAGUCAUGCUAUUCAUUCACUCACAGACCAAAGGCUUUCCGCAGCAAUAUUAUUAUUUAAAUUACAACAAAGGGGGAAUCAAAUACGUCAUACAGAAGCUUAAAGCUGAAUCUACAAGAUCUAGAGCUCUCAAGAUGAAGCUUGUUCAAUAUCUCAUCCAAAGCUUGUAAAGUAACCUUGUAACGAUCUUGAGAUUGCCUGCCUUCCUCGACGACCUGCACGAUGCGUUUGUACAAAUCAUCAUACUUGUGCACUGGAUUUUUAAUAUCAACGCCACUGCAGCUGUGAUCAAGAACAUGAGAGCGUUUAACAUCUUUUCUCCAUCAAGAAAGAACGUAGUGAGAUGGGAUCUCCUGCAUGCCACUCUGGUUUAGAACACAAAGAAUGUGUCUGCAUAAAUAUCCUCUGAAAUUGAACAACCCACAAACACAAAGCAUCUCCAAGUCAGAGGCAUUGUACAAAACAUCGAAAGCCCUUGAAUCUUUCUCGUUGCUACCAACCUCAAAUUCUUCCUUCACUAUGUAUGUUAUAGGUCCAUCAGCACUGACAUGUUUUGUGCUAUAGCAAAGAGUACAUAGCCUCCACCUCCAUCUGAAACUUCCUUAACAUUUCAUUUGUGUACAGUUUUGAGAGUUGAAAUUCAUAGUAACAUAUUGGUUUCUGGAUACAACUUGAAUUUCUUGAAUCCAUAUCUGCCAAGGCUUGCAGUUGAUAAUUGGCCCGCAGUGCUUGAUCAUACUUGUCUAAGAAUUCUUUCAAAGGAGUAUUCUUAUCAAGAUAUCCUUCAAAGUAUGAAGUAGAAACCUCAUUCUGCAGUAACGAAAACACUCCUGAUAAAAAAGCUUCCUUCAAAUAAAUAGGAGCCCACCUUUUACGAUCUUCAUAUAAAGUUUGAAUCCAUCCGUGAUCCUUUAUUCCAUGACGUUGAAUCAUGUCUUCCCAAGCUGCUUCAAAUUUCUCAGGCCUGAGAGAGUGAUAAAUUGCUCUAUGUAAUGCAGCUUUAAUAGCUUCAUAUUCAAACAAUCCUUGGAGUUUCUCUGGAAUUUUUUGCAUGACGCUUUCCUUCAAUGAUAAGACAAUGAACAUAAACGAGACACAAAAAAAAUUAUUUUAAACUGACAGCCCAUGAUAUAAAUCAAACAAAAUCAACUCCUUUUUUUACACAUCACAUCUCAUAUUCAUUUGCAUUGAAGCACAAAAAGGAAGCAGGAGUGGGAAAAAAAAAACAACAGCAGAGGAACUUAUUUCCAUAAGGUUUAGGAAAUAAGGAAUUUAUUAAGACACAAAAUUUGAGGUUACCAAUAAGAAUUUGGUUCUCAUUAUUUUUUUCUUCAUUUUUCACCAAUUGAUGAACUUAAAAUACAAUCAUCAAUGAUAAAACCCCAUCUCCAUCUUUUUGAACUAGAGCUAAAGCAAAGCAUUUUAAGAUGUUUCAUCAUUUUUUUUAAUAAAAAAAAACCUCAAUAGUACAAUGUUUUUCAAUGUUAAAUGCACAACUCAAUCCUCUCCUAAUUUACUCUAAUAAUCUCUUAAUUAAGGAAGAUUAAGCUUCAGUUGUAAGCUAAAACAAAUUUCUUAAAUCAAGCCCCAAUGCUUUAUGCUAUUCAACAAGGGCUCAUAAAUGAUAAAACUACUUCUACAAAGAUACCCAUUUUCUAAAUUAAUUUCAAAAACUGAAAUCAAACUCCUGAAACGUAACGAGCAUUAAUAUAAUCAAACCCGAACAGGAAUUGAAAAAUGACACAUAAACUCGUUUACACAUUUCGACAGACACUUUGCAAUCAAUGAGCAAAAAAUUAAUGGAGAAGAUAAAAUUCAAACGAAACAUGCCUUACAUUGAUAAAUUAGAAGGGCAAAAGAAAUUUUAGUACGAUAUGGGAUCAGGGUCUUGCCACGGUGAUGUUAUUUGUGAUGUUCGAGCGACUCAGCAGCCUUCGAGGUUGAAAAUUUGAUUGACCGAAAGCUUCCCGUUCGUUGAUUCUCUAAUAGCAGAAACGAGACUGGCAGUAUACACAAGAAGUUCGCUGAUUUUAAAUUCCGUUGUUUGAGAUGGAAAUUUUUUUGAAAAAAUUAAUGUGUUCGAUGAAUAUCAAAAUCUCAAAAACUUUUUGUUUCUCAUAGCACCCAUGCAUGAUGUGUUGUUUCUCUAAAAGUUUGAGACACAAAUGUUAUUUCAAAUUGAAACGCCAUGCACUAGUAGUAGACUAGUAGGUAGGAGAAACCAAGGUUGAAGUUACUGUUCAUUUAUUUUUAUUUAUGAUUUUUUGUAAAAUGUAAGAAAUAUGUAGAAAUGUUGCCAGCAAUGAUUUUGGAACUUUGCAUAAAAUUUUUAUCAUUAUUGUUUUUGGUAUUAAGAAAUCCGAGGCGGUGAUUAGACGUAUGUUGCAACAAUUAAGAAAUUUCUUAUUGGAGAUAAUUUGGUAGGUUGCAACAAUUAGAGAAUCAUUUUCCUGUCAGUUAAUCAAUCAAUAAUAAAUUUCAAAUUGCAGAAAAUAAAAUAAUACUGUCACACUUAGAAUCAUCUUUUCUAUCUCUUUCAAUUGUGGCAAUCAUUUGUAACAAAUAAAUCAAUUUGAUGCACAUCAUUUCCCCAAUUCAAAGUUCAAGUCACUGCUCAAUUGCAGAGUAGUUAGUAGACAUGCAUGCAUGUUUAAUUAAGUACUGCAUUGUAGUAUCGAAAAUCAUAAUAUCUCACCAAGCCCGGAAGCAUAGCUCUUUAUCUUGUAAACGUUGAAAUCUUAUGCAAACUAUGGGAAACAUGAUCUCACUCUCAGUGUCACUUGAUUCCAUUUUCUGUUCUUGCCUUGAUUUCGAUGUUGGGAAUGUGACGUCUGAGUCCAAGGUUGAAGAUAAUCUCGAUGCCUUGCGGACUGCAAUGGAAAAAUAAGCGGAAACGAGAAAUGAUGUGAUAAGAAGAGUUACUGUUGCUGAAGGACAACAUCAAAUGCAACGAAUGGAUCGAGUGCAGGGCUGGCUUUCAAGGGUAAAAGCUGUGGAAAAUAAAGCUGAUGAUUUGAUGAGACACAGCUCUCAAGAGAUUGAGAAGUUAUGCCUUGGAGGCUUCUGUUCCAAGAACUGCAAAUGAAGCCACAGCCGUGGGAUAGAAGCUGCUACAAUGCUACGAGUUGUGGAGACUUUAAUGGGUGAAGGAUCAUUUGAAUUGGUGGCUGAGAGGGUGCCAGAAGAUGCAGCAGACUGAGCAGAGGAGAUAAAUUGUGAGUCAACAAUAAUGGGCAUGGUGUCGACUUUUGAGAAAGCCUGGAGAUGCCUUGAAGAAGAAUCAGUUGGAAUUAUUGGCCUAUAUGUCAAUGGGAGAGUUGGAAAUAUUUACUCAAAUCAACAACAAGUUCCUUGAUAGUCCAAAUAAUUUUGAUGUUGCAAUCUGGGUAGUGGUCUGCCAAGAUUUGCAACCCCAGAAGUUUCGGGAAAAGAUUGGGAAAAAGAAAGGCUUGUUCGAUGAGUCAUGGAAGAACUGAAGUUUUGAAGAGAAAGCACUCGAUAUAUUCAAGAAUUUAAGCAAGAUGAAGUUUGUAUUACUGCUGGAUGAUAUAUGGGAGCAGGUUGAUUUAAUUAAAAUUGGUGUCCCUCUUCCAAGCACAAAAAUUACAUUCAAGAUAGUCUUCACAACUCCUUCUAUUACAUUUGUGGCCUCAUGGAAGCUCACAACAAGAUUAAAGUGAAGUGUUUAAAUGACGAAGAAGCAUGGGAAUUAUUCUGCAAGAAGGUUGGAGAAGAUGUGGCGACUCUGUACAAGUGCUAAGGAGCUCAGCCUCAGAAUUUCUAGGUAUGUAAAAACAAGUAUAUCCUCUUUUGAAAUUCAGUUAUGAUAAUUUACCUAGCGAUAAAAUUAGAUCGAGUCUGUUAUACUGUAGUUUGUUCCCAGAAGACUUUCCAAUUAGCAAAAUGGAAUUGAUACUGAGAUACGAAAUCAAGGAUACUACAUUAUUGGUGUUCUUGUUCCUUUAUGUUUAUUGGAAGAAGAGGCUCCACUGUUUGUAAAAGUGCAUGAGGUGAUACGCGAUAUGCUUCUGUGGAUAGCAUGUGAAAUUUUAUUUUUAUUUUUUUAUAGGGAUAUCAUGUGAAGUUGAGAAGGAGAGAGAGAAUUUUUUGGUUCGUGCAGGUGCAAGGAUUAACUGAAGUACUAGACAUUUGGAAAUGGGAAGGGUUGAGAAGGGUGUCUUUGAUGAUCAACAAAACUGAGAAGGUAUCAGAAAUUCCUUCAUCUCACGAUCCACUAACUUUGUUGCUUCAACAUAAUUAUUUAGAGGUGAUCAAUAAUGACUUCUUCCAAUCUAUGCAUUCCCUUAGAGUUUUGAACUUAUCAUGUAAUCAUUCUCUAACUGAUCAUUUCAAAGUUAGUUUCCCUACAUACGAGAGUUGCCGAAUGAGUUAACGUUCGUAGUGAAUCUUAAGUUUUUGAAUGUGGAGUCUGCACGGUUUCUUCAUUCAAUUCCAGGGCAAGUGAUAUCCAGUUUUACGAUGUUACAAGUUUUGAAGAUGUUUGGUUGUGGCAGGUCAUCUUCUGAUCGUGAGCCACACCAGAAGAUAGCGUUUUAUUUGGAGGCAGUGAACUUUUGAUUGCGGAGUUGUUUGGUUUGAGAGACAUUUAGAUGUGUUGACCAUCAUCCUAAGAAGCUCCCAUGCUCUGAAAAGAUUUUUGAGCUCCAACAAACUUCAAAGUUGUACUCAAUCUCUCUAUCCUAAAUGCUUUGAUUCGAAGUCAGUUGAUGUUUUUUGCCUGGCUGAUCUGAAGCAUCUCAAUAGGCUAUAGAUAUUGCGAGUUGUAAGCUUUUGGAAGAAGUGAAGAUUGACUUUGUUGGGAAAGCACAAAUGAACUCAUGGUUUUCACAGCCUUAUGUCACGGAAGUUGUGUAAACACUGCACGGGUUGCUGCGCAAAGUAACCAUCCUAUGACAUUGAGCCAUGUUGAAAUAUCAUUUUGCUGUAAACUGAGGGAUUUGACAUAGCUUGCUUUUGCUCCAGACCUUCUUGUUGUUUCCAGAAAGCAUUGCCAUGAUAUAGAGGAAAUACUCGGUGUUGGAAAAUUAGGUAAAGAGAUGAUGUCAAACCUGGAACCCCCUAUAAAACUCCUAAGGUUAUGUCUGGCAUGUAGGAUUGGAUUGAACUAAAUUAUUAGGACUGGAUUAAAUUGGGUUAUAUUUAUAUUCUUAUGUUUGGUACAGUACUGGAUUGAACUAUAUUAGAUUAUAUUUAAAUAAUAUUAAAUAGUAUUUAAGUUGGUAUUUUAAUAUAAAUAUCAAUUAUCCAUGAAAUUUUAUAAUCAUAAUUAAAAUAAAUUUAAAAAGCAAUUACUAGAAAAAUUAAAUAUAUUACAAAAAGUUAUUGGGUAGUCAUAAUAUAAUAAGCAAAUAAAAUUAAAUAAAACAAAUUAAAUAUUUAAUUAAUUUUUAUCAAAUAUUUAAAAAUAUUAUAUAAAAUCAAUUAAUUAAUGGUUUUAUUAAUUUUCAUGAUUAUUUUUAAUAUUACAUUAGUAAUUAUUAAAUUUAAUACAAUCAAAUAAUGCAAUAAAUAAUUAAACGUUUAAUUUUAUCGAUUAAUUAUUAAAUAUACAAGUAAUGAAAAUUUAAUCUCAGGAGUUGGCAGAAGCAAAAGUACUAAUUUAAUUAGAUCAUAGAUAAUAAAUAAAAAUUAAUUUUAAGUAAAUCAUAAUAAAAAAAUUAAUUAAUUGAUUCAAUCAAUCAAUAUUAGGUGUAAAUAAAAAAAGAGUAAUGAUAUAGCCACAAAUUCUUGUACAAACUUAUUUUGUACAAACUCAUGUGUCAUGAUAAGAUUAGUUGAAUUAAAUAUCACUUGGCCCACAUGAUUUGUUUUUAUUAUUUUAUAUUUUUAUUCAACCAAUGAAUUAACGCCACGUCAGUUUGUACAAGAGUUUGUGGUUGUAUCAUCACUCAUAAAAAAAAAGAUACAAAUAAAAAUCUCAUAAAUGGACAACUUUUAUCUUUAAUCUUAUCCCAACUAAACACAUGUGUGAAUUAAGAUUAUUAAUCCCAUGAUUUUAGGAUUAAAUUCAAAUUAAUUCCCCCUUAAUCCAAUCCAACUAAACUUGUCAAACAUGGGAUAAAAGUUUAAUUCUAAAAUUAGUCCAAUUCCAUACUUAAUCCUAGCAUCCACAUAUAGCCCAAGUUGUUUGCUUAAAGAAGCUACCAAAUUUGAAGAGCGUUUACGGGAAGGCCUUGCGUUUCCCAGAUGUAUGCAGAAUUUUUGUAUCCAAAUGCCCAGAACUUAAGAAGCUGACGCUGGAUUUUGAAAGGGCGGGCCAAGGUAAAAUUCUUAUCAAGUGAAAGGAAAAUCGGUGGAAACAACUUCAAUGGAAGGAUCAAGCAACUCAGGAUGCAUUGCUUCUGUUUUUCAAAUCAACUGACAAGUGAUUGAAGGGGGCAUCAUCAGCCUGGAUGGGGAGAUCCUGGAGCAGAUCAGCAGGGUUUGAAUCUGCAUCAUCAACAUCAUCAGGAUCUCUAUUUCUAUUGCUGGUCGUAAUGCCUGCCUACUGUUACUUGAAAAAGUGAUUAAGUGAGCCAGUUUUUUGUUUAUUAAAUUUUGUCUUGUAGAGACAGUCACAAAGUAUUUUUCUUAGUUGUUCUAUAUGAGAGUGAUGUGAAUCAAUUUUUCAAUUAUAUAUUCUGUGGGAAAUUGCAAGUAUUUUUAAAAUAUGAUCGUUAUUAAAGGAAACAAAGGAAUCAACACAGCAUACUGAACCUCAGCAGUAUGAAGCUAAUGAUUAAACUCCUCACACAAUUCAUAACAUGCAAAACCAUUCACAAAAUCAUCCCCAGCAACCAUAAUUGGCGUCCAAUAGAAAUUUACAAGAAUUACUUUUCUGUUCAUGCAAUCGGCGUCCGAAUGCGGCUGAUCGGUCACCGGUGUUGGCGUUUACUGUGAUUAGACAAAUUGUAGGAAUUCAAAAAUAACUUCUAUAGGGGUAAUUUCGAUUUCACAUAAUUAAUUUUAUUUACAAUAUUUUAUUCCUGCUAGAUCAAUUGAGAUUCUUUCCACCGGGCACACCCUUCAUGUUCUUUUAUUUUCUGUCUUUUAUUAGCCGUAGGAUUUUACUACUCUUAUAUCCAACGGCUUGCCACAACAAGACAAAUGAGGUGGUACCUUCCAACCGCUGAAAGGUCGUUUUGGCCCCAGGUGAAAGAGGGAAAUAGGGAAUUGAUGCUAUAUUUUAUAUUUUCUAUUUUACUACUCUUGUAUCCACCGGCCUUUCUUAUAUUUUAUUGCAAAUUGAUGCUAACAAGAAAAAGCUACAUCAUAUUCCACAAAAAACAAAAGUGACAAAACAACCAGUUGGAUUCUUUUAUUAAACUACAAAUUAAAUGGACUUUUUUUUAAUAAACUAUAUAUGAAAGUAGAAUCUUUUGAAUAUAAGUGGGGUAGACUUCCUUUCCAAAACAAAAAAUGCGGGGUAGGCUCUUUUAUUAAAGACAAGUCACAAGACGAUUAGAGUCUUUUAUUAAACUGCAAAUUGUAUAGUCUUUUUCAAAUUGUACAGACAUUUAUAAAUUGGUGGCCCCUUGGAAAUUUAAUGCCAAGCAGAGAAAAGUCAUCAUGCACAAUCCUCAAUAAUUGUUUCGAUAUUUAUAAAUUGGUGGCCCCAACGAAUAAUUGGGAUCGGUUAUGGUGCAAUUAUAGAACCAUGGCACAGUUGCAUCCAGCCGUUAAAUGCACUUAGAUUGGUGAGGUUUAUUGGCAUCUAAUGGCUGAAUGUAACUAUAAUACGGUACUACAGUUACAACACAAGUUUCCACCAAUAAUUGUUCCGAUAAUUAUAAAUUGGUGGCCCCUUGAUAAUUUAACAGCAGCCUGCAAGUGCCAACCAGUGAAAAGUCAUCAUUCACAAUCUUCCAAGUGAAAUAGGAGAUAUACAAAAUAAUAAAAAAAAAACAUGUCAAUUCUUUUUUUUUUUAUUCAUUCCCUUUCAUGUUCUUGAUAAGGGAGGGAGGACGUGACAUGUAAUGUAACUUACACCCAAAUACAUAAAUAAUAUAAAAUGAAUGGAUAGAUGCCCGAGCAGAUCGGCAGGGUUCGAAUAUGACCUUUGGUGCUUGCUUUUUUUUUUUGUGAUUUUGUUUUUCAUUUUUUCCUUCCUGUCAUUUUAUCAUUUCUUUGGCUUUGUCUCUAUUGCGGGUGUUACUGCAUGCUUACUGUUGCUUGACAAAGUUUGCUAGCUGAAAGAAACUUAGUUCUAUAUUGUUUGGUAGGCUAGAAAAUGAAAGGAAAUAAAAGAAAAGCUUUGCAAAGAAAUCUGUUGGAUCUUUUAUUAUUCCAAACUUACAGUUUAAUGACUACUAAUUGAUAUUUAUAUUGAGCUACAAUCUCUUAACAUACACACGAGAUUGUUGCAACACAUAACCAUUUGCUGUAUAACUAACUUGACACAUCAGCUCAACCAGCUAACUAACUUUGACAGGUCAGCUUAAUGAUUUGAUCUGCUACAACCAGCUACACAACACAUCAUGCUCUGCUCCAGCUACACAGCAACAUCAUGCUCUGCUCCAGCUUCAUCUAAUUCACUAACAUCCCCCUUCAAGCUGAAAUGUUUAGGAUGAACAUUCAGCUUGCUGCGGAAGUAACUAAAUUGUUUGAAAGUAAGAGCUUUAGUCAACACAUCUGCAGUUUGAUCUUGACUAGGCACAUAACAGACUGCAACUUCUUUAGCAGUAACUUUAUCUCGGAUGAAAUGGAUAUCCAAUUCAACAUGCUUAGUUUUAGCAUGAUAGACUGGAUUAUAAGCUAAAGCAAUGGCUCCUUGAUUAUCACACCACAUCAUAGGAGUAGAGCUCAAUUUGAUGCUAAGUUCACCAAGUAAAGACUUGAUCCAGGUAACCUCUGAAGCAGCAUGAGCAAGAGAUCUAUACUCAGCCUCUGUGCUGAAUCUGGAAACAACAGCUUGCUUCUUGGACGACCAAGAGACAAGAUUAGGACCUAGAUAAACAGCAAAGCCAGCUACUGACUUCCUAUCAUCAUGAUCACAAGCCCAAUCAGAGUCUGAAAAACAAUGGAGUUGCAGAGCUCCUUGGUUGUAGAAUUGCAGCCUAAGAUGGAUAGUACCUUUUAAGUACCUCAAUAACCUUUUACAUGCUUCCCAAUGUUGAGUCCUAGGAUUGGAAAGGAACUGACUCAACUUAUUGACAUAAAAAGCAAUGUCAGGUCUGGUAAGAGUAACAUACUGAAGAGCUCCUAUAACACUUCUGUAUUGAGAAACAUUGUCAAUUGGCUCCCAUGAGUCUUUGGUGAGAUAAUAACCUGUAGACAUUGGAGUUGGCACAGGACUGCAAUCAAUCAUGCCAUGUUUGUCCAGAACAUCAGCAAUAUACUUUGCUUGUGUCAAGGAAACCCCUUUUGAAGACUUGCUGACUUCAAUCCCCAAAAAAUAGUGAAGUUCCCCUAAAUCCUUUAAAGCAAAAGUCUGAUGCAUAUUCUGAAUAGCUUGCUGAAUCAAUGAUGGACUGGAACCAGUGAUGAUAAUAUCAUCAACAUAGACUAAAACAAUAGUUAUAUGACCACUGUUCCAGGCAUAAAAAAGAGAGUUAUCAGACCUUGAAUGCUGAAAAUGCCACUGGGAGAUCAUUGCAUCCUUAAAUCUAUCAAACCAGGCUCUAGGAGCCUGUUUUAAACCAUACAAAGCCUUAUUCAGCUUGCAAACAUGAUUAAGUUUAGUUGAAUCAACAAAACCUUGAGGUUGAGCCAUGUACACAUCUUCAAUUAAAAUGCCAUUGAGGAAUGCAUUAUUAACAUCCACCUGCCUAAUAACCCAGUGGUUCAAUAUUGCUAAGCUAAGAAUAACUCUGAUAGUUGAAGAUUUAACCACUGGACUGAAGGUUUCUGUGUAGUCAACCCCAUGUGUCUAAUGAAACCCCUUAGCAACAAGCCUGGCUUUAUACCUUGAAACCGAGCCAUCUGAGUUAUACUUAAUUCGAAACACCCACUUGUUACCAACUAUCUUCACUGGAGUAGCAGGUAAAACCAAAUCCCAGGUGUGAUUAGUUUUAAGUGCUAGAUACUCUUCUUGCAUAGCUUUAUACCACAUAGGAUCAGAGAGUGCUUUGGAAACAGAAGUUGGUUCUGAUUGCUGGGCUAACAAGGCUGACAAAUAAACUUUUGGCUUAAAAAUACCUGCUUUUGAUCUGGUUACCAUUGGAUGACCAGAUGGUGCAUGUUGUGGUAAUGUAUGUGGAGGUGAGGAAUGGGAAGAUGAGAAAGGAGAAACUGAGUUGGAAUUAUCAGAAAAAUAAACUGGAGUAGAGUUUGGGAAUGAAAUAGAAGCAUUAGACUGAUGAUCAGUAGGUUGAGGUGCUGAUGAUGCUGCUAAAGGUGCUUGUAACUGAGUAACAGAAGAAGUAGAAGACUUAAAAGAAGACUCAGAGUGUGAUGUAGACUGACAGCUUAAAGAGGUUGAAGAAAACUCUACCCCAGACUCAUAAGGAAAGGAAUUUUCAUCAAAGGUGACAUAAUUGGAAAUAUACACCCUUCCAGAAGAGUGAAGACACAUAUAUCCCUUGUGUUGUGAACUGUAGCCAAUGAAUAUACAUCUAGCAGUUCUGAAAUCAAACUUAUAUCUAUUGUAUGGUCUGAGUGUUGGAUAACAAGCACAGCCGAAAGUUUUAAGUGUUGAAUAAUCUGGUUGAUAAUGAAACAACUUUUGGAAAGGAGAAAUGUUAUUUAGAACUGGAGUUGGAAGUCUGUUUAUCAAAUAGACAGCUGUGUGGAAUGCAUUCCACCAAAAUUUGAGUGGUAAAUGUGCUUGAGCUAAUAAAGUCAGACCUACAUCAACUAUGUGUCUAUGCUUCCUCUCAAUUCUUCCAUUUUGGUGAUGAAUAUGUGGGCAAGGGUGUCUAAAAUGGAUACCAGAAGUAGUGAGUAAUGAGGAAAAAGAUCUGAACUCCCCUCCCCAGUCAGUUUGGACAGUUUUGAUGGAAAGUUGAAGAUGCUUUUCAAUGAAUGUUUUGAAAUUUUUAAAAACUUCAAGAGCAUCAGAUUUUGCUGAUAAAGGGAAUAUCCAGGUAAACCUACUAUAAUCAUCUAGGAUUCACAGGUAGUAGUUAUAUCCUUGGGUAGAACAAACAUGAGAAGGACCCCACAGAUCUGCAUAUAUUAGUUGUAAAGGUUCUGAAGUUUUUGUUUCAACUGAAUCAAAAUGCAGCAUAUGAUUUUUCCCAUAUUGACAUGCAUAACAAAAUUUCAAACUUUCAACUUUAUUAAGAGCAGUAAAGUUGUUACAAGCUUUGAGUAUGGUUUUGAGAGUAUAAGGAGCUGGGUGUCCUAAUCUUCUAUGUAGAAGAUUUACAUAAGUUAAACCCUUUGCAACAACUGACAGACAUGACUUUUUAUUCAGCUCAUAAGAACUAACAGCAGAAGGCUUAUCAGAAGUAAAAACAGGAGAACAAGCAAAAAGAGACUGAAUUUUUUUUUUACCAACUGAACUGAGAAAAACUGAGUGAGCAGCAGCUUGUGAAGAGACUCUAUACAAGCCACCUUUAGCAACACCUUCAUGUAAAAUUUUCCCUGUGUUCCUGGCCUUUAUAAAACAGAAAUCACCAAGAAAUUCAACAGUAACUGGAUUGUCAGCCAAUAAUUUGGAAAUGCUAAGUAAAUUCUUAGUAAUAAAGGGAAUAUGAAGAACAUGGUUAAGAAAUAAAGAUUGAGAAUUUGAAGUGUUCAGCACAACUGAUCCUAUAUGUGUAACAGCUAAUGCAUUUCCAUCCCCAACAAAUAACUUCUCAGUACCAGUAUAAGCUUGUGAAUCUAGAAGUUUACCUAGAUCAUUAGUAAUGUGAUUUGUGGCUCCACUGUCAAUGUACCAGGAAAGAUCUUCAAUGUGUUCUGGAAGUGAAGAAGACAUAGUUGAGGAAGAUGAAGCACUUGACUGUCCAGGAUUAUUGUUUCCUUGACCAGCAACAAAAUUAGAUGAUCCAGGAGUGAAAGAGUAAUAGGCAGAAGGAUUGUUAUCUGGAUACACUAUAUUUCCUUGAUAACCAAAACCCCUGGGUGCAUGACCAAAACUAGCAUUUUGUCCAAAACCAGCAUUUGAACCAAAACUUCUUCCACUAUUACCAUUAUAGACUCUUCCUCUACCAUAUUGCCCUUGAUUAAAACCUCUGUCACCAUUCAUAUUGCCUCUACCAUGAUUCCUCUGUGGAACAUAAGAUGAGUUGUACCUAUUCCUGCAUCUAUUUGCUGCAUGACCAGGUAUGAAGCAAAUUUGACAAACAACUUCAGAGGAAUUACUACCAGUAUUAAACUGACCAUAUCCAUAUCCAUUAAAACCUCCAUAUCCAGAAUUAUUACCACCUCCAUAGUUAUUUCCAUAAUUUUUCUGAAAAUUUCCAUUAUUCUUUCUAGCAUAUGAGUUCUUCUGAGCAAUAUUUGCUGUCAUGUUAUGCAUCACAUCACCAGCAAUUUUCCCUUUCUUUUGCUCAACUCUAUUUUCAUGAUUCAACAACAAAGAAUAUAGUUCAUCUAAUGUGAUCUUUUCACCUCGAGCUAACACAGCUGUGACUAAAGACUCAUAGUCUGAUGAAUCAAGACCAGUUAAUAUAUGCAUCACAAGAUCAUUUAACUCAAUAGGUUUUCCAGCUAGAGCUAAAGUAUCAGCUAUGCGUUUUACUUUUACAAAAUAAUCAGACAUAUGCAUUGCACCUUUCUUAAUAGUUUGAAUCUGCAUUCUAAGUGUUUGAAUUCUAGCUUGUGAUUGAGAGAUAAACAUACUAGCAAGAGUCUCCCAAAGCUGUUUUGAAGUUGUAGAAUCAAUCACAGUAGCAAGCAGAUUUUGCUGUAUCGAUGACAUCAUCCAACUCAGUAAGAGUUGGUCAGUCUUCAUCCAAGCUACGAAUUCUGGAUUAAUAGAUCUGGAUCCAGAUUCAGUUAAAACUUCAGCUCCAUUGUUGUUUCCAGAAGAAAGAAACUGCUCAGGACAUUCUCGAUCGCCAUUGAUAAAUCCUUCCAAACCGUUUCCUUUGAUUGAAGUUAAAAUUUGUGUGCGCAACAGAAUGAAGUUGUUUUGAUCUAGCUUUACUGGCGUAACAAAACUGAAAGAGUUGUUGUUUUGAACUAUAUUUGCCAUUUAUGGCUCUGAUACCAUGAAAGAAACUUAGUUCUAUAUUGUUUGGUAGGCUAGAAAAUGAAAGGAAAUAAAAGAAAAGCUUUGCAAAGAAAUCUGUUAGAUCUUUUAUUAUUCCAAACUUACAGUUUAAUGACUACUAAUUGAUAUUUAUAUUGAGCUACAAUCUCUUAACAUACACACGAGAUUGUUGUAACACAACCAUUGCUGUAUAACUAACUUGACACAUCAGCUCAACCAGCUAACUAACUUUGACAGGCCAGCUUAAUGAUUUGAUCUGCUACAACCAGCUACACAGCACAUCAUGCUCUGCUCCAGCUACACAGCAACAACAUGCUCUGCUCCAGCUUCAUCUAAUUCACUAACACUAGCUUUUCCUUUUGUUUAUUAAAUUUUUUUAUGGUCACAAAGUAUUACUCGUUCUAUUUGACAAUGAUGUGAAUCAAUUUUUCAAUUUUAUAUUUUGUGGUCAACGUGAAUUCAAUUUCAUUUGUCUCCUGCAAUUAUGAAAAAAUUACAGUCAUAAUAUGGGGAAACCUGUGGUGCAACUGUGGUACCAUGUCACAGUUGCAUCCAGCCGUUGGAUGCCAAUAGAUCCCACCAAUUUAAGUGCAUCCAACAGCUGGAUAUAACUAUAGCACGGUACCACAAUUACACCGUAACUUGAUCCCAUAAUAUGGAAAAGUACACCGGCAGAAACUUUGUAAAAGCUUCGGAGUGAUACGGGGAAUUCACUUACUACUAAAGACAGUUGGUGGCAACCUAAUGUCCAUCCAUCUAUUUAGUUAUUGAAGAUUAGUGGUCCAUUUGUAAAUUUCAGAUUGUCUCUCUCUCUCUCCCUCUUGAAAUAACAAUAUUUAAUAUAUCUAUUAAAUUAUUAUAAAUUUUAAUUUACUCUCGAUUUAAAAUGGAGCAUGUCGAUAAAUUUUUUUUCUUCUUAAUAAAAUUGACGUAAGUUGUGUUUACAGUAGUUUGAAGUUUGAAAUAUUUUAAAGAUUAUUAUUCUAUAAGGGAGUAAUAUGAACUGAAAUUUACUUUUCAUGUGUGAAAUGAAAAACGACGAAGCAAGUGUCCCUGCUUUUAUUUUAUUUCAAGGAGGAGUCAUCUCACAUACUUUAGCUCUUAACAUUACAUUUUUUCUGGUUACAUUUUUAUUUUUUAUUUUUUUUAACACAUGCGUGUGGGAUGCUUUUCUGUAAGCUCCUUAAUAUAUAUUUAAGACAAAUCAUGGAAGAGAUGGGAUUAUAUCAAGAUGAUCAAAGCAUGUAAAAAAAGAAAAAAGAAAAAAAAAUUAAGAAGUAAGACACUGAAAAUGGAGAAGAGAUGGAAGCAAAAGAUAUUCCAAACAAAGCAAUCUAUCCCCUUUCGAGGGCAGACUUAUCAGGUUUAAAAAAGUACAUGCUUUGGAUUGGUAGUUACAAUCAAGGGAAAAUAAAUAGGAUCCAAUGAAAUUUAAAUCUUGGAGAAAAUAAAUAAUCAUGCAGAUUUUCAAGAUUUUAAUAAGGGAUACUAAUAUCUUAUUUUGAUUAAUAACAUUCUUUCACUGUGUUAACUCAAAAAAAAUAUUAUAAUGCUUUACAAUAAAUACAAAUGUCCUAUUAAAUGAAUAUAUAAAAAAUUUAGAAUAUUAUAUAAAAUAAUUUUAAUAUAAUGCGUGAGAUAUAUUUUAUUAAUUUAAAAUGUCAUUUUACCUAAAAAAUAUGAUAAAUUGAUAAUUACAUAUUUGAAGUUAUUUCAAAUAUUAAAAAAAUUUAAUAUUAUUAGUCUUUUAGAUAGAUUAAAUUAUUUUUUAAAGAGAUAGAUUAAAUUAUUUUAAAAUACCUUAAUUGUUUUUACUUUAAACAUUACCGGCCUUUCUUUUAUUUUAUUGCAAAUUAAUGCUAACAAGAAAAAGCUAGAUCAUAUUCCACAAAAGCAAAAGUGACAAACACAGCCAGCUGGAAUCUUUUAUAAAACUACAAAUUAAAAUGGAUUUUUUUUUUUGAUAAAUUACACAUGAAAGUGGAUUCUUUUGAAUAUAAGUGGGGUAGGCUCUUUUAUUUUAUUUUUGAAUAUUGUAUAACGGGACUGUAGACUCUUUUAUUAAACUACAAAUUGUAUAGUCUUUUUAAAAUUGUUAUAAAUUAGUGGCCCCUAAAAUCCUCAACAAUUGUACCGAUAUUCACAAGUUGGUGGCCCCUACAAUUCUGUUCAGUUAAUUUAACUGUGCAAGUGCUCAUUCACAAUCUUCCAGGUCAUGCUCUUAAUAAUUUUUUUUUUUUUUUCUGCAUUCCCUUUCAUGCUCUUAAUAAUUGAAGAGCAUACUUUUCAUUUUCAAAUGUGGAGCCGCAGCUAAUGUCGUUAAUUUAAUUUGGGAUUAAAUUAGGGGACCAUUAUAUUGCAGUGUGCACUAAUUUUUGUGUUUAUCUAAACUCCUUAAAUUUAAGACAUAUUAUGGCAUAAAUAAGAAUAUAACAAUAACAAAAGAGUUAGAAAGUGUAGAGAAGAUCUUGCAGAAAUAUAAAUAAUAUCUAUUUUAAAAUAAUUUUUAAUAUUUUAUGAUCCAUUAGAUAUAUUUUAUUAUAUUAAAGUAAAUUUUAUAAUAAAUGAAAACAUACUAUUAAAAUGAAUAUAUAGAAAAUUUAGAGUAUUUUAAAUAUUAUAUAAAAUAAUUUUAAUAAAAUAUGUGAGAUAUUCAUAUUUUAUUAAUUUAAAAUACCAUUUAACCUAAAGAUUUAUUUAUGAUAAAUUAAUAAUUAUAUUUUUGAAAUUACUUCAAAUAUUAAAAAAAUUAAUAUUACUAAUCUAUUAGAUAGAUUAAAUUAUAUAUAUUAUUUUCUAUUUAUUAAAAAAUUAAAAUUAUUUUUAAUUACUAUUCAAAAAAUAUAAUGAUAAAAAAAAAUCUUAACAUCUUUAUUAAAAAUUUAAAAUUUACAUGAUCAAUUCUCUAAAUAUUUAGGGUAUAUGUGAACAUCGGUGGAGAAGCUUUAUUUAAUAUUAUUGAUUUAAAUAAUAUGUCAAUUAAAAAUGUGCGGAGAAGAAAUUUCGGUGGGUAUUUUAGUCUUUUCAGCAAUUAUCAUGAUCAGAUCAGCCUUUAGCCUUGAAACGUCGGUCAGAAAGUUUUAAAAUUAACGCUAACAAGAAAAAGCUAGGUCAUAUUCCACAAAAGCAAAAGUGACAAAACAACCAGUUGGUUUCUUUUACUAAACUACAAAUUAAAAGUGGAUUCUUUUGAAUACAAGUGGGACAGACGAUUAGGCUCUUUUUAUUAAAGGCAAGUAAAAAGUAGUCGAAUAGUCUUUUUCAAAUUCUUGUUUUAAUAUUUUUCAAAACUAGUUUUUGGUAAUUACAAUCGGGUCAUUCAUUAAUCAUUAUUCAGAGUAAUUAUGAAUUUCCCAAUUAUAAUUACUAACUGUUUUUCCUUAACCACUCGGCUCAGCCCGAGUGGCCAGGGCUGCUGCCCUCCAAGUUCGAACCCCCACAAAAGUAUUGUGGGGGUAUUUUCUUUCUCAAUUAAUUUGAGUGAAGGUAGUCUUUUCCUUUAUCCAUGAGUGAGGAGUAGACAUCCCUCGAAUAUUUGUGAGGGUUAAAAUCUGAGUAGAGCUCUAUUAGCAUUGAUGUAAGUUGAUCCCAGUAAUUGUCUGAUCUGUAAAUAUCAGGUUAAAAUCUGGGCAAAGCUCCAUUAGCAUUGAUGUAAGUUGAUCCCAGUAAUUGUCUGAUCUAUAAAUAUCAGUUAUAGUCUCAUGUAAUAUGAGUUGUAAUCUGAGCAAUAGUCUCGUGUAAUAAAAAAAAAAAAAAACUAUUUUUCCUUCAAAAGUUAGAGACUCGUGUUUGCAACUUGCAAGUGUGAAUGUGCAAUGCUCUUUGUCUAAAGGCUAGUGUUUCUAGUGGGUCCCGACUCGAGCGUGCCUAAAUCAUUUUAAAAUUUUUCCCGUAUAAUGGACAGAGGUCAUUACUAAAAUUUCUCUUCCACAGGCAAUUACAGCAGCUCCAGUUUAUCAAACUCAACCAAUUUUCUUUCUUAACAAAAUUCCAAAGAUGUGUAGCUUUUUUCAGAUCACAUGCGAUGGUGCUCUUUUCAAUCGUUGCUUGGAUUGCUUUCUUGGAAAAGCAGCAUACAUACGUAACCUCCAAGAUAAUCUUGAUGCCUUGGAGACUGAAUUGGGAAAUCUGAUCGCUAAAAAGAACGAUGUGAUGAGGAGGGUUGUCGAUGCUGAACGGCAACAAAUGAGAAGGCUGGACGGAGUGCAAGUGUGGGUUUCGAGGGUGGAUGCUUUUAAAACUGGAGCCGAUGAACUUAUCAUAGACGGCUCUGAAGAAAUUGGCAAAUUAUGUGUUGGAGGCUACUGUUCCAAGAACUGCAGGUCAAGCUACAAAUUCGGAAAACAAGUGGCUAGAAAGCUACGAGAUGUGGAGACUUUAAUCGCCGAGGGAGUUUUUGAGGCGGUGGCUACUGAGGUGGUGCCUGAGAGAGCUCCAGAGCCUGUAGCAGAUAAAAGACCCAUUGAGCCAACAAUAGUAGGCUUGCAAUCACAGCUUGAACAAGUUUGGAGAUGUCUUGUAGAAGAAUCAGUGGGAAUCAUUGGCCUAUAUGGUAUGGGCGGUGUUGGUAAAACCACACUAUUGACCCAUAUCAACAAUAAAUUUCUUGAGAGUCCCACAAACUUUGAUUGUGUGAUUUGGGUCCUAGUUUCAAAAGACCUGCGACUUGAAAAAAUUCAAGAAGAUAUUGGGAAGAAGAUAGGUUUGGUUGAUGAUUCAUGGAAGAAUAAAAGUUUUGAAGAGAAAGCUGUGGACAUCCUGCGGAGAUUAGGAGAGAAGAGAUUUGUAUUGUUGUUAGAUGAUUUAUGGGAGCGGGUUGAUUUAACAGAAGUGGGCGUUCCACUUCCCAGCGCACAAAAUACUACCUCAAAAGUCGUAUUCACAACCCGUUCCAUUGGUGUUUGUGGCAGCAUGAGAGCUAGGCCGGUUAAAGUGGCAUGCCUAUCAGAAAAGCAAGCUUGGGAACUGUUCCGCGAAAAUGUUGGGGAAGAAACUCUUGAGAGUGAUCAUGAGAUCGUUGAGCUAGCCCAAACUGUAGCCAAAGAGUGUGGUGGUUUGCCACUCGCACUUAUUACUAUUGGUCGAGCUAUGGCCAACAGAAAUACAGCUGAGGAGUGGAGACAUGCAAUUGAAGUAUUAAAAAGGUCAGCUUCGGAGUUUGCGGGUUUGGAAAAAGAUGUAUAUCCUCUUUUAAAGUUUAGUUAUGAUAGUUUGCAGAAUGAGACGAUUAGAACUUGUUUCUUAUAUUGCUGUUUGUAUGCGGAAGAUUAUGUCAUUCCUAAAUGGGACUUGAUUGAUUGUUGGAUUGGUGAGGGAUUCUUAGAGGAAUCUCACGGUUUUGGUGCAGAAAACCAAGGAUACUACAUUGUGGGCACUCUUGUUCGUGCAUGUUUAUUAGAAGAGGUGGAAGAUGAUGAAGUAAAAAUGCAUGACGUUAUUCGUGAUAUGGCUAUAUGGAUAACCUGUGAAAUUGAGAAGGAGAAGAGAAACUUUUUGGUUCGUGCAGGUGCUGGAUUAAAAGAGGCACCGGAUGUUAAAAGAUGGGAAAAUGUGAGAAGAUUGUCAUUGAUGCAAAACCAAAUUGAAACUCUGUCAGAGGUUCCCACAUGCCCUCAUCUCCAUACUCUAUUUCUUGCCUCUAAUAAUAGUUUGCAGAGGAUCACCGAUGGCUUCUUCCAACUUAUGCCUUCUCUCAAAGUUUUGAAGAUGUCAAACUGCUGGAAUUUUACUUUGAAAUUACCUUUGGCGAUGUCAGAGUUGGGUUCGUCACUAGAACUUCUUGAUAUUUCAUAUGCCAGCAUAACAGAGUUACCAGAAGAGUUAAAGUUGUUGGUAAAUCUGAAAUGUUUGAAUUUGAGGUGGACAGAUACGUUAAAUAAAAUUCCACGGCAACUAAUAUCAAUUCUUUCAUGGUUACGUGUGUUGAGAAUGUUGGGUACUGGCUGGUUCAAUUUUCUUGAAGCACCAGAAGACAGCGUUUUAUUUGGUGGGGGUGAAGUUUUGAUACAGGAAUUGCUCGGUUUGAAAUAUUUAGAGGUAUUGGAGUUGACCUUGGGAAGUUAUCAUGCUCUCCAAAUUCUUUUGAGCUCAAAUAAGUUAAAAAGUUGUAUUCGAUCUCUUUACCUCCAUUUGACCGGAGAUACAGCGUCAAUUAUUGAUGCUACGGUUUUCGCAGAUCUAAACCAACUCAAUCAAUUAUGGAUUGAUGAAGGUAUUGAGUUGGAAGAAUUGAAGAUUGAUUAUACGGAGAUAGUACGAAAAAGGCGGGAACCUUUUGUUUUCCGCAGCCUUCACUGUGUUCGUAUAGAGCAGUGCCAUAAAUUGAAAGAUGUGACAUUCCUCAUUUUUGCUCCAAACCUCAAGUCUCUUGACCUAUCCUACUGCUCUUCUAUGGAAGAAGUAAUCAGCGUCGGAAAAUUUGCUGAGACUCCUGAGAUGAUGGGACAUAUAAGCCCUUUUGAAAAUCUCCAAAGUCUUCAUUUAUCGCAAUUGCCAGCUUUGAAGAGCAUCUACUGGAAGCCAUUGCCUUUCACUCAUCUCAAAGAAAUAUCUGUGGGUUAUUGCCGUAAUCUUAAAAAGCUUCCACUCGAUUCCAACAGUGCAAAGGAGCGUAAAUUUGUAAUUCGUGGAGAAGAAGACUGGUGGAACCGACUUCAAUGGGAGGAUGAAGCCACUCAAAUUGCUUUUCGUUCCUGUUUCCAACCAAUGGGAGUACUGAGCGGUGGUCGCAAAAUUUGAUUUCUGGUGAGUGCGUUUGUCUUUUAAAAGCAGAAUUUAAAAGAAAUUUAUUCUUGUCGUUUUCUUCUCUGUUUUUAUUUGAUUUCUGGUUAGUUUCUCUCUCGCACUGCCAUUACUGUUUUAAUUUCCUGUCAAAAGACGAGCGAGAAGAACAUAUAUAUGACGUAAACCAAUUGAUAAAUAUUAAUUGCCUGUUCUCUGUUUUUAUUAAGUAUACUUUAUUUUGCCCUGUUCUCUGUUUUUAUUUCAUUCUCUCUCUCUCCCUCUCUUUCCUGUCUUCUGCAAGUCAUAAUUAAAUGUUGAAUUAUAUGGAAUUAAUGCUUUAUAAAUCUGCCUACGCUGGCUUUUUUUUUUUUUUUUGUGGGGUCGAAUUGAUGCUCUGGUUUUCGACUACUUUUUGUUGUCAAAAUUUUCUCUGUUUUUUCAAAUUGAUGCUUUAUUUAUAUCUUCUUCGUGAAAAGUGAUUUAAUUUCCUGCCAAAAGACGAACGAGAAGAACAUUAGAGUCUAACUAAUGCUCACAUAAAUUUCCCGUAAGAAUAUAUAUAUAAUUAGACUGGAAUGCACACCUCUAGAUUGAACAGAAUUAAAGCUGAGAAAAUAUUGAGUAUAGUAGCCCUCUUUACAGAAAAUGACGCGAAAGUUAAUUUAGAAAAAGAUAUAUUCUUGAUUAAUCCAUUUUCUGAAGUUUUUUAUUUUGUAUGGUCAAUUAUACCUUCAUACUAAAAAUUUCUGAAGUUAUGGGGUUGUUGGAUGUGUUUUGGAUAUUUGCAGCUAAGUUUGAGUUUAUAUCUCAACUUAAAAUUUGUAGUUUUCACUUGAAAAAAUUCAGUUAAAAAUUUAUUGGUAGAAUUGUGAAAAAAGUUAAAAUUUUUAGUUCAACCCGAUUGCAUAUUUAAGAACAUCUCAAAUGAAUUGCUUACUGCUAUCAUCAUCAUUAUUGUCCAUAUAAUAAUGGAUCUUUAUUAUAUAUAUAUAUGUUUCCACUAAAAUAUAUUUAAUUAUUCUUUAUUUUUCCAUUGUUGCGUGUAAGAUUUAUUUGAGUUCUAAGUUAUAUCAAUACAAAUGUUAUCUUAUCCAUAAAAAAGUUAGAUCCAACAAUUAUGAAAAUUACCAUAGAGUUGCUUUCAAUUAUUUUUUAAAAAUACCAGGAGUAAAUAAUAAUUAGUUCAAGUGGUGUAGACUAAAAAGUGUUCACCUUUAUUUUUUAUCUGUUAUUUAUUUAUUUCAUUAAUGCACAUGCUAUACAUUUGAGACACUCCAUCCUAUGCAAUGUGAAUAAAUUUCUUUCCUUUUUCCUUUACUCUUUUUAUUUGACAAUAAAGUUUCCAUCUAUCAUCUAUCAUCUAUCAUCUAUGUACGCAAAAUUUCUGCAACAAGUACAAAACAUAAAAAUAUAUAUGAUUGUUAAGGGAAACACGCAGAAGUUCAUCAUUUCAAUGUUCAGUAUUACCAAUUUUGGCAUUAAGCUUGUACGAAUAUAUUCCACUUAGAAAGCAAAAUAUUAGACUCAUGAUUUUAAUUCAUUCAUUAUCUCUCAUUUUAAUCCCAAAAUAUUCAAGAGUAUCCAAGUUACCAUAAGACUUCAGAGGCUCGAGCCUUAGCCAGAGAUGGUUAAUUGAUAGACUAUGUGCCUGGGUCGAGCACUGGAAGCCUGCAAUGCAGACUGAUUGAUUUAUCAGUUUGACGUGUGCCAGGAAUGAAGAACUGGAAUAUCACCGUCAAGCACGCACCCUGUGGAGCAAUACCAAAGAAUGCACAAUCUGGCUUUGCUAGGUGACACUGGAGGCUUUUUGAAAAGUGCUUCACGCUCACUUGCACAGAUUGAGCAUCCCCUCCGGAUAUUGCCCUCUCUGAUCGAGUCCGAGCACUCAAAUUUCAAUCCUCAGAUGGAGCUACAGCUUUCUCUCCAAUAACCAACAAUUUUCUAAACUCAGCUCCUAGUGUGAUGAGAGUUGUUGAUAUUUGUAAAUGGAGAUCCCCAUAUUUGCAAAUGGAGACAUUUAACAAAUCACCAACAUGCUUCAUUCGGUCUACGAAAUUCUGCAGCUGAUUCAAAUCCGGAACCUGAACCAGAGUCGGAGGUAAAUCUUGAGCCAUAUCUAAAGCAGUCUGAAGUUCAAGUACUUGAGCCCUUGACAAUGGUUUUGAAAUAGGAACAUCUUGGAUUACUGCAGACUUGUACCCCUUGGUUUCAAAGGUAAGGAAAGGCAUUGCUUGAGUACAAUUUGGAGGCAGCUUCUUCACCAAUUUUAUUUGGAGGCGAUUGGCAGCGGAUCCAGCUGCACCAAUUUCAGAGCAAAUACUGACACUACUUCGAACAGCACACUGAAGAAGUGAUAUGUCUACGGCAAAGGCAAUGCAGUCCUCAUUUUGGCUUGAGAUGCAGUAAUCAUCGAAGAGAGUUUCCUUGUGAAACUGGGCAACACAUUGAAUCCCUUCGCCACUGAGAAGGUUGUGGAGGAAGUAAGCUUUCUCUCUAGUGAGGAAGAGGUGGCAUACCUUCCCCAUUUUGUCUAGGGCAGGUAGGAAUCAUUUUUCUAAGAGAUUUACUUCAUUCUCUGUGAGAAAUGAAUUGAACUUCAUCCCUCUGUCUCUAUCCUCACUUAUCAGAAAAUAAGUUGAAAGCACUUCGGAGAGAGAGAGAGAGAGAAUUAAGAUAUAUAGACAAGAAAAAUAUUAGACGUUGAUCUUACAAACUAAUACUUCAAGCAGUAUCCUAGAAAGCUAAAAACUGCAAGAUGGCUUGAAAUUUGAAAAGAGCACGUGCUUUUCCUCCUUAACUUGAGAAAAUGUUUAAUAUAGUGCACCUACAGAAGCAUUUAAGCAAUUAGAACUUUGCACAAAAACAUCAAGAAGACUAAACAAAUCAGAUGCAGUGUAUUUGUCCAAGCACAAAUUGCAUUUUGUCCUCAACUUUAAUAUUUAUUGAUGAGAAUCAAUACAGGUCCCUCAUUUGAUAUAGAAAGCUUUCUUUCUUGUAGUCUCACCAGUUAAUUCACAGGUCUAUAAUCAUCUUGCAAAGUUAAGGGCAUUUCUUUCGAUCUAAAGUCUUUGCAUCACCACCUCAUCACACGCCAAGCCAAUAUUCCAUUUACCUCUACAACAAAAAGUUUUAAGUAAACAAUCCUAAUGCACGCAGCCAAAUAAAAUGCAGUAAGAAUAUUCAACUUAAAAAUCUGAAAGCCGACUUGGUGAAUUGCCUCCUUAGGUGAAGUUCCAUGCUUUACUAUAGUUGACAGAACUCAGCAAAAGCUUCCAUACAACAGAUUUUGAAAAUGAUGAUGCCAAUAGAUACUCAUUCAAUCCAUUGAAAAUCCAAAGGUUCAUUGUUAAUAGAAGUUUACAGAGUUUUGGUCAUCAAAUAGCUCAGACCUAAUCCCAAACAAAAAACGAGUGAAAAUUAGAUCACGAGCAGCUGAUUGUAAAUUCUAACUUAACUCUUCAUCUCCUUUGUAAACAAGAAACAAAAUGGAGACACGCAAAAUGAAUAUGGAGAAAAUUUGAACUCAAAUGAAAUGAGGGCACGAAAGCAAACAAAUGGCAUGCACAAAAAAACCAAGCCUCAAUCAAAAACUAAUUAACCAUUAAGAAAAAAAUUGGUCAGAUAAUGAACUACAAAUUCAGGAGUCAAGCAAGAAGCUUUCAUUAUUUCAGAAGCUCCUGUACAAAUUAAUAAGUUAUGCUCUUUGGAAGCAAACCUAAAUUCCAAGAGAAACAGAACCCAAAAAAUUUGCAAUUAUACGCAAAGGGAGUGAAGCACAGGAUUCUAUCACACAUAGGAAUUGUAUAACAAGAGAUCGAUAUAUCGAAUUAGAAAACUCAAUUCGAAUUUGUGUCAAAAAUCAAAAUUAGAAGAUUUCACAUUUCGAGAGGAACAAGCAACAGAUGAAGUUCAAAAUUUCAGCCAUAACAUGCUAAAAAUGCUACACUUAACGGUUCAUUUUCAUGGAUUUUCUCGGGAAACAAACAGAAAAUUACGGUUUAGAGAUUUGACUGACCUUUUGGCUUUUGAAAUUGAGAAGAUCGCACGCCAAAUUGGAAGAGGGAAAGUGAAAGUGCGAGUUUUAAUAUGGGUAUUAGAUAAGGAAAUUUUAUUAGGUUGCGAGGGUAAAAAAGGAAAGAGAUAUCAUUGUUUUAUUAUCGAUAAUUAUUAAAUUUUUUUCCAAAAAAAAAGAACAAGCAAGGAUAUUUUAUUGUCAUUUGCAACCUUUAAUUUUUUAAAUGCUAUUAGAAACACAAGACAAUAAAGAAAUACUUAUUUUUUUCUAAAACUAAAAUCAAUUGUUUAAAAAAAAUUGUUUCAAAAUUACUUGAGUCAUAUCCAAUGGACCAACAAAGUAAUCGUUUUUAUUUUUAUUGAUUUUUGCAGGAAAUUAAUAACUUAAAAAUACUGAAAGCUAUUGUAAAAAUUUUUAUUAUCAACCUCAUAGUUUUUUUUUUUUUUUUUGGGAAGAGAAUUCAAACUUUUUUUUUUAUGAAUAUCGCUGUUUCGUUUGAGUUGGAUGUGAAUUCAAAUACAAAUAUUCUUUGUUUUUCAAUUCUGAACUCAAUUUCUUUUUUUCAAGAAUGUUAUGCAGAAAUGAUUUUUACUGAACGGCAACAAAUGAAAAGGCUGGGCCAAGUGGAAUGGUGGGUUUCGAGGGUGGAUGCUGUUAAAAUUGAAGCUGAUGAACUUAUCAGAGACGGCUCUCAAGAAAUUGACAAAUUGUGUGUUGGAGGCUACUGUUCUAAGAACUGCACGUCAAGCUACAAGUUCGGGAAACAAGUGGCUAAAAAGCUACGAGAUGUGGAGACUUUAAUCGCUGAAGGAGUUUUUGAGGCGGUGGCUACCGAGGUGGUGCCUGAGAGAGCAGAGCCUGUAGCAGAUGAAAGACCUACCGAGCGAACAGUAGUAGGCUUGCAAUCACAACUUGAACAAGUCUGGAGAUGUCUUGCAGAAGAAUCAGAGGGAAUCAUUGGCCUAUAUGGUAUGGGCGGUGUUGGUAAAACUACAUUACUGACCCAUAUCAACAAUAAAUUUCUCGAGAGUCCAACCAACUUUGAUUGUGUGAUUUGGGUAGUAGUUUCAAAAGACCUGCGACUUGAAAAAAUUCAAGAAGAUAUUGGGAAAAAGAUAGGUUUGGUUGGUGAUUCAUGGAAGAGUAAAAGUGUAGAGGAGAAAGCUGUCGACAUCUUCCGGAGUUUAAGAGAGAAGAGAUUUGUAUUGUUGUUAGAUGAUAUAUGGGAGCGGGUUGAUUUAACAAAGGUGGGCGUUCCACUUCCCGGACCCCAAAAUACUACCUCAAAAGUCGUAUUCACAACCCGUUUCAUCGAUGUUUGUGGUAGCAUGGAAGCUGACAGGAAGUUCCAAGUGGCGUGCUUAUCAGAAAAGGAUGCUUGGGAACUGUUUCGAGAAAAAGUUGGGGAAGAAACUCUUCAGAGUCAUCAUGAUAUCGUUGAGCUAGCCCAAAUUGUGGCCAAAGAGUGUGGUGGUUUGCCACUCGCACUUAUUACUAUUGGUCGAGCUAUGGCCUGCAAAAGGACAGCCGAGGAGUGGAGACACGCAGUUGAAGUGCUAAGAAGAUCAGCUUUUGAGUUUGCAGGUUUGGGAAAAGAGGUAUAUCCUCUAUUAAAGUUUAGCUAUGAUAGUUUGCAGAAUGAGACGAUUAGAUCUUGUUUCUUAUAUUGUUGUUUAUAUCCCGAAGAUUAUGGAAUUCUUAAAUGGGACUUGAUUGAUUGUUGGAUUGGUGAGGGAUUCUUAGAGGAAUCUGACAGGUUUAGUGCAGAAAACCAAGGAUACUACAUUGUGGGCACUCUUGUUCAUGCAUGUUUAUUAGAAGAGUUAGAAGAUGAUAAAGUAAAAAUGCAUGACGUUAUUCGUGAUAUGGCUCUAUGGAUAACCAAUGAAAUUGAGAAGGAGAAGAGAAACUUUUUGGUUCGUGCAGGUGCUGGAUUAAAAGAGGCACCGGAUAUUAAAGGAUGGGAAAAUGUGAGAAGAUUGUCAUUGAUGCAAAACCAAAUUAAAACUCUGUCAGAGGUUCCUUCAUGCCCUCAUCUCCAUACUCUAUUUCUUGCCUCUAAUGAUAAUUUGAGGAUGAUCACAGAUGGCUUCUUUCAAUUUAUGCCUUCUCUCAAAGUUUUGAAGAUGUCAAACUGUGUGGAUUGGCCAGUUUCGAAAUUACCUUUGGCGAUGUCAAAGUUGGGUUCACUACAACUUCUUGAUAUUUCACAUACCGGCAUAGAAGAGUUACCAGAAGAGUUGAAGUUGUUGGUAAAUCUGAAAUGUUUGAAUUUGAGGUGGACAUUUGAGUUAAAUAAAAUUCCAUGGCAACUAAUAUCAAAAUUUUCAAGGUUACGUGUGUUGAGAAUGUUCGCUACUGGCUUUGCCCGUUUUGAUGAAGCAUCAGAAGACAGCGUUUUAUUUGGUGGGGGUGAAGUUUUAGUACAGGAAUUGGUCGGUCUGAAAUAUUUAGAGGUAUUGGAGUUGACCUUGGGAUGUCAUCAUGCUCUCCAAAUUUUUUUGAGAUCAAAUAAGUUAAAAAGUUGUAUUCGAUCUCUUCUCCUCCACUUGGCCGGAGAUACAACGUCGAUUAUCGAUGCUACGGCUUUCGCAGAUCUAAACCACCUCAAUGAAUUAUGGAUUGAUAGGGCUAAGGAGUUGGAAGAAUUGAAGAUUGAUUAUACAGAGAUAGUUCGAAAAAGGCGGGAACCUUUUGUUUUCCGCAGCCUUCACCGUGUUACUAUACAUAGCUGCCAGAAGUUGAAAGAUACGACAUUCCUCGUUUUUGCUCCAAACCUCAAGUCUCUCGAUCUAGACCGUUGCGAUGCUAUGGAAGAAAUAAUCAGCGUCGGAAAAUUUGCUGAGACUCCUGAGAUGAUGGGACAGAUAAGCCCUUUUGAAAAUCUCCAAAUGCUUGAUUUAGAAGAUUUGCCACAUUUGAAGAGCAUCUUCUGGAAGCCAUUGACUUUCACUCAUCUGAAAGAAAUAUCUGUGGGUUAUUGCCGUAAUCUUAAAAAGCUUCCACUCGAUUCCAACAGUGCAAAGGAGCGUAAAUUUGUUAUUCGUGGAGAAGAAGACUGGUGGAACCGACUUCAAUGGGAGAAUGAAGCCACUCAAAUUGCUUUUCGUUCCUGUUUCCAAUCUCUUUUUGAUUAACUCUUAUACAUUUUCUCGUCGUUUGCUUCGUGCAAAAAAGACUACGUCUUUUGUUCUCUGUUUUUAUUUCAGUUUCGUUUGUUGUCUCCUGCAAAUCACAAUUAAAUGUUGAAUUAUAUGGAAGUAACGCUUUAUAAAUUUUCCGGCACUGCCAUUUCUUUUUCCUCUUUUUUUUUUUGGGUCGAAUUGAUGCUCUGGCUUUUUUACUUUUUGUCAUCGAAUUUUGCUCUGUUUUUCAAAUUGAUGCUUGAAUAUGUGAAUUCAAUUAAUGCUCACAUAAUUUUGUUUAGUUGCCGUAAAAAGAAUAUAAUUAGACUGCAAUUCGCACUCCCAGAAUGAAUAGAAUCACAACAGAGAAAAUAUUAAGUAUGCUAGCCCUCUUUACAGAAAAUCAAAUGAAAAUAAAAUUUUUUGGAUAUUUGAUUUUCUAUGGUCUACUAUAUACAGUUUAUAAAUUCUUCUGUUCUAAGGAUAACCAAAUCCUUUGUUCAAGGAUUUUUAUUUGGGGUAUUGAUAAUAGUCCACCAAAAUAGUGAAUGCUUGGAUGCUGCUUAAGGAUCUGUAAUCAAUAAGCUGGAAGCAAACGAGAAGGCGGUCGCUACUCUGUACAAAGCCAUGCAGCAAUUGCUAUUCAUCUUAAAUUCUUAAUAAUUACGAAGCUUUGGUAAAAUUUCCGAACAAAGUUGACAUGUUAUUUUGAGAUUUGGUUCCUGAUUUUGUAUGAAUAUCGCUGUUUCGUUUGAGUUGGAUGUGAAUUCAAAUCCAAAUAUUCUUUGUUUUUCAAUUCUGAAAUCAAUUUCUUUUUCUCAAGAAUGUUAUUCAGAAAUGAUUUUUACUAAAUCAUUUUUGAUGAAUUGUUUAAAUUAAACAAUUGGAAUAAGAAUUGUAACGAUUUAUCAUAAGCGUGCUAAUAUGAUAACUUAUUUUACGAACGAUUAAUUAAUUAAUCAAUUAAUGUUAAAUUAUAUAUUAAUCAAUUAGCUAUGUGUUGCAUUUAUCAUGUUUUGUAGGUGAUUCUACAUAAUUUCUAAAAGAAUAUAGUAAAAACACGUUAAAAAUUAUUUAAUGAAGAAAAUUUUAUUAAAUAGGUGACACAAUAAUAAAUGGAUUUCUGUAAGAAUUGAGAUUCUUGAGAUAAUUAUUACAUAAGGAGAAGUUUAGUUGGUUCAAUUUUGACAUGAUAAGAAGACAACACAGCACAGAAAACCCAAAUUGCCACUUCCACUAAUAAAAGAUACCUGUUUGAAAAGUAAUUAUAAACUAUCUUCUUUGUGUUAUUUCUCAAAACUUUUGUGGCACAAAUGUUAUUUCCAUUGACAACAGUACGAAAUACCACCCCUUUCACUUGAGCAGGAGCAAAGCAAAGGUAUGAUGAGCUAUCUCUGUAUAAUUGAAACGCCAUUACUAAACGAUUCUUGAUGAUGGGAGCCACCGUGCCAGCUUUGUCGCUGAUUUGCAUGAUUUAUUAGUUGUCCAGAUGGCGGAUUUUGUACUGUUACCUUCGUUUCAUUCUUCAGAGCCAUGUACAGUUCUAGGAUACCAGAGAAACCAAGGUGGCAUUGAAGUUGCCCCAGUGGUUAGUUUUCCGAUCAUUUUUUUUAUUCAAUUAUUUAUGUUUGUAGAAAAAUGUAGGAAAUAUGUAGAAAUGUUGACAGCUAUGAUUUUGAAACUUUUGCCUAAAAUUGUUAUCAUUACUUCUUGUUUCUUAUUUAAAGAGAAAUUCUAGAAACAUGAAAUGAUUAUUCUACGCUUGUUUUAAUAUUAUGCUAUGAAGAUUAUGAAGGUUUGAUUAUAUGUCACUAUCAAUUGCCUUAAUCGUUUGUCGUAAAUCAAUUAAGCAUUUUGAUGCAAAUGAUUCCCUAUUAAAAAAUUCAAGUCAGAGCUGAAUUGCAAAUUAGUUAGUCGUGCUUGCCAUUCAAAUUAAGUAUUGUAUUUUCUCCCUGAUUUGGUUGAUUCAACUAUGUGCAUUUGCUUAUGAACGUUGUAGUACAGAAAUUGAAACAUCUUGUCUUUUGCUAAGCCCAGAAGCAAAUUCUUUGUAUUCUACUCAUCAGUUUUCUUCAUUCUCUUCGUUGAAAUUUUAUCCAAACAGCGGUUUCGAAAUUGUUUUCACCACAAUACCUUAGUCUUUCAGAUGCUCCCGUCACUGAGUUGCCAGAAGAGCUAAAAGCCUUGGUAAAUCUUAAGUGUUUGAACCGGAGUACACAAAUUAUCUCUCUACAAUUCCAAAACAACUGAUUUGUUACUUUUCGAUGCUACAUGUUCUGCGAAUAUUCAGUUGUGAUUAUCUUGUUCAAAUACCAGAAAAUAGCGUUCUAUUUAGUGGUAAUGAAUUCUUGGUUUGGGAGUUGCUUAGUUUAAAACGUUUAAAUGUAUUAAGCAUCAUCUUGAAAAGUUUUUCUGCCGUCCAAAAACUUAUGAGCUCCCAAAAGUUUCAAAGCUGUACACAAUGCUUGGAGCAUAUAGGCUGUGAUGAUCCAAAGUCAUUUGCCUUGGCAGAGUUGAAACAUCUUGAAAAACUAGGUUUUUCGAGUUGUGGAAAUUUGGAAGAGUUAAAGUUCUGCUGUGUCGAAGUUGCAAAGGCUCGAGAAUGUUUUCGUUUGAACGGCCCUUGCUGAGUUAAGAUGAAGGCUUGUCAUAAAUUGUGGGAAGCGACAGGUUAUUCAAAUAGAAAAAUGUAUGGAGAUGGAUGUUAAUCUUAAGGUUAUUCAAGCAGACAAAUUCGAAUAAAACUUAUGGUAAGUGCUUUUCCAUUUAUUGCAUAUUUAUAUCUAAUUUUUAUUUUCCUUUAUUGUUAAAUUUUGCUCUAUAUUUGUUGUUGUAUGGUGGCAUUCUUGUACAAUUAUUAGCUUUUCAUUUCUCUUCUCACAUUAACUGCCCUUCUGAUCAUGUAGGAUUUGCUGAUGCAAAGAGUCAUAAUUUGGGAUACAAAUGUAAGAAUUAGACAGAUGACGUGUUGUUUUGAAGCUCUCGAAGAAGAAGGACUAAUUAUGUCAUUGAAAGCCUCCAAUUUUGUGAUUGGUUUCUUUUUAUUUUAUUUGUUGUUUUCUCUAUUUUCAGAUCGCUUAAUUGUUAGUUGUUGUAAUGUAAUGUUUUAGUAUAGAAAAUUAUAUUCGGCCAAGACAGCGAUAGGAAGGCACAUUGUGCAUGCACACUAGUGGAUUUGGCAUGCCAACUCCAAUUAGGAUGGAUAACACUUUAUAAGCAUUAGGCUUCUCUCGUACUUGAGUAAUAUAGAAUAUGUUUAUAAGUUGUGAAUCACCCUUUAUAAGUGUUAGGCUUCUGCUAUACUCAGUGAUGUGAAAUAUAUUUAUAAGCACUAAACUUCUCCCAUACACUUUAUGUUAAAAAUAAUAAUAAUAAUAAUAAUAAUAAUAAAAUAAACCCAUUUUAACAGACUCUUUUUUCUUUUUCUAUAUGAACAAAUGCAUUCUUCAAAGCAAUUGUGGGUAGAAGAAGUGAGUAGAGAAGAACUGGGCCCCUUUCAUUCCCCUAAAACCUCACCAAAACCUCUCUUGUAAGCUUUUCGGAUUUUCUUUCUAUAUUUCUUAGGAACUCAUUUUUUAUUGAAUCACUUCUUUUGCAUGCUGCAUUUUUUGUUUGUCGUAUUUGGGUAUUAUCUUAUCUGGAAUACUGUUAUGAUUGAUGGAACAAGUAAUCGAUUUUUGGUCUAAUGGAAGUUGAUUUAUUUAUUUAUUGUUAUUUUUAUUUGAAAUUAUGUACAAUUGCAUUUCAUUCAUUUCUCUCUCUCUUUUUCUUUUUUUCCCCCCAUAUAUUUGUUAUGUAUAAUUGCGUUUCAUUUAAUAUUGAUCAUACUGUAGGUAACCAUGUGAUUGUAGAUUGGGAUUUCAAGUUUGUUGAAUAUUCAUGUAAGUGAAGUAACCGUCACAAUACUAGUGAAAUUGGGAGCUUUAUUCAUGAGUUUGUGGUUUUGAAAAGAACCACAGUUCAACUGAUGAAGGCUCCUUUUUGGGAUUCUUCUUUUUCUAGGCUGCAAUUAGGAUAUGUACAUGAUAGACAAUCUUUUGUUGGCUUGGCAUAUCUUCGCUGAUUUUUUCUUUUAUUCCCCAAUUUUAUAAUUACACACCAUGAAUGUUGGGUGAUUGUAUAGAAAAUUUGUGUUAUAACAAAAACAUUGUGAAGGAGUUUCCGUGCUAAUAGUUAGUGGCUUCUGUUUUAUUGGCAUUGAUUGGGUAGAUUACGUGUUACAGUGAUUCAAUUUGUGUUCCAAACUUUGCUUUAAUUUUCUGUUUUCCCCAACUAUUUAUGUCAAAUUUAAAUCCAGAAGCAUGUACUGAUUUUUUCUUUUUGUAUUAAUCUGUGAAGUUUAUUUGGAAUGGAAGUAACUGGGUCGGGUCUAAUGGAUUAAAUUAUGACAUUGAGGGGAAGGCACUAAAAGGGUUUGCUUGACACAUUUGGUUCUGUGUUUACUCUGCAAGAAAUAGCUUUUGCUUAUUGCAAUGCAGGGGGAAAUCCCGAUUUGGCUGGUGAAUUUCUCUGCAACAAACAGGCAAACACCUCAACCUCUUCUGUCCAUACUUCUGCUGGGGAGGCAAGGGGUAAAGAGUCUUCAAAAUCAUCAAAUAGUAACAUCUCUGAGAAUUCAUUUUAUGGAAAUGGAAAAUCUAGAGCUUCUAAUACAAAAUGGCAUCUGGUAUCAGGACGUACCGUUUCAAGUUUUCUUGGUAAAGAUUAUGUUAAACCUGCACAGCCAGCUAAUGGCACUUUUCUGGCAUCAAAGCCAUUGAAGUUGGAUCCAAAGGAGUUUCCCAUGUCUGCACUUUGCAGAGAAGAAUCUAAACCGAAACAAUCAAAGGAUGACCAUUUGCAGAAGGACAUGGAAGAUUUUCUGUUUAAAUUUCCAGGAGAAGGGUUCCAGCUGAACAGGGAUGUGAUUCAGGAGGUUCUCGGUAAUGUCUUAAAUAUAUUGAUGCCAAUUUAAUACAUAUUGUCCUUUUCAAUGUUCUUUCUUUCUUUCUUUCUCUUCUUUUAUUCUUCUUCUUCUUCUUUUUUCUUUUCGUGUGCAUGUGAUUGCUAAUUUUGUAUUAUUUUUAACUUGCAGAUAGUUGUGGAUAUGAUAUGCAAAAGGUAAGGACUAUAUCCUCCUGAUAGAGGCCUCUGCUUUUUCCCUUCUAUGUACGUAAUUUAGUAAAUCGCAUAUUCUAUAUAUCAUACCAAAAUCCUGUCUUAAAUGCUGCUGGCAUAUGUUAAGGUUCAACUUGCAUUUUGAUUAACGUCCAUUUGCUACGGCUUCCAAAAUUGAGAAUGAGAUACUUUGGUUAAUUUCAGUAGUUGAACCCAAUAGGGUACUUUAUUUAGAUCUUCAUGGUUCAAAGGCCCGAAAAAACUUGCAGGUAUUUGCAAAAUGACAUUCUGUGCUUUUAUUUAUACUUAUUAUUUAAGUGAUAAAAAUUCCCCAAACCUGCGGUCAAGAAAAUUUCAGACAGUUAAAGACUCCAUUUUGUUUCAGCCAAAAAUGUUUAUUUCAAUUAAAGAUUUGAACCAUUUUCAUUUAACCUGAUUGUGAUGCUUUACAUUGUGCACGUUCCUUUCGAUCAAUAAACGUUGAGGUCAUGAUUUUAUAUUCCUAUAUUGUAACCUAAAAUAAUAGUUGGUUUGCCUGUUUCUGUAGCUUGAUAACAUGAAUUUUCCUUCUGAAGUUACUUUGAUCAAUAAAGUUAUUCUUCGGAGAAGAUAUGCCCAUUCUAUAAUCAUUUUCUUAGCUAAUAUGUUUUUUUCACUCUUCUGAGCAUGUCUAAACUAAUUGAUCGCUCGGCAGAGACUGUGGGUAAGAAAACAAAAUUUCAUGGUAAAUCCUCUUAAAAGGUAUGCAUAAUUGAAAUGACCCGCCCCGAAUUCCCCUCAGGCGAGUCUAUCUAGUCUCAUCAAAACGGACUUGAUAAUAAUUCUAUUAGUAAAGACUCUGCCAAAAAUUCGGCAGAAUUUUUUUUUUUUUAUAUAUAACACUCCCAAUCUACAAAUAUGAAUAUAACACUCCCAAUACAAUUCAGUAUACAACAAACUCCAGUGAUCAACAUCUUCAACCAAAAUGCUGAGCUUUAUAUCUCCAGAGUCUCAAAAGAUAAUAUUAUAACUAAUAUUAAUAUCUUAGUUUAUUCUUAAUCCCAAAAGAAUAAUAUAACAAAAUUAUACAAUCCCAACAGGACGAGAUAACCAAGAUGUCCUAACAAAAAUAUUUAUAUCUUCUAACACCAUCACGUGGCCGAGAUUCAAAAUAUAUUUACAGUCGCUAGGUCGGUCUGGUGUACCUGCAACCUCCUGGUGAGGGGGGAAAAAUAUAAUAAAAACGGGGUGAGUUUAAAACUCAGUGAGAUCAGUGAGUGAAUAGUAGUUUUGAAAAUUAAUUCUUACUUUAAAAAAAAUAAUCGUAUCAUUUCCAAACACAAUUUCAUUAAACCAUAAGCGAGAAACCAAUAAUAAAUCAUUAAACAUUUAAAUCAUAUUACUAACCAUAGAAAUCAUAUCACAAUAUCAUAUAGAAUACACAAAUCUAAAAAUCAUCACCAAACAAGUACCCAGAGAAAUAAUCUCGUCAUAUCCGAACCUCAACAGACGGGCAAUGACGUACUAUCUAGGUAACGUCACACCCCGGAGCUACACGGAUAGACAGGGAAAUACCAUCUCAUAUCUCAUCAUAUAUGUGCAUGCAUAAUCUAGUCCCCAAGGGACAAAAGCGCCCAAGCACACGGCCCAAAGCCUCUGUGUAUACUCAGAGGGACCCCAAAGGCCUAUAUCUCAUAUGUAUCAUAUGUAUCAUUUGUAUCUCAAUUAUCUCAUAUCCGUAUAUCUGUAAUCAUCAUACCGCAUGCAUAUGCCCCCAAAAGGAAAAAGCGUCCAAACACACGGCCCAAAGCCUUUAUAUAUAUUCAGACGGGUCCUAAAAGCCUCUCAUCUCAUCUUAUCUGUAUCACUGUAUCUGAAGGGAAUGGUACUGUCUAAUGAUUUCAAAAACAAUCAUUAUACUCAUAUUCACAUACCUCUUAAUCAUAUUUUAAAUCAUACCACAUUUGAAUCCACUUUUCUUAUCUUUAAAAUACUAUCAUGCUUUAUUCAAAGUCGAUACGCAAAAUCAAUAACCAAACAUUUUAAUAAAAUACCAAUGCGUAAAUAAAAUCCAUUUCGAGAAAUCAUUAAAUCAGAACAUUUAAAAUACUUAUUUCGCAAACAUGCUUUACUAUCAUCGCUAACUAUGAAAAUAAGUUUUGUAUAUUCCACUCACAGUGACGGUGUUCACGGUCGGUUCUCGCUCGCGGAUCCUCCUAAAUCAACGAAACGACAUAAUUAUUUUCCGUAAAUCGGAAUUAUGACUAAAUUUUAUGCAAUAAAUUUAAAACGAACAUAUAUUCAUAAUUGACAACUCCUGUGUCCAUAAAAUUACUAAAAUGCCCUUGAGUCUGUAAAUCAUUAACAUGCUUCGAAAUCGUAAAUUACUGAAUUACUCUCGGAAUCGUAAUUACACUCAAUCCUCAAUUCUAGGAAUUACUAACAUAUCCACGGGCUCAGAAAUUACAAAUUUGCCCUCAUAGUGUGAAAUUACCAAAAACUGGAAUUUGGUCAACACUGGCUAGGAAGCUCAAAUCGUAAAGUUCCAAUCACGCUGAGUUCAAUGGUACCGGCGAUGAUCUCCAACGCGCGGCAACGACGCCGGAAUCUAGCUCGGCAGCCGUGAAUUCCACCAAUCGACCGGCGGCAAAACAGUGACUCUCGGUGCCUAUGGAUGGUCGGAAAUGGAAGAGGGAGUCGUGGGGAACAAAAUUCAACCGGUGGUGUAGCCAAAACCGGCGAAAAUCCCGGCGGAGCAAAGUGAAACAGUCGCGGGUUUCAAGCUUCGAUCGCCGGUGUUCCGAUUGGUUUUUGGCGAGGAGGAUGGCAAGGGAACGACGGCCGGCUUCUAAGCUUCAGAUUGGUACCAAGCUCGGCCGAAACGGUGGCCGGAAAUGGGAGAUAUGGCCGGGUCAAGGUCGCGGGUUCCGGGUCGGGUUUUCGGGUCUGUAGUUGGGUCGGUUUGGCAGCUUCUCUCUCACUCUCUGUUACACGUGCAUAUGUUUCCUCUGUUUCUAGCUUAUUCUUUUGCUUUUACUAACUUCUUAACCGCCUCAUACUUAUUCAUUUUUAAUUCACAUAUGUUACAAUAAUUCCCGAGUAUUAAAUAACCAGUGGUCAUAAUUUUUGUACACGACUCUUUUUUUUUUUGGAGAUCGUUAAAAGUGAUUGACGAUCCAUUUUGUAAUAUCAUAGAGGGAUCAUCAAUUCCUUUUCUUUUCUGUGGCUAGGCAACACUUUUUGGCCAAAGUAAGGAAAUCUAUUUUAGGUAAUGUAAAAACCAGUUGUAGGAUGUAAUAGUUUAUUAUGCACUGACAAUAACUUUUUGUAUAAUUGUCAGUUUAAUGAAUACAAGAGGAACUCUGUUGGCAAAUUCAUCCAAGAUAGAUGCUAAAAUUAUUUAUGCAUGCCAGUUGCCUUAACUAAGUUUUCUCAGCACUGGUUUUGAACAGGAAAAUGAAUAUGCAAUUUGUAGAUUGUGCCAUAGUGGAGAAUUUGUAUAUUCUUAUUUAAGUAACAAGGAGAUUAUUUACCUCAUCUUUAAACAAUGAAUCUUUGAGAGAUGAGGAGUGGGUGAUUGGCUGUGUCUUCAUGUAAUUGUUCAUUUAUUUGUAUUUUGAACUGUUAUGAAAAUCUUUAUAUGCCAAAUUAGUAAUACAAGUAUUCAGAUGAUUUUUCCUAUUGAUCAUGCAUUUGUAUCUGCCCACAACCAUUGUAUAUCACUUUAUUCUGAUGCGCAAGCAUCUGUAAUUUAGAAGAAAAGAAAUAAUAAUCAUAUUUUAUUGCUUGGUUCAUGAUUAUUAACGAUUAUGGCUUUAAAAAUCUACAAAUUUCUUGUGUUCAUGUAUGAAUGUGCCAAGUUUGCUGUAUCUUAGAUUACCUUCUUCCAAGAUAACAAGUUCAUAUAUAUUUUUUUUUAAAAUCCUUUUCCAUUACAGUUGAAUUUCAAGUGUUAGUUUUGUUAUUAGUACCUGGUUUCCUGUUAUUAGGAUCUAAUAAACAGUGUACGGAUAUGUGCUCUACUUUUGGAGGGCCUCCACGUGAAAGAAAAUUGCAACAAUUGAAUUCUUCCGGAGGGUAUGGUAAUUAAUUUAUUUUCUCAACUUGUUGUAAGACUAAUAUAUUUCCUUCAGUAGGCACGGCAUGGUGGGAAGGGUUUUUAUUGAAAGAAUUCUGAUAUUUCUUAGACUUUGUUUUGGAAGGGGGUGGAGGGAUUUCUCAUCCAUAUAUGGUUACUUGAUUAGCUUUUGACUGUAUUGUCUCCGUCGUGCAAAGGAAAAUCUAAAUACUAACGAUGGGGAAUUGCUUAGGCACCCAAAAGGCAGAAAUGAAUUACAGAAGGAAGUUUUUGCUGCUUUAUUUAGUGCUGCUGAGAAAUCUGAUGAAUUUCCUGAAAUUACGGUGAAGACCGAGUGGAGGUCCAAAGCAUUAGGAAAGGUGGUGAGUGAACUGCCGGAGGAAUUAGUACCAGAAUACAAGGCUAAUGUGGUGCACUUGCAGCAAGAUAACCAGACCGGUAUGUGCUCUUAUAUUAACUAUAUUGACUGGAUUUGUUAGUGUGUGCAUUUUUUUGUGUAUACUCACUUUUGUAUUUAUGCAUAUUAACAUGUGUAGGAUUCUUGAUUUCUGCCACUUACUGGAGAACUAGUGGAAAGCUUUAUACUGAUAUAUCUGCAAUAACUAAUGGAAACUAUGAUAUGAAUAUUUUCUCUCACCUGGGGAGCUGUGUAACAGAUAUACUUUGUGGCUCUGGAAUGCUGAAGAUUCUGCAAUAACUAAUGGAAAAUAUGAUAUGAAUAUUUUGUCUCACCUGGAGAACUUUGUUACAGAUACCCUUUGUGGCUCUGGAGUGUCUAAAGAAUGCUUCCGUUAGAUCAAAUAUCUUUUAGUUAGAAAAGAUAAAAUUCUCUGAGUCUGAAAGACUGAAACAUUUUGCAUAUUUUGUGAAAGGGAAAUAUCUGUUGAUACUAGCUCAUGCAUUGAGGUAAUAUCGAUGUUAAAGAAAAACAGCAAUGAUUUAUGAUAUAGAAUUGGGUUCACUUGCUUUAAAUGCUGGUCUGAUCAACCAUAUCAACCUGUAAUGAUUCUGCAGAAAUAUAUAUACAAGGAGAAAGUAGCUAAAUUUUUCUUUCAUUUAUGGGUUCGGUCUUUUUUCCCCUUAUUUUUCAGCUUUCCUUCUCCUGAAGUAUGUUAACAAUUGCAGAUAAUGAUGAAGAGGACAGCUUCCAGGCUCUCCUUGGAGCCAUGAUGGAAUAUAGGGGCACAAUGAAGGAAUAUUGUAAAGCUGUAGGUACUUUUUCUCCUGUCAUUUAUGUUUUCUCACACAUUUUGUAUAUGCCCUGAACAUGCACCUUUGUAUGUAUCAAUUGACUUUUAAAUUUUAAAAGCCAUAAAGUAAGAAUACGGUUCCUUGUCAGGCUACUGAUGACAUUCGCUCAGGGGGAUCAUGUUCGAGCAGGAAAAUUUCUAGAACAGGUAAGGUUUCCAUCUACAGCCAUCCAUUGACAGCAGAUAAAUUUUCAUUCAGCAGACUCUGUUAGCAUUCAAGAUGCUGGCAGAUUCACUUGAUUCUUAUUAGCUUGUUUAGUGGCAAAGCCUAUAACCUGUAUUUCAAAGCCAAGUUGUGCUAUUGAUUAUGUUAACUUUUUUGUUAACAUAAAAUGAUAUGGAGGAAAUAAUCAGUGUUGGAAAAUUAGGUGAAAAGAUGAUGUCAAAUCUUGAACCUCUUGCGAAACUCUAAGUUCUUUACUUGAAGAGGCUACCAAAUUUGAACAGCGUCUACUCGAAGGCCUUGCCAUUCCCUGAUGCAUGCAGAAUUUUUGUAUUUAAAUGCCCAGAGCUUAAGAAGCUGGCACUGGAUCUUGAAGGGGCAGACCAAGGUAAAAUUCUUAUCAAGGGAAAGGAAGAUUGGUGGAAACAACUUAAUGGGAGGAUCAAGUAACUCAGAAUACAUUGCUUCCAUUUUUUAAAUCGACUGACAAGUGAUUGAACGGGGCAUCAUCAAUAUCAUCAACAGGGAUGGAGAGAUGCCGGAGCAGAUCAGCAGGGUUUGAAUAUGACCUUCGGCGGUUGCUUUUUUUUUUUGUGAUUUUUUUUCAUUUUUUCCUUCCUGUCAUUUUAUCAUUUCUUUGGCUCUGUUUCUAUUGCGGGUGUUACUGCAUGCUUACUGUUGCUUGACAAAGUUUGCUAGCUUUUUGUUUGCAGCGCUGCUAUACGCCCCGAGUCAAGCCCCGAAAAUUUAUUAAACGACGCCGUUUCGACAGUAACAAUUCUUUUCUUUUCCCUUUGCCUGUUUCUUUCAUCUGCUGUUUCUCUAUCACUUUUCAUUUUUGAUUUCCGUGCUUCCCAGCUGCCCCUAAAUUGUUAUUCUAGCAAUAUACUUUCUCAUCUUUGAAUUUUCAUCCUUGAGUACUCCCACAGCCGUAAUUUCAUCAUUAUAGACUUCACUUGGAAUGCUAGAUUUUUUCGAUUCUUGAGCUACUUCAAUUACAUCUUAGUAUAGGAUCCUCAUCUUCCUUUAUUUCUUCAUCUUAUGAGGUAACAAAUGGAUUUCACAACUCAUCUACUUUUAAGCAAUUACAUAUUAUACCCUGAAUGAUUCAACUGUUCCGACAGUUAAAGAUUUUAUGCUCAACCUGCAGUGCUACGAACAUUGUCCAUGAAAGAUGAGUUUCAGCAUAUAAAAUGAAAUAUAGAUGUUUAAUCUAAAAUAACCCUUCACUGCCAGAAACCUAGGUCACAAAAUUCACAGAUAAUGAUAAAGAACUAAAAAAUUUGAAAAACUCUACAGAUCACACAUCAAGCAAGAUAUCAUGUUUUUUUCCCUCAUUCGGUGGUGAUUGAUUCGCUUUUUGAUGAUGGAUAUGGUAUAAAAGUUUUGACCCAAUUUCAAGCAAACACAAAUAGAAACACAAACACAAUCAGGACUAGAGUUGUGGGCGAUUAUCUCAGGUGUACAAGUGAAACGGUGGUGGCUGUCGAUGGUGGUAGUGGGGUGGUUGGGUAUGCGUGAUGGCUAGAUUUUAGGACAAUAAUGGUUGGAGUUGACCUCAAUCAACGAAGGAAAGUGACAACAAUUUUGACAUCAAAUGGUGCAUUUUUUAGCUUAGUAAAAUGGAACCGUUUUGAAUUUGGGGUUUAAUCCGGGGUUUGACUCGGUGCAAGUAUCAUUUUCCUUUUGUUUAUUAAAUUUUUUAUGGUCACAAAGUAUUACUCGUUCUAUUUGAGAGUGAUGUGAAUCAAUUUUUCAAUUUUAUAUUUUGUGGUCAAUGUGAAUUCAAUUUCAUUUGUCUCCUGCAAUUAUGAAAAAAUUGCAGUCAUAAUAUGGAAAAGUACACCGGCAAAGACUUUGUAAAACCUUCGGAGUGAUACGGGGAAUUCACUUACAACUAAGGACAAUUGGUGGCAAGUUAUUCCAUUCAUUUUAUGUCCAUGCAUCUAUUUAGUUAUUGAAGAUUAGUGGUCCAUUUGUAAAUUUCAGAUUGUCUCUCUCUCUCUCUCCCACUUGAAAUAACAAUAUUUAAUAUAUCUCUUAAAUUAUUAUAAAUUUUAAUUUACUCUCGAUUUAAAAUGGAGCAUGUCGAUAAAUUUUUUUUCUUCUUAAUAAAAUUGACGUAAUUUGUGUUUACAGUAGUUUGAAGUUUGAAAUAUUUUAAAGAUUAUUAUUCUAUAAGGGAGUAAUAUGAAAUGAAAUUUACUUUUCAUGUGUGAACUGAAAAAGGACGAAGCAAGUGUCCCUGCUUUUAUUUUAUUUCAAGGAGGAGUCAUCUCGCAUACUUUGGCUCUUAACAUUACAUUUUUUCUGGUUACAUUUUUUAUUUUUUUUUACACAUGCGUGUGGGUUGCUUUUCUGUAAGCUCCUUAAUAUAUAUUUAAGACAAAUCAUGGAAGAGAUGGGAUUAUAUCAAGAUGAUCAAAGCAUGUAAAAAAAGAAAAAAGAAAAAAAAAAUUAAGAAGUAAGACACUGAAAAUGGAGAAGAGAUGGAAGCAAAAGAUAUUCCAAAACAAAGCAAUCUAUCCCCCUUCGAGGGCAGACUUAUCAGGUUUAAAAAAGUACAUGCUUUGGAUUGGUAGUUGCAAUCAAGGGAAAAUAAAUAGGAUCCAAUGAAAUUUAAAUCUCGGAGAAAAUAAAUAAUCAUGCAGAUUUUCAAGAUUUUAAUAAGGGAUACUAAUAUCUUAUUUUGAUUAAUAACAUUCUUUUACUGUGUUAACUCAAAAAAAAUAUUAUAAUGCUUUACAAUAAAUACAAAUGUCCUAUUAAAUGAAUAUAUAAAAAAUUUAGAAAAUUAUAUAAAAUAAUUUUAAUAUAAUGCGUGAGAUAUAUUUUAUUAAUUUAAAAUGUCAUUUUACCUAAAAAAUAUGAUAAAUUAAUAAUUACAUAUUUGAAGUUAUUUCAAAUAUUAAAAAAAUUUAAUAUUAUUAAUCUUUUAGAUAGAUUAAAUUAUUUUUUAAAGAGAUAGAUUAAAUUAUUUUAAAAUACCUUAAUUGUUUUUACUUUAAACAUUACCGGCCUUUCUUUUAUUUUAUUACAAAUUAAUGCUAACAAGAAAAAGUUAGAUCAUAUUCCACAAAAGCAAAAGUGACAAACACAACCAGCUGGAAUCUUUUAUAAAACUACAAAUUAAAAUGGAUUUUUUUUUUAAAAAUUGUUAUAAAUUGGUGGCCCCUACAAUCCUCAAUAAUUGCACCGAUAUUCACAAGUUGGUGGCCCCUACAAUUCUGUUCCGAUAAUUUAACUGUGCAAGUGCUUAAUAAUUGUUUUGUUUUUUUCUGCAUUCCCUUUCAUGCUCUUAAUAAUUGAAGAGCAUACUUUUCAAAUGUGGAGCCGCAGCUAAUGUCGCUAAUUUAAUUUUGGAUUAAAUUAGGGGACCAUUAUAUUGUAGUGUGCACUAAUGAAUAUGUGAGAUAUUCAUAUUUUAUUAAUUUAAAAUACCAUUUAACCUAAAGAUUUAUUUAUGAUAAAUUAAUAAUUAUAUUUUUGAAAUUACUUCAAAUAUUAAAAAAUUAAUAUUACUAAUCUGUUAGAUAGAUUAAAUUAUAUAUAUUAUUUUCUAUUUAUUAAAAAAUUAAAAUUAUUUUUAAUUACUAUUCAAAAAAUAUAAUGAUAAAAAAAAUCUUAACAUCUUUAUUAAAAAUUUAAAAAUUUACAUGAUCAAUUCUCUAAAUAUUUAGGGUAUAUGUGAACCACGGUGGAGAAGCUUUAUUUAAUAUUAUUGAUUUAAAUAAUAUGUCAAUUAAAAAUGUACAGAGAAGGAAAUUUCGGUGGGUAUUUUAGUCUUUUCAGCAAUUAUCAUGAUCAGAUCAGCCUUUAGCCUUGAAACGUCGAUCAGAAAAGUUUUAAAAUGCUUAAUUGUUUUUCACUUUUAAAAAUUAAUGCUAACAAGAAAAAGCUAGGUCAUAUUCCACAAAAUCAAAAGUGACAAAACAACCAGCUGGUUUCUUUUACUAAACUACAAAUUAAAAUAGAUUUUUUCGAUAAAUUAUAAAUUAAAGUGGAUUCUUUUGAAUACAAGUGAGACAGACGAUUAGGCUCUUUUUAUUAAAGGCAAGUAAAAACUAGUCAAGAAUCGAAUAGUCUUUUUCAAAUUCUUGUUUUAUUAUUUUUCAAAACUAGUUUUUGGUAAUUACAAUCGGGUCAUUCAUUAAUCAUUAUUCAAAGUUACUGUUAUCUUCGGGGGCAGUGGGUAAAAGAUAAUUACUAACUGUUUUUCCUUCAAAAGUUACCGGCUCAUGUUUGCAAGUGUGAAUGUGCGAUGCUCUUUUCUUAAAGGCAAUUACAGUGGGGCCCGAAUCAGAGGUGCCUAAAUCUUUUUAAAAUUAAUAAUAAUAUGAGUAAUAAUUAAUAAUUACAGUGGGUCAACUUUUGAAAUUAGAGUCUAGUAUCUCUCUCCCUGUCAUUACUAAAUUUUCUCUUCCACAGCCUACAGCAGCUUCAGUUUAUCAAACUCAAUCAAUUUUCUUUCUUAACAAAAUUCCAAAGAUGUGUAGUAUUUUUCAGAUCACAUGCGAUGGUGCUCUUUUCAAUCGUUGCUUGGAUUGCUUUCUUGGAAAAGCAGCAUACAUACGUAACCUCCAAGAUAAUCUUGUAGCCUUGGAGACUGAACUGGGAAGACUAAUCGCAGCAAAGAACGAUGUGAUGAUGAGGGUUGUCCAUGCUGAACGGCAACAAAUGAGAAGGCUGGACGGAGUGCAAGUGUGGGUUUCGAGGGUGGAUUCUGUUAAAACUGGAGCCGACGAACUUAUCACAGACGGCUCUGAAGAAAUUGGCAAAUUAUGUGUUGGAGGCUACUGUUCCAAGAACUGCAGGUCAAGCUACAAAUUCGGAAAACAAGUGGCUAGAAAGCUACGACAUGUGGAGACUUUAAUCGCCGAGGGAGUUUUUGAGGCGGUGGCUACUGAGGUGGUGCCCGAGAGAGCUCCGGAACCUGUAGCAGAUAAAAGACCCAUUGAGCCAACAAUAGUAGGCUUGCAAUCACAACUUGAACAAGUCUGGAGAUGUCUUGCAGAAGAAUCAGCGGGAAUCAUUGGCUUAUAUGGUAUGGGCGGUGUUGGUAAAACCACACUAUUGACCCGUAUCAACAAUAAAUUUCUUGAGAAUCAAAACAACUUUGAUUGUGUGAUUUGGGUCGUAGUUUCAAAAGACCUGCGGCUUGAAAAAAUUCAAGAAGAUAUUGGGAAGAAGAUAGGUCUGUUUGAUGAUUCAUGGAAGAAUAAAAGUUUUGAAGAGAAAGCUGUGGACAUCCUGCGGAGAUUAGGAGAGAAGAGAUUUGUAUUGUUGUUAGAUGAUAUAUGGGAGCGGGUUGAUUUAACAGAAGUGGGCGUUCCACUUCCCAGCCCACAAAAUACUACAUCAAAAGUCGUAUUCACGACCCGUUUCAUUGAUGUUUGUGGUAGCAUGGAAAGUCACAGGAAGUUUAAAGUGGCAUGCUUAUCAGAAGAGGAUGCUUGGGGGCUGUUUCGAGAAAAAGUACGGCAAGAAACUCUUGAGAGUGAUCAUGAGAUCGUUGAGCUAGCCCAAACUGUGGCCAAAGAGUGUGAUGGUUUGCCACUCGCACUUAUUACUAUUGGUCGAGCUAUGGCCUACAGAAAGAAAGCGGAGCAGUGGAGACGCGCAAUUGAAGCGUUAAGAAGAUCAGCUUCAGAGUUUGCAGGUUUGGGAAAAGAGGUGUAUCCUCUUUUAAAAUUCAGCUAUGAUAGUUUGCAGAAUGAUACGGUUAGAUCUUGUUUCUUGUAUUGUUGUUUAUAUCCUGAAGAUUAUGGCAUUCUUAAACGGGACUUGAUUGACUGUUGGAUUGGUGAGGGAUUUUUGGGGGAAUCUGACAGGUUUGGUGCAGAAAACCGAGGAUAUGACAUUUUGGACACUCUUGUUCGUGCAUGUUUAUUAGAAGAGUUAGAAGAUGAUAAAGUAAAAAUGCAUGACGUUAUUCGUGAUAUGGCUAUAUGGAUAACCUGUGAAAUUGAGAAGGAGAAGAGAAAAUUUUUGGUUUGUGCAGGUGCUGGAUUAAAAGAGGCACCGGAUGUUAAAGGAUGGGAAAAUGUGAGAAGAUUGUCAUUGAUGCAAAACCAAAUUGAAACUCUGUCAGAGAUUCCUACAUGCCCUCAUCUCCUCACUUUAUUUCUUGACUUUAAUGAGAAGUUGGAGAUGAUCGCGGAUGGCUUCUUCCAAUUUAUGCCUUCUCUCAAAGUGUUGAGGAUAUCACACUGUGGGCAAUUAGAAGGUUUUCAAUUACCUAUUGGGAUGUCAGAGUUGGGUUCGUCACUAGAACUUCUUGAUAUUUCAUAUACCAGCAUAAGAGAGUUACCAGAAGAGUUAAAGUUGUUGGUAAAUCUGAAAUGUUUGAAUUUGAGUUGGGCACAUAGGUUAUAUAAAAUUCCACGGCAACUAAUAUCAAAUUCUUCAAGGUUACGUGUGUUGAGAAUGUUCGCUACUGGCUAUGUGUGUCUUCAUGAAGCAUCAGAAGACAGCGUUUUAUUUGGUGGGGGUGAAGUUUUAGUACAGGAAUUGCUCGGUUUGAAAUAUUUAGAGGUAUUGGAGUUGACCUUGGGAAGUUAUCAUGCUCUCCAAAUUCUUUUGAGCUCAAAUAAGUUGAAAAGUUGUAUUCGAUCUCUUUUCCUACAGUUGUUCAGAGAUACAACGUCGAUUAUUGAUGCUACGGCUUUCGCAGAUCUAAACCACCUCAAUGAAUUAUGGAUUUAUAGAGGUAGUGAGUUGGAAGAAUUGAAGAUUGAUUAUACGGAGAUAGUACAAAAAAGGAGGGAACCUUUUGUUUUCCGCAGCCUUCACCAUGUUACCAUAUAUAGUUGCACUAAAUUGAAAGAUUCGACAUUCCUCGUUUUUGCUCCAAACCUCAAGUCUCUUCAGCUACUCGAUUGCUAUGCUAUGGAAGAAAUAAUCAGCGUCGGAAAAAUUGCUGAGACUCCUGAGAUGAUGGGACAUAUAAGCCCUUUUGAAAAUCUCCAAAGUCUUUAUUUAAAUGAUUUGCCAAUUUUGAAGAGCAUCUACUGGAAGCCAUUGCCUUUCGCUCAUCUAAAAGAAAUGACGGUGCAUCGGUGCGAUCAGCUUGAAAAGCUUCCACUCGAUUCCAACAGUGCAAAGGAGCGUAAAUUUGUAAUUCGUGGAGAAGAAGACUGGUGGAACCGACUUCAAUGGGAGGAUGAAGCCACUCAAAUUGCUUUUCGUUCCUGUUUCCAACCUCGUUCCUGAGCGGUGGUCGCAAAAUUUGAUUUCUGGUGAGUGCGUUUGUCUUUUAAAAGAAGAAUUUAAAAGAAAUUUAUUCUUGUCGAUUGUUUUCUUCUCUGUUUUUAUUUGAUUUCUGGUGAGUGCGUUUGUCUUUUAAAAGAUGAAUUUAAAAGAAAUUUAUUCUUGUCGAUUGUUUUCUUCUCUGUUUUUAUUUGAUUUCUGGUGAGUGCGUUUGUCUUUUAAAAGAAGAAUUUAAAAGAAAUUUAUUCUUGUCGUUUGUUUUCUUCUCUGUUUUUAUUUGAUUUCUGUUUUUAAUGGAAUUAAUGCUUCAUAAAUUUGCCGGCACUGCCAUUACUUUUUUUUUUAAUACAAAUUGAUACUUUAUUUAUAUCUUCUUAGCGAUUUAAUUUCCUGUCAAUAGACGAACGAGAAGAACAUAUGACUUAAACCAAUGCUCGCAUAAACUUGCUGUAAAAAGAUAUAAUCUCACUGAAAUGCACACGUCUAGAAUGAAUAGAAUUAAAACAGGGAAAAUCAAUCAAUUCCACCUUUUGCAAUUUCUUCUGUUCUAACAAAAACCAAUUUCUUUGUUCAAGUAUUUUCGUUUGGGUAUUAAUAAUUCUCCACCGAAAGAGUGAACUCUUGCUCAAGGGAUCUCUAAUCAAUUGCCGGAAGGGCGCCGAGACCUGAUCGGACCUAGGCCCAAGUUUGGUCUUAAAGCCUGGGCUUGAGCCUGGCAAUUAAAUUAAAACAUUAAUUGAUUUCUUGGUUGAUUUGUCGUGUAAUUGAUUUAUGGGGGAUGACACAUCAACAUACUUGAAAAUACACUAAUCUCAGCAUCAUCGGUUAAUAACUUUUAGAUUUAUGCGUAAUCAAUAGUUAAGAUUAGUUGUCAUUAAUACUAAAUAUUUUUUACUUUUUUUGUCUCUUCUAGAAAAAUGCAUCCACAAUUAAAUUUAAUACUUUACAUAAUAAACAAAGCAUAAAUGUUAAAUUUAAGAAACUGCAUUGUAUUUCAGCUGAAGUUGACUUUAAUAUUUAGGGUAGAAAAAAAUUAAAUCCUUAAUGUGUUUAAUUUGUAUCACUUGUGUCAUUAAAAUUUUCUAGUCACCCUAACCAAUUACAUCUCAACCCACUUUGUUUUUGGAUGAUUUUAUUUUUAGACUAUUAUUUUCAUCAUUUUUUUUCCUUUUAACACCAACAUUAGUGUAUGUUACGUAACAUAAUUCAUAUUUGGAUCAUUUGAAAUUUGCUUGUGUUUUAUCUAAAAAUAGAGCUUCAAUCAAAUUGUACCUCAUAAAUUCACAAUAUCUAUGAGGGCUAAUGAGACCAAACUCUGGCAUAUUGUCAAAUGUGCUUAUCCUUUUGCUUGACAUGUCAUUUUAAAAUUGUCAUUCAAUGCCAAAAAAUCACAUCAACUGAUGGCCGACUACUUUAAUUUGAAAGCAUGCAUGCGAUCGCCAAUAAUUAUAACUUAAUUGUUAUUUUGAAAUUUUUUUCUUUAUAAUUUUUAAGUUUAAUACUACUACAUGUGCAGCACAUAAGUUGGAAAAUAUAACAUAAAAUUUGAAAAAUGUGUAGCUUUCGUUCCUUUUUUUUCUUAAAAAUGGGAAAAAAGAAUGUAGUUUUGUUUAAAUUACUGUUGUGAUUACAAUUAUUAUUUUAUUGAUUAAUUGGCAGAGAAUCGUAAUGGUUUUGCAUGGUUGUUAAAACAUUGGAAAAUCCACUACAUCAUCCGUUAAUAACUUUCAGAUUUAUGAUUAAUCAAUAGUUGAGAUUUGUUAUCAUUAAUGCUAAAUAUUUUUUUAAUAUUUUCUCUCUCUCUUAGAGGAUCAUCCAAAGUAAAAAUUUAAUAUUAUAAAUAGUAAACAAAGUAUCAACGUUAAAUCGAAGAAACUGCAUUGCAUUUCAACUGAAGCUAACUUUAAUAUUUAAUGGAGAAAAGUAAUUAAGUCCUUAAUGUGCUUUAUUUACCCAUAUAUAUGGCUAAUUUUUCAAGAUAAAGGGGAAGGAUGAUGCUCAAAAAUAUAAAUUAUAGAAUUAAUUGAACUCUCAAGUAAGUUUAAAGUUCAUUAUUUUUAAUUACUUGUUUAUAAUUUAUUUUUAUUUCGUAUUAAUCUAUGGAUCUAAAUCCCCUUUGGAUUCAUAUACAUAUAUAGACAUAAUGUGUAUGUUAAUCUAUAGGUCUGAAUUCACUUUAGGUCUAUAUAGGUAUUUUGACAAAUGUACUCCAAUCAUGCAUAUUGGCAAGUUCUAACUACUCUAUUGAUAUAUCAAUAUUAUUUCUAACUGCACUAUAGGUCCAAAAAUAAGUUAGAAAUACAAAUUAACAUAAAAUAAAAAUAAUUGGUAGAAAAUACAAAUUAUAAACAUAUAAUUGAAAACGAUAAACUUUAAAUUUACUUAAGAGAGUAAUUAAUUUCAUAGUUAAAAUCUUUAAAUUUUACCCCUCAUCUUAACUUAAGAAAAUUAAUCACUUAUUUUAUUUAAUAAAGAAGAGAUUUUUUUCCCCUAUAUUUCCCAAUUAUUUCUCUCCCUCUCGCUCCCGUAAGUUAUACAACUUGAAGUGAAAUAUGAGUGGUCUGAUUCUAGCUUAAAUAAUUUAUUGUGACAUGCUAUCUAAGGACAAUACAUUACCUAGCUCUACAUAUUUUAUUUAACCUCCGGCCCACCCUGUGCAAACUUGCCUUUCCCCUGCAAGACAAGAUUAAUCAAUGUAUCAAGUCUCAAAUUCAAUUUCGAAUAUGACCAUCGUACGCUCUUGUUCUUCCCUCUUUACGAGUGCAUUCCCCCCAACCUCAAGCUCCCUCUCUCGUCUUCAAUGUCACUGCUUAUAUCCUUAUGUUGUUCUAGUUUGAAAUAGUGGCUUCCACUAUUUCAGGGCCCCCAAAAAUCCAGAAACAUACUAUUCAUCACGAUGACAAAAUUUUUGGCAGGCAGGUGCUUCCUGACUUUCACACGGUAAUUCUCAAAUUCUGAUUUCACCAUAUUUUAAUUACUGAUUAGCAUAUAUUCAAGUGCUCUCCAUUAUAACGGAAGCCGCCGCCUCACUCGUGAUUCCAAACUUUUAUCUUUUUUUCCUUUUUUAAAUUAAUGCAAGUAGCCGCUGUCCUUUUUAUUAAUUAAUUAGUUCGGCCGCCCACAUUUCUUUUCCUAAUGUCUUCUACUGUCGAUUUUCUUUUAUUUUCUCUUUUUUCUUAAAAUAUACUUAUAAUAAUAAAAUAUAAAAAUAAAAAUUAACAUAUCAAAAUAUAAUUUAAUAGAAAAUUAAGAUAAAAAAUAAAAAAAUUAUGAGCAUAUCAAUCAAUAAAUGAAAAAUAAUAAUUUUUAUUUUUAUUAAAUAUAUAUUUUUUAAAAUUAAUCAAUUAUCUGAAUAAAUCAAAUCAUUUAAAAAUAAAUAAAUAAAUUAUUCUUAAAUAAAAAAAAGAAACUUUUUAUAACACUCACUAUGCUGGUUGUAGGGUAGACGCUUUGGGGACUGAAGCUGGUAACUUCUACAAGUAGUCUUAAGUUGACUGGCAACAACUAUAUUGGCAUUUAGACAUAAUGUACUGCAACCAUAUUGGUAUGUUCAAAUGUUCUUACUAUUGUAUUGGUGUAUCAAUAUUAUCUCUAACUGCCUUAUAGAUUAAAAAAAAUCUAAAUUUACAAUUUAACAUAAAUAAAAUAAUUGGUAAAAAAACAAUUAUGGUUUAUUUACUUAUCAGUAAUCAGAAUAGACUGAAAUCGAAAUGAGCUGUAUUACCGUUAAUGUGUUUAUGUUGUCCUUGAAUCGGAAUGAAUUAUUUUAAGUUACUAAAAUAUCAUUGGUUUGUUAUUCUAAUUAUUAUUAUUUAAUAUUUAUUAUAAUAUUUGUCAUAUCAUUAAAAAGAAAUAAUAAUGAUGAUAAUAUUAUCAUUAUUGUUUGUUACAUUAUUAUUAUUCAAAAAAAUUAUUGUUAAUAACAAUAAUUACUUUAUUUCAAUAAUAAUAAUGAUGAAAUUAAUAAUAACAAACAUGACAACAACAAUAAUUAUUUAUUAUGCCAAAAAUAACAAUAAUAAUAAGAAUAAUAAUCAUCAUCAUUUUUUUCCCAAAGAAGCAUUAUCAUCAUCAUUUAAAAAAAAAAUCAUCAUCAUCAUUUUUGUAGUUACUGUUUCAAUUUAGGAAGAAGCUGUUUCGUUGUGCUAACGAUGGGAGAUGUUGUGGCUGCGAUUCGGGGAGCUACUAGUUUAUUGCACUAAUGACGACAGGUGCGGCUGCUUGAUGCGAGGUCCAUGGCCAGUUGUCAGCAGUUCGACUUUGGUAUGGGCGUUGCUGGUUCGAUUUUAGGUGUUGUCUAAUUUCAUUUUCAGGAUUUUAAUUUUAAUUUUUUUUUAUAUUUUCAUUAAUUAAUCAGUGCAAAGUUUGAUUUUAGAAUUUGGAAUGAAGGUAAUUUUGUUAAUCAUGGAAAUGAGAUUCUGAUUGUCGAGAAUGAACUUACAAAAUUGCUGCAAAUUAAGUGAAAACAAAACGCUUUUUCUCUUUGUGUGAUUAAAACAUGAAAUGUACCAUAAAUAAAUAGGUAAAAAAUAAAUCAACACAAUUCAAAAUAGUAAACCAAUUACAAGAGGCACAAAUUUUUAUGUGAAAUACCGAAAAUGAAAAAAAACUAUAGCAUCCUAGUCUAAUAUAAUCUUCUACUAUAUUAAUGGGAUUACAGCACAAAUUCUUCCCUAUCUAACACUAGAGAUUAACAAUAUCAAAAAUCUCAAUAAUCUUAACUUACAAUACAACCUAAUAUAUGUCUCUCUAAUAAGUAGAUAUCUAAAAUAACAGUCUCUAAUAAGUAGGUAUCUCAAAUAAUAGUUAAUAAGAGGAUAAAACAAAAAUUAAGAUUAGUAGAAUGUGUAUAAGGCGAUGCUAUCAACUUAUCUUCUAAAUUUGAGAAAAAUAGUUAAAUUCACUUUUUCGAUUGUACGACCAAAGAUGGAAACCCUUGCCCCAAAACCAAAGGAAUCACCAUUGUGUUUUUUUUCUCUCUUUCUCUUUCUCGUUCUUCUCUUCUACUUUUCUUAAUGUUAGCCGCCACUUGCUUUUAUUCUUUAUAGCAUUUAAAAAGCUACUUUUAAUGGUAAAUUCAUCUAAGUCCAAAACUUAGUGAUAAUUGCACACCAAACAAUCCUUUUUGGACUAUGGACUUUUGGGCCUCCAAAUGAGAUGAAUACAACAAAUCUCCCCCUUCAGAUUAUGUGGGGGGCACUACAAGCCCGCUCUCUGCAUAUAGCUUUUCAGCUUCUCCUUGAAUAAUGACUUUGUCAUCAUACAUAACCCAUUCUUCGUUGUGUAAAUCUUCUCAAGCUAUAACUGUUCUUUCUCAAGCACGUCUCAUAUCUAAUGAUAUCUCACAUCAAUUUACUUAGAUUUCGAAUGGUAUAUCAAAUUCUUUGAACGGCACUCUGACUGUCGCAGUACAUAACAUAGUUGUCUCAUUUUAUAUCCAGCUCUUGUAGGAAAUUCUUCGUCCACAAUAUUUUUUUGCAACCUUCAAUAAUUGUAAUAUCAUUUGCUUUAGUGGUAGAAAAGGCAACUUAUUACUAAAGUUUAGAUUGCGAUGAGCUCCCCCUGCAAAAGUGAGCAAACAUCCUAGUACGAAUUUUUCGGAAUCAACAUCUCCUGCCAUAUCUAUACACUUGUAACACAGGUUUGUCACCACCAAAAUAUAAACAUGCUCUGGAAAUGCCUUUAAGAUAUCUGAGAAAUUUUCACUGUUGUCCAGUGCUCUUUACCGGGAUUGAAGAGAAACCACUGACUACACUAGCUGUAUAAGCAAUAUCUGGUCUUGUACAAAUUAUGGCGUACAAUAAACUGCCAACUGCUGAAGCAUAAGGAACUCCUCUCAUGGAGAAAUGGGUUUUGCUCUUGAGAAUUUUGGGAACAUAAAGAAUAAAGAUGUAAUUUCUUGGACUGCCAUUGUUUCGAGGUAUAUAAACAGAAGACAAGUCGAUAUAGCUUGACAAUGUUUUGAUCAGAUGCCAGAACGAGAUUAUGUCUUAUGGACUGCCAUGAUUGAUGGGUACCUUCGAGUGAAUAGGUUCAAAGAGGCUUUGACGCUUUUUCAGGAGAUGCAAACUUCAAAUAUAAUGGGAGACAAGUUUACCAUUGUUAGCAUUCUUACAGCUCGUGCCAAUCUGGGGGCACUAGAUCUGGGAGAAUGGAUAAAGACUUAUAUUGACAAAAACAAAGUCAAGAAUGAUAUAUUUGCGGGGAAUGCUUUGAUAGACAUGUACUGUAAAAGAGGAGAUGUUGAGAAAGCUCAAAAGGUAUUCAGGAAGAUGCUUUGAAAGGACAAAUUCUCAUGGACGACCAUGACUGUUGGCCUUGCCAUCAGUGGCAAUGGUGAUAAAGCUCUUGAUAUGUUUUCCCAAAUGCUUAGGGCUUCGAUCAAACCGGAUGAGGUAGCUUAUGUUGGUGUUCUGUCUGCCUGUUCUCACAAUGGUAACGAAACUUUUGUGAUAAAUAGUUGCAACUUAAGGUGAGAAUUGGAGGAAAGGAAAUAGACUGAAGUUGUUCAAUCAUCAGUGGUUGCUAUUUGGUUUUAAGUUGUUCAAUUAUCGGUCGUCUCUAUUUGGUUUUCUCCAAUAUCUCAUCUUCAGUUUUGACUCAGAUUCUAUCUUACCACUAUUGUUCUGUUCAUUCUAUUUGUUUCCUACAAAAUAUUUCUCCUGCCUAAAAUUUUUUGAAUCAGUAAGUUUUUAUCUUAUGCAAGAAUUGUGCUGAGAGUAAUUCCAUUUCUCAGUCUCGUUAUGUUUCAAUGAAGACGUAAAACUUGUGUUCUAGUGCACCAAUGUUUAUGCUUCUUACAAUUUGACUUUAAUUUACUUUGUAAAAUUUUUGUCAAAAAGUACUAAAAAGUAGUGCACCAAACACCAACUUUAUUAUAGAGAGGACUUUAGUUAAAUUUUAAGAAAACACUCAAAAGAAAGAGUUAUAAUUUAUUAUAGAAAUAUUUCACAUAAAUAAAAGCCAUCCCAUGCUGCAAAGAUCUUGCUAUAAUCACCAAAAACUAUCGGGAGCUUUUAGGGUUUCCAUAAAAAUGUCAUUUCGUUCCAAAAGUCAAUGGUGGGUAGAAAGUGGUGCAAAUGAGACUCAUUCUUAAUGGUAUAAGUUUUUGCUUAAUUAUGUCUUCCCCAAGAUGAUGAUUUAAUUUCCAUUCUCAAUUAAUUUUCAAGUUUCAACACUUUUCUAUGUAGCAUGACAUUGGAAAGAUCUUGUACAGUUGUACUACUAAAAGCUAGCAUCACACGUUAGUUAUUGUUAAGUUCUGUUUCAACGUGAAAUAAAGGAAGUAGUCCUUCAUUAAAACCAUUAUAGCCAAAUUUCACCUAAUUGGACACUUACAGACUUUCAUUUCAAGUUGGAUUUUGGUCCAACGUUUCAAAGUUUGGCCCAAUUAUUUUUGUCCGGUCAAGUCCUACGCAGCUAAGCCUCUCAAUGAAUGAGGGUGAGAUUGCUAAAAAUUACGACAGGUGAUAUUUUAUUAUUAUUAUUAUUAUUAUUUUUGGGGGAUAAAUCCUCACCAAAGUGAGGAGAUUUUAUCCAAAUCAAAAUAAAAAUAUAACAAGAACUGAAAGUCGGGCAGCCUAAAAGCUAGAUGAACUAAAAGUCAGGCGCCUAAAAACAACCUUAUGCAAAAGAGAAGCAAUAUGAGACCGAUCAAGUAAAAGAAUCCACCGCAACACCUAAAUUGGCCAAAUUAUCUGUUGGUAUUACAAGUUUCUUGUUAUAAAAGUGUAGAAUGAAGUAGGUGACGUAGUUUUAAGUUACAGCUGCAUGCCCAAUCGCAAUAUCAAAUAAUGCUUAAAUAUCAAAUAAUGCUUAAAGUAGUUGCCUAGGCCCGCCACAACUUAUAUUAACUCUUAAAUUUAUAAAUAAUUAAAUUUUUAAAAGUUUGGAUUUAUAUUAAAAAAUCUUCAUAUAAAUAAAUAAUAUAUGCACUUUUACAACAGUCUUUAAAUUUAAAUUUUUCAAAAAAAAUCUUCUGUAUAUCUUUUCUAUUAAAAAAAUUUCCAUAUAAAUAAAUAAUAUACCUAAUUUAAUUGGACCGAGCACAACGCACAUGCAUAGAACACAUUCCGAAAAGCCAUGCUAUUCAGAAAUUGACGAAUGAAAAGUGAGGAGGCAGCAGUCAAUGCUAUUUCGGCUUGGCCCAAAAUUGAUUUAUCAGUUUGACGUGUGCCAGGAAUGAAGAACUGGAAUAUCACCGUCAAGCAGCACCCUGUGGAGCAAUACCAUAGAAUGCACAAUCUGGCUUUGCCAGGUGACACUGGAGGCUUUUUGAAAAGUGCUUCAAAAAGCCUUUUCUGAUCGAGUCUGAGCACUCAAAUUUUGGUCCUCAGAUGGAGCUACAGCUUUCUCUCCAAUAACCAACAAUUUUCUAAACUCAGCUCCUAGUGUGAUGAGAGUUGUUGAUAUUUGUAAAUGGAGAUCCCCGUAUUUGCAAAUGGAGACAUUUACCAAAUCACCAACAUGCUUCAUCCAGUCUACGAAAUUCUGCAGCUGAUUCAAAUCCGGAACCUGAACCAGAGUCGGAGGUAAAUCUUGAGCCAUAUCUAAAGCAGUCUGAAGUUCAAGUACUUGAGCCCUUGACAAUGGUUUUGAAAUUGGAACAUCUUGGAUUACUGCAGACUUGUACCCCUUGGUUUCAAAGGUAAGGAAAGGCAUUGCUUGAGUACAAUUUGGAGGCAGCUUCUUCACCAAUUUUAUUUGGAGGCAAUUGGCAGCGGAUCCAGCUGCACCAAUUUCAGAGCAAAUACUGACACUACUUCAAACAGCACGCUGAAGAAGAGAUAUGUCUAUGGCAAAGACAAUGCAGUCCUCAUUUUGACUUGAGAUGCGGUAAUCAUCAAAGAGAGUUUCCUUGUGAAACUGGGCAACACAUUGAAUCCCUUCACCACUGAGAAGGUUGUGGAGGAAGCAAGCUUUCUCUCUAGUAAGGAAGAGGUGGCAUACCUUCCCCAUUUUGUCUAGGACAGGUAGGAAUCUUUUUUCUAAGAGAUUUACUCCAUUCUCUGUGAGAAAUGCUUUGAACUUCAUCCCUCUGUCUCUAUCCUCACUUAUCAGUAAAAUAGUUGAAAGCACUACAAGGAGAGAAAAGAAGAGUAUUAAGAUAUAUAUAGACAAGAAAAACAUUAGAUGUCGAUCUUACAAGCUAAUACUUCAAACAGUAUCCUAGAAAGCUAAAAACUGCAAAAUGGCUUGAAAUUUGAAAAGAACACAUGCUUUUCCUCCUUAACUUGAGAAAAUGUUUAAUAUAGUGCACCUUACAGAAACAUUUAAGCAAUUAGAACUUUGCACAAAAACAUUCAAGAAGACUAAACAAAUCAGAUGCAGUGUAUUUCUCCAAGCACAAAUGGCAUUGCAUUUUCUCCUCAACUGUAAUAUUUAUUGAUGAAAAUCAGUACAGGUCCCUCAUUUGUUAUGGAAAGCUUUCUUGUAGUCUGACCGGUUAAUUCACGGGUCUAUAAUCAUCUUGCAAAGUUACAGGCAUUUCUUUCGAUUUAAAGUCUUUGCAUCACCACCUCAUCACACACCAAGCCAAUAUUCCGUCUACCUCUACAACAAAAAGUUUUAAGUAAACGAUCCUAAUGCAUGCAGCCAAAUAAAAUGCAGUAAGAAUAUUCAACUUAAAACUCUGAAAGCCAUCUUGGUGAAUUGCCUCCUUAGGGGAAGUUCCAUGCUUUACUAUACUUGACAGGACUGAGCAAAAGCUUCCAUACGACAGAUUUUGACAAUAAUGAUGCCAACAGAUCCUCAUUAAAUCCAUUAAAACUCCAAAGGUUCAUUGUUCAUGGAUGUUUACAGAGUUUUGGUCAUCAAAUAGCUCAGACCACAAUCCCAAACAAAAAAGGAGUGAAAAUUAGAUCACCAGCAGCUAAUUGUAAAUUCUAACUUAACUCUUCAUCUCCUUUGUAAACAGGAGACAAAAUGGAGACACGCAAAAUGAAUAAGGAGAACAUUUGAACUCAAAUGAAAUGAGGGCACGAAAUCAAACAAAUGGCAUGCGCAAACAAACCAAGCCUCAAUCAAAAACUAAAUAACCAUUAAGAAAAAAAAACUGGUCAGAGAAUGAACUCCAAAUUCGGGAGUGAAGCAAGAAGCUUUCAUUAUUUCAGAAGCUCCUGUACAAAUUAAUAAGUUAUGCUCUUUGGAAACAAACCUAAAUUCCAAGAGAAACAGAACUCAAAAAAUUUGCAAUUAUACGCAAAGGAAGCGAAGCACAGCAUUCUAUCACACGUACAAAUUGUAUAACAAGAGAUCGACACAUCGAAUCAGAAGAAUUCAAUUCAAAUUUGUCUCAAAAAUCAAAAUUAGAAGAUUUCACAUUUCGAGAGGAACAAGCGACAGGUCAGAUGCACAAUUUUCAACCACAACAUGCCACAAUUAACGGUUUAUUUCCAUGGAUUUAGAGAGCUGACUGACCUUUUGGCUUUUGGAAUUGAGAAGAACGCGCGCCAAAAUGGAAGAGGGAAAGCGAAAGUGCGGGUUUCAAUAGGGUAUUGGAUUAGCAAAUUUUAUUAGUUUGCGAGGGUAAAAUAGGAAAGAGAUAUCACUAUUAACUUUUUUUUUUAUAAGAAAAAAGAAUAAUAAAGAAUAUUUUAUUGUCAUUUGCAGCAUUUAAUUUUUUUUAAAUGCUAUUAGAAAAAAACGACAAUAAAGAAAUGCUCUUUUUUUAUUUUUUUCUCGAAGGUAAAAUCAAUUAUUUAGCGUCUUAUAUGUAAUCUAACUCCAUUUCUUACUUUAAGUCAUAUCCAACUGACCAAUAAAGUAAUUGUUUUUUUUUUCAUUCAUUUUUACAGAAAAUUAAUAUUGAAAGCUAUUGUAAAAAUUUUUAUUAUCAACCUCAUAGUUUAAUUUUUUUGGGGAAGAAUUGAAUUUUUUUUUUUAAUUUCCAAGAAUUUCAUUCUCUAGUUUUUCCAUUAAUAUUACUUAUCUUGAUACCCAUCUUAAUUAAAAUCUGUAGUUUUAUUCAGGAGUCAUGCUAUUCAUUCACUCACAGACCAAAGGCUUUCCGCAGCAAUAUUAUUAUUUAAAUUACAACAAAGGGGAAAUCAAAUACGUCAUACAGAAGCUUAAAGCUGAAUCUACAAAAUCUAGAGCUCUCAACUACAAAAAUUACACUUGAUGAUCCUCUACAAGAUGAAACUUGUUCAAUAUCUCAUCCAAAGCUUGUAAAGUAACCUUGUAACGAUCUUGAGAUUGCCUGCCUUCCUCGACGACCUGCACGAUGCGUUUGUACAAAUCAUCAUACCUGUGCACCGGAUUUUUAAUAUCAACGCCACUGCAGCUGUGAUCAAGAACAUAAGAGCGUUUAACAUCUUUUCUCCAUCGAGAAAGAAUGUAGUGAGGUGGGAUCUCCUGCAUGCCACUCUGGUUUAGAACACAAAGAAUGUGUCUGCAUAAAUAUCCUCUGAAAUUGAACAACCCACAAACACAAAGCACCUCCUGCAUAAAUAUCUUUCUCGUUGCUACCAAUCUCAAAUUCUUCCUUCACUAUCUAUGUUAUAGGUCCAUCAGCACUGACAUGUUUUGUGCUAUAGCAAGAGUACAUAGCCUCCACCUCCGUCUGAAACUUCCUUAACAUUUCAUUUGUGUACAGUUUUGAGAGUUGAAAUUCAUAGUAACAUCUUGGUUUCUGGAUACAACUUGAAUUUCUUGAAUCCAUAUCUGCCAAGGCUUCCAGUUGAUAAUUCGCCUGCAGUGCUUGAUCAUACUUGUCUAAGAAUUCUUUCAAAGGAGUACUCUUAUCAAGAUAUCCUUCAAAGUAUGAAGUAGAAACCUCAUUCUGCAGGAAUGAAAACACUCCUGAUAAAAAUGCUUCCUUCAAAUAAACAGGAGCCCACCUUUUACGAUCUUCAUAUAAAGUUUGAAUCCAUCCAUGAUCCUUUAUUCCAUGACGUUGAAUCGUGUCCUCCCAAGCUGUCUCAAAUUCCUCAGGCCUAAGAGAGUGAUAAAUUGCUCUAUGCAAUGCAGCUCUAACAGCUUCAUAUUCAAACAAUCCUUGGAGUUUCUCUGAAAUUUUUUGCAUGACGCAUGACAAUGAAAAGCAAUGAUAAGCUCUUGGGAAAGCAUUGCUGACGGCAGUUUUCAAGAUUCUACAUUGGUCAGUGAUGAUUGUUUGUGGACAGCGUCCUAACAUACAUGUAAGCCACGCCCUAAACAACCAUGUAUAUGAUUCUAUAGUCUCACUGGCGAGUAAACCACAGCCCAACAGCACUGAUUGUCCAUGAUGAUUCACCCCAAUGAACGAAACCAGUGGUACAUCAUAUCUUUCUGUCAAGCAUGUAGUAUCAAUUAAGACUACAUCACCAAAGUACCUAUAUGCAACUCUUGACCUGGUAUCAGUCCAGAAGAGGUUUCUCAGGCAUCCCUUUUCAUUUAGAUCCACCACAUUAAAAAAGUUUGGAUCUGUCAACUGCAAACGACAAAAGAAACUCUGGACAGCUUGUGCAUCUCCUGGUUUAAGCUUCAAUUGAUUUGAGCUAUUAACAUCAUUUCCAAAUACUCCAUUAACAUCUAUAUUACCAUUUCCCUCGGUAUCAAGGAUAAGAGUUCGAAACAGUCUAAUUUUUUGAACUUCUUCAGCACCAUCUAAGAGCAAUGUUCUUUUGGUUCCAAUACCCAUGUGCUUAUGAGACUUGUAAAACUUUCCGCUUCUUGGGCUUAACAAACGGUUAUGCUCAAGCUUGACUUCAAUGAUUCUCCACCUUUUGGUUUCCAUCAACCUAAACUUUAUCAUUGCUGGACAGCCAGUUCUUGUUUCUGGUCUUGGGCGGUUUGCCUCGCUUUUCUUCUUUAAGCCUGCACUACUACAGCUCAGCUUUCCUCUAUACUUUUCUCUACUCUUUCGGUACCAUGUAUUGCUAACUCUAACACCAAAACCCUGUUCCUUGGCAUAGCAAUUAUAAAAGUAAUAUACGUCAUCAUACGUCUCAAACUCCAUCCCAACAGCAGGAGGCAAUGGAUUUUGGAUUAUCCCAGUUUGUCCAACAUAUUCAGUCAUCGCACAAUCUCCUAUUCAAAAUCAUCAGCGUCAUCAUCACCUACGGGUUCAGUAUUCAGAGAAACUUCAUCCAUCUACAAUAGAUGUUUAAUGAAGUGAGCUUUAAGGAGAAAAGGCAAAAUCAGUUCAAGGAAUGAUAAUAAAACCGUACAGUUACUUUCACAAAGCUUCGUAUUUCAUCACUACUUUAACAACAUGCAACUGCCUGAGAACAUACAGACAUGUCAUAGAUGCUUGAAUUAAGUAUUGAUACAAAUUAGCACACAUCAUGUGGGACACAAUUUCAGUCACUAAACCCAAUACCUUUUUUUUACAUCAUACCAAGAAACAGAUUAAACCCAAUACCUUCUUUUACGCCAUACCAAAGAACAGAUUAAAUCAUCAAUGAAAAAUUAAUCACAUAAUAAUUUAACUAGACAAUUGAAGAGCUCAAAACAGCACAAUACUUGAAUCUGAUUAUGAUAAUUGUUGAGUCCUUGUAUCGACAGCUUUCCUUCAAUGAGAAGAUUAUGAACAUAAACUACACACAAAAAAAAAAAUUAUUUAAACUGACAGCCCAUGAUAUAAAUCAAACAAAAUUAACUCCUUUUACAAAUCACAUCUUGUAUUCAUUUACAUCGAAACAUAAAAAGGAAGCAGGAGCCAAAAAAAACAACAGCACAGAAACUUCUUUCCAUAAGGUUUACGAAAUAAGGAAUUUAUUAAGACACAAAAUUUGAGGUCACCUAUAAUAAUUUGGUUCUCAUUCUCUUUUUCUUCAUUUUUCACUUAUUGAUGGAGUUAGCAUACAAUCCUAAAUGAUAAAACCCCAUCUCCAUUUUUGAACUAGAGCUAAAGCAAAGCAUUUUAGGAUUCAUCAUUUUUUUUUCUAAAAGACUCAAUAGUACAAUGUUUUUCAAUAUUAAAUACACAACUCAAUCUUCUCCUAAUUUACUCUAAUAAUCUCUUAACUUAGGAAGAUUAAGCUCCACUUGUAAGCUAAAACAAUUUUCUUAAAUCAAGCCCCAAUGCUCUAUACUAUUCAACAAGGCCUCAUAAAUGAUAAAACUACCUCUACAAAGAUACCCAUUUUAGUUUCGCAAACUAAAAUCAAACUCCUGAAACGUAACGAGCAUUAAAACAAACAAGUCCGAACAAGAACUGAAAAAUCAUACAUAAACUCGUUUACACGCUUCGAAAAACACUUUGAAAUUCAAACGAAACAUACCUUAGGUUGAUAAAUUAGUAGCGCAAAAGAAAUUUUAGUGAGAUAUGGGAUCAGGGUUUUUGCCACGGUGAUGUUAAUUGCGACAUUGGGGUGACUCAGCAGCCUUCGAGGCUGAAACUUUGAUUGACCAAAAGCUUCCCGUUCGUUGAUUAUCUAAUUGCAGAAACGAAACUCGCAGUGUACAGAAGAAGUACGCUGAUUUGAUAAUUCUGUGAAAAUCAUUGUUUUUUUGAGAUUUUUAAUGUGUUCGGUAAAUAUCAAAAUCUCAAAAACUUGUCUUUCAUUUUGGGGGGAAAAACCCAUUGAGAUCCUUAUGUUUUUUCUUAUAUAAUCUGGCUUAAUAAUUUGCAAAGUCUAUUACUUUGCACCCAUGCAUGCUGCGUUUCAAUUUUACAAAAUUGUACGUGAGUGCAUCCAGCUAAAAUUUGUAAAAAGAAAAUAACAAUAACAUGUUAAAAAUGUGAUGAUUAUGAAGAAAUUUUAAUUUAGUUAAAUAGGUGACGAUGGAUAGGUAUAAAAUCUGAGAUCUUUUAUGAGAUUAAUAAGUAUGUUGAGUUUGGAUUAGUUCAAUUUUGACAUAAUACAGAAUAAACACAAUCUGCUAAUCUAAGUUAUCAUCUUUUCUCGUCAUCAGGUACCUGUUUGAAAAAUAAUUAUAUACAAUUUUAUUUGCGUUGUCUCUCCAAAAAUUUUGGACUCGAAUGUUAUUUUUAAUUGCUAAAAGUACGAAAAUGCCCCCUUUCUCUUCAGCUAAAGGAGUGCAAAGUCAUCUGUAUAAUUGAAUCUGCAUCAUCAGUUUCUAUUGCUGGCUGGUGUUACUGCAUGCUUACAGUUGCUUGACAAAGUGAGCCAGUUUUUUGUUUAUUAAUUUUUUUUCUUGUCGAGACAGUCACAAAGUAUUACUUGUUCCAUAUGAGAAUGAUGUGAAUCAAUUUUUCAAUUAUGCAUUCUGUGGUAAUUAUUGUGAAUUUAGUUUCAUUUGUCUUGUCUCCUGCAAAUUUUGAAGAAAAUGCAGACAUACAAACUUACAAUAUGGAAGAGUUCACUGGAAAAAACUUUGUGAAAGCUUCCAAGUGAAACAGGGAAUGGGCUUACUAGUAAAGGACAAAUUGGUGGCCAGCUAAUGCAUUCAUUCUAUGUCCAUUCAUCUUUUCGAAUUAUUGAAGACAAGUGGCUCACCACUUUUAGUAUUGGUAAAAUUCAGAUAAUCUCUAUUCCGAAAUAAUAAUAUUCAAAAUAUCUCUUAAAUCAUUAUAAACCUGAAAUCUAUUUUAAUUUUAUUUAAAAGAUAAAAGAAAAAUAGGUUAUGUUGGUGAUUUUUUAUUAUCUUUUUAAUAAAAAUGAAAUAAAUUGAUGUUUAUAAUUAUUUAAAGUAUUUUAAAGAUUGCUAUUUUAUGAGAGAAUAAUAUUUCACUUUUUUAGUGUGAAAGAUUGAAAAAGGACAAACCAAGUUUCCCUAAUUUUUAUUUUAUUUGAAAUUGGUCAUCUCACAUACUUCACCCUUCAACAUUAUAAUUUUUUUGGUUAUAAUUUUAUUAUUUUUUCUCUUUUACACAUGCAUGUGAAUUACUUUUCUUUAAGCUCCUGAAUAUUUAAGACAAAUCAUGGAAGAGAUGAGAGUAUAACAAGAUGAUCAAAAUAUGUAACAAAAAAAUUUUAGAAGUGAAAAAUAUGUUAGAGUCGAAGUAAAACUCUGAGGUGAUGUUUGAUUUGAAGAAAAUGGAGGAGAGGAAAAGAGUGGAAUGGAGAGGAAAAUAGAGAAAAGGAGAGGAGAGGAGAGUGAAAUUUUUUUCUAAUGUUUGGUUUGUCACAUAAUUAUACAAAGAAAAGAAAUCUCUAAUUUUUUAUUUAGACAAUUUUAACCUUAAUAAGUAUUAAGCUUUCAAUAUUUAUCAUGUGUAUAAUUUAAAAAAAGUAAAUGGUAGAAAGCGGUUUCUGAUUCCGGCCACAUCGCCGGCAAUGGAAGGUACUUAUCAGAACAUCAAGAGCCGACCAUCAUUCCCUAGCCAUCACUGCUGUCAGAACACUGCCAGAAAGCUGCCGAUUGAACCGCAAAAAGUCGUGGAAAUCGCUGCCUCAAAUCGGUGAGUUUCGCCUUUUUCUGGUCACGCCGUCACCUUGGCUUUGUCCAUCAAGGCUGCCACUUCCAUUUUCAACCAUCCAUAGCCACUAUUAACGGCCAAAUCGCCGCCGAUCAGCGGGAUAUGUGGAAGUUAAAAAGUUUCUAAAUUUUUUUGACUGGAUUUGAACAACAUACGACCAUUUUUUGAUCUCGAUAACGACGUAGUAAUGUUGAUCAUUGAUCGGCAAGUCGAAUGGUAGUGGCGGUGAGUAACAUGCGCCAAUGACAUCGGCGGCGGCACUAUCCGGCGACUGUUAAAAUUAAUAUUUUAUAUUUUUAGAUUAAAUAAAUUUAUUUUAUUAAACUUUUUAAAUCAUUAUUUAAAUUUAAUUAAUUUAAAAUUAUCUAUAAUGUUGAAUUGAUAAAAUAAAUUUAUAAAUAAUAAUUAUGUGAUUACAUUAAAUAAGUUAAAAAGUUGAAAGGUUAUUUUUGGAAGAUUUAGUUUCCAACACAAAGGGAAUUUGAAUUCUUCACUUCUUAGUGUGGAAUUCAAAUUCUAUAUUGUAAUGGAUAUUAAAUUCCAAUAGAAAUUAAAUUCUUAUAAAUUAUGUCAAACCAAACAACGGAAAUAAAAAAGGAAUUUAAAUUACUUUCCUUUCCUCCAUUGUCUCCUUCCAACCAAAUACAUCCUGAAAAUAGAGAUAUUGAUUAAUUUAGAAGAGAUGCAAGCAAAAGAUAUUCCAAAAAAAAAAAAAGCAAUAUGUCCCUUUGGAGGGCAAACUUGUCAGUUUUAAAAAAGUACAUGCUUUGGAUUGAUAGUUGUAGGAUAUUUGUUUUGUCACUAUGUAUUAGUUGGAGAAGUCAAGCCUUGUGAAGAAUGUUAUGAAAGAGCAAAAGAUAUUCCUGAUAGCUGAUAGAGCUAUAUUUGAUUAUGUAUCCAACGAAUGGAUGUGUUGUUGGAAGAUAUCUGAGUGCAUUAGUUCAUAUGUGUAUGUCAAUGUGCUUUUAAUGAUUUUUCCACUUGUUUGUUGUAAAAGAUUAUUGUAAAUUGAAAUGAACUUGAUGUUGUAAUAUUUUUUCCUUAGUGGAAUUUCACCUAGUAUGUAUUCAGUUGUGUUCUCUAUAAUUUUGCAUUCGAAUAGUUUCACCUAAAUAUAUUAGCAUGAGUAGUGGCCCUUGAAACUUUGGUCAAAAUUAUUGUUAUUAUUUCCGACUAGAUGUAAAUUUUUUAUUAAAUCUCGUUAACACAAUUCUUAAUUAAAAGUAUAGGUUAGUGUUGGUGCAAGAUUUGCCACACCAAAUUCUGCCUAGCUGUCAAAAGUGCAAAAUAAAUGAAGAGAAAGCACAAAUACACGACUUGAAUAAGGAUACAACGAAACUUAAAUUCAAGAGAAAAUGAUAGCUAUAUCUCAAGAUUUGAAAAAAUGAUCAUGUAGAUUUUUAAGAUUUCAAUAAGCGACUGAGAUUCAAAUAAUAUCCUUUAAUUCUAUUAACAAAAAACAAAGACUCAAAUAUUUUAUGAUAAAUAAAAAUAUAAUAUUAAAAUAUAUGUGAUAAUAUACACAUUUUAAAUACUUUCAAUCCAAAAAAAUAGUUAUGUUUUACAAUCUAUUAGACAUAUUUUAUUAAAUUAAUAUAAAUUUUCUAUAAAAUAAGAAUAUAAUAUUAAAAUAAAUUCACUAAACUUUAAAGAAUUUUGAAUGUAAAAUAAUUUUAAUAUAUUAAUACGUGAGUUUUUUUAUUAAUAUAAAAAUUAUUUAACUUUAAGAUUUUUUAAAAUCUUUACAAUAAGUAUAACUAUAUUAUUUACAUUUAAAAAUAUUUAAAUAUUAUUAACCUACAAUUAUAUUUGCAUUUGUUAGAAAUUUUUUAAGUAAAAUAUUUUGCACUUCUAUAUUAUUAGAAUUAUUGCACACAAAGAAAGAAACAUAUACCUUUAGAAAUUGUUUUCUUUUAAAAUAGAGAUGAUGAUUAGUAUAAGGAUGAAAAAAAGGAUAUUAACGAAAUCUCUAUACAAAUUGAUUUUAGUAGGAAAAGAGUGAGAUGAAUGAUUCUUUUACAAUUAGAAACAUAGAUGAUGAUUAUUAUAACGAAGAAAAAAAGAUAAAGAAUAUUAAUUAUUAAUGGAAUCUCUAUGCAAAUUGAUUUUAGUAGGAAAAAAAUGAGUUAAAUGAUUUAGAGUGCGUUUGGAAUUGAGAUUGGGCAGCCAUAGAUUUUAAGUUACAACACUGAAGUGUUUGGUAAAUACUAGCUGCUGCAGAUUGAAAGUUAUGUUGAUAUGAUUUUUCACAUGUAUCAUAGAAAAUAUAUUACAUCUUUAAUAAUUUUUUUAAAAUUUAUAUUUGCUAUAUAUUAUUAUUAUUUUUUUUAUAGUUAUAACUUUUUUUCCACAGCAGCUGUAGCUUAAAAGCCACAGCACCUCAAUUUCAAACAAGUCCUUAGACAUUCAUAGUGUGUUUAUUUUUUGGAUUGGUGAAUAAAAAUUAUUGACAACGCUAACUUCAUCUUCACCGUUCGCAAUCCAACAGCAGCAAUUGUCACCAAUAAUGAUAUCUCCAAUGAUGAUGACAAUUAUUAUUAUUAUUAUUAUUAUUAUUAUUAUUAUUAUUAUUAUUAUUAUUAUUAUUAUUAUUAAUAAUUAAUUAAUUAAUUAAUAUAUUAAUGUUAAGAUUAUUAUUGUUAAGAUUAACAAUAAUUAUUAGUAAUACAAUUUUUUGAAUAAAAAUAAUCACAAUAAUUAAAAUACAAAUUAAUAAUUAUGACAAUAGUUAAUUAAUGUCUUUUUAGUGAAUCAAAAUUAUUGACAACGCUAACUUCAUCUUCACCGUUCGCAAUCCAACAGCAGCAAUUGUCACCAAUAAUGAUAUCUCCAAUGAUGAUGACAAUUAUUAUUAUUAUUAUUAAUUAAUUAAUUAAUUAAUGUUAAGAUUAUUAUUGUUAAGAUUAACAAUAAUUAUUAGUAAUACAAUUUUUUGAAUAAAAAUAAUCACAAUAAUUAAAAUAAAAAUUAAUAAUUAUGACAAUAGUUAAUUAAUGUCUUUUUAGUCAUUUAUAGUAAACAAAUUAUUAUGAUUCCUAUUCUCCUUUCCCAUUUUAGCUCACUUUGAUUUCAGUCUAUUCCGAUUUCUAUCUAAUAAAUGCACCAUUAGUGCUAAAGUAAUAUUUCAUACAUAGAAAAGUAAAAACUACACCUAAGGUUAAGGGAAAGGACUUCAAAACUCUCUUUUGAUUAUAAUACUAGGAAAUAAAACCGCGCUUCGCGCGGCUUUAGAAAAUAAAUUUAGUAUUAUCAAUUUUCUUUCUUUACACUCGACAAAACUGAUAAAAAAUAUAAAUUAAUUUUUUUUAAAUGAGCCAGCGUUAUAAAACUAAUAUUAUUUAUGAAAGUUAACUAUUUUUUUGUUAACUUUAAAAAUAUAUAUUAACGUGUAUAGUUUAAGUGUACAGACUUUAUACCUUUUGUAGUUGAUAAGUUCCAAAUUAAAUUUUGUAAUUGAGGAUCCUUAGCAUUGAAGUAUAAAAGAAAUAAGUAAAAUACAUGUAAAGACUUUUGUAAUUUAUUUCGCAUCGUUUGUAGCUGCGUAGGUGAGCAGUUGUUUAUAUCAAGCUUGCAGCUAUGGCAAGUUCCAAUGGGGAUCAGCAACACCUAGUGCCAAAAUGUUCUUUAUCUGUAUAUAAACCAUGUCUCCAUGGAUUAGAGAGAAUGAAAGGAGAAACAGUUGAUGUAAAAAAGAAUGCUUCUUCACGUACUAUGUUCUUUGGCGAUUAAAUCCUCCAUAACAGCUUGGAAAACUCAGCCAAAUUACCAUUUUGUUGUCUCGAUAGUUCCUUUGAUUUAUCCAUUUGUCUACUGAAUAAUUAAAACACAUAAUAAAAAUCAUUAUUAUAGGGUGAAGUAAGAGCUUGCAAUGUAUAAAUUAAAUUUUAAAAUAUAAUCUAAAAAUGUGAUACCUUGAUUUUGUGAGCUAAUGUGUGAAUAUUUUGAAAUACUUCUUUGUAGACAAUGUUUUUUAUGAAGGUUCGGUCUUCUACCUCUUGAUCGGCAUUUAGUAUGGUCAAUCCUUCUCUUGAGGUAACUCGAGACACGGCGACAUAUAAUUGACCAUGUGUGAAUACUUGCUUAGGGAGAUACAAGCCAACAUGUUUAAGAGAUUGUCCUUGGCUUUUGUUGAUCGUCAUGGCAAAACAUGGUGCUAAAGGAAGUUGUCGUCUGUUAAGCUUGAAUGGCCAUCUUGAUUCAUUAGGAGACAUAAUAAUUCUUGGAAUUGUGACAUUUUGUCCAAUAUUUGUUCCAGAAAUGAUGUCACCUCUAAUGGACCAUUUACCAAGAUGAGUGACAAUUAAUCUUGUGCCGUUGCAUAGGCCUUCUAUUUGAUUUAGAUUUCUGAGAAGCAUUACGGGAGCACCUUCCUUAAGUCGUAUGUCAUGAUUAGGGAUGCCAUUGAAUUUCAAACUAUUCAAAAAUUCAGUUGGAUAUAGAACAUCUUCAUCAUUUGUGUUUGCGCUUGCUUUGCAUAUACUGUCUGAGCUAAAAUAGGUUCUCCCUUGACCAGGUAUUAUAUUCAUAAUCAUCUCGUUCAAUUCAUGCACCAUUUCAUUUUUUGGGGUUAAUAUUGCUCUUUCUUUCAAAUAUGUUGGAUCACUGUAGUUAUGCUGAAUUGAUGGGUAGAUAGUGUCGACUAUUGAUUUUAUCAGAUUUUCUGAUGGUUUCUUACAGAUAUCAGAAGGUAGUUUAACUAAAUCUCUAUCAAUGUCAUCAUAUAAUGAACCAUCUCCAAUCUGCAAUAACCAUUUGUCAAAAGAAGCUAUUUUAGCAGCCUAAGAGCCACUCACACUUCCAUUAUAGAGCCUCAUAUUUUUUUUGAGGUCAUAAAUUUUGAAAAAUGGCCACAAGUAGGAUGAGUUAAGUGAAGCAUCAACAAUGUCUGCUCUUGUCCUCUUUGGCACAACUGGCAAUAUUUGUCGGAAAUCGCCACCACAUACUAUUGUAAGUCCUCCAAAAGGUUUGAUAGAACUAUUUUCAUACAUUGUUCUUAGAAUAUCUCUCAAGGUCCUAUCCAAAGCUUCAAAGCAGAACUUAUGUGUCAUAGGCGCUUCAUCCCAAAUGAUCAAAGAAGUUUUCAUAAGAAGUCCAGCUAAUAAGGUGCCUUGUCGGAUUUCACAAGUGGACUCUGCUGUCACAUCCAAAGGAAUAUGAAAUCGCGAAUGAGCUGUCCUACCAUUAGGCAAUAACAAAGCUGCUAUACCUGAAGUUGCAACAGGCAAGACUAUUUUAGAAUGUGAUCUGAGCUUUGCAAUAAUUGUAUUCCACAAAAAUGUUUUACCAGUACCACUGUGUCCAUUGAUAAAAAAUAAACGCCCUUCUUCAUUGUCAACAGAAUGCAUUAUUGCUUCAUAGGCUGAUUUUUGGCAAGCAUUUAGAGCAGCAAACGAUUUCUCAUGCAACUUCUUUAAUUGAUCACGAUCAUAAUCAAGCUCUUCAUUGACCAAUCGGUUACCUGAAUCUCUUAUCAAAGAAGAAUUAGGAAGUGGCAUUCCAUCUAUGUCUCUCAAACUUUUUCCCAUUUUCAACAUGAUAGUUUAAAUCUCCAACAAUGUGUAUGCUUCAACUUGUUGCUCGGUUAACUGAAGAUCUUUCAAUCUGAAUUUUUUCCUUUGCAAUGAAGUUAUGUCUUCUGAUAAAGUAGUAUAAUUAGAUUUCCAAAGUUGGGGUGCAUCAGAAACCUGACAAUGAAUGAGUAUCGUGACAAAAAGAUGUCUUAAUUCAUUUCCAGUCGCCCAUAUUGCAGCUUCAGUCAAGCAGUCGAUCCAUUCUUUAUCAUCGUCUAAUAAUCCCAAAGCAUAGCACGCAGCUUUAAAAGUUGGAUAUGUCACUCCAUUUACUGUUCUAAUACUUUCAAAUGAAGUGCUUCCUUUUACAAAAUUGAGCAACAUUCUCAUAUAAAAUCGUUCUCCACUUGAAGGAUGUGCAAAGUAAAUUCUUCCGAUUGCUAAGCCAUUUUUUCUCCUAGUCCAAGUUUUGUCUUUUGAAUUCCAUACCCAACAUGUAGGGAAAUCAGAAUAAGUUAACUCUCGUGCAUCAUCAUAAUUCUUGUUUGCCUCCAACCAUUCUGUGAACUUUGUUUUUUCUAUUCCAGGUAUGGUAAGCACAUUUUCUAAGCACUUAGAUUCUUCGAAUAUUACUGUAUGCUCUCCCGGUAAAUGGAACGGCAAUCUUUCAACUGCUGGCUUUCUGUAAUGUAUGUCAAAUUGGAAGAUUCGCCAGCAAGCUUCGGUUGCUGAUAUAUAUCUGCAGUCCAAAUAUGUUUUGAUCUCGUCCAUUUCUUGGGUAGUGUCAAUAGAUUCCAUUGUUGCAGUUGUUCUAUCAGACCCUUUAUGGACAUACUUGAAAAGAUAUUUAACUGAUCUCGAGUAAUUACAAAUCUCAACAUUAAUAUGUGCAUCAAAUUUGACAAUUAAAUUCCUGUGAUAAGGGACCACAUAUCGAUUAUCCAAGAAGACACCUUUCUUUUCGACAUGAAUACCUGUAUUUCUCCUUUUAUAGAUUGGAAAACCAUUUGUAUCCACUGUUGUCUGAUCAUUAAAUUUUUUUGGAAAAUGUUUUGUGCACUUGUCUUGCAUCAUGCAUGGAGAGUGAGAAUUGUGUUUUCCACACGGUCCAUGAAUCAUAAAUUUGUUAACUGCAUUAUAACCAUCAGGAUCAACAUUUAAGUCAGGGAUUUCUGCACUUAUUAUUUUAUCAAUAUGGUCUGCAGAAGGAUUUUUCAUUGUUGGAUGCAAAAAAAGCAGUAUGUGUGCAUAGGGCAAGCCUCUUUUUUUAAACUCAAUUGUAUAUAGACCUGCCACAAAAUAGAGUAAAAUUUAAAAGUUAGAAAUAUUGAUUUUAAUUGUGAAAUUAUUGUUUUUCCCUACACUUUUCAAUAACAAAUGAGUUGAAUUUGUUAUGGAUACGAAUUUGAAGUGAACUUACAUGCAAUUAUUUUUCCAAACGGUUGAUCUUUUUUCAAAUCUUGCAUUAGUUGGAAUAAUUUUAUCUCGAAAACUCUGCAUAUGAUAUCGACUCGAUUGUCAUCAUUAUUUUGUCCAACUAAUCGGAGCAUGUUAUUUAUUUCUUGCCACUUUGGGUUGCAAGUGAAAGUAAGAAAUAAAUCAGGAUAUCCUGCCCAUUUACAAAUUGCCAUAGCAUCUUGAUAAUUUUGUAUUCUAUAUCGUGGUCCCCCCGUGUGUGAUGAAGGUAGAAUAAUCGAUUUUCCAACUUUCGAACAAUCAGAAUCACCUCGAUGAACAGCAUCCAUCAAACCAGAGAAAAGGUCUGAUCGAAGUUUUUGUUGAUUAUUCCGGAUCCAACGAAAUCUUUCUUCUUCAACUGCCAUGUAACAAUCAACUAUAUAUUGUUGGAAUAGUCUACCAGUUUGAAGUAGAGUGUGUCCCUCAUUCAAUCUUUGUUGCAACCUAAAGCAAUAAUAUUGCCUCAUUGUCAGCUUUUGCCUCUUAAAAGGGCUAUCAGUUAUGUCUCUUAAAGAUAUGUCAGGUCUAUAUCCAUCUUCGCCAUAAGGAUAUAUUAACGGGUAUGUCAUGGGCAUGAAGCUUGGAUGCAAAUCUGUGAUUCUCCGAAGUCCCUUUGUGCGAUGCUCUAUAAUAACAUCGCGUUGAAAGUUUGCUUCACUGAAAUCACCAACUAUUAAGCCUGCAACUUCUGAAACUGUUGGUAUAUUGUAUCGACGACCAUCUCUUGUUCUACUAUUAAGGAGUCGUAAACGGAAUGUAGAUUCUGGUUGUGUUUUGUAUCUAUCCCUCGCCAUUCUAAAAGAUUUGACCAAAUUAUUAUGUUGGUCCAACAUUUUAGAUAGUUCAUGAAGAAUUUCGUGAUCAAUUUCUGUCUUCAUUCCAUGUUUUAAUAGAGUGUUGAUUCUAUUGUCUAUCUCAUUUUCAGUAUCAUAGAUAUAGAGCUGAGCAAACUGUGGUUUUUUCCCAACUUCUGGCAACAAAGAACCAAUGUGAUGAUAAUUCUGACCGCUCAUCCUGAAAACAUAAGGACCUUUUGAUCGAUUGAUUGAUGCAUCAACUCGACCUCCCAUAGAUGUGAAAGCAAACAUGGAGUUAUAAGCCCUGAUAUUUUUUCGAAAUUUGGAACCCUUUUGUCCAGACUCUGCCCCGAGAAGAUAUUUGAGUAAAGGAGGUGUUUCUUUCAUGAAUGGAAUCUGCACACGACCUUCCAUACAACAAAAUGUGAAUUUGGGAUGUGAGACCUUUUUGGUUUUCUUGUUCCGUUCCUCGUACCAUAAAAUGGCACCACAAUAUUGACAUGUGUAUGUAGGGGGUCCAAAAUUCCAAGGCGUUGUGUAAUGAACUGUCAAAUUCAACCAAUAAUAAUAUUGUAACAAAGUAUCUUAUUUCGUCUAAGUGAAUAUGGUAAGAAAAAAUAUUACUAAAUAUAUUAAUAUUUUCAUUGUACAUGUAGUUUCAUGCAAAUAUGUACCAUUAUUUGAUGUUACACCAUCCAAUGGAAAGCUUGUGGACUGAUCUAUAUUCUCAUCAAAAGAGAGACACGCUCUUUUUAGUUGUCCAUGUUCAACUGUAUAUUUUUAAAGUUCCAAAAGCAAUGAAUAAGUUAUUAGUUUCAAGUAUUACAAGCAUGAUGAAUAACUAAUAAAGCUCGAUAAAUUUAAAUAUAUAUACGUACAUGUGUGAAGAAGGCGCUUUCCUCUGUUUGUUUGACUCUUUGGAUUUAUAUGUAAUGAUGUUUUAUUAUUAUCAUAUCCAGCUUUACCAGGAGAUUGAAGGAAAUUCCCAAUUGAAAUAUGUUAGAAAUAUAUAUAUUUGUUAAUAUAUAUUAACAUAAAUAAUUUAAAUUAUAUAGGGAUAAUUUUUGUAAUUUGUAUAGUAGGAAUAAAAAUCAUAUUUUCAAGAAUCACAUACCGUUUGAGUGAAGCAAUUUAUUGUCACUUCUAAUGACUUCCAACUUCAUAAAUUUUGUGUAAAAAUUCACAAUUUGUAGCAUCAAAAUGAUUCUCUUUUUUAAAUCAUGUUUGUAUCUAUUAUGAAUAAUCAUAAUUUUCCGCUUAAAUCUUGCAUGCUUGAAUAUGGCCUUCUGCACGACAACAUAUCCAUUGUUUAUUGUGUCACACUGGAAAUUUGAUGCAUAUUUCCUAAGUUUUAAUUUCAUAAUCCUUUCGUGCCGAGCUAAAGAUGAAAGUUGAUGCCGCAAGAGACAAACUUCUGGCGGAAUAUUCCUUGAGUCACCGAAAUCAUUAAUAGUUGCAGAAAUCAAUUCCAUUUACUCUGGUGAACAAUAAAGUGAAUUCAAUAUCACAAAAUAUUCUAAAAUUAACAAAACGUUUUAUUACAAAUCAUAACAAGAGAAACCGAAAAUAUAAAAUGUUUUUUUUCAAAAGAGAGAAUUUUUUUUUCAAUUAUUGAAAUAAGAAUUGCAAUGAAUUUUUCGAACGAAUAUAUACCAUAUGUUAGAAAGAACAAAAAAAAAAUCACUAAAAACAAAACAAAAUAAAAUGGGAUUUAAUUUAACCAAUUCAAUUUAAUUUUAAACUCAUGCCAGUGUCACACUGGCAUUAAUUUUUGUUGUGCUUAUAGCCACGAACAGAGGCUUUUAGAUUACUUCUUUAUUAGGUUAUUAUUCUUCGAAUUUGGUGGGUAAAUUGUGAGCUUUUUCUGUUGUGAUAUUAUCAAAUCAAUCCAUGCAAAAUAAUCAUUAAUGUAAUGUUUUUGUUAUUUUCAAACUGAUAAAUAAUUAUGAAUUGUUUCCAUAAUUGUGUAUUUAGAAACAACGUUAACACAUUUUUUCGGAACAAACUUCUAAGUUUGAUUGAUUUUACGUCUAAUUACGAUACCCUAAAUUAAUAUAGAAAGUCAACAAAAAUCCACUUUAACAGUUCUAAUGUAAAUUUAAAGGCAAUUAAUUUUGAGUAAAUAUGAACUAAAACAAAACUUGAACAAAAUCUGAAUUUAUAUAUAAUAUUAAGGUAGCCACAUUGCAUUUGAAAAUGUCAAUUAGUGGGAUCUAAAUAAAUAAUCACCUUGGAAUUUUUUAAUGGUUGUAGGAGUUAAUAUUACAUACACGGACUAUCAUCUUUGUUGUACAAAUUUCGAUCAAACAUCUCCCCCAACUUUUUUCAUAAAGUAAUCUUUGAUAUCACCGAGCUAUCCAUAAAAAUUGCCACAAGUGAAUAAUGUAAAGAGAAAAACUCAUUAUAAGGAUAUCAUAUUAUCAUUAAAUUCGAAAGUUUCGAAUUACGUUAUUAUACAAUUGGUUACUUUUUAAUUCUAAAUCACCAAUAUUAUUAUUCCCUAUCUCAAUAUGAAUAUUACCACUUGACUUUUUUAUUUGUGUUUAUGAAGAGGUGGGGUGUGAGGAAAAGGAAAAAAUGUUUUUCUUAAGAAUUAGAACAAAUAAUUAGGCAAUAAUUCAAGGAAUUGAGGUUGUUCAUUCUACAUUCCAUUUGGAUUUACAGUGAUUUUCAUAAAUUUUUUCUUUUAUUAAUUAUGCUAACUGCCAUGUACUGUUGUUUAUUCUACUGCGUUUGGGAGAAGAUGCUUGGGCUGCCUAGAACAUAUUUUCUAAUUAAUUUUUCUUGUGAAUACAUUGAAUAAUCUCUAAGGGCUAUAUCCUUUUUCAUUUUACUUUAACGGUUUUUCUUCAACAAAUAUUGGAUGUAUUUAGUGAAAAAGAAAAUUAAAAAUUAGGAAAGAAUUAAUAAAAUUAGUGAAGUCAAAUUGUCAAUCAAUUCUUAUGAUAAAACAAUAAUUAAAAAAUAUAGUCAUAGUUUUCUUGAUUAUAUUCGACUUAUUAAUCUGUUAAAACUUUUUAUAUCUUUUUUUCCAACUUCCCCAUUUGGUGAACUAUAAAAAUGAUAUGUUUUUUUUCCACUCUUUGUCUCUAUCUUUUUUCACUCACAAAGAGUUAAUAGUUAUUAAUCAAUUAAUUUUUUUUGUUUGCAUAAGAAUUAAUAAUGUUGCACACAUGUAUUGUGAAAUAAUUGUUUGUUCAUAAUUAUUUUUUGCAUUUUUUUAGAAGUCAAUAGUCAAAUUAAUGAUAUUGAAUUAAGACAUUUCGAAGUUUGCUAUUUUGUACUUCUAAUAGAAAUGCUUGCAAAUGGGAGGCAUUAAUUUUUCUGUUUACUUUAUCGAAUUUCAUAAAAUUCAAUUCAAACAAAAAAUUGAAGGUUAGAAAAGCAGUUGGAUAGUUUCAUAAAAUUAUUAUUUUAUCAUUUAAAAGAUAUGUACCACAUCAAUUAGGACUAAAUAUUAGAAUCAUUAGCAUUGUUCCAAUCACACAUGCAAAAUCUAUCACUCAAUAGUCAAGUACAUUGUACAAUGCAGUCGAGAACAACUUCAACAUUUAGUUAAACCUUUUCUAUCUGUUUAUUUCCACAAAACACCAAAUAUCCAGAUUGAUACUGGAUCCUCCGAGUCAAAUAUAGCUAGUUCACGUUCAGAAAAGACCCGCCUCUUUUAAUUGUACCUCCUGCAUGCGAAUUAUAUAACAAUUAAAUAAAACUACACCAGAGAUUAAUUAGUCAAUAAAUAUAAACACGAGCUAAAACAUGUGUUUACUAAUAAUUCUUAAACAGGUCUAAGCUUUCAAAGUUUGCAUUGAAAAAUUAAAGUGAAAAUCUUCAAUACCUCCAUGUGUAAAUCGCAUAAAUUAGACAACCAAAGAUUAUUCAAAGAUUUUUCUUUCUUACCUUAUGCUUUUUCGCAAACAAGUAGAUAACAACAAUUGUAAAGACAAGUGAGCAGUAAUCUGUUAAAACAAAGUAAUCCAGUGUUAAUGAAAAUAAGAACAACAUAUUAUAUUUAAAACUAAGUUUUCAUAAUAAUGAAAUCGAGUAAACUUAUUCGAUAAGGAUAAACAAAUAGAACGCAUUGACAAAUUGACAUCAAAUUAAAUUGAUCCAAAGAAAUUGAGAUGCUCAAAUUUGAUUACGUACACAUUAAUUUUCAAAUAAUUAAUCCACACAUUGUUUUAUUCUUCAAACAUCUUUAAACACAGGAGCCAACACUUUCACUCUUAUAUAUUACUGCCAUAGUAACUUGAACUUGGUGAUCAGCUUUUUAAUUGAUUUGCAGUAGCUCACAAUUAAUUAAGCUUGAUCAUCAGUAGCUAUUAUUGAUCAUAAAAAUAUUUGUUUAAUUUACAAUCUAAAGUUACGCUCCAUACUCUAUAUAUGUGAAUUAUAUAUUUGCAUCAUCAACAUUAACAUUAUAAAAUAAUCUGUGCAAUAGGAUGCUCUUGGAGUAUUUUAUUUUCAUCACAAAAUAUAUUAAAAUUAUAUUAGUCAGAGAAUAUAUCUAACACUUUCUAAACACUAAUAUAUAAUAGUUUCUACAAAAUUAUGAAAUAUUUGUACUAAAAUACCAAAAUAUAAAUAUAUAUAACCUAAUUGGAAUCAAUAAUCAAACUUCAAACAUGUCAUACUCUAAAGAAAUUAAAGCAUGAUAGUCUGUGUGUUUGACAUAUUCAACUAAAUGUUUGAUGAGAAUCUGUGAUUGUUAACAGCCAAUAAUGGUUUCUUUAGCAACUCAACUCAACUCAGCAAAACCGCAACCAAUUACAUUUACCAACUCAACUCUUCGCUUCCCCAAUUUCCAACAUUCUCUUCACAUUUACAAAUGGUAGGUGGUCCUAUAAAUCCCAUUCAAGAAUGAACAAUUUUUUUCAGUUCCUAGUAGGUGAAGUUUCUUCCACAUUUACAGAAAUUUCGACAGCAUCUCCCCAUAGUUCUCCAAGUACACGACCUAGAUUUAUGCAUUCAUCUAGUAUGUACCCAGAGAACAUGAGGAGCAGCUAUCGAAAUUUCCUUUUACGUGAAACAAAACUUCACCUACUUGGAACUAAAAAAAAUUAUGCAUUCCCAAACUGUCCAAGUUGGGACAAUUCAAGAAUUAUUAAUAGACAUAUCAUCCUCUUGUCAUCCUAAGAUGACACUGAUAAAACAUGUGUCUACUAAUAAUUCUUAAACGGGUCUUAGCUUUCAAAGCAUGCAUUGAAAAAAAAAACGUAAAUCAAUAUAUAUAUAUAUAUAUAUAUAUAGUUGAGUUUAUUAACAUUACCUAGGUUUGGCGGAGAAAAUAUGAAGAAGAAGAAGUAGUUUGGGCAAAAAUCAAAGGGUUUUGAUUUUCAUUAUUGAUCAAUUGAAAUAGUAGAGUAGUGGACCUUCUCAGCUAGUUCCAUGGAUGUUAAUAAAUCUAAAAUUUGUUAGCACUUAACAUUUGCUAAAGAAACCGUCUUAAGUUUCAAUUCUUUAAAUUAAUGUUAAUUAGAUUUGACAUUGAAGAUUAAUUAUUCACUAAGGCUUAUCAUAUUUUAAAAAAACGAAUAUAAAAGGUUGCAUAUUAAAUAUGGGAUUAUGCAAUUAAAAUUAAACCCUAGUAAUGGCAUUGGUGAGGGAAGAUGAAAGAAUUCCUUCCUAUAUUAAUUAGUUGAUAUAUUUUAAGCCACUAAAGUUUAAUUGUUGGCUUAAUAAAAUAAAUGAAUGUUUCAAGACUUAUAAUUAAUUAUUAUUAAUGGUUAUAUAUUGUUGAAUUUAAAUAGAAAUAGGAAAAGACAUGUAAUCUUUUGUAAUCUAAUAAUCAUUUUCUAUUUAUUUUCUAUUUUUAAUAUUUUGUAAUGUAAUUAUUUUUUAAUUUAAGCUAAUAUAUUAGAUAUUAGAGAAUAUAAAGAGAUGAGAAAUAAUGAUGUCACAAAUCUUAAAUACUUAAUAUUUAUAGAAUUUGAAGAAGCCAAAAAGCACUAAACAAAAGGUUGAAUAAUUAAAUAUGAAAUUAUGACAUUAAAAUUAGGCCCUAGUGGCAUUGUUGAGGGAAGAUGAAGGAACCUUCCUUUCUAUAUUAAUUAAUUGAUGCUUUUUAAAGCCAUUAAAGUUUAAUUAUUGGCAUAAUAAAAUAAAUGAAUGUUUCAAGACUUGUUGAAUUUAAAUAGGAAGAGGAAAAGACAUGUAAUCUUUUGUAACCUAAUAAUUAUAUUCUAUUUUUACUAUUUUAUAAUGUAAUUAUGUUUUAAUCUCAACUAAUAUACUAGAUAAUAAAGAAUAUAAGAAGAUGUAAAAUAGUGAUGCCACAUCACCUCUUGUAGUCAAGGCUUAUAAUUAAUUAAGAGACAUGGAUAGGGAUGGCAAUUUCCGGGUCCGGGUCCGGGUCCGGGUUUGGCUGUUCCGGAUCCGGACCCGGACAUCAAAUUCUCAUAACCGGACCCGCAUUAAACCCGGAUUUUUUAAAUCCGGAUCCGGUCCGGGUUCAACCCGGAAAAAUCCGGGUUUCCGGAUUCCGGGUUUGGAACCCGGAUUGCUUUAUUAUUAUUUUUUUUAGAGACCAUAUGGCUUACUUUAACAAGGCACAGGGGAUGGUGGUUUAAUGUUUUAAUGUUUUCCCCAACAACACAUUACAGAAUACUUCCUAGAAUUGGUUCAAUAAAAUUUGAUGGAUAUUGUUGUUGAGUUCGAAUUUUCCGUCUCUUUUGGUGGAGGUUUCACAUAUUUUCCUAUUACUUUUUGGCAUCUCUUUCUCUUUUGUCUGGUUUGUUUGUCUUUACUUUGCUGCUUCCUUUUCUCCUUUAGCUUAUUCCGAAGAUGCCUUUCUUUCUCAAAUACACCUUGCCAAACGACCUCACCUGUUGACGGCCAUAACCACCGUCUUCUAGGGUGAUCAGAAUCUGCCUCCUCGGCCAUGUCCUCAUCCAUGCUUUUUAAAGUGCUGUAUGAGAACCAUCUGACCCACAUUUGACCUCUCCGACUCUUAAAGUGCCACGCCGCGAAGGAUCUGAUCUGAUCUGAAGAAGAGAUUACAGGAGAGUUGCAGAGAGAGUGAGAGAUUAAGUGACGACGGAGGACUGAGGUGAGGAAUGAGUCACGGCUCACGGGUGAUUUUCCUUGAGAGAGGAACGGAUUACGGUUUACGAAUGAGACUUGAGAGAUUGAAAGGAGAAAUUAUAGAUUUACAGUAAUUUUUAGGUUGAAGGAGAAAUUUCGAGAGAGGAUCAGACGAACGAGACGAGAGAGAUCUAGAUUCUAGGGUUCACUUUUGUUUUUGUUUUUUUUUUAAUUUUUCUAUUUAUAUUUACGGAUUUACGGAUCAAAAUUAAUAUUAAAAUAAAUAAUAUCCGGGUCCGGGUUCCGGGUUUGCGGGUUCAUCUGAAACCGGAUCCGGACCGGAAAAAUGCGGGUUGUCAAAAACUGAUCCGGAUUCCGGAUAAAAACUAUGCCGGUGCGGGUUGAACCCGGACCGGAUUUUCCGGGUUCAAUCCGGGUCCGAUCCGGGUCCGGGUUUGGUUGCCAUCCCUAGACAUGGAUGAAACUAAUGUUAUUUAAGUAACACAUAGUUGAUUUAUAAGCUUAAUGUGUCAAAAUUGUUUAAACCUUUCCAAGAUUAACUAUUGUUUUCUUAUUAUUUCUUUUAUCUAGGUUUAAAUUUUAGGAGAAAUUUGUCAAUUUUCAAUUAUUGGGUGAUAUUGGUAUGCAAAUGAUGUGUUUUAUAGCAAUUUGAAUCUUUCUCAUCUUCAAGACUAUCAUUAGUCGAUAAUGUUGCUAUUACCUCAGGCUCUCGUGAGUCUAAACAUUUUCUAAUUAAUUGAAAAUGAUAUAAUGAUUAAUUAAUUGUUGAUAAUAAAACCAAUUUAAUACGACGUCUCCCCAUUUCUUUCUUUAUUUCUUUUAAACCUCAAUCAUUGUCAAAACCGUUAAUGGGUUGCAAUUAAACACUUAACAAAUCUUAAACUUGUUGUUAGCAAUUAACAUUUGCUAAAGGAAUCGUCUUAAGUUUCAAUUCUUUAAAUUAAUGUUAAUUAGAUUUAAGACGAAAAUUAAUUAUUCACUAAGACUUAUCUAUAAAUAAAAAGUAGAUACAAAUGUUGUAUAAUUAAAUAUGAGAUUAUGACACUAAAAUUAGGCCUUGGUAGUGGCAUUGUUGAGGGAAGAUAAAAGAACCUUCAUUCCUAUUUUAAUUAAAUUAUAUGUUAUGACGUGAAAAAAUAAACAAUCCAUUUUUGUAUUUUGUAGUUUGUGAAGAUUUGAAACAAUGUGCUUUCUUUUCAGAGUGAUAACAAUUGGAUCCAUUGCUUUUUCCUUUUAAUGUUUUAUAAACAUAUAUUGUCUAUUUGCAUCAAAUAAGUCCCAAUCUCUUUUACAAUCACUAAUAAAACACCUUUCAAUUAUUAAACUAUAAAUAUGUGUCAUUCAAAAUUAUGAUGGAAGAUAGAGAAUUUAGGGUGGGUUUCUUCACUGAAGAGUUAAAAAAAAUUGAAAUUUAAAAUUUUUCAAUAAAUACAAAUAUAAGAUGAAUAGUUUCAUUUGUUCAAUAGACUAAUCAUAUUAAAAUAAUGUUAGUAAGGAAAAUAAUUUAAAAAAUAUUCUUAAUUAAAAUAAUUUAAAAAAUGUAAAUUACCUCUCUCACCUCAUUUUUUAAGCAAAAAUAAAAAUAACUUGAAGUUUUAAAAAAUAAUUGAAGUAAUUUAAAAAUAAUCAAUUUGGAAUAAUUCAAAAUUUACCCAAGAGAUUAUUCACAAUAUCAAUCAAUGAAUUAGAAACAUUAAAUGGUAUAACAUAUAACUAUUAUUUUUAACUUAUUGAUCUCAAUCUUGAGCGUUCGGAUUAGAUCUUUGGGGUUUCAUUUUUUAGAUUUCAGUGAUUGAAAGUAUGAAACUCAAAGUAACAAAAAUUAAAUUUAUAUUUUAUCGCAAGUGAAGUGUAGGGAUUAAUCCAAUUAUUUGCGUCUAGCGUUUCUUUUUGUUGCUAUCACUCUUGUUGAUGAUGAUAAGCCUUUUUUUUUUUGCAUUGUCACUACCAAUUUAUUAUCUACAUUCAUCUAUAGAACGAAGCAAGAUGCCAAGAAAGAAAUAUAACACAAGAAAAAUAAGUUAUCCCAAUCGUUCAAAACAAAUACAUACAUAGCCAGAAAAAUAAGACAUAUCAUAUCACACUUAAAUAUUACCACUCUAAAAAGAAAAAAAGGUCAAAAGACUAACACACAUGUAAAAAGAUGACCAACAACAACACUAAACAUGUUUUGUGUAUUGAUUACUUCCACCAUCACUAACUUCAUCAUCAUCAAUAAUUUGGUUUUUUCUCUUUCUAUUCUUACUGGCAUUAGUAACAUGAAAAUCUCCCACAGAAUCUUCCAAAUUAUUUGAUAAGAUAUCAUGAGGAUCCUGUAAUUUUUUAAUCAAGGAAAUUAAAAUUAUGAGUAAACUGAACAUGCUAAUUUUAAUCAUAAAGGAAAACAACUGGGAAAUAAGAGUAAAUAAAAUUACCAUUUCUUGGGAAUGUUCUUCCUUUCUUUCAUAUAUUUCCACAUUUUCAUGAUCUGUAUUGUUUUUUUUCCUACAAAAAACAACAAUUAAAUAAUUUUUUUAACAUUACAUAUAUUGCCUACAAAUUGAACCUAGCACAGGUAGAUAAUACCUUCUUCAAUUCUUGUUCGAGCUCCAAUUUCUCAUCAGGGGUGAAAAGCUUUGACACAGUAAAAUUCUCAAGUCCCUCUUUCAAAUUGUAAUCAUUCAAUUUCAGUUUGUAAUCAUUCAAUUUCAGUUUGUAAUCAUUCAAUUUCAGUUUGUAAACAAAAUCUUUUCCACAAAGGCUUUGAAUUUCUGCAGGGACAUCCUUACUAUAUAAAGGUAGUCUAUUAAACAACUUGUGGGCUGAUGUAUCAAGUAACUUCUCAGCUACAUGAUUGAAUAAGACAAAAGUUGUCUCUGCCGUUUUAUCCAUGACUUUUAUAUGUAUUUUGUACCUACAUUAGAAUAAUGAAUUAGAAUGAAAAACUAACAACAUAAUGAGCAAUUUUUUUUAAAAAUAAUAUUAUUUUUCUUACAUCACAAGAGGAUAGUCACAUUCCUUUUUGCAAGUGCCACACAUAUAAAUACCAUUUGUAGGUAUGACCUUUUUUAUGCAUGUUUUGCACGAAACAUAGUACCAUCCAAAGGAGUUGUCUAUUUCACUAAUCUUGCCCCGCACAGUAACAAUAUAUUCCUACAAUUAAACAAUAAACAUUUAAAAAAAUAAUAAGGACAUUCCAAUAUUUAGGAACAAAUAACACAAAUGGAUGAGCAGGAAAAAAAUAGAAAAAUCACCUUCACUUGAGAACUCCAAUCAGCCUCCAAUAGUUCUUUAAUGCUCAUCCUGUUAAGGAACAUCUCUUCCUCAAAAGUAAUCUUAUUCACAUUCGAACUUUCAAUAACUUGCACAACGUUGGAGACGGUGGAAAAUCUUUCAAUUAAUGAUGCUACAUAAUCUAUUUGAAGAUUUAUAUAGAUUUUUCUUGCACUUGUGGUAGAGAAAUUAACCUCACCUGUUUAGAGCAAAUGUAACGUAAAACGAAACUUGAACAAAAUCUAAAUUUGUGUAUAAUAUUAAAAUAGCCACAUUGCAUUUGAAAAUGUUAAUUAGUGGGAUCUAAAUAAAAUAAUCACCUUGGAAUUUUUUAAUGGUUGUAGAAGUUACUAUCACAAUACAAGGACCCUCGUCUUUCUUGUACAAAUUUGAAUCAAACAUCUCCCCUAACUUUCCCCAUAAAGUAAUCUUCAUUGUUACUGAACUAUCCAUAAAAAUUAACAAAAAUUAAUAAUGUAAAGAGAACCAAUAACUAAAAAAUAACAUAAAUAACUAAAAAAAUAUAAAGUCAUAGUUUUCUUGAUUAUAUUCAACUUACUAAUCCAUUAGAAUUUUUAUAUCUCUUUUUUUCCAACCAGCUCCAACGAUCUCAAUAUCACCCACACCACAUAAACUUCCAAUAACAUCUGUAAUAUUAUGGAAAAAUAACAUAAACAUGUUAAAACAUAAGGAUUAAUAAUUUCUAAUAUACACUUAAAGAUUAACAAACAUUAAUAAUUAAAAAAAUACCUGAGAGGAUUGUGUUAUCAUUCACACGUAAAUCAAUCAAAUUCGAAGAUACGAAUUGAAAUCCAUUAAUCGGAAUCUUGACAGUUCCUUCUUCUAACCUCUUAAGAGAAGUUAUACCAAGAAAAUAAUCUUAUACUGAUUUGAAAGUGGUCUGUACUCGCCUGUAGUUGAAACAACUUUCAAAUUCUUGACAUUGUACAAAGAACCCUCACUCAACAUGUGCUUAAACCUUGUCACUAAGGUUUUCCUGAUUGUUGCAUGCAUUAGAUUUUCCUACGAAAAAAAAAAAACACAUACUACAUUCAGUGUGAAACAAUUGGGAAAAAAAAUUAGAGAAAACAAUGGGAGAAUAAAUUUUUUAUACAACCUUUUCAUCAAUAAAAAUCAUAUCAACACUAAUCAAUUCUCCAUUUUUUUUAGUAUUAGUAGACUCCCACAUCCUACAAAGCCUAACCCUUAUCAUCCAACUAUCUUUAUCAUUGUUCAACUCAUGAAGAAAAGAGUACUCCAUGAAGCACACAAUAUCAAAAAUUCAAAUAAAUCAAACAAUAAAAAUAUAAGUAUUUUUCUAAAGAGGGCGUUGAUUAAAUAAAUAAAAAAACCCUAAACAUAACAAAUCUUAAAUAUUUAGUGUUUAGAGAGCUUGAAGAAGCCAAAAGGCACUAAACAAAAGGUUGCAUAAUUAAAUAUGAGAUAAUGUCAUUAAAAUUAGGAUCUAGUGGCAUUGUUGAGGGAAGAUGAAAGAACCUCUCUUCCUAUGUUAAUUUAUUGAUUAUUUUAAGCCACUAAAGUUUAAUUGCUAGCAUAAUAAAAUUUGAAGGAGCCAAAAGACACUCAACAAAAGGUUCCAUAAUUAAAUAUAUGAUUAUGACAUUGAAAUUAGGCUCUAGUGGCAUUAUUGAGGGAAGAUGAAAGAACCUCUCUUCCUAUAUUAAUAAAUUCAUGUAUUUUAAGCCACUAAAGUUUAAUUGCUAGCAUAAUAAAAUAAAUGAAUGCUUCAAAAUACUUAUAAUUAAUUAUUAUUAAUGGUUACAUAUUGUUGGAUUUAAAUAGAAAGAGGAAGAAACAUGUACAAAGAAUAUCCACUAAUAUUUUAGAUAUUUUAGAUAAUAGAAAAUAUAAAACGAUGAGGUUGAGAGAAUGUGAAAGAACCUCUCUUCCUAUGUUAAUUAGUUGAUGUAUUUUAAGGCACUAAAGUUUAAUUGCUAGCAUAAUAAAAUUUAAAGAAGCCAAAAGGCACUCAACAAAAGGUUGCAUAAUUAAAUAUGAGAUUAUGGCAUUAAAAUUAGGCCCUAGUGGCAUUGUUGAGGGAAGAUGAAAGAACCUCUCUUCCUAUAUUAAUAAAUUCAUGUAUUUUAAGCCACUAAAGUUUAAUUGCUAGCAUAAUAAAAUAAAUGAAUGCUUCAAAAUACUUAUAAUUAAUUAUUAUUAAUGGUUACAUAUUGUUGGAUUUAAAUAAAAAGAGGAAGAAACAUGUACAAAGAAUAUCCACUAAUAUUUUAGAUAUUUUAGAUAAUAGAAAAUAUAAAACGAUGAGGUUGAGAGAAUGUGAAAGAACCUCUCUUCCUAUGUUAAUUAGUUGAUGUAUUUUAAGGCACUAAAGUUUAAUUGCUAGCAUAAUAAAAUUUAAAGAAGCCAAAAGGCACUCAACAAAAGGUUGCAUAAUUAAAUAUGAGAUUAUGGCAUUAAAAUUAGGCCCUAGUGGCAUUGUUGAGGGAAGAUGAAAGAACCUCUCUUCCUAUGUUAAUAAAUUCAUGUAUUUUAAGCCACUAAAGUUUAAUUGCUAGCAUAAUAAAACAAAUGAAUGUUUCAAAAGACUUAUAAUUAAUUAUUAUUAAUGGUUACAUAUUGUUGGAUUUAAAUAGAAAGAGGAAGAAAUAUGUACAAAGAAUAUUCAUCAAUAUUUUAGAUAUUUUAGAUAAUAGAGAAUAUAAAAAGAUGAGGUUGAGGGAAGAUGAAAUAACCUCUCUUCCUAUGUUAAUUAGGUGAUGUAUUUUAAGGCACUAAAGUUUAAUUGAUAGCAUAAUAAAUUUUGAAGAAGCCAAAAGACACUCAACAAAAUGUUGCAUAAUUAAAUAUGAGAUUAUGGCAUUAAAAUUAGGCUUUAGUGGCAUUGUUGAGGAAAAAUGAAAGAACCUCUCUUCCUAUGUUAAUUAAUUCAUGUAUUUUAUGCCACUAAAGUUUAAUUGCUAGCAUAAUAAAAGAAAUAAAUGUUUCAAAAGACUUAUAAUUAAUUAUUAUUAUUAAUUACAUAUUGUUAAAUUUAAAUAGAAAGAGAAAAAAAGUACAAAGAAUAUCCACAAUAUUUUAGAUAUUUUAGAUAAUAGAAAAUAUAAAAAGAUGAGGAAUGAUAUAUAUUAAUAAAGUUACUAUCUAUUAAAUGAGUUAAAUACAAUCAAAUUAAUUAUGAGAAGAUGAAAAGCCAAAUUUAAAAAAAAAAUAUCUAUUUAUUAGAUAAUAGAGAAUAUACAAAGAAGCAAAAUGGUGAUGCCACAUCAUCUCCUCAAGUCCUAGCUUUAUAUAGAUACUAGGAAAUAGAACCGCACUUUGUGCGGCUUUAAAAAAAGAAUUUAGUAUUAUUUUUUUUAUUACUUUACACUUGAUAAAACUGAUAAAAAAAUAUGAAUUGAUUUUCUUUUAAAGAUGACGCAGCCUUAUAAAACUAAUGUUAUUUAUGAAAGUUAAUUAUUUUUUUGUUAACUUUAAAAAUAUAUAUUAAUGUGUAUAGUUAAAUGUAAACAACCUUUUCAUCAAUAAAAAUUAUGUUCACACUAAUCAACUCUCAAUUCUUCUUGGUAUUAACAGACUCCUACAUUUUACAAAGUCUAACCCUUAUUAUCCAACUAUCUUUAUCAUUGUUUAACUCAUGAAGAAAAGAAUACUCUAUGAAGCACACAAUACAAAAAAAUUAAAUAAGUCAAAAAAUAAAAACACAAGAACAUUUCUAAAGAGGAUGUUGGUUAAAUUAAAAAAAAAUCCAAACAUAACAAAUCUUAAAUACUUAAUAUUUAUAUAGUUUGAAGAAGCCAAAAGACACUAAAUAAAGGUUGCAUAAUUAAAUAUGAAAUUAUGACAUUGAAAUUAGGUCCUAGUGGUAUUGGUGAGGGAAGAUGAAAGAACCUUCCUUCCUAUAUUAAUUAGUUGAUGUAUUUUAAACCACUAAAGUUUAGUUGUUGGCUUAAUAAAAUAAAUGAAUGUUUCAAAACUAUAAUUAAUUUAUUAUUAAUGGUUACAUAUUGUUGAAUUUAAAUAGAAAGAAGAAGAGACAUGUAAUCUUUUAUAAUCUACUAAUUAAUUUCUAUUUUUAAUAUUUUGUAAUAUAAUUAUUUUUUAAUCUCAACCAAUAUAUUAGAUUAUAGAGAAUAUAAAAAGAUGAGAAAUAAUAAUGGCACAAAUCUUAACUACUUAAUAUUUAUAGAGUUUGAAGAAACCAAAAGGCACUAAACAAAAUGUUACAUAUUAAAUAUGAGAUUAUAGCAUUAAAAUUAGACCCUAAUGGUAUUAUUGAGGGAAGAUGAAAGAACAUUCCUUCCUAUAUUAAUUAAUUGAUAUAUUUAAGCCACUAAAGUUUAAUUAUUGGCAUAAUAAAAUAAAUUAAUGUUUGAAAAUUUAUAAUUAAUUAUUAUUAAUGGUUACAUAUUAUUGAAUUUAAAUAGAAAGAGGAAGAGACAUAAUCUUUUAUAAUCUAAUAAUUAUUUUUUUAUUUUUAAUAUUUUGUAAUGUAAUUAUUUUUUUUAUAUCAACUAAUUUAUUAGAUAAUAGAGAAUACAAGAAGAUGAGAAAUAGUGAUGCCACAUCACCUCCUCUAGUCCCAACUUUAUAUAUAUAUAUAUCAACUAUAUAUAUAUAUAUAGAUAUAGAUUUUUAAUAUUUUGUAAUGUAAUUAGUUUUUAAUCUCAACCAAUAUAUUAGAUAAUAGAGAAUAUAAAAAGAUAAGAAAUAAUGAUGCCACAAAUCUUAAAUAUUUAAUGUUUAUGGAGUUUGAAGAAGCCAAAAUACACUAAACAAAAGAUUGAAUAAUUAAAUAUGGGAUUAUGACAUUAAAAUUAGGCUCUAAUAGCAUUGUUGAGGGAAGAUGAAGGAACAUUCCUUCAUAUAUUAAUAUUAAUUAAUUGAUGUAUUUUAAGCCACUAAAGUUUAAUUGUUGGCAUAAUAAAAUAAAUUAAUGUUUGAAGACUUAUAAUUAAUUAUUAUUAAUGGUUACAUAUUGUUGAAUUUAAAUAGAAAGAGGAAAAGACAUGUAAUCAUUUAUAAUCUAAUAAUUAUUUUCUAUUUUAAUAUUUUGUAAUGUAAUUAUUUUUUUAAUUUCAACCAAUUUAUUAGAUAAUAGAGAAUAUGAGAUGAAGAGAAAUGGUGAUGCCACAUCACCUCCUCAAGUCCUACCUUUAUAUAUAUACUAGAAAAUAGAACCGCGUUUCACGCGGCUUUGAAAAAGAAUUUAGCAUUAUCCUUUUUUCUUACUUUACACUUGAUAAAACUGAUAAAAAAUAUGAAUUGAUUUUUUUUUUUAAGAUGAGGCAGUCUUAUAAAAAAAUAAAAAAAGUUAUUAACCAGUAAUACAAAUAAAGAAGCAACGCAAGAUAAAGAAUAAAAUGAGAGAAUAUUGUAUAAUGAUUUUAUUCAUUACAAUUGUGUGUGUACAAAACAAAAAGAUGAGCUCUCCUUUGAUAGUUACAUAAUCACUCCAUGAAAUUAAUGAAAAAUUAUGGAUCAUAAUUCCUUGUGAGAUAGUGGGAGUUAUAGGGAAGCUAAAGGUUGCUAAUGAGAGAUAGUGGGGAGACUAAGAGAUAUAUGUUAUGAACAUCUACAUUUAUUUUAAUAAAUUCAUAACACUCCUCCUUGAAUGUUUAUUACAAAGAAUAUGUCUCAUUAAAAUCUUUACAUAAUUGUUAUUGUGUAAUAACAAUCAAAUUAAUUAUGAGAAGAUGAAAAAUCAAAUAUAAAAGAAAAUUUCUCUAUUUAUUAGAUAAUAGAGAAUAUACAAAGAUGAGAAAUGAUGAUACCACAUCACCUUCUCAAGUCCCAGCUUUAUAUAUAUAUAUAGAUAUAUAGAUAGAUAGAUAGAUAGAUUAAUUCAUGUAUUUUAUGCCACUAAAGUUUAAUUGCUAGCAUAAUAAAAUAAAUAAAUGUUUCAAAAGACUUAUAAUUAAUUAUUAUUAAUGAUUACAUAUUGUUGAAUUUAAAUAGAAAGAGAAAAAAAAGUACAAAGAAUAUCCACCAAUAGUUUAGAUAUUUUAUAUAAUAAAAAAUAUAAAAAGAUGAGGAAUGAUAUAUAUUAAUAAAGUUACUAUUUAUUAAAUGAGUUAAAUACAAUCAAAUUAAUUAUGAGAAGAUGAAAAGGCAAAUCUAAAAAACAAAAAUCUCUAUUUAUUAGAUAAUAGAGAAUAUAUAAAGAAGCAAAAUGGUGAUGCCACAUCACCUCCUCAAGUCCUAGCUUUAUAUAUAUAUAUAGAUAUAGAUAUAGAUAUAGAUAUUUUGUCCUAAUUAACUUAAAGAUUUUGAAUCUAAUAUUUUAUAAUAAAUAAAAAUAUAUUCCUAAAAUAAAUAUAAUAUCAAUAUUUAAAAUAUGUUUUAAUAUUUUACAAUCUAUCAUACACAUUUUAUUAUAGUAAAGUAGAUUUUAUAAUAAAUAUAUAAAAAAUUUAGAAUAUGUAGAAUAUUAUAUAAAAUAAUUUUAAUAUAAUGUGUGAGAUAUAUUUUAUUAAUUUAAAAUGUCAUUUUACCUAAAAAAUAUGAUAAAUUAAUAAUUACAUAUUUGAAGUUACUUCAAAUAUUAAAAAAAAUUAAUAUUAUUAAUCUUUUAGAUAGAUUAAAUUAUUUUUUAUAAGAGAGAUUAAAUUAUUUUAAAAUGCCUUAAUUGUUUUUACUUUUAACGUUACCGGCCUUUCUUUUAUUUUAUUGCAAAUUAAUACUAAUAAGAAAAAGCUAGAUCAUAUUCCACAAAAGCAAAUGUGACAAACACAACCAGCUGGAAUCUUUUAAUUACUAUUCAAUAAUUCGAGACGAUUAGGGUCUUUUAUUAAACUACAAUCCUCAAUAAUUGUUUUAAAUUGGUGGCACCUACAAUCCUCAAUAAUUGUACCGAUAUUCACAAGUUCGUGGCCCCUACAAUUCUGUUCGCAAGUGCUCAUUCACAGUCUUCCAGGCCCCUACAAUUCUGUUCCGAUAAUUUAACUGUGCAAGUGCUUAAUAAUUGUUUUGUUUUUUUCUGCAUUCCCUUUCAUGCUCUUAAUAAUUGAAGAGCAUACUUUUCAAAUGUGGAGCCGCAGCUAAUGUCGUUAAUUUAAUUUGGGAUUAAAUUAGGGGACCAUUAUAUUGCAGUGUGCACUAAUUUUUGUGUUUAUCUAAACUCCUUAAAUUUAAGACAUAUUACGGCAUAAAUAAGAAUAUAACAAUAACAAAAGAGUUAGAAAGUGUAGAGAAGAUCUUGCAGAAAUAUAAAUAAUAUCAAUUUUAAAAUAAUUUUUAAUAUUUUAUGAUCCAUUAAAUAUAUUUUAUUAUAUUAAAAUAAAUUUUAUAAUAAAUAAAAACAUCCUAUUAAAAUGAAUAUAUAGAAAAUUUAGAGUAUUUUAAGUAUUAUAUAAAAUAAAUUUAAUAAAAUAUGUGAGAUAUUCAUAGUUUAUUAAUUUAAAAUACCAUUUUAAAAUUAAAGAUUUAUUUAUGAUAAAUUAAUAAUUAUAUUUUUGAAAUUACUUCAAAUAUUAAAAAAUUAAUAUUACUAAUCUAUUAGAUAGAUUAAAUUAUAUAUAUUAUUUUCUAUUUAUUAAAAAAUUAAAAUUAUUUUUAAUUACUAUUCAAAAAAUAUAAUGAUAAAAAAAAUCUUAACAUCUUUAUUAAAAAUUUAAAAAUUUACGUGAUCAAUUCUCUAAAUAUUUAGGGUAUAUGUGAACCACGGUGGAGAAGCUUUAUUUAAUAUUAUUGAUUUAAAUAAUAUGUCAAUUAAAAAUGUGCGGAGAAGAAAUUUCGGUGGAUAUUUUAGUCUUUUCAGCAAUUAUCAUGAUCAGAUCUAGGGAUGGCAAUGGAGAGGGGAGGGGAGGGGACCGAUCUCCCCGUACCCAUCCCCGAUAUUUUGCGUAUGUCCCCGUCCCCUCCCCGUCCCCAUCAGAAUUACUUGAGAGAAUCACCAUCCCCUCCCCGAAUAAUAACAGGGGAUCCCCGAUGGUCCCCGAUCCCCGAAUAACUAAUACAUUUUUUUUCAAUUUUGAGUUAAUCAUAUUAAAAUAAAAAAUUCAAAUAAAAAUAAAGUUCGAAAUAUAUCUUACAUUAAUAUCUAUUACAAAAGUCACAUACAUUAAAUUAGUAAGUAACGCAACAUGCAAGGAAUACAAACUUCUUUUACAAACUAUCAUGAACAAAUUAAUAGUUUAAUACAAAAUUGUUACAAAUAAAAUCGAAUUUAGAUUCAAAAUUAACUUUUUCAAUGGUGGCGUGGGCACUUUAUAAAUGUGGAUUAUUCCCUUUACAACACAAUAGUUAAAUCGGAGCAAAUCAAAAGUAAAUAUUAGAUUGGAUUAGAUUAGAUUAGAUUAGAUUAGAUUAGAUAUUAAAAUUGUGAUUCGCUGUGGACAAUUAUAACAUCUAAAAAUAAAUAAAAAAUAGAUUUAAGUUUAAAAUAUUUAAAGAAUAUUAAAAUUAAAAAAAAAUGUUUGGCUAAUAGAAUCUACUUGGUCUUUUUAAUGUCGUAAAUAAAAAUUUAAGACUUUAAUUAGUUAAUUAGGCCUAAAAAUUUAAUAAUAUAAAUAUUUUGAUAUUUUUUAUUUUUACCAAUAUUUAUAAGUGGAUUCUUUUACUAAACUAUAAAUUAAAAGUGGAUUCUUUUGAAUACAAGUGGGACAGACGAUUAGGCUCUUUUUAUUAAACGCAAGUAAAAAGUAGUCGAAUAGUCUUUUUCAAAUUAUUGUUUUAUUAUUUUUCCUUCAAAAGUUAGCGUGGCUCAUGUUUGCAGGUGCGAAUGUGCGAUGCUCUUUUUUUAAAGGCAAUUACAGUGGGUCCCGAAUCAUUACUAAAAUUUCUCUUCCUCAGCCCACCGCAGCUUCAGUUAAUCAAACUCAAUCAAUUUUCUUUCUUAACAAAAUUCUAAAGAUGUGUAGCAUUUUUCAGAUCACAUGCGAUGGUGCUUUUUUCAAUCGUUGCUUGGAUUGCUUUCUUGGAAAAGCAGCAUACAUACGUAACCUCCAAGAUAAUCUUGAUGCCUUGGAGACUGAAUUGGGAAAUCUGAUCGCUAGAAAGAACGAUGUGAUGAGGAGGGUUGUCGAUGCUGAACGGCAACAAAUGAGAAGGCUGGACGGAGUGCAAGUGUGGGUUUCGAGGGUGGAUUCUGUUAAAACUGAAGCCGAUGAACUUAUCACAGACGGCUCUCGAGAAAUUGAAAAAUUAUGUGUUGGAGGCUACUGUUCCAAGAACUGCAGGUCAAGCUACAAAUUCGGGAAAAAAGUGGCUAAAAAGCUACGGGAUGCGCGGACUUUAAUCAGUGAAGGAGUUUUUGAGGUGGUGGCUGACAGAGCUCCAGAGUCUGUAGCAGAUGAAAGACCUACUGAGCGAACAGUAGUAGGCUUGCAAUCACAACUUGAACAAGUCUGGAGAUGUCUUGUAGAAGAAUCAGCGGGAAUCAUUGGCCUAUAUGGUAUGGGCGGUGUUGGUAAAACUACACUACUGACCCAUAUCAACAACAAAUUUCUCGAGAGUCCAACCAACUUUGAUUGUGUGAUUUGGGUUGUAGUUUCAAAAGACCUGCGACUCGAAAAAAUUCAAGAAGAUAUUGGGAAAAAGAUAGGUUUGGUUGGUGAUUCAUGGAAGAGUAAAAGUGUAGAGGAGAAAGCUGUCGACAUCUUCCGGAGUUUAAGAGAGAAGAGAUUUGUAUUGUUGUUAGAUGAUAUAUGGGAGCGGGUUGAUUUAACAAACGUGGGCGUUCCACUUCCCGGACCAAAAAAUACUACCUCAAAAGUCGUAUUCACAACCCGUUUCAUCGAUGUUUGUGGUAGCAUGGAAGUUGACAGGAAGUUUCAAGUAGCAUGCUUAUCAGAAAAGGAUGCUUGGGAACUGUUUCGAGAAAAAGUUGGGGAAGAAACUCUUGAGAGUCAUCAUGAUAUCGAUGAGCUAGCCCAAAUUGUGGUCAAAGAGUGUGGUGGUUUGCCACUCGCACUUAUUACUAUUGGUCGAGCUAUGGCCUACAGAAAGAAAGCGGAGCAGUGGAGACGUGCAAUUGAAGAGUUAAGGAGAUCAGCUUCAGAGUUUGCAGGUUUGGGAAAAGAGGUGUAUCCUCUUUUAAAAUUCAGCUACGAUAGUUUGCAGAAUGAUAGUUUGCAGAAUGAUACGGUUAGAUCUUGUUUCUUGUACUGUUGUUUAUAUCCUGAAGAUUAUGUCAUUCCUAAAUGGGACUUGAUUGAUUGUUGGAUUGGUGAGGGAUUUUUUGGGGAAUCUGACAGGUCUGGUGCAGAAAACCAAGGAUAUGACAUUUUGGACACUCUUGUUCGUGCAUGUUUAUUAGAAGAGGUGGAAGAUGAUAAAGUAAAAAUGCAUGACGUUAUUCGUGAUAUGGCUAUAUGGAUAACUUGUGAAAUUGAGAAGGAGAAUAGAAAAUUUUUGGUUUGUGCAGGUGCUGGAUUAAAAGAGGCACCGGGUGUUAAAGGAUGGGAAAAUGUGAGAAGAUUGUCAUUGAUGCAAAACCAAAUUGAAACUCUGUCAGAGGUUCCCACAUGCCCUCAUCUCCUCACUUUAUUUCUUGACUUUAAUUAUAAUUUGAGGAUGAUCGCGGAUGGCUUCUUCCAACUUAUGCCUUCUCUCAAAGUUUUGAAGAUGUCACUCUGCCGGAAUUUAACUUUGAAAUUACCUUUGGGGAUGUCAAAGUUAGGUUCACUGGAACUUCUCGAUAUUUCAUAUACCUACAUACAAGAGUUACCACAAGAGUUAAAGUUGUUGGUAAAUCUGAAAUGUUUGAAUUUGAGGUGUACACACAGGUUAAAUAAAAUUCCACGGCAACUAAUAUCAAAUUAUUCAAGGUUACGUGUGUUGAGAAUGUUCGCUAGUGGCUGGUUCAAUUUUCAUGAAGCAUCAGAAGAAAGCGUUUUAUUUGGUGGGGGUAAAGUUUUGAUACAGGAAUUGCUCGGUUUGAAAUAUUUAGAGGUAUUGGAGUUGACCUUGGGAAGUUAUCAUGCUCUCCAAAUUCUUUUGAGCUCAAAUAAGUUAAAAAGUUGUAUUCGAUCUCUUUACCUCCAUUUGACCGGAGAUACAGCGUCAAUUAUUGAUGCUACGGCUUUCGCAGAUCUAAACCACCUCAAUGAAUUAUGGAUUGAUAAUGGUAUUGAGUUGGAAGAAUUGAAGAUUGAUUAUACGGAGAUAGUACGAAAAAGGCGGGAACCUUUUGUUUUCCGCAGCCUUCACCGUGUUACCAUAUAUAGUUGCAGUAAAUUGAAAGAUGUGACAUUCCUCGUUUUCGCUCCAAACCUCAAGUCUCUUACGCUAUUCAAUUGCGGUGCUAUGGAAGAAAUAAUCAGCGUCGGAAAAAUUGCUGAGACUCCUGAGAUGAUGGGACAUAUAAGCCCUUUUGAAAAUCUCCAAAGGCUUAAU